rnacentral:lncRNA from 1 species
ACAGGUGCAGCAGUUUCGGAGGAUGGAGAACUGUUCUGUGUUUGUGGAGUUAACAAUAUCUAGCUUUUUAUUGCAAUGUACAAAAAGAAAUAAUAGGUCAUUAUACUUACUAAUUUAGCAAGAGUUAAUUUUUUACCAAUAUACACACACAUAAGCUUUAGGAAAUUGUGUAAUAUUUUGAGUUGUACCACCAAUUUUUUGGAAAUAAAAUAACACCUUGUUUGCUCUCUUGCAGAAUUUUCAUAUCCUCUGAUCUACUCCUUUUGUCUCAAUAGACAGAGUUUGUGCAAUAACUCUCUAAUAUAUGGACUCAAUAUGAUUUUAUAUUUACAGCUUCAAAUGAUUAUGUAUGAUAAUAUUCACCAUAACUAUUUAUCAAAAAAGAAAGCCAAGCAGCCAACUGUUCUGAGAAGCAACUUUCAUGCCUACUUUUGAAACAGGGAAAAAUAGAAGUUCCAUGGUGCUGAAAAUACAAAUGAAUUCACCAUUCAACAAAUAUAUAACAAUUACGUCACGCAAAGCAACAAUCUAUUGUAUGUUUAACUCAGCUUAGCAAACUGCAUGGACAAAAGUGGAAGUUAUAAUGUUUUACUCAAAUUGGAAGACACCCAAAAAUUGGCCCCAAAAGCACCUAAGAUAAAGCCUAAUUUGGCCUUAACAUUUCUACUCUCUCCCUAAAACACUAUCACAGCAGUAAUGUAGUGAAGUAUAAUCGAAAAAGUGAUAACAACAGAUGGUCCUAUCAGCAAGAACUUUGUUCCUGCACUGCACUGAACAUUCGCUCCGCUAAAACAGCCGCUCCUCUGCGCAAUCCCGCUCCCACCUUCGAGUACGAAAGUCGAGUUAGUUCUCCCGCUGCUAAACAAAACACACCAGAAGAAUGCCCCAUGAUGCGCUCUGUUAAACCCCACUCCGACUUCAGUGUGCUCUUUGCUGUGGAGAAGGGAGAGUGUUCUCUUGUCCCGGAAAAGAAUGGCUGAGAAUGCUUCCUCUGCUUGAAGAUACUUCUGCUGACACGCCACGAGAUGGCCGGAUAUAGUGUCGAGCGUCGGCAACUCUACCCCGCAAUUGGGAGCAUAAACUUCGGUAAUGUCGACUUCAGGCGGAUUACAGCUCACCGUGUUAUUACUGCUGCAGUUGCCCAUGCACUCUGAUAUAUACUGCAAAGCCAUGCAACCAAGUCCGGGACUGUCGUGGAGUUUCGGUAGCUUGAUUGCUGUGCGAUUCGUGUUUAUUAAAUUGACAAUUUCGUUAGCUGGAUUUCCUGAAAAAUAGAAGACGGAAUCGAAAGAUUGAUUUCUGUAUUGAAAUUUCAGUAAAUGUUAAGAUAACUGACGUGAAAUUGAUCAUUCUGCACAUCACAGAAAAAAUGUGAGCUGAAUCACUGCAUGAAAUUGAUCAUUAAUGUAUAUUUUAUGGAAAAUAAUGUUACACUGCAGUUUAUCAAUCUGGCUGGAGUUCUCUAACAUGAGAUUAGUGGGAUUGAUUGUGACAUCUGGGAUAGUAAGUAAGAUUUAGGGGAAGCUGUAGUGAUCUAAUUCGCCGUAAAGUAGUUUAAACUGCAAAAUUUGAUAAAAUUAUCAAUUGAUUUGGUAAAAUCUCCAAUUUAAUUUGGCUAACAUCACUCGAUUCCCAAAACUUAGUAUUUGAGAGGGUCUCAACCAGAAGAAAUAUAGCUAAAUAAGAGCAUUCCAAAAGACAGAUAGAAAGAGGCUUAUAAUUUCUGAAGGAUAGAAUGGCUAUACAAAUUACAGAUUCUAACAUGAUUAGAGAUUCUUUUUUUUUUUUUUUUUUUGCUGAUUAGAGAAAUUAAAUGAUAAAUAACAGAGAACCAAAUCAAAUGAAACCAUGUUUUCUAUAAAAAGCUAAAAAAAAAAAAAAAAAAAAAUNGUAGAAUUUCCAGUUUCCACACUGUCAAGUAGGAGUUCCUCCUCUUUCUCACAAUGAGAGAGAGAGAGAGAGAGAGAGAGAGUUUUUGGGAGGUGGGGGGAGGAGACAGUGGGUAUUGCUGCAGUUGGUGGGGGGGGUUACAAAAGUGCCCACUGCAGUGCUGGAGAGCUGGAGUGGAGUGGAGUGGAAAUGGGCAAAAACCCAGAUGGUCUUUUCCUCCUCCUUUUUUUUUUUUUUUUGCUUUAUUUUUUUUGGGCUGUUGCUUAUUCAUCCUCAUCCCUUAUUAAUUCAAAAUUUCUAAUUCUAAAAUAAUCAAAAUACACAUUUAAAACCGAAUACUAUUAGUAAAUUUUAGAAAAAAAAAAAAAGGGAUGUUUGAAGAAAUUUUUUAAAAUCAAUAAAAUGUUUUAGUCCUCCAGAAACAAUAAGAGAUUUUUAAAGUUUUGAAUGACAUAUUAAAUAUCUAAUAUAUUUCUGGUAGACUAAAAUGCUCUUAUUGAUUUUUAAAAAUUUCUUUAAACAUGCUCAUAACAAUAAAGUUUACUAAUAAAAUUUGAAGUUUUGAAGAAUAUUUUGAAAAUUUAAAAAUAAAUUUAAAAAUUUUGAAUAGUAGUGAGGGAUGUAUAACUUUCAUAAAGUUUACUAAUAAAAUUUGAAGUUUUGAAGAAUAUUUUGAAAAUUUAAAAAUAAAUUUAAAAAUUUUAAAUAGUAGUGAGGGAUGUAUAACUUUCAUAAAGUUUACUAAUAAAAUUUGAAGUUUUGAAGAAUAUUUUGAAAAUUUAAAAAUAAAUUUAAAAAUUUUAAAUAGUAGUGAGGGAUGUAUAACUUUCAUAAAGUUUACUAAUAAAAUUUGAAGUUUUGAAGAAUAUUUUGAAAAUUUAAAAAUAAAUUUAAAAAUUUUAAAUAGUAGUGAGGGAUGUAUAACUUUCAUAAAGUUUACUAAUAAAAUUUGAAGUUUUGAANUUUUUUUUUUUUUUUUUUAUGGUGGGUAAUCUUUUUCCCGGGAAUUGAGGGGAGUGGAAUGAUGCUGCUGCUGCUAGGGGUGCCGGGCUACAGCAGAAUUGAGAAAUGGGAUGGACAGGGCCCCUAUACACUGAUACACACAACAACAUGUGCUAGAAUAUAUAUAUUUUUUUUUAAAAAAAAAGAAAGAAAGAAAAAGGCGUCCUGCUGCCCAUCACAAUUCACAAGCACCAUGUUUGUUUAAAAAAAUUAGGGAAAACUUUAAAAAACCCCCCGUGGUUUCGUGCAUUCUCACUUUGCUACCCUGUGGUUUAAAACGUAUCAAUUUGCCCCCUGUGGUUUCGUUUUUAUCUUUUUGUUAUCAAUUUUAUUAUUAUUAUUUUUUAAAAUCAGUGACAAAGUUAAAAUUAAAGGAUACUAAAGUGACUAUUCGAUAAAUAUAGAUGGUUAUCUGAAGUUUUUUGUAUAUAAUUUAACGAAAUAUUAACGAAAAAGCUUCCGAAAAGAUAAAAAUGAAACCACAGGGGGGUAAAUUGAUACGUUUUAAACCACAGGGUAGCAAAGUGAGAAUGCAUGAAACCACAGGGAGAGUUUUGAAGUUUUCCCAAAAAAUUAUAACAUGCUAUUAAUUAGCCAGGGGUUUUUAAAAAAGGCCCAGGUUAUAAAUUAUGAGUUCGGCUAGAAUAUUAUUAACAGUAGAUAAAUAAUAUUUAACUAUUUAUUACAGUAAAUAAUAAGUUUUAGACAUGGAAGUAUUAAAAGAAUUUAUUGUUUGUACUUUUCAUACACUAUUAAUAAUUUAUAAUUCAAAUUUUUAAUGAAUUAUAACAUUCUAUUAAUGUAGGAUUUUUUUUAAAAAAAUUGUAUAUUUUAUUAUUCUAUUCAAUGGUAAAUUUUUAUGAAAAAAUAAAGAUACAGUAAUAAUAAACUGGUAAAGUUAUACUUUUCAAAUUAUAGAAUAAUAAAAUAAAAAUUGCUAAAUCAUAGAGAGCUAAUUGAGGGUAAAUUAUUAUGGUGACAACAGGGAAUUUGUACGUUGGUGAGUUAAUAAAAAUAAUAAUUACAUAAUAAAUUGUAGGGGAAAAAAAAGUACUAUUUGCUUUUGGCUGGCAUAUUAGAGUGAGAGCCAGUACUGUACUGAAAGGGGUAGUGAAAGCUUUUAAAAGUUUUUCUACAGAAUGAUCCUUAUCUUAGAUUUACCUAAUUUUCUAGGGCUUUUUUUUGCAAAUAGCCCCUGACAAAAUUUUAUUUUAAAAUUAGCCCUGUCAAAAAUUUAUUUACAAAAAUGACCCUAUCCUUGUCACGCAAGCGCCACGUCAGCGCCACGCGGGCGGGGUUGGGGCCAGGUGUUUAAGUUGAACACGGUGAACCAUUCACCGUGUUCAAACACGGUGAAUAGUUCACCGUGUCCAAUACAAAUAUCCCCAUUUAGUCAAAAAAUGGCUAAGUCGAGAUAGUUGUAUUGGACACGGUAAAUCAUUCACCGUGUCCAAUACAACUACCUAGGACUUACCUAUUUUUUGGCUAAGGCUGUAUUAGUAUUGGACACGGUGAAUGAAUGAUUCACCGUGUCCAAAUGGUCCAAUACAACUAACUCGACUUAGCCAUUUUUUGGCUAAGUGGGGAUAUUUGUAUCGGACACGGUGAACCAUUCACCGUGUUUGAACACGGUGAAUGAUUCACCGUGUUCAACUUAAACUCUUGCCCCGCCCGUGUGGCGCUGACGUGGCGCUUGCGUGGCAGGGGCAGGGCCAUUUUUGCAAAUAAAUUUUUGACAGGGCUAAUUUUUAAAAAAAAAUUUAUCAGGGGACUAUUUGUAAAAAAAGCUCAAUUUUCUAUCCACUGCCUAAAUAAAUGCCCCCUCCUUUCUAGGAAAAAAGAAAAAAAAUCUAGAAUGUACUAAAUACAUUACUAAAUGGUGUCUCCAACCAAUUAAAUUAUUUUUCUAUCUAAGAUUCGCUCGUUCCGUAAUAUUUAUUAAAAAUAUUAUUUUUAUUAUGUUUUUCUCUGAAAAGAAAAAUAUGAUUAGCUAAAUAUAGAUAAUAUGGUGUAUUUGCUAUGCAGUAGACUUCUUUCUUUUCUAGAGGAAAAUGAGACUUUUGUGAAGCCAAAAAAGCAACCAUUGUCACACAUUUAAAAUAACUUAUUAUUUGUUAAUAUUAGAGAAAUUAUUAAACAAUAUAAAUAAAUAUAAGAUAAUUAAUUUUCUUUCCUAAAUGACUCCAACUCAAAAUUACCAUGUCAAAAAAAAUUGAAAUAACCAUUUAAAAAAAAAAAAAAAAAAAAAAAAACUUCAGCUGUGGAAGAAAGGUGUUUUAAUGUUUGGGUUUAGUUAUGAAAAGCUUGCUUACACUGAAGGCCCCCUGUCUCAAUCUGUUCCCUGUAUUAAAAUUAGAUCAAUUGCAUUUUGUUAUCAUUUCAAAAUAGAACCAAAAUAUUUUUUAAAAAAUGGCAAAGAUAGUAAAAGUUUACUAAAACAUUCUAUUUAUACUUUACAAUUCAAAGAUAAGCAAAAAUUUUAGAUAAAACAAUUUUAUUCAAUUUGUACAAGUUGCAUUACUUAUUAGUAACUUCAUCUACAAAUUUAUUUUACAAAACUUUUCAACAAUUAUUUCCAAUAAUUGGAACCUUUUGAGAUAGUGGCAAGUGAAAAAAAAUAAUCAAUGUAAUUUUUAAUGCAGGAAGGUAAUUGUGACAGGAGUUUUAAGUGCAAGGAAGCUUUUCAUAAUUUAGCCUAACAUGUCAUAUUAAAACAAGUAUUAAUCCCUCUUCUCUUAUACAAAAUUAAAAAAAAGAAAAAGGGAACUCACUCAUUUUACUUGAGCAAUGUUAUAAAAAGAGCUCUUUCAAUUCUCAUCAAUGAAUGUGCCUUUGCCUGAUAAAAGAGCAGAACUUUUAAAGCAACUAGAACAAAACUAGUAGCAGAAACCAAGAGCGACUUCGUUGGGAAGCACUUCAAUGAAAACUCAAUGAGACCACCAAAACUAAACAAGAGAGGCGAAAAACUACCAAACAUCUCAAAAUAGAAGUGGAAAUCACAACUACGAUGCUGUUUCCUCGGAAAACAGGAUUCAUCAAAACAUAACACCAUGAAACACCAUUAUACCCAAGCCUUGUGUUCUAUAUAGUUCAUCCAUUGUUCUCUCAGGAUGGAACAUGCUAAAAAUGCAUACAAAAACAAAGUAACUAAAAUAACGAUAGAACAUCGACAAAAAGAGAUGAAGAUAAUCCUCAUAUUUAAUCUCUAGGUUCACGACAAAUUUUAUUCCUCUAAAAUAACAAGCUUUUAAAUUAAGCAGAUACUUUUAAGGUAGCAUUGUAUCAUUAAGGCUCUGUUUGAAAGUCCGCAUAUAUUAUUUUUGCAUAAUUUAUGCAAGUAUAAGAGUUUUUUUACUGUGAUUGUGAAAAAAAGUUUGAUUUUGACUUCCUCAAAAAUCUGAAUAUUUAUAAUUUGGUAGUAUAACAUAUAUCACUUAAAGAUGAUUUAUCUAUCUUAUCUGGAAAAAUAAUUUGAAAGCUUAAUAUAGUAUCCAAUUCUAGAUUUUGAUCUCACUCCUCUCCUACCAAACAUAUAUAAGUUUCUUAAGUAAAUUAUGGAAACAGUCCAAAAAAUAUAUUUAUGCAUCCAAAUUGUGCGUUAAUAUCUUUUGAAUAUGAUUCUUUCCAUAGAGACAAAGAACCUCUUCUUGUGCACUUACCAGAGCACAAAUCUCAUUAUGAAAGAAGGGUGACACCUUCCUACAAUAUACAGUGAUUUACAUACUUUGUUGCCAUAAACAAGUUGUCGAAGAUACCUCUUUAUUUCUCGCUGCACUGGAUUAGCUACAGAAGCACGUUUUGGGCGAUUCCUUUUCCAUUCCUUUCCCAUCAGUCUGAACCGAUCUCAACUACCGACCGGUAUUUUCCUGCGCCUCCCUGUCCAUUUUCAAGAAAUAAACAUAGAUCAUUAUCUUCACAUAGUCCUACUCAAUUUACCCAAUCUCAAGUUUAGUUUAAGCUAUAAGCGCUUCAUAUAUAUACUAGGUCAUGUUUUCUGUGAAGACAAUUGAAUUAUCAAUACGAUAAUAUUUCAGUCCUUCGAAGUUUUAUUUUCUUUGAAGAAAAACUGCGGAUGAACCACCAACAAAUAACCAAUGCCAAACUUUUAAGGAAAUAUCUGCUUAGAGGAGAGGAAAAGUUUAUAAAUGUUCUACAGCUUUUGAAAUUCAGAAACUUCAGACCUAGUGCUACUCUGUAAAAUGACCCAAGUUUUUGAAGUCCACCAAAUUACUACUUGAUCAUCCUGUAAAAUUCCCAAAUAUCGAACUUUUAAAUCUCCCUACCCUAAGUGAAGUAUUAUAUUAACAAAUACUCAUAAGGAGAUACGCAAAGCUUACCAUUAUAGCCUUUACUCCAGAGGACCUGGGAAUCAAUUGUAGAAAGAUACUCAUCAUCGAGGCGCUUCCAUGUCUUGAUUGACUUCACCCCAUCCCACUGGCCUUCUUCCGUCUUUUCUAAAUAUGCAGAAACCACCCUCGCCCUCCUUGACCACCCAGCCUUCCCAUAGGCGUGGUAGCCGAACCCACCAGCGUAGCAGAGGUAUAUACCAGUUAACUUACCGCAAAAGUCGUUCAGAUGGUCAUGCCCUGUGAAAACGGCCUUCACAUCUCCGGCCUCUACCAUGGUGGAAAAGAAACCUGAGUUGAUUGAGGCUGAGCUGAUGCCCUCCUGCUUCACUCCUGUAAAGUUAGAAGCAUCAAAGCUGCUGUAUUCGGGCAACGGGAUAUGGAAGUACACAAGACCAGGCGCCGGCUCCUUUUGUGCAUGUGGUUCGCUCAUGUACUUUCUCUGUAGUUAUUUUCAUGAAACUCAAAUUAAUCCAAACGUUUUCAAUGCCUUGAAAAGAUUCAGAAUAAGUGCAGAAUUAUAUUCGCAAAAAAAAUAUUCCAUAUUAAAAAAAGAAGCACCUGAUAAUUUAAAUCGAAAGAAAUGCUCUUAAUUUUUCAUUACAUUGUCCAACAUGCCAAGGCCGUCAUGCCACUUUACUAGGACUUCCUAUAAGACUAUCUUAUUUCUAAUCUCUUUUAAUGGUUAGUCCAACCCAACAUGUUAAAUCAUGAUUCGAAGUUGAAACAUCGAUAUUGAAACUGUUACUUUUCAGUUUCAGUCAGCAUUAAUCCAGGCUAGUCCCAAUACUAAUCUGAAACAAAACUUUUUUGUGUUGGAACGAUAGGUCAGAAAAGUAUCACUUAUAUUGGAAAAUAUUGUAAAACCAAGUCUAGAUAGGAUCAUUAUAAUGAUUCAUGUUUGUACUGAUAUUAUUGAAAAUUUGAGGGAAAAUGUAUAUUGCCAAAACUGAAACUCUAGGCCAUUCACUAUGGCAAGUUUGGUGUGCUCAACAACACCAUAAAAGUUGCAAUCAACAGUUUAAAAAGUGUCAGAACAAGAGAACAUCUUUAAUACCAGUCUAUCAUGAGGAUUAUAUACUGAAAAUUAUAGUUUCAAAAUAAAAUACCUGGUUUUCUAAGGAGGUCCUCUGGAACCAGAGCUGCUGGGAUGGCUUGAUCCAGCCGUAGCCAGGUAUGGAGGGCACAGUGGAGUAAUCACCGCUAUCAACAAAGUAGAGAUUGAGCACCGACUUGUUGGCAAGCACCGAGCCCUCAGGCCCGUGGACCUCCAAAUUGUAGUUGCCGAAGCCGUCUAUCUCCAUGCCGCCUGGGUUGAGGCGUGAUAGGGUGUAUGGCAUGCCUACGAUGUGGCGCAUCACACCCUCGCGGGACAAUGUAGACUCCUGGUCAUGGUUGCCAAGCACAGCUGCCCAGGGAAGCUUGAGAGCCACAGCCGGUGCGAAUGAUGCAUUCAACGACUUAGCCGCAUCAGUGGCAUCAAAACCGAAGAUGUUGUCGCCUGGUCCGAAGCACUUCAAAAGUGUUAUAACUUGAUAUGAAAAAUAUGACAAAACAUUCACAUUCAGGACACUACAACAGAAGAAAAGGAACAUUCUUCAAGAAGCACGAGGAAAAAAUUUUGAAAGCGAAUAUUAAGCAAUCCAAUCAAAGAAAGAAAAGUCAAACACUAUGCAGAUUGAGCACUCUAUCUUUAUACUCAAUCGUGGAUAUAAAUAAUGAACCAGAAUGCUGUCUUUUGGGAUUUAUAGCGGUGGCCCCUAAUGACUCAACACUUACAGCUUUUAAGCAAUUUCAUAAAUAGGGUCAGAGCGUCCAUCUUUUGAAAGCAAGUAUAUAGACAUCUAACUUACUAAUCAGAUGAAAACAUCUGUCUUUCUAAUUAAAUAAAAAACAAAGAUGCAUAACUAUAACAUAUAGGAAUUAGGAAACAUACUUAUAACAUCUCAUUUGCUUAAAUUAUUUUCUAUAUAUAUAUAUUUUAAGAGAUGCCAACUUAUAAGAAACACUAUAUUGCAGAAUAUUAUCUGAAAUAUCCUGGGAACCAGUGAAAGUUUUACCCAUGCUCUCUAAAUUGUUGAAACUUACUACAUUCAUCAUUUUAUUUUCUUGUUGUUGGUAGCCGAAUUUCCCGACCCUUGACCCGGUCAAAGAUCCUCCUCGGGGAGCACGUCGGGGUGAGGAACGGCUGCGGAUAGUGACCCUCGAAGUUUGCGCCCUUCGACAGAUCAAGCGAUUCGGCUGACGAGGGAUCGAGCCAGCCGGGUUCGAAAACCUUUACUAUAAAAUCGGUUCGGCUGGUAUGAGCCGAAUGUAUGAACUGUGCAGGGAUCAAUGUCGACAGAAGAGCCGAAUGGAAGAAGUACACAGUAAUUGGUCGGCUGAAAGAGCCGAAUAAAUGAAAUACACAAUGACUGGUCGGCUGAAAGAGCCGAAUGCCUAUAUAUAUAUAUUAAUAAAACAAAGUGUGCCCGAAAGGCUUACAGACUCUACGAAUAUGUAGUUUACAACAGAGCGAUGCCCGUGGGGCAGACAGACUCCAGGGUUCUACUUAAAAGCUACUCCUAGGAAAGCAGUAAAUGCGAAAAAAGAAAGAUUACAUUUAGACUACUCCUAGAAAGCAAUAAAUGCAGGAAAGGAAAGAUAUGAAAAUGCAGUGGUAUUCUUGUUCAGGGAAGAGAAAGACCCUUAUUGCAGGCUUCGAAAUUACUAUUUAUAGUAAUAUCAACCCGCAUUAUUGGUUGGUUGAAAGUAGUGGGGAGAGUGGUUGUAACCAUGAUCGUGGAAGUUACGCCCACUUCUCAUAGAAGUUACGCCACACUUCUCAACCGUUCCCGUCUAAACGCUCUCAACCUUCAGGCGUCUUAUUGCCGACUCCUGGUGUACCACGUGUCCUUAUUUUUUUGCCUCAUACGCGGGUUAGGUCGGCAUAUUAAUUUUUUGGUAUCAACAAUGACCCCCUAAUAGUCUUUCAAAUGAACAUUCAAAUGACUAUUGGUGCCAAAUCGACUGCUCAAUGACACAGCCGAGACCCAAGCUUUAAUUUCGCUAGUUUUGGUCGGCUUAAAGAAAACGGCUCUUUAUCAUCCCACCCGCAUAUACCUCGGCCUUAUCAGCCGAUUCUUUACUUUUACUCGAUUGGUUCGGUUCUUCUUGAACCGACUGUUCUUCUAUCAAGGAUUUUUCUUUGCCUUUGCUUUGAUUUUUAUAUCGGCUCCAUUGCAGCCGAUCGUCCUCACUUUCUUUCCGGAAUUGCUCAUAUUGGGCAACUCUAACACCUAGAUCAAAUAUGUUAGAAAAAUGCUUAUCUUCAAAAUGGUCUUUUAUCUUAAAAUGCAGACCAUUUAACGCCAUUUUGGCGAACUCUGAUUCCGGCAUUCUCAUAAAGCACCGGGUUUUGGCUAUUUUGAAACGGUUCAAAUACUCCGUUUCACCUGACUUUUGUCGGUUUAAAGCCAAGUCGGCAACCGAUAAUUGUGGCUCCGACCUAUAGAAUUGCUCAUGAAAUUUUCUUUCCAAUUCGUCCCAAUCUAGUACGGAAUUGCUUGAUAAACUUGUAUACCAAGUAAUCGCCGUUUUAGUUAACGACGUGUUAAAUAAUCGAAGUUUCAAAAAUGAGUCAGCGGCCGCUUCUCUACAUUGGGCCGUGAACCGGGCUAUAUGCUCGACUGUAUUCUCGGUCUCAUCGCUCGAGAACUUGUCGAACUUCGGCAUUUUCCAGUUUGCCGAAUACGGAUGCUCCACGUCGAUGUUCGUGGGAUAAGGAGAUCUAAACACAGGCCGCAUUGCCGGCCUUGUGCCUACUCCGAAAGUAUUUCGGAUGGCUUCUUCAAUUUGUGCAUAUACUUCAUUAUUGUUCCCCUGUAAGGGAACUUGUGCUUGUGCUGCAUUCGGUUCUUGUGGAGGUCCGAAGUUUUGUGCUACAUGAUUUGCUCCUUGAAUAUUUGGAGCCUGCCCCCCAGCUUUAAUCCCCGCAUUUUGGGGUUGAUAAGCUGGUAAAUGAGGUAAACUCGAUGCAAUCUCCGACCGCGGGCCGGCGUUUAUAUUCGUCGGCCUAUAAGCAACUUGGAAAGGUGCCAUUUGCGAUUGCGUCUGUGAGACCACCGGCAUGACGGGAUUUUGUUGCAUCGGCGCAUUUAGGGGCCCCUGUUGCCCCCCGUAAGUUUACUCGUUUCGGAUAAAUAACUUUCUUAUUCGAACAAUAUUUUCAUUGUAGGCCGUGAUGGCGGCCAGCACCGCGUCUAGUCUAGCGGUACUUUGAUGGAUAUUUUGAUCUAAAGUUUGCAGGACUCGGGCUAUCUGGCCGAGUGCCUAAGUUAGAUUCGGCUCUUGAUGAGCCGACUGUCCACUAGUCUCGCCUCCAACAGGUAGUACCGCCUGAUUCUCAUUCGCAUUUUCGGCGCUAUUAGCUUGGUCAUUCCUUGAAGGCCUGGGAAUGGCUCUAUUUCGGAGGUUCAUAGCGUUAUCGUCAACCAUAGAACAAAGACUAGAUUGGAAAAACCUGGAUGGGCCCCACCGGGCGUGCCAAAAAUUGUUGGUAGCUGAAUUUCCCGACCCUUGACCCGGUCAAAGAUCCUCCUCAGGGAGCACGUCGGGGUGAGGAACGGCUGCGGAUAGUGACCCUCAAAGUUUGCGCCCUUUGACAGAUCAAGCGAUUCGACUGACGAGGGAUCGAGCCAGCCGGGUUCGAAAACCUUUACUGUAGAAUCGGUUCGGCUGGUAUGAGCUGAAUGUAUGAACUGUGCAGGGAUCAAUGUCGGCAGAAGAGCCGAAUGGAAGAAGUACACAGUAACUGGUCGGCUGAAAGAGCAGAAUAAAUGAAAUACACAAUGACUGGUCGGCUGAAAGAGCCGAAUGCCUAUAUAUAUAUAUUAAUAAAACAUAGUGUGCCCGAAGGACAUACAAACUCUACGAAUAUGUAGUUUACAACAGAGUGAUGCCGUGGGGCAGACAGACUCUAGGAUUCUACUUAAAAGCUACUCCUAGGAAAGCAAUAAAUGUGAAAAAGAAAAGAUCACAUUUAGACUACUCCUAGAAAGCAAUAAAUGCAGGAAAGGAAAGAUAUGAAAAUGCGGUGGUAUUCUCGUUCAGGGGAGAGAAAGACCUUUAUUGCAUGCUUCGAAAUUACUAUUUAUAGUAAUAUCAAUCCGCAUUAUUGGUUGGUUGAAAGUAGUGGGAAGAGUGGUUGUAACCAUGAUCGUGGAAGUUACGCCCACUUCUCAUGGAAGUUACGCCCCACUUCUCAACCGUUCCCGCCUAAACGCUCUCAACCUUCAGGCGCCUUAUUGCCGACUUCUGGUGUACCACGUGUCCUUAUUUUUUUGGCUCAUACGUGGGUUAGGUCCGCAUAUUAAUUUUUUGGCAUCAACACUUGUGUAACGUUUCUUUUGGUCAAACUUCGAGACACACAAGUAUGUCGAAAGGAAUACUUUAGUAUCGAAUGAAAAUGAAGCCCAAAGAGAUAUAUAUCAAAAUUGAAAAAGGGAAAAACUAAUUAGCUAUUCUGUGAAGUGCAAAAUGAUAAUAAGAUAAAUUUAAGGUUAUUCACAAAGGAUUAAUACAAAAAGGUAGGAGUGAAUUUAAAGACCAAUUGUGACAAGCGACGCAUAAACAAAAGGAAACGAUUUAAGGAGGGUCAAAUGAAGGCAUCUUAGAUACAUUACUGACAAAGAUGUUUACGCAUCAUUUCGGUGUAACAGUAAAUAAAUAUGAGAAGAUGGUUACACGCCAUCUCUAGUAGCAUACUCAUUUUUAAUGUGCAGUUGUAAUCCUAAUUUUCAACUCAAUAAUAAGUGUGGUUAAAAUUAAUUUCCAAGGGUACAUAAUACCCUUAGCAGGACUCUGUCAAGCCAUGUUAGUACCCUACUUUUAUGAGGUAUUCUAUUCCUUUACUUGCUAUGGAUAUUUUUGGAAUUUGAUUCCUUCAAAGCAUGUUCAGUUUGGCAGCACCCUAUACAGGCUAAUUAUCUCGUUCUCCUAGGAUAACAAAGAACAUAAUCUAUUAUUCAUGAGUAAUUGCAAUUAUUAUAUAGAUCAGAGCAAUGACCGCCAAAAUAACUGGGAGUAAAGGAUAGGGCGGUUUGAUAAGACAACUUGGAUUGGCCAAACUAAAUUGACGAUCCUUAAGCUUCUUAUUCUGAGUUUAGCAGAAUGAGAGGAUCUUUGAGUUUUCCCUCAACCAAUCCUUUCAUAAAUUUAAUAAGAUUCACUUCCGAAAACAAACAUACAUUCCAGCUGCUGCCUUUAAAGUGGUUUCUUGAUACAAAUACAGUCAGUAUUUUAGAAUAAAUAUGGGCCCUCCAAUGUUCGAACUUAAGUCCAUCCCAUUGCAAACCCAUUAUCACUCUGUGUCACUGUGAAGUGUGAACAUGAUAAUUUAUCCUGAUACUCAUUAAUACUCAUUAUUACGAAGGAAAUUAAAAAACACUGGUAUAUGCUGCAUGAUUAGAGAAUAUCCCAUUUUAGUUUCUUUGUCACAGAUACAUGUCAAACAUCAUAUGAAAAUGAACACUCCCGAAAUAUCUAUAGCAUGCCAAACCUUUCUUGGCCCGGUAAAGCCCACAUUUUGGUACGGCUACAUAGAGACAAAUCCUAUCAAUAUUAAAGUCCAUGUGGUCCAAGCCUCAAUUUUAUCAAAAACAAACACGUCCACUGAACUGAAAACAAAAGAAGAUGAAAUUUAACUAUUGAACAAUGCUAUGCAGCUCACACCGAAAGAAAGGACAUCAAUUACACUAUACAACAUUGAGCUUAUCGCAGCAAUUCUACAUUCCAUUAAAAAUGAUAAAAUCUUAAACAAAACCCAAUAUUUUGAUAUGUAUGGCGCUUCUGAUACGCUGUAAACUUUCAAAAACCUAGUUUUGAUAGGUAACUUGUCCUAAGAUGCUUUUUAUCUAGUAGAAAACAAUGAGAGUAGUUUAAAAUUCAUGCAUUUCACCAUAAAUACGAUCUCUUCUGAAAUUUACCACCGAAAUUGAACCUAAAAGUUCGAAAUCUAAAAGUUUCGUCACCAAAUUUAGGUUUUUCUAUGCUUCUCAACUGAGUGGCGACUAAGAAUUUGGUUGUCGAAGAAAGUAAUUAGCAAAUCAAGUAAACAAACGCUCAAAACACUGUUAACCACACCCAACCUGAGCUACAAUUUGUGACCUGAAAAAUUCUAGCAUAGAAAUUGAAAGCACAGGUAAAUUAAGCGUAACUACUACUACGUUUCACACAGUAAAAGAUCCAAUUGCUAACAUUAGCACUUUAAACAAAUCAAACAAAAAGAUCCGAACAAAACUACGAAUAUCCCUAGGGCAAAAAAGAGAAAAAGAAAAAAGAAAAGAAAAAGAAAGGGGCAAGAGAUCGGAACCGGUGAAGACGACGAGAUCGGGGUUCUCGGCGCGGAUGACGCGGAAGAGGAACGCAGUGGUGUUGAGGUCGGAGCACGUCGCCAUCUGGGAGGCGAACACGUCGAGGCACUCCGUCGUCCUCCCAUUGGCGUAGUGCAUGUCCGCGACCUGUAGCACCUUGAACUCCCCGCUCCUCCCCCGGAACCGGAGCCUCUCCGCCGCCGCUGCCGCCGCCGCCGCCGCCGCCGGAGAUCUACCUCCGCCGCCUCCUCCGCGGCGCGGUCCCCGAGAUUCCACGGCGAUCGCCAUGGAAGAGAUGAGGAGUAGGAAGAGGAGGAGGCGGAGGAGGAGGAGGAGGAAGGGGAGGGGCGAGUGUUUGACCUCCAUUAAUGGAGUUCGAGGGGUUACUUGUGGGAGGGAGAGAGGGAGAGAGAUGGGGUAUUUUUUAUAGUACGAGAAUUGGACGGCUGUGAUUUUUCGGGUAAUGUCGUGCGGGGUUUGAUGUGCGUGUGAGAAUGAACGAGAAUGAGCUAAUACGGUUAAAUAGUAGACCCGGAGCCGGAGCGGAAUGGGGACGACGCGAGCCGGGCUGAAAUAAUUGCCUGCACCGAGUGUACAAGAAGAAGUACACCUCAUACACCGCACCUAGGAAACCCCACUACACAGAUAUCAAAAUCAAAUGUAGUGUCAAAAAUUAUAAAUUUUGUAGAUUUUUUUCUUUUUAACAAGUCAAAUAAUAUUUUGUAAUUUUAUUAUUGAUUGUCAAAAAUACUCACGCUGUAUUCGGAUGUAUUAGUACAUUACUCAAAAAACAUACAGUAUUUAAUAGAUAAAGUGUGUGAUCAAAUAUACAAAAUAAAUGUUAUAUUUGUAUAAAAAAAAUUUUAUUCGGAUUAAGAUGAAUUACCUCGUAAAAUUAUUAACUUUUUAUGGAGUAAAAAUUAAACUCCUAACUCCCAGUCAUACAAAAAAAAAAUUAUACUUAAUAAAUCAUUAUUAAAUAUUUAUUUUAGAAUCCGAAUUUUUUCAAAUAUACUCUCCCUCUCUCUAAAAUUCACUUAUGAAAUUCACUGAUAGAGGGGUAGAUUCGAUACUGAGAGAUAAAAUCUUAAAAACUUUAAUAAAUAGUGUAAUAAGGCUAUAAGAAUAGAAAAAACUUUAAUAAAUAGUGUAAUAAGGGCAGAAAAAACUUUAAUAAAUAGUGUAAUAAUUAAAGGGUAGAAAAGCAAAAGCCCCCAAAAAUUGCAUGUUGCUUGAUAUUUGCAGAUACACUGGGUGCAGGCAACAAUUUCUACGCAGGGCGGCUGAAGGGCAAGUGGGUAGACUUGGCAGGUCCGCUCCUGCCAAAUUUUGUCGCCAUCAUCUGACCACAACAACUAAAAAUUAGCUGUUUAUGAGUUAGCUUGUAUUUGGCCCGAAAUGGUACAAAUUUGAAUUGCGCGUUUAAUAAAUAAAUACUAUCGAAAAUAAACGAGUUAUGUUAUUAUCUAUUUAUUUUCGAUGAUAGAGAAUCGACGAUCGAUAUCGUUGAAUAUAAUCUAUACUACUUAAAGCGUGUGAAAAUUAAAUUUCAAAUUUUUUCGAUAUUAUUGACCUAAUGAUCAAAGGGUUUCAAAAUUUAUAAUUUUGGUGGUCGAUAUAAGAUAUUUUCUUAUUUAACGGCGUAAAGAUAUCCAAAUCAAUUGAAUUUUGAUUAGAAAAUUCUCUAAACUAUUUAGGAGAAGAUCUAUACUCUUGAUUUAGAUUAUAAGACUUUUAUCAUCAUUUUUUAAGAAUAUUUAUUUUCAGCCGUUCAUUUUUGUGCCUACUUGAUGGAUAGGAGAACAAUAUUGAAAAGAUAUAAAAUUUGAUUUUUAGAUGUUUCAAGUAGUAUAGAUAUUUCAUUUUCAAUUGUACCGAUCGUCGAUUUGGAAGCUCCAUUAUCAAAAAAUAAAUAGGUGACAACGGAAUCCGUUUGCUACCGAUAGUAUUCUAGCUAAAUUCUAUAUAUUAAACAAAUUUUUUUUAUAUAUAUAGCAAAUUUAAAUAUUAUUUUGUAGAUUUUACUUUUUCUUUGUUAGCAUAACUUUUAAAAUUUAAUACUAAUUAGUGUGUACCGACCAUUUUUAAACCAAGUGGCAAAGGGUUUGAUAGUUGAUAUCCAAGGUCCUAAGUUUGAAUCCUAGUUUGAUUCACAUUUUUAGCUAAGUUUAUUUUUAAAUGAAAUAAACAAAGUGGGUCCAAAAAAAAAAAAAACUAAUUAGUUUGUGUGUAUCAAUAAUAAUAAACUAUUAAUAAUACUAAUAAUAGUUAGUAUUAAUAUUUUAUUUAAGUUUAAUUCAAUCUGGCUUGAGAGCCAGCUCGAAUUAGUUUGAGACGAAAUAGUAAUUGUGAGAGUCGAGACCAACAUUAGACUACUUGAAUUGCAUGUAAACCUUAAAUUAUCUAAUAGUUUUUUUUUUUUUUUUUUUUUUUUUUUUUUUUUUGAGAGGAAGGUACGUAGCACGUUACCUGUUUCAUUCAUUUAGCAAAUAUAAAUAUAUAAGUUUUAAAAAUAUAACAAAAUUUAUUAUUUAAAAUAUCAUAACAUACAAUAAAAAUAUUUAGUCUUAAAGUAAAAAAUUUCGUAAUAUAAAAGACGCGAUAAGAAAUUAGGACUAAAAUUUUUAGAAUGGAUAAAUAAAAAUAUAUGUACUUUAAUUAAAAAAUAUAUUUUUUUAAUUAAAAAAUAUAUGUGGGGGACCCGUGGGUGCCCGCGGGUUACCCAAAAUACCCACAGCUUAAUGGGUACCCAUCUGUUUUUCUCGUAAUUUUUUGGAUUUGAAAAGUUGGUAUCCAUACCCGUAAAUUUGCUGGUAACCAGCGGGCACCCGUGGAUAUGGGUUGAGAUUGCCAGGUCUACCUCUACCGAUCUUUAUAGGCAGCGCGAGGUGGGGGUGGCGACUGCAGAACAUACGGUGGAAGAUGUAGAGGAUGAGGGAGAGGACACUGUAGUGAGAAAGAAAAAGAAGAAAGAGUGAAGAGAAAAAAAAAGAAUAUACAUAUAGAGAGAGAGAGAGGGAGCGAGGCUGGUGUGCUUCUAAAAGUACGGAGCUCUUCGUGCUUCCAAGUCAUUUCAAUGUUGGGACUUUCGAAUCGAGGAUCGGCUCCAUUAGAUUUGAUCUAGAAUGUGAUUUUUUUAUAUUAUUUGUCUAGUGAUCGAAGAAGCUCAAAAUCAAUGGCUGAAAAUUAAAAUCUUACAAAAUAUGAUGAUAUGACAUUAAAAUUUUAGAUCAAAGAUAUUGAUCUUAUUUUAUAUAGUAUAAAGAAAUUUCUAGUAAAAUUUUAUAUGGUUUGGAUAUUUCUACACCGUUAAACUUACAAAUGAUUCACCGAGGCUAUUAAAAUUAUUGAUUUUGAGCCCUUUCGAUCAUUCGACAAAUAAUAUUAAAAAAACACAAAAUUUAUUUUCUAUAUGCUUCAAAUACUUUAAAUUAAAUCUAAUGCAGCCGAUCAUUAAUUCGAAAGUCCCAACAUCGAAAACAACUUGGAAGCAUGAAGGGCUCCUCGCUCUCUCUCUCUCUCUCUCUCUCUCUCUCUCUCUCUCUCUCUAUAUAUAUAUAUAUGGAGCAGGACUACUGUGCUCUCAGGAGCACGGAGGCCUUCGUGCUCCUGAGCCGUUUUCGAUGAUGGAAUUUUCGAAUCAACAAUCGGCUCCGUUAAACUUGAUCUAGCGUAUUUGAAGUUUGUAGAAAAUAAUUUUUGUGAUUUUUCGAUAUCAUUUACCUAGCAAUCGAAAGGAUUCAAAAUCAAUAAUUUUUAACGGCUGAAAAUAAAAAUCCUAUAAAAAGUGGUGAUAUAGUACUAAAAUUUUCGAUCAGAAAUAUUGAUCUUGUUGUAGAUAGUAUAAAGAAUUUUAUAUCAAAAUUUCAUCUGAUUUGACUACUUCUACACCAUUAAACUUGAAAACGGCAGAUAUCAACCAUUAAAAAUUAUGAAUUUUGAAUCCUUUCGAUCACUAGGUAAAUGAUAUCAAAAAAUUGCAAAAAUUAUUUUCUAAAAACUUCAAAUGCGCUAGAUUAAGUCUAACGGAGCCGAUCGUCAAUUCGAAAAUUCCAUCAUCGAAAACGGCUUAGGAGCACGAAGGCCUCCGUGCUCCUGAGAGCACAGCAGCCCUGCUCUAUAUAUACGUAUAGAGUGGAGCUAGAAUACUUUUAGAAGUACUAAGUGGGUGGUACUUUAGAAUUUUUAGCCCUUGGAUGGUGAGAUGUGAGGUUGAGAUGAUGGUGAUAGAUGCUGGUAGGUGGAAUAAUGUUUGAUCCAAGGGAUAUUAGUAAUUAUGGAGUGGAUCCAAAGAUUAGAAAUUUAGAAGCACCAAGUGAAUGGUGCUUCUAAAAGUAUCUUAGCUCAACUCUAUAUGUAUAUAUAUAUUUCUUCUCAUGAGAAAAAUUAAGAAGUAGGUAAGAAAGAAAAAAAAAAAAAACACCAUUUGAGAUCAAGUUAUACUAUUAAAACUAAGUUGCACUAUUUGGUACUUAAGUUAUAAAUAUUUUUAUUGUGUAAAUAUCAAAUAGUUUCAAAUAGUAUAAUUUAUCCUUAAAAUAAUGCAAGUUAGUUUCAAAUAGUACAACUUAGUUGUCAUCAUCAUCUAACAGGUUUCUUCUUCACAACCAUAGUUGAGGUCAAGGCCGGCGAAUAGGUCACAUACCUCCUUUUUCCCACGGCGGAGGAGAAGAUACUAUUGAAUGUGGGUCAUGUGAUUUAUUCAAGGCAAUGUAUAAAGAUACAAUCGGUUUAUUCAAAUCAAUUUAUAAAAAUACGGUAGAUCUAACGGUUAUAAUGUAUAUGGACAAGCCCUUAACAGACAGACGUGAUUUAACAUCCUUACAUCAAGUUAUAUAUAAAUAUGUAACAUAUCGGAGUCCCGGUCUAAUCCUAAUCUUAAUUUUCUGUGACAGUCCGAUCUCCGGGGGUAAGAAAAUUAGAAUCGAAACGUCCCGCUCUUUUGCAUAUCGUGAAAGAGGACAAAUUACAAGCUAGAAUCACCGUCUACAAUUCGGAUAUAUAUAAAAAACAAAAUUAUGGCAGAAAAUACGAUUUUAAUUUCUUAUAAAGUUUUAAUAGAUGCAACCUUUAGGGGGCGUCACGCAAGCCGGAGUCGAGAAAGAGGAAUGUCGACGUUGCGCUUCCAGAGGCAGUGGGUGUCGAAGGAAAUGACAUGGAGAAGACAGGAGGAGGGUGCAUCACAUUGUCGUUGUUCCAAAACUACAUCGCCAUCGGAGAAGGAGGAAGAAAAAUCGGAAAGAUAAAGAAAGGAAGAAGCCCCGACGGGACGGACGGAGACGAACGCGAGAGAAAGAGAAAUAAGAACAAUUUUAUUAUUUUAUUAAAAAUUCAGAAUGAAUCUAUAAAAACCCAAAAAAAUACCCUAUUUUUGGCAAAAAAAUGCAAACUUAAUAAAUUUUUUUAUCUAAAUUUAAAAAAAUUAAUAAAAAGAAAAAAUAAAAUUUCCAUAUAGAAAAAAAAUUAUUAUCUAAAAUGCAUAGUUUCUAAUAUUUAUAUAUAUAUAUAUAUAUAGAAAUUAUAAAAUUAUAUGUAAUGAGUUUGAUUUUGAAUUUCAAACCACUAUGAGUUCUCGGGGUGGCUUGAUAUCCACCAGCGACCAUCCGGGUUUAUUUCCGGGUGUUUUUGGAAUAGUGCAAUUUCACACGCCAACCGUCCCAACGGUCACUUUGGUUAAUUUAAAGCCUUCUCCUCGUCACCCUCCUUCUAGAAAAAGCAGAGGCGAUCGAAAAAAACCCCCAAAUUGCCCCCUCUCCAUCAUCUACUCCCUCCGAUCCAAACCUUAAUCUCCACCCCGUCUAAUCCGAUCGAAUCCAGGCCCUAAUUCUCAGAUCCCAUCCAUGGCGUCCCUCUCCUCCCCUCCGCCGCUCCCCCCCGCGGCGGCGGCGCUCCGCCGCUCUCGCCGCCCCGCGCCGAUCGCCGCGGCGGCGAAUCCGGCGCCGGCGCCGUUGCCGUCGCCGGAGCCGACGAGGCGAUCUCCGUGGUGGGCGCCGCUGUUUCGCCCGAUCCUCGGCGACGUGGCCGGAGGGGGCGGCGGAGCGGCGGCGGCGGCGGAGAGGGAGAGGGGGAGGUUGACGGCGGAGAAGGCGAGGGUCCUGAGGAGGGAGACGAGGGCGACGGAGGGGUGGCACGACGCCAUGUAUCACUCUGCCAUCGCCUCGCGCCUCGCCUCACCCGACGAUCUCGAGGUUUGAAACGGCGAUCCUGAAUAUAAUGGGUAUGCGCUAAGUAACCCACCGCCCUUGUUUUCAUGUUUCUAAUGUAGAAGAAACCCGUGUAUGAUAUAUAUAUAUAUAUAUACUGGUCAAGUUUGUUAGAUGGACGUUGGGUUUUAUAUGUCUAUGCCCUUUUUGAUGUCCUGUAAGAAAAAAAGAAAAAAAAAAAAGUUAAAGGUAAGUUUUGUUUUGUUUGUAUUUUAUUUUUUAACUUUUUUUUUUUGUGUGUGUGUGUGAGGAUUUACUAUUGAUAAAAAUAUAAAAAACUUAACGUAAGAGGAUGGAGAUCUCACUCCUUAAUAAGUUAUUUUUUAUGAUGGACAUCUAAUUCGACUAUCAACUUUAUUAGUCAUGAUCUACACUACUAAAAUUAUUUAAAAAUUAAAUUUUAUAAUUUUUUGAUAUUAUUUAUCAAAUGAUCAAAAAAAGUCUUAAAAAUAAGUAUUUUAAUAGUCAUUGUGGCAUAUUUAUGAAUUCAACCAUUUAAAACAAUCCAAAUUAGGUAAGAUUUUAAUAAAAAUUUUUACUUAUUAUUAUAAGAGCAAUAUCAAUACUUAUAAUUUAAAAUUUAUCUUUUAUUAUUAUUGUUUAUAAAAUUUUUAUUUUCAGCCAUUUAUUUUGAAGCAACAAAUUCACUAGGAAAAUGAAGUAAAAAAGUUAUAAAAUUUAGUUUCUAAUUAGUUUAAUAUAGUAAAUCAUGUUUAACGAAAUUAAUCGCCGAAUCGAAUGUCCCAUCACCAAAAAUAACUUACAAGUACGAAGAUCUCUGUAUUUUCGAAAACAUAAUAUCCUUUCUCUCUCUCCACAAAUAUAUAGUUAUAAUAAAGCCAGAAUAUUAUUAAUAGUAUGAAAAUAAUAUUUGCUGUCAACUUUUUGAUCAUUAGAUGUUUAAUAACACUCUGUUUGGAUUAGGUACAAGAGGGGGGAUAAGGGGGUUAUCCCCCCUCCCGUACCCAAACACAAAAAUGGAGGGGUGGGAACACUUGUUCCACCCCUGGAAUGGAACAACUUGUUCCACCCCUCCCGGGUAGAGAGAGAGAGAGAGAGAGAGAUUUUGAGAGAGAUUUUUAAAUUAAAUUUAAAUUUUUAAAAUAUAUAAUUUAGUUAUUUAAAAUUUAAAUUUAUAAUUUUAAAUUAUAAAUUUUAAUGUUUAAAUUAUAAAUUUGAUUAUUAUUAAAUUUAAAUUUUUAUUAAUUUUUUAGAUUUUAAAUUAAAAUUUAAUAUUUAUAUCUUCAAAUUUAAUUUAUCUUAAAUUUAAAAUUGAUAAUUUAAAUUUAAAUUUUGAAAAUUAAAAGUUUAAUUUUAAUUUAAAUUUUAAAAUUUAAAAGUUAAAAUUUUUAAUUAAAAUUAUAACUUAAAAUUUUAAAUUCAACUAUAGAGUUAAAAUUAUUAUUUUCUAUCUACAACUACCAACUAUUCCAUCUUAUACUCACAUUUUCAUCCAACCACAAUUUUUUAGUUCCAGCUUAUACCCACAUUUUCAUCUAAUAAAAGAUACUCUUGUUCCUACGAAAAUCCCAUACUUGUACCUAUCCCCGUAUAUACUAGUUCUUGCUUAUACCCAAACCAAACGAAGCCUAGGAUUUAGUAAGGAUUGAUGGAAUAGUAAUAUCGAACGAUAAAAAAGUUGAUAGUAAAUACAUUUAUAUAUUAUUAUAGGAGUGAGGCUACUAUGCUAUCGCAAGCACGAAGCCUUUCGUGCUUCCAGUUCGUUUUCGAUGUGUCGACUUUCGAAUCGUCGAUCGCUUCGUUAAACUUGAUCUAAGUAUUUGGAGUAUCUAGAAAAUAAAUUUAUUAUUUUCGAUAUUAUUUGCCUAAUGAACGAAGGGCUCAAAAUCAACGGCUGAAAUAAAAAAUCUUACAAAAUGUAAUAAUAUGAUAUUGAAAUUUUAAAUCAAAAUAUUGAUCUUGUUUUAUAUAGUAUAAAAAUUUUCUAUCAGAAUUUUAGUGUGAUUUGGAUAUUUUCACCGUUAAACUUGCAAACGCUCUACUACGACCAUUGAAAUUUGUUGAUUUUGAGCCUAUUCGAUCACUAGGCAAUGAUAUUCGAAAAAUAAUAAAAUUUAUUUUCUAGGUACUCCAAUACUCUAGAUCAGUUUAACGAAGCUGAUCGACAACUUGAAAGUCGCAACAUCGAAAAUGAGCUGGAAGCACGGAAGGCUCCGUGCUUUCGAUAGCAUAGUAGCCUCACUCUUAUUAAUAGUAUAUUAUUUCACUAUAUAUUAUACUAUUUGACAUAUUACACUAUUCAAUAAUUUAUGCACUUAUUAAAUACCAUAAUAUAUAAUUAAAUAUUGUAAUAUUUUUAUCAGCUUUAAAAAAAAACAUUAAUAAAAAAAAAAGAAGGAAAAUAAGGAGGAGAUAUCGGCGUCCCCUUUCCAUCCCUUCUUCUUUUCCACCGCCCUUCUCCUUCUCCACCGUCCGUGUAUUGUCAUCGUUGUUGUCGUAAUCUCGGCCUCCUCAACCUCCACCUCGCCAUCGUUAAGUGGAACCUCUCGAAGAUCAUUGUCAUCGUGCUUCCAUUCUGAAUUCGCAAUGACAACGAUGAAAAAGGAGGACGACGGAAGGGGCAGAAAAGAUGCAGAGGAGGAGCAGGGAGAGGAAGGGGGCGACGAUGAAAACAUUGACAUUAAAGGAGGCGAAAAGGAUGAGAGGAAGAAAGAAGAAAGAAAAAUGAUAAUAUUUUAGUCCGAUUUAUAAAAAUCUGAAUUAAUCACCAAAAUAAAAAAAAAACAGUUAAGUUAGGGAAAAAGUACAAAAUUAAUAAAUUGUUAUACAAAUUGACUUUUUAAAAAAUAUUUAUUUAUUUAUUUAUUUCGUCCAAACAAACAAGUAGAGCUCCAGGAUUCAAAAGUUCCGCUUCACCACUCCACAUUACCGGGAGGAGGAAAAAUAAAAUAAUAAAAUAAAAUAAAAUAAAAUAAAAUAAUAUAAUAUAAUGCCUCCGCCGCCGCCGCCACCACCGGCGCCACCGCGACGUGCUUCUCCGGCGAUGAUCUCCCCGGCACGGCUGCACAAGCUGAUCGUGUCCCAGCGCGACCCCCUCCUCGCCAUGGAGAUUCUCGACCNAAGUUCUAAUAUUUUUAAAUAUAUCUUUCUAGUUUAUUACCGUUAUAGAUUAUUUAUGUUUUAACAAUAAAUAAGGGAAAUGUUAAUUUUGUCUUCAUAAAUAUAUUUCUUUAAAAGUCAUAAAAGUAUAAUAUAAGAGGGGUAAAAAUAUAUGAAAGUUGAACUUUGUAGAGAUAUAUUUGCAAUUUACUAUAUUUGUAGAGACCUGCAUGCAAUUAAUCCUAAAAUAUAAUUACAUGAUAGAUAAAGAAAGGCCAAUUUGCAUAAAAAAUCUAGUAAUUUUGGACUUUUGCAAAAGUGGGCCAUAUUUUUCGUUUUUGCAGAUUCGGUCCGAUUUUUCAGCAAAUUGAUCAAAAUACCCUUUUACCUUUUUCUCUCUUCUCUUUCUCUCUCCUCUUCGUUUCUCUCGUUCUUUUUUUUUCUCGCGGAAAAAAAUAACGUCGCCGGCGCCGUCGCCCUCUUCAACCGCCUCCCCCGCCUCGGCCUCUCCCCCGACCCCUCGUCCUACCGCGCCCUCGCCCAGGCCUUCUGCCGCCGCGGCCAGGCCCGCUCCGCCGCCUCCCUGCUCGACGACAUGCUCCACCGCGGCCUCCCCGCCGACCCCCUCGCCUACGCCUCCGUCCUCAACGCCCUCCUCCGCAAGCGCCGCCUCCGCGAUGCCUACCGCCUCCUCUGCCGCAUGCGCGCGCGCGGCUGCACCCCCGACGUCGCCCACUACAACACCGUCAUCGUCGGCCUCUGCCGCGAGGGGCGCCCCACCGACGCCUGCAAGGUGCUUGACGAUAUGCCCGCGAACGGCUGCUCCCCCAAUCUGGUCUCGUACGCCGCCGUCGUCCAGGGCCUGUGCUCGAGGGGCGUCUUUGAUCGGGCGCGCAGGUAUUUGGACGAGAUGGUGGGUAAGGGGUUCGCGCCGCACUUCUCGCUGUUCCACCUGCUCGUCAAGGGUUUUUGCUGUGUUGGGAAGGCCGAGGAGGCAUGCGAGGCAAUGAACAUAAUGCUGAGGCUGGGAGUAAAACCUCAUGUGGAGAGUUGGGAUUUGGUUGUGAGGGUCGCGUGUGACUACGACGAGGAGAAUUUGGAAGGGAUGGUUAUGAAGGUUGUGAAUGACGAGGCCUGGCGGAGAGGAACGAGAACAGUGGCCGACCUGUCGUGGUUUGGAGGAGUAUCUAAUUGCGAGGCCGCACCCGAAAAAUGGGAGUGGGGUUCGCGGCUGAGUCGACAAUAACCGAUUUCUCUUCUAUUUCCGGACAAGGCUACAAAAUAGAGCAAAAUGGGUGUUUGCAAAAUGCAAAUUCUUGGGUUGACACAAUCAUGAUAGUAGUUUAGCUGAUUCGAGGGGAGAAUGUUGAUACUCACUGAGUAGAGUUCUUGGCUGUGACGAUGGGGGGGAGAAAAAUCAUGCUGUCCAGUUGGCUUGCAUGUUCGACAUUUUGUCGAACACAUCUGUUGCCAGAAAGAAAUGCGAGUAGUUUUCCUUCAGUUUCAGGAGAGAAAACUAUAGAACAUGGCAGAAUCAGUAUUUUCGAAGUGCAAUUUCUCGUCAGUUGACCAAACAAUGAAUAGACGAUUAAGGUUUCGCUGAAGUGAGGACAAAACAUUCUCGACUGGGAUGUUCACGAAUAUAAAUCGCAUUACUCAGCAAACAUUAGUGUUCAACAUUGUCUAGAAGACAUUUGGAGUGCUGACCGCAUCAAGGUAUGUUGAUUAUGUUCUGAUGAGUAUAACUUAUUACGUUUAUUCUGAAGCAUAUACCAAACAUAUGAAAGGGCUAAUGGAGAGAAGUUGCUGUGGCAAUAUAUUAAACUUUUAAUUCCAAAUUUAUUUUAAUUAAUCUACGAUGAAAGUGGUUGAAGCCUGAAGACCCAGGAUUCCUGAAAAUGCAUUGCAUAGAUUUGUAUGCUUUCUUGUUCUUCUUUUUUUUUUCUCGUCAUAGUGUUGUUUCCUUUGUAUUCGGCGUAGUAUUCAUGAUAUUACGUGGUAACGGGAGAAAAUAGCUGAAAUAUUUUACUAACUUUACAUUAUGGAGACACUUGAAUAUGUUGUCAAUGGCGUGCUACUGCCCUAACUAACAAAGGAUUAGAACUUUUUAGACAGAACUUGGAUCUUUUUAGUUUGGAUCGAUCCACAGAGCACAAGCGCUUUCCAAGACAUCUAUAGAACUAUUUAUCGUUCUCAGAUUCAACACAACUAGAUAUGUGUUUCUUGUCUAUUGUUUCGAGCUAAAUAUAUAGGUGAGUCUAAAAAUUUAGCUGAAUGUUUCUCAAACUGUCUUUAAGGAAACUUGAUAGUUUAAUGAUUUGUAAGUGCUAUGGUAGGGGAAACCAAUUGCUUAUUUGUCUAUUUUAAGAAUUAACUCUGUCAUUUAAUGUGCAAACAUGUGUUACAGUACCAUGCCAAUCUAAAUCAUCUCAUUAUUUUUUCCUUUUGAAGAUACUAAAUAACAAAUUGCAUAAUGGUAGAAACAUUUAGAUGCCAAACAUAUCAUUGGAAUGUAAAAUGCAUAAAUUAUUUCAACUUCGCUGUAUUUAGGAGGUAAGUUCUACAAAUACUCAUUUUCUACUGAAUCAUUCAUAUCUUUUAGUUUUACUAUAUAAAGUGCAUAUUAUUACAAUGUUCGAUCCACGGACACAAUCAAAUUUCCCCAUCUGAUGCCAUUUCAUUUUUCCUGGUCUCUCAUCAGACUGAAGGAAACAACUCGUAAGUGAUAUAAAUGAUCUCAGACCAAAUAGGAGAAUAAACUGAGAACCUGCAGGGGUCUAGCAGUAGAGCUCAGGCUUUCCCAAUCUCGGAAUGGGCACCGCCACCAGCGGCUCAGCCUUCUUGAGGACGAUCCCGAACCGCUCUGACAAGUCGAGUUUCGCACCCUCUGGCAGCUUCCAGUCAAACGAAUGCAGCAGUGACGCGAGCGAGUAGCCAACCAUUCUCUCUGCCAUGGCGAUCCCUGCGCAGAUUCUCCGCCCAGACCCGAACGGGAAGUAGUCGAAAUCAUUCCCGCUAAAAUCCCACCUGUUGGCCGCCGUGCUGCCUUCGGAGAAUCUCUCCGGCCAGAAUUCCGAGGGAUCCUUCCAUAUCGAAGGGUCCCUUUGGAUCGCCCACACGUUGACGAACACUCUGCUCCCUUUGGGCACGGCAUAGCCGCCGAUGGUGGACGACGAGCUAGGGCAAUGUGGGACUAGGAGGGGGAGGGCCGGGUGGAGGCGGAGCACCUCUUUGAUUACUUGAGCAAGGUAAGGGAGCUUAGAGAUGUGCGUCUCUUCGACAAUGUUGUUCUUUCCGACUACCUCGUCGAGCUCCUGCUGAGCCUUGCGGAGGAUCUCGGGUUUCUGCAGCAUCUCUGCCAUGGCCCACUCUGUAGUGUUCGAUGUCGUCUCUGUCCCUCCGACCACCAUGUCCUGAUAUUGCCAAUCAUUUUGAUCGUGUGAGAAUCAAAAAUGUUUGUGGUUCUUCGGUUUGAUAGAAGUAAUGAUUAUACCUUUGCCUACUAGCUAUGCAACUUUAAAAAAAUUAUCUCGUUUAUAACUGCAUAUUUAUUAUAUUAUCAUUUCAUCACUAUUUAGAACAGUUGGUUGAUACCUCAGAUUGUCCAUCAAGAAGCUAGGGUGGAUUCCGUAUAGAAUUAGGAGAGAGAGUGACGCAUACCAUGAGCAGGGCCUUGACAUGAGUCAUGGUGAACGGGGUCUUGCUAUCGCCCCCCUCCGCUUCCAGCUGCAGCAUAAACUCUAAGAAAUCCUUGUCCUUCUUUUCUGCUCCUUGUUGCCUCCUCUGCUUUAUAAUAUCUGCGAAUAUUCGGUCAAACCGGUCCAGAAGCACCCCCAUCUGCUUCUGUAUCCCUUGCAGGUCGAACCGCGCCAGCGCCGGGAAAAAAUCCGACACGUUCGGCCGGCCCAACAAGUCGGUGAUCUCCGCCACCAGCUCCCGGAAUUCUCUCCCCACCGCGCUCCGCUCAUCCGCCGCCUCCACCGUGCCCCCCCACAGCGUGCUCGUGAUCACAUUCAUCACGGUCAGGAACAUCUGGGCACCGACGUCGAUCGGCGAUCCCGAUCGGGCGUAGAGGUGGCUGAUCGUCGACCGGACCUCCCGCCGGCGGAGCCCGUAGACGGUGUCGAGCCCUGCCGGGCUGAGCAUCUCGCGGACGCACAUGCGGCGGAGCAUGCGCCAUGUCGGGCCGUUGGGGUUCCAUACGAUGUCGGCGCCGCCGUAGGUGAUUACGCGCCCGGCAGCCGGAACGUCACGGUUGGCGAAUGUGGGGUCCUAAUGUUAAAUAUCUAAGGUCAUAUCGUCGUUCUCUGGUAGCUUAAGCUCUAUUAUUUUUUUUUUAAAAAAAAGUAAUAUAAUUCACGCAAUAUCAAAUUAAUUAUAUAUUUUGGAUCUAAUAAAAAUUGUCAAACCUAUAUGAGUGCGACGGAUGAAUUUUAAAUACGCAACAAAAAAAAUUUCCAAACUUUUGUGAGGGCGACAAUGAAUAUAAAACAAGUAAAAUUGUGCGGAGGCCCUCUCAACUAAUCAACCGUUCUGGAAUAAUUAUUUAUUUAUUGUGAUUUAGAUUAUUUUACACAAUUAAAUUAAAAAUGAAUUAUUUAUUAGCUAUUCGUUGUUAUUUAGUAAGAAUUUUUUUAAAAAUAAAUUAGCUAAAAUGUAAUUAAAGUCGAGAAAACUUGAUCGACAAUAAUUAAUUUAGCUAAACCUUAAAUUUAACAACUUAAAAUAAUUUAAAUUGGAAUAAAUGAAAGCUUAGUUGAUGUCAAUCAAAAGACACAAAAUUGUAGGUUUUUCUCUCUUUUGUGUUUUUGGGUAAAUAGGUAUAAAACUUAUCUGAUAUAUGGACCAAUUUGAUUCGAUUAUUCAAUCUUUCAAAAUUUUAUAUUGAAUAUCUAAUUUUUCAAUUUGUUUAGUUUAUGCCAUUCGGUGGCUCUUUUAAUGCAAAAUUUAAAUUAAUAGCUUAUUUUAACAAAUUUUAUAGUUAUAUGAAUUGUAUAAUAUAUGCUAAUUAAAUCUAUAAUAACGAUAGAUAAAUGACACAUUCAAAGUUGAGGUAAAUUCACAUUAAAAGUUAUUGCAUUUAUUUUUAUGUAUUAGAUACUCAAAACUACUAAUUCUCUUGUAAUUCUAGAGAAAAACAAUUAUUUCACACCUGAUCUUUAAGGACCUCGCGGGCGAUGGCCGGAGACGAGACCACAACGCCGAGCUUUCCACCGAGGCGGAGGGAGAAGAUCGGGCCGUAGACGCGGGCGAGGCGGGCGAAGUACGUGUGGAGUUCCGGAUCCAGAAACGGGAGGCUGCCGACGACAGGCAAGCCGGCGGGGCCCGGCGGAAGUGAUUUACCGCGGCGGCAUCGCCACCGCUGAAAUAAAAUUACAUAAAAAAGCGCCGCCGUGAUCGCAGCCACGGAGUAGAGCAGGGUGGUGCUGUAAGUGGGGAAAGAGGAAGAUUCCAUUUUGGAAUGUGCAGUUGUGCACUGGGGUAUGAGGGGCUUAAAAUGCUUGGGAAUUGGGAUUAGGCACGUAAAGGGUUUGGAUUUAGGACGGAUUUUUAAAAAUCGGAACCCGAACCCGAAUCUGAACACGAAAGUCCAAACCCGAAAUAACUAAUUUUUUUUUCAAUAUUUCAAAAUAUAUUACAUUAAAUCUAAAUUUUUAAAAUACAAAUUUAAAUACAAUAUUAAAUUUUUAUAUACAUAUUAUAUAUAAUGUAAAAUAAAUUCUGGUUCGGAUCGGGUACAGUCAAAAUUCAUAUCCGUCGAAUUUUUAUUUUUGAUAUUCAUAUUCGAAACCAUAUUUGUUUAGUAUCGAAUAAAUCCGUAUCAUGGACGGCCGUUUGGAAACUAAUAUAAAAACACUAUUAAAAAAAAGCGCAAUGUUUUUUUACAUUGUAAAAGGACUGUAAAUCUUAUACAGUAUUGUUAUUCAUGGUCCAUUAUUAUAUUCUUAUCAUGUCAACUUUUCUCCAAUAAUAUUAAAAAUUUUAAAAAAUUUGUAAAUUAUAAGAUAUGAGGGAUAAGAUCUACACUGUAUUUUUUGGCAUGCACAGCUAAUAUUUUUCUAAGAAAUUUUUUUUUUUAAUAAUGAAUAUUUUACUCAUAAAGAACUGUUUUAAUUGAUUUCAGAAAUAGAGUUUUAUACUUCAUUAGAAAUUCAUUAUUCUUAGCUAUGUAAAAACAAAAACAAGAAGUUGAAACGUCUCUAAAUAAUGCAAGAAUAUAAUAUAUUUUUUUAAGAUAAUGUUGUGUUGGAACACAUCAAAUGUAUAGUUAAAAAAAAAAAAAAAUCUGUAAUUAUUGUAGAAAUUUUUUAUAGGCCUCUGGGACGGCAGGAUAACGACAAAAUAGAAAAAAUAAAAUAAAAAAAAUUGAAGGCGUUUUAAGCAGAAACAAGGGGCAUAAGAAUUUUCUCCACGUAAUUAAAAAAGAAAAAAAAACUUUUAAAACAAUUAUAUUUUCUAUAAAAAUGGGCAUAAGAAUUUUUUUUCUUUUCAAUUCAUUAGCUCAAAAUUAAUUUCACUAUUGAUUAGUGGUGGAAUUGUUGUAGAUUGAAAAUUUUAACAUGAUUUUUAACAUGAUUUUCUAAACAUUCAUUAGUUAGGCCUUUCACAGUCUCACAUAAGUAUAUAAGAUCAAUUUUUGAUACCAAAUCUAUGCGGCUUAUUCGUUAUGAACGGAAGAACUUUUGUUAAUGAUAUUAUUAAUCUCAAAAACUCGAAAUAUCUAAUCAAUUCAGUUAAAAUGUUCAGCCACAUCGCCCAUAAGUCUCCAUCGUGAUUAGGUUUAAUCAGUCUCGUACCACUUCAAAUAUAAUUUGACCUAAACUGACCUCUCGUAAUUGGCAUGAUUCCCUUUCUUCGGAUUAUGUUACUUAGUCUUUGACGGACAAGAACACACAAGAAUGAUGAGAAAAAUCAAAAAAUCUCUUCUAAAACGAAAAACAGUUGUUAGUCCCCCAAAAACGAAAUUAGUUUUACUCACCUAAGCAAACUCAAAAUACAAAAUUAAAUCAAAUCUUAACCCAAAUAAGUUAUAUAUAGCACAAAAUUUUUGUCCAACUCGAAAUUAUAGAAGAAACAAAACAAAAUUCUUAAAAUUAAUUAAAAAGAAUCUAAAAAUUGUAAAUUCGGACGUCUAGGUGAUUGAGUUUGAAUAAAAGCUGUUCGACACGUGCGUCUCAAAAAGUUUAAAUUUCUUAUAUUAUCCUUACAAAAUUGCAUACAGCUUCCUGUAGGUAUAACGAAUUGCAAAUAUAUCCCUACCAAGUUUAAAUUUCUUAUAUUAUCCUUACAAAAGUCUAGUUAUAUUCAUAUUUGCCUUUAUGAUAUGUUAUCAUUAGAAAACUACUUAUUUUUUAACAUCAGAUAAGUAAAAUGUCAAUUUUAUCAUCACAAAUAUUUCCUUUCAAAACCUCAAUUGCUAUAAUCGUAUAGAAAUAUUUAUAUAAAAAAUUUUUAAUGGUCAUCUUCUUACUCUUUAAAAUCCAAACCAAUUCACCAUUAUUGUAAUCUAUUCUCUCACCUCUUUUUUUUUUUUUUUUUUCAGACAUGUUCCUUUGAGCAAAUAAGAAAAAAUCAAAAAAAAAAAGAAGAAUGUGGAAGCAACACGCUCCAAUAUGGACGAAGCAACGCGCGUCCUGGAUGGAUGGGGGCGAAGAAAUUCUAGUUACGAUUUCGAAACGAAGGAGAGAAAGAAAGAGAAAGAGGAAAAAGAAGAAGAGGAAAUAUCAAUUUAUCUCAUUAACUAACCAGGAUUAAUAUUCUAACUAUGGUUAAUUAAAAUUUUCUAACAAAUCCUACCGCAGAGACAUAUUUAAAAAUAUUAAGAGUUUUAUAGAAAUAAUAUAAGUAAGUUGAACUUUAUAAAAAUAUAUUUAUAAUUUGUUAUGUUUGUAGAAAACUGUACGUAAUUAAUUCAAAAUUUUUUUACAUAUAGACAUCUUUAAAAAAAGGAAAAAAAAUAAAAGAUUAAAAAAAAAAUAUUUUCGCCCAAGAUUCAAGGUGUACCGUGAACUGAUUGAUGUUCGCGAAUCUCUGUUUGUCUUUUUUUUAUGCCACCGACCGUCCCUAAAACAAGUGACAAAGGACUUGAUGGUUGGUACCUGACACCCAAGUCUUUUUUUUUUUUGAUGCCAAGAACAGUGGCAGACAAAUACAAGUGGUUAUAUUGUGGUUGGUUUAAAAAAGAAGAAAAAAUAUUUGUGGUGGGGGGAACAAUCAUAAGAUACGCUUGGACGAGGUACAGCUGUUUUUUUUAUUUUUAUUUUUAUUUUUUUUUUAAAUCUCCUGCUUAAUUUGUUGGAUGAAUUAUUAAAAUAUAAAAUUAUUUUUUAUGAUUAUAAGUAAUCUGAUUUAUAACUUUAACUAGUUCACAUAUAACAGGAUAAUAAUAAUAUAACUGUUAGAAUCAGAAAACCGCAAAAUAGAUCCAAAAAAUAAUUAAUAUAUCAGUUAUAUUACUUAUAUGACGUAGCUUUCUCCUUUAAUUAGAGCUCCAACGGAGAAAAAUUUAAAAUAUACCAGUUAUAUUACUGAUACGGCGUCCCCAAUCAGUAAAAUUUUAUUUCUUAGGCUCAUCUUGUUAGAACAAAACCGCAACGAAUAAUCCGAUUGUGAUAAAAUCUAACUAAUUUUGUGAUUAAAUAAAUAAAAUUUACUUACCGAUAAUCGCUAAAUUCUAAAAAUAAAUUGUGGAAGAAGAAUAUCAACAAAUUGAUCCGGAAGCGUGCGAGGCACUGUCCUAAGGCGUAUUUCCGUCCUUCGUGCGGAAUUAAUCGGAAACACCACCCCAAGAUACGACCGGUACUCCUCCUCCUACGGACACGAACGCGGAAGAGGUUGACGUAGCUUCUUUCAACACCCAAUGAUAGAGGAUCAAAUAAAGUGAAUUAAGCUUAAAAAUUAAAAGGGAACUCGAAAUUAUCUCUUUUCACUGUGUUCUCCUAAAUAGUGGUGUUCAUCAUCUCAAUGAACAGGUAAGGACAACAUAAAUAUCCAUAUAGGAGUACACUAUGGCUCGAACGUUGGUGUUACACCAACGUUCGGCUCCGUAGUCCGCCCCGCGUGAUCCGCAAUCGCGCGUAACGGCGCGCGCACUCGCGCGUAACGUCCGCGCCAUUCAUGGACUCCACUCCGAACGGCUAUAAAAAGUUAAUAAAAUUAAAUAAAAAUAUAUAUAAUAAAUAAAUAAUUAGAAAAUUUUGGGUUUUUCCAACAAUUCCCCAUAAAAUUCAAAAUUUUCGAAAUAAGAGUUAAACUCGAAAGCAAAUAAAAUAAAUCAAUAAAUCAAUGAAUCACUGGGUGUUUAUACUAUGCAGUAGGUAAGGUGUCUUUAAGGACUUAACCUCACUUAGUGUAAAUAGUUUUCAUCAGAAGGAAUCGGAGUGAACCAGGUCUUGAACUACGUUCCUUUGACCCUGACUUCAACUACCACACACACAGUACAGAAAUCUCCGUCGCGGGUCUGUGCGUUAAUGGCCAUGCACAGUAUCUUGAUUUUUCAUAAGAACUUCUAUGGAUAACCCACAUCUCAUAGCCGCGGCAACAUACGGAUACUCUUAUAUAGGUGGUUUCCUCCAGAGAUGUGUGUAGAGUCACAUCUCGCGAAAAUUAUCGCCUCGGAUCCCAUUAAGAGCUAUAAGCUCAACCUCAACCACUACACAGAGCACUACUCACUAUAGGGAUGGGAUUGGAGCUAAAGCUCCUCUGUAUAAACUGUAGACAGUGCUCUUUGGCCAACCUGACAGCUUGUUUUUACCACAUUGAACCUUCUUCAAGGGAUCUCCUAUCACAAAGGUUGGGUUCCCACUGCAGGAAGGCCCUUUACGGGCAAAGUCCCAUCCCCCUCGAUGACUGUUGCCUAAGGCGAUCCUUCUUCGUGCGAAUUAUAUCGAUAACAUCACCCAAGAUACAAUCCGGUACGCCCUCCUCCUACGGACACAAACGCGGAAGAGUUGACGAGCUUCUUUCAACACCCAAUAUAAGACAACAUAAAAUGAAUUAAGCUUAAAAAUUAAAAGGGAACCGAAAAUUAUCUCUUUUCAACUGGGGUCUCUAAAUAGUGGUGUCAUCACUAAUGAACAGUAAACAACAUAAAUAUCCAUAAAGGACACUAGCUCGAACUUGGUGUACAACCAACGUUCUCUCCGUAUCCGCACCCCGUGACCGCAAAUCGCGCUUAACGCGCGCCACAUCGCGCGUAAAACGCCGCGCCAUCAUGACCCACCCGACGCUCUAUAAAAAGUUAAAUAAAUAAAUAAAAAUAAUAUAAUAAAUAAAUAAUUAAAAAUUUGGGUUCCAACAAUUCCAUAAAAUCAAAAUUCGAAAUAACAAGUAAACUCGAUAACAAAAAAACAUCAAAUAAAUCAAUGAAUGAACACUGUUUUAUACUAUGCAGUAGUAAGGUGUCUUUAGACUUAACCACUUAGUUAAAUAGUUUCAUCAAAGAAUUCGAGAACCAAGGUUCUGAAACUACCGUCCUUGACCCGACCAACUACCACACACACAGUCCAGAAAUCUCCGUCGCGGUCUGCUUAAUGGCCAUGCACAUAUCUUGAUUCAUAAAGAACUUCAUGAUAACCACAUCUCAAUACCGCUCAACCGGUGCUCUCUUUUCCAGAUGGUUUAGCCGGCCAAGAUCGUUGUAGAGUCACACCUCGUGCUGAGAAGUAUAUUUGCCGCUCGUGCCGCUCUCCUGUUUCUUUUGAGUGAUUUUGGUUAUUCUGCGCGCGUCCUCCCCCCUUGUGACCCGUCGUCUCCCGACUUCCGCGGUAGUUUCGUGAUCUGGAUCCAUUAACGAGCUACUUAAGCUCAACUCUUCAACCCGCUUGUUACAUUGUUGUGUCAUUGAGGCACUUCCUGACUUAUUCUUACCUACUCGGAUGGAUGAGCGAAAGCUCUCCAUCUGAACAUAUCGGUACACGACAUGCUCUUUGGCCAAUGCUAUUCCUGACAUCUUUUUUUUAUCUUCUUGUCCACAUUGAAACGCUUCUUUCCCAAGACCCUAUCACAAAGGUUGGUUCCCACUGUCAGAAUCCCUUACGGGGCAAAUGCAUCCCCCCUGAUGACUCCAGGACCUUAGUCCUAUUACAGGCCUUUCGUCAGCAUUCAAGAAUUCUGAUCAGUAUCUGAAAAAUCCAAUAGAAUAAUAUCAUGAGACAAGUUAACCAUCUACAGACUUUUCCAACUUAAAUAUGUCUACAGCUUUAGAAUUACAGCAAUUUCUUUUAACAACAAUCAAUUGCAGCUCGAGAAUCACACCUAAGAAAAAAGGCUAGAAUAGAGAGAAAUCAACGAAUCCGAUGACAGAGAUUCUUGAGCCACUCUCUCAAGACAAGUAGUAUAAAAUAGCAACUAUUCACCUCCAUAGUACUGCUGUGUUAUUAUAGUCGUUUGUGAUUGCCUAAGAAAUGCCAUUCCUCCCACAAGAUAUAAAACAAUAACCAGAAGUUUACUUGAAUAUCCAAAGAACAGAAAUCUAAUUGCGUCGCUGACCCUCGAUACAUUCAGAUAGCCAAACAAAUGAAAAAGAAUAAAGAUAGUAACCUUAAGGUAACGAAAUACUCUUUCGAGUAACAAUUCCAAUGAUUUAUACUAGGUUACUAUAAUCUACCAAUCUCGAUAUACAAUAAGCAAUACAGGUCUAGUCCUAUGUUUAGGUACUUCAAAGGAACCAAUAAUCUGGCAAUCUCUCCUGAUUCACAAAUACAGUGUCUUCACAUUGAACACUAGAUCUAAAAGAAGUUUGGGUUUGUAAACAGGAUGCAAUCAGAAUAUCUCCAAAUUUGGUCAAACAUUUGGUUAAAGAAUGGGUCAGAAGAUAUUUAAAAAGCUAUAUCUAAAAAUUUUCAUUCCUAAAACACAUCUGCUUCACCAAGAUCUCAUAUCAAAAUAUCGAUAAAAAGAAUUUAACUUGGUUAAUCCACACAAGAUCAGGUGCAAGAUCAGAUGUCAUCAAACAUAGAGCAAAGAAAAUCACAUCGGUUCGUCAAUCCUCUGAAAUAGAGACAGUUUCUAAAUAUCGUUGUCUGAAAUCCAAUAUGACUCAAUAAUCACUUGUCGAAUUUCUCUGUGUCCGACUGCUUAGCGUUGCUUGUUUAGUUCCAAUCAAAAGUCGACUAAUUUUCACCCUUAUCUCUUGACCAGGCAAUAAAGAAACCUUCAGGCUUGAUGUCCAUUCAUAUAAUUUCUUCUUCAAAUAUCUCCAUGAAGAAAAAUCGGUUUCGACAUCCAGCUCAUGAAAUCAAAAGCUUAUGAGAUACUAAUUCAAGAAUGACUCGGAUAUAAGCAAUGCAGCAAACAGUUCAUAUGUCCAAUAAGUAAUCAACUUCAACCUCUUUGUCGAAAACCUUGAGCUACAACGCGCCUUAAUGACUAUCUCUACUGAGUCCGUCAGUUCUAACUUCUUUUAAAAGAUCCAACUUACAUCACUAAGGUUGUAUUCCAGAGUAAAUACAUGACAAUCCAAGUUUGUUGCCAAUAAUGACUCGAUCUCACGUUUAAGCCUCCUUCCAAAAGAAGUCUUCAGAAACCAUAGGCUCUUGUAUAUGAAGUGUACUUUCACUAAGAAAGUAAAGAAAUAUUCCACCAAAAGUUUUCUCACAAGCGAGCUCAUCUUAACUUAUCUUCUCAUCCUGUGUGGUAGGUUCUUACAGGAUCUAAACAUAUGAUAAAUCUAGAUGCAGGAGUAACUGAUUAAUAGAAGAUGAUCACUGAUAGCUGAAAAUCAAGUAAUCUAGAGAUAACGAUUUUGAAAAAAAAUAUUCAAAGAAAGGUCAUCUCUAAUCAAUCAAUAUCAUUGGAAAUCUCAGAAAUCUCAGAUUUGUUACAAGAAAUCUAUAGUGGCAUCUAGGGAAUAUCCAAUGAAAAGGCACUACUUUUUAGACCAAUCUUCUUUUCUUUUGCUCAAAGGAAUAGACACUUUAGCUAAGCACCCCCACCACCGAAGUAACUCAGCCUACGUGCUCUCCCUUCCAAAGUUCAUAAGUUCUGGUUCUAUCUAGAAGAAUCCUAUGAGAAUAAACAAUUCUGAUAAAAAGCCUUCCCCCCACAGUUCGAAUACCACCAAGAACUAAAAUCAUAAAGCAUAACCCAUGUCUAAUAGGUCGUUCUUUCUCAGCUACAGUCGCAUACACUAGGUAGUAAUGAGCAGUUACUUAUGAAUUAUUUCCAUGUCUCGCAGAAGCAAUUUAACUCAUUGAAAUAUACCGCCUCCUCUACUCAGACUUAGAAUUUAUCAUCUUCUCCAAUGUUUUCAGCCUCUGCUUAAAAGGCUUAACUUAUUAUGACUUACCAUCUUUGUCUUCUAAGAGAUACGGUUAACAAUAAUUUGGAGAUCGGCUACCUAAGUUACAAAGAACACUCCUCCUACAGUAGGACUCUACUUAUUUGGUAAUCACAGACACACAUAAUCACUCAAGAAUCUGGCAUCCCUAUAAAGGAUAAGAUUAAAAGGUUUCCUAGGCUGCUAUGUUUUGGAUACAAAUCUCACAUUUGACAUAAGAUCAAAAUCUUAAUUGGGACAAGUUAAAUGGAUAAUUUCAGAAUAGAUCUAAGUUCACAUGCCCAAUCUGCUAUGCCAUAUACACAAGAUCAGUAUCAAAAUAACAGUAAAAAGGAGAAAAAAAGAACUUUUAUAUCAGCAAAAGAAAGUAACCAAUUUAGUUUAAUCAAACCUCAAUACAAAACCCUUUCCAGAACAUUUUCUCCUUAAAUUGACAACUUUAUUGAUGCAAUACAAUCUUAUAUCCUAAUGCACUAACAAAGAUCCCACUAAUUAGGUUCCUGUCAGAUUUCAGGAGAAUGAUUGCAAUUGGGAAGGAUAACGUCUUUCCUAGAAUAACAUUCAGCUGACCUGUUCCGAUCCCAACACAUUGACAGCCUUCAAAUCUCCAACACUCACACAUCCUCUACACUUUGUCCUGAUAAAAGAAUAGACCUAUUAUCAAACAUGACAUUGGCUACCAGAAUCUAAACUCACCAUACUAAAUCAUGAUAGGUAAGUACAUAUACAAAAGACUGAUCCUAAAAUGGUAGUUGAAUCACUCCAAUCAAUGUUGACCUGAGUUUAGAUAAGUUGUUCUUGAUUGUUUGCUCUUCUUUGACAACCUUCUCUUUCUUUCCCAUAAAAAACAUUGAAACAAAAUGGUUCGUCACGCAGCCACAUACAUAGACAGAAACCAUUUCUUUCUAUGCCCACUAGGUUGUUGUAUUUGGUUCUGUAUAGUUCCGUUCGAUAGGUCUACCUUUAAAACCUUUACCCUUAGGUUUAAAAUUUUACCUUUGGUUUUAAGACUCCAGGUCUGUUCUGAAUCUCAUCAGAUUAUGUUCGAUCGUGUGGACUUAAACUCUUCUAAGUUCGUAUUGGUCUUCUAUUCUUACAUAGCUUGGAUACCAGAUCUAAGUUUUAAGAAUUUCGCUUGGUUCGUCUAAUAUCUUGGGCAAAUUGGUCAAGGAAGGAGUAAUUUAUCCAAUAAAACAGGUUGCCUGAAUAAAUGUUUCAUGCUAGGUUAUCACAUUCCAAUAAUCUCUUGACAAAAUUCGAAAUUGUGAAUCUGAUCGUUUAAUAGAAUGUUGUCUACAUUCUAAAAUUGUUAAAAUCGAAUGUCAAAUCUGCGACACCUUCAUUACUCUAUGUAGGCAUCCUAAGCAAACCAUAAAUCUUUGGCAUUUGAUAUUUCUAUAAGUCUUCAUAAAGUUCGUCAUAUAGGCAGCUUAAAGUAUAUCUAAACCUACACAGUGAAAUUCCAAUCCUCGGGAUAUUGUCAGUUUUAUGUCUUUAACGAGUGUACAAUUAUAAGAUCAAUGGAGAGCACAUAGAAGGACCAGAAAAGAAUUAAAUAAGUAGGAUAAGAGUGUUUUUCCCAAUGCAAGUUAAUGCCUAAGGUAAUAAGCCAAACCGUCUAACUAUUCUUGCCACCCCCCUCAUAAAAGCCUACCCCUUAAAAUUUUUCAGUUUAAGACAAAAGUGUUCAUCAAAAAGCCAUUCUAAACACUAGUUGAGAACAUAAAAAUUAAGGAUAAAAAAGAGCUGCAAAAAAGUCAAAAACCCUAGAAAAACAAACAGUUUUAAUUUCUACCCUGCAACCAGAAUAUUUUAGGGUUUAAGUUUUUAGAAUAAUCUAUUAUGAAAGUUCGUUCAAACAGCAUAAACAGAGCCCAAACAAUAAAUAUUAUUCAUUAAAUAGUUUCAAACAAUAUAACAAUCAAUCUAAUUUAUGGCAGCAAACAGAUUAUGUAUAAAUGCUUUGAAACAAAAAAUGACAAAUUUAAAUUGGCGUUUGGGGGCUGGUUUUAAAGGCCCAACUAAUUAGAGUUAACUAUCUAAGGGAUUCGAUUCUCAACUGAAGCAGAUUUAAUUUUAUUUUAUUUUUUAAAAAAAAUUUAAUAAAAUUCCGAUAGUGCAAAUAGAAAAUACAGAAGCAAUUCACCUUUUUAAAAAAAUUCGUAAUCCUAACAAGAAGCAGCAGAAUUAAAACCUUAAUUAUUACUAGACAACUCUUUUUUAUUUUUUUUUUUUAAAUANNNNNNNNNNNNNNNNNNNNNNNNNAAUAUCAAAACAGUAAAAUAUAUAUAAAUUAAACUUUAAGGAAAGGCAGUAUACUUAAAAAAUAAUAAUUUACUGUAGCAAAAGGUUUUUUUUUAAAAAAAUCCGUACAAGUUUGUUUAAAACUUAUAACAAACAGUAAUUUUUUUAAUAAUAAUCAAAAGAUUUUACUGUAGCAAGAUUAAGAUUCAGACGUACACAGGAGAGUUAAAUAAAAAAAAUCUACUGUAACAAAAAUUUUUUUUUAAUUAAUUUUUUUUUUAAUAACAGUAGAAGUCAAAUAAAAUUGCAAGUAAACUAUAUGUAAUUAAAAUUUGAAAAUGCUAAUCCCAACUUAAAUUAAUUUUGUAUGUCAAUCAUACAAGCAAGUUAUCAAACAAAUUAUAUACAAUAUGCACAAUUAUUAUUUUCGGAUUAGCACUUGUUAGAUUUAGUCACAAUCAGAUAGAAAUACGCCUUAGAGUGUUAGAACAAAACCGCAACGAAUAAUCCGAUUGUGAUAAAAUCUAACUAAUUUUGUGAUUAAAUAAAUAAAAUUUACUUACCGAUAAUUGUUAAAUUCCAAAAAUAAAUUGUGGAAAAAGAAUAUCAACAAAUUGAUCCGGAAGCGUGCGAGGCACUGUCCUAAGGCGUAUUUCCGUCCUUCGUGCGGGAUUAAUCGGAAACACCACCCCAAGAUACGACCGGUACUCCUCCUCCUACGGACACGAACGCGGAAGAGGUUGACGGAGCUUUUUUCAACACCCAAUGAUAGAGGAUCAAAUAAAGUGAAUUAAGCUUAAAAAUUAAAAGGGAACUCGAAAUUAUCUCUUUUCACUGUAUUCUCCUUAGUGGUGUUCAUCAUCUCAAUGAACAGGUAAGGACAAUAUAAAUAUCCAUGUAGGAGUACACUAUGGCUCGAACGUUGGUGUUACACCAACGUUCGGCUCCGUAGUCCGCCCCGCGUGAUCCGCAAUCGCGCGUAACGACGCGCGCACUCGCGCGUAACGUCCGCGCCAUUCACGGACUCCACUCCGAACGGCUAUAAAAAGUUAAUAAAAUUAAAUAAAAAUAUAUAUAAUAAAUAAAUGUAAAUAAAUAAAUAAUUAGAAAAUUUUGGAUUUUUCCAACACAUCUGUCUUAUCAUGAUUAAUAAAAAAAUAUUUGUAUUAUAUUUUUCUCUAAAGAAGAGUGAUGUGAUUGACUUAUUACUCGGGAUGUCAAUGGGUUUGGAUAUCCGAAAUUUUAUUUGAACCCGAACCUGAAUAAAACGGAUAUAUCCGAUGGAUAUGGAUAUGAAUUCGGAUAUGGAUAUCAAAAAUAGAAACCCGACGGAUAUGGAUUCGGAUAUGGAUUUUGAUUGUACCUGACCCAAACCCGAACCCGAACCCGACCCGAACCCGAAUUCUCUCUUUAGUAUUAUAUAUCAUAUAAUAAUAUAAUAUAGUAUAAUACUGAUUUAAUAUUUUAUUAUAUAAUAUAUAUAGUAGUAGUAUAUUAAAUAUAUAUAAGGCAGUAGGGUAGAAUACUUCUUACAAGUUAUCCACCCGUAAGUAUACUUGGUGUUUUUAGCCUGUGGAUGGCGAGAGUAUGUGGAGGUUGACGAUGGAUGGGAUACCGGUGAUGGUAGGUGAUGGCGUUAGGUUGGAUAAGUAUUUGAUCCAAGGGACUAUUUGUAAUCAAAAAGUAGGAUCAAUGGACUAAAAACGUGUAUUAUAUAUAUAUAGAGUUAUUAGGAUAACUUUGUACAGAGUAUCACUCCCCAUAUUGCUAUCAGUCUUUUUAGCAUUUGGAUUCUUACUGUUUAUUACAAAUAGUCUUGACUCAAACAAUAUUCAGCCUACGACACCUUACUAUUACAAAGGCAUCCAAGACACAAUAUUCCACCUACCCAUCAUGUCUCACUACAUCUCUCAUCCAAAGGGCUAAAGAUACAUAACUAUACACUUGCGUGGUGAUACUUGUAAGAGUAUUCUAGCCCUACCUCUAUAUAGCUAUAUUAUAUAUUUAAUAUAUUAUAUAUAAUGUAUAGCUUAAUAUAUAAAUUUGAUGUUAUAUUUGAAUUUGUAUUUUAAAAAUUUAGAUUUAAUAUAAUAGAUUUUGAAAUAUUGAAAAAAGAAAUAAUUGUUUCGGGUUUAAAUUUUCGGGUUCGGGUUCGGAUUCGGUUUCGGAUUUUUAGUCGGGUUCGGGUUUGGAUAUAGAUUUUUAAAAUCCGUCGGGUUCGGGUUCGGGUUCGGGUCUCGGGUUUGGAGUCGGGUUCGGGUUCGGGUUCGGGUUUUCAAAAAUCCGCCCCGAAUCCUACCCGUUGACAUCUCUACUUAUUACUGAUGAUAUGGUAUAAAUAUAAUACAGUAGACCACCUCCCAACAGAGACUCUCUAAAUGCGUUUGGUUCGAGUAUAAAUUAAAGGGGCAAUUGCUUAUAUACCCCUAAAAAGUUUUCGAUUUUUCGAUUUACCCCUCUUAGAAGGCUAAUAUUGAAAAUACCCCUCCUACAUUCCAUCCUAUUUCUAAUGUACCACUAGAGUUAAAAUCUGUUAAGUAAUUCUGUUAUCUCUGUAAAAUUACUAUUUUGCCCUUUCAAGUAUACCCUUCCACCAUCACUAUCUUUCUUAUUUGGGGCACAAAAAGUAUUGUCUUUUGGUCUUUUCCAAUAUACCCCUCUACCGUCACCAAUAUUUUUUAUUUUUUCUUAAGUUAAGGGCAAAAUUGGCAUUUUAUUUUUUUUUAACUGUGGUAGAUAUUUAACUCACGUUUAAUCCGGGUUAACUUAACAGGAGAUAACUGCGGGGGUAUUUUGCAAUAACGGUAGAACAUAUGAGGAGUAUUUUAGAAAAAAAAAAAAAAAUAAAUCGGAUAUUUUCAAACGUAUGAGAAGUAUAUAGACAAUUAUCCCUAAAUUAAAACGGCUUAUUUCAGAAAUAGAUACAUAAAUUUUUCUCCGGCAACAGACACCUGGCUGCCUUGUGACCGCAGGCACCAAAGAAUAGAUGGCUUGAACUUUAAUUGAGAGCUUCAUUACGCAUGGUUUGAUUUCAACUAAUGUGGCCCUACCAUGCAUCCAUACCGAUGACAGUUCCUCCUGCAUAGGUGUCCACUCCUUUCUUCUCUUCUCGUUUUAUUUUUUCUCUCUCCUCCUUGUACAUGAAAAGAGUAACAAAUUUUUCCAAAUCAAUUUUGAGAAAGAUAAUAAAUCUUUUUAAAUUAAUCUUAAAAAAUUAUCAAAUCUAUCAAAUAAUUACAUCUCGGAAAGAUACCAAAUCUUUCCAAAUCCAUCUCGAAAAGAUACCAAAUCUAUCCACAAAAAUUAUAACGAUUACGGGCCCCAUUAAUCGGACGGUGGAUAUUGCAUGAUCAUUGGUGAUGAACACUUGCGGAUUGGACGGUUUGGGUGAACUCGGUUUGAACGGUUGGAUUUAAAUGGCCUGUUAUCGGCACAGCGACGGUCCAAUCAAUAGCUGUUGUUGGGUUUAAGGAUAAGCUUUAACUAAUAAUUGUACCAAAUUAUUUUUAAGGGGGAAAAUAUAUAUAAAUUUGUCAUCACAAUUUUAAUAAUACUAAGAAUUUAUACAAAAAAAUUAUUUAUUUAUUUAUUUAUUAGAAUCUCCUUAGGAGAAGUUUUGCUGUCACAAAUUAUUAAUUAUUUGGUGAAAGGAUUUGCAUGAAUACUAAACGGAUUUGGAAUUAUCCAAAUAAUGAUAGAUUAGGAUGUUUUUGGUUUGUGGAAAUAAUAAUGUUUUUAAUUUAAUAGCAUAUUUUUUCCCCCCUGUCCACUCCUCUUUUCUUCUCUCUCAUCCCUCUCAUACCAAAUUUUUACGUUACGGGAAGGUACACGUAGAAAAGAUAACAAAUCUUCCCAAAUCAAUCCUGAAUGAGGUAAAAAAUCUUUCCAAUCUUGAAAAUGUACCAAAUCUAUCCAAUGAUUAUAUCUCAGGAAAGUACCAAAUCUUUCCAAAUCCACCUCGGAAAGACACCAAAUCUAUCCAAAUAUUUCCUUACCUCGGGAAACGACAAAAUCCUCACAUUGAUUCCGAUAUGUAUAUAGGAGAACGUGUACUCAUCAAAGUUCGAACUUUGAAAAAUUUUCCUAAUUAUUUCUUCUUCCUCUCUCCUUCAUUGUUUCUUCUUCCUCUCUUCCUCAUGCACUGAACUUUACCUAUCUUUACACUAAGUUUUAUAUUUCUAAAGAGUUUUAUAUUUCUUUUGUAUUUUUUGCUGAUCUUUGAUAGCUACUUGAAUUCGUGUUGCAUCACCCUGAAAACGUGCUGACGGAGUGGAAGGUGUCACAUGUCUCAUCUAAAUUUUUUUUCUCUAUAAUAUUUUCUACUUAAUCUGUCCUUAUAAUUUUUCGAAAAUAAAAGUUAAAAUUGUUUUAUUUUAGAAUUGUUUAAAAAUAAAUUGUUCAAACUAAAUAUAUAUUUGCAUAUUACAUAAUUACAUAGUUUGUUAUCAAUCUAAAUUACUUAUAUAUGUAUUAAAAUAAUUAGUAAUCAUUCAAGCUAAAUAUAUAUUUUGCAUAGUUCAUAAUUACAUAUUUUGUUAUUAUUCCAUCUUAUUUUUGCAUAGUAAUUUAUUUUUGUCUACUAUUCUUUUGCUUUCUCUUACAUAUAUAUGUAUUGAUAUUUAAUUUUAUUUUUUCCUCAUUUUUCGUAAUUAUUAUAUAUUAAAAUUUACAUCAAAAUAUUGGUGUUAAAACUGUCUGCGGUGAAGAGCGGGUUCAACACUAGUAUAUAAUAAUGAUAUGGUUCCAAACAUAUGUCUAAUCAUAACUCUAGUAGAAUUAGACUCAUAGUUAUGCUUCACAUGUCCCAAAUUAAAUUUAAAUUAUUUUUUGUUCUAAUUAUAUUGGAAUUUAACUCUAAUUUUGAUAACUAUAAAUUUAAACUAAAUUAUGUAAAUUUCAUAAUUUUAUUUUCUCUAUAUCAUGCAGAAUCAGGGGUAGUAAAGUACCAAUUUUAUUAUUAUUAUUUGUUAAGUCGAAGAUCAAAAUUGGGAUAUACCAGUAUACCACUUAGCUUCUCUCAGAAAAAAAGUAAAGAGAAAAUGUUAAUUGCAUAUAGCUGCCUAAAAAUAUAUCGCAGAUACAUUCCUACAAAGUACAACUUUUUAUUUUUAUGCUUAUAAAAAUCCUACCACUUUCAAACAUAUCACUACUGUUAAGAUAUGUUAGAAAGAUCUCUUAGAAAAAUAUAGUUAAUCAUUAGUAAAAUGUUUAUAGUCAUGGCUAGUGAAUGAGUUAAAUUAAUAUUUUUAUCUCUCUUAUAUUAUUGAAUAAAAUAUUUUUUUUUAAGAAUGUUUGUGCAUAAUUAUAACAGUUGGGGUUUUUGGAAAUAUAUAUUUGUACAGACAAAAAUAUCAUUUCACCUAACUAGUAUUAAAAAAUAAACAGUCUAUAACAGUGACAAAUCAGAGGGGCAAAUAUGAAUAUCACCAGACUUUUGUAGGAUAAAAAGAAAAAGUUAAAUUUUAUAGCGAUAUAUUUAUUAUUCGAUAUAUUUACGGAGAGCUAUAUGCAAUUAACAAAAAGAAAAGACAAGUAUUGCGUAUUUCAAUUUCUACUAUGUGAUGAAACUUGUGUAAAUAUUUUGUCUUGCUACAGUGAAUUAGAGAUGGGUUUUGAGUACAAAGAGUAUGUUUGACUCAUGAUUGAAUUACAUUACAGUGAAAAAUAGAAUGACGAAUUAUUUAAAAAUAUAUGGUCCAUUAUUGAAAUGAAAAUCAGAAUGAAUUAUUCAGACAUUUUAAAUUUUAAGAUAACAGUUUCGGUUAAGAGAGAAGAGGGAAAGAUAUUUGUAAGAGAGAAUGUUGAAUUAUUUAUUACGAAAUGAGCUAAUCUAAGAUUCAAAAUCGGGUUAGGUCUUAAAUAAGAGUAAAAUGAGAAUCACAAUUUAAUUCCUGUAAAAAUAAAAGUAAUUAUCCAAAUCAGUGAAUCUUAUUUUGAUUCCAUAGACUGAAAUAGUUGAACAUCGGGAAAGAGAUUGAAGUUUGCUACAUUUAGAUCAGUACUUGAUGGAAUUGAAGCCAAAUUUCUUUCUACUUAGCCUAUUACUCGUAAUUAUUUGAUAAGUUUUGCGAUCAGUCUUCAAAAUUUGUCCUUAAAAAUUAUCAAUAUAUUUUGGUUAAAAAAGAUAAAGUUGUUGAUGUGUUGGCAUAUGUAAUGAGAAUCUUAGCAUUAGUAUGAUUCAAUUUCUCUCAAUUUUUUUCUUUUUAGAAUGCCGAAAAAUUUAGAAAAUCCAAAAUCUAGAAAACCCAGUUGAGAAAAAAAAACAAAAAAAAAAAAAGAAGGUCAUACUGGAAGUAGAGCCUAAAUUGGAUCUGCUGAGUAAAACUAUUUGCCAUGAGAAUGGGCCGGGCCAACCCGAAAAAUAGCAGGUCGUGGGUUUGGCAGAUCAAUAUUUGCUACCCACUACCAAAAAUGUUACUACGAGUUUUAGUUUUAUUAUAUUUUAUAUACAUGACUAUUCUAAAUCUUGAUACGAAGAUAACGAGUCGAUACAAAUAUGAAGAGAUAAAAUGAGAUCUCAGAGUAGAUUUAUUUAAAUAAUGAGCUUGCAAAAAUUAGUUCACAAUGAAUCUAAACCUAAACCAGAUCAGACAAAACUUGAGUAGGAGGCUACGAGCUCUCCAACGAAGUCUUACUGGGGAGCCGCCCAAUCUACCAUUUUGUUAGUUUUUAUACAUAUCAUAAAGAAAUUAGUUUUGAUAUAUAUAUUCUUUUAGGCUAAAUUACAGAAAACCUCCCUAUAAUAACCCGUUUUUUUACUUUCCCUUCCUGACAUUACACUUUGCUCCUUUGUAAAAUGAAAAAUGUUCACAGGAGAGUUGCGGUGUGUAAAAUGACCAUUUUGCAUCUUGUCAUUUUCGUCUUCUUCCUCAUCUUCUUCAGCCGCCCAUUCGAUCGGCCGCGAUUCCUACCUCAAUCGGCCGCGAUUUCUCUCCAUUUCCUUCUCCACCUUCUUCCCUUCUUCUCCUGCACCCUCGCCGUCCCUCGAUUUCGACGAUAGUAGGGAGGAAAUCGAGGUGAGUGUUGAUGGAGAGGUAUGCAAGGGCAACGAGGGCGAAGGCGAGACGGCGGAAGAGGGCGAAGGCGAUGUGGGCGAGGGUGAGGCAGUGGAGGACGGCGAGACGGCGGCGAGGCGGCGAGCGGGAGGGAGGCGAAGCAACAAGAAAGAGGGCGGAGGGGUAUUUUUGGUAUAAAAAAAUAUUUUAUAACGGAACCCUAACGGUAGGGGGUGAAGUGCAUAUUUUUUAUUUUACAAGGGAGCAAAAUGUAACUUUUUAAAUAUCAGGAAGGGAAAGUAAAAAAGCGAGUAAUUACAGGAAAAUUUUCUGUAAUUUAGCCUUUUUUUUAAUUUUACUAUUGUUGGUGCUAUCUGUGCUAUCUAUACACCAACGUACAUGUAUAAAAAUCUUAUGCCUCCUCCAUCUCACGGUUCACAUGCAUUUUAGGAUUCAUAAAAUCCAUUAAAUUUUUCAUAAAAAUAUAAAUAAAAGUUGAUUAGUCAAGUAAGAAAAAAUGUUUUUGAAUAAACGGGAUGUAAGAUGUACGGCUACUGAUGCAAAAGUUGCACUCCCAAUUUGGAUCAUUUUCUUCAUAACGGGUCUAAAAUGAAUUAGAAUCUAUAAAGAAGAGAAAAUAUUGAACUUAAUUGUUUUAUGCAAAAGCUAACACUUGGAAGGUUGCUCCCCAGUAAGGUGUGCUUGACACUACAGAUGUCAAUGCAUACGGAUACCCGAAAUUUUAUCCGAAUCCAAACCCAAUAGAUUUAUUUGAUACUAAUCGGAUAUGGUUUCAAAUAUGAAUAUUAAAAAUAAAAAUCGGGCAGAUAUAGAUUCGGAUAUGAAUUUUGAUUGUACCUGAAUUGAACACGAACCCGACCCGUAUCCGAUCCGAACCCGAAUUUAUUUUACAUUAUAUAUAAUAUGUAUAUAAAUAUUUGAUGUCAUAUUUGAAUUUGUAUUUUAAAAAUUUAGAAUUAGUGUAUUAUAUUUUGAAAUAUUAAAAUGAGAAAUAGUUGUUUCAGACCCAGAUAUUUGGGUUCGGGUUUUGAAUUUUUGAGAUUGGGUUUAGAUUUGGAUAUGAAUAUUUUAAAAUCCGUCGGAUUUGAGUUCGAGUUAGAACCGAACUACCAAACUGAAUCAACCAAAAUCAGUUUGAUUCGAUUUUAGGUGAAAUUCGGUCCAAUUCAAUUUUCAAAAUCAAAAACUAAAAAAAAAAAUUGAAUUUACCAAAUUAACUAAAUUUAAGUAAUUUGAUAUACAUUAAUUUUGAAAUUAAAAAAAACAUGAAUUAAUAUUAAAUAAAGUUAAUUAUUUAUAUUUAUUUUUAUAUUUAGGUUAAUAAUUUUUAACAUAAAAAUAAUCAUAAUUAUAUCUUAUUAACAAUAAAUAAAAUGAACAAAACUGGCCGAAUAGUUUUGGUUGGGGUUCGAUUAAAAAGAAAAAAACUGCAAAAACGAAAGCUGUUCAAAAUAUCUGAUAUACCAUAUCCGACCCGGACCCUAUCCGGACCCGAACCGGACUCGAUAAAAAAUAGAUAGUACACAGGUAAAAAAAAAUUACCCAUUAAAGUUUCGGGUAUGGGUCUGGAUGUUUUAUACCCAUAUCCCAUUUGGACCCGAUCCGAACCCAACUGUUAAAUGGGUAGAGUUCGGAAUAGUUUUCAAAUCCGGACCCGGAUCCAGACCCGAUGAAAUAUCCGAUAGUAAAUAAAAAAAAUUUGAACUUUUAAAGUUGAGGGAUCAAUUUUAUAGAAUUUAUAUAUAAAGGGUCUCUAAAAAUUUUCAUCCUAGUGAAAUAAUAAAAUAUUAGCCGCUCUUUUACUCCUUUCUUUUUUCUAAUUUUUUUUUACUCUUUGUUUUUUACUUAUUAUUUUUUUUGUUUCAUUUUUGCUUAAGAGUUUUUUAUAAAAUAAUAUUUACAUCAUUAUUAUCAUCAGCGAUAUUACUCCUCGUAGGCAUGGCACAAGUAAGUUUUUACCAAAUCCCUUUUCUAAUCAAAGUCGACAACCUAGCUUUUUUUAAUAAAUAUUCUAUUUAGUAAAUUUUCAAAUUCCUCUUUAUUUUUUUUUUGUUUUUAAUGUUAGUAUGUAAUAUUAAUAAUUAAUUAUAACUUAUAUUCUCUUUAUAGGGAGAGAUUUAUCGUUUGUCCACGUACUAUUUAAUAAAGCUUAUAAAAAAAUAUAUGUAUACGGGUACCCGUACCCGAUUUAGACCCGACCAGUACCCGAUCUUAAAGGGAUAGUAUACUUAUAGUCACUACCCAGACCUGCUGAAAUAGGCCCAACGGGUAUAUUAAUAACUUAAGUAUCCAGAUCCGGACCCGACCCGAAGUUAAAUUGGUAGGGUAUAUAUAUAUUUUUUUCUAACCAAUUUUUUUUAGGGUACGGAUACAAUAUAUUAACUAUCCAGACCCGACCAGGUCCACGGACACCUUUAGCAAAAACCGAACCAAACCAACGCUUGUCUUAAUAUCAGUAAACUUUUGUCUUAAUAUCAGUAAACUUUUUAGGAAUAAUUAUCUAUAUACCUUUCAAAACUUCGAAAAUAUUUAUUUUUUUCUAUUUUUUUUUAAUUUUCAGUAUACUUUUUAUAUGUUCUUCCGUUAUUCAAAAGUACUCAGGCAAUUACUACCUGUUAAGUUAUCUCGGAUUGAACGUGAGUUAAAUAUCUAUCAGAGUUAAAAGAAAUCAAAAUACCUCUUUUGCUCUUAAUUUAAGGGCAAAUAAGAAAAGUUUGUGAUUGUAAAGAGGCAUAUUUAAAAAGACCAACUUCUUUGGCCCUCUAACUUAAGGGUAAAUAAGAAAAGUUGGUGAUAAUAGAAGGAUAUAUUUGAAAUGGCAAAAUAGUAAUUUUACAUAGGUAACGGCUAUUACUAAUAGUUCACUAACAGAAUUUAAUUCUAGGAAUAAAUUUUAAAUAACUUGGAGUGUAACAAGAGUAUUUUUAAUAUUAGCUUUCAAAGCAGAGUAAAUUAAAAAGUCGAAAACUUUUCAGACUUGUAUAAGCAAUUGCCCCAACUUUUUAAUAGUCAAAUAAGGUACUUUGCGUUUUAUAUAAUUAAAUUUACAUAUGUUGUGUUACAUAUUUCAAGUGAGAACUUUUGUGAUGGGUCAGAUUCCCGGCCCAACGGAUCUCCAGCCCAUUUGCACCGGUAGUUUUACUGAUUCAGAGGACACAAAAAAAAAAAAAAAGAAAAAGAAAAAAAAAGAAAAAGAAAAAGAAGAGUAAAUUCAAAAUUUUAUUAUAAUUGCGUGAUCAUGAGCAUAGAACGCAUCCUACACAAUUUUUGUUCUCAAGGAAAGAAAAUUAUUAGGAAUUUUGAAUAGUUUGCUUUAAAAGCUAUCAUUUUGGCGCUUUACGGAUUUAGCAUUAGCACAUGAUUUGAAGGCCAUCUAAUUAAUCACGCGGCUUUGCACAAAAUGCAUUCCAUGUGAUAAGCAACUCACAAUUAUUUGCAUUGACCUUUUCGUAUGGCUAAAUUAAAGGAAUUUUUUUUUGUCAAUAUCCGCUUUUUUUAUUUUUUCUCCUGUUAUUUAAAAAUUUACACUUUAUCCUCUUAAAAAAUAAUAAAUGUUCACUUUGGCCCCCGCCGCCGGUAUUCUGUCAGGAUUCUAUUUAUAUUCUAUUAUUAUAUAUUUCUUAUACCCAAAAUACCCUCAGCCUCCUCCCUCCCGCCUCCUUCCUCGCCGCCCAUGCUGCCUCACCCUACUCUGCCACCUCGCCCUCCUCCAACCCUCCAUCUGCGCCCACACACACAUUCUUGCGCUCCUUCGCUGUCUCGCUCUCGCUCACCUCUCCAUCCAUGUGCACCCCGAUCUCCUCCUUAUCAUCGCCAGAAUGGAGGGGUGACAAGGGUGCAGGAGAAGCGCGCGAGUAGAUGGAGGAAAUGAAAUCGUUGCUGCUGUUAAGCAAGGCGCAAAGAACAAAGGAUGAGGAGGGGAUCGCUGAGUAAGAUUGGGAAGAAGAUCGGCCAUAGUAAGGGGCGAUUUGGUUAUUUUAUCAUUAUAGUUAACACCGUACUCCCUGUGAACAUUUUUUAUUCUUCAAUAGGGCAAAAUGUAAGUUUUUAAAUGACAAUGAGAGAGUAGAAAAGCGGAUAUUGAUAAGAAGGUUUUCUGUAAUUUAGCCUUUUUCUGUGUGUGUGUGUGUGUGUGUAUAUAUAUAGUGAGGCUACUAUGCUAUCGGAAGUACGGAGCCUUCCGUACUUCCAGCUCGUUUUCGAUGUUGCGACUUUCGAAUCGUCGAUCGGCUCCGUUAAACUUGAUCUAGAGUAUUUGAAGCACCUAAAAAUAAAUUUUAUGAUUUUACGAUAUCAUUUGCCUAGUGAACGAAGGGGCUCAAAAUCAACAGCUGAAAAUAAAAAUCUUACAAAAUGUAAUAAUAUGACAUUAAAAUUUUAAAUCAAAGAUAUUGAUCUUGUUUUAUAUAGUAUAAAGAAUUUUCUAUCAAAAUUUCACGUGAUUUGGAUAUUUCUACACCGUUAAACUUGCAAACGGCUCACUACGGCCAUUGAAAUUUGUUGAUUUUGAGCCCCUUGCGUCAACUAGCUAAAUGAUAUCGAAAAUAAUAAAAUUUAUUUUACUAGAUAUCCAAAUACUUCUAGAUCAAACGUUAACGGCGGAUCGCACCCCGAUUCGACAAGCGCAACCAUCGAAAAAACGAGCUGGAAGCACGAAAGGCCUCCGUGCUAUCACGAUAGGAUAGUAGCCUCACCUAUAUAUAUAUAUAUAUACUAUAUAUACUAUAUAAUAUAAUAUAUAGAUGCUUGAAUACAUUAAUAGCACGCCAAGCGACUUGUUUGCUAUUAGUAUUCUUAACCAUUGACUGAGAAAAUAUUCGGUUAGGAUGAAUAUUGUUCCCACUAGGGUUGAGUGGGUCGUGUUGGUUGAAUAGUAUAAUAUAACGGGCAAAAAAAUCAAGAAGAGGUUAAUUCUAACGGCACGAAAACUGAAUAAGCACCAAGUGUUUGCUGCUUAUGCGAUAGCAUAGCAACGGACUCUCUCUCCUCCUCUAUCACCGGAGCGCGCCCCUCUCUCUCUCUCUCUCAGACCCUCCCGACACUCUCCUCCCACUCGAUCAUCUGCUCCUCAUCUCCGUCCUCAUCUCCGUCAUCAUCUCCUUCUUAUAUAUAACUAUACAUGCUUCGGUUAUCUUCUGGAACACGGGCGCUCUGUGCUUCCAAGUUGUUUUCGAUUGUCGACUUUCGAAUCGAUAUCGGCUCUCCGUUAGACUUGAUUAGAGUAUUUGAAGUAUCGUAGAAAAUAAACUUUUGCGAUUUUUUUUUGAUAUCAUAUUGCCUUCGUGAUCGACGUGAGCUCAAAUCAACGGCUGAAAAUAAAAUAUCUUACAAAUAUGAUCGAUAAUGACAUAUAAAAAUUUUUAGACAAAGUAUGGUGAUUUUGUUUAUACUGGUAUAAAGAAUUUCUAUCAGAAAAUUUCAUGUGAUUUAGAUAUUUCUUACAAACGUUAAACUUGCAAAGGGCCUCCCACGAUCUGUAAAAUUAUUGAUUUUGAGCCCUUCGAUCACUAGCAAUAGAUAUCGAAAAUCAAAAAAAUUUAUUUUCAGAUACUUCAAAUACUGCUAGAUCAACUCUAACGAAGGUCCGAUCAUACGAUAUCGAAAGUCCGAACAUCGAAAACAACUUGAAAAGUAAGGAGGGCUCCGUAUUCUUAAAGCAACCAGCCCACUAUCCUCUCUCCCGUCUCUCUCUCUCUCUCUCUCUCUCUCUCUCUCUAUAUAUAUGUAUAUAUAUAUAUAUAUUAUGAAUUGAGAUUUCUAUUUCUCCCUAGCUAUUUUAUGAUGACCUAUUUUUAGCAUCAUUAAUUUAGCUAUUUGAUAUCAUUAAUGUCAUGUGAAGAUAAGUUCAAUUAUGAUAAGAACAAACCUAUGGUGUACAUAUUGGGACCAAACUACAUGAAAAAGCUCAUGUCGUAAUAUAUUGUCUCCUCAAAGUGAUAUCAAAAACAAAUAACUCAACAAUACUCCUUAUUUGUAAUUCCUUUUCUUGUCCUCAAAAUGAAAUGAAAAAGUGACUCUUCUAUAACUAUGAAGUGCACAUGUCCACUAAUCCUCUCUUUUGUUAGCAUUGGUCUAAAUCUUUCACAAAGAAGACCAAUCACUUUAUGUAUAAAUUAAAUGCCUAGAAAAGGACCAUCCAACCUACUCUCCUUAUCUACUUUUAAUUUUUUUCUUAGCUUUUUCCACUCAAUUUUAAUGCGGACUCACCAAAUAUCAAAGCUGUUGGAUGACUAAUUGUUGAUUGAUGCAAGCCAAGUCCAAUUUCACCAAUUUUGUUAUCUUGUUAGCUUAAUGGGACCUGCAUUAUACCCUGUAAGGGAAAAGUCAGAUUAGGCCAAAUCAUAUUUGAAGUGACGUGAGAUUGAUUGGGUCGAAUCACAAUCGAAAUCCGUGUGUGUUAUAUCUGUACGUUUUAAGUGAAUUAAUUAUGUUUUCUAGCAACCAGAGAUUUUGAGAUUAAUGAUUAGUGCCGAUGAUCCGGCACCUCUCUCUGAAUCAUAGCUUCAAAUAUUAUGUAUGAUUACCAACUAUGACAUCAUGUUGCUUAAUAUCAAUCCCCCUAUUGUUAAUGAUUUAUGUUAUUAUCUCAGUCCUGUUUAGUCCAACUUUGAAGACCACCUAUUUCUCCUUUUCAUAUCAAUAGAUACCAUACUUCAUCCACACCCCUUUGUGUUACAACUUGUACUUUUGAGAAAUGAUCGAGCCAUCGUUCUCAGUACAAAUUUUCUUGGCACUCAUUUUAUCGAUCUCUUAUGCUACUAACUAGCCUUCGAACAUGUGGUUAGGUGAAGCAUAAAGUCAAAUCUGAGCAUCUUUGUGAGUUGUUUAAGUCAUUUGUUUAUUGUGUUUAGAACCUCUGCUGGAAUUCUAUAGACAAAUCAUAACCUCGCAAAUGAAACAACUAAAGAAAAGAGCAUAUAGUCAAUGUUGAAUUCCUAUAACUUGGAUUAAUUAUUGUUAUUAAUUUAUUUCGAAUUGUAUUGUCAGUUAGAUUUGGUAGGAUUUGGUAGGAUUUGGUAGCGAAAUCGAGUUCGAUGAAUCUACAAUUACUUGUGUAAAGAUACCAAAGUCAUAUUCAGCAAAAACAACAAGAGAUGCACCACCAUCCAAUUCUUGUUUGAUGCAACUCUUCUUACUUUCUUGGAUAAUUACUUUGGACAACUAUGUUGUUGCUUCAAGUUUUGGUUCUAGUGAUAUGGUUGAGCAAAUAAUUCAUUAUUGUGACUCAUUCAGGAACUCGGUCGACGUGUUAUCUUCGAGUAUUAGAAGAUGAUCAUAUUCUAAGUGCUGGACAUAAUUUUUUAGCCUUCUUAUUACUGAUGGUAGCACAUAAUCGCCAUCCGUCGGCGCUUAAAAUAGUAACUAUCUAUCUAGUAGGUAUUUUUGUUUUCUUUAUUGUUCGGACUAAUUCCUCCAUCUUAAAGUUUCAUACAUAUAUAUAUGCAUCUCUUAAUCGACUCGAAUAAAACAAAUAUACAAGAGUUUUGAUCAUUUGAUGGAAAUUUAGGAACUCCUAACAAUUUGAGUGUAACCAUCUUUCAACUAACAUGACUCUCUUAUAAAAAUGCAACAAGUUAAGUCAAAGACGACAACAAUAUAGAGUAUAAUUAACUAGCAAAAAUGCUCGUGUAAUCGUAAUAAUGCGACAUAAUUGCUGAGAAAGAAAUAAAUUAUAAUCGAGCUUCGAAGUUUAUCUCUUUCGAACGAAAGGAAAUAUUUUGUUUUUUUUUUUUUUUUUUCAACUUCCAAUGCAAGUGUUGUGUGUCACCAAAGAAGAAAAUCUUAUUAUGGUUAAGAGUGUGCAAAUAAUCUGAAGGAGACAUAAUUAGCAAGGACAGUGUGAAUUAAUCAUUGAAGGGACAUAAUAUUUAGCUUUAUAUCGAAAUCUCAAUCAUAGUUUCCAUUCAAAAAGCAUAAUACACAACUAGCCAUUCUGAUUAAUAAUUCAAAAAAUUUCGGUGGCAAAGCUUACUCUCUUAAGAAAGAUUAAAAGAACAUAAGAGGAGAAUAAAACAAACAAAACCAAAAGAAAAUCUGAGAGGGGCAAAUGAAAUUUAGCAGUAAUACAGAUGCAUGUUUCUGUAACUUUCGACACAAAGAUAGCAUGAACUCUAACAUAAUAAGAGUUCGAUGCCGCAAAGAAGAGAAAAUGCGGCAAAAUCUCUUAGAGAAGAGAGAGAGAGAGAGAGAGAGAGAGAGAGAGAGAGAGAGACAUUAAACUUUCAUAUUGUUCAAAUCAUGGUUUCUCCAAGAUAACAGAGUAUAUUUGUUUGGCAAGUAUGAAUAGUUCACAAAACUUCACUCAAAAAAAUGAAAAUAUUAUACUAUGUCACUAUUAUUAACUUGGUUUCUGUUCCUUUAUUUCCUAUAUUUCACACUCACUUCACAUUGGAAGAUAUAAUUUAUCUUAGAUAUAUAGGAGAGUACAUAAUACAAAUUGAAAAAUUAUAUUAUAAACAUUAUAGAUCUUAACUGUUCAUUUAGUAAAUCAAGUAUGUAAUGUGCUCAGUAUUAUAAAACUUACCCACUUGCAACAUUAUCUACCUUUGGACACACACUAAAGUUCCACAAGCAAACUCACACCCUUUUUCUUAAAGGGUACACACUACACUAUACACCACAAGAAUUGGACUCAAGAAUACAAGGAACCUUUUAAUGAGUGUUGAGCUAGGUGUCUCAUGUGAUCCAAUUCCCUUAAAUUAUUGUUUGGAAUCCAUGAUCAAACCUAGCUCUCUCAUACAAACUUAUUAGUUGAUAAUAUACACUUUGAUGGUUCUAUUCAUAUUUAUACUUAACACAAACACAACUCCACCAAUUUGCCUUGCCUUUUUUUUUAUCUUUUCUUUUUCCUACAACCUAGUGGAACACUCCUGAGUCCCCUAAGCCAAGAUCAUGAUCAAAUUCAAGUAGCCAUUCGCAGUUCCCGUCCCACGGCGACGGUCCCAUGAGACUACUAUAAUCCUCUUCACUAGGUUGAAGUAACCAUGAGUCAUCAACAAUAGGUAGAUCAUCUUCCCAUAGAGAGCUAGCUAGUUGGUCGUGGCACGUCUUCGAGCUAGCUUGAUCCGGUGGACUCGAGUGGUUUUGCGAUGAGCCGGUUCGCCCUUCAUCGCUGUGAGAAGUGGACUUUUGAUUGUCGGACUUAGAUUCGGUGGUGGCAGUCGACCGCGACGUUGUCGGGCUAGCCUUUUUGUUGAGUGGCUGGUGGGUGACAGGGUCUAUGCCCAUCUUUAUGAGCUUCUUCUUGAUGUGCGUGUUCCAGUGAUUCUUUAUUUCGUUAUCAGUUCUUCCAGGCAAUUUUGCAGCAAUUUUGGACCAUCUGCAACAAUUGACGAGAGCAACUUCGUUAGUAAAUGUCUUAGAUUUAAGAGUCAGCGAAAAACUAGUUUCUUUGAGAUAAAAUGCAACGAUCCGACCCGCCAGCAAUAAUAACUCGUUAGGUAUAAACAACCGGCCGAAAAUGCUUAAACCCAAUUAUUAUUACUAGCGUGCGAGGCCUCAUAUAAACUGAUCGGAAUCAGUAUCCCAUCCGAUAUGGCACUAUUAUAUAAACUGAUCGGAAUCAGUAUCCCAUCCGAUAUUGGAUUAUUGGGGGCGUUACAAACUUCCUCCUGUUUAGACCUUGAUUUUCGUUAGGUUCAAACCCAGACAGACAGACCAGGAUCAGAAUAACUCGGUGAUGUGAGAUUCUAGAGGUGACUUCUACGGGUUUAAGAGGUGGCUCCUACCAAACCCUUUGGUGUAGCAUUUUGCCCUGCAUAACAUUUAGCUUUCAUACUUCUAGCUGGUAUUCGGCUUUGAUACCAAAUGCAAUGACCCGACCCGCCAGCAAUAAUGACUAAUUAGGCCCGACCAACAGGCCAAAAAUACUUAAGCCCAGUUAUUAUUACUAGCAUGCAAUGCCUCAUAUAAAUUGAUCGGGAUCAGUAUUCCAUCCUCCAUCCGAUGUGGGACUAUUGGGGGUGUUACAUAAAAUUAGUAUGGUUCCUCAUAAGGGUAGUUGCAUAGGCCAAGAAGUUUACUCUAUAAGACUAAUGGAUGCUUAGCAGUGAAGAGAUUCAUAUAAAUUUGAGUUUGGGAAUCAUCACAAGCUAGAAAAAUUAUUAUAAAGAAACAAAGUCAUAUUCUUCUUUAGAAAAUGGUUGAUCAUUCAUGAAAGAAAGAUAUGUGAAUCCCUUUUCUAAAUCUUUAAGAAAGAGAAAGAAUUAACUAUAAUUUUUUACUGGACCCAUGACGCAACUCAUACGACUAAUUAAACAAGUUGUUUUACUUCCUGAUCAAGAACUUGGUUGGUAUAAUUAGUUGUCUUCGUUAUAAAGAUUCGGAAUUGCUUUUGUUGGAAUCUUUGAAUGAGUCUUAUCGCUCCAAAUGUUGGCGAAGCUCCGAUCGAACUUCGAUCACUAAAAUUUGGCGAAGAAACCGUCGUUUGGUCGAACAUCACAUCAGUUUGGUCGCUUGGUUUACAUGAUCGAUCUUCAAAUCAAUGAAUUGAUGUAUUGGUCAUUAAUUAGAGUCCAAUAUUAAUUAGUGUUACAAAUUAAUUAAGAGUGCGCAUUUGAAGCAACCAUAGACUUUAAUAUACUGGCUUAAGAUCGCAUUAAUUAAUUAAUUAGGCACCAUAUGAUGUCGAGAAACUUAAAAAAUGUGGACCAAUUUUGUUUCCUCGUAUCCAACGUCAUCAUCACGUCACAUAGCCGUAUGUGUACGAACUAUACAUGUAGAACUAUUUAGGUAACAUUAGGUUAGCUAAACCAAUCAAAAUGAAUAUGUGGUAAAGAGUUAAAUCUAUUAGAAAUCUAUCAACCCCAAAAAAAAAAGAAAAAAAGAUGCAGGUAGGCCCAGUUCACGUAUUGAUUUUCUAUGAGGUGAAAAGAAUUUUUUUUUUUAAAAAAAAAUAAAAAUGGUUAGGAUAUGUUCCCAUAAAUUACUGAAAUUCUUAGAGUAAGGCACACUCAGUGUUCUUAAAAAAAAUAUUCUAAAUUUCUAAGAAUAUAAAAUAAUUUUCAGAUCGCUAGAACUCUUUAAUACUAAUUUCUCGAUUGAUUGUAAAUGAUAUACUUUUUUUUUGAGAUACGUCAUAAACAAUACGGUAGCAAAUUUAAAAAAGUAACUUCGGUAAUACGGUAAUACGGUAGAGCUAGCACAAAAACCUUGUUAUUAUAGGAUAAUACUUGUGCGUCAACAAUCCGAUUGUACUAAAAAUACUAUCCAACUUACAAAAGCUAUGCAGAUAAGAGUCAUCUAAUACUAUCAAUAGUAUCUUUUUUUUUUUUUAGAGAAAAAAUUAGCAUGCUAUUCGCUUCGUUUAUUUUAUUUAGAAAUAAACUUAGCCAGAAAUAUGGAUCAACUAGAAUUCGAAUUUGAAUCUCGGAUAUCAAUCACCAAACCUUUUUGCCACUUGUGUUAGGGCCGGUCGGUUACUAUCAAUAGUAUCUAAUUUAUAUUACUCGUGUUAAAAGGUUCGAGCCAAUCUAAAAAUCUUGAUCUUAGUAAGCGCAAACAAAAAAGAAAACCACAAAGUGACUAAGUUGCAUUGCGAAAUCGUACGCAUCCUAUGAUCCUACUUUUACCGCACAUUACGUACGUAUCCGUAAAGAAUCAAACGUACGGAUGUAAGGAGCUGAAGGAAGGGAAAAGAAGAUGAACUGAAAUGGAAUGAAGAAUGAUGGCAUGCAAAUUCAUACUUGUUGCCGAGGCGGGCGUGGAGGUCGAUGACGAGCUGCUCCUCGGCGUCGGUGAGCAGGCCGCGCUUGAGGUCGGGCCGCAGGUAGUUGGUCCAGCGCAGGCGGCAGCUCUUCCCGCAUCGCAGCAGGCCGGCCAGCUUCGGGACGGCGCGCCAGCAGCAGUGGCCGUGGGUGAGCAGGAAGCCGAUCAGCUUCUUGUCCUCCUCCGCCGUCCACGGCCCCCGCUUCACCCCCAGCUUGUCGCAGCACGGCUGCCGCCCCAUCAAUUACGCCCUUCCAAUUAACCACUGCCCCUACUGCUUACUUCGUUUUGUAUCUUUUGUUGUUGUUGUUGUUGUUGUUGUUGUUUUCUUCGGAAUAAUAUUGCUACUACUACUACUGAUUCUCUCUUGUUCUUCCUUUCGCGCACGAACGCAUCACCACCACGACGACCACGACCACCACGACUACCUACCCGCACCCAACAACUCGAGUUUUUUAAAAAAGGGGAGAUUUCGCUAGGACAGUCCUGACAGCAAUCGGAAAGGGGUCCUGAAAGCUGCCCGGCAACCGCAACGAGCUGACUGUUGUGUUUUCUUUAUUGGUUUCCUCUGAGGAAAACCUUUUUCCUUUUUUAAAAAAAUUAAUGUAAUUAUUAGAGUACUUGGACAAAUUCAAAAAAAAGAAAAAAAAAGUUAUGUGGCUAUCGCUCACGAUUUUUUUUUUAUUUUAUUUUUUUUUUUUGGGUCGCUUGAACAAAUAAGACGAAAAAUCCUGUACGUAUUGCCGACAACUAUUGUUUAUUUUGUAAUGUAACGUGUAUUAAUUGGAUGACAAUUCCUGUUGUAAUAGUUUGCAAGCAAACUCGAAGUAAGAAAAUAAGCAAAAUAUAUAUUAUAUUUUAUAAGCAAAAAUUUAUCCUAUUUUGAGGUAUAUAAGUAACAUUGCUUAUUUUAAAGAUAUAAAUUUAAACUAGAAACACAAAAAGAAUCUAUACUAUUAAUAAAUUAUAAACUAGUGGGUAAUAAUAAGGGGCUCGUUCGGUAUCAAGAGCCAUCUAAUUAACACUGCCGGAGAAAAGAAGUUCAAGUGAGAAUAUUAUAAAUAUAUUUUCUGCAAUGAUGACUUAAUUUAGUUGACAUAUGGGUAAUAUAAAAAUAAUAUAACAAUAAUUAAAAUAAUAUAUCAUUUUAAUAUCAACUAUGCGUCAAUAUUAAUUUAGCCAGGUAAAUUAGGUUAUGGAACAAUAGCAAUUCUUAAAGUUUGUACAAUUCCAAAAGUUACAAUAAAUUAAAAGUUGCGAACUAAAACAUGAUUGGUCUCAUAAUUUGAGGACCAAAGUGCAGUCUACUGGAGCAAUAAUAAUGUUAUACGUACUAUUUUAUUUUAGAAUUAAUUUCAUACAUAUUUCUGUAAAUAUAGUAAAUUGCAAAUAUAUUUCUUAAAAGUUCAACUUCUAUACAUUGUUCCUACAAAAGUCCUAAUAUUUUUAAAUAUAUUUCUACUGUUAGGAUCUGUUAGAAAAAACUAAUUACCCAUAGGUAAAAUAUAUACUUAACCAUAGUUAGUGAAUACGGUGAAUUGACCUUUUUAUCCAUCCUUAAUUAAUAGUUCGGAUUUUAGAAAGACAUAUUUAUGAUGGCAAAAAAAUUAUUUCACUUAUAAAAUAAACAGCAUUUUAACAAUAACAAAUCAAAAAUAUAUAUAUAAAAAUAUUAAAAUUUUUGUAGGGACAAUAUAUAUAAAAUUGAACAGCAGCGGUCUGAAUGAAAUUAAUCAUUUAUUUUAUUAUAAUAAUAAAAUUAUUUAUAAUUUUGUUGUCUGUCAAAGCUUCCAGAGUCUUUGCUGUUUUCAUUUCCGACGAUGCAGGCUGGCGUCCUUGCAAAUUGCACGCUUACUCAACCAUUCCGUCAGCAGUCUCGUCAUCCCCGCCCCCAUGCUGUUCAUAUUCUCUGUGUUUUAAGAAUAAAUAAUCUACUACUCCCUGUCCGCCGCGUCAGCCGUGGACCACCCAAUGGCAUUUUUACUCCACUAUCCUUUCAGCUGGGGACGUGGAUGGUUACGGAUACAUUAAAUUUUAUACGCUUCUAAAUCGAGUAAAUUUAUUCGGUACUAAAUGAAUAUAGUUUUGAAUAUGAAUAUUAAAAAUAAAAAUUUGAUGGAUUUUCGUUUGGGUAUGGAUUUUAUCUGUGUCCAAUUCGAAUUCAAACUCGACCUUUAAUCCGAAUUGAUUUUACGUUAUAAAAUAUAUAUAUAAAUAUUUGAUGUUAUAUUUGAAUUUAUAUUCUAAAAAUUUAGAUUUAAUAUAAUAUGUUUUGAAAUAUGUUAAAGAAAUAAUUGUUUCAAGUUCGGAUUUUCAGGAUUGUGUUCAGAUUUCGAAUUUUUUCAGUUGGGUUCAGAUUUAGAUAUGAAUUUUUAAAAUUCGUCAGAUUCGGAUUUAGAUUCUGGCUUGGAAUUUAGUAAUCGGGUUAAGGUUCAGAUUUAUAAAAAUCUGUCUUGAAUCCGACACACUGACAUCCCUAUCCUCAGCCUUUGCUAGAGUUUUAUAUUUUUUACACGAAAAAUACUGUUUCUACAUUCAAAAAUAAAAUGUAAAAUUUAUAUCAACUUAUUUAAGUUGCGAGAGACACUUUUAGGUUUAAUACGAAAAAUAAAAAAUUAAUAAAAUGUGUGUAAAAAUAUUGGCUCUCUAAUAAACAAGAUGUAAGAUUUAUAAGUACUUUUUUGAAUGUAUAUGUUAGCAAUGAUUUUUUUCAUAUUUCAAUUUAACAAUCAAUAUUUCUUUAUUAGAAAAGUUAGUUAAUAUUUGAAAUAAGUUGUGAAUAAAUAGUAGUUAUGAGUUAUAACUUUAGGUAUUGUUUGGUUCGGGAAUAAGCAAAAAGUGGCUAUUUCAGGGAUAGGUAUAAAUUGAGGAAUAAGCGCGGAUUAGAUCAAUUUUGCGUUUGGAUGAAAAUUAGUUAUUCCUAGAAAUAAAAAAAAAAAUAACGUUUGGUUAGAUAAGAUGGAAUAUGAAGGAGAGUGAGUUUUUAUAAAUAAAAAAUAAUAAUAUUACCCUCUUAUUAUAUUUGAAUUUAAAUUUUUAAAUUUUUAAAUUUAUAUUUCUAAAUUUAAAAUUUUAACUUUGAAAUUUCAAAUUUAUCUAUUUUAUCCAUUUUUUUAUCUAUUUUACCUAUUUUAUCUAUUUUUUAUCUAUUUUUGAAAUUUCAAAUUUUAACUUUGAAAUUUCUAUUUUAUCUAUUUUUUAUCUAUUUUAUAUUAUUCUGGAUGAAAUAUUUUUGGAGCUUGAGAGUUGGGGCUCCAGCAAGUUCGUUGGAGUCCGGGCUCCAAUGCCACGUGGCAUGCAUCUGAAAGGAGAGCACACAUUUUCUUCUCGAGGUUAUUUUUUUAAAAAAACAACUUAAUUAAUUUAAUUUACUUUAAUUUAGGGAGGCUGAAUGGUUAGAUAUUUGACGAAAUCAUAUCCUUAUUAUUCUUUUUCUUUUUUCAGAUACAGAUUCGAAUACAAAUAUGUGUUGGAUACUAAAUUUUUAUUACUAUAUCUGCUAAAAAUGGAUUCGGAUAUAGUCGAAUAUUUUUUUCGGAUUCGAAUAUGGAUCGUAUAUGUAUUCGAAUAAUAAUAUACAUUAAUUAAUAUGCAUGUACAUAAAUUUUUUUUAUUUUUCUAUCUUAUUUUCUAACUAUAUUUUUUCACAUAAUAAAAUAUAUAAUUUUAAUAUAUAACUCAUUAUAAAAUAAAAAAAUAAUAUAUAAAAUCAAUAUGUAUUAAUCAUCUUUCCGUAUUAGCAAUGAAUUAGAUAAGUAGACAAAAAUGAUCGACUCUAGAGGAAAGAAAUUUGGGUUGACCGGACGAGCGAAAUUAUGAUGGUGAAUCCAAAAAUACAAAAAAUAUAAAAAUAAUACUAAAAGUUCAGAUAUCCGCAUCCAUAUCGGUUAUUUUUCAAUAUCCGAAAAAAAUUAACUCUCUAAAACUAUAUUCGUAUUCGUGUCCGACUGGAUCCAGAUAUUUUCUUUCCAGAUCCUGAUAUUAUCAAAUAUGAAUACGAAUAUUUUCAGAUAAUAUCCGAUCCGUUUUCACCCCUACUUUAAUUAGAAGAAAUAUAAAUAAAAAAGUAAAUAAAAAUAAAAAGUUAAUAAAUAAAAUUUAAAAAGAGAUUAUUUGAAAAAAGUUAAUGCGGAAAGAAAUUGCAUAUAUGAGAAGCUUACAUCUUGUAUAUUCUUUUUUAAAAAAUAAAAUUUAAAAAUUACACUUAAUUAUUUAAUUUAAAAAUAAUAUUUUAAAACUAUCAUUAAAAAUAUAGGACUUAACUCCAACAUAAAAAAUUGAUUAAUUAAUUAUUUGAGAGAGAUAAAACUAUUUUACUUUUAAAUAAUUAAAAGAAAUAGAGUGCAAAUUUUUCUUUUCUUGAAGGCAAAACAGUAGAGUUAGGGCUCAUUAUUUUUAUAAAUUUUAUUUUAUUUUCUUAUUUUAUCUUCUUUUUAAGUUUUUACUUAUAUUUUUUAAAAUUAAAAAUAAAAAUGAAACGUACCAUUAUUAGGGAAGGGACCACCCUCCCUUUCGAGGUUUCCUCGGAUCCCAAAAAAUUAUUUAUUGAUGCAGACCUGUGCCAAUUUUAGUGCUGCACACAUGGGGCACGCGCGAUGCCGCACUUUUUAGUGGGUCAUGUUGAAAUUUUAUAAGAAACUAAAAUCAUAUUUUCUGUAAGAAUUUUAAUUUCUGUAUUCAAUUUGUAAGCGUGAUUUUUGCUCGUGUUUUGUUCUCGUUCGCAAUCUGUAAAAAAAGUAAUGUUUCGAGCCUAAUUUUCUUAUUUCUAAAUAUGGAGCUGUCACAGAAAACGUUAUUAGAGUUAGACCGGAAUUUCUGUAUGUUAUAUAUAUUCAUUAUGUUAUAUUUAUAUAUAACUUAAUGUAAGGAUGUUUAAUUACGUCCAUACAUUAAGAACAUGUUCAGAUACAUCCUAACCGGUAGAUCUUCCGUAUCUUUAUAAAUCGAUUUGAAUAGAAAGAUUGUAUCUUUAUAGAUCGUCUUGAAUAAACCAUGUGUGCCAUAUCCAACAGAUCAUUCAUUCUAAAAUUAUUUUAUUUCCAAUCCAACUAAUUCUUUUAAUAUUAUUGUUUUAACUAUCAUUCAAAAUGUUAUAGUCAAAUUAAAAAAUUUAGUCCUAUUAUAUUUUAUAUAUAAAAAUAUUUUAAAUCUCACAAAUGUUGCAAAAUGAGUAUAGGUUGGAUAAAGAUUAGAUAUUUGUAUUAAAAUAGAAAAUGCUACAUAGCGGUGCAUCUCAAAAAAAAAGUGUAUAUUUUACCUCACUUAUUCUAAAAUUCACUAAUCUUUUAAAAUAUUUAAUAUUGUUAAAAAUAAAAAUUAGACAAGUUUAAAGAGUAAUAAUAACUUUUAGAUGAUGGCAUGUGAGAUCUACACCCGUUUUAAGUUGUACAAAUAGGAUUUCUUAUAUUUAUAUUCUAAUUAAAACGCGUGCUACAAAAUAUUCUAUACACUAGGUGCAUGGUAGACUAAUUUAGAAAAUCAUAAAAAUUUGGCUAAAUUAUACAUUUGGUUAUUUGUGCUAAUUUUGAGCUCAAACUUUAUAAAUUGUUAUUAUCAAGUCCUAUAUAUAGUCUAAUUCAGUUAACUAAAUAAUACUGUGCGCUGAAGAAAUAGUAAUGUAAUAGUAUUGUACUCAAUAAUAUAAGAAUAAUCUAGGCACCACAUAGUAUGAUAUUAACGAUUGAUAUUUCAAAAUGCAAUCAACUAAUUUGACAAACUUAAAUAUUAUAAAAAUCUAAAAUAUUUGAGUCAAAAAUUAUAAUAAAUUAAAAUAUAUAAACUAAAAUAUCACACAUUUUCUAUUUUGAGAGAUAAAGUAUAAUUUUGCACAAAUAAUUUUGUACAUAUGUUUUUGAAAUUUGUAAUUAAUAAAUGUAUCCUUUAAGGGCCCGUUUGGUUCGAGUUAUGUAAUAUUACAAAGUAUCUCGACAUAUCCAGGUAUCUUGGAUUUCGGCGUGAGAUUACUACUGAUGCUACAUUAGCGCGUUUGGUUUAAUGCAGUAAUGUAAUACUAGAUUACAGUGUUUAUAGCAUUAAUACGUUUGGUUCAGUCUAUAAAAUUUAGUAAUCCUCACAUAAAAAUAUAGUUUUUUUCAAAACUGCCCUUGUUGUGGUUAUUUGAAUAUUAUUUUUUGCAAAAAUGAUGAAUGGAGGGAAGGAGAUUGUGAUGAUUACCUGGGAGGACAACGCAAUAGAAGAUGAUACGUGUUCGUGCGAGAGAGAGAGAGAGACGUCGAGAGAGAGAGAGAGAGCGAGAGAAAGCGGUGUGCGAGAGAGAGGGGGGAAGGCGAGAGAGAGAUGAAAAUAAUGUUGUUAAUUAGAUUAAGGUUGUUGGAGGGUAAAAUUGUCAUUUUACAUAAUAUGUAGUAUUAACGGAUUUCAGUAAUGCAAGAUACACGACCCCCCUCCUAUUAAUAUUUUCGAUGUAAUCCUGCUCGAUUUGUAAUGCUACAUUAACGACUAGAUUACAUAGCGGAUUAACCAAACACAGUUAUCCUGGUAGGAUUGCCAGUAAUCCUGGCAGGAAAACUCGAACCAAACGCACCCUAAAUGCUAUCUAUCUAUAUAUAUACCAAAAAAAUAAAAUAAAAAUCGUACACUCUAUCCGUACGUACGUAGUACCGUACAAGGUCCGGUAUUUUCUCAAUAGUUUGCCUAUUUUUUAAUACUAAAAAUUUAAAAAAUAAUUUGCCUAUUUUUUAUAUGUAUAAAUAAUAUUUAUAUACCAUUUAUUAUUUAGUUACAUGUCACAUCGUCAAUGCACGAGUUUUGUAGCACCUUCCUUCUCUUUUAACUACACAUGUUUUACACGUAAAUUCUUAAAAAAUUAAAUAUUUAUAUUUAUAUCUCUUAGGCCUUUUUGUAAAAAAAAAAAAAAAGGUCCACUGGUUUUAGUUUUUUGCGAAUAUGUCCGCUUUUUUUUGGAUAUUACGGAUGUGAUCAUUUUUUAAAAAAGUACGUACAAGUUCGAAUUAUAUAUAAUUGAAGGUACUUUUAUAUUAAAAGAUGAGAAUUCUCAUCAGAAAAAAAUUAAGCAUAACAGGUAAAGAAGAAAUAAUACAACAUCCUUUUAAAUAAUAUAAUAUUUUUUAUCUUUCUUACUAAAAAUUUUAUAUUUAAAAUAUGUUUCACCAUUUAAAAUUAUAUUGCAUUAUUUAAUUAAAAAUAAAAUUGUUUAUUAAAAAUAUAAAAAUUUUAUGCCAUUUGAAAUUAUAUUACACAUGCACUUUGAUAAAUAAGUUGAACUAAUUGGUAGUUUGUUGGACAACUUAAAAAACAUGUGCAAUAUAUUUUAAAUAAAUAAAUAGUGCACUUCAAUUUAUAAUAAUAUAUAUAAAAGCUCAAGAUAUUAUAGCAUUAAAAUAAUGUGUCAAUUUUUUUUUUUAAUAAUUGACAAAUCAUAAUGUACAUAUACUUUUCCUUUGAGAGACAAAAAUUUUCGUUUAACACACAAAAAAAGAAGAAGAAGUGCAAUAUCCUCCUAAAUUGUGCAAUAUUUUUAUAAAUGGUUCAAUAUUUGUAUAAACACUAGAAAUAUUGCACAAUUUACGCAAUAUAUAGCAAACACAACAAUAUAUUAUUUAGUACAAAUAGUGUAAUAUAUUGUAAUAUAUUGUAUAAAAAAGUGAUACAAUAUUUGUAUAAAUAUUGCAGAUAUAUUGCAUGCAUAAUUUCUAUAAAUAUUAUAUAAUUUAGGAGGAUAUAUAUAUUGCACCCUUUUUUCUUUAUUUAUUUAUUUUUUUGUUUUUGCGUAAAUGAGAAUUCCUUUUCUCGAGAAUAAAUUACAUGCAUAUAUAUAUAAUGACUGUCUAAAAAAUUUGACAUUUUAUUUUAAUAUUAAAAUGCAAUAUAAUUAAUAACUAUUCUCUUAAAUUAUGCAAUAUUUAUAAAAUAGUGCAAAAUUUAUACUAUUUGUGUAAAUAUUUACAUCAUUUAUAUACAAUAUAUCAUAAAAAGUACAAUAUAUUGCAUAAAUUAUACAACAUUUAUAUAAAUAGUGUAAUAUUUUACUAUUUUUUCUGUAGUCUUUCAAAGUUCAUAAUUUUAAUCGAUUGAUUUGAAUUCUUCAAGUCGACCGACCAGGAGAAUAACGCAGAAAUCGAUUGAUUUGCAUGUACGCAUUUCGAGCGUAUCGAUCGACAUUUUAGAAAUUUAGCAUAUAUAUGUAUGAUUACUGAACAUUAUAUUAAUUGAUUAACUAUUAACUCAUUGGAAAAGUAUCAUAAUCGUCUCGGACGUAUUCCUUCCGUGUAAAUAGAUAAAAUCUACUUAUAUCAUUAUAAUUCUUACUUUUUUUAUAAGUUUUAUAUUAAAAAAAUUAUUUUGACUUUUAUAUAGAUGACACGGCCAAUUCCUAAAUUUAUGAUUAAUAGUACAAAAGGACAAGUUCCAAAAAAAAAAAAAAUAAAUAUCGGCUCGAGAUGUGUUUAGCUUGUUAAUUUGCUUGUCUAUUAAUUAAACGGUCACACAAAUUGUCCAAAAAAAUUUUAUUUAUUCUUUUCUUUUUUAUUUUUGUUUUUGCGAGUUCACUAAGUUUUCACUUUAUUUCGAUUCAGUUCGUUUCAAUUGAUUAACUCGGUUUCGAUAAAAAGUUUUUAAACAAUUGAUAUUAACAUGCUUAAUCUCAUUCUUAAAUGUUUUAUCUAAUGGUAUAUUAUCAAUCGAGACGCAACCGUAAAAUAUAUAUAAUUUGAAAGUUUAAUCACUAAUAAAUGUUUAACCGUUAAAUAUUGAAGGGAGGGAUGGGUUUAGAAUUGGCUUUACUAUUAAGGGGUAAAUACAAUUUGGGUUCUCAAACUAUAAGAUACAUGACACUUUCGUCCUUAAAUUUUAAUUUAUUUAAUUUCUGGCUCGAAUUUUUUAAAUUAUUACAAUCAAGUCUCACAAACUAAUUUUUUAAUUAAAUAUUACUGAAUUACUAAUGUAAAAGUGAUUUUAGUAAUGUCAUAAUUGAAUAAAUUAAGAUGCCACAUUAUUUCUAUAUUAAUAAUUCACUAACAUUUAGUAAAAAAGAUUAGGUUAUGUGAUUUGAUUAUACUAAUAUAGAAAAUUUUACUUAGAAAUUAUAAUAAAUUAAAGCUUGAGAACUAAAAUGUUUUCCCCUUCAUAUAUAUAUAACUUAAGAACCAAAACUAUAAUAUUAUAUUAUCUGAAAGAACAAUUUACUAUGUAAUAAAUGGAUCCGAAUAUAUACACUGUUAAAUUUACAAACACAUCACAUCUAUCAUUAAAAUUAUCAAUUUUGAGACCUUUGUUCAUCACUAGCCAAAUGAUGUCGAAAAAUUAUGAAAUUUAAUUUUUAAAUAUUUUUAAUAAUGUAAAUCAAGUCUAACGGAGCCGAUCGUCGAUUUGGGAGCCGCAUCAUUGAAAAUAACUUGGUAGCAUGGAUGCCUCUGUCCUAUCGAUAGUAUAUCAGCCUAUCUCUCUCUCUAUCUAUAUAUAUAUAGCAAGAUACAUGAUUAAUGGAAUCUUUACAUUUAUGGAAUAGUUUGUUAGUUUGUGUUUUUUUAGAUAAAAAAUUGUUUUGAAUGUUUUGCUUGGAGUUAAAUGAAAUCUUUACAUUUACGGAAUAUUUGUUAGUUAGUUUUUUUUUUUAGAAAAAAAAAAUUGUUUUGAAUAUUUUGCUUGGGAUUUGAUAUCGUCGCUAUUGCGUUGUCAACUCCAACAACGACUUCUCACCAAAGCGAGCAACGGAAAUCUCUUCCCAACGAGAGAAAAGAAAAAAAAUAUCACAGAAUCAAAUAUAAUAAUAAUAAUAAUAAAAAAAAGUAAAAGCCACUUUGUUGGAUGUUGUAGUACAACUACUUAAAGAGAGAUACGCCGACCAUCCCUAGCGCAAGUGAUAAAAGACUUAGUAAUUGAUAUCCGAGGUCCCGAAUUCGAAUUCUAAUUUAUUCAUAUUUCCAACUAAGUUUAUUUCUAAACGAAAUAAACGAAACGUGUAAUAUGCUACCUAUUUCUCAAAAAAAAAAAGAAAAAAAAAAAGAGAGAUACAACAUUUUAUUUUAUUUUGUUUCAUUUUUCUAUCGGAUGGUUGUUACUUCUGUUUGUUGUGUAAAUACUAAUUGAGUAGAAAUCUUGGUAUAGUUAAUGGGACAUCCAACUUAGUAUUUAUUUACUUUUGGGUAAAAUAUGGAUAACCUUUUUUAAUAUAUUGUAUAUAUAUAUAUUGCAUUUUACUCUUUUAUAUAUAAAACAAAUAUGCACUUAAUUUCAGUUGAACGAUGAAAAAUAUCUUAUCAGAAUAUAAUAUUAAAAAAAAAUAAUAAAUGAUUAAACAUGCCUUCAUUGUUUAUUCUUUUUCCUUCUCAAAAAGAUGAAGUGCAUAUUUUUUUAAAAGGUUAAAUACUAACUCUUCUUAUUUUUUUUAGGAGCUAGGCUGGCAUACUAUCGGUAGCACGAAAGCUUCCGUGCUACUAAGUUAUUUUUAUUGAUGCGGCUUCCAAAUCGAUGAUCGGUUCCGUUAGACUUGAUCUACACUAUUAAAAAUAUUUGGAAACUAAAUUUCAAAAUUUUUCAACAUCAUUUGGUUAGUGAUCAAAAGGUCUCAAAAUUGACAAUUUUAAUGAUAGAUGUGAUGCAUUUGUAAAUUUAACAGUGUAAAACAAUCCAAAUCAAAUGAAAUUUUUAUAGAAAAUUCUUUUUACUAUUUAGAGUAAGAUCAGUACCNUAUCAUUAUUUUUUAUGAAAUUUUUAUUUUCAGCCGUUCAUUUUUAGACUACUUGUUUGAUAGGUAAAUGAUACAAAAAAAUUAUGAAAUUUAGUUUCCAAAUUUUUUCAAUAGUAUAGAUCAAAUCUAACGGAACAGUUCGUCGAUUUGAAAGCGAUAUUAUUAAAAACAACUUGGUAGCACGGAGACCUCCGUGCUACCGAUAGUAUACCAGGCUAACUCUUUUUUUAGAAGAUUAAAUACUAACUCUUCAUAUGAUAAGAAACAAAGAAGAGAUUAUAAAAAACAAAAGUAGUAGACUGUGCCAUUAAUAAAUAAGAGGUGAAAAGAGUUGCUCUUAAAUUUUUUUUUUUAGGAAUAAUAUCUAAUACGUUCUUCAAAAUUUUAAAAAUAUUAUAUUUAUUUCUGAAGGACUAAUUUAGUUUGUUGAUUUAAAAAAGUUCCUUCAAACAAUAUCCCAAUUUUUCCUAAGGUUAAUUUACUAAUGAAAUUGAAUUUUAAAAAAAUAUUUUCGUAAUUUCAAAAUAAAUUUUAAAACUUUUGAAUAGUAAUAAAGGAAAAAGUAAGCAAAAGCCUUUUUUUUCUUUAAACACACGUAGGCGUAGGAAUAAGGGAAAAUCUAUGCACUGUAUGUGGUAGUUGUGCAAUUUGACUUUGUAGCUAUUUAUUUAUUAUGUCUCUUAUAUGCAUGCAAAUAGCCAUUAAAUUUGUGCAAUUUACUUUUAAAAAUACAUAGUCAAAAGUGACACAAACAUAAAACUAAUUAGUAAACAAGAUGAAGAUGCACCAACCCAAGAGAGACCAACAACUCUUGUGAGAAAAAAUGGUUUUGACAUAAAAACGAUGACGAAUUCGAGAAAGAUCAAUAAUGCUGCACGUUUGGACUUGAGACUUUUUUAUAAACCCGUUAUGUAGAGUUGAAUUAAACGGGAGAAACUCAACAAUGGUAAAGAUCUGACGUGACUCAAACUCAGAACCCCUUAUUUUGAUAUCAUGUUAAAGAAUAGAAAAUAAUUAUUUUCUUCAAAAUUUUAAAUUGGUUGGAGAAUGGUGUUUUUAUAUAUUCUUUUAUAUUUAACAAACGUUCCAAUAUAAUUUGAUCAGUUGCAAGUCGCAAUUGGUCAAGAUCGCGCCGCACGUAUGGCCAGUACAAGUUAUAUAUAGGCUAAAUUAUAGAAAACCUUCCUGUCAAAACUCGAUUUUUCAUUUUUUCCCCUGUCAUUUAAAAACCUACAUUUUGUUCCCUUGUAAAAUAAAAAAUGUUCACAGGGGGUACAGUGUGAACUGUAAUGAUAAAAUGAUCAUUUUGCCCCUCAUUAUUUUGUCCCUCACCAUGUUCACAGGAGAAAAGGCAGAGGGCAUUUUUGGCAUAAAAAAAAUAUAAUAAUAUUUUAUAAACGGAACCCUAACGGAGUACUAACGGUAGGGGGCGAAGUGAACAUUUUUAAUUUUACAAGAAGGUAAAGUGUAGGUUUUUAAAUGAUAGAGAGGAAAAGUAAAAAAUUGGGUUUUAAUAGGGAAGUUUUAUGUAAUUUAGCCUUAUAUAUAUUCAUCAUUUGUGGUUCAAAGUUUAUUAUAACAUCCAAAUUAAACAUUGUGGUUCUACACAUUUGAAGAAUUUGCCUAUUUUAUUUUCAAAUAAAUUUCAUGCAACAUUUAGAAAGAAAAAACAAAGAACAUGCGCCUAUUGUUGUUUGAACUUGAAUUACUUAGGCUUAUUUUGGUAUUGAAGCAUAUCAAACGCUAUUAGAUAAAAUAGAGUUGAGAAAAAAGCAUAUAAUAGGGAUAUACUUUUGCGUUCUCCGGUGGGACCGCAGAAAAUAUAUCAUAACUGACUCAUCGCGAUAUGCGGAACGCAAUAUUAUAUACGUAAACAAACAGAGUAUUUUUCCAACGUACUUUCUCACUGCACGUAAACGCUAUCUCCCUACAAUUCCAAACGAAGCUUUAAUUUAUUUAUUGGUUAUCUGUCAUUUUUUUUUAAGUUUUUUUUUUUAUCGAUAUUUAUAUAUUUAUUGAAUAAUUCAAAGAAAUAUUCAAAUAGUUGAAAAUUUGUGAACUAUUUGCGAGUUUGCAAUAAAUUGGAAAAUGUUGUGUUACCACAAUAUUUGAUUAAAGCCUUCAUAAUUAAUUCAUUUAGGCCUAUUUGGUUUCAGGGGCGUCUAAUGUUACUAAUGUUACUGAGAAAAAAUUGUUGAGGCAAAAGCUUAUCGUUAUAUGGUUCUCCAUUUUCUAAUAGAACUACAAAAGUUAUAUCUUAAUGAAAUUAUUGAAAUCUACACAAUACGAUAUCUUUUAUAGAAAUAAAUAAAAUAUUUUUCUAUUGCACUUUUUUUUUAAGUACUUAAUGCAUUCUUCCUUCAAUCCAAGGCGGAGCCUAAAUUAACGCACGAUGAAGGUAGAGAUGCAAACGGAGCGGAUCUUGGGCAGGAUCCCCGUCCCGCCUCCCGUGCUCACUAGCAAAAUCCCACCCCACCCGCCCCAAAUCUAUGACGGGUUAAAAAAUAUAUCCUAUAAUCCAUCCUGCCUCGUAACCCACCUCCCACCGGGGCCCCUGAAUCCGCCCCGCGAAUAUAUUUUUUUCAUAAAAUUUUAAUAUUACUAAGUUUCAAAUAAAUAAGAAAUGAAAGCGGAUUACGGACUUUUUUUGUAAACAUAUUAUUUUUUAGGAAUAUUUUUUAAAAAUAUAUAUAGUUUUCGGGGCAGAUUUGGGAAGAAUCAUGGUGGGGCUUAUUCGGGACAGGUCAAAAUUUCUACAGUUUUCUGCCCCGAAUCCAUUUUCGGAUCAUAAAAAUUACCCCCUUUUCCACCUCGAUUCCGUUUAUUUUUUUUUCGUUUACUGCCCCCAUUCGGGGAGGAUCGGGGCGGGAGCUCCACCAACCCAGAUCUGUUUGCAUCCCUAGAUGAAGGUGGGAUUUUCAAGCCAAGAAAACCUCAAAUCCAACUAGGCUAGUAAAAACAAAAGAGUAUCGUGUCGAAUUAUUGUCGCUAACCAUUAUUCCCAAAAAUUUAAGCUGUUAAAAAUACACAACCAAUUCUUUUAAAGCGUACAGACACAGUGCCUACUGGUUCGAAUUAUGACUCAGUCCAACUAGCCCCACACCAUUUCAAAGAUGACUCGACUUAAUCCAAUCUCUCGUCAUUCAGAACGUUAUUCGGUCUAUCGGUUCGAAUUAUGACUCGGUCCAACCAGCCCCACACCAUUUCAAAGAUGACUCGACUUUAUCCGAUCUCUCAUCAUUCAGAACGUUAUUCGGUCCAAUCUGACCUCCCUCCAUUGGGUAGGAUGCUGGCACUUUUAAGCCAACAUGUAGAGCCCAAGGGGGCCCAACAAAGCGUGUAAAUGCCCACUAGAGAGGACUGGGAAUUAACAGAUGAGCUUAAGGCCCAAGGUUUCAAAAUCCAAAUUGGUCACCUCAAAAGCUUCAAGAACAAAAAGGUCACAACAUUAAAUAAAUAAACUAAUUUUUUUUAUAAGGAGCUCCAUAUAGAAAAUGGGAUAUGAGAGGAGGGAUUGAUCUCUCAUGCUUUUAGGACAAACUUGUUUAAUAGUUAAGAUUAGAUGUAUCAAUUUGAUGAAGAGUGUCUAAUACUUUUUGCAAAUUUAUGUACUUAUAUUUAGAUGAUACAAUUUGCAACUUCCCACAUGUAUUGUGAAAGUAGAAAAGAAAUAAAAUUGUAAUUAUUUAAAUUUCGUCACUUCGAACAUGAUUUUCAGAAUAAUUCGGAAAAAGAAAAGUUAAAAUUUAAUGUACAUGAUACCGAAAAUAUGAAGCAAUUAGGUGCUGAACUUAAAAUUUCAUAUGCCAACUAUUAAAUUCUUUGCUAUCUACGCUAGAAACGAUCAGUAUGUACGAUAAAAUUUUUAUUGUUUAUUUUGGUUGAAAGUAGAAUAAGAAAUAAAGUCAACUCGCUGUAACUAAAAUUCACUUUUUUUUCUUUUUUUUUUCUUUUUUUUUUUUUUUUUUACAAUAUUUUUAAAGAUUUUUAGAAUUAAAAAAUUUAAAAAAUAAAUAGGAGAAUGUAGAUCUUUGGAUGAAUUAGGUGUAAAUUUUGUACCUAUCUGUAGAUGCACAAGUAGCAUUGCUCUUGUGGUGUAAAAUAAAUUAUAGUAAAUUAACCAAUCGUUUAAGAAAUUUAAGUUUAAAAAUGUUUAAUUGCCAAUACACUUGCAUUAUAUUUAGUUUCUUCAAGCUGAACCUGUCAUUAUUAUUAUUAUUUAAAAAAUAAAAUUAAUAUACUUAUAUUUUUUUCACAAUAAAAAAAAAAUUAACUGAGGAGUUCUCCAAUAAAUAAGACAUCACUAAGUAGCCCCGUUUCUAGGGGUGGAACUGGGCCCGGGCCUAACCAAGGCCCGGCCCGAUGGGCCAUGUUUGGGCCGGGCUUUGGGUAUUAAAAAGAUAAUUUUAGGUUCGGGUCGGGCUUAAAAAUUUAGGCCCGAAUAAAAUUUGGGCCUAUUUGGGCAUGCCCAAGCCCGGCCCGAGUCCGACCCAAAAGCCUGAUAUAUUAAUUAUCAAAAUAAAAUAUUUAAUUAUAUAUAUUAUUUAUCUAGUAAAAGAAAUAAAUGAUAUAAUAUAUCAUAUAUAGUAUAUAUUGUUAUUAAUGAUAUGUACUUAUAUAUAUGAGGAUAUGUUAUAUAUUAACAAAAUAUUUAGUUCUAUAUUAUGAUAUAUUUGAUGUUAGAUAUUAAUUUCUUUGAUGUGAUAAAACUAAAAAUAGGUAUUUUAUUUUAAUUUUAUACAAAUAAAAGUAUUUAUGUAUUAUAUGAUAAAUGCAUAAAAUGGGCCUCCACAAAGCCCGAUGGGUAUUGGGCAUUGGGCUUGGGCUUGGGCUUGGGCCGGGCCUUGAUUUUUAAAAAAUUGGGUAAAAGCCCGACCCGAAGCCCAACAUUUUUUUUUGGGCCGGGCUUCGGGCAUAGUAUUGCCCGACCAAAACCCGGCCCAGUUCCACCCUACCCGUUUCGCUGUGAUGUAUUAAUUUUAUUUUUUAUAUAAAAUUAUAAUUUUCCCUCUAAAUUUAAUUUUAAAAAAAUAUUAAUAUUAAAAAUAUUUAGCGAGCUCCUCUCCGGCGCGCGGACCGGCUCGGCGCGGCGGGCGGGAGGUGGGCCGGCUCGGCCGGACGGGGCGCGCCGGGUCGGAUGUCACUGUGAGCGCGGAGCGCGCCGGGUGCGCGCCAGCGCUCGCCGCCGAGCGGCACGUGCCUCGCCUAGGAGGACUCGCACGUGGUGGGGACGCGGCGGCUCGGAGGAGGGUGGCGGACGCGGCCCGGGUCGCGAGCGUCGCCAUGGCGCUCCUGAACCGGGUCGGACCGGGUAAGUGUUGCGCUCCUUAAAAUUUUGUAAAAAAAAUGCAAGGAGGACCCUCUACUAUAACGUUAACUCUACAAACUGCGAGGUAUUAAUCAAAAAGUUAAAUUUGAGGGUGCCCAUUUCAUAACUCGCUAUAGUUGAGGGGGUCUCCAUAUAUUUAUGUCUUGGAUGGUUAGGGUGCCAGGUGGAAAUUUUGAUGGUUGGGUAAAUUAUUUGCGGCUAAAGUGAUGAUGAUGUAAUGAAUAAAUUGAAUUUGAUACAUUGUUAUAGUUUUUUUUUAAAUAAUUAUUUUAAAUUUUUGGAGAGAUUUUGUACAAUUAUUUUAAGGGGCAAUUGCCUAUAUACCCCUGAAAAGUUUCCGUUUUUCUUAUUUACCCCUCUUAGAAGGUUAAUAUUGAAAAUACCAUUCUUAUAUUCCAAAUCUUUCUAAUAUAUCCUUGGAGUUAAGUUCAGUCAGUGAGCUGUUGUUAUUUCUGAAAAAUUACCAUUUUGCCUAUUCCAAUAUACCCUUCUUAUGUUCCAAGUCUUUUUAAUAUACCCCUGGUGGUGGCUGUGGCCGUGCGACACCGCAUUCGCGCGCAUCGCGACGAUGUGCACCGCGUCGCCGCCCUUGGCGGAGCCCUCGUCCUCGUCCUCGUCCACGGGUGGCUCCGGCGCCGCCGUGAUGAUGGAGCGCUCCUCGUCGUCCUCCGCCGCGCUCGUAGAACUGGGCCCUCAAGCUGUGGGGCGCCCCCGACACCGUCGCCCGCUGCGGCCUUCCACUCCGCCUACGCCAACUCCUGCAUCAACCUCGCCAUCUUCGACCCCGAGAGCGCCUCCCGCGCUCGCGUCGCCGCCCUUGUCGGCGCCCCCGCCGAGCGCCUUGUCCACCUCUUCUGCGUCGUCCUGCGCCAGCUCCUCAUCCACGACGCCCUCUUCUUCCGCUACUCCGACCGCGACCUCCUCGACCACCUCGCCCGCUCUUGCGCCUCCCUCCGCGCUACCCGCGAGGGCGCAGCGUCCGACCCCUUCGAGCCCUGGCGCCGGCGGGUCCGAUCUCUCCUCCCCGCCGAAGGAACCACGGUGAAGCACAUAAAGACCGGGGACGACGUCGCCGUCUCACGGUGGCUGGCGGUGACGUUCCUGAUGAUGACGAUGGCGGACUUCGGCGACCAGCUGUUCGACUAGCAGGACAAGGUCUUUCGCAACGAGGACAGGCGGCUCGAGUUCGCCGGCGAUAACCAGGCCGCGCUGUGGCCUGGGGAAGGGAAGUCCGGGCUUUGGAUGAAUUCGAUAUCGCGGAUGGCUGCGCUCUACUCGCUCAUCGCCAGAGAGGAGGAGAUCUAAUUGCUGGAAAGGAAGAGCCGAGAAGGAGCAGACUAUUUGAAUUGGUGGUUCCGCCGGUGUUCGACUACUGCACCAGUCUUAGACGCAAAUGAUCAAAUAGUUGGCAGGGAUCUGUACUGGGAGGCAGUAUGCGGCGGCAACGACGAAGACAAAGAUAAAGAUAAAGCAGGGGAUACAUGGGGGAGGGUGGAGAAGCUGUUGAAGGAGAGCUGCGAGAAGAACCCGUUUGUGGGGGAGCCGCAUUUGGUGCUAGCGCAGGAGGCUCCACCGUUUCCGCCCUGACGCCAGCGGGAUCGCCACGCCCACCACCCUCGCCACCAGGAUCGCCGCCAUCGCCACCAGCUUCAGCCAUAGCGCCGCCGCGUCGUCGCGGCACCCCUUCUCCUCCGUCGUGCCCCCGUGGAGGAGCCGGGGAGGUGGAGGAGGAGGAGCUCGCGAUCAAGUUGGGAGAUAAAGAGGAUAACUUAAGACAUUAGCAUAAUAAGGUAGGGGUAAAAUAGGUAUUUUAUAUAGGUUUUAACUCUAGCGUACAUUAAACCCAUGUUUAACCUGAGUUAAGCUAACAGGGGAUAACUGCGGUGGUAUUUUAGAAUAACGGUGGAACAUAUGAGGGGCAUUUUAGAAAGAAAAAAAAAGUAGGAGUAUAUCGAAUAUUUCUAAACGCAUGAGAGGUAUAUAGAUAAUUAUCCCUUAUUUGAAACUUCUGUUGUGCCGCAUAUGCAGGUAGGAUGUCAAAGUGUUGGGUAGAAUUCUGGACAAAUGUUUAAAAAAUUUUAUAUCCCGAUUCCGUCAAUAUUUUAUUUUUUAUUUUUUUUAUUAAAAAAUAUAUUUAUUUUUAUAUUCAGGUACGGAUUUUAAAAGGUUAUUUUUAUUUAAGAACUUUUUUGUCGGAAAAUUAUAGGGAGUAAAAAUAAAUGAGAUGUUGUGGCGUUGUCAUUUUUUUUUAUUUUUUAUUAUUGUUAUUUUUUUAAUAUAAAGAAUUGUCACGCACUAUUUCCCAUGUGAAUGCUUGUCGGAUAAAUAAUAAAUAAAUAAAUAAAAUAUCUUUUACAUUAAUUGUAACCGGAGUCGCAAAUCUCAAUUGCAUCCGUGCAUAAUGUUUUUUUUUUUAAAUCAAACGCUAACAUUUUAAUAUUAGCUAUCUGAAUAAUUGAACGUAUAUCUAGUUUACGACUCGUAUAAUAUCUCUUUUAAUAAUUUAUCCCUUGAAUUAACCUUUAAGCAUGUGUUCACAAAUGAAACAACGUUGCAUGGUUCCGUGUACAGCAUCACAUAGGUUACAAUGAUGAUUGAUGCCGAAUUAAAACAACAGCCCCAGAUUUUGACACCCUUUGAUCAAGUUAACAGCGUACAAAUGAAUGCGGGCGAAGACGUCGCGCAGAUCGGAUCUCUUUUAACUUUGGGACGGCUUCUCGUCGGGCUUUGUCUCCUCCUUGACGCCGUCUUUGUCGUUUCCUCCUUCUGCAUUGGGGGUGUCCUUCGUAGUCUCGGGCUUCUGCUCGCUGGCCUCGACGGUGGCCACCUCAAUCUUCGACUCGGAGGGCUCCACCGGUGCCUCCUCUUUGUUCUCCUGCUCUACGUUCUCGCUAUGCUCGGCCACCUCAUUGUUCUCCUUCUCUACGUUCUCAUUUGACUCGAUCGCAGCCUACAGGCAUCAACAUAGAAAUUACACAUCGCUUUUAUGAUUUUACUUUUGAGUUUCAAAAACUUAUUUCGUUCCGACUGAAACUGAAAACAUAGAAUUCAAUAGAUGUCAUACUCCUAACGAGCUACAAUAAACCAAAACUAGGAGCUUGUACGUGAGUUUGCAUGCAAAACAAACCUACAUCUCAAGUUAAGUUCUAAAAUCUUACGACAGUGGUCGUGGCGACAACAGCAGUGGCAUCAGAGGGGGCUACUUGUUCGGCAGUAAAAUCGUCAGGAGCCUUGCCGUCAAGCUCCUUGGGUCUGCUCGCACACCCACCCAUGGAUUCUAGCUGGCGCUGUAUAAGACUGGUGGGCGGCGAGGGCUUUCGGAGAGAGCAGAAAGAAUUGUUAUUACAAUGCGAUGAAAAGUUAAGAGAUGAAGAACUCUUUAUAUAAGGUGUGAGGAGCUUGUUUAGGUAAAUGGAUUGAGGGCACUGAGUUGGUAUCUAAAUUUAGGGUAAAAAUGAAUGGAUAGUAGGGUGCGAAAAAUAAGAUGCAAAAUGACUGAAAGAGGAGACAUGUUGACCAUUUCAAACAGUUGCUAAAAGUUUUAGGUUAGGGUCAAUAGUGGUUGUUACUUUGAAUGCUUUUGACCAAUCAAAUUAAAAGGUUAGAUAGUGCGUAAAAUACUUUGCUCGUUUUAAGUUCAAGUCGUAAGUUCAAAUUUGGAUUCGAAUUUUGGAUUAUAAAUUUGAAUAAUACAAUUUAAUUUUAAGGCUAAAUUACAUAAAAGCCCCCUGUCAAAACCCGAUUUUUCACUUUUCCUUCAUGUCAUUUAAAAACCUACACUUUGCCUCCUUGUAAAAUAAAAAAUGUUCAUAGGGGGAUACGGUGUGUAAAAUGACCAUUUUGCCACUUACCAUUUUCGUCUCUUCCAUUAUCUUCCUCAACCGCCGCCUCGAUCGGCCGCGAUUUCUCUCCAUUUUCUUCUCCACCUGCUCCCCUUCUCCUCCUGCAGCCUCGCCGCCCCUCGAUUUCAGCGACAGUAGGGAGGAAAUCGAUGUGGGCAUUGAUGGAGAGGUAGGCAAGGGCAACGAGGGCGAAGGCGAGGUGGCGGAGGAGGGCGAAAGGGAUGUGGGCGAGGGCGAGGCAGUGGAGGAAGGCGAGGCGGCGAGGCGGCGAGUCGGAAAGAGGCGAAGUAGCAGGGAAGAGGGCGGAUAGGUAUUUUUGGCAUAAAAAAAAUUUUAUAACUGAACCCUAAUGGUAGGGGGUGAAGUGCACAUUUUUUAUUUUAUAAGGGGGCAAAGUGUAGGUUUUUAAAUGACAGGAGGAAAAAGUGGAAAAUCGAUUUUUGACAGGGGGGUUUUCUAUAAUUUAGCCUAAUUUUAAUCCAAAUUCAUUGUUUUGUAUUUUAAGUUGAAUAUGAUUAUACUUCUGAUUUCUCUUAUGAGCCAAACAAAUUAGAAUUUUAUCAUUCUCUUUUUCAAUUCGGAUUUUGAUUUCUUUUGAACCAAACAUGCUCUAAUAUUUUUUGUUCCUUGCAAAAAAAAAAAAAGGUUUGAAAUUGAAAUAUUUUUGGUUUUUUGGGCUUCAAAUUUCUCUCUACUUUAACACAGAAAUAGAAAAUUCCAACAUUUCAAAGUAUUAAAUAUUUUACUAAAAAUUAUUGCAACUAAAAUAAAAAUGGAAGUGAAAUAAACACCCGAGGUAGAUUACAUUGAUUCAAUUAAAAUAUAAUUCUUAUGCAUUGUACCUAAAUUCGAAAGCAUAUAUAGUAACCGAUUGCAGAAUCGGAUGUUCCAUUAUUGAAAACAACUUAUAAGCACGGAGGCCUCCGUACUUUUGAAAGUAUAGAAGCCUAACUAUAUAUAUAUAUCGGUAGCACGGAGACCUCCGUGCUAUCAAAUUUAUUUUUAAUGAUGCGGCUUCUAAAUCGACAAUCGGCUCCUUUAGGCUUGAUUUACACUAUUGCAAGUAUUUGAAAUCUAAAUUUUAUAAUUUUUCGACAUUAUUUGGCUAGUGAUCAAAAUAUCUCAAAAUUAACAAAGAUUUCAAAAUUUAUAAUUUUGGCGGUCGAUAUAAGACGUUUUCUUAUUUAACGGCGUAAAGAUAUCCAAAUCAAUUAAAUUUUAGUUAAAAAUUUUUCUAAACUAUUUAGAAGAAGAUCUAUACUCAUGAUCUGGAUUUUAAGGCUUUAAUCAUCACUUUUUAAAAAAUAUUUAUUUUCAACCGUUUAAUUUUGCGUCUACUUGAUGGACAAAAGAACAAUGUCCGUUCAUUUACUCGUUUCCCGGAUUACUCGUUCUCCGGACACGCCCGGACACGCCCAGCCGUUCCCCGGACACUGUCAAGAGGAACGAGUAAUCUGGGGCGUGACAAUAUUUUAUAUAAUUAUUUUGUACUUUGAACUAUUAGACAUAUUUUUGUAUCAAAUUAUAGAUAAUAUUUUAUACAAAUUAAACUAUUGAUCGUAUGAUGUUGAGAAUUUCAAGCGGCUCGUUUAGGACUCGUGCUCGCUCGAUUCGAAAUUAGGCUCGCUCGAGCUUGGCUCGAAUUAAUUUCAAACCAAGCUUGAGCUUAAAUUUAGGCUCAAAAUUAAUUUCAAGCCGAAUUUGAGCUGAGAUAAGCUCGCUCAAGCUCGGCUCGAGCUCGGCUCGUUUCCACCCCUACCCUCCAUCUGGUUUGUUAUAAUUAUAAUAUAAUUCGGCCGGAAUGCAGCAAAAUUUUUUUAGAGUUCAAAAUAUAAUAAAUUUUUAAAACUUUAGUUAUAUUAUCGUCUACUGACUAAACUACAGUUUGGCUGCUACAUUACAACUAAUCAAUUUUAGAAAAUAGAUACCAAUAAGAAGAAAUAUCAAAGUUGAAAAUAAAUUUGAAAGAAUUCAAAAUUCUUUAUCUUCUUUUUAAUAUUAUAUCUAAAAAACACCUUAAAAAUACUAAAAAUAGUAAAGUAUUUAGAAAAAUAAAAAAAAAAGCAGACCCAACUCCAACCAUCUGCAGAGACUAACUGAUCCAACUACAGUUCUCUCUAAUAUAGAAACCAACUAGAAGAAAAUGUCAAAGUUGGAAAUGAAUUUAAAAGUAGGUAAGAACGCACAAAGCUUAUCUGAAAUAUGAAUCAUUCUAAAUCUGUUAUCCAACGUUUCAAAAUUUUGGUUUUACUAUCCGACCUUUCGAUUUAUUUGAUUUGAGUCAGUUAUCCGUACUUUGAGUUCAAAAUUAAAGCUAAUUACUUAUUUAAAUAAAUUUAUAGUUGGGAUAACUCAUUACCCUUUUUUUCUAACAUUUUAUUUUAUUAGACGGGAAGUCGUUGAAAGAGAAUUCGGCUAUAAUGGCAUCCCACUUUUCUGGAAAAAAAGAGAUACGAUCAAUCAUUUUUUAACUAAAUAAUCAAACAAAUUCAGUUUUUAAAAGUUUCAUUUUUUUAUACUUUACUUUUCAUCAAUCAAACAUGUCCCCCCAAAAAAUUCUAAGAUCAUAAUCUUUUAUCUUAUAUUAUUUGAAAAAAAAUCUUAAAAAAAUUAUAAAAAGUAUGAAAAAAAAGGCAGAACCUAACACAAUCCACAAAGAAACUCACUUAUCCAAGUCCACUCCUCCCCACUUCCAAGUCAACCCCCCUCUCCUCUUUCACUUCACUUCUCCUCCUCCUUUCCACCAUAACCAACCCACUUCCCAAAUAUAACACUGACACAACAAAAGCUACAAACCACAAUAAAAAGUUAUAAAAGAUCAGCUACAAAUAAAAGAACCCAACACCUGCAAGAGUAAAAACAAAGAAUAGCAGAUGAUAAGAAAAGAUUCAGACUUUUUUAAGGCCCCAAAUAAAUUACCAUUACUUUUUGAGUUUGAAUUGAACCGACAAUCUCAUGGAUAAAUCAGCCAUCCCUACUGCCCAACAACAACACACAACAACAGAUCUUGGGCUCUCUUAAUUACUCCUCUAUUACUACUACUACUACUACUACUAAUACUAAUACUAAUAUUAUUAUUAUUGCUGCUGCUGCUGCUGCUGCUACUAGUGCUUUUUUUGGGGGAAGAAAUGGCUUUGGCUUCUGCUUCUCAGAACACUAUUUUUGGCCUCCUUCUGCUACAGCUUCUGCUUCUUGGGACAUCUUCUGGCAGUAAUGUAAGGUUAUCUCACUGCCCAUUUUCUGAUUUUCUGUACUGAUGUUAUGUAAUGCUUAAACAUGGGGUUUUGCUGUUGUUGUUGUUGUUGUUGUUGUUAUUGUUGUUCUCAUGGUUAGGUGUACAUUGUGUACAUGGGGGAGAAACCCCAGAUGCAGCCACAGCUUGUUCAUGAACUCCACCAUGGGAUCCUCACCAGUGUGCUUGGGAGGUCUCUCUUAAUUUCCUUCUUUAGUUUUUCCUGUUAAAUCACUUUGUUUAAUCUGCAAGAUUGACAGUAACUGUUCCUUUGAAUUUAGCCACACAAAUUUGCUGCAAUAAAGGCUUAUUAUUUUGCUGUUUCUAGUGAAGAAGAGGCGAAAACAUCAAUUCUUUAUAGCUACAAGCAUGGGUUCUCAGGAUUUGCUGCUGUGCUCUCGGAAUCUCAGGCGGCCCGCCUUGUCGGUGUGUAUUUGGAGGAUGACAAGUUGAUUUGAAUUGUUCUUGUUCUUCUUCUCUUUUUUUUCUGGGUAUCAUUGUUUCUGAGAAUUAUUUAUUUUCAUUUUGUUGCAUAAUGAAUUAAUUCAGACUGGCCCGGAGUUGUUCGGGUUGUCCCAAACCGGAUUCUCGAAUUGCACACCACCAGGAGUUGGGAUUUUCUGCAUCUGAGUCCAGAGCCCUCAAAUGGGCUCCUCUCAUUGAGUAGAUUCGGCGAGAGGUCGAUUAUUGGUGUGUUGGAUACUGGUGAGUCUAAUGUUUUAAUGAUUCAUCACAAAAAUUGUAGGUUGGAGCUUCAUAUUUGUUGAAGUUUGUCCAUGUACUUUUACUCAAAGGAAUAUGGCCAGAAUCCGAAAGCUUUAAAGACGAUGGCAUGGGAGAAGUUCCGUCACGGUGGAGAGGGAAAUGCGUCGAAGGCGAGAAGUUUCAUGCUUCAAACUGCAAUAGGUUGGCUACUUUCAUCCUCACGCCUGCUUCGUCGAUGAAGCAGAAUAUGAUACUCUUCAUUUAUUUAGGACUAUCUCUUGAUGUCAAUUGUAUCUCUCUUAGUUUGUACCAGAUAUGUCCCAUUUCACCUUUUCAACUCAUAUUUUAGAAAGCUUUUUUUGUCCGAGCUCUAUCAUAAAUCGACAAAUAUUAUUAUCUUACUGAACAUUCUAAACAAAGCCUAAGGAUUUCUUUCAGAUUCGAAGUAAAUUUACUCGCCAUUUCGAUUGCUCUAAGAGUCGUGAUAUUUCUUUUCUUGGGUUUCAUUCAACUACUUGUCGAUUAACAAUGUUACUGCAUGAGGUGUUGUCCUACUAAAUAUCCUACUACAUCUGACCAAAUGAUGUAUGAGUUUCAAUGCUGAGGUCUCCUAUUUCGUUGUAACAUACUUACCCUCUAAUUAGAUUACCCUUUUCCUAGAGAGUCUUGCUUGCUUAUGUCGAAAAAUGUGAAACUCAAACCCUUCGAGAACUUGCAAUUAUCACGGUGGCAACUUGAAAGCUUCAUGGUAGGUUUCUUUCCGCAGGAAAAUAAUCGGAGCACGGUGGUACAUCAAAGGAUAUGAAGCUGAAAACGGUAAACUAAACACGAGUGAAGUGUUUGAAUUCCUGUCCCCCCGCGAUGCUGUCGGCCACGGCACGCACACGUCAUCGACUGCCGCUGGUGCCUUAGUGGCCAACGCGAGCUUCAAUGGGCUUGCUCAAGGCUUAGCGAGAGGAGGAGCCUCACGGGCCCGACUUGCUAUCUAUAAAGUAUGCUGGGCCACAGGAGACUGCAGCUCUGCAGACAUUCUCGCCGCUUUCGACGAUGCCAUACAUGAUGGCGUGGAUGUUCUAUCAGUUUCUUUGGGCCAAGCGCCACCUCUCCCUACUUAUGUCGAGGAUGUUUUGGCGAUCGGCUCCUUUCAUGCCGCGGGCAGAGGAAUUUCUGUUGUUUGUUCUGCAGGGAAUUCCGGGCCGUACUCGCAGACAGUGAUCAAUACCGCUCCGUGGAUUAUAACUGUCGCAGCAAGCACGAUUGACUGGACUUUUAUUUCGAGGAUCACCCUCGGGAAUAACAGUACUUUUGUGGUAAGUUUUCAACUUCUUAUUUCUUGUUUCAUGUUUGUUUUGUUUUAUGUUUGUUUAGCACUGGGCAUAUGAAUAUGUGUUCUAAAUUCAGGGUCAAACUCUAUACCCUGGAAAGCAUCAUAAGAGGAACUACCAAAUUGUUAAUGCCGAAGAUAUCGCCUCCAGUGAUGCAGAAGAUAGUGAUGCAAGGUAACAUUUAUUCCUCGCCACAGUCCCAAUUUAAUCGAAAUCGGGGUGAAAUAUCCUUCUAUUCAAGUUAAUGCCCUCGUAGAAGUUGCAAUACAGGAUCUCUUAAUGCUACUCUAGCAAGAGGAAAAAUUGUACUUUGUUUCCAAACACGGGGCCAAAGGGUGGCUUCUGUCGCGGCAGACACAGUCAGAAAAGCACUCGGUGUUGGUGUCAUCUUCGCUCAGUUCAUGACGAAGGAUAUUGCAUCUUCAUACGAUAUUCCGUGCAUCCAAGUAGACCUUGAAACCGGAAGUACUAUACUAAAUUACAUCGGCGACACAAGGUACAUGUAUAUAUGUGUCCUUCGAACUUCGAAGUCCUUUGUUUUCUAAUUUGGUACAAAUUUGGUUGUGGAGAGUAAAGCAGCAAUCUUCUCCUGACACUUUUCCGCAGAAAACCAGUUGUGAAAUUUAGCUCUGCAAAGACAAUUCUUGGGAAACUGAUUGCUCCUGAAGUGGCAUACUUCUCGUCUCGAGGCCCGAGUUCAUUAUCUCCCUCUGUACUGAAGGUAAUUCUCCGUAAGUUUCAUUUAAGUACGUACCGGUCAGAAGUGAUAAGGCCACGACUUUUGCUGUUAAAGUAAUGUCGGCUUUUCUGUGGUUAACUCAUGGAUACACUCUGCAGCCUGACAUUGCUGCACCUGGUGUGAACAUUUUGGCAGCAUGGCCCCCAGCUUCCAUGUUAUCUCCCACUAGCAGGCCGGUUAAUUUCAGGAUUGAUUCCGGAACGUCGAUGUCGUGCCCGCACAUCUCAGCUGUUGUAGCGCUUCUCAAAUCGAUCCAUCCUGAUUGGAGCCCCACCGCGAUUAAAUCCGCGCUGGUCACAACAGGUCUGCUGCAGGAAAAUCUACUGCCUCAAUCUUUCUUAAUUCAUUGAUUCAAAAAGUGUUAAAUACACAAGUAGCUCCAAACUAGUUCCCUGGCUAUCUGAAAUUGCACAAUAACCAUUUCAAGCCUAUCAUUAAUAAAAUGAGAUCGAUUUCUCUCACUACUUGAUUCUGAAAUUGCUUUUCAUUUCUUCGACAGCUAACGCACGUGACGAAUAUGGCCUCAGUAUAGUAGCUGAAGGAGCUCCUUACAAGCAAGCCGACGCAUUCGAUCACGGAGGUGGCCACGUAGACCCAAACAAGGCUUUAGAUCCUGGUCUAGUUUACGACACGGGUGUUUCCGAUUAUAUCCGUUUUCUUUGCUCCAUGGGAUACAAUAACUCCGCUAUAAGCUCAAUGACGCAGCACAACACAGCGUGCAAAAGCUCCCGUCAAUCGAAGAAGGACUUGAAUCUCCCUUCCAUAUCCAUUCCUGAGCUAAGAAAGACCCUGACAGUAUCAAGAACAGUUACAAAUGUAGGUCCGGUUAAUGCGGUGUAUCGAGCUCGCAUAGAAGCUCCGAAAGGAGUACAUGUAAAUGUCGAGCCCAAAGUCUUGUUGUUUAACAUGACUGCGAAGAUGUUGUCAUUCAAGGUAACUUUUCGGCCGAAGCUAGACGUGCGAGGGCGGUAUAUGUUCGGAAGUUUGUUGUGGGAGGAUGGAGUUCACUCGGUGAGGAUUCCGUUGGUGGUUCGGACGGUGAUCGACGACUUCUACACGGUUGCAUGAUGGAAACAUGAUCAUGAUUCCAGUGGAAAUCAACUUCUUGUUUCUCUUUCCUUAUUUUGUUUUCCCUUUAAAAUUUAAACGCCAUUUGUGCACAUCAUAUGUUUUGUUCUCCGAAAUCUUGUUAUUGUCACUAGUUGACUGACAUUGUAAUGACAUUCUCAUAUGAUUUCUCGUUCGCCGAUUUUAUAUUUGUUAAAUCUUAUUCACAUCUGAAAUAAUAGAGGAUUUUAAACAAAAUCUGAAUGAUUCAAAGGUUGGGUUGUGAUUUCUGAAUGAACCAUUAUUGCUCGAAGUGUUGCGGUUCUUAAAGAAAGAUAAAGUUUUCGUAAAUAAUUGUGCAUGAAACUCAUAAUUUGUUGUUCAGAAUCUUAAGCUAUUAUUUAACAAAGAGUAGCUCAUGGUCUGAGAGGAUUUGUUUGAGAUAACUAAUUACUUCAUCCAAGAUAAUGGGAUCAAUAAUUUCAUCAAAGAUAAUGCGAAUCAAUUCUAAGUUUGUUGCUUUGUUUGUUCAUUUAUUUAUCAUAAAUGUGGGUGCUUAACUAAUGGGACCAAUUCUUUACUUGUUACUUUCAAAUUAUUUUUUAUUAUUCAUUGGUAACAGAUGCUAAAUCCACAAGGAUGCUCUUUCUUUAAGUUGUGUUGGUUAAAGUGUUGGAUCCACUAUUGUUUUGGCUCUAACACUUGUUGCUGCCAUGGUAGCUGCAGGAAAUUUUUUUUUUUUUUUUUUAUAAAUCUAGGUUUUUUUUUUUUUCCUUUAGUUUUUCAAUAGUCAUGCCAUAUAUUAAGAAUUGAUAAAAAGGUACAAAGCUUUCGUGAACUAUAGAUCAUUUUGAUUCGACUGCCUAAUCUUUUAAAAUUUUAAUUUUACUGCCAAAUCUUUCAAUUGUUUGAUUUGAAUCAGUCAACAACACUUUGACUUCAAAAUUUAAGCUAAUUACUUACUCUAAAAAUUUAUAGUUGCGAGAAUUGUAUGGAAUGUGCUAACUAAACUGUUAAAGAUAGACAAUAUAUUUAAAUUUUUGAAAUCAAAGUGUUGUUUAUUGAUUCAAAUCAAAUAAAUUGAAAAGUUGGAUAAUAAAAUAAGAACUUUAGGUUGGAUAGUAUUUGAUUUAAUAUUUAAAAAUUAUUAUAAUCAAGUUCUAUAAUAACAAGAGUUUUUGUUACCAAUGAAAGCGACUUUCUCGACAGAAAUAUCUAAUAACUUUUUUUUUACGAAAAUUUUGUGGUGUUAUUUCAACACAAUUAGAAAUAGGAAUACGUGUUUCAAAUUGAAACUUGUUAGAUGUGACUCGAAAUUAAUAAUCGACUUCAGUUCGAGAUUUCGACUCGCUAACAGUUUCGCGGUGCGACCAAUUUGAAAAGUAAAAUUGUGAAGGAAAAAUGAAUGUUUGUGGUUAGUUGUACUCGAACAUUGUAUUUUUCUUUUUCGAUAGUGAAGUUUUCUCCCCCUCGCCCGUAGUUUUUUCCUGCAAAAAAUUUUUCACGUAAAUCUGUAUAUUCUUUUUUAUUUCUACUUGUGGUUUGAUUAUUUCGUAUUCGUCAUUUUCAUUUUCGUUUGUGCUUUUGCCGUAAUAAAACUCCUCCAUUUUUUUGAAAUACUUAACUUCUAACCUUGUACAACUCUAGAAUCCUUUUGACUUUUUGAUUGUCAAACUAUUUUUUCUUUUUUUGCAAUGCUUUUAUUAAAAUUGGCUACAUUUCCUUCACUUCUAAAUAUUCUUCCUAAUCUUUUCCAAAUUCAGUGGCUAUUGGUGUUCUAAGUAACUUAGCCUUUGGAAAGAAGAGAGUAGCUAGAGUUAGUAAAUUCAUUGUAUUUAAGGUGGGGGUCACUUUUAUCUUUGAAUAUAUCCUAAUCUUUUUCAAUUUUAUAAAUUAAUUUUAUGAUCAAAAUUAGUUAAGACUAAAAGCUAAGGAGUCAAAAUAUGUGGGUAAAAUAUUAAGGCACGUUUCAAUAUUGAAUGUAUAUAUUGAGAUAUAUCGUUCCAUACUUUAAAGUUUUUGGAAAAAAUUAUUACUUGUCGGAUCGUUGACGCUAACCAUUAAUCUCAAAAACUUGAACGAUUAGAAAUACGCAACCAAUUCACUUAAAGCGUAGCGUACACACACAGUGCCUAUGAGUCUUAAUUGUGAUUCAACCCAAUCACCAGUUUCACGCCAUUUCUAGCAUAACUCGACUUAAUGCGACUUCCUGUUUUGGCCCAACCUAGCCUCUUGCCACCGAGCAGGAUCCAGGCCCUUUUAAACCAAGGGUAUUAAGUGCGAGUCUUACCAGACUCCUAGUGUAAUUAAUUUUUUCUCAUUUAAUUUAAGCUGUGUCUUAAACCUAUCAAAAAGUAUAUAAAUAGUAAAAGCACCACAUUAUACAAUUUAAAACUAGGUAUAAUUCUAAUGUCAACUUGUACAUAUAAUAAGAAAUUGAUAAAAAGGAUGGAUUGAAAAUGAUAAGAAGCGGCAAAUCAAAAAUGAAAAUUUGAUGGAAUAUAAAACUUUUGUUUUUUUAAAAAAAAAAAAAAUUUGGAAUUAUGCUUAUCUUUUACUCUCUAUGUUGUAACACAUCUAAUUCUUUGCUUGGAUAGAGAAAAUUGAGAAUAAUUGUUUCGCAUCUCUUUGCAAUUAAUGGAUAAAAAUAAUUUUCUUUCUCUUUCUUUCUCUCUUUCUCUUUUUUUUCUCUUUUUUUUUUUUGAAGAGUAAAUAAAAUGUUCAUAUCGAAAUAUUAUAACUUGAAUUAUUUUUGUUUACGAAAAUAGUACGGAAUUGAAAAUUCUAAUUUUUCUAGCAACCAAAAGUAAAACUUCUCUUCAAGCUCAAAUUAAAAGCCAAUGUUUUCCUCAAAAUACUCCAAAUAUUCCGUUGAUGAAUACUCCAAAUUUGAGAAACGAGUUCUCCUAUUAAAUAAUUUGCAUAGAAAAUUAACUUGUAUUUUAAAAGAGAGGAAAAAAGGAAAAAAAAAAAAAAAGAAGAAAAAGUUUAGGGGUGGAAUUCAAUCAGCUCUUCAGUUAAAGCCAAUGUUAAGUUAAAUUGCUUCUACAAAAAUGUUAUUUCAAAAACCCCCCUUAUGGUUUCAAUUUUUUUCACUUUAGUACCAUGUGGUUUAAAAUGUAUCAAGUUAGUACCAUGUAGUUUCUCACUUUAUCACUUUUCUCACUUUAUCACUUUAGUACCCUGUGGUUUAAAGUGUAUCAAGUUAGUACCCUAUAGUUUUGCACUUUAUUUAAACCACAGGAUACUAACUUGAUACAAAAUUAAAACCACAGGGUUCUAAAGUGAUAAAGUGCAAAACCACAGAGUACUAACUUGAUACACUUUAAACCACAGGGUACUAAAGUGAUAAAGUGAGAUACCACAGGGUACUAACUUGAUACACUUUAAACCACAGGAUAUUAAAAUGAAAAAGUGUGAUACCACAGGGAGGGUUUUUGAAGUUUUUUCUUAAAAAUAUUUUAUUUCGAUCGUCAAAUAUCAAUGAGGUGACGAAUAACGCAGAACCGACAAAUAUUGACGAACCCGAACUCGAAAGGAUGCACACUGAUAGCAUGAUUCGAAUCUGAGACGUAUAGUUUUCGCAACCACAAAUUUUCACAAUUGAAAAAAACCAAAUAAAGAAGAAAAUUAUCAAGUUUUCCUUUCUUUUUUUUUUGGUUAAAGCACGCAACUAUGAGUAAUUUCUUAUAUGAUUUAGUCUAAAAUGCUUGCGUUGUUGCUUAUUGUGAAUAGAAAUCCAAGUACAUACAUUGGCCCAAAACAAAAAUGAACGCUUUAUCUGCUGCAGUUUCAUUAUUUCCUUUCAACCCAAUAAAUAUAAAAUAAAAAACUAUUUUUUUUCUUACAAACCAAACACUAUAAAACAUAAAACUUUUUUUCACCAAUUUUUUUUUUUUUUCACAAUAAAUUACUUUUUACAAUUUUAUGUUGAACCAAACGGGCCCUUAAUUUAACUAGACUGGUACGGUUCCUAACUAUCUAAAUGAAUUCACCCGGAUAUUGAUCUUUCCAGUCCAAAACCAAACCGCCUCGGAUCUAGGGUUUACUACUCCUGCCUCCGACGCUGCGUCUCCCCCCGCACGAUUGCUACUCCGAUUAGCAGGGAUCACCGCAGGGACAGGGAACUCCACGGGGCCACAGCCAGGUAUGGUUUUGCCCGGCGGAGACAGGGAAGAGCCCCUGCCACGGCCCCAGCCUCGCCCCGUUGCCAUCCCUAGUCAAUAAAGAUUGAGACGAUUUUAACAGAACUGCCCUAACCGAGAGCUCACCGUCAAUCAGGGUGUGGACGCAAACGGAUUCAAGGGGCUAAGCUCUCUGACUCUAAACUGCAACUGUUCCAACCUGGGCCACAUAAGCUCGACACAAGACGCAAAAGUAGACUCUCACUAAAAUUAAUGAAAUAUAUACCACUUCAUAUAGAUACUGUAUAAUCCAAAAACACAUCUGGCAAUCCUGUUUGAGUUCAUCAAGUACACAAAAUUUCUCACUAUUGAGUGGCAUUACUUUCCAGCAAUUCAAAGGUCAGAGAGGGUAGCAGGGCAGAACUUAAGACCACAAUCUUUUUUUUUUUUUUUGAGAGAUAGGUAGCACGCUACCCGCUUCGUUUAUUUCAUUUAGAAAUAAACUUAGCUGGAAAUGUGAAUCAACUAGGAUUCGAACUUGGAUCUCAGGUACCAACUAUUAAAUUCUUUGCCGCUUGCUCUAGGGACGGUCGGUAACUUAAGACCACAAUUGAUCUCAAAUCAUUGUUGUUUCUGCUUGUAUCAAAAAUACUCACUACAGCAACAGUAGUGUUCAGGGAAACCUGAGACAUUUUGAAACAGAGUUGAAAUCUUCUUGCAGCCACAUUCUGCAAACAUUCUAACAAAAAACUGGAACCACUUAAAUGUCAAGAAAAGAGAUAGCACGCACACACACACACAUAUAUAUAUACAUAUACACACAAUUUUCACCAAAACAGAACUAGGGGGAUUGAAAUUAUCGUGUGUUCAUAGGAAGCACAUGCACACACUGCAUUGACCAAAAAGACUUACAUGUUUUAGGAAAGAGAAACAAGUCGUCGUGAAGAUAAAGCCUUACAAAUGUACCACAAUAAAUAAAAAAUAUGGCACGCUAGAAGGCUCAACUUGGAAAAAGGAAAACAAAUACAACACAAUUUUUUUAAAAAAAGUAAACUUCAAAUACCACCCCUAUGGUUUCGCACUUUCUCACUUUAGAACCUUGUGGUUUAAAGUUGUAUCAAGCUAGUGCCAUGUAAUUUCAUUUUUAUUUUUUCAUUAGUUUCUCCGUUAAUAUUUCGUUAAAUUAUAUACAAAAAACCUCAGAUACACUACCUAGGUUUAUCGAAUAUUCACUUUAGUACCCUUUAGUUUUAACUUUGUCACUGAUUUAACGAAAAAAAUUAAUGAAAUAAAUAAUAAAAAGAUAAAAAUGAAAACACAGGAUACUAAAGUGAGAAAGUGUGAAACCACAAUGAUGGUAUUUGAAGUUAUCCCAAAAAAAAAAAAAAAAAACUGCAACAUCCAACUGUUCACAAGUACUGUAUCUACGGGGCUCUACGCAAAGCCACUAAAAUAGGGCUCAAUUAUUGUGUCACAAUCUAUGCCAAAUUGGUCAAAAGGUGGAAUUGCAUUUAGAAUUAACUAUGGAUACUCCACUACUUCGUGGGGUCUACAUAUUCUAUGUUGCAGAGAGCAACAGUGGGGUUUACACCGUACCCUCAAAAUUCCAAAAGAAAGCAAAGCUUCCGGACCAGCCAAUUAUAUCCGCAUUUUUACACCCUAAUGUUCGAAAGCCUCACCAUAGCACUUGGAAUCACAAGGUUCUUGAUAAAGUUCAAAAGCAACCAAUUGCCUGUAAAGAAGCAUAUGUUCUUUACACAACAUUUUUUUUAUUACAGCACAAAGGGCCACCAUGCACUUUCUCCCCUACCUAAAACUAUUUACUAUUGAGUAUCAAGCUACCAGCAUCACAUUCUAAAAGUUACCUAAUAAUCAACAAUGCAAGAAGAAAGCUUACGUGAAAAAUUCCAAGAAUCAUACAGAGGCAAAUUGUUAAAAAGAGGCAUUUGAAAAGCAAUACCAGCAUCACAUUCUAAAAGUUACCUAAUAAUCAACAAUUCAAGAAGAAAGCUUACUUGAAAAAUUCCAAGAAUCAUACAGAGGCAAAUUGUUAAAAAGAGGCAUUUGAAAAGCAAGUAACUGAGCAACCUUCUACCAAACAGUAGAAAAAUACAGCUGAAAUUUCAUUGCUAACUCUACAAAUCUAUUUUCAUAAACUACACCAUGAACGAAGUAAGACCAAACUCUACUAUUCAGCAUUUAUCACUGACUACGAGAGUCUAUACUCAUCUACAAUGCAAGUCCUAUUAUCUUCACAUUUCUUAUAAUAAACAAAUAUUGGCGGAACUUCAUAGGCCUAUCUUUAUAGAAGAUAAACUUUCAAUAAAGAAACACGGAAUUUAAACCUUCAGAAACUACACAAAUCUAAAUAACUUAUGCCAGCUUAUAUUUCCCUUUUUCUAUAACUUCAGAAAAAAAAAAAAAUCGAACAACAUCAAUAAAAUUUAGGUUUGAUUAACACUUCUCCACACUUUCAACUUGAUCACUUAGCAAUGUAUUUAGCACUCGACCAUGUGAAUCCGACAACCAAACCACAUUCUUAUAACGUUGUAAAAGGAUACGAAAUCCAGAUAUAACUUGAAAAAUGAAAUCACUACAAGAUAACACAAAGUUUCCCUUUUUACCUCCAAGCUAUGUUCGGUAUAAAUUUCAAAAUUUAAAACAACAAGGUCAUUGAACAAAGCACUAAUCUCUUCCUUAUGAAGGAAAGUGCCGAGCAACUGGCAUUACUUCAUUAAGAAACUUCUAUAAACAGCCAUAACAUCCUUCAAAAAGCAGUUCCAUUACUCACCUUGCAAUAAAAAUCACGGCCCACAUUUACUAAUAUCGAAGAGCAUGCGAAUGAUACAACAUAGAAAUAGAGGAAACUCACUACAAAAACAUAAAUGGCCAACAGAAGAAAUUGCCAUGGAAAGAGAAGUGCUCUUUACAUGUCAUCUUAGUAGGAACAUGGACGAGUCCCUAGGCCAAAAUCAAAAUCGGAUGCGUCGAGCCUGCAGCAGUUAAUCCCUCACCGAUCGAGAGCACAUUAUUUUUACCAUAUUGCAGAGAUUCACCAUAGCAACAACUUGCUACGGAUACAAUCAUGCACCAUUAGAUAACAUGAGGCAAAAUAAUUGAGCCUAGAACCAUUUGUAUAACGAGAAAAGAGAGUUGAUACAGCUUAUCAAAUAGUGCAUACACCAUCUGAUCUAUGUACCCAUCUCCCCCAAACACAAAGCCCAACCCUUAACAUCAAACCACAGUCCAUUGAAACCAAAACACUCGAAAGAAGAUGAUAUAGAAGAUAAUCCCAAAAUUAAUAAGACAAAAAACGAGCAACCCAUUAAAUAAAGCAUCAACCAUCAUCAUCCUAAAACUCCAAACUACUAGAUAACCAAAACAUUAGAACUGCUAAAGAGAGAGGAUUUAGGAUCGAACACUUCACUUACGGCAAUCCCUCGCGAUGUGCCCGGUCUCGCCGCAGUUGUAGCAGGACCCGCCGCCUCCUCCGCCACCGUAACCACCGCCGCCACCGCCGCCGCCGCGGUAGCCGCCGCCGCCCCCGCCUCUCCCGCCGCCGCCCCUCCCGCCGUCGAACCCGUAGCCCCCCCUGCUGUAGCCCCCGCCGCGGCUCCCGCCGCCGCGGCCUCCGCCACCGCCGUACCCGUCCCUCCGGCCUCCGCCGCCUCCUCCGCCGCCGCCGGAGCCGCCCUGGACCGGUAGUCCGUCGGGCCCGGUGACGUCCACGGCCUUGGUGCGCCCGUCGUCGCCCUCGGCGACCGAGAACUCCACGGCCUCGCCCUCGACGAGGCUGCGGAAGCCCUCGGCCUUGAUGGAGGACUGGUGCACGAAGAGGUCCUCGCCCCCGUCGUCCGGGGCGAUGAAUCCGAACCCCUUGGUGUCGUUGAACCACUUCACGGUCCCCUUCAAUCGCGUGUUGUCCUGCGCCAUGGGAGAGGGGAAAGGGGGCCAAACCGAGCAAAACCCUAACCCUAACCCUAGCCGACGAAGGAGAUCGAGAGAGGGAGAGAACUGCGGAGGAAACCCUAAUUCUCGCCCCCUCGGCUCCUCGUGUGGCGAUAUUUAUCGAUGCAGCGCGGGUUCUACGAGGUAAUGCAUCGGACGGUCGCGAUUUCAUAUGAUUAGGAAAUGGACGGCUGAGAUGUUUCUUAGUUAAGGCGACCAUAUUUUAUCGAGAUUUAUUUAUUUAUUGAAGUAAUUAAUGCGCACGGAUUUCGAGGGCUGGGAUUACUUUGACUGAUUUGGGUAUUUAUUCCAAAGAUGCAACUCGUUGGACGGCUAUUAUUAUAAUUAUUAAUACUUAAUUUAUACUUAAUUAUGAUAAAAUAAAAUUAAUUAAAUCAACCGGGGUAUAAUUUGGACCGCACGAUCGCUGCAAUUGUUUAUGAUCGGACGGCGCAUACUGAAGGAAGGGUGUUUGGAUAUUCGCAAAAGCAUAAAAUCUAUUUUUUAAAAAAAAAUUAUAAAAAGUUUGUGUUGCCUUUUUACACUUUUUAUUUUUUUUGAUAAAUAUUUUAAAAAAUAAGAAUACUAUUUUUUAUAAAAUCUAAAAUUAAUUCAGAUAAACUUGUUUUUUCCUAAAAAUUAAAUGGCCAGAAAAUAUUUUAAUAGCUAGAAAAUUAUUUUUGAGAUAUUUGUCGGAAAAUCAAACUCCCAUUUUAAUCAAACUGGAAAUUUUAUUAAGAAAAUUCGUCAUAAAUUAGGUGUUCAAUUAUUUCGCUCACGCGUAACUUGAAAACUUAAUUAAUAAUAAAUAUCUUGUUAUUUUAAUUAUCAUGAUAAAUAUUUUAAAUUAUGAACAUCAUAAAUUUUAGACAAGUGGCUUUAUAUAUGCCAUUGAUUUUUAAAAACUAAUUAAUGUACGGAAAAUAACUAUCUAGAAUAGAUGGUUAUUUAUGUAUGGAAAUCUUAGAUGUUAUAGAUUAAAUUUUGAUUAUAAAAUGUUGAUCAUCAAAAUAUUAGGUGUGGUGUAUAGAAUAUAUGUUAUAAUUUUUUUUUUAAAAAAAAAGGUAAGUUUCAAAGAUCAUUAAGUUUUUAUAUUUUGUUAAUGAUUUUUAUGUUUAUACUAAUUAUUUGAAAUAUCUCAAUUAUUAAAAAAGCAAUUAAGCCAAAAAAUAUAUCACUAUCAAAUAUUAACCAAAGGUGAUAAUUUUAUCAACUAAAAAUGGUAAAGUUACUAGAUUUAUAAAUCAUUACUAAAUUUAUAUUUAUUUUCAUUUAUCUACUGUAAGAACUUGAAUUAAUUUAAAACAAUUAAGAUUUUAGAAAGUUUGAAAUCAAAACAAAAAAAAUUAAAUUUUGUGGAACUACUUUAGGAUGGCUAGUCCCCAAAUAAUUUUAUCUUUUUAAAAAUAUCAUGUCUAAAUCCAACACAUUCAGAGAUACUAGAAUUUUGAGACAUCAAAUUCCUAGUUUUUUGAAAAUAUAAUUUUGGAAUCAUUAUUUGGGUAUUUUUGAAUAAUUUUCUUUCAAAUAUACAAUAUUAGGUUUCUAUUAAUUAAAUCUGAAGUUAGGGACACAAUGCCAAAUUUAAAACACAUGUAUGGUUUCAGUUGUUGAUGAAGAGCAUGUUCGACAAAACAGAGUUGAAACGAAAGUAUGCAAAAUAUGUUUCUCUAUUUUUCGAUAGAACUGUAGAAAAUAUAUCAUAGCCAAUUCAUUACUAUAUAUAAAACGUGAUAUAACAUAUAUGAAUCAAACUAAUUAUUUUCUAUCCUAUAUUUUGAUCGCAUGUAGCACAAUCUUUAUACAAGUUCGAACAAAGCUUAUAUUCUAAGCAAUUCCAUAUCAAGAGCUGGAUCCGAUCCACCCAAUAACUAUUUUCGGGACAUGUUUGGCUCAUAAUUGAAAUAGGAAUAAGAAAUGAAAUUGAAUUGUAUUAGAAUGAACAAUAGAAUGACGAAUCAUUCUAAAAUAUUUUGUUAGAGAAUGUUUUGAAUGAUUUAUUCUGAAAUUGGCCAAUUCGGGAUUCAAAGUCAUGUUGCACCAUAAAUGAAUUAGGAAAUUUCUAUUUUAGAAUGAACUAAAAAUCGAAAUUCGAUUUAUAUAAAUAAAAAAUUACUAUCGGAAUCAAUAAAUUUUAUUCCGAUUACAUUAUCUAAAAUAGGUGGACAAUCUAAACCAUUAAAAGCAAACUUUUUAAUUUUUAUAACAAAGCGUACGUAGCAAGUUAAUUUCACGGAUUGAAUUGAAAAUACUAAUUGAAUGAAUCCAAUUCUUUGUCACACAAAAUUUCGUAAGAAGCUUUUCGUAGAAUUUUAUUUAGAGAUGAUAAUUUUUAAUAUGCUUUAAAUUUAAAUAAAUAUUUUACACAUAUUUGUUUUUCUUGCAAAUAUUAGUUAAACAAUAUUUGAUUGCCAUAAAGUCGUCAUACAAAUUAAUAAUUUGACAUCCAAAAAAUAAACUUAAUAAUUAAUUAAAAUUUAAGCUACUUCGAAUCAAAAUUAAAUUAAAUUUUAUUAUUUUUUUAAAAUAAUUAUUUGUAUUUUAAAAAAUCCGUAGGGUUUCCGCAGGGAUGGAGAUCCCCAUGGGGAGUAGGGAUUCGGCAGAGUCGAAAAUUCUAAGAACAGACGGAGACGGAGAAGGGGCUCCUGUCCCGUCCGAACCCGGUUGCCGGUCCUAAAUUCUUGAGGAUAUUUUGAAGGCAGGGGAUCGAAUCUCAUACGUGCAUAUUUACGGAGUUUUGAUCUUCUUCUCGGAGUUUCGGGUGACGUUGGGUUGUGGUACCUACCCGCAACAUUUGCGAAAAAUAAAAAAAUAAAAAAUAAAAGAAAGAGAGAAAAAAAAAAGUUUUGAGUCUACAAAAAGGUGUACAUGUGGUCACAAUAUGUAUUGUAUUCCAAUAUUCAUAUAUGAAAGCCCAAGUUUAAAGCCCAGGAAGAUUCAACAUGGGCAGUUUCACCCCAAUGUGCCUAAAUGGGCUAUUGGGUUCUUUUUUUCAAAAACUCUUCUAAGAAAAAGAACACAAAACAAAAAAAGUUUUAAAAAUAACACACAUUCUUCAAACAUUUCUGCGACGGUAGGGUUUGUUUGUUUCACCGAAGAGUAAAUUCAGAUUGAAGUAGACUUUCCGGUAAAUUAGAAUUUAAGGAAAUUUUUUUUUUCCUUACUUGUCUUUAUAGUUGUGAAAUUGAAAUUUCUACAGUUAUGUUAUUUGUUUAGCAGGAAGUAAAUGAUAUAAGAACUGGAGGUGUGAACCAGGGUAAUAUUUUAUUUUUCCACUUUCUUCUUUUACUUUCUUUUGAGAGAGAAUGAUAUCAUACUUUGUUUAUUUUUUUUAAAAAAAAAUGUACCUGAAAAUGUGAAAUAAUUAGUUUUUGAAGUUUGAAUUUUCGAUACCAACUAUCAGACUCUUUGCUACCUACAUUAGGAACGGUUGUUUUUAUUUUUUUUCUGUAAUUGACCUCGGUUUAGAAUAGGUCGAAGUCAAUCACGAUUAUUUUGAAGAGUUUGAAUUUUGACGAAAGAUAAAGUUACAGCAAUUCAAACAAUAAGUGUUGACAUUUAUGCCCAAGAACUAUUUCAUUCUUUUUUACUUUAGGUUAAAAAAAAAAAAGAAAAUCACAUACCUUUUGCGUUUUGGAGUUAAAAACGUCACUUUAAUUUUUUUACUACAACAAAAACUUAAAAGAGUCAUCACUAUAAUAAUGACAAAUUUUAAAUUUAGAUUAUGGUAUUUAAAGAUAUUUUUUAAAACCUAUUUAUAUGUCCUAAAAAAUGGACUAGUCGAUUCAUGCAAUUUGUUAUGAAUAUAUUCCACAUCAAAUGCUGUGGCAGUGACAUACUACUAGAGCUCUAAUCUUAGCAAGAAUAUAUAUAACUCCGAAUUUUAGGUAACAUGUAUUUCAUACUUCACUUGUGUAAUAAAAAAUAUAUAUAAAUAGUUUACUUCAAUCACUUUUGUUUUAAAAUAUUUUAUAUUGUUUUUACUUUCUAAAUUCACAUUGGAUCUCUUUGAUACUUAUUAGGGCUAUCUAAUGCUACUAAGCCAAAAAAAAAAAAAAAGAAAAAAAAGAAAGAAAGAACAACAAGUCAACAACGUAUAUGUGAAGUUAUCUUUCUCAGUAUUUCAGUAGAAUACAAAAAUAUAUCGUACAAGAAUUAAUACAAUUUACGCAACGUACGUAACACAUUUUACAUUCACUUUUUCACGUUCAUAAUACACGGUCUCAACGAUUCUAUUCUGAACGAUUCUAAAACUAGCCAUUGCAUGCUACAGUUGAUACAGUACAAGUCUCAUAUGAAAAUUGUGCGCAUAAAAAAUUUUGAGCAUUGUCAUUUGCAUACCUUAAGAUGUAAACAGGGCGGAUCCGAGGGCGGAAGAGUUUCCUCACCUUCCACUCCAUUUCUUGUCGGGACGAGACGGAUUCAAAACAGAUUAUUUUUUAUUUUAAUUUUGGCUCACACUUACCGUCCCAUUCGGAGCGGUUCGAAAUGAGAGCAAAUUUUUGACGAAUCGAGACGGGCUGAAGGAAGAAAAAAAUUUUCCGUCUUUCGCUCCAUUUAUUUGGCGAAUCAAAACAGAUUCGAAAUAGAUUAUAUUUUUCUAUAUUUUAUGUUUCUACUUACCAUCCCAUUCGUAGUGGAUCAGGACGGAAGCUCCACCAAUCAGGAUCCAUUUGCAUCCCUAUUCAUACCCAUAAGUUGGAUCUCAAUCUAAAAUUCUAUCCAUCUAAAAGCCAAAUUUAUUUUAGUAAUUUUAUCAAAUUUUUUACCGGAAAAAAAAAAUCUAAACAAUUUAAUUUUUUUUUUGAGAGAUAGGUAGCACGCUACCCGCUUCAUUUAUUUUAUUUAAAAAUAAAUUUAGCUGGAAAUGUGAAUCAAGUAGAAUUUGAACUUAGGUUUUGAGCACCAACCACCAAAUUCUUUGCCACUUACUUUAGACACGGUCGGUAUCUAAACAAUUUAAUUGAUUAAACAAGUAGCAUCUUUUUCCUACAAACAUUAACAUCAGGUCCCAGCUAGUUGCCAAUACACAAAUGAAUUGUUAUUCACUUUAUGGCCCCCACGAGAGACUCCUUGAACUUUGUGUGCUAGGUUUCACAUGUGUUCUUCUCCACUUGGAUUUGACAUCUACAAUGAUUUUCACCUAAAACACAUUUUAAAAAUUAUUAUAAUUAGGGUGCGUUUGAUUUGUACUAUCUUUUUAAGAUUCCUAAUAAUCCAACAGAAUAAAAAAAUAUGAUCGUGUUUGGCUAAACGCACUAAAUAAUCUAGUUGGUAAUACUGGAUUUAUUUGAGAAUGAGAUGCAUCCCAAAAUACUAAUCUCAUUACUUUGAGGAAGGGUGGGUAUCCUUAUAUUAAUGGAUUGGAGUAAUUAUAAUAUGUCUAAUAUCUUUUUUGUUCCCACCCGCCAGCUAAUUGGUAUUAUUUUUCUUUACACUCUAACCUCAUAUCUUUCUCUAAACUUAUCUUUUUUUUUCUCUCUCUAUAUUUCAACUCUUUUUCUCUCUCUAAAUUAAACUAUUUCUCUCCCGCUUUUUCUAAAAUCUCAACCCUUCAUUCUUUCUAACCUCGAUUCUAUUUCUCUUCUUACUCUUUAAUUAUGCUUUCUCUUUCUAACAAAUAUUCUCUCUCUUUUUUUAAAAAAGAUGUUGAAAUUAUUUAUAGUAUUAUUUAAAAUUAAUUAAUUAAAUUAAUUAAUUAAUUGUAUAUUUUUCAUAAUCUUAAAUAAUAUGAAUAAAUAAUAUAACUGUACGAAUCAAACACGGAAAUACUACAUUCUUAGUAAUAGAAUGAAUAGGAAUAAGAUUCUCGGAUUUUUUUACUCCUAUUAAUAUUUCAUAGUGCGAACCAAACGCGCCCUUAGAGUAAUGCUUCUAUACUUUUUUUUUUUUUCGUUACCGUUCAUUUAUUCCUAUUCAACGGCUUAGAUUUAAUUUUUUUUAAAUUGUGAUCUGCAAGAGCAGGUCACUUUGGGAGAGGUAUCGGUUACCAGGUACCUUAAAAAAAGGGUAUUUUUGUCUUUUAAUAUAUGAGCAAUUUAGUUAUUUUUUCUCUACUAUAUUAUCAAAAUUUUUAUUCUCUUUUUGUUUUCUUUUCCUCUCUCUUCUUUCCUCUUAUAUUUUUAAAUUUUGAAUCUGACCCGAAUAAUAUAUAAAGUUUAAUAUUAUAUUCAAAUUUAAGUUUUAAAAUUUUAAAUUUAAUAUAAAUAUUUUGAAAUAUGGUAAAGAGAAAUAAUUAUUUCGGCUUCUGAUCUUUGGGUUCGGAUUUUAGGUUUUGAAAAAUUGGUCAUAUUCGGGUUUGGAUAUGGAUUUUUGAAAUCCGUCGAGUUCGGAAAUAAGUUUUGUGAUUAUUAGUCGAGUUCGAAUUCAAAUUCCUAACUUUUUUUUUUUUCUGACCAAUAAUCCUAUUUUUUAAAUUUUUAUAUUUAAAAUUAUGUUUAAAAUAUUUAUUAGCUCUAACAGCUAAAAUGCCAAUCUUUUUAAAAUGUUUAUUAUCUUUAACAGUUCCAGAUUGUUUUUAAUUUUAUUUAUUUCAAUAGGUUGAAAUCAGAUUCUUAAUAGAAUAGAUUGAGCUUUGAUCAGUCGAAUCAAUCGGUUCAAUCUGAUUUUGAAUCAUUGAUGCUAAUUUAAUUAAAAUGAAUAAUAAAAGUUACGAAGCUAAGUGUAAACAAAAAGUUAAGGAACUAAAAUUUAAAAAAUCAACUAAAAACUAAAAAAAUUUAAAUGUAAGAGUCAAAAUCAAUUUAAUAAAUUAAAUUAAUUAGACCGAUCAAAUUGAUAAAAUAUACAAAUAGUCUAGAUAUGUUCAAUAUAAAUUUAUUUGAUUUAUCUAAAUUUCUAAUUUUGUUUACUCUAGUAAAACUUUAUGAUGGAGAUUUAUUAUAAGCUUAAAAUUUAAAUUAUACAAUCUAAAUUUAUUUAUUGGUAACUUUAAAUUGCACUAUACUAUUUAGAUUUGUUAGAGUUUUCUGUAUGCUUUUUAGGUUCUAAACUUCAAAUUUAGUUUAUUUUCGGCUUAUAUUUUAAAUUACAAUACAUGAUUUUUCUAUUUUAAAAGAUCAAUUUUUGGUAUUAAUUUUGUCCAUAAAAUUCUAUUUUAAAAAUAAUUUUGAAUUAUACCCAAUAUUUCUAAUCAAUUAUCCAUAUUAAAUUUUUAAAUAGUGAUAAAGAAUUAAUAUCUAAAUUAAAAAAAUUCUUAAAUUUUUUUAAACAUAUUAAAUAUGUUGAAUUUAAAUAUUUGCCCAUAUUCAAUUUUGUAAAACUAGUAAUACAAAAUUUAUGCCUAAGAUGAAUUCAUAAUUUUGUUAAACAUAUUAAAUAUGUUAAAUUUAAAUAUUUACCAAUAUUACAAUUUUUUUNAUUUAAAUAUUUACCAAUAUUACAAAUUUUUUAAAUAGUGAUACAAAAUUAAUCUUUAAAGUAGAACAAUUCUAAUUUUUUUAAAUAGUAAUACAUAUUAAAUAUGUUGAAUUAAAAUAUUUACCAACAUUAUAAAUUUUUUAAAUAGUAAUACAAAAUUCCUCUAGCUUAAAUUUAAAAUUUUUAAUUUUAAAUAUUUAAUAUUUAAUAUUUAAAUUCAACGCAUUUAGAAUUAGAACUAUUUCUCAAAUUCUUAUAAUUUAAAUUAAUGCCUAAAUUUUAAAAACACUAAAAUUUUUAAAGUAAAUGCCUAAAUUAAUGCCUAAAUUUGUGUAAUCAAUCAAUUUCCCAAUUAGUGCAAAUUAAUGCGUUAAUUUAGAAUAUCAAUUAGAAAUUUCUUUAAAUAUUGUAUAGUUUAAUUACCAAAAUAAUCUCAAAUAAAUAACACCUUUACCUGCUAAAUGUUAAAAUUACAUCUUUACCCUCUCUUAAUCAAUGGUUAAGAUCUUUUUUAUUUUUUUAAAAAUAAAAUACUGAAUCAUUUCUCUUAUAAUUAUACUUUGAAUCUAAGGAGAGUGGUAUCUUAAAAAGGAAAACCAAAGAACCAAUUUGAACUUGGCAUUCUCAAAUCUCAAACAAUCAUGUUUCAUAUGAUUGAGGUUGGCAUGUUAGGGCCAAUCCCCCUCAACAACUAGUCCUUUACAGCAAAUUAGGGAGACAAAUUUUUGAUUGAGACAUAUAUAUAUAUAUAUAUAUAUAGAGUUGGACUGGGCUACUAUUACUAGCAAAAUUCUAUUGUUGCUACCAGUUUUUUAGCCUUUGGAUUAACUCUUUUCAUUAUUUCUAACCAUUGGAUUAAAUACUAUAACCUAGUGGGGACCACUCAACCCUAGGGGGACCACUCAACUCUAACCGACUAAUAUCAUCCUGACCCUACAAUUUUUCAUCCAAGNGAGCUGUUUUCGAUGAUGGAGCUUCCGAAUCGACGAUCGGCUCCGUUAGACUUGAUCUAGUAUAUUUGAAGUAUCUAGAAAAUAAAUUUUGUGACUUUUCGAUAUCAUUUACCUAACGGUUGAAUGGGUUCAAAAUCAACGGCUGAAAAUAAAAAUCUCACAAAAAGUAGUGAUAUAGUAUUAAAAUUUUUGAUCAAACAUAUUGAUCUUAUUGUAAAUAGUAUAAAGAAUUUUCUAUCAAAAUUUCAUCUGAUUUAAAUACUUCUACACCGUUAAAUUUGCAAACGGUGUAUAUCAACCAUUAAAAAUUAUUGAUUUUGAACCCUUUUGAUCGCUAGGAAAAUGAUAUCGAAAAAUCACAAAAAUUAUUUUCUAGAUAGCUUAAAUACGCUAGAUCAAGUCUAACGGAGCCGAUCGUUAAUUCGGAAGCUCUAUCAUCGAAAACGGUUUAGGAGCACGGAGGCCUCUGUGCUCCUAAUAGCACAUAAGACCUACUAUAUAUAUAUAUAUAUAUAUAUAUAUAUAGUCCGGCUAUGGUGCUUGUAAAAGUACAAAGCACUUGGUACUUGUAAAUUUUUUAUCGUUAGAUCUAUGCCUUUGAUUAUUUUCACCCAUUAGAAUUAUGCAAUUCAAGCCAAACCACCCACCUCCCAAACUCCCUAGGGUGCCAACAUCAUCCUUUAAAAGGUCCGCACAUUUCUAAUCAAAGGCCAAAAACUUACAAGCAAAGAACUUGAAUACUUUUAAAACAUAGAGCUCAAUAUACUAUAUAUAUAAUAUAUAUAUAUAUAUACUAUUAAUAUAUAUAUAAUAUAUAUACAUAUAUAUAUAUAUAUAUAGAAUAAUUAACACACUGGACCUGUACAAAUUGCGAGAUUCGAGUGUUUGAUAUGGAUUCCGAACUUUUCUACACUUGGUGGAAGGUCGUAGAUGGUAUUCCGACCUAAAAGUUCGAUUUCUGGAGUUUUGGCAAUGUCCUAAGAGUUUUCACUCUCGAGGACCGGUCCCUGAUAGGAGAGACCGGUCCCCUCGGAGCAGUGUUGCGGCAGCCUGCGAGGCAACCGGCCUCUGGCAGAUGAGACCAGUCCCCAAGCGCGACUACGCGAGGAGAGACCAGUCCCAUGCAGGGAGAGACCGGUUCCCAAACGAUGGAUUUUCGGGGCAGGCUGAGAGACCGGUCCCAGGUCGGGGAGACCGGUCCCUCAGUCCGAAAACUGCCCAGAUCCGAGCAGUGCACAGGUUGCUUUGUUGGAGGGCCUAGGUGGAUAUUGUUGCAAUAGAGGGCUUUUAGGCCAUUUCCCUUCUCUCUUUCCCUCACUUCCUACUCUCUCACACUCUCUAGAAAGAGAAGAAAAAGGAAAAGAAAGAGAAGAAGAAGGAGAAGGAGAAGGAGGAGAGCUUGCUUGGUGGACUUUGGACUUCUUCCUCAACCUCUUCUUUCACCAUUGGAGACUUGGGGCUUGCUUUUGGAGCUUGAUAGUGGAUUAAUCUUCAACCCUAGAGAAUUUUGAGCUUGGUUUGGAACAUCCUAGAUGUUAGUUGAUGAUUUUCUUCCUCUAGAUUCUAGCUUUGGUACUUUUGUUGGUAGAAACCCUAGAUUUUGGGAUUUAGGGUUUAUUUUGAAGAUUUUCAAUUUGAGGGGUUUGAAACCUAAUUGAUGGAUUUAGAACCUUUAUUUAGAUUGGAUUUGAAGAACUCUAACUCCCAUUUGAAACUUGAGAGAGGAUUUCUUCACUUGAGGUGAGUUUCUCCACCUUAGCUUGAGAUGGUUAAUGAUUGAGCUUAAUAUUGUUCGUAAGGUUCGUUUAACUCUUGUUCCUACAUCUUUAGGGUGCUAGGAGGCUAGUGGACACCUUCGUCAGAGCAAACGAAGGAUCGCAAAAGUUGUGGUGGGUUUGGCUUCAUGAAAACGGGGCAAAAUGACCCUAUGCUUUCUAUACUUGUCGUAACGUCCUUUUGAAUGCAAAUCCAUGCUAGAUAAGAUUUAUGGAAAUUUUAGAAUACUUAAAAUGCAUGCCUUAUGUAUCAUGAAAAUUUCACUCUAUAUAGUAGGGUAUUCUGGGCAUUUUGCAUACAUAUGGGAAGUGUUCGUGUUAGUGACUUAGAAACAUGUCUCUUAUGUUAGAAUUUGCUCAAAUUAUGCCUUUGUAAACAAUAAACUCAUGUUUGGACUUAGUGGACAAAAAUGCCAUAAUUGGCACUUGACAUAGUAAACUGUGAAACUGCAACUUAGAGACAUAGUGAUAGACCAUUGAAUAUCUGCUAUAUCCCAUGUUAGAGACAUGAUGAUAUAGAGAUAGGCCUUUUAGUCAUUCGACGUAUAUUCCGUGAUUUUAGACAUAAGGACAUGGUACUUGAGACAGAUCUUUCGCUUGCUUGCCAGUGUGCUCAUUCGCACAUGCUUGUGAGGGUCGCUCCCUACAAGCCGGCACUCCGGAGAUAGCCAUCGCGACAUAUGCUCGCUUGUGCGGGAUUGGGCACCGAAAUGCGAUGCCGUGGGGGAGGCUCAUUUCUAGAGUGAGGAUGUUGACUACCACAGGGCCAUUAGGCAGAGCGCAGGCCGGACUACCCACGAGUAGGUCCUACAGGAUUGGAUCAUUGAUGAUUUAGCAUACCGACUGGACAUCGACUAGAAUAGUAAACAAGACAUUUUACUAUCUAGCUUGUCGACAUCAUGCUAGUGAUACUUUGGUACAUUCAUGUUAGAAUAGUCUUUUAUUACUUAUACAAAUUCAUGCUAAGUAGAGAUAUCAUGUUGUAGUAAGUUUACAUUUUUACUUACAUGUCGGUUAUAUUACUUUUAUUGUUACUUACCUAUUUAGCUCUUUUGGGCCUAAUAGUGCUUUCACUGAAGUCAAUAAUUGCCCACUGGGAAUUAUUAUUUAAUAGUUCUCACGCCCCAUGUUUAUGGUUUUUCUUUUAGAGCCCUCUCCACCGGCGGAGGCACGGGAUCGCGGCAAGGGGAUCGCUAGCUAGAUAGCGAGGAUUUACUGCUGCUUAGGUGGUUUUCUCUCUUUUUGUUAUUGUUGAGAGAGAAUGAGGUUUUGUAUCCAUGUAUAAAGACCACCUAUGUAUUUGCUUAUAGCACUGGUUUUGGAAUUUCUAUUGUGCUACCUUUGAUUUACUUAUGGCGGAUGUUAGCUCCUUUACUUGUUUCCUCUUAUAGAAUUUAGAUACUGUACUAUGCUCUGAUACUUCUAAAUGUCUUUUAUUAUUGCUUUAUUUACCGUUAUUUUAUAGACACCUUAUAUGUUUUAUACGUAUGACGAGUCUGGGCACGUGCCGGGCGGGUUUCUGCUGGGUCCCGGGGCGUGACAAUAUAAUACAAAUAUAUAUAUACAAUCUAUAUCUAAAUAUUCAAAAUUAUAAAAUUAAAAAUUAUAUUUAAUACAAAUAGUCUAAGCUAUGUAAAAAUUAUUUAUAUAUUUUAAAAUUUAUAGUAAUAAAUAAAAAAAUAAAUUGGACUUAAAAUAUUAUAAAUUUUUUUUUAUAUGAAGAGAGAAAAAAUUGAAGAGAGAGAAAAAAAUAAAAAAUUGAAGAGAGAGAGGGAUUAAAAAAAUUGAAGAAAGAGAAAAAAAUAAAAAAAAAAUAUUUGAAGAAAGAGAUAAAAAAAUAAAGAGAGAGAGAGAGAAAAAAUAAUAAAAAUUGAAAAGAGGAAAAAAAAAUGAAGAGAAAGGAAAAAAAAUUUGAGAGAGAGAAAAUAAAUUUGAAGAGAGAGUAAAAAAAAACAAAAUUUCCCUCCUCUCUCCCCCGCUGGGCCCCACUCACACGGGGCCCACCUUGCGGCGCGCCCGUGUCGGCUCGCGCUAGCGCCGGCUCGCGCCCACGUGCGCCGCGCACCACGCGCCCACCCGCGCCCGCUCGCGUCCGGCACCUGCGCCCGCUCGCGCCACGCGACUUCGCUCGAGCGCGCCUGCGCCGGCGCCUCGCUCGCGCGCGCGCCUGCGCCAGCGCCUCGCUCUCCCGCGCGCUAAUAUAAUAACCCUACCUUGUUUAAUGUUUCUCAUCUCUCUCUCUCUUUUUCUCUCUCUCUCUCUCUCUCUCUCUCUCUAUCUCUCUUCCGAUCGAUCCAAAGGCUCACCAUUUCUCUCUCUCUCUCUCUUCCGAUCGAUCCAAAGGCUCAUUAAUGGUGAGCAGCUACCCCUCUAUCUCUCUCUCUCUCUCUCUCUCUCUCCCUCGCUAUCUCAUCUGAAACCCUGCUUACACAUACACAUCAGCUUCAGGAAAUUGUGUAAUACUUUUGAGUUGUACCACCAAUUUUUUGGAAAUAAAAUAACACCUUGUUUGCUCUCUUUUACAGAAUUUUCAUAUCCUCUGAUCUACUCCUUUUGUCUCAGUAGACACAGCUUGUGCAAUAACUCUCUAAUAUAUGGACUCAAUAUGAUUUUAUAUUUACAGCUUCAGAUGAUCAUGUAUGAUAAUAUUCACCAUAACUAUUUAUCAAUGUGAACUAUACACCUAUUUGAGAAAAGAAAGCCAAGCGGCCAACUGUUCUGAGAAGCAACUUUCAUGCCUACUUUUGAAACAGGGAAAAAUAGAAGUUCCAUGGUACUGAAAAUACAAAUGAAUUCACCAUUCAACAAAUAUAUAACAAUUACGUCACGCAAAGCAACAAUCUAUUGUAUGUUUAACUCAGCUUAGCAAACUGCAUGGACAAAAGUGGAAGUUACAAUGUUUUACUUCAAAUUGGAAGACACCCAAAAAUUGGCCCCAAAAGCACCUAAGAUAAAGCCUAAUUUGGCCUCAACAUUUCUACUCUCUCCCUAAAACACUAUCACAGCAGUAAUGUAGUGAAGUAUAAUCGAAAAAGUGAUAACAACAGAUGGUCCUAUCAGCAAGAACUUUGUUCCUGCACUGCACUGAACAUUCGCUCCGCUAGAACAGCCGCUUCUUUGCGGUUACAUAUAUAUCAUGUAAUGCCAAAAGAGAAAUGAUUCGGUACUUUUUUAAAAAAAUAAAAUAAAAAAGAUCUUAACCGUUGAUUAAUAGAGGGUAAAAAUGUAACUUUAAUACUUAGCAGGUAAAAGGAUUAUUUUAUUCAAGGUUAGUUUGGUAAUUAAAUAAUACAAUAUUUAAAGAAAUUUUUAAUUAAUUGAGGUCCUAAAUUUAUGCAUUAAUUAGCACUAAUUUAGGAAAUUAAUUGAUUAACCAAAUUUAUGCAAUUAUUAGGCAUUAAUUUAGGAAUCUACUUUAAAUAUUUUAAUGUUUCUCAAAUUAUGCAUUAAUUUAAAUUAUAGAAAUUUUAGAAAUAGUUUUAUUUCUAAAUACGAUGAAUUUAAAUUUUAAAAAUUAAAUACUUAAAAUUUAAAAGUGAAAUUUAAAUUAGAGGAAUUUCAUAUUACUAUUUAAAAACUAAAUUUCUACCAAGAUUUAAAAUACAGUUUAUUCGCACCAGUUUAAAACGUAAUGCAUAAAAAACUUAGAGAGUAAGAUUUCUACAACUAGAUUUCUCUAGAGGAAUUUCAUAUUACUAUUUAAAUUUUAAAUUCAAUGAUUUAAAAACUAGAUUGAACCGAUUGAUUUGACUGAUCAGACUUUGACCUAUUCUAUCAAGAAUCUGAUUUUAACCUAUUGAACCGAAUAACAUUAAGAACAAUUUGGAACCGGUAAAGAUAAUAAAUAUUUUAAACAGAAUGAUAAUUUAACUGUUAGAGCUAAUAAAUAUUUUAAAUAUAAUUUUAAACAUAUAAAUUAAAAAGAUUAGAAUUAUUGGUGAGAAAAAAAAUAGUUAGGAAUUUGAAUUCGAAUCUAACUAUAAAUCACAAAACUUAUUUCCGAACUCGACGAAUUUUAAAAAUCCAUAUCCAAAUUCAAAACUGACCAAUUUUUCGAAAUCCAAAACCAAAUCUAAACCAGAAGACUAGAAUUCAAACAAUUAUUUCUGUUUACCAUAUUUCAAAGUAUUUAUAUGAAACUUAAAUUUUUAAAAUAUAAAUUUGAAUAUAAUAUUAAAUUUUAAAUUUAAAAGUGAAAUUUAAAUUAGAGGAAUUUUAUAUUACUAUUUAAAGUUUAAAUUCAAUGAUCAUAUUGUCAAAUCAUUUGAAAAUUUUCUUAUAUGAAAUGCCAAAUUAUGAAAGGAAAGAUAGAGAGAGAAAAAGGAAACAAAGAAAAAAUAAAAAUUUUAAAAAUAUAGUAGAUGUAAAAUGACUAAAUUACCUAUGUAUUAAAAGACAAAAAUAUCCCUUUUUGAGGUACCUGAUAACCGGUACCUCUCUCAAAGUGACCUGCUAUUGCAGGUCACAAUUUUAAAAAAACUAAAUCUGAGCCGUUGAAUACGGGUGAAUCAACGGUAACAAAAAAAAAAAGUAUAGAAGCAUUACUCAUGCCAAAAACACUCCCUAAUAAAUGUUUUGGUCGGCAAACACAAAUCUAUUUUGAGAUAAUGAAUGAAAGACAUCAACUUUUUAAAGUAUAAGGCUUGCUUACUAAGUGUUCAUCAGCUUAAGCUGUCAUAGAAGUUAGGGGUCGAAUUGCUGCUUAAUGCAUUUCAAAAUUAGGGAUAAGAGUCAUUGACUCUUGUGUAUUAAGUUACUAUAAAUUCUUGGUAUACUUUUGGAAUGAUAGAGCAGUGUAAAAGUCUUUAUUUAUAUUGGUAUAUUAGAUUAAAAGAUUUGAAACAGAAAAAAAGAAAAGCAGUAUUUCUAUAAAUACAUGUCUGAAUUUUUAAUUUUGAUAAGUAAAUCUUCUAAACUUCAUAUUUUAAAUUUACUGUUUAAAUUCAGUAUCAGAUUUUAAAUUCUGCUUAAGACUUCAAAUUUAUGAUUCUAAAAUUUUAAAAUACAAUAUAGUCAAAAAAAUAUUAUUUGAAAAUAGUAAAAAAAAAAUUGACAAAACGACUUCAUAAAAAUUAUUUUAGAAAAAACGCUUUCCUGCUAAAUUCAGCCAAAUACUGCAUAAUAUUUAACCAAAAUUAACUUUUUAUAUGGAAAUUAAUUCUGCAGAAUUAUUUUUUUUCAAGAUCUAGGCUAAACGGCCCCAUUAUUGUCCAAAAUGAUCUGAACCGCUCAAUUUUUUAAAAUAAAAUAAAAAACUCUCUACCAAUAGAAAUGCGCCACAUUGUAUUGUCCCUCUAAAAAUCUAAUUAUUAAUGAGUAGAUCACCGAAUCGGUGAGCACCGCAUAACCUGAGACCCCACCUUAAUGUAUGGUGUGGUGGCCCUCCUAACCUAAACACGCUUCGCGGAUUCAGCGAGCCAAUUUAGUUCUUAGAAUCUGCAAAAUAAAUAAAUAAAUAAAUAGAUUGAUAAAAUUUUUAUUUUGAGAAUCUUGAUAGGGCUGAUUAGUUAAGCAACAAAAAAUAAUUCACUAGACUAGAUUUGGCUUAUGACCUGCAUGUGGACGGUGCAGUUAAUAGAGCCAUAUCCAAUGGAUCUUCAAUUAUUAUUAUUAUUAUUAUUAUUAUUAUUAUUCUUUUUCAACCCUAAAAAAGAGCUCUAAGCAUUCACAUUAUCCGAGAAGCCACGCACAGUAUUUGACUCUCCGACAAUUUGGACAACAUUACUGACCAUCCCUAGAGCAAGUGGCAAAGAGCUCGGCGGUUGGUACCCGAGACCUAAAUUCGAAUUCUAAUUGAUUCAUAUUUCCAGCUAAGUUUAUUUCUAAAUGAAAUAAACGAAACGGAUAGCGUGUUACCUAUUUCUCAAAAAAAAAAAAAAAAAAAAACAAUUUGGACAACAUUGAAUUAGUGAAAGAUGAAGCAAAAUAUAUAAAUUUGAUGAAGAGUAAUAUUACGUUUAAGGCACUGUUUGGUUGCAUAUAGUUAUAACUGUUUUACAAUUAUAACUAACUACAUGAAAAGAUCUGAAUUUGAUGUUGGUUGUAAUAAACUUAAAUUUAACUGUUGGUGUUAAAAUUGUAUCAGAAGGUCCAACUGUAAUAAUUGAAAUUAUAUCCAAAUUAAUGUACCUAAAUUAGCCGCAAUUUUGCCUGCAGCAGCAGCAGUUAGCAGUUGGAGGGAGCAACUUUAUAGUAAGCACCCGUACCUCUCUAAUUACUGUUUAAACAGAAAAUAUCUUUCUUUUCCACAAUAGAAAUAAUCUCAUCAUCACCUACAAAAAGUAGAAAAAUUUUAAACAAAUUAUUUACCAUUACAAUACUAUCUACUAAAUCCAACUAAAUAAGAUAUAUAUAGUUAUAACUCUUAUACUUUUAACUGUAUGUAUUUUUAAUUAUAUUAAACUGAGCAGUCCCAAAAAUCCAUGGGGAUAACUAAAGCUGUAUUAUCCAAGGUUCGGCACAAAUGCAAUGAACUUCAUUACCAUCCAAAAAAUUAAUUUAAUCUUAAUUUAAUUUGUCUAGAGCUACUGUACUUUCGAAAGCUAUAUUACCGAAGGUUCUGCACAAAUGCAAUGAACUCCAUGUACCAUCCCAAAAAAAUUAAUCACUUUAAUCUAAAUUUAAUUUGCGUAAAGCUACAAUACUUUCGAAAGUAUAAGAGAGUGGUGCUUCCGACUUUUUUGACUUUGGAUCAAGAAUUAUACGGUCGAAAUGAUAGUAGUCCCUCUAGAGUUGAGUAGCCCUCCUAGAGCAAUAGUAUUAAUGCAAAGAUCAAAAAUUAUUAAAGAAGUUGAUCCAAGGGUCAAAAAGUUAGAAGCACUAAUCUAUUAUAUUUUCAAAAGUAUAAUAUUUUUAAAACUAGGCUGGAAUACUAUCAAUAACACCAAACUAUUAUUAUUAUUAUUAUUAUUAUUUUUUUCGCUUCGCUCCGGAAGCCGAGUUGCUUCCCACGUUUGCUAAAUUCAACUACUCUAUAAAUGAAACGGUAGCAUGCUGCCUUUUCUCAAAAAAAAAUAUCCCAGCCGGACUAAUAGCUCUACUCAUUUAAUUUUUAUUGUUUUAUGCGAGUACACACAGCAUUAUUUUUUUAAUGAAAGGCUAAGGGCAUGUUUGUUUCAACAUAAGUAGACUUGGAGUGGAAGUGGACUUUGGUUGAAGUGGAGUUUAGGUGAAAAUUAAUUCACUUUCGCUGUUUGUUUCUAACUGUGGAAGGGCAAUUUUGUGAGUUCUGUUGUUUGUUUGGUAGGAAGUAGAUGACGUAAAAAGUGUAGCUCUCCACCCCCAAUAUACUUACCUCCGAAGUGAUAUUAUUGUCUAUUUUGUAACUUAGUGAAUAAUAAAUUAUAAUAAAUAAAAAUUAAUGUAAUUAUAUAUGUAUAUAAUUAUAUAUAUGUAUAAUUAUAAAAUAAAAUUUUAAAAAAUUAUAUUAUUUGUUUGCAUAUAAAUUAUAAUAAUGCAACAAAUAAAAUUCUAAAGUUAAAAAUUUAUUAACAUUUAACAAAUUCAUUUUUCAUCAUUUUCUAAAUAUACAAAUUAGACAAAAAAUAUAUUAAAACUUACCUAUCCAAAUUUGAUCGCAUUACCUAACCAAAUUUAACAAACUCCUUUGCCUCUUUGCACUUCACCACCGGAAUUGACUUCGCUCCGUGGGAAGGCGAAGUCAAUUGCCUUAUUUUGGGUGAACUCGACUUUCGGCUGUAAUAAAAUUACGGCAAAACAAACAACGAAAGUGAUAGCUUACGGCGUAAACAACUUCCCUCCUCUCCACUUCCCCCUCACUUUUAUCCAAACAAACACACCCUAAGAUGCUCUUAAGAAAUGUCCUUGCUGAUAGAAAAUUUUGAAAAAAUCAACAAUUCUUGAAAAUCAUUGCGUCCAUGAUCCUGCUCUCUCUCUCUCUCUCUCUCUCUCUCUCUCUCUUUUGCAGUUGGCAUGCAGUUUAGGGGGACUCGUGGUUUUCUGCUUUAUGAAAAACUGUGGGAGUUUUUCUUAAAAAUAAAAAGAAAAAAGAAGAAGAAAAACUGUGGGAGGCGCCGUUAGGUUAACAAAUCGCGUGGCGCGACAAUUUUGGAUUUCUAAGCGGGCGUUUGAUUCUUUAAAAAAAUAUAGAAAUUUUUUAGGAAAACAGUGAAACGGUGUUUUUUUUUAUGAUUUUUGUGCUUUGAUUUUUCGCAUGUUCAGUUUUGAAGAAAAUUAUACUUUUAGAAAAACAUUUUCACAUUUUAUAAAAAUCAGUAUUUUUAAUUUUUUUAAUAAAAUCUAGUAAUUUUUUUGAAAAAAAGUAAUUUUUAACUAAAUAGAUGAAAAAAAAAAAAAUUUCCAUGUAUAUUUUUUCGAAAAAUAAUUUAUUAAACUUUGACUGAAGAAUCCAAACAAAACCUAAUGCUAAAUUCAAGAGAGCAUUUAUCCAGAGCAAAACAAUUAAAGAUCCCAAAAAGUUGAGGGAAAGAAAGAAAGGUAAAAAAAAAAAGUAAAAAAGAGAGAGGGCGCCGCGCAAGAAGAUGAAACUAAGAUCAUAAUUCCAUUAAUUCGAUUUCUACAAGGUUACACAAAAAGAAAAGAAAAGAAAAAAAAAAAGAGAGUUAUAAUUAGAACACCACAAGAUCAGCGUAUGAUGAGGAGGGUUGUGUCUACUAAUAUGCACAUAAACCCUCCUCCUCCUCCUCCUCCUCCGUCCACUAAUCCACCUCUCAGAAUAAUAAUUGCAUAUAGUACAGUAAAAUCAUCCAUCCAGAUCCUUCUAUAAUGUUCUUCUGAGAUCGGAAUCGAAAGAUCGGAUCAUCGUGUACCCUUUUUCGAAUCGAUCGCCGUCGAUCCCUGUCCUCUUCGCGAGGCGCGGAAAAACCCUAAGAUCGGAUCAGGAUGCUGACGAUAACCCCCCACCCCCCGGCCUACCAGCACUGAUCCGUUUCCCACGUCCUGCGCCCGGAUCUGGCAAAGCUCGGGGCCGCGUAGGAGGAGGAGGAGGAGGAGGAGAAGGGCCUCCGAUCGCCGCGCGGUGGCGCCGCGGCGGCGGCGGCGGCGGCGGCGGCGGCGGCGGCGGCGGCGGCGGCGGAGGAGAGGGACGUGGAGCGGUCGUAGCGGGCGCGCUGGUCGGGGUCGGAGAGGGUGGCGUAGGCGGCGUGGAUGCGGAUGAACUCGUCGGCGGAGGCGCCGCGGACGACGUCGGGGUGGCGCUCGCGCGCGAGGCGCCGGUACGCGGCCUUGAUCUCGCGCCCCGUCGCCGCCGCGCCGAUCCCGAGCACGUCGUACAGCGUUCCGCCGGCUGCGGCGGAGGGUGCGGCGGCGGCGGCGGAGGCGCGGAGGCGGAGGCGACGGGGGAGAGGAGGGGGACGGGGAGGGUUCCGAAGCCCGAGAAGGGAGUUCGGAGAGGAGAGGGAGAGCGAUGCAACAGCAACCAUGGAGAAUACGGAGAUGGGGAGAGAUUGGAGAGGUUGAAGACGAUGGUUUGGGGGGAUUACCAUUAUUAUAAGCAGGGGGAGGGGGAGGCGAUAUCCGCGCCUCUCUAUCUAUGGACGGAGAUACUCUUUGACUCUUGAGGGUACAGAAGAUCAUUGCGUAGACCUGCUGCACUCUUUUUAUUUUUGGACCGCUCCCUCUUUUUCCGGCAUCUUCCCGAAUGAUUCAAGAACUUUUCUCUCUGCUGGCCAAGUGAAAAGAAAAUCUAGAAUAAGAUGCUGUACAAUGCUGUUCGAUAAAUAUACUGUAAUUCAUUCAUUCAUGUCUCUCCGAACAAAAUAUAUUGUAUUUAGGAGCAAAGCUUGUGUGCUUCUAAAAGCACGGUAGUUUCUGUGCCAUUAAAUCGUUUUUGUUGUUGAAACUUUCGAAUCAACGAUCGAUUUUCUUAGAUUUGAUCUAGAGUACUGAAAAUAUGUAGAAUAUAAAUUCUAUAAUUUUUCAUUAUCAUCUGUCGAAAAAAUUCAAAAUUAAAAAUUUUAAUGAUUGUAGUGAGUUAUUCUUAAAUUUAAUAAUGUAGAAAUAUUUAAAAUAAAUGAAAUUCUAAUAGAAAAUUAUUUAUACUUAUAAGGCAAAAUAAAUAUAAACUUUAGUAUUAUAUUUUGUUACAUUUUUAUUUUUUGAAAAUAUUCCAAAUUAAAUUCAAACAAAACUAAUCGCUGAUUUAAAAAUUCUAAAUAUUAUAAAUCCUGUUAUAGUACGGAGGCCACCGUACCUUCAAAAAUAAAAAUACACAAAUAAGGUCCGAUAUUUAAUCUUUAAACUAAAAAGUAUUUUGAAUGAGAUAAAAUAUUUAAUACUAAGUAAAAUAUAAAUUAUCUGAACAAAUUAAUUACAACAGCAUCAAGACAGUCUCCUUCCUUGGGGUGAUAAAAAUAAGCAGUCGACAACUGAAGAUCGAAGGAAGUCUGGGUAGAAAAGUUUCCAAUUUGGCCGGGGGUGCUUAUCCGCUGGGGACGGCGGGGUGAGUCAGCGAGGGGUCGGAUUGGCUGUCACGGAACGGAGAGUGCAGUCUGGAGUCUGGACCGCGCAAAAAACAAAUCACACGCAAGAGCCAGCGGAAGACUGGCAUCGGGUUGGAAAACUCGGAAGCGGGGAUAGCGAGGGUGUCGCCUUAGUCAUGCUCGAGCUGGACUGGUACGAUGUCACCGGAUUGGAUUGGCCCCACACCCCUCCCCCACCACAACCGGGUCCGGAUAGGGUUGGCCCCACACCGGACGUGGCAGUGGAUAGAUUAAUUCCAAUAAGUCAUGUCUCUUCUUUUUUUUCUUUUUUUUUUUUGAAAAAAUUUUUCUCAAUAUAAAUUUUAAUAUUUGGUGGGGCACAUAACUCUAAUGUGAAGUUGAGGAUGAUCUCAUAAGAGGAUGGGAUCCGAAAUGAGAGGUUCGGGGGGAUGAACUUUAAUGAAAUAUGGUAAUGUUCCUUGCGAAAAAAGACGCUCUUAAAAAAAGAUCUAUAAAGUUACGGUUAUGUAUUAUUAUUGAUGUAUUGACAAUUUAUGUCGCACAUGCAUGAAUCAAUCAAAAGCCUUCAAAUCAUAUAUUAAGAGCAAUAUCGUACGAAGUACAAAGAAGUUUUCUCUAGAAAAUGAAUUUGAAAGAGAAUUGCUUUAGAUCCACCAUAAUUUUGUCCUUCUAUAUAGUUUUUGUGUUGAAAUUUUAUGUGGUAUUUUUGGAGUGCAUUAAUCAACCAAUCAUCUCUCUUCAUAUUAUAAUAACAAUAAAUCUAUUAAAUAUAAAAGCUAAUAAUGAAAUGGACCAGCAGCAGCAGGGUUCAAGAAAACAAUGUAUGAUAAUCUGCAGUAUUAUAGAACAUUUUAAAAUAGACGUCUCAAUGUUACUUUUUGUUAGUCAAUAUUUUCUUAAUUUCUAACUCUUCUUAUUUAAGAUAUUUUAUUUUUUAAAAGUUAUCAUUUUCAUAUGUUAUGACUCAAUUAGCUGGUAGUCAACAAUUUUUUUUUAUUUUUUUACUAAAAUAUAAUUAUAAAUAUUAAUUUGACGAAAUUAGUAAUGUAUUUGAGAGAUUCAACUUAGUUGCCUAAAAUUAUUUGAUUCAAAAAAAAAAAAUAAAACUAAAAAAAAUUAACUGAAACGCCUAUUUCAAAAUGUGUAUGUACAGUUAAGAGGUCUUCAUAUGCAUAAAUAUAUAUAGAGAGAGAGUGUUCGUCUAGUAUACUACUGAUAGUAAAUGAAUAAUAUUGCGAUCAACUUUUUCACCUUUAAAUUAUAUAUAUAUAUAUAUAUAUAUAUAUAUAUAUAUAUAUAUAUAUAUAUUCCGACUAUUAUAUUAUCAAUAUCACCAAGCGUUUGGUGUUAUCAAGUUUUCCGCCGUUAGUUAGAUGUAUUCCUUUGAUCAUUUCUAUCCGUUAAAUCAUACUAUAUAUUCAACUAACCAUCCACUUAACUCUAGAGGAUCACUAUCAUUCUAACCAUAUAUCCUUUCAUCUAAGGUUGCUAUUAAUAGUAUAGUAACAUAAUUCUAUAUAUAUAUAUAGUGUGACACCACAUUGCUAUCCAAAUCAUAUCCAUUCUAAUCUUUAGUGACCGAACCAAAGCCAAAUUCAAACUAAACUAGUAAAUCUAAAUUUGGACAUUUAAAUUUACAGAUUAAUUUUAAAUUUUAUUUCAGAACACCCGGAAAAUUUACUGUGUCCAAACGACCUUACUGGGUCGAGCCAAAUAUAAAAAGACCAUAUCAGUAACAGAAAUCAGAAGUCGGUCUGAAUCCGACCCGACUUUUCACGGGCCUGAACUUUUGAGACAUGAGCUGGUCCAGUGAACUAGCUUAGUCCNUAUAUAUAUAUAUAUAUAUAGUCCGGCUGCUAUACUAUCGAUAGCACCAAGUAGUUGGUGCUAUCAAGUUUUCUGCCGUUAGAUUAACCCCUUUGAUUAUUUUUAUCCGUUAGAUUAUACUAUUCAACCAACCACCUACUCAACCCUACGGGGCCCACAUCAUCCUAACCGCACAUCUUUUAAUCCAAGGGGGGAAAACUUAAUAGCACAAAGUCAUUGGUGCUAUUAAUAGUAUUCCAGCCUAGUUCUAUAUAUAUAUAUAAAAAUAGAGUCCGGCUACUAUACUCUUAUGAGUAUAGAGCUUUUUGUACUCAUAAAUUUUUUACCGUUUGAUCUACCCUUUAAUCAUUUUCAUCCGUUAGAUUAUAGUAUUCAACCAACCACUCACUCAACCCAAAUGGGGCCACUAUCAAUCUAACCGUAACCACUCUCAUCCCAACCACACAUUUUUUCAUCUGAACGGCCGAAAAUUUAUGAAUACAAAAGACUCUAUACUCAUAAGAGUAUAGUAGCCCCAGCCUAUAUAUAUAUGUAUAUAUGAGUAUAGUAGCCCCAGCAUAUAUAUAUAUAUUAUAUAUAUAUAUUAUAUAUAUACUAUGGUAGAAAGAGAGAGAGAGAGAGAGAGAGAGAGAGAGAGAGAGAGCGCGCGCUAGGCUGGUAUGCUAUCGGUAGCACGAAGGCCUCCGUGCUACCAAGUUGUUUUCAAUGUUGCGGCUUCCAAAUUGACGAUUGGCUCCGUUAGACUUGAUCUACACUACUAAAAGUAUUUGGAAACUAAAUUUCAUGAUUUUUCAACGUCAUUUACCUAUCAAACGAGUAGUCUAAAAAUGAACAACUGAAAAUAAAAAUUUCAUACAAAAUGAUGAUAAAAGACUUGAAUUACAGAUCAGAGGUAGUGAUCUUACUCUAAAUAGUGAAAAAAAAAUUUAUAAAAAAUUCAUCAGAUUUGGAUUGUUUUAAAUCGUUAAAUUCACAGAUGCAUCACAUCUACCAUUAAAAUUGUCGAUUUUGAGACCUUUUGAUCACUAGCCAAAUGAUGUCGAAAAAUUAUAAAAUUUAGUUUUCAAAUACUUUCAAUAGUGUAGAUCAAGUCUAACGGAGCCGAUCGUUAAUUUGAAAGCCGCAUCAUUGAAAACAACUUGGUAGCACGGAGGCCUCCGUGCUAGCUCUCUCUCUCUCUCUCUCUCUCUCUCUCUCUCUCUCUAUAUAUAUAUAUAUAUAUAAUUCUUAUAUUUUAUUUUUGACAAAAUUAUUUAUGCAAAUCUUGUAGAAUAUUCUUUUUUUAUGUUAUUAGUAUGUUGAAUUUAUGUGCAUAUUUUACUGUAUAACUUUGUAAAUAUUAAUAAUAUAUAAAAAUAAUAUUACAACAAAACUUAGUAAGAUUUCACAAAUUAAAAAUUAGGAUAGGAUAAUGUGUUAUUAUUUCCUACAGAGUAAUUCUAUAAAUAAGGAUGCAAAUGAGGCACAUCCGGAGGUGGGAUGGGUCUUCCACCUCCCGCCCUACUUUUUUCGUGGGUGGACGGGUUAAAAAAAAUUUUAUUUUAAAGUUUACUGUCAUUUAUCACUCCAUUUGGAAAAAGACGGAAAAAAAGCAAAUUUUUAAUAUAUUUUUAGCGAAACAGAACAGAUGAAGGAAAAGAAAAAGAAAAUUCCGCCUCUCGCUUCAUUCCUUAUUUGAUGGGAGUAGAUUUGAGAUGAAACCUUUUUUCUUUAUGUUUGAUCACACUCAAAAGGAUUUAUUUUUUUUUUUCCUUUUAUUUUUGGAAUUGGGUUUGUGGUGCGAAUUAGUGAUGCAGUGGGGCUUCUUUCCCAUGAGAGGAAACUUACUAUGACCAGGACCACAGAAUAGAAAUUGAGUGGUCCAGUUUUGGGCAUAGUUUUAUUGAUACACUCCAAUUAUUAUGGGAUGAAGAGCACCAAGGGAUAAGGAGGAAGACUUGGAAGAAGUGCAAGAGACAUUAUUUCCACGGUUGUGGAUAAGGUUAGUGGUUAAAUUUUUCAGAAAAUACGUACGGAAUAUAAAAUUAUUUUGAGUUGACUAUCCAAUCUUUUAAAAAUUUUAAUUUUAUCAUCUAAUUUUAUAAUUUGUUUGAUUUGAGUAGGUAAAUAGUACUCUGACUUUAAAAUUUGAACGUAUCGUUUAUUUUUAUAGAUUUAAUUAGUUAUUUCGUAUAAUUUUUAUAACUAUAAAUUUAUUAAAUAGAUAAUUAGUUUAAAUUUAGAUGUUAAAAUACUACCGACUGAUUCAAAUCAAAUAAAUUAGAAUGUUAGAUAGUAAAAUCAAAAUUUUGAAAAAUUGGAUAGCUUGGUCCGGUUCACAGAACUUCUGUAUGUUUUUAUCUAACUUUUCUUUUUAACCAUGGAUAAAGAUUUCUGUUUGAAUAUGUUUUGUAAUAGCUUAAUUUUUAUUAGGUAUUGUUUUGAUGUAUAGACAUCAUUUCAGUAAAUUUUUUUAAUUUAUUUAAAAAAUUUAUAGUAUUUUAUAGAUGAGGAGUGAAAUUUGAUUUUCUAGAACGACAUUUAACAUUUAGCAUUCAGGUCAUUAAGAAAAUUCUCAUGCUUAACAAAUUAUUUCCCAAUAAUCUAAAUUAGGCUUUACAUUAAUAAAUUGAAAAUACUAGUAAUUACGGUAAUCCCAAAAGUUUGGGCAAAUUACAGAGUAAAAUGAUACUGUUAUCUCUGAAUUCUUGUGGGAUAGAUUACAUGCCAUCCAAAUCUAAACUCCUAUCGAAUUUGAAUUUAAAUUCACUUAAAUAUUGGCGUACAUACAUUACAGCUGUUUAAGAUUAUUUUUUCCAUUUCAAACUAAUCAAAACAAAAGCACUCAGAAAUGGACAGGAUUUACUGUUAUUUACAGCAAUAAAAAUUCUGCGCACUGAAUAAUCCUGCCAAUCAGUCAUGUCAGUAUGUCCCAGUAUACUGGGUCGGGCUGGAUUUGCUUUCAUUCGUCCCUUUCAAUCGACAUCAAUUAACCUCAAGGACAGUUUUUUCUCCGGUGCACUACGACUUCCCUCGCCACUUCCACGCCCCAGAAAGGCUACGAAAGGCCAAAAUGUCCCAGCUCCGCUAGGGAUGUCAACAGAUUGGAUUCGGGGUGAACUUUCAAAAAUCCAGACCCGAAUUCGACUACCAAAUCCGAAAUCGAACCAAGUUAGAGCCCGAACUAGAAUCCGACGGAUUUUAAAAUUCCAUAUCCAAACUCGAACCGACCGACGGAUUUUAAAAAUCCAUAUCCAAACUCGAACCCGACCAAAAAUACGAAAACCCAAAUUUGAGCCUGAAGCAAUUAUUUUUUUUUACAAUAUUUCAAAAUAUAUUACAAUUAUAUAUAUUAUAUAUAAUCUAAAACAAUUUCGGGUUCAGGUGGGGUUUGAGUUUGGGUUUAGGUCGGAUACAAUCUGAAUCCACACCCGAAUCCAAAUUCGUCGGAUUUUCAUUUCUGAUAUCUAUAUCCAAAACUAUAUCUAUUUAGUAUCGGAUAAAUCCACUCCGUCAAGUUCGGAUAAAAUUUUAGGUAUCCAUAUCCAUUGACAUCCCUAAGCCGGGCAGCGCAGCAUGAACCCGGAGAAAGCCCAAAACAAUUUCAAUUGGGCCUUAGUCAUUUGAGCCCAUACCAUAGAGAAAAGCCCAAAACAAUUUUGUUCUUUUUUUAACCUUUUGAGGAAGAGGAAAGGGCAUGUUAUCCAUUCCUUCCACUUUUCUAAUACACCUGCAUUUUCCGUGCUUAUAUAAAAUACUUUUUUUUUUACCCCAAAAGGCACUAACUAUUUAUUUUCAAUUCCUACUCAAUAAGCAAUAAAUUUAUAAUUUUAUAUAAAAUCUGUUAAAAUUUACUAUUUAAAAUUGGAGAGCAUAUAUUCAACUCACUUUCAAUAUAGGGCAUAUUUGGUUGCCCGUAAGUGUAACAAUAAAAGUGGUAUUUUGGCGAAUUGGGACUAUUUCGGUUGUUUGGAUUAUAAAAGUAAAAAUAUAAGUGACUUUUGAAAAGUGAAACCAUGAAGUGGAUUAUAAUUAAAAUCUACUUUUUUGACUUCGGCAAAAAAAUUUCCUAAGCCUACUCCACACGACUUACGAACCACAUGUAAAAACCUUCUUUCAUACCAUUUACAAAAAAAAAAACUAUGCAUCUAAAAAAAAUUAUUUUAUUUUUUUAUUUUCUUAUAUAGAACCAAAUAAUAGAAAUCAUAAAAAUUAUAUUUAUUUUCUUUCACUUUUUUGAAACCAAACACUUGAGCUAAAAAGUGACUUUUAUAAAAGUCACUCUAAAAUAACAGAUUUGUUAACAGUAAUAUAAAGAUUUGUAAGAAAAAGGUUUAACACUAUUUAUGAAAAAAAUGCAAAAUAAAAAAAUAAAAAUAUAUCUAAAAUACAAUAUAAAAAUUAAUAUAAUAUAAUAAAAUAAUAAUAUAUUUGAGAAAAUUUUGAUAGUUGAUAUUCGAAGCUGAAACCUAAAUGUUUAAUGUGAUGGUGGUAUCUGCAGUUUAAUCCGGCCAAUAAUAUAUUCCGGAUAAUAUGAAGGGCAUGCUUGGUUCACUCACCUUAGAUUUUGAAAUCAGAAUAAAAUUUGAAUCAAUAAUUGGUGUUUAUUUUACACGAAUCGAAUUUCGAUUUUCAUUUCACUCUGGAUUAUAAAUAGUCUAAUCUAUUUAUAACUCAAUCUAGUUUUGAAUCUCGAAUCGACUUAUUUCAAAGUACACUACUCAAAGACCUCUCUUAGAAAAUAUCUAUCCGUUCUCUUUUUUCAGCACACUUUUCUCCCUUAACGGAAAAUCUUUUUCAAAAUUUUAGAUAUCUUUUCUCAUUUUCAUGUCAAUAAUAAAAUAAAUAUCCUUAAAUAAUUUAUUAUUCUAUAAAUUAUUUCAAUAUAAUUUUUUUAAAAAUUUCUAUUUCAAUCAGGAAUAAAACAUGCCCUAAUUGUGGAAGAAGCUUCGCGAAUGCAACUUGCGAUGACCAACCACAUCAUAUAUAUCCAGUCCCAAAUAAGACAACACAUCCGCGAAUAGCGACUAUCCACGUGUCCCACUUCCAAUUAUAAUUAUUUUAUUUUAUUUUCCACCAUACACGUCACCCCCUCUCUCUCUCUCUCUCUCUCUCUCUCUCUCUCUCUCGUGUCCCCCACAAAGUUUAUAUACACCAACAAAAAAAAAAAAAAAAAAAAAAAAAAAUCGCCGGCCCCCACCAACCGCGCCAACUCCGCCCUCUUCAAUCACUAAUCAAUUACCCAACACCCCAACAAACACCACAAAACAAUCACACCAAUAAUUAAUUAAAAAAAAAACAUUACCCAAUUCCUAAUAAUAUAUAUAACAAUACAAGGAGCUAGUAUGUGUCAUCCAAAUCCUCCAACAUCACCACCGUUGUUGCCACCAUUGCAACACCCGCGGCCGCUGCCGCCGCGAUGGGCGCCCAAUUCUCGAAGCAGGUCGAGCGCCGCAAGGCGGUGGCGGCCGAGCGGCGGGCGCUGGCCGACCUUCUGGAGUCGGCGGGCGACCAAUUCCCGGGCUCUGACUUCCGGCCCGCCGACCGCAAGGCGUGGAUGUCGGCCCUCGGCCCCGACAAGCUCCGGAUCAGCCAGAUCGUCUGGCCGGGCACCCACGACUCCGCCACCAACAAGAUCGGCGUCCGCUUCGUCUCCCGGCCCUUCGCCCGAUGCCAGGACUGCUCCGUCUACCGCCAGCUCGUCAACGGCGCCCGCCUCCUCGACAUCCGCGUCCAGGAGGACCGCCGCAUCUGCCACGGCAUCCUCGUCGGCUACUCCGUCGACGUCGUCAUCAAGAACCUCAAAAAGUACGUGACACGGCCGUUUCGCAUGCAUCGUCAUAAAUAAAAGCUUAAGCUGCUAGAGAAUAGCGGUGCAAUACUAUACUAAUCUUAAUAUUUUAUGUUGGCGGAAGCUAGGUUUCUCGCGGAGACCGAGAAGGAGAUCGUGGUGCUCGAGAUCCGCACGGAGUUCGGGCAUGAAGACCCGCCGGAGUUCGACAAGUACCUGGCGGAGCAGCUCGGAGAGGUGCUGAUCCCGCAGGACGAGGCGGUGUUCGGGAAGACGGUGGCGGAGGUGCUGCCGAGGAGGGUGAUCUGCGUGUGGAAGCCGCGGAAGUCGCCGGCGCCGAAGCACGGCGACCCGCUGUGGAGCAGCGGGUAUUUGAGGGACAAUUGGAUCGACACCGAUCUCCCCAAGACCAAAUUCGAUAGCAACAUGAGGUGCGUAGCACAAUUGUUAUUUCUGUUUGUUAAUGUUUAAGCUGUUAGAGAACGAUAUUUUUAAUAAUUAAUGUUGCUGAGUAGGCAUUUGGGUGAGCAGCCGCCCGUGUCGGAGAGGAGGUACUUCUACCGGGUGGAGAACACGGUGACGCCGCAGGCGGACAAUCCGGUGGUGUGCGUGAAGCCGGUGACGGGGCGGAUCCACGGCUAUGCGCGGCUGUUCAUAUCGCAGGCGUUCGCGAAGGGGAUCGGCGACCGGCUGCAGGUGUUCUCCACGGAUUUCAUCGACGACAACUUCGUCGACGCCUGCGUGGGGCUGACGCAUGCAAGAAGUGAAGGGAAGGCAUGAGAGAUCCGGCACAGGAAAGGAAGGUAGUGUAAGGGCGUGUAUGUAGAAUGUUUUUUUUUUUUUUUUCUCUCUCUUUGGGUGUAUAUUGUGGGCUUUGUUAAGUUCUUAAUCAGUUAUUUUUAAAUGGGUUAAUUUGUAAUUAUCGUGGGUUAAUAAUGAGUCGUUUUGUUUAGUCAGAGUAGCAAUUUGCACUAUUGCUUGCACGUUGAAGGAAGCUAGGUUUGUUUUCAUGAUUUUUAUGAACGUAUAUAUGGUAGUAAAAUUUAGGUAAAAACGCAUAGAAGUUAUAAAAAUUAUAGAUAAUUUUAAAUUGGCUAUCAAAUAUUUUAAAAUUUUAAUUUUACUAUCUAAUUUUUAAUUUGUUUGAUUUGAGUUAAUCAACGAUGCUUUUAUUUACAAAUUUGAAUGCGUUAUUUAUUUUUACAGAUUUUAUUAGUUAGUAUACUUUAUACAAUUUUUACAGUAAUAGAUUUAUUAAAAUAAUCAAUUUGUUUAAAUUUUGAAUUUAAAAUACCAUAGAAUCACCCAAACCAAACAAAUUGAAACGUUCGUUAGUAAAAUAAUUUUUUUUUGAAAGACUAGGUAACUAAUUCAAAAUGAUUCAUAGUUCAAAUAAGUUUUGUAUAUUUUUAUCUAAAACUUAUCAAAUUUGAAAGGAAUUCACAGUACUGCAACAAGUACUGAGAAUUCGCAACUUAUUAUAAUUCUAUUGAUGAAAGUUUUAUCAACAUUUUAACAUUAAAUUUUAAAAGCUUAUAACAGAAUCAAUAUUUUGCCUUUACCUUGUUAACUACAAAACAAAUAAUUAUCUAUUUUCUGGCAUCUUAAUUUUUACCGGUAAACAAUCGUUUUACAUUAUUUUGUAUGAUAUUAGAACACAAGGUCUUGAACUCGAAAUUUAUCCUACUUCUAAUAGCUUAAAAUUUAUCUAAUUUCUUCUAACUUUUUUUUAUCAUUUUCUAGAAACUCAAGCUGCUUAAAAAAAUUAAACUUUUAAUAUAAAAACAAUGCUAUCUGUAUAUAUAUUUAUAGGAUGUAUAUCUCACACUCUAUCUAUUCAAUGACUAAUAUUCUUUUACAAUUCUUAUUAAAUUUUUUUUAAUACUAAAAUUUUAAAAAUUAUUUGGUAGGUGAUUAUAAAAUAUACAGUAUAUUUAUAGAGUGUAUAGAUAGUAUUGUUUUUGUAAUGUUAGAAUUGAGAUAACAAGAAUCCAAAAGUUGCUUGGAAAUUUCUCCCCUGGCAUCUUCAUUUGGUCAUCUCUCCUCCUCACUCUAUGUUAAGUGGGGGACAACACACAUGGACAGGGACAUGUGACAUUUGACCUAAUACCAAUAAUUGUUCUCCCAUGGAAUAUAUAUACAACUCUUGUGAUGGUCAUUUAACAUGCCAUGUGCAUAAAUAUUGGCCAACAGUUGGGAGGGUACUAGGAGCUUGUUUGUUUGCAUGGAUUAAAUGAUAGAGUUUGAAUUCAAAUAUUUGAAACUUGAGGGAGCUUAGGGUCUACUAUGAUUAGGGGUGGCAAUCCAGCUCGCCGUUCGCCAGCCAACCCGUGUUCGACUUGAAAUGAGCUCGAGAUCGAAUCGCUCGUUUAGUAANUUAUUUAAUUUAUAUUUAUAUAUAUAAAUAAAUAAUUAUAUAUAUAAUAUAUAUUUUUAUUAUUUAAUUUUUAGCAAAAUAAAAAUAUAAAGAUGAGCUCAAUUAUAAAAAGACUUAUUUAUAUGUAAAAUUUCAACUAUUAGAUCAAAGUCUAAUGAAUAAGAUUUUGUAAAUUUAUUUUUUAUGUAUAUUCAAUAUAAUCCUUUUAACUUAUUGUUCGUUGGCCAGCUCGUGAGCCGGCUCGUGUUCGGCUCGUUUACACCCCUAACUAUGGUACAUGCAUGUUAUUUAACAAAGAUAAAUUUUAUUAGAAUAACUCACUAAACUAGUCUUAAUAAGGAGAAGGUGAGUAGCUUUGCCUUCUCACGAUCCACAUUCAAGCGGCAAAGGACUUGAUGAUUAAUUCACAUUUUUAGCUAAAUUUAUUUUUAAAUAAAAGAAACGAAACGAGUAACGUACGUGCUACCUAUCUCUCAAAAAAUGAUUCACAUCCAAGACUUCAAAUUCAAGACUUCAUACUUUAAAAAUCGUUUCAUUUUAUUUUCUUAUUUCCGAUAGAAAAUUAUUACCUGCAGUUGGUUCAUCCACACUUUACGUUCAAUGACGCUCCGACUAUAAAGGACUGUUUGGUUCCUCGAAAAAGUGAGGAAAAAAAAUUUUCGAGAAAAAUUUUUUCGAUGAAAUUUUUUCUUUAGUUUUUUUGUGUCUAGUUUCAAAGAAAACUAGUUUUUUGGAAAAUAUUUUGACGUUUUGAGUGGUAUAUAGACAAUUAUACCUAAUAUCAACUAAAUAUAUGUUUUUCAUGCUGAAUAAACCACCAUACAUAAAUUGAUUAGUUUUUUUAGCUAAACAGUACUUAAUAAUAUAUGACACAAGUCCAACAUACAUGUUAGACACAUACCAUGUUAAAAACUCAAAAUCAAUUCAAACUUUAUAUGCAGUAGAUGGAAACGCCCCUGAGCAUUUUAUGCAACCUAAGAUUCACAUUAAUUUAAGCAAUGUUCGACAAUUAGUGCGCGUACGUGUACAGUUCACCUACUAUACUAUUGAUAUAUAAUAAAAGAAUAAUUAGUACUUAUUAUUUAUUUUUUAAUUCUUAGAUCAAUACUAUUUCACCUACCUCUACUAAACCCAAGACGUCCUCCGAGUUCUAGUCCAAAGCCACUAAGAAUUGAGGGUAUUUUGAAAUUUUGGGAUCCAUAUUUUGAGCAUUAUUAUUAUUUUUUUCUUUUAUUAUUGAUAUGUAGUAAAAGAAAAAAAAAAUAUUCAAAUUAGCUCUUAAUUAAAUAUUCAAUACACGCACAACAAAGUCAAACCCAGCUCAAACCUAUCUUUUCCCUCGGAAUUUUCUACUAACAAUGUGGAUAUUCAAAAGAUUCUUCCUUUUUCCUUUUUUUUUUUAGUUGAAGUUACAUAAUAAUAUGCAUAUAUUGUGCAGUUAAAUAUUGGAUGUGGAAUAAUUAAAUAAGAUUCGACUUUUCUAAUUAAUUGGCGAAAUAUGAUCUCUUGAAAUCAUGCUUCUAAUUUUAAACUUCAAAAAUCACCCCGCAGUUUCGCACUUUCUUAUUUUAAUACCCUAUAGUUUAAAGUGUAUCAAGUUAGUGUCCUUAAUUUGGUUUCAUUUUUAUCUUUUCAUCAGUUUCUCUGUUAAUAUUUCGUUAAAUUAUAUACAAAAAAAAUUCAGAUAUUCUAUUUAGAUUUAUCGAAUAUUCACUCUAGUAUCCUUUAGUUUUAACUCUGUCACUGAUUUAACAAAAAAAAUUAAUAAAAUCGAUGAUAGAAAGAUAAAAAUGAAACCGCAUGAUACUAAAUUGAUAUACUUUAAAAUAUAGGGUACUAAAAUGAGAAAGUGUGAAACUGGUGGUAUUUGAAGUUUUUCAUUAAAAUUAAUAUGCUCAAAAGUCAAAUAUAAUUUGGCCCACCUGUCACGGGAUAAUUUUUUUUAUUUUUUAAAUAAUAUAUAUUAUGUUUUUUUAACUCAAAUUCAUGUUCUCACCGUGCGUUUCGAGCAGAUUAAUUAAAACUGUGUUUUAGAAAAGCUACCCUUUCUCAAUUGUGCAAAGGUGGAUUAAUUGUGAACGUUUUGGGAAUAUAUAAGAAUAAUUUUUAAAAUAAUGGAUAAAAUUAUCCUCAAACUAUUACUAAUUUAAUUUUAAGAGUUCUUCAAUUUUUUUAUUUUUAAAAUUAAUUUUUAACCAACUGAAUUAACUAGCUAGUUUAUUUAUCAGAUUUAUUAGCGAUUCCAAAAUUUCCAUUAAAAUGCUCUACUUUAAUCACCGUUUAGCAAAUAUAAGUUAAGAACAUGUCAAUUACAAAAAGAAUUUUGAAAUCAUGAGUAACUUACCUAUAAAAAUUUUUAUUUAAUUAUCUGAUUUUAAAAUAUAUUUGAUAUAAAUAUAUCUUACGAAAAUUUUACCAGUUACUUUAAUUUGAUUUCUUCUAAUGAAAAAUUUUGCAAUCUAAUAUAAUAUUCUUAGCUUAUAGGAAUAUUCUCCUAUCUUUUUACUAUAAGAGUCUAAAUUAUAAUAUAUUUUAACAGCUUGUUCUCUCAAAAAAAUAUAUAUUUUAACAGCUUAUAAAAUUUUGAAAUUAUUAGAAAUAUAAAGUUAGAUAAUAAAAUCAAAAUUUUAAAACCUUAGGUACAAAUCUCAAAAUGCUCUUAUGGUUUAGAUAGGUCAACAGUUUUUAUAAUUCCUACUCACUUAAUUUGUACACCCUUUAUAGAGGGUUUAUAUUUUACACCUUUGAUCCAGGAGUUAAUAUGUAACCUCUUAAUUUGGAUAUUAGUUAAGGAAAAAAAAAAUGCAAGUAAAUUAAUAUAGGUCACAAGAUGAUUAUUGCUGUAAAAUUGACACUAUACAUACAUAGGGUGUAUGGAUAAUAUUGCUCUUUUAUUAACGUUUUGACUAGAUCUAUUUAUUAUGUACUACUUGUAUUCUUACCAUUUUAGUUAAUAAAAUUGUAUGUAAAUAAAUAAUUAUCAUAUAUAACUCUUUGUCAUUUGGUGAUUCAAAACAAGUUUUUUAUUUUUUUUAUCAAACGUGUUACGAAUCACUUUUAAAUAUGCCUAGUAGUAAUUUUUGAUAUUUCGUAGUCAAACACUAAUUGUAAUAAAACUGUUUUAUUUAGAAUUAAUUUUAAUCGAAAAAAUCAAUUUCUAUCUGGUGAAAUAUAAAAAUAUAAAAAUAGUGUUCUCUACAAGCUUAAAAUUUUGAAGAUAAAUGAUUAUUUUAUAGAAUUUAAUAUGAUAUCAAAAUAAAAAGUCAGCCACUCUAGAAUCUUCGUAGGUUUUGAUUCUGAUAUGUUCUAAAAAAAUUUCUUACGUAAAAUGGAGAAUUUUGUUUUAUUUUUCUAAAAUUAUAGAGAUUUUUCACUUCAAUCACAAGAUAUUAUUACGAAAGCAUCUAAAUAUUUAUUUAGAAAACUUUACUUUCAAAACAUAGAAAAAAAUAAAAAAUAAAAGGCCUUACAAAAUUUGGGGCCAUUCCAACAUGCUUAAGAUGUAAAAUUUAUAUCUACAUUAUAAAGAGUACCAUAGAAAUUUCUGAAUAUUAGAGAUGUGUUGAUAUAUUCAUCAUCAUUAAACUCUAAAUUUUAAACCUCACAUCUCGAAAGCAAUAAUUAAAUACAAAAUUUUAAAUCCUAAACCCUCUAUAUAUAUACCGACACAUCAACAAUAUGAUGUAAAGAUACUAUGCUAUCAGAAGUAUAGAGAAUUCGAUACUUUCAAUUUUUUGACCUUCAAAUUAAGAAUUCUAUAGUUGGAAUAAUUGCGGUCCCUUAUUGAAUUGAGCGGUCUAUAUAAAAUAAUAAAUUAAUUCAAAAAUUAGAAAUGACAAAAAAAGUUGAUUUAAGAAUUAAAAAAUCAAAAAUAUUAUAUCCUAUAUACUUUCAAUAGUAUAGUAACUCUGCUCAACAAUACGCUACCAACAACAUGUUGUGCAAAAUCAUGUAAAAAUAAAUAAAUAAAUAAUAUUGCUGGAGCUAAUCAGAAGCCUUUCCUAUAGUAGAAACUUCUACAAACAUUGUACUCUCUCUCUCUCUCUCUCUCUCUCUCUCGGUUACUAAUUAUUCCGAGACAAAGAACCUUCCAAGAUGUUCCUCCUCGUACCAAAUCCCCUUAAAAUUCCCUUCCCAAUUCUCCACGUACUCACAACAACAACAACAACAACAACAACAACAACACGCCCUUCUCUCUCAAUUCGUCUUCCUCCUCCUCCGCCAUGAGCGGCCGCAUCCUCCUCCUCCUCCCUCCGCCGCCCUCCGCCGCCGCCGCCGCGGCGGUCGAUCGCCGACACUCCCACCUCGAUGGAGUGCUUGCUGUCUCCUUCGCCGCCCUCUUCUCCCUCUCCCUCGCCUACCUCCUCCUCAGCUCCCUCCACCACUGCCGCCGCCGCCGUCGCGGGACGUCGUCGGACCGAAUCCCUGACAAAACGCAGGCCCCCGACGCCGCGUGCUCGGCCCAGCUCCAGGCUAUCCCCAUCACGACCGUCCGCAAGAAUGUGGCGGCGGCGGCAGCAACUACCCACGGCGACACACAGGCACAGUAACAAUAUUUCCUCUCUUACGCAUCACUUACUAAGCUAAAAAUGUAUAGAACUUAGGAAUCCGACUACCUUUUAAAAACUUACAAUAACAAAGUAUCUGUAAAUUUUCUAUGUUAGUUCUAUGUUUUUGACUAUUUUUAUUUAUUAAAUUAUAUUAUUUAAUUAAUUAUAUAUUUAAUUUUUAAAAAAAUGUUAUUAUUCUAAUCGCUUAUUUCUUAAUUCAAGAUUUAUACUUUUAAAAUUAGUAGUCGAAUUGUGAACCUUUCGAAUCAGUCAAUAAUAUUUUUAUUUUAAAAUUUAUAUUAAUUAUUUAUUUUAAUAAAUUUAUAAGUUAUGAAAAUUAUAUAAGAUAUACUAAUCAAAUCUAUAAAAUUUAAAUAAUAAAUCAAAAGUUUAAAUUUUUGAAAAUUUAAAUUCGUGACGUUGCAAUAUUUUUGGCUUAAUAGGAGGAGGAGAGCACGUGUGCGGUGUGCUUGGGGCAGUACAACGAGGGUGAGGAGAUCCGUACGAUGCCACGUUGUGGACACGUGUUCCACAGGGAGUGCAUCGACAGGUGGUUGAUCCGACGGUCCUCCUUCUGCCCCGUGUGCCGCGGCCGCGUGAUCCGACGGUCGGCGGAGCCCACGAUCACGAGUUGUUGGGUUGAGACCGGGCGAGUGGGGCCGGUUCCGCUUCCGAGCGCGAGCGCGGUUUCGACUCCGAUCGCGUCGGUUUUGUGAAAUAAAAAAUUGGCUAAAAUAAUAAAAUAUCGCAUCGAUUCCAAAAAAAAAAAAAAAAAAAAAAAAAAAAAAAAAAAAAAAAAAAAAAAAGCAGUUUUGAGACUCAAAUAUUUGUCGCAUGCGUUACUCGUUAUGCACUUCGAGAGGUCUCAAACUGAUGAAUCUGCAUGUAUUAUUCUAUCUCAUGAUUCACAUCAUCAUAAAUUCAUUUACAUGUAUCAGAUAUUUUAGUCUCAAAUUACUUUAGUUUGAGACAUAAAUAAAUGUGGUUUUGAGAGAGGGGACAUUGCAUGUGGUUAGGUGUAGGUUUAGGGGGGGUAUUUUUUGUUUUAUUUUUUCUGAAUUUCUUAGUUACUAGAAGAAACGACUGAAAAUAAAAAUAUUAUUUAUUAUUGUGCCCACUUGAGGAGUAGAUAGGAGUAUGAUCAAGGAUGUGACAUUAUUUUGUUUGGAAAUUUUACCCAAAUUAAGAAAUAUUGGGGUAAAUAAAUGUAUGAAAUUUUUCUCAAUUAUAACUUAUCUUUAUCUGGCUAUUCGGCUUUUAAAAAUUUUGAUCUUACUAUCUAACCUUUCGAUUUAUUUGAUUGGAGCCGAUUAGUGAUUCUUUAAAUUUAAAUUUUGAAUGCUUCGUUUAUUUUUACAGGUUUAAUCAAUAUAUUUUAUACAAUUUACACAACUGUAAAUUUAUUAAAAUAAAUAAUUAACUUAAUUUUAUAUUAGAAGAAGCAUCAAAUUAUUUAAAUCAAACAAAUUAAAAGUUUAGAUACUAAAAUUAAAAUUUUAAAAGGCUGGACAAUUGAAUCAAAAUAAGUAGAAGAUAAUAAUCCUUGGAUGAAAAAGAUGUAAGAUAUACAUGCAGCAUUGCUCUUCUAAGAUUUGCCUACCAAAUGCCGUAACGAAACAAUGACAUACUUUUUGGUUCUUCCGCACUUUGCACGGAAAAUGUUUACUGAGCAACGAAAUCUCAGAAUUCAACAUUUCAAUUGUCUGCAAGAUCUAAGAGUGAAAACUAAACAAACCAUUCAUGCAGUCAAUUUACCGUUUAAGACCAAAUCUUCUAUUGGAAAUGUUUGAAUACCAUUUAAAUAGCACGGUCGCCGCUACAAUUGAAAUCUUUUACAAUAAGACAUAUGUACAAAACAAAAAGGCUGUAUUACAUUGCGACUCUCAUCUACAAAACUAAUCCGCGUCCGACGGUAGUUCCGCUGAUUCAGUUUCAAGGGGACUUAUGGACAAACUCCGUCUUUAAAGCUUCCUCCAAUUGUGAGAACAAUGACGAGAAUAAUCCUGUUGAGAAAAGUAGGCUGUAUAAGAUUAACACGACGUACAAGAACAUGGUAAAAAGUACCAGUUUGAGAUUGAAAAUGCCACGGAAAAUGCAAUUUGAUCGAAGCAUCCAUAUGAUUUUAGAAACAAUGGCGAAAGCAGCAAACCUACAGGACAACUUGUCUCGAGAUAAAGCUGGAAAUUUUGCUCGGCAUUCAUACAUUCAGCACAAGAUCUUACAACAGUUUACCGAUUUAGAAACUUCACAACCAUGAGGGUUUCAGGCUUAUAAUUUCCGCGUACUACGUAAAGGAACAAUGCAGUAGAUGAUCUGAGGGAUACACAUUUGUUUAACCUCAAAUACCGAUUGUAUUUAAGUAGAAAAAUACAAUUUCUACUCUUAUGGCAUUAACUAUUCCUUCUGCAUCAACAAGAAGGGUGAUGAUAUUAGGGCUCAUAUUCCGGUCGAAUCAGGAGAAGUCCAUAUCCACAACUAAAAGAAUGACGAAGAGCAAGUACUUGUUACAUUUUAGAUCCCCUUCCUAUUCUCGUGCUGAAUAUGAAAGGAUUCUUAUCACCAUAGAACAGAGUAGCUCUACCCUCAUCUUAAAGCACAUCUAUUGAAUCAUGUGAAAAAAAAAAAGAAUGUAAACCUACAACGGACCCUCCCUCAAGCAGCAGCUGGAAAAAAAGCAGCACUAUGACAGAAAAUCCAUAGAAAAGUAAUUAAAUCAAACAAAAUAAUCCUGUCUAACGGGACAUUCAGUAAAUAUUCCUAUGGAACAUUUUUAAUUUCAAAAUAUUAAAAUAAGCAGAGAAGUACCAGAAGGUAAAUUCUCUUUCUGCAGUGAUGAUCCUUUCACUAGAAGUGUGCCAGGAAUUUGCUCAAAUACCUACAGAUAAAAAAUAAAACCAUGUAAGCCAAGUCAAAAGACUCACAACAUGCAUUACACUAAAAAGUUAAAAAAUAAAAAUAAAAAAUUCAAAGAAUAAGAAUUUACAUACUGAAACUCGGAAGGAGAUUCCAUUAGUUGCGCAAUCUGAUUUGUUUGAUACAUCACUGUUAGAAAGAUUACAAGUCUGCUCAUCUGAUAUUGUGACCUAUGAAAAUACCAUAGACUUCCAGAUUAGAUAAUGGCAAAUAAUGACAUUUUGAAUGGCCAUAAACAUAAAAAAUAUGUGACCUUACAUUAACACAAAAUGUCGACAAAUCAGAUUUACAAGACGCACCAAUAGCUAUGAAAAAGGACUCCACUGACUUCAAUAUUUGAAAUGCACCAAUCUGGCGUUGGAGGCCCUGAAGCAUGAGAACAGUCAAAGUUAGCAGGAAACAAAGUAACAAAGAGAAAUUUUACUCAGAAAAGAAUAAUUUUGCUCAUUAGAAAGUUCACAUGUAAAGUCCAGAUGACAAGGAUCAUGCUUACAAUUUCAUUAUGGCCAAAAGGUGAUAUUAAUCAAAAAAAAAAAAUGGAUAGCUCAAACUCAUAUUGAUUAGAGAUUGGGGUUUGUAUGAGAUCAUUAGGUUACAGCAGAAAAGGAACAAGCAAGUAACCAUAAAAGGACCAAACACAUACAAUGGGUUGCAAGAUAUGAGAACAUAAAGCUCCACCAAACCAUUCACACGGCACACUAAUAAUAGAACAUAUGUUCUGUUGGUCAAUGGUACAUGAUAUAUCAGUUGCAGUAGGAGCAUACUAACAGGGCAAAGAUGUUGGAACACUGCAGGACACUAAAAUAGUUCAACUCUCAUGCACUCAGCUCAAACAUCAAAAGCUACUACAUGAUCAAGAAUCCAACUUUUAACAGGAUAUAUUUAGGUGCAGUCAAUUCAUCCUAUGUAACCACACCUUUCAUAAUCAAUGUUACACAUUGGAUGAAUUAAUUCAAGUCCAAUUGACAAAUCAAAGCUAGUAGUUAGCUGCAAAUAUACUUCGAAAUGGAAGACAGCAAAGUAUUACAGGAUGAGAUGAAGAAGAAAAAACAGAGCAACCUCAAGCAUGAAAGAACUAUGAUUCUUCACUUGUGCACUUGCUGCAAUAAACUUUUUGGUUGGAGGGAGAAAAGACCAUGCAAGACCCCAUCGAGCCGUUUGGCCUUGAACAAAUUCUGUAGUCUUUACAACGGAGGCCCCAACUUCAUGAGCUUUCGACACUAAGAAUUUUAAGUUCACUUUCCUCCCAACCAUUGAUGUAAACCACCUAAUAGCCACAAUGAACAUCAAUUUAAUGAUACACUAAGAGCAACAUCAAAUAAUUACCAAAUUCCGUUUGUGAAGUUCCACCUAGACUUCUAUUUCGCUAUUAAGUUUCAAUUCUAAUAGCUUAAUCCUUGUAGUUUUAUCAUGAUUAUGAAUUUUCUUCAAAGUUUCAAUUUUGACAAAGCAAAAUAUAGCUACGAUGUUGACAUGUUGCCUUGUCAAAUAGUAAAGCAACAAAAGGACAAAAAAUGUUAUGAAGAACGAAUUUCAGGGACUAAAUUAUUACAGUUUAAACUAUCACUAAGUUGAAAUCAGAGACAAACUUCAGGGACUAAAUUUGACCCCAAAAAAUGUAGAAAUGCUCAAAUCACACCUGAAAGAAUGCUUUAAAGAAACACUAUCUUUGAUGAUUCGAGUGAUGAAAGCCCGCUCUCCACCAGAGCAAACCAUCUCAGCAGCAGUUCCCCCACAUGAAGUCUUUGGGUUAAGUCCUGCUACUUCUAUGCUCUCAAAAAAUGGAGGAUUGCACAUGCAAAAGUCGAAACUUUCACCAUCUUUGACAACACCCAGAAGGAUAGGUGGCCCACAAUAGCAAUCCUUCUUCGAUUCCAACUCCAGUGAUUCAGUGUUGUCUAUGACAGAAGAAGAUGAAUCAUUCGCAUUUCUGACUUCGAUUAGUUCUGCAAGAUGAGGAUUGCUCUCCACAUUCCUCUUAGCCCAUUCGAGAGCCACAUCAGUCACAUCUACAAAACAAAAGCCGCCGCAAUUCUCUUGUCAUACUGCGAUUCAAAAGGCACUAUGCUAAUUACAUCACAAUAAUUUUAGGAUUUCCUAUGCAGAAAACUCAAAGGAUUACCUGAUCCAACAAAGCUCCAACCGAGCAAAGAUGCACCUAAGAGCGGGUAAAUACAAUUGGCUCCGGUCCCAAUAUCAAAUCCCCUAACCCUACCAUCCGAGACCGAGCUCUCUGGGAUGAGAUCAGAGGCAAGGAGAUCCUCGAUCCAGUGGAUGUAGUUAGAUCGGUUCGGCACGGUGGGACAUAACUGCCCAUCAGGUAUCCACCUGAAAACCUAGUUAGUGAAUUCGCAAAUAACUCGCAAACUUUACCCUCACAUUUGUAUAAAUGAAUAGUUCGUUACAUUUUUGUAUUUUCCCAAAAGGCCCUAAAAAAUUUCGUUGCAUAUAGUAAACUCCGACCGUAUAAUUGGUCCUUGAUAAAAACCCACUUUUUCUUCAAUAAAAAAAAUAAAUAGUUUUUUUAGGUGAUUAUAUAAGUUCAUAGAUUCAUUAGGAUAAAAUUAUACUACUGUUCAUCGCAUAUCACUCCAUCAUCAAUGCAUAUUAACAUGUUGCGCAGUAACUAUCAUAUAUAUAUAUAUAUAUAUAUAUAUAUAUAUUGCUGAAAUUUUAACAUCAAUUUCCAACUAUUUCCGUGUGAUUCCGCUGUCGUAUUAUUGCCGAAUCGUGUUAACUAACAAUUUGUCCGAAACCCUAUUAGAUGUUCAACUACGAAGUAACGAAGAACGGAACGAGGCGAAGGGCGAGGGGAUCGGGGAGAGGGUGCUCACCAGUGGACGCCAUGGUCGUGGAGGAGGAGGACGCGGCUGAGCUCGCGGGUGGCGGCGGGGUCGGUCCAGUCGAUGGAGGCCCGGGACGAGGAGGAGGAGGAGGAGGAGGGGGAGGAGACGAAGGGGCGGAGGGAGGGGUAGAGGGAGGCGAGAAGGGCGAAGUCCGGGGGCGACUCCGUGUACCUGUUGCGGGGGUGCAUCGCCGGGGGCUGGCCCACCCCCCGCCGCCGCGGCCGCGGCCGCGGCCGCUUCUUGCUCGGCAUCGCGGCGGCGGCGGCUCCGCCCGGUGUCGCUAGGGUUUUGAGGAGGACGACGAUGAAGAAGAAACCGCAAGUUAAAUUAUGAAUUCUAUUACUAAAUAAAAAAUUAAAAAAAUUAAAACUUUUUCCUCAUAAUUUGAAAUUUUUAAUUAGUAAAAUUUUAUUUUAUAUACGCAAACUGACUCACCAAGAACGAGCUAGAUUGUUCCCCUUAGAUUUUACUGAUGUGAGUUAGGACUGGAAACGAGCCGAGAACGGAUUGACUUGUUAAAAUAUCACGGACUAGCUUAUGAACAACAAAUUAAAUUGUAAGCUUCGUUAUUGAGUGAAAAAAUUAAAAAAAAAUAAAUAAUUAAAAUCUUUUCCUAAUAAUUGAAAAUUUCAACUAGUAAAAAUUUAUUUUAUAUAGAUGAACUAUAUCAUGCCGAAUAUGAGUUAGCUUAUCCCAACCAUAUUCAAUUUUUGGAUCAUGUUCGGCUCAUUUAUUAAAUUAGCGAUCUCGAACUCAUUUCAAGUCGAACACCAGCCGGCUGGUGAGCAAAAGAUAAAAAGUUGAGAAAAUAAGCAAAAAUAAUGCCACCUCCACUGCAUUUGUACGGUUGUAUACAACACAUUUAUCAGCCUUUUAUCCAUCUUAUGUUGCAAAAAUUAAUUAUGCAGUUUUGAAGUGUGGAUAAAAUUACAAUUCAAUGAUAGUCCGAAGUUAAGGGUCCAUUUAGUAUUAAAGUUUAUCUAACACUAAUAUGCAAAACAAAUUUAAGUGAAAGUAUAUAAAAAUAUACUCUUUUACUUCUCUACGAGACUACAGAAAAUAUAUUAUAAUCGACUUAUUAUUAUAUAUGGAACGUAAUAUUAUAUAUGAAAAUAAAUAUGAUAUUUUGAACUCGAUUAUAAUAUAUUUUCUGUAGUCUCGUAGAGANAUUUUUCGUUAUUAGAUCUAUCCCUUUAACAAUUUUUACCCCUUAAAUCAUAUUAUUUCACUAACCAACCACUUAACUCUAGGGGGCCAUUAUCAUCCUAAUUGUAUAUUUUUUCAUUCAAAAAUCGAAAAUCUAAUAGCACUAAUGACUGAAUACUAUUAACAGUAUAGUAGUCUAAUUUAGAUAUUUUUAUAUUAUACUUUCUCUCUGCAUAUAAUAUAGUCCUUCAGUAAUUAAUUCCAAACAAAGCCUAAAUAUAAGACACGAUGAUGGGACGAAUAAACUUUUAUAAAGAAAAAAAAAAAGAUAACGUGAAUAAAUGAAACAAAAAAUACUUUUAAAAGUUGAUUUUUUUUUUUUUUUUUUGAAAGAGAGAAAGGUAGAAUGCUAUACAUCUGUUUUGUUUAUUUCUUUUAAAAAUAAAUUUUGUUGAAAAUAUAAAUUAAUUAAAAUUUAAACUUGAGAUUUCGAGUACCAACCAAUCUGUCUUUAGCCAGAAAAGUUGAAUGUUGAAUGAGAAAGAUGAGUAACAAAGUGAAACUUCACUCAAGAUUCUACAACCAUCAAACACUGUCCAAGAAUUUGUUACAUAUGGUUAAACUUAGGCUGAUCAAAUUGGAAAGGUAAUUGGAACAAAUAUGCAAAGAGGGCUGUGUUUGUGUAGUUAAAUAGAUCACCUAUGUCAAUAUGCAUCUCUUGCUUUAAAGUUCAAAAUUUUCCAUUCAAAGUGAAAAAGGAUCACUUGGUUUUCAAACCAAAUCUCAACUUUUUAGUGACCUACCAUCACCACAACAUCAAACCAAUCAACCACAAUUUCUUUCUUUGGCCAUCUCCUCAACCACAUAGCCCCCAAAGCCCAAGCCUCCUUAGUCCUUACUAUAUAGUAACAAAAUAAUUUCAAAUGUAUAGGCAUAUAAAUUCAAUAUUUUAAUACCUUAUACAUGUUACCAACUAAUGCUUUGUAGUCACAAAGGGCAUCAAGAUGGCUAAGACUAUCAUAGCUUUCCUCGCCAUCCUCCAUCUCGCGGUCGUCGGUCGAACCCACGAUUUCGAGGCCUGGAGUCAGGGGCUCCGCCUGACCGGCAUAAAGUCAGAGCAGGUAACAGAUCUCCACUUCUACUUCCAGGACACCGUGAGCGGGACUGACCCGACUGCGGUCCGCGUGGCCCAGGCGACGGGCACGGACCGGUCGCCGACUCUUUUCGGUAUGGUGAUGAUGGCGGAUGAUCCGCUAACCGAGGGGCCCGACCCGACAUCUAACGUUGUGGGCCGGGCCCAGGGGAUUUACGGGUCGGCGGGCCAAAAUGAGGUGGGCCUUAUUAUGUCGAUGAGUUUUGCGUUCACCAACAGGGAGUACAACGGGAGCUCGAUAAGUGUGUUGGGCCGGAACCUAGCGCUACACCCGGUCCGCGAGAUUCCGGUCGUCGGCGGCACGGGUGCGUUCCGGUUGGCCCACGGAGUGGCGUUGGCCCAAACUUAUUCUCUGAAUCCUGUAACUGGGGAUGCUGUUGUAGAGUACAAUGUGACCGUGGUGCAUUAGUACUCUUUGUUUUGUAAGUACCUUUUAAAUUAGGUUAUUAUGCAUGAGUAUCCGAUAAAAAUUGUUGAGAAUAACUGACCAUCCCCAGCGCAAAUGGCAAAAAACUUGGUGGUUGGUAUCCGAGAUUGCAAGUUCGAAGCCUAAUUUCUUUAUAUUUUCAGCUAAGUUUGUUUCUAAAAGAAAUGAAUAAACCGGGUAGCAUGCUAUCUUCCCCCCCCCCAAAAAAAAGUAGAGAAUAUGCAGUUGCCUUGAGAUGUGUGCAAACAUAUUAUAAUGAUCCAGAUUGCUAGUACUAACAACUCGUUGGGCUCAAAUUAUCGGUCCAAAAUAAUUAAAUUCGAGUAUUUGUAAUAGAAUUUUAGUCCCUGUAUAUCCCAAUUACCCUUGGCAUAAAGGGACUAGCAUCCUUCCGUGUAGUGGAAGGUCAGGGUGCGCCGAGUCACGUCCAAAAUGGCGGGAGUUCCAGCCGGACCAAGUGAUGUUUGAAGUGGCAAGAGACUAAUUGGACCGAAUCACAAUUGAAAUUUAGACAUUGUGCCGGUACGCUUUAAGUAAAUUAAUUAUAUAUUUUUAAUAUUUUAAGCUUUUAAAAUUAAUGAUUAGCAUACUUUUUUUCUGACAAUUUUGUCAGGGAAUAGUUGGUUUUAAAAUCUGAAAUUAUUUUUUUCAUUUAAGCAUUGAAAAUUAGAGUAAAAUUCAAGGAGCAACAGAUUAACUUAUCAUGAGCAAUAAAGCUGAUUUCAUAUAUCUUUGUCACACAUGAAGAAUAAAAAAAUUUAGGCUAAAUUACAAAAUCCUCUUUUGCAUUUUGUUUCGUGCCACUAUCAUCACCUUGCAUAAAAUUUUACUUCAAUUUAAACUCUGUAUUUUACCACUAUUACAAAUAAGGUCGAAAAUUUAAAAUGAUUAUUAAAUUCGAAUGUAAAAACUUCACCGAAAUGAUCAAUAUUUGACGUGUACUAAUUCCAUAAUUAAGCAAUUAUUUAGGUUACAACUUAUAUAAUAUAUCUAAAACUUAAAUAAAGGAAACGUUCUGCAUAAUUAAAGUUAUGAAAAUGAGCUACUUAUCGAGUUACUUAUUUAAUUUAGAUGAUUAUUGAAUAUAAUAAUGGAUAUCAAUCAACUCAUGUUUAUAAAAUUUUACGGUCCAAUUCAACGACCAUCACAAAUCUUUGAGCCCAUUCGAUACAGUGAUAAAAUAGUCGAAUCGUUAGCACUAAUCAUUAAUUUUAAGAACUCAAAUUAUAAAAAAAAUACAAUUAAUUUACUUAAAUCGUACAUAUAGUGCCAUGGGUCUCAAUUUGAGAUGUACGUGGCCGAACUACAAAUAUAAUUCGGCUCAACAUGAUCCCCUGUCAUUUCAAACAUGACUUAGUCGGUCGGUCCUAUCUAACUUUUCGACACAAGACAGAAUGCUGGUCCUUUUAAGUCAAUAAAAAAUUCAAAUUAGGGCAAAAUUUUAUACAAGGUAAUUAAGAAAGAAAAUAAAGUGCAUGCAAGAAGGGAGUUUGUAAAUUUAUCCACAAACAAGAGGGAAUAUAAGAUGAAAAACGCAAUAAAUUUAAAAUGCAAUAAACAUAUAAUUAAUAUAUAUGAUUUGCUUCACUUAUAAUUGAAGAAGCAUAUAUGCACGUAGUACAAUUCGCUACUUAAUUAGUAGCAAAAACAAAUGAUAAGCUCAUAAGCAACAUGAUGAUCAUAAAAACCCAAUGCUAACCAAUAAUCGCGUACGUAAACAACAUAUAUAUAUAUAUAAUACAUAAAACACAUCAACCAUGCAUAAAACAUCACACCAUCAUAUAUAUAAGAACACCACAAACGAACACAGCAUCAUAACCACUCCCUCUCUGAUUCUCUCACACCCACUGUCGUAAGGAGUGUUAUCCACCAACGGUAAUUGGCUCCCUCCGUUCAACCCCUGCAGCUGCUGCUGCUGCUGCUGCUGCUGCUGUUGCCCGAAGCCCGAUAACGGAUGCUGCUGCUGCUGCUGCUGCGGUUGCCCGAAGCCGUUCGACGUCGGUUGCCCGAACGGAAGCGCAGUUCCUGAUCCGCUCCCGCCGAUAGUCGGAGGGAGAACGCCAAAUGGCGAUGGCGGCGGGGGCAGGUCGAUACCGGAGGGUGCGGAGAAUGGAGGGGUGUAUUCGAUUUGUUCCGACGGCGGCAGCGGCGGCGGGGGAAGUAGCUGAGUUGUGUCGCCAUUGUCGCUGCCGUCGCCGCCGUCGUCGGUUGGUGGAGAUUCUGCGGUGUCGGGGAUGGGCGGGGGGAGCGGCGGCGGUUGGUCGAGCGGGAGGCCGGUGUCGCCGCCCGCGAAGUCGUCGAAGUGGUUGUAACUGGUAAUGGUGGUGGCUUUGGAGAGUGGGGAGAGGAGGAGGAGGAGGAGGAGGAGGAGAGAAGAGGAGUGCUUCAUGGUUGGUUAGUUUUGUUUCUUGGUUCUUGAGUUGGGGUAUAUGAAUAAUGGAGCAUGUCACACACACACACACACAUAUAUAUAUAUAUAACUACACACAUAUGUAUAUGGGGAUUAAGAGGAGGUUUGGUGCAUGUUUCUGAUGCUCUAUAGUGGAGUAGGAGGUUUCUGUUGUAAAGGAGAAAUUGUUGCUUAUACCCAGUGUGCUCGUAUAUCCUGUGCACCAUAUGAAAAAAAAUAUAUGAAACAAUUAGCUUAAGUUAUCGUGUACACCUGCUCAUAUAUAUUUUCCAUAUUAAUAUUCAAUGCUUCAUCUUACGUCAAGACGUGAACUUGAAUCAGAUAAGAUUGCAGAUCUAAUAGAAUUCGAAUUUAGAAUCUUUAACUCUGACAUAUUAUAAAAAAAUGUAAAACAAUCGAUAAUUUUCAAAAGCUUAAGCUAUGAGGGAAUCAUGCCUUUUACAUACAUAUUGAGUCAUUCAUUAUAUCUCGCGCUUUAAUCUCUAUUGUCCAACCACAAUCAAAUUAUAUUGAUUUUUUUUUUAAAAAAAGGAUAUAUUUUAGAUGGUUGAGAUUGAAGUGUAAGAUUAAUUAGGCAGAUAGAGCUGCAUCUGGUGCAGGAAAUAGUUUUAUCUUCUGAAAGAGACAUUAGUAAUGGGAGAGGUGCAUAUUGGUGGGAUGGAUUUAGUGGGGCUUUAAGUGGAUCUGUUGAGAAAGGGGGUACAUGGCAUGUAUGUAUUUGUGUGAUUGGAGUGAAAAACCUGUCCCAUUAGCUAAGGGGAUUAGGAGAUAAUUAAGAAGCCCUUAUCUUAAGUAUUUUAAUGUGUGUAUAUAUAUAUAUAUAUAUAUAUAUAUAUAUAUAUAUAUAUAUAUAUAUAUAUAUAUAUAUAUAUAUUAUAGUGGGCUGGCAUGCUUCAGGAAGCACCGAGCUCUCCAUGCUUCCAAGUUGUUUUCGAUGUUCAGACUUUCGAAUCGACGAUCGGUUCCUUAGAGUUGAUCUAGAGUAUUUGAAGUAUCUAGAAAAUAAUUUUUGUAAUUUUUCGAUAUCAUUUGCCUAGUGAUCGAAGGGGCUCAAAUCAAUAAUUUUAAUGGCCGUAGUAAGCCGUUUGCAAGUUAACGGUGUGUAGAAAUAUCCAAAUCACAUGAAAUUUUGAUAGAAAAUCUUUAUACCAUAUAAAACAAGAUCAAUAACUUUGAUCUAAAAUUUUAAUGUAUAUCAUAUUUUUGUAAGAUUUUUAUUUUCAACCGUUAAUUGAGCACUUCGGUAUCACUAGGCAAAUGAUAUUUGAAAAAUUACAAAAUUUAUUUUCUAGAUAUUUCAAAUACUCUAGAUCAAGUCUAACGGAAGCGAUCGUUGAUUUGAAGUCCGAACAUCGAAACAACUUGGAGCACGGAGGCUCCAUGCUUCCAGAAGCACUACCGGAUGCACUAAUAUAUAUAUAUAUAUAUAUAUAUAUAUAUAUAUAUAUAUAUAUCAUCAUGGGAAUGAUUAACUAGACCUGCACAAAUCCAGCCCCAUGCAUCUCCCAAUAUAUGAUUGCGCAGGUUUAGUUGAGAUAUAAUUUUUUCUAUUUAUGUUCGAUAAAUUAUGCAGGUUCAGCUAUAAUAUAAUUUUUACGAUCUUAAGAAAAUGAUAAAUUAUAUCUUUACGUGCCGUUUUGACAUUUUAUUUGACUAUGACCCUACAUUUAUUUAGAAAUUAGGGUUCAAUCCAUUAUAAAUCUCACUUUUGACUCGGUUUUGUUUAUACGCGCUCAAAAAAUAAAAUUGGAGACUCAAAUCUCAGUAAUCCAUUAGUUAUUAAAUAAAGAAAAGUAAUAAACUGUGGCAUGAAUGGUUAUAAAAGAAUAUAAAAUUUCUCAGAAACGUAGAUGCUGCAUUUUAGCCUUGUCCUGCUUGGGUAUUUGAAUUUCUUGGUUCCUGCAAUAAUUUCUUUUAUUCGGAGUGUAUACUUGGUACAAGGUCAUUAAUUGCACACACUAAGAACAUCUAGGGCAUUUUUGUUAACUUAUUUUAAACUAUAGAAUCAGAAUAUAAUUCAUUGAUUCUGAUAAUUGUUGUUUAUUUUACAAAAAUUGAAUUUCGACUUUUAUUCUAGUCUGAAAUGAAAAUGGCCAAAUCCAUUAUGACCCAAUCUUUCUUUAAAUUUCAUAUUAAUCCAUUCCCAAAAAAAACUACCGAAAAUUCUCUAUCACAAACGUCUCCCCCUGCACUUCCUUUAUCACUAUUCUUUCUCCUAAUCAAAAUCAUCUUUCAAAACUUCGAAUUUUCAUUCUGAUAAUGGACCAAAUAUUUUUCAAUGAUUCAUCAUUCCAUUUCUCAUUCCAAAACAAUCUAGCCCCCUAAUUCUCUUCCCUAUAAAAAAGAAAUAAAAAAUAAAAAAUCUAUUUCGUUAAUUUUGGAUUAUCCAAACUAGUCACAUCCAUAUGGUGCUGCUGCAAAAGAGCUAAAUUGCUAUUUACAAAACAGAUUCAUCAGAAUCUUAAUCAAAUUUAUAGUAUAUAUACACACUCUAAUCAGACUCAAUGUAUCCUCGGAUAAAUACUCAACAAUUUCAUAAUAACACUUUCAUUAGAGAGGGCUGUAGAAAGAAAGGUGUUGCACACAAACAAAAGCAGUGAUCCAACAAUUCAGAGCUUAAUUGGUAUGUCAUCAUUAGAUCGAAAAAACUUAUUGCACACACCAAAUCAAAUUUAAAUCAUUCGAAAUGUUAUAUCUGAUAAAUACUGCACAGAGAAUUCUGAUAAACGUCCUCCGAUCAAUCGAGGAAAAAUUAUUAUUGAUUGUCCCUCAGUUAUAGAAAUAAUAAUGAGUACAAAAUGUCUUAUUCUAUAGAUGGCUACAAAAUUAGCAAAAAUAAUAAUGACCGAUAAUACAGAAAUGCUCGCAAACAUUCAGAUUGCCUGCUUUUUCGAUCUUAUUCAUGGUAUUCACAGAUCAGGAGGAUCAUCAAGCAGCAAUUUUCUUUGAGGUCACCGAGUUCACAAUAGUGGCAAACUCCGGGCCCUGCACAAACGCAGGAAGACAUUUGAAUAGGUGAACUUCUAGGUGUCAAAUUUCUGGUAUUAUGGCAUAAUCUCAUGGGAAAAAUGAAUCAAUUAUGGCACCAAACUCAACAGGAACACUAUAAAAACAAAGGAAAUUAGUAAUACAGAUGGCGAGAUUUUGACAAUAAUUAGUUCCAAUUUGUGAGACAAAAGGUAACACAAAAACAUUGGAAGUAAGUGUUCUUCUUUUUUAAAUAAGAGAGCUGAGCAUCAUUAAAAUCUUGUUUAUAUCUAACUUAUUAAUAUCUUAGUCUUAAUAAAACUAUAUUAAUGUGGAAUAAAACUAUAUUAAAGAAGAUGUUGUGCUUCUCAGAGUGCUAAAUUCUAGUGAACUGAAGGCCACUUUCAAAUUUCCAGAAUUUGAGUGUGCUCUGAAGUCUAUGAAGUCACAUUCUAACUUAAUUAAGCUGUGAAUCACUAUAAAGGACGAGGUAAGAUCAUGAUUAAUUUGGUGCUACAUUACAAUACCUUCAAUGAGGCCCCUCCGACAAGAAAUCCAUCAAUAUCUUCUUGUUUUGCAAGCUCUGCACAAUUGCUCCCAUUUACUGAACCUGUUAAUAGAAGCAUAAAUUAUCGCUCGGUUCAUUAUACAAUUAUAAUGUUAGCAUAGCAUAGAAAGCAAGCAAAGAAGAUACAUAUCACACUAUUCACUCAGGUUUACAUGCAUCGUGAAUUUCAACGUAGGUUUGGAAAGGGAAAGGUUGAUGAACAUUCCUUUCAUAUUCCUUUGAAUAGUAAUACUUUAGUAACAUGAAAUCUCCCAUAUGCAACUGAUAAGUUACUUUUCCAUUGGCUUGUGUAUCGUGCCUUGAAAGUAAGAUGUUUCAGUGAGCGAAUAAGUAUCACUAAAGGCUUUUUGGGUGAAUGACACUGAUAAUCAUGCUUGCUAAAAAAUGGUACUCAAAAAGCUUCUGGAUCGUUUCUGACAUUACAAUUAACAAACUAACAUGAAUACCUAAAAUUUUAGAAUAAAGUGGGUAUUCUAAAUAUAACUUUCUCACCUUAUAGAAUAUGCACCGACGGAGAUAGAGAAAGAGAGAUGGUAGACUUACCUCCAUAGAUAAUACGAGUAGCAGAAGCAACCUCAGGCGAAAUGUUCUUUUUCAGCCAAUCGCGGACAGCAACAUGCACUUCCUGAGCCUGCAGGGGAGUGGCCACUUUUCCGGUGCCAAUAGCCCAAACUGGCUCGUACGCAAUAACAACAUCUGUCCAGCUUGAGAUACUAUCUGAACAAUAACUCAAAAGGCGUGUAUGAGAAUUGAUUUUCAUUAAAAAAAAUUUCUUCACUAAAGACAAGCUACUUCACAAUAAAAUUACAAAAUCAUUACCUGCAAAAGCCUUCAACUGCUGAAAACAGACCUCAAAAGUUUUCCCGGCUUCCCUUUCUUCGAGCUUCUCUCCUAUACACGCAAUAACCUUAAGAUUCUGACUCAAGGCAUACGCAGCCUUCUUACCAAUAAACUGCACAUAGAAAAGGCCACACCAUAUUAUGACCACUUCAAAUAUCUUAGCACCUAACCGUAUUGAUAUGUUUAGAUUGCUACAAUGUGGGCUGUAUAUGAGAAAAGAGUAGUGUUCAGGAUAGUGUACCUCAUUAUCUUCACCAAUAAUAUGCCUGCGCUCAGAAUGCCCCAGAAUAACCCACUUGCAGCCAACAUCAAUCAGUUGCUCAGCACUGGAAGUAAAAAAGAUUGCAUAUGGAUAAACUAUAAGUAAUUCAAGAAAUCGAAAGUCAAUGUUGUUGUUUCAGGUAAAAGAAGAGGAAAAAAAAAAAUUUCGAAUCUAGUGUUAGUUCGCAAAUUACAGAUAGUUUGAUGAAUAAAAAAUAUGUUAGAACCUAUAGAUAGAAAUUAUGGACUACAUAUCAAUAAGUAGGUGCAAUACUGGGAUAUAAUUAAGAAAGAGCAAAGUAAAAACUUAAUUCUUGGUGCAUUCCAGUAAAAGCUCCAGUAGAAAUACAAUUUAGAUAAGUUUAACAGGUUUUUACCUGAUUUCUCCAGUAAAAGCUCCACCUUUUCCAACCCAAGCAUUUUGACCAGAUAUCUCAACACGAUCAGUCAGUGAAGACUUGACCUGGUCAAUAUAUACGAAUGGAGGUGCUACGACAACAUCUGCAUUUCCACCGUAAAACAGAGACCUAAGAAAUCUUGUAAAACCAAGCAUGCAAAUGAACAAAGGAAAAAAAAAAAGCAGAACGCAAAUAACUCUUUCUUGGUACAAUCGAGAGCUUUAAAGACCAAAUUUUGAGAUCCAGAUAAUAAUAUGAACAUACUAUAUCUAACGUAUGUAGCCUACAACGAAAAAAAGCUAAAAAAGAUGGAGAGUCAACUGGAGAGUUUGAAACGAAGUAAUGCUCUGUUCAGUCAUAUGCAGUGGGAUGAUAGACCUGGAAUGUGCUUAUAAAAGUUGAACAAUUGGGGGUCAUAGAAAGCAAUGCAUUCAAGAGGUGGGGGGAGGGGGGAGGAGGAGGGGAGGGACGCUACAUUCCCCAAGGUUCCCGCCCCCCCCUUCAAAACACAAAUCUCUGUUUGUAGGGUAUUUUGCUGUUAUACGGUGACAAUGUGUCCAUGUGCGUACGCACCUGAGAAGUCAAGAAUGUUUUUUAAUUUUUCAUAUGCUACAAAAGAAAUAAAGCGAUGCAGAUGAAAAUAGGAACUUCAUUUGAUAGGGACAACAAGAAGCAGCUGAUAAUCAUACCAACAUCAUUUUCCAAUGUAGCUCCAUUCAAAUCAGAGACAAGUUUGCUGAUAGAGUCCUUUGUUCCAUUCUAAACACACAAUAUAUCAACAAUAUAUCAACUAGUCAAUUAGGUAUAUACAAAAAAAUUAAAGAAAAGGGUACGACAAACGAUCAACAAUUUGAAAGAUGAAAGCAUAAACAUAACGUCACAGUUCAACAGCCUUUAUGAUCGCUUUACCAGGUUCCAAAGUGUGAACAGGGAAAGAACAAUAUGAAAAUGAUGUGAAAUGUAGUAAUACCGGCACUAAAAGCGGUCAAAGGUAACCAUGCAAUGAAGUCUGCAUAUUCUCAUUCUUAUGGCAUAAUGGAAAAUCCAUUGUCAUUCGUUGAAGAGUUAGCUUUCUUCAGUUGCCCUAUAACAUAAAACAUACUGAACAGUCUCUCCCCCCACCCCCAUGUGUGUCUAUCAUGUGUGUGUGUAUAAACCCGCCUACGGGUGUCCCCUAUUUACUCUCUCCCUCUCUCCCUCCUUCCCCCGCCCAGGUAUUCUCUUUCUCUUUCUCCAUGUGUGUCUAUGCGGUGUGUGUGUAUAAACCCGUCUAUGGGUGUUCCAUGUAUGUUUAUAUACAAGCACCAUAUGAUAUUAGCGUAACCUAAAGAAAGGACCAAUAACAGAAAGAACAUCAAUCUUCAUACAUAAAGCUAAGCAUAUCUGCUGAGCAUUUCAGAGUUAACUUGCAAAAAAGCUUCAACUCUUUCAGUUAACAAGCUGGUUUCUUGCUCCUACUGUCACAAAAUCCACAAUAUCCCUUCCCUACCCGCGCCCUCGUGAUGAGACCGUAUCAUUGGCACUUAGAGAAGUACAAAGAGAAAAUAUUGUAAAGCAAGACAAAGUACUCACGCAUUUCCAGUUGCCUCCAACAAAAAACUGCAAAAAAAAGGGAAUAAGAGAGGCAUUAGAGAGCAUACAACAGAGAAAAAUCAGACAAGUCAUCUAUAUUAGUACAUGAGAACCAAGAUGUAAAUAUUGCUCCAGAGGAGAGCACAUGUUCAACAUGGGCAGCAUUGAAACAGGGCAAAAGACAGCCUCUCAAGCACAAUCUCAUUCAAAAGGCCGAACACAAUAGUCAAAUAACUGAAGUAAGACCCAACAAAAAACAUGAUCCGCAUCUCCUGCUACAAGAAGAAGUAAAUUACAUAUAAGUUUUUAGUUCAUUAUUAUCAGAUCUCCUGUUGGGCCUCUACUGUUUGUUGUUAAUGGCCAAGUAUACUUAUAUCUUAAACACUGCAGAAAGGUUAUCUUACUUUUAACAGUUUUCACCAACUUUAACAGUAAGUAAGAUAUCAGAUUUAUAACCAAUUCAUUUAGACAAUGUUGGCUUUGCCAGGAAAUCAGAAAAUUUGUGGUUAUUGAUCAAGAACCAGGGUGAUGGAGCAAAGGAAAGAACUCUCGGUAAUUCACCAAGACCCCAAACAUGCUUUAUAAGUGGAGAAAUAGCAGAUAUUGUUACAAGAUACAUUUUUUCCCCCCUAAAACAAACAAGACAAAAGGAAGAUAAAAUGUAGUCUCUUUUCGCAUGCACUAAUUAAUCAAGCCCCAGCCAGAUGAAGUGCCUUGCUUAAGCUUUCAAAGAUUAAACCAUAAGGUAAGCAACACAAAAGUAUCUGACAAGAUAUUUUAAAAGGAAAAAACCAACAUUGAUAAACUAUUAAACUGAGACACAUUCUAUUACAGUUUUCUACUAAAAAAUGUGAUUUUGAUCUGGGAAAAACAAAGAAAGGAAAGAAAAUCAGUUAAUAUAGUGGUUUGGAUAAAUCGAUAACAGCAAACAAUGUAGAAUUUUUAGGCUUUAAGAGGAAUAAUGGAAAAAAAAUCACUAGCUUUUCUUUCUAAAUACUAUAGUUGAUAUGUUGUAUUAACUUAAACUCAUACAUUAUACUACACAUAUCUUCCUAAUCAGAUCCAAGUUUUCAAAUUUAUCAUAAAAUCUCCAAUAUCCAUCUAUCUAUUCGCCAAAUUCCCAAACAAUAUACACUAAUAUCCACCAAAAAUCGACCUUAAAAGAUCAAAAAGAAAGCAAAAAUCGCGAAAAAAAAGGAGCCACCUUUCCCGAUCCGGCCAUGGCGACGACCCCUCUCGGAGGCCUCCGAGAAGAAGAAGCGACGCGGAGACGAGACGCCGCGCGAUCGAAGAAGAGGGCGUUGGUGGAGGGAGACGACGCCGACGAGGGCUCGCCCUUGGAGCCUCCUCCGCGGCGGAGCCCCGCGAAGUUGUGGGAGAUGUGCGACGCGAGCGAGGACGACGACGCCGCCAUUGUUGUCGCCCUCGAUCUCCUCCUCCUCCUCCUCCUCCUCCUCCUUGCCCUAGAAAAGCUCCGCCCCUCUUUUUUACCUCGCUCUGAGCUACUUCUUUGUGUUUGAAGGUAGAGGAUAAAGAGGAGAGCCCUUCUCCUUCGGACACGUGUCCGUCGUAGAUCGCGAGGGGUGGUGGUUGGGUCGGAUGGUUUGGUGGGGUCGGUGAUCGGUACAUAACAGCGAACAGCCACGUGGUUCCUGCGUCGUGGCGCAUUUUUAGUGGUGGUCGUACGGAUUUUCCUGUUCGGAGAUUACGCUGAAUCUUGGUGGUAGUUGGAAUUUGAUUGGAAAGAGAUUUAAGAGGUGGCGAUGAGAACCAUGAGAUAGAUCAUAGGAUCAGAGUGAUUCUUAACAACACCCUCUUGGAUAAGGUUAAGAUACCAUAUUUACUUUUUUUUUUUAAUAAAAAAUGAAUUGUAUUUUUGGUCCUCAAAUUUUUUAAAAAAAUGCAUAAUUGUUUCUUUGGUUUAAAUUUUUUUAAUUAUUAUAAUUAAUUUAUAAAAUCCAAUUUAAUUAACUGUAUAUUAAUAUUUUACUAAUGUAGUAGAGAUAUAGUAUUUUAAUGAAUAUCAUAUUAUCCGUUACAACAUUAUUGUAUUAGCGCCACAUUAUUAUUUACACAAUUAGAUUGGACUGUAGAAAUUAUUUAGAAUAAUUUAGUUAAAAAUUAUAUAAAAUUAAAGUUUGAUAACCAAAAAUAGAAUUUAAUCUUUAAAGAUGGAAAAAUAUUAAGUUUGCAACUCAGAGAUUGUAAUACCUAUAACUCCUUAUCUAAGAGAUUGUAGAGUUUACCAUCGACUAGUAAAAAAAAAAGGGUCAUUGGUUGAGCAAGAUUGUAAGAUUAUAAUCCAAAAUAGGUGUAGACUUAACAUUGUCCUUAAUAUAUAGAGAGAGAGAGAGUGCGCGCUAGGGUCUUAAACUAUUUAUAGUAUCAAGACUUUGAUACUAUAGUCUCAUUUUUGAUCUUAGGGUGUUCAAAUUAAUGAUUCAUACUGUUCAAACUGAUUUAAGGUAUUUAAAAUUUUUUGGAAUAAACUUUUAUACUUUUUCGACAUGGUUUACUUUAUGAUAAAAAAUUUUCAAAAUUAUUAAUUUUCAAUAACUACUAUAGCGAGUCUUUUUUUUUUUUUUGGAGAGAUUACUAUAGCGAGUUUGUAAUUUAACAAUAUAGAAAAAUUUAAAUUUACUCAAAUUUUGCUAGAAAAUACUUUAAACUAUCUAGAUCAAGAACAGUAUUUUUUUUAUCUUAAAUUCAAAAGUCCUAUCAUCAAAUUUUAAAAAUUGUUUAAUUUUUUUUUGAGAAAAAAGUAGCGCUACCCGCUUCGUUUAUUCAAAAGAUAAAUUAAGCUACAAGAAUGAGGCAUCACAGGCCUCGUUUGUGGCAAAACGAAACAGAAAAAAAAAAAAAAAAGCUAUUACAUUGGUGUCUCCUCUCCACUGAGCUAAGUUUCUCCUACUAAUUCGUCAACUGUUUAAUCUUGUAGAUUCCAAGACUUGGGUCUGGGUUGUCAUCCGAAAGAUGGCCCUAGUCUUGGUCUCCCAAAUGAUCCACCAAUAAUCUAUUAGUCCAAUAUGACCGUUACUCAUCAAUUUUAUAGUGUGAAUCCUAAAUCUGAAAAUUUGUUCAAUUUUUACUGUUCAAUUUGAUAUGAUACACUUACUAAGUAAACGACAUCGAAAAAAAUUAAAAUUUUAUUUCUAAAAAUUUCAUAUACUUCAGAUUAUAUUUAACAGUGUGAAUUACUAAUUUGAACACUCUAAAAUCAAAAACAAAACUAUAGUAUUUAAACUCUGAUACUCUUGAUAGUAUAGUAGCCUGAUUCUCUCUCUCUCUCUAUAUAUAUAUAUAUAUAUAAAAGAUACCCUAGUUUUCUUUCGGGUUAUUUGGAUAAAUUACAUAGGAGUUCUCCCAUCUUUUACCCAAGUUUCAAUUGUAUUUGUAUCUCUAAUACUCCAAUUGUUUUGUUUUUUUUAAACGAAAGAUAAUAUACCUAAGAUUUUAAGUGCCCGUCGACACGGACCGUAUCAACUGUACCAUGCCAACAAGAUACUGAGACGAUACAGACCUUAUGCUGAUCACAGUUCAAAAUUCUCUAUUCUUUAAAUUAGUAAAUAAUUUUUUUAAUAAAAUUCAAAAAAUAUGAUAAAAAAAUAUAAUAAAUAAUUAAAAUAUUUUGUUGCUAAAGAAAAUAAAUAUUUCAUUCUAUUAUGUGUCAACAUAUAAAAAAUUUUUUGACCGGCACGCAUUGGCACAGCUCGGCACGCACCGUGCCGGCAAAUUUCCGACACGACCCUAUACCACGGUACUUAAAUCCUUGAAUAUACUAUUCCCUGCAUUUAUUUUUUAGAAAUAAACUUAGCCAAAAAUAUAAAACAACUAAAUUUCAAACUUAGAACCUCUGAUAUCAAUCACCAAACUAUUUACCAUUUGCACUGAGAACAGUCGGUCUAAUGCUCUAAACAGCCUUAAAAAUAGAGGAAAACAGGAAAUACACGAAAACUAAACACCAGAUUCUUUCAUAUUUCAACUGGCAAAACUGAAUGAUCCAGUUCCCAAUUCAAAUUCAAUUAAAUUUUGUCAAAAAAAUCAAAUCAAAUUCGGAAAGAUUCAGAAAAUGUUCGGAAGUUUUAGCGGAAUUGAGGGUUAAAAAAUGUCCUUACGGUAAGACAUAAAAAUAAGGACCACAAGCAAGAACUUGAAUUAUCUUCUUCUUCCCCUAUUUUUUUUCAAGUUUUAAACAUAUGGAACAUAGAUCUUCUUUGAUAGUAGUGUUAUCGACUCGGAAACGCCUCCGUUGAACACAAGGCCACCUUUGAGUUUAGCCCAUAUCGUUCACUUAAACAGAUUCCAGUUUCCCAACAGGCCUAAUGAAGCGAUGGUUUCAUAGCAAUCUUUCGACGCCACUCCGUCUAAUUCGGGCUCGAAGGUCCAGGUCGGUAAAAGUACAAAUUUACAUCGGCCCGUUGGAAUCAUAAGAAAAGAAUUUGAAAUUAAUCUAUCACGUGGUGAAGUGCAGUACCGCCUUCGAGGACAAAUUCAAAUUUCUGAAUCAUUCUGCUGAAUAUUCUGACAACCUCCUCAGGGGGUGCAGAGGUUCUUUAAGUCUUCCUCCUUCGCGUAAGAGGCCGGAAUGAUCCUCGAUGCGUAGGGAUAGAGAUCUUUGUAAGAGUUUCUAAUGGUGCCUUCGGCGACUCCAGUGGCCACGGAUAUAUCUGCGAAUUAUAGCGAUGUUAGUGCAAGGAAUAAAGCAACUGAACCAAACAGGAGAUUCAUAAUUGUAGAACCUUUGAGGGGCUUCUUGUCAUCAGAUAGCUGAGUUAUCAUGUAAAUUAUAGCUGCCGCAAUCGAUAUUGGACUCCGCCUGCAUAAGUGUGCAAAGAGCAGAAUGUAAAAACAUUUUCUCCGAACUAAUGUUCAGGAAAGAAUCAUAAGAACUGCUGAUACUUUACAUCGUUUUUCGAAUUUCAAAGAAAAAAUGUACACUUUCUAGUAAUGAUGCAAAACAAUGUACAAGCAAUUUACGUCACCCAAACACUUGCUCGAUGGUAAGGGGUGCAACUCUGACAGGUUGGGCCAGUUGAAGGACGAACCCGUACCCAGCUAACAUAUCACAGUUCCAACCACAAUUCAACCCAACCCACCCGUCUCAAGAUGAAAUAAUCAAUUAUUAUACUUUGAUGACAAGAUAAAAAACCCUUUGUCAGGGCACUGCCAACAGUACCGUAUAUCAAGUUCUUCAGACUUUUGAACUGCUUCUUGAGCUGCUUUAACUGCUUGGUUUGUCAUGCCAAGAUGUGAACAGAAACGUCUCUGCAAAUUCAAGAAAGCCAAAAUAAGAAAAGGAAGUCAGAGACCAAUAUACUUUAACAUACCAUAUAGAAUACGAAAGCAAAAAAAAUCGAUUCCAAAACAAUAUGGAAAAAUAGAAAGAGAUGUAGAAUGAAUGCUUGAAACUAACCAGGAAAUCUCCUGCAUGUAUGGUGCCCAUCUCCAUCGAUUGGCCCAUCUCACCUUCAAGCUGCUUUACUAUGAACUCCUUUGCUCUCCCAAUUUCUUUCUUUGUUGCUCCAUUAGCAACAGAACAGAUUUCUGGUUUGGAGUGAAAUAAAAAAGAAAUACUUAUGGGGAACAAGUAAGAAAAGUGACAUAUAUCCAGAGUUUAGAUUAGCUAUAUACAUCUACCUUUCACAGUGCGGGGCCUAUCUUCUUGCCUACAAGCGAUGUAUAGACAAGCAGCUAAGAUCGCAUCUUGGUUUCUCCCUCUAAUGGACUUGAGAUCUUCCACUUUCUUAUAAAUCUCAUUCGCUCGAUCCUUGAGAAAAGAAAUAGGAAUUCUUGUUAAGUACACAACAAUUAAUUCAAAGCAUUAUAUUAAAUGGAAGCUCAGACACCUGGGUCCAGCAUGAUCACCCAGGAACCAACUUAAAUUGGCUCAUUUACAACAUAAGUACAAACUCCAUAGUACUCAUGAAACAAAUUGUUGCCCACAUAUAUGACACUCAAUAGGACCAAAUCCAAGGUGUUGUGUCCAAAUAUAAAGCAUUUUUAAUAGAAACUACUGAGAUCUCGCAGAUUAGGAAUGAAUUGUAAAAUUACAUUCCAAACAAAUUUCACAGUUAAGAUGUCUUUAUAGGGAUUGCAUCUUUCAAUCAAGUUGCAUUAGAAAGUGUUAGCUCGCAUAUCACAAAAGGAAUAGCAUGUUACAUCUGGUUGUAUUUGAUCAUAACGUUGUAUGCGUGGGUUUGGUAGGAGAUUACAAGACCUACUGACCAAAUAAAACGAGAACUUGAUGAAUAGAACAACAUUAGCAGGCACAAUAGAUGCUUUCCUUCCAUUUAGAGGUUGAAUGCUAUCACAGAUACAACGAAAAGUUGUAUAUUUUUUUAACAGUCUUAAACUUUAAUAAAAGAUGACAUUCGAGAAGAGGAGAAUCUUAGUGGAACUUAUAUGAUUUCAAAGAGAAUUAUAACCCCUAAUUUGUGGUUACCAAAAAAAAAAAAAAAAAAAAAAAACUUAAAAUAUAGUUAUUGUAUGAAGAGAAUUGUGAUAUUUUCUCAUAACUAAUGGUGAAACUUGAAAUUUCGAUACCUUUUACAUUUACAAUUAACUGCUAGUCGAUCAUUAACUUAGACGGAAAAUGGAAGAAACCUAGUCAGAAUCAGCAUCUCAUACUAGUUUAUGUCAAGUGAUAAAAAUUCACGCAAUACUUACAGUUCAGAAUGAUUGAAGUGCAAAUUUCUUACCUUAAUAGUGGCAACAAGACCCAACCUGGAACAAGAAAAGGUACAAGAUAAGUAUUUGCUUUAUAAACAACAUUAUUUGGAAAGAACGAAAAAGACAACGAGGGGUUACAGCUUCUACACCUUCUAUCAUAUAUGUAUAUAAUCGUUCUUAAUCUCUCUCAUUUGGAAAUGUAUUUCAUCAUUCGACUAUCAAAUAACCGCUUGACGAAACGAGGAGAACUAUGUAGCAAGCAGAGCACUGAGGUGCUAUAAAUACAAACCGCCACACCUCAAUAAUGUUUUAAAUCAUCUACCACAAAUUCGACAAUACUUCACCAGGAAGCUCCGCGAAAUACUAAAGCAGCAAAGGAAACAUUUUUCUUUUCCUAUUCCCAAAACUUAUAUAAAAAAAAAAAAAAAAAAACAUCUUUAACACUAACGAUAUGCUGAAACCCUAAAUCCUGCGAUCAUAGAAAGCGCUCAUCCUAAGCUCGCUAAAAUCCCAAUCAGAUCAAACCCAAAACCAAACCCCUCAACCCCCUAUCCCUAAUUCUGAAUCACGAGCACCGUGAAACGACUUUAGACGCCCAAAUCGAAUCGAAAAUCGACCGCGUUCCGACCAAACCCUAACCCUAGUACAGCGCAUUGCGCACGAAAUCGAGCCGCGAUUGAAGCACGGGAGAGGGCCGAGGGAGAGCUCACCGAUCGGCCAUGGUGGCGAUGGUGCGGAAGGCGAGGAUGAGGGAGCGGUCGGGGUUGGCGCCGCGGUUCUGCCAGCGGCCGAGGGAGGAGGUGAGGAACUCGCCCUGGGUGCCGUUGGGCUUGGCGAUGACGGUGGAGAGGCCGCCGUCGGUGAGGAGGGGGUUGGCGGGGCCGCCGACGCGGACGGGGUCGUUGUCGCCGGACUCGUUGGCGAAGGUGCGCCACUCCGAGGUCUCGUCGAUGGAGUGCGCCUCGAGCACGAGCCCGCACUCGUAGCACACCGUGUCCCCCGCCGAGUGGUCGAACACCACCUCCGUGCUCCGCUUGCAAUCCGGGCAAAACGCGUCCCCCAUUGUUGCCCCCGCACCUCCCCCCCGAGCUCCGUGGGAGAGGAGAAGAGGAAGAGAGAGAGAGAGAGAGAGAGAGAGAGGAAGAGGAAGAGGAAGUAGAGGAUCGAGGAGUUAUUAUUGUCGUGUAGUAAACCAGUAAAAAGAGUAGAGAAGAGUUGUGAAAUUUUAUGGAAAAGCCCCUGUUCUACCACUUUAUUUGACUUCGACUAUUUGAAUUUUCAAUUUGCUCCUGCAGUUUCUGGAAAUUUUUAACUUGUUGUCCAGGGAACUUCCAAAUGUUGCACCUAGUUAGUUAACUAUUAUCUGCUUUUGGCAUUGCUUCACUGUUAAGAAGAUAGAAGCCAUUAUCCUAUCAAAUUAUUUUAAAUGAUCGGAAUUUCAAAUUGAUAAUCAGCACCGUUGAAAUUGAUCUAUACUAUUAGAAUCAUUUAGAAACCGAAUUUUAUAAUUUUUAAAAAUUAUUAUCAAGUCCAUCAAAGAGUCGAAAGAUGAACAGCAAAAUCAAAUAACCUUUUGAAAACAGAGCUUGGACUUUCUCAAUUUACGAUCAGAGUUAUUGAACAUUAUUUAAAUAGUAUAAAGAAUUUUCUAUCAAAAAUUCAACCGGUUUGGAUUACUCUAUAUCGUUAAACAAGCAAACGGCUCAUAUAGGUUGUCAAAAACUGUCAAUUUUGCAACCCUUUGAUCACUAUGUAAAUAAAUUUUAAAAUUUAUAAAAUUUAGUUUUUAGAUAAUUCAAAUACUCUAGAUCAACUUCAACGGUUCCGAUCAUCGAUUCAAAUUCUUUAUCAUAAAAAACGAUUUGAUAGGACGAAGGUCCCUAUUAUCCUAAAAGAAUAGCAUCUGGAUUAUAUAUAUAUAUAUAUAUAGAGUGAGGCUACUAUGCUUCUGGAAACACGGAGCCUUCCGUUAGCCUCACUCUAUAUAUAUAUAUAUAUAUAUAUAUAUGUAUAUAUAUAUAUAUAUAUAUAUAUAGAGGGCUGGUAUACUUCUGGAAGCAUGGAGCCCUCCGUGCUUCCAAGUUGUUUUCGAUGUUCGGACUUUCGAAUCGACGAUCGCUCCGUUAGAGUUGAUCUAGAGUAUUUGAAGUACCUAGAAAUAAAUUUCGCGUUUUUCGAUAUCAUUUGCCUAGUCAUCGAAGGGGGCUCAAAAUCAAUAAUUUUAACGGCCGUGUGAGCCGUUUGCAAGUUUAACGGUGUAGAAAUAUCUAAAUCACAUGAAAUUUUGAUAGAAAAUUAUUAUUACCAUAUAAAACAAGAUCAAUAACUUUGAUCUAAAAUUUUAAUAUCAUAUCAUCAUAUUUUGUAAGAUUUUUAUUUUCAGCCGUUGAUUUUGAGCCCCUUCGAUCACUAGGCAAAUGAUAUCGAAAAUUCGCGAAAUUAUUUUCUAGAUACUUCAAAUACUCUAGAUCAAGUCUAACGAGCGAUCGUCGAUUCGAAAGUCCCAACAUCGAAAACAACUUGAAGCACAGAGUGCUCCGUGCUUCCAAAAGCACCCCCAGUACACCCACUAGUUAUAUAUAUAUAUAUAUAUAUAUAGAGUCCGGCUACUAUACUCUUAUGAGUACGUUCAUCUUCGUACUCAUAAGUCGUUUUUGAUGAUAGAACUUCCGAAUCGACGAUCCAUACCGUUAAACGUUAUCUACAGCAUUUAAAACUUCUAGAAAUCAAAUUUUAUAAUUUUUUGACAUCAUUUAUCUUACGAUCAAAAGGUCACAAAAUUGACAAUUUUUAACGGUCGGUAUGAAAUACUUGCUAGUUUAACAGUGUAAAAGAAUCAGAAUUGGUUGAAUUUUUGAUAAAAAAUUCUAUUCACUAUCUAGAUAAAGAUCAAUAACUCCAAUCUUAAAUUAAAGGAUCCGAUCAUGUAUUUUUAGGACAUCGUUCGAUUUUAACCGUUCAUUUUAUGCCCGCUUGAUGGACUUUAUUAUGAUUUCAAAAAUUUACGAAAUUUAUUUUCCAGAAGUCUCAAAUACUCUAGAUCAUUUUUAACGGAGUGGAUCAUCAAUUCGGAAGCUCCAUCAUUGAAAACAACUUAUGAGUACGAAGGUUUCAAUACUCAUAAGAGUAUAGUAGCCCUACUAUAUAUAUAUAUAUAUAUAUAUAUAUAUAUAUAUAUAACAUGAUAGCUAGGUUGCACCUUCUGCAAACUACACGGUGGUAUAAUACAUCAAUCUAUAAUUUUAUUUCUGUGAUUUGUAAAAAAUAUCGUGUUGUGUUCAAUAGUAGGUUUAAACAUAACAUUUUAAACCACAAAACAGCAAAGUAAAAUUAUUUUAAAGUAAGUCCGCUAAAGUUUACAUAGUAAUAAUGCAAUAAUUUUUAACUCAUUUCUACAUUUGACUCUAGAUGGAAUAGAUAAGAUAGAGUUAGAAUACUCUUAUAAGCACUAAAAAAAUUGAUACUUUCGAUUUUCUAAUGCAUGCAUGCAAAGAUCAAAAAGUUAAAAAGACCCAAGAUAUUUCUUCUGAACUAAAUCCAUAAAUCACAAUCAUCACUUAUGAAAUGAAAGAGUUGUUUGAUCAUCGGCACACAACACCCUACACAUUCCAAGGCGUAGUUAAUUUGAAAAUAAGCAGCCAAAUACAAUGAAAAAUUUUAAAAAUACUCUUUAAAUUUGUUUCCUUCAAUAUUACAGAGAUAAAGAUCACUAUGGAAAAAACUCCUUAUUUUGGCUGAGAAAAAGAGCGAAAUAAUAAUAAAUAAUAAUAAUAAUUCUUUUUCAUAGCUUUUGUUAAAAUGACAGGUUUUUUACUGUAAGCUCGAGCCCAUUAACUAGAGCAUGCAUGAAUAAUGAAACUAAUAAAGUCACCCGCGUAUUGCCGCGAACUAAUAUUACAAAAUACAAAGGAUUGAUGAGGUAAAAAAUUUUAACAUUUUUUAACUUGUCAUAAAAUAUUAAUAAAUAUAAAUAAUAUAAGAAAUAUAUAUAAGAAGAUCUUAUUUUAAUCUUUUUUUUUUGUGAAAGUGAAUAGACUAUGCAAACGCAUUAAUUUGAAAGUGAGCGAGUAGAAAGACGAAAUAUCAUAUAAAGAUGCGAGGUGAAAAGACGAAACAUUAGAGUGGAAAGAAGAAAAAAAGUUAAAAAUAAAAAACUGUAAUGCUGCAAAUUUUAUAGGACAUAAUAUAUUGAGAGGCAUAGAUUGUGUGAGGUACACACUUGGUACAUGAAACAACUACUUUGGUAAGCAUUAAAACAAUAUUUAAUGAGAAAACAAACUUGUUCCAACCUCUAUCUAGGCAUGCAAACGGCCGGAUCUGAGUCGGACAAAAUCCCGUCCAGCCUCUCGCCUCGAAUCCAUGGCAAGUUAAAAAAUAUAUCUCAUAAUCCGUCCCGUCUUGUAACCUAUCUUUCGCCAGCGCCCUGAAUCCGCCCCGCCAACUAAUAUUUUUUAUAAAAUUAUAAUAUUAUUUAUAUUUUGUAAAAUAUAAAUUAAUAAUUUUUAAUAACAUUAUAUAUAUAAUUAACAACAUCAAUUAUAAAAAUUAAAAAUAUCAACCACAAUUCAAAGCAAAAUUCAAAAGUAUUAAAUUAUUUAUAUUUUAGAUUUUUUUUUGAAAAUACAUUAUUUUUUAAAAGAUAUUUUUUAAAAUAUAAAUAAUUUUUGGGACGGAUUCAGAACGAAUCAUGGUGGGAUAGAUUUGGAGCGGGUCAAAAUUUCUUCUGUUUCCUGUCCUGAAUCCGUUUCGGAUCAUAAAAAUUACUCUAUUUUCCGUCCCGAAUCCGUUUAUUUUCUCCCAUUUACUGUCCUAUUCAAGACAAAUCCACCAACCGUUAUCCAUUUGCAUCCCUACCUUCAUCUACAUAAAUGAUUUUGUGUGGUAUUUAUUAAAGGGAAAAAAGAAACUAUUUCCCAACACUAACAUUGAUAUUUCACUCCCUAAUGUCCCUUGCACUAAAAAUUCAAAAUCUAAUUAUUUUAUAUAAAAAAAUAAUAUACUAUUUUUCUCCCAGAAUAAAAAAAAUAAAAAAUCAUAUUCCAUACUCAGGGCGAUAUUUCAAAUUUAAUUUUGAAUUCGAGAGAAUAAUUAAAACCCAUAAAAAGAAAAUUUAUUUUAUCUUGAAAACUUAGAUUUUACCUAGUAGCUAUGAAUAUAUAAAAAUAAGUUAUCCCCAUUGUCACUUCAAUUUGUAAGUUGUUAUCAUGGAUCAUGAUCUAUUAAAUACCCUUCUUGGGAAGACAAAAAAUUUACUAACUAAUACUAUUGAUGAAAUGGGCGCCAAAAGUCAUACAUAUAUAUCAGAACAAAAAUUAUAUGAGCAUCGUCUCCAAACUUCUAGUUCAGGGACGAUGCGAAUGGGCGCCGCGUGGUGAGCGCCCCGCGUUUUUCUUUAGGGGCUGUUUGAUUUGACGUAAAAUUGGAAAAAAAAAAUUUCGGUGGAAAAAAUUUUUUCGGAGGAAAAUAAAUUUUACGCUCUCUAGCAUUUGGUUUGUAGAAAAAAAAAAAAAAUAGUUUUCCGUUACGGUUGUUUGAUUGUUAAUUGAAAGAAAAAAAAUUUAUAAAUAAAAAUUAUCAUAUAUAUAUAUAUAUAUAUAUAUAUAUGAUCAUAUUACAUAUAUUAGAAUUAUAAUUUAUACUUAUAAAAAAUAUUUAAAAUAUAUUAUACAUUAAUUAAAUAUAUAAUAUAAUAUAUAAUAAUAUAUAUUNAAUAAUAUAUUUAAAAAAAUAAAAUUAUAUAUAUAUAUAUAUAUAUAUAUAUAUAUAUAAUGAAAGAGAGAGAGAGCACGGGUCUGCUUCCCGGACUCUCUCUCUCUCAUGCGGUCCACGAGGUGAAGGGCACCUCAUAGACCGCGCGCAAAAAAGCCUCCUGAGCCGCGAUUUUUUGUGCGGUGGUUUUCAUUUUUCGCUCACAGCGAAAAACAAAAACUUCGGAUUUUCUGAGAAUGCGUAAAAAAAAAUUUUCGUGUAAAAUUUUUUACUGACCACCAAACAUCAAAAAAUAAAAUUUUACAUGAAAAAAAAAUUUUCGACUAGUUUUACAGAGUACCAAACACGCCCUUACUUUUUUUUUUUUUUUUUUUUUCCUCGUAGGGGAGGCUGAGGAUGGGCGACGUCGUUCCCAAACUUUUAGUUUGGAGACGAUACCCGUAUAACUUUUGCCGAUAUCAUGUCUAAAAACUUUUCGCUCCGACAGUAAGUACAUAUUCUCCGACAAUAGUACAUAUUGGUUUAUUGCUUUAUCAACAUUAAAUGGCAACGCAACAAAAGAGAAUAGACAUGUAAAAAAUAAACGAAGUAAUGUACUACACUACGAAUUUUGCUCCAAAAUACAUUGAGAAAUUUGACAAUAGGGAGACCUAAUAAUUCCUCAUCAGAUAAAAAUAAAAUUAUCAUUAAAUAUAUAAAAAAAUUUUACUCUUUUAGUAAUAACUAAACUUAAACAUUUUAGGACGGUAAUUUUGACCCAACGAAUUAUUAUUGCUAGCGAUCGGAUCGUAGACCCAUCUGAGCCAGGAUCGAUGAAUGGCAGACUAAGUCAGGAUCAAAAUGACAAAACUAACAAAAACGAGUCUCACAUCGCCGACUGUGUGCGCGUUUAGGAAAGAUUGAUAAGAACGUCAAGAUCCAAACAAAAAGCAUCUGUAACACCUUAAUAGUUCAACAUCGGAUGAAAAUAAAAUUAUCAUUGGAUAUAUAAAAAAACUCCACCAUAAUAAUAAUAACUAAGCUCUUUUUGGGUCGAUGAUUUUGACCCAACGAGUUAUUAUUGCUAGCGGUCGGAUCGUUACAACAAUUCUGACCAUUUUAUGAACAUAUUCAUAUCCAAUCCGGCCAAAAUCAUACAAUAGAAAUCUUAGAAACUUCAUUUAUCAAUGGAUUCUGCCGUUUGUCGAAAUUUGUUUAAAUACAAACUUGUUUAAAUGCAUCUCCCCUCAAAGCGUAACAACUACAGCAACCAAAGUUUGUUUUCGAUAUCCACGAGAAUAAACAUCAAAUAGAAUGCUGAAUGACCACCAAUAUUUAUUAAAAAAAAAAAUUGAAAUCUCAGAAACUCAUGAUAUGAACAUGACAAACAGUGGUUAAUUAACCAACCAAACAACCAGGAGAUUUUCAUUAAGAGAGCAACGGCACGCAGAGAGCGAUACCGCAUUCCAUGGAAGUUUUGCAGUCCUAGGGCGACCGUCGGGUAAAAGAUUCUUCUGUGAAAACUACAUUUUACGAUUAUUUUCACUACAAUCUGAUACGAGAAAACAGAUCAGAAAAACAUAUCAGGCCUUAUCAUGGUGAGAAGACGAUCAAAAGGUCAAGCAUUUGAGUUAAAUUAGUUAACCGAGUAAAUCCGAGAAGUUUCCACGCCGCGCUUUAUUUUACACCACUCCGGAAGGAAGGCGUAGCACCAGUUGCCCACCUACAAGACUGUAGUGGAGGGGCAAAAAAUGAAUACAAAUUUCAGUAAGAUUUUAAAAUUAUUUAUAAGGAGCAUGACGAUACCUCUUCACGUAAUAGUAGCAGAAGUCUGCGAGGAUGAAAGUCUGAACAAUCUCCGAGAGAAGAACCAUAGAAGGCCACCAACCAUAGCCCAAAGCUGUCAAUAAGCGCCCGCGAGUAUCCAAAACCUAUAACAAAAAGGUUUCACUUAAACUAUAAAGCACACUAACGUAGUUCGUAGUUCAAGAAUUUGCUAUAUUUUCUAAAUGAAUGAUAAGAACAACAGUGAUAGAAAGAAUAUUAUAAAAAGCCCUAGUUUAGCAUACGUAAAGUUGUUUGGUCAAAAAUAUAUUUGUUGCAAAAAUGCAUAAUUUGUACACUAUAGGAAAGUAAAAAAAAGAGGCCCAGUUGCUACAAAAUAUUUUAUGUUGCAGACCAAAUCAGCUCAUAACAGUGGCAGGAUAAGUUUCAUUGGCUUGAUGCUGGUAAACCAGAAAAUGUCCAAAAGACAAAACAGAAUGCCUUAUCCAGUAAUGUUUAAAACCUCGACUUUAGUCACGUAACCAGCAGGCCAAUUUUCCUCCGUAAUCCUGGAGGGAUUGCAUUAUUCCCCUGUAACUUUUACUACAAAGGCUGUCUGCUUCACUUAUUCUACCUAGUUUAGUGUUCAUGCAAAUUGACCUUUUCUAGAACUAGUAAGAGAACUCAAAAUCAUUGCUAUAAGCUCCUAAAUGAAUAUCAAGACGUUUUUAUCAUACACGUGCACAACCAAUCAGAUUCCGUGACAGCCUAAACUAAAUAGCAAAAGACAAAUAAAAGCGGGAAAGUUGCUUACCAGUUUCUUGUCACUAAUAUCUAAAGAUAAAUGGUCCGUAAAUUCAAAAGUAGAAGGCAAUCUUCAAAGUUGUAGAAAGUCAUGGCAUGAAGUAAGGAACCAGCAUAAAGUCAGGUUUGCUAAUAUGCAUUUAUAUAUGAAUGAGAGCAUGGAAAAUCAUGCAAAUCAUAAAUUUGACAUGAAAAGAAAAGUUUCUCAGCAAAUACACACUUUGAAAAGUUACUUCAAAAGAAGAACCAACCUGAAGGACCCAGUGCGCACAACUCAAAAACCUAGCUACUCCCAAGGCGAAAACAUAAUGAGCUGUGAAGGGCUCAACAAUCUGCGAAAAGAAUAAAAAAAAAAACACUAAAUUGAGGAAAAUCAGCUCCUAACUACACAAGGGUUUGUGCUUUCAGAUAUACCUUCGUGUUUUGCAUCAGUCGCAAUUGAGGUAACACUGAAACAGCUUCUAGGUAAACACAGAAAGCCCAACAAAUCCUGUUCACAAUAUUAUGUGAUGUGGAAGGAUGAAUAAGUACUGCUAGUAAAGCACAAGGCAAGACCUGAAAACGAUACAAAGACCAGUAAGUCAAUGCUGUUAAGACCUCAUUAUUAGUUCAAACUUUUGGUGUAUAAAUAUAAUCAAGAAAUACUUCAGAUUUUAACCACCAAACUUGAAGGUUUUUCUUGAAAACAUAUGGUGAAAGUAAUUUUCUUCUCCAUAAAUUAAUCACUGCACUAAAAUGUAAGUAUCUAAAUACCAACAAGUGUGGAAUAUUGAUAAUGCCUCCUUUCUUGAUUCGAUUCACCAUUUACCAGUUUUUACGGCAUACACAAAAAUUUUGCACUAAGAUCAUAUCAUGAGACAUAAUAUGAGACGAAGGGCCUGCACAGAUGCAUGAAUAACUAGUCCAGCAAAUCUCCUUCGUGUAUUCAAUAGGCAUGCCGUACUUUGUUUACAGGGGCCAUGGAAAAAUGCUUUUAUCCGCAUAGGACAAAAUGCCUCUAAAUCAUUUUUCUUGAAAUAUAAUAAAUCACCUCAAAUGUGGAAACAUACUGAAAAUUCAGGACUAUCAUUUCCCACUAACUACUAUCCUAAAAUAAUUCAAACAAUCAAAUAUACUCAAUGGUCAUCAUUUCAUUCUAAACAUGUAUUUUCUUUCAUCAUCAAACAAAAAUUGCAGGAAAAAAGAAAAAGAUAAGACUCCGAAAGGUAACUCAAUUUAGGUGAAACAGAUGAUAGCUCUGAAACUGUGAGCUUUGCCUACUAUGGCAGGGUUCAAGAAACUUAGAGAUGCUUUACCACAUAAUGGAUUGCAAAGUUGUCCUUGUCCUCCAUAUAAGAUGACUUUAGCUUAAAUCGAAUCAUAUAUAUAACCCAAAGAGUAGUCACAAGUGUAGCGGUGUCCAGCAGUGUGUGGAUGUCAUACUCCAUGACAAAACUACAAUACAAUCUAACAGCAAGAAAUAAAGCUGUUAAAUCCUGAGAUUUGAGGGACAAUCCUGCAAAUAUUUAAAACGCAAAUGAAGAACAAAUUCGAAUUAGAACAAUUGAUAGAAAGCAGAAAUUUGAGCAGAUUUGAAUAAGAAAAAUCAAACACACCUAAAAGCCAAAUCACUGAAUCCUGAUGUCAUGGUACUAAAUCAUAGCUUAAAAGUCGAUAUUAUUACUUCAUUAAAUCAAAAGAGACUAUUUGAACAGACAGGUAACUUAAAUUCUGUGUUUCCUUCAUCGGUAGAAGAAGUGUGUAUGUUGAUAUUCAGAUUAACUAUUUGAUGAUAUUCAGGCUUACAAUUUUUGCAUCUCAAUCGACUGCCUGGAAUUGAUAAAUCACCUUCUUUAACGUUGAAAACUCAAAAUUCAGAUGCCUACAGUAUCUGCAAUCAUGGAUCCCAGUUGCAGAGUCUUUCAGCACAGGUUCAUUAACCAGAUAAUAUGGUCCUAUCUCACUAUCUUCAAGAGGAUUUGGCAUAUAGGUAAUAUCUUUUAGUUCCCAAGCUGAAAACUAUGAACAGCUUUCCAUUCUCAUUGCAGACUUGUAGAUGGUGGUAUUAAGAUUAAUUUGGUUGCAAAGUGAAGUUUCAAUAGUACAGCAAGGUUAUGCUUGUAAGAAGAAGCUACACCACGCGUAUUGUCCACUUAAAAUCCUCUUGCCCACAGAAGUCCAAAAAAAAGAAGAGAUAAAACAAAUCGAACACAUCAAAGUGGGGAUGCAGUGGAGCUUCGAAGGAAUAACAACUAUGCAUGACUUGCAGUGUAAUCGUUCAAACCUUCUGAACAACACAAGGAAAUUUUUUGCUUAGGCCAACUGUGCUCGUCAUGGCUGAAUAGAGUCUCCUCGAAAAGUAUGCUUACUGUUUGGUAUCUAGUAAUUACGUCCCAGCAGUAAAGCUUAAAGAACACUAGAAGGCAUGGUCUGGGCAGUAGAAGCACUAAAGCUUCCAAAUUUAUGAGUUAAGGGAAAUUUGGCUGUCACACUUGACAUCUUUCAUCAAUGAGCAAACAGAAGUAUAAGGAGGAUGAUCAGUUUUUUGCAUUCAUAAAUUAAGGCAGACAACAUCUGAGAAAUUUCCCAUUAUCAAUUGACUGACAAUGAUAGGAAAAGAAUAGAGAGGAGAUACAGCUUUUUAUUUUGUCACAUAAAGAAUCCAAUGACUGUGUAUCUUCCGGGCAACACAAAGUUUUUUUACAACGACAUAUAUGGAAAGGUGGACUUAAUCCUCCUAAACAACUCUCUAUGCUGAAAGACAAAGGUGAAUUAGAUCUAGAACAAAUGUGAACUCAAUCAACUAGAUCUACUAUAUUCUACUUUCAAGAGCCAAUAUCAACUUCCAACCAACUACUUUAUUGUUGCUAAACAACUCAAAAAUCGACAAUAACAAUUUACUUCCCUGCUUUUCUUUCAUGUCUCCUGUCUAUGCUACUCUACUUGUUGAAGGUGGAUCUCUGGCAAGAUUACCAAAGGGCUGGAACAAGGAUCGCCAUGCCAUUGACACAGGAUGUGCCAGUAUGCAAUUGGCACAGCACGGCAUGGCAUACCAGCACGUCAUACCAUGGUACACACCCUCUUCUAUAUGUUGGCACGGGCAGUACAGCCUUCUCGGCAUAGGCAGUAUGUGAUUGCUGCGCUAGACCAUGCCAAUUAUCACAACAAUCCUUGGGUGGGAACAUUUCAAGGGACAAUAUAAUGAAGACUUCAAGCUUACUUCGCUUGAAUGUACCUUAAAAUGCUCCUAUUCCACUCAUGCACUGUAACACCUACAGUACUCAAAUUGGUACUUAAAAAAGCGCGCCUUAGGUGCCUAGACGCUAGGCUCGUCGGCCAGCGCCUAGGUGGGUGAUAUUGCCUAGGCACGCGCCUAGGCAGCCUAGGAGCAUGCCUAGAGCUAGGCGCAAGAAACGCUCAAGGCACGCCUUCUUCAUAUCUAUCCUAACGGGUUUGGAUUUAGAUCUAUAUGCUCUAAUGGGUUUGGAUCCAUAUAUUUAUUGGUCUAUUGGGUUGAAACAUCUAAAAAUAAUCCGAAAUCCUAAACUAACAUAAUCUAAAACCUUAAACGAUCAUCAAAUGACAAAUCUGGCAAAGGAGAGGAGUAUUCUUCAUCAAGUGAUGAAGAUGAUGACUGAUGAUUGAUGAUUGAUGACUGAUGACUGAUGACUGAUGAUUGAUGAUUGAGGAAUUAGGACUAAUUAACAUUUCUUGUGUGACAUAUUUUGGCUUGGAGUCUUGGACACUUCGCUUUCAUAUGAUGCCUUUUUAAUGACUUUUGGCUUGAAACUUUAAACUUUUAUGCAUGUUACUUUUUUAUGAUCUUGUGCUUAUAAUUACAUAUUUUUUAAAUCAAAGUUUGGUAUAUGUUUGUGAAUUACUAGUUUACCUUUAUGAUGGCCUUUAUUUGAAGACAAAAAGGUAAUUUGUUCUUUAUUUUUAUUUGUGUUAUUUUAUUUUCUUUAAUUAUCAUAUAUGCUACUUGGAUUCUUUUCUUUUCCUCAUUUUUUUUCUUCCGAAAACAUGGUUAUUUGGUUAGUUAUAGAAUAUUUAUUGUGAUAAUAUGAUUUUAAAAAGUAUUUAGUGCUACUUAACAAUUAUUAGAAAGCAUAGUAAAGAACUUAUUGGAUAUUUCAAAAUUCUAUUCAAGUGUGCGUCUUACCUCUCUCGGGCGCGUGCCUGCGCCUUGUGCCUUGGGUUUUUGUAAACACUAUACUCAAUUUAAUGGUUAAUGCAAGUAUCAAAAAAAUUAAAAACUGAAUUGAAAUAUAUUGACUCAAUCGUUGUUUAGUCAUUUGAUUUCAUUGAGAGCCCUAUUGCAAGUUGCCAACAAACAGAUCUAUCCUGACAAGCUGGCUUGGAGAAGAUAAUCUUGUAGUAGAUUUCUUUACAUUAAGAUGUUUUCUGUACGAUUCAUGGUCUUUUGCAUCAAUUACUCCAAUGUGAAGAUAAAUUUUGUUCAGCUUUCAUCAUUUUGCUCUGGGAAGAAACAACAUUUUGCUCUGGGAAGAAACAACACUUUGCUCGCAUCUCUUUGUACGCAUCAAGAAGUAAGCCACCGAACUCGACUAGAUAUACAGAUUUCAAUAGAUUUGCAACCCAAACCAAACAUUCCGAUGCAUUUUUUGUGUUAGCAUAAAUAACAACAUUUCAACAAACUCCUUAGGUAGGUCAUUCAAAGCUUUUCCCCUAUUUACGGGUUUACCCAAGAAGGCAUGAAUUCUCCUACUUUUGACUCAAGGUCUGCAAAUUUUCCUGAUUUUGAAUCACAGGAUUCCACAGAGGAAGUUCCAAAAGAAGACUACUUUAUCCCAUAAAUAUAUCUAAAAAGUAAAAUACACCUAAUAGAACCAAGAAACUAAGAAAUAUAACUUAAAGACCAUCUAUCUAGAUGGCCAAAAUCUCUAUUAUGAUCUACUGCAUCCACCAUUUUACCUUUGCAUUAAAAAAACAAAACUCCCGAGCCGUCUGAAUUUUGACCCAAUUACAGAUCACCAUUCAAAAUUUCAAAAGUUGAAAUUUAUCACAUGCACAAUCAAUUUGUUUCAACUAAGCACUCGGCUUAAAUUUCUAUCAAAUACUCAAACUGCCAUCAGCACGUGACUAUCACAUAACAAAAAAUAAUUUGUAAAAGCUUUCCAGUGGCAUCCAAAGAUUAAAUUUCAAACAGUGACCAGCAACCUGUCUGAAGAUCUAUAAUCAGGCUGAAGUUUAGAUGUAUUUCGGCAUAUUUCCUUCGUCAAGUGACAGUCACGUGCUAACAGCAGUUAGAAAACUUAAUAAAAAUUCAAACAAAAUAAUUGAUUAAAAUAAAUCGAUUAUUCACAUAAUAAGUUCCAAAUUUUAAACUUUAUGUGGCGACUUGAAAUCAGGAAAAAGUUCACACGGAUCUGAGGCUUCUUUCCAAAGGGAAAAAAAACCCUAAUUUCUUACCUACCUACUUUCAACUUUCUAAAAGCGCAUAAAAAUUUAACUUUUAGCUUCCUGACGCUCAUCUUCUAACGAAUCCAGCAACGAAACAGCGCGAUAACCCUAGGAUCUCACCCGAAACCCACGAACACAACGAAUUCAACAUCGAAACGACUCAAAAUAGAGGAAAAGGAGAGAGAGGGAUCGAGGAGGGGCAUUUGGGUGGGGGGGGAUCGGAUGGCGAACCGGCGCAGGUCUUCUCCUUGGUGAGCUUGUAGAUGAGGACGGAGAUGCCGAGGGCGUGCGCGGCCUCCGCGGCGACGAAGAGGUUGUCGUGGUCGUGGACGAUGAAGCGGAUGAAGGCGAGCGCCGCCAUGCCCGCGACCACGGCGAGGAACGCCUUCACCUUCGGCGGCUGCCGCCGCACCCACCCCGCCACCACGCUCAGCGGCCGCCGCGGCCCCCGCAUCGCUUCUCCCCGCGGCGAUUUGCGCGCCCGCGAUCGCUAUAUACCCUGGGACGAGGAAGAGGACGAGGACGAGGACGAGGGAGAGAGCACAAAGAUCUCUACUUUUUCUCUUUUGGCCUUUUGGGGUCGCAGCGGAGCGAGAAAGCUCUUUUGGGAACUGGGGCGUACAUAGUGGGUUUUGGAUUCCUAAUUAUUUUGGACUCGGAAUGUGACGAGGACACGGGGUUUUGUUUUUGGUGCGAGCAGGUGAUCGGCUCGUAGCUGCCGUAGACACUGAGGAGCGUUUUAGUUGGGCUGAAUUAAUAUAAUUCGAUUAAGACUUAGUUUGCGUUAAGUGCGGUCAGAAAUGGCUAUAAAAAAAUACUCUAUUUAUUUUCAUAUAUAAAUUAUAUUUAGUCUGUUAUGAUAUAUUUUUUAUGAUCCCACCGGAGAACGCAAAAGGAAUAUGCUUUUUCUCAACUCCAUUCUAUCUAAUAGCGUUAGAUAAACAUUAAUACCAAACUAAGCCUAAUUACAUACAGCUACCUAUAAAUAUAUUUAGUUAUUAUCAAUAUAUUUUUUAAGAUUAAAUUAUAGAAACUUUUUUAUAAAUAUUUAUUUUUUACUUUUUCUUCCUAACUUUUAAAAAUUUAUAUUUUACCACAUCAAUAUUUAGUUGGUGCAAUCAACCCCCUCCCUCCCAUUAGGGUUUCAUUACUAUUCCGUCUAUUUUUUAUAAUUUAUACUGAAGAUACCCUUCAAAAUAAUAGAAAUAUAUUAAAAAUUAAUUUUUUCUUAUAGAAUAAAUAGGAGUAAUUUGAUUAUUUUUUUCUCUUCAUUAAUGCCAUAUUUUUCUAAAAAUAUUUUUGAAAAUUUAAAGGGACAAAAUGUAGCUUUUUGAAAGUCAGAAAAGAAUAGUAAAAAAUAAAUAUUUAUAAAAAAUUUUCUAUAAUUUAGCCAUUUUUUAAAUUUUAAAUGAUUAAAUAUAUUCCUACAACCUCUAAUUUAGAGUAGUUAUUACUUAUUUUUAAUGGUUAAUAAGUAAAAUGACAAUAUUAUCUUUUACAAAUAUGUCCUCCAAAUAUUGCUAACACGUUGAGAUCUAUAUAGGGAUGUCAAUGGAUAUGGAUAUCCAAAAUUUUAUCCGAAUCUGAAUCCGGAUGAAACGGAUAUAUCCGAUGCUAAAUGAAUUUGGAUUCGGAUAUGGAUAUCAAAAAUAGAAACCCGACGGAUAUGAAUUUUAACUGUACCUGACCCGAAUCCGAACCCGAAUUUAUUUUGUAUUAUAUAUAAUAUAUAUAAAAAUUUGAUGUUAUAUUUGAAUUUGUAUUUUAAAAAUUUAGAUUUAAUAUAAUAUAUUUUGAAAUAUUGAAAAAAGAAAUAAUUGUUUCGGAUUCAAAUUUUCAGGUUCGGAUUCGUGUUCGGGUUUCGGAUUUUUGGUCGGGUUCGGAUUUGGAUAUGAAUUUUUAAAAUCCGUUAGGUUCGGGUUCGAGUUCGGGUCUCGGGUCUCGGGUUUGGAGUCAGGUUCGGGUUCGGAUUUUUGAAAAUCCGCCCCGAAUCCGACCCAUUGACAUCUCUAGACGUAUAUGAAUGUUCUAUCCUAAAAGCACAAUAAUUAUCUUUGCAAAUAUUUCCAUCCAAAUGCUAGAAUUAUGUAAAAAUGUCCCUCCAAAUGUUGAGUUAGUGAUCACUUUUACAAAUAUGUCUGUUCUUAAAUGUUGAAAUUAUAUAAAAAUGUUCUUUUCGAUGGCCUUCUUCUUCCUUCUUCAAAUGUGUUCCUAUCUAAUUUUUUCUUUUGUUUUCUCUCAAACUAAGAGUACAUAUUGGUAACAUUUAUAAUACUUUUAUUAUACUCAUAGCGCAAUGGCAAUUUUAUUCAUUUGCCACUCAUACAUUAAAAAAAAAAAGCAAAGUUAAAUGGUGCAACAUUUGUCUUAAAGAGUGUAACCUCUAUUUUAUAUGGUACAGCUUAAUUUUAAAUAGUUUUAAAUUGUGCAAUUUUCAUUUUAAAGAGUACAAUUUUUAUCCAAACAGUGCAAAAUUCAACUUUCGUCUCAAAUAGUAUAAUUUUGUUUUUUCCUUUCUUUUCUACCUUUUUAUUUUGUCUAUAAAGGCCAAGACACAUAUUGGUCUUUUCUAGAGAAAAAAAUAUUUAUUUAUUUAUUUAUUUAUUUAUUCUUUCUUUUUUUUUCUUUCAUCCUCUAUUUUUUUUUUUUCGCUAUCACACACCCUCCCUCGCUCUCUGCCGUAGCCACCGCCCCCGUCCGACAUGUUCUUGCUCCUUAUCGUCCUCAAAUCAUGCGCCCCCCUCGUUGUCUUGACUAUCUGUGGCCAUACGCUCCACUACAGCCUUAUCUUUAUGAGCCAUGCUAAAUCUGAACUGCCGUUGGCGGAGAUAUGGGCAUAAUAAAAGAAUGAAAAGCAACAUUGAUGUGGGGCCGUGGAGAAGGAGAAAAGAGAAAAAACAAAAAUGAGAGGAAGAAAUAAAGUGGAGGAAGAUGAACCAAAAGCAAAAGAGGGAAAACGAAAGAGCGAAAAAAAAGGAGAGAAAAAAAAAAAUAUUGACUUCAGUCGUCUAAAAAUGGGCAUCAACAAGCAUAUUAUAGAAAUAUUGAAUAAAAAAGCUAACUAUACAUUGUAUUACUAAGAUAUAAAUCUUACACCAUAGCAAUUCAGGAUUUUAAAAUUUUAUUCACAUUUUUAGUGUUAGCAAAAUUAAUAAGACUAAUAAAAGAGUAUCAACCAUUUUAUAGGUGGAGCAUAUAAUUAACAUCCUACUAGCAAGCAUUAAUGAGAAGGUAUCACUCAUUAAAUAAAUCUAUCAAUAUAUAUACAUAAACAAAUAAAUAUUAAAACAUAUAAAAUUUACGUGAGCUAUAAAUUAUUUUGAUUCGACUAUUUGGUCUUUCAAAAAUUUUAUUUUAUUAUCCCAAACUUUCAAUUUAUUUGAUUUUAGUUAGUCAACAACACUUUGACUUCAAAUUUUGAAUGCAUAAUUUAUUUUACAAAUUUAGUUAGUAUAUUUUAUGCAAUUCUCGUAAUUAUAAAUUUAUUAAAAUAAAUAAAUAAUUUAAAUUUUUAAAGUCGAUGUGUCUUUGACUGGCUCAAACUAAAUAAAUAAAAAAAUUGGAUAGCAAAAUUAAAAUUUUAAAAAGUCGAAUAAUCACUUCAAAAUCGUCUAUAAAGUAGAUAAAUUCUAUCAGUGUUAAAUUGGUGUGGUAAAAAUGUACAAAAGUUAUAUGAACUAUUGACUAUUUUGAAUCAACAAUCCAAACUUUCAAAUUUUAAGUUUAUUAUCCGACCUUUCAAUUGAGUUGCUUUGAGUCACCAAAUGAUAUUUGACUUCAAAAUUUAAGCUAAUUAUUUAUUUUAAUAAAUUCAUAGUUGCGAGAAUUAUAUAAGUGAAGAGAUAUGCUAAUUAAAUAUGUAAGUUAAGGAAUGUAUUUAAAUUUUAAAUUAAAACUAGUGAAGAGGCUCGCGUUUUGCAGCGAAUAAAAACUAUAGAAAUAAUUAAUAAUAAAAGAAUAUCAAAUACUUUUUGUGUAUAUCAUUUGCCACAUCUGCCAAAGGUUCUUCGUUGUUGGCGGUGGGGAUGGAACCGGUGAUGCCUUCUCUGGCGACAAUGAUAGUGAUGAUGACGACGAUCCCUUUGGCUGCAGCGGAGAGGGAAGGUGCGCGCACACAUUAGUGAGGGAGAGGGAGGAAGGGAAGGAGGCAAUAAUUUAAGGAAACGAUGAGAGAUGGAGAGGUGAGGAUUGUAGAUGACGACAAAUCGUUUAGAUGGAUUAAUUGAAAGUUUGAUGAAGUAAAGGGAAAGGUCGUGAUGAAUUAAUAAGAAAUAGAAAUGUGAGGAUCAUAAAUGACAGUGAAAGGUGGAAGAAGGGGAAAGGGUCAUGAUGAAUUAAUUAAAAAUAGAAAUGUGAGAAUUAUAGAUGGCUAGGAGAAGGUUAUAAUGAAUUAAUUAGAAAUAGAAAUAUAAGGAUUAUAAAUGGUGGUGGGAGGUGGAGGAAAGGGGAAGGGGAAGAGUUACGAUGAAUUAAUUAGAAAUAAAAAAGUGAGAAUCAUAGGAAUGUUUAAGGGAAAUUAAAUACAUUAAUUGAAGUUUUAAUAGUAGAAUCAUUUAUAUGUAUCAAUUAGAUAUAUUAAUUAAAAACUUGAUAGAGGGAAGGGUAAAGAUCAAUACGGUUGAGCGUUAAGAAAAACUUGACACUUAGACAAAGAAAUAUUGAAAAUUCAUAUAAAUAAAUUAAUAAUAAUUAAUUAAUUGAUAAUUAAUAAUAAUAAUAAUAAUAAUAAUAGAUUAAUAGAUAGAUUAAUAGAUAAUAGAUAUUAUUAUUGCCUGAUUUAUAAAUAAAUUUAAAAAUUAAAUAGUAAAAUUAAUUUUUUUAAAAAAAAUUAAUUAGCCAAAUUAAAAUUGUUAAAAUUCAGAUGAACUCUGUGCCGAUUAGUACCCGGUCCCCUGCCCAGUUGCUUGUUCCGCCACGUCUCCUCUUCCCCUUCUCCCUGCCCACGACUUUCUCCUGAAUCCCAUGACCCGCCUCUUCCUCCUCUCCUCCUCCUCCUCAUCACCCUCGAGUACCCUUCCUCUCCCAUGGAACCCUCCGACCCCGAUCCCGACCCCUUCUUCGACGCCAUGGACGACCCCGACCCCGAACCCUUCUUCGACGCCCCCGACGAGCUCCCUCCCUCCGACCCCUCCGAAACCCUCGCCCCCGCCACCCCCUCCGCCGCCGUAGCCGAUACCCCCCCGCCUCCCUCCACCCUCCGCCGCCGCAGGUCCCGACUCGAUGGCGGCGGAGAGCGGCGGCGGAGCGGGAUCCUGCGCCUCGUUAAUGUCGACGGCGCCUCCGAUUAUACCGCCGAUCAUGCUCCGGCGCCGAGCUCGACCCUCACUUCGGAGCGGCUCAGCUCCGCGAGAGAUCGCUUUCCCCGGACUCCGCUUGAAUCGGCGGCCACGAGCGCUCUCCGCGACGCGGAGCCCUCGCCCGACGCCGCCGCGGCGGCUCCGCCGCGGACCCUGCUGGAGUGUGUCGCAGGUUUCGUGAUCAGAGCUGUUCUUUUUCAGCUCAAUUUAGUCGUUAACUGCAUCACAUUUCCAAUUUGUUUGCUGCAUUGCUCUUUCCUGCUUGUAAUCGACCCUUUCGGUAGCAUAAGACGAUAUAAGGAUCAUAUGAGAGCUAGGGUUUCAUCAGCGUGGAAGAUUUUAUUGGAUAAAGCGGCUUCUUUUGCGCACGAGAGGCUCGGGAGCCAGCGCGAGUUGUGGGGAUUGGCGGUGAGAUUGAUCAUCGGGGGCGUCUGGGCGUUCUACAUUUGCUUUGUUUUAUGCGGGCUCCUAGCGACCGCGUUCUUGGGCGGGAGUUGGCUUGCGGGGAAAGUUCUGGAGAAGCCGAUCCAGUUGACGGAGGAACUGAAUUUUGAUUACACGAAGGCUAGCCCGGUCGCGUUGGUGCCGGUGAUAUCAUGCAGUAACGUUUUUGGUUCCGAGGGAAAGGGCAGAGCUGGGGCCUUCUUGGAUAGAAGGAUGGUGCCUGCGAAUCACAAAUUGCAGCUUACCAUUUCGUUGACGUUGCCAGAGUCCGAUUACAAUCGGAAUCUUGGGGUUUUCCAGGUAUCUUUUGUCCCCCCUUUUUAUGCUCGAGGUAUUAUAGCUUGGAUAGUUAACUGUGAAAUGUUUUUUCAAUUCUAUAAGAUUUAGGAUGUUUGCCCUAAUUUUAUUUGUGCUUUGUUCCGUUAAUGUUGGCAUUAUAUAAAUAUGUAGGUGGAGAUGUGAAAAUGUUCAAUUUUUUCGUGCUAUUACAUAUCUUUUUGAUGUCGAUAGUUAGGUUUUGCAAGCAACACCGGAUAGUUGUUGUUUUUCGUUAAAAAAGAAAAAAUAAAAUUUCCCAUACCAUUCUAUUAUUGUGGGUUCGUGCUCGUUAUUCUAGUGUUUUUCUUUGACAAUUUGUGUGUUUUCUUUUCCCUGAGUUUAGGUCAGGGUGGAGUUUCUAUCUGCAGAAGGCAAAGUAAUCUUCAGUUCGCGCCAACCAUGCAUGUUACGGUUUAAGAGCUCUCAUAUGCACAUCAUUGAGACCUUUCUCAAAAGUGGUUCUUUACUAGCAGGCUAUUCGUCAGAGUCGCAGACUCUCAGAUUAAAAAUGAGGGGAUUUACUGAAAAACCCGAGCCAACUGCAUGCAUCAGGGUCAUUCUUGAACAAAGGGCCGAGUUCAAGCCCGGUGCUGGCAUUCCCGAGAUUUACACUGCUUCUUUGAAGCUCGAGUCCGAACUUCCUCUGUUUAAGAGGAUAAUUUGGAACUGGAGAAGGACACUGCUUAUGUGGUUAAGCAUGGGAAUUUUCAUCUUUGAAUUGCUGAUUCUUCUGGUUUGCUGUAGGCCUGUUAUAAUUCCAAGGACUAGGUCUCCUAUAGCUGCAACAGGGAGGAGUUAGUCUCAAACCAUCGAAUAUUGCAGAAUUUUAUGUGUAGACAUGGUUUAAUUAAGCGUAGAGCACCACAACAGCACAGACUUCCUCAUUUCAGGUAGGUCUUCCAAUCUUUCCUAACUUUGGGAGGCACAAGUGAUGCAUCUUUUACUUGGAUAAAAGAUGCAAUGAAGUACGUACAAUUUACUGCUUUCAGUGCACUCGACAAAAUAGUAUUUUGAGGUAUUGGUGAGUAAUGACAAGGACGGUCACCGUUAUCUCAUCAAGAUAUCUGCGAUAUCUUCAAUAGAUAAAUUAAUUGAGUUCAUAGCUGAGGAAACAGUAAACCUUACAGAGGAAACAGGUCUGCGCAUGUAUAUUUUUCUGAGCAGAGAAGCAUCAUCCGGUAAGAACACACAACAGAGAGUUCCUCAAUUCUCUUAUAUUGCGAGACACUACCUGCACGAAACUGUCUUAUGUUGCUAAAAAUAGUAGAAGUCUAAUAAAAUUAGCAUUUUAAGGUUUGUAAAGUUGUAUCAAAUUCUUUGUUGUUGUUUGGGGAAAAAAAAAAGAAGAGUGAAUGAGCAACCCUUAGAUUCUUUUUCUAAAGGUUGCGACUAGUAUGACAGCUAGAAAAUUGCAACUUGACUUUUAACCUUGUAGUGCAAGCUUUAGAACUGAACUAAGUAUGAGAUGGGUUUUAUCAGCAUUGCUUGUUGUUGGGUUAGGUGUCAUUAUCAGUGAACAAGUUUACAUAUGGAGGAUAGUUUGUGCUUAUUUCUUUCUAGGUAUGCAUUCUAAAAAGCUCUAUAGAUUGCUUUGUGAAGAUAUAUCAAUUCUCUGCUACUUCAACUUUUGCCCUUUCAGAGUAAUUAGGCCUUGUGUGAAUUUACAGUUUGCCAGUACCAGAUCUUUGGAUGCAUCAUAGAUUUUAUUAAAGAUCUUAGUAGGAGGAAUAUAUGGAAUGGAGAAGAUGGAUAGAAAAUUGUUGUUGCUUAUGAUUAUCAGAUUUUGGGAUUAUUAUCAUGGAGUCUAAAAGAGGAGCAUUAAUAUUUUCAUGAAAUUAAAAAGAUCAAUAAUAUUCCCCUCGUUGUUAGGAGAUAACAAUCUUAAAAGGUUUGAGAAGAGAUAGAAAAGAUUUCAUGAUGUCUUAUGAAAGAACUACCAGGUUUUUUGUUUUUGGAACUUUUUCCAGUUAUAGUCCAUUAUUAUGUUGAUAAUAAAGGUAUAUGCGCAAUUGUACCAUGUCACAUGUAAAUGAUUUUCGAAUAGCUUGAGAUUUUGGAAUGGGUCGACAUUCUGUCCCGUGGCAGAUGCCGGGUUGGGCCGACUCAUAAUCAAAGUCCACGAACGCUAUAUGUUUAUACACUUUAAGUGAGUGGAUUGCAUUCUUUCUAAUAGCCCGAAUUUUUAGAAUUAGUAGUUAGCGCCUUCGAUCUACGAGUAGUAUCAGAGUCAAUCGCGCGGGUUUGGUUUCGGCAUGCUGUAUAUGUGUUCAGGUGCUGGGAGGGAAGGGGGGAUUAUUGGCUGAAAUGGGUUUGAUUUGCUCAUGUUCAGAUUUUUCGGUGUAUUAAAAUUUAGGAUCUUUAGAAAUGACCUAGAGGGCAGAGUGUGUUUCGGAGCAAUGGUUUUGGAGAAUCUAAUGCUUAACAUAGAGUCAAUACAACACAUUGUACAGUUCACUUUCUGGCAUAUUGUUUGUGAUAUUGUAUUCAAUUCAACACCAUGAUGGAAUGUUUGGUGGUAGAAAAUGAUUCAUUGCAGGUCACAGUGAAAGUUGUUGUGAAGUUGUGAGCCGAAGUGUGGAGAACGGGUUACUCGGAGAAACCAUCCGCUUAGAGUUGAAUCAGUGGAGUUGCAUCGGAACUUCGCAGAUCAGUAGGUCCCAUGUGUGAUUUCUCUCAAGAGGUCGCAAAGGGGCGGCCUCUCGAGGCAGCAAGCUUCGGGCACUUCCUGCGGCAGCGACGUGUAAGUCGAGUUCUACUAACUCAUCAAAUCCGUAGACUGCUUUUCCAAUAUAUCAAAACAUGUCGUUGUCUGGUUACGAGGCUCCAUGCUAGUUGAAAGCAAAAGUUGUAGGGCUUAUAGCUUUCUAUUCAGUUUUUUCCAGUAGCUUGCUAUUGCCUGCUUGUUUCUCCUUAGUUGCCGUAAAUAAAAAGAUGAGGACAAAUAGGCACUUCAUUUGCAUUUAAGGACAAAUAGGCACUUGGCUAAUUGAAUAACACGAGUUUAUGAUUUUCCAAACAUCACCUCUAAAUAUAUCUAUAUCUAUAUCUAUAUCUAUCUGUCUAUCUAUAUCUAUAUCUAUACCUCUAUACCUAUAUAUUAUUCUUCUUAAAUUUGCCACAAGGCAAGAUUCCUUUUAUUGUUGGGAGUGGGCUCGAUUCCGAACCGAUUCAAAUCCUCCAUAUAUUUUUCUAUUUUUCUCUUUCUUUGGUUAAACUCAAUUGAAUUUUUCUCUUUCUUUGCUUAAACCGAACUAAUCAUUGGUGAUUGUGGGCUCCCUGAACCGGCUCAAGUUCUCCAUAUGGUUUUCUCUUUUUUUGUUUGAACCAAACUAGUUUUUUAUUUUUUUGCUCGAACUGGAUCGGGUCACACCUCUGCAUUGGGCCGGACUAUUCCUCUUUCACUUCCUUCGGCUGUUGCCUUCCCUCAUCGGCAUGAUGAAUUUCACCCAUUAUCGUCGCUUUUUCUACUGUUGUUUUCUUUUUCCUGUCGCCGUUUUUUAAUUUUUUUUAAAAUUAUCUACUCGUCGCAUUGCGCGAAUUACUACAUUACUAUUCAUAAAAAACAGAAGGUGUUGGAAAACAAUGCCAACCAACAGUCCCCUUGGUCUUCCUCUCUUAAUUUUGGAGUUAGAUUAGACCGUUUGAUGGAAGAAAAUCACAUUUCCAAUCCUAUCAUAAUAAUGCGGAAAGAGUCUAAUCUCCCAAUAUUGAUUCUAGUCCUAAAGAAUCCGGUGUGGCAUUUAGGGCUUAUUUGUUUCACAUAUUUUAAACUCUAGAUUUGAAAUUGGGUAUAGGAUUUACUGAUUUGUUUUACGAUUAUGAUUCUUAUUUCACUCUCAAAUAGGAAUGAUCCAAUUUAUUUAUAGUCCAAUCUGACUUUAAAUUUUGGAUUGGUUCAUUUCAGAAUAAAUCAUUCAAAAUUUUCUCUCACAAAUAUCUCUACAUCCUCUUCCCUCGUCACUUUUCUUUUUCUCAAUUAAAAUCUCUUUCUAAAAAUUCUAAACGUCUAUUCCAAUUUUCAUUUUAGUGAUGAACCAAAUAUUCUUAAAUGAUUCCAUUUUUUAUUUCAAUGCAAUCUAAUUCGUUUCCUAUUUCUAUUUCGCUCAUGAACUAAACAUAUCCUUCUUACUUUCAUGCCGAAUUGGAAAGAAAUUGUACAUAGAAAUACUAGGACUAAGGAUUCUAUUAGUAAUAACUGAACUUAAACAGUUGCACUAAUGUUUUAGACUCAAUGAGUUAUCGGUAUUAGCGGAUUGGAUUAUUAAAGCAGAAUUGCCAGUCGAACAUGUAAUUAGGACUGGUGAGAGUUUUGGAAGAAAAAUGUAUUAAGGAAUAAGGAUUCUACAAGCAAUAAUUAGAUACUAGUAUAGUAGCCCGUACGAUGCGACGGAUAGAGAAUUGGAGAAAAAAUAAAAGACGAUGACAAAGGAGAGAAAACAGUAAUAAAAGAAAUGAUGAUAAAAGGUGAGAUUCAUCUUGCCGAUGAAAGAGAUUGAAGAAAGAUGAAGAAGAACAGUUCGGCUCAAUAUAGAGGUGUGGCUCAGUUCGGUUCAAGCCAAAAAAAAAAAGGUUGAUCUGGUUCGAUUCAAGUAAAGAAAGAGAGAAAUCAAGUUCAUUUCACGCAAAGAAAGAGAAAAAUAUGUAGAAAACUUGAGCCGGUUCGAGAGAGCCCAUACUUAACAAUAAUCAAGUCGGUUUAAGCAAAGAAAGAGAAAAAUUCGAUCUGAUUCAAGCAAAAAAAGAAGAAAACAUGUGGAGAAUCUGAGCCCAUUCUAAUUAAAGCCCACACUAUUGCCAUGUGGCAAAUUUAAGAAAAAUAAUGUAUAGGUAUAGGUAUAGGUAUAGAGGUACAGAUAUAAAUCAGUAUUUUGGAUGGGUGAUUCGGUCCAACAAGUUAUUAAAUUCUAGUAGGCUGGAUCAUUAUAAUGCUAAUCCCUUCGGAACGCAUUUUCAAUUCCAAUUCCAAUUGCGAACCAAGCAUUCAGGGGAUCAGGAGAAUCCUUUUAUCUUCACAUAAUAAUAGAGUAUUAAUGGUGGGUGGUUGAGGGAGAGAGGUUGGUGGGUUGGUGUGCUUUAACAAUCAAGGAUAUAUUUUCUACCUGCAGUGAGUUAGAUAUUGACAUUUAAACCUGCGAUCUGCAUUGAGUUUGAAAUUUAGCUUAGGACGUGUUUGGUUCCCGAAAAUUUUAAAAAAUAUUUUUUCUAGAAAAAUUCUUUCUUUUUUAAGACUUCAUAGAAGAGUCUUCUUUUUGUUUUCGGAAUUUUUUUUUUUUACCAAGAAACUGAAUACUAUGGAAAGAUUCUUUUUUUAGAGAUUGAUACUCAAAUCCUUGGGGGAUUAAAUUAGCGAUUUGGAUCUCGUCCAAUUUGGAGCUAAUCUCUAUACAUAUUUUAUUUUCGGUGAUACUAAUGCGUCACAAAACGUAAUUCUUGCAUCUCCACUUAAAGAGUAAGGCAAUCCUACCUCAAGUAAAGAAUCUCCACGUAAUAGAAACCGAAACAAACAUUCGCCAUCCUAGUUCAGUGAUUGUUAUCAAAUUGUUUUUUUUUUUUUUUUUUUUUUGAGAGAUAGAUAGCACGCUACCUGCUUCGUUUAUUUCAUUUAGAAAUAAACUUAGCUGGAAAUGUGAAUCAACUAGGAUUCGAACUUAGAUCUCGGGUACCAACCAUCAAGCUCUUUGCCACUUGCUCUAGGGACGAUCGGUUAUUGUUAUCGAAUUGUUAUUCUAAAGAUCGCAUUCCUACUUGUACUUUUACUUAAAGAGAUUUGUACCUCCAACUUUUUGAGUAUUAGAAUAGUAUAUGUAGAAAGGAUAGGAUAGGAGUCUAGGAGCAAACUUGAAUACUAUAUGAAUGAAGCUGAUAGCUACGUUUUUCUCAAAAAAAAAAAAAAAAAAGAAUCUUUCAAGUGUAGAAAUAGAAAGGUUAAAUCAUAUAUCUUGUUUCUAAAAGUAAUAUUCUACAAUAAUAAUAAAAGCUUUGCUAAGUUUCUCAAUGCUUUUUUUAAAAAAAUAAGCUUUAUUCCGAAAAGUUUAACUAUUCAUUUUAUUAAAUUAUAAGUUUUAAUUCAUGUCUUUUGUAUAUAUUUGGAGGCCAUUUUCACCAAUAAAAUCAACGUCCGGUGAUUGAAUGAGCCAAUUUGACGUAUUUAUAGAAGUUUAGAUAGCAUUAAUUUAUUUUAAAAGUGAACUUUGAUAAAAGUUUACGAACUACCGAUGCGAUUAAUCCUUUCGAAAAUAGAGAGGUAAGUUUUAGGAGACGACAAAAUAAUACUCAGAGCCUAAGAUUCCGAUAGCGAGCUCAGGUUGAUGCUACAAUGCCAUAAUUUAUCUCUUUAAGAAGAUUAGGUUGGAAUUUACUAGAGAGUGAGGGGGAGCGCGAAAGCAAUGUCAUAGUAAAAAUUUUAUAAUUUAGUUUAGCUUGAUAAUGGACAAGGCUCAAGAGAAUAAUAAUAAACAUAAGGGCAUGAUUGGAAGCAUGGUACGAAUAAAAUAAAAUAAUGUACGGUUAAGUUUAAAGUAACCCAAAGUGCUCCGUGAUUCGUUCAUGUAACGCACAUUUCCUAUUUUGAUGGGCCCCACAAAUCUAAUUAUAGAUCAGGAUAAAUGAUACGUUUGGUCAUCAAACUAUGGUGUAUUGGUGUUCACGGUUUAGUUCUCAAAAUUUAAUUUACUUUAAUUUUAAAUUUAAAUUUUUAGAAUUAUUUCAAUUAAAGUUCUCAAAUCUAAUUUAUUAACUAAAUAUUAAUAUACUGCUAAUAUAGAAGUGAUAUAACAGUAUUGCAAUUGAUAAGACCCUAAUAAUUAAGUUAUCGUAUCACGCCAAUAUUUAGUCAAUUAAAAUAGUUUAUAAAAUUUAGUUACAAUAAUUUUCAAAGUUUAUAAAUUAUAACAAACUGAAGUUUAAGAAUUAAAGUGUCAUCGACUCAUAGUUCGAGAACUAAGCGAGCAAUUUACUCUAGAUAUAAGAGGUACUUUCAUCAUUUUGUGAUUAUUCUUGGUUUUUAUAGUAGCAUUAAUAAAUAUUUUUUAAUUUUAAAGGAGUAUUAAUAGAAUGGUUAAAUUAUAGAAACUUUCUAUUAAUAUCCUUUUUUUUUUACUUCUUUUUCUGUCAUUCAAAAAUUUAUAUUUUAUUCCCUAAAAAAAUAAAAAAUAUUUACAGAGAGGUACGCCGUAACAAAAUGACUAAAUUACCCCUCAUGUUCUUUGGAAUGGGCGAAGGAGGAGGGUUUUAGAGGUAUUUUGGAUAUAAAAAAUAGUAUAUAAACGAAAUCCUAACGAAACACUGACGACAGAGUCAAAGUUAAUACUUUUUUAUUUUUUAAAAGAACAAGAUGUAUGUUUUUGAAUGAUACGUGAAAAAGUUAAAAGUGGGUAUUGAUAGAAAGAAUUAUUUGAAACGAUGAAAUUAUCUUUACAGUAAGAAAUAUAUUUUUAGUUUAAACAUAAUUAAAAAAUAUACUUAUAUAAUUUUCUCAAAUUAUUUUUUUAAUUAUUAUAUGUAAGAUAAAAUUGCGACAAAUUUGAAUGGAGUUAUUUGUACCUACUGAGCAUCAAAUUUAGAUCGCCAUACCGUGAGCUACAAUUAUUUGCUUUGACCCCACCACCGUCACCACGUGGCAGCAGACGAUUCGUACCGUAAUUACCAAGCAAAGAAAAAGCCCCAUUGGCUUUUACCCCGACACGUCACUUCAGUUGCGGGCCCCACGCGAUGUUACCGUUUACCUUGCGGGUACCGCUCCGUUACUCGCCACGUCAUUUGCGCGCGAGCGUCCGCGCCGACCGACCCAAGCCACCUCGUCGUCGUCGUAUUACCGUAAACGCUUUUUGACUCAAUAAUGUGCGCAACCACCCGAGUCCGACGAUUCCAUCCUCGGCCUAAACACCAAACACCGGAUCUUUCUCCACAGUCACGCCACGUGUCCCCCCCGUUUCCACCGAGGUCCACUCCGAUGAUUGCUGUGCGAUGCAACUGUACAGUUGAUGCGAACGGAUGUUGCCUGGACCCGGUGUAUCGGCACUUUCCAUGCACCACACCUCUAAUUAUUUUUGUAGUAGAAAUUUUUUUAAAAAUUAAUUUACUGAGACCUUUCAAUUAAGAGUUCUAUAUAUAUAUAUAUAUAUAUAUAUAUAUAUGAAAUCGUACACUUUGGAUUGCCUAUAAUAGAUCGUUGAUGUGUUAGUAUAAUUAUAAAAUAUUUUAUUUUAUUUGAUGAGUAGUUUUUUAAAAAUUUAUUGGUGUUUAGAUAUAAUUAUGAUCAAUUUAAUGAAAUAUACUUAUCAAAUUAAAGUUAAAUUUUUAAAUAUUGAUUAAUUAAUUAAUUAAUCAACAAAUAGCAAAUACAAACACGUGGUAGAUGUGGUACACGUAGUCCAGGGGCAGGCCACAAUUUUCUCGCUCCCCUUGUGUCGGUUGCUAUUUUAAUAACUGUGGUGAGGGCAUUUUCGUAAUUUCGCGACCUAUGAACAGCACAAAAAUGUAGAGAGAGAGAGAGAGAAAGAUCUGUCCCGCCUCACAUUCCCCGGAGCUCGCUCUCUCUCUCUCUCUCUCUCUCUCUCUCCCCCCUCCGUCUCUCGCAGAUCCGGAGGAGGAGGACGAGGCAAAACCCUAUUCCCUCCGAUCUUCGAUCCCAAUCACCUCAAACCCUACAAACCCUAGGCUUCGAUCUCGAACGGAUUCGGUAUCGACAUCCCCGGGCAUCGCCAUUGACGUCACCCCCGAGCUCCGCUCCCUCCGACCCUCUCCUUCCCCCCAAUGCCGUCGUAAUCUCCGCCCCCGGACCCCCUAGGUAUCUUCUAUCUCCUCGUAUACGGUCGAUUUGAGGUGCCCGCUGAGAUUUUCGUGGGGUUUUGGGGGGGAUCUGUGCUGUAGAACUCGCGUUCUAGGGUUUUCUAUUGGUAAUGCGGCGGGUGUAGCUCGUGGAUCUGAGAAUGGGAGUUGCGAAGUACACCAAGGGGUGUUGCGGGUGGUUGAUAGUGCUUAUUGUCGCCGCGCUUGUGGUCACUGCAGCGGUCGUAGCCAUUAAGAAGAGGAAGCCCCACCAUGCCGAGGUCCUUCCGGUCCCCGGCCCACCGGGGGCCAUUAAUCAGAAGUACGCCGAUGCCCUCGGCAUAGCUCUGCAGUUCUUUCAAGUGCAAAAAUGUACCUUCCCUGCUUAUCACUGUUCCAUUUCCUCUCUAAUUGCAAUGAUUAAUUCCAAAAGAUGGGUCUUUUUAGCUCUUUCAGUAUGUUCCUCAUUUUUUCUUUUUUUAAUCUGUUAAUGGCACUCGCAUAAAUGUCCCUGCAAAAUUUGAAAAUUAGAUAUUUGUGUCUCUUUAAAAUUGAUAUUUGGUGUCAUUUUACUGUUUAAUUUUUUUUGUAUUUAGUAGGAAAGCAGAUAUUAUGUUAUAGGAAUUGGAUGGGACGGCAUGGGUGUCGGAACAGCGGAAAAAGUUUAAAUGAAAAACUAUCAAAUUAACAUUCAACGAAUGGUAGUUAAUUGGGAGCUCUAGAUGAAUUACUUAUUGAGUUUUAGCCUAAGAAAUUAAAUAUUACCAGAUCCACUUUCGAAGUUUAAUAUGCAAGUGACUCUUGUUAAGGGGUUUACUAGUUCCCAUUAUUAUUUAUUUAUUUAUUUUCAUUCUAUGCAGCGGGGAAGUUGGUUAAUAACAAGAUUUCGUGGAGAGGGGAUUCUGCCCUGGAUGACGGGAGGGAAGCAGGAUUGGACCUGUCAAAGGGGAUGUAUGAUGCAGGGGAUCACAUGAAAUUUGGUUUUCCUAUGGCUUACACUGCAACAGUGUUAUCAUGGUCUAUUCUUGAAUACGGGGAUCAGAUGAGUGCCGUGAAGCAGCUAAAUCCUGCUCUGGACGCUCUUAAGUGGAUCACGGAUUAUCUGAUCAAUGCCCAUCCUUCUGAUAAUGUUCUGUAUAUUCAGGUAGUUUUUGUGGGAAUUUUUCUUUUUUUCUUUUUUUAAGGUUCAUAAGACAAAGGUGGGCUCUAUGUUAAAAUUAAGAUCUUUCAAGUUUUCUUCUUUAGUUGAGCCAGAUUCCACUAUUUGUUUUUUUCAUUGAACCCUAUUUGCCAUAAUUAUGUGCUUUUCUUCAUCCUUUGUCAGGUUAUGCGAUGUGUUUUUCUAAUUAGUUUGACAUUAUACUGCAUUGUCAUCACUCUAGUACCAGAUUUAUCCAUCUUCUUGUGGCAUAGGAAAUAACGCUUUUAGAGUUUAUCCAGAGACCAGAUUUAGAGGGCAUUUAUUCCUCUUUAGGUAGAUCAACCUAACUGGAAGUAAAUGUUCACUACAUACUAUUUAUGAAAAAUCUACUAUCUUAAUGACUCUUGUUAUUAUUUGUCCUUGCCAUUUGUUCCUUAAUGAUAAGAAUGUAAUGGAAGUUCAUUUUUAAAUUGCUAUUUGUCCCUUCUCUUUUGAAGUUAAUUAUACAUUGUCUUGUUUUUAUCUAUAUCAUGACAAAUGAACAAGCAGCUAGCAGUCCCUCUGAGAUGUAGGCAAGUAAAUAGAUUCUCUGUUGCUUGCCUUCAUAUCUAAUUGUAGAUUCGCUGUUACAUUUAUUUCUUUAUAUCUAAAAUGUAUGAUUGGAAGCAUGUGGAUCUUAUAAAACACUACAGUUUCAAGGAAAAAAGUCUGUAGUAACCAUUACCCCGUUUAUAUAUAUAUAUAUAUAUAUAUAUAUAUAUAUAUAUAUAUAUAUAUAUACAGAUCAGAGCUGUUAUGCUCUCAGGAGCACGGAGGCCUUCGUGCUCUUGAGCCGUUUUCGAUGAUAAAAUUUUCGAAUCAACGAUCGGCUCCGUUAGACUUGAUCUAGCGUAUUUGAAGUUUCUAGAAAAUAAUUUUUGCAAUUUUUUGAUAUCAUUUACCUAGUGAUCGAAAGAUUCAAAAUCAAUAAUUUUUAAUGGUUGAUAUCUGCCGUUUUCAAGUUUAACGGUAUAGAAGUAUUCAAAUCAGAUGAAAUUUUGAUACAAAAUUCUUUAUACUAUCUACAACAAGAUCAAUAUUUCUGAUCGAAAAUUUUAGUGCUAUGUGACCACUUUUUAUAGGAUUUUUAUUUUCAGCCGUUAAAAAUUAUUGAUUUUGAAUCCUUUCGAUUGCUAGGUAAAUGAUAUUGAAAAAUCGCAAAAAUUAUUUUCUAGAAACUUCAAAUACGCUAGAUCAAGUCUAACGGAGCGGAUCGUCGAUUCGAAAAUUCCAUCAUCGAAAACGGCUCAGCUCCUGAGAGCAUGGCAGUCCUGCUAUAUAUAUAUAUAUAUAUUAAUAACCUCUCUGAAAAGUUAUGAUCUGAUUGGUAGGUGGGUGAUCCUGAGAUAGACCAUAAAUGUUGGGAAAGGCCGGAAACAAUGGCAGAGAAAAGGCCGCUAACAAAGAUCGACCAGAAAACUCACGGGACAGAGGUGGCUGCGGAGACAGCAGCGGCUCUGGCCGCAGCUUCCUUGGUUUUCAAAUCCAUUAAUACCACCUAUUCCGAUUUGCUUCUUCACCAUGCCCAGCAGUUAUUCACUUUUGCUGACACUUACAGAGGUUCCUAUAGUGUUAGUUAUCCUCAGCUUCAGAACUACUACAAUUCCACAGGUUAUGUAGAUGAGCUCUUGUGGGCAGCUAGCUGGCUCUAUCAUGCUACUGGUGAUCAAACAUAUCUCAGCUAUGUAACUGUGGAAAAUGGAAAAGCUUUUGCCGACUGGGGAAGACCGACUUGGUUUAGUUGGGAUGACAAACGUGCAGGAACCCAGGUACAUAUCUAGAUCAUGAAGUGAAAAGUUUGCCCUCUCAGUUAGCUUCUCUUCUUCAUAAAAUGAUAUGCCAUGUUAUUAUGAUUGUGUACACUAAAGUAUGAAUUUUUGGUUCAUAUCAAAACAAUAAUGUGAUUUCAACACGUCAACUCAAGGUACCCAUAUCCUUAAAUCAUUGUAGCUAACAAGAGCAAGUCUGCGGAAAAGCUGGGAACUUAAAUGACCUGCCUUCUAAGGAAUUACUUUGAAUAAAUGUUACGGUGAAAGUAAAUUAGUUAUGCCUCACUGGAGCCGAUUCAAACUUUUUUGCAGGUUCUUUUGUCCAGGAUAAACAUUUUUGGUUCUAAACAAUCCUCGAAUGCAGAGAAUGUGGGCCUCCAAAUGUAUAGAAAAACAGCUGAAGCCGUCAUGUGUGGUCUUUUGCCAGAUUCCCCAACAGCAACCUCUAGUAGAACAGAAAGUACACCUAAAUACCUUUCUCAGUUGAUUUAGUAUUAUGAUUUUCUCAGUUGAUUUAGUAUUAUCAUUAUUAUUAAGAGUAUCUUGCCUGUUUGUUCAUAGGUUCGCUAGUUUUCUUGACAGUGCUCCAUGAAAUCAGCGAUUUCUUGUUCUAAUUCGAAGUGCAUUCUCAUACAUUCUUAAUGACUUGGUUAUCAUGUUCUAUCUCAUAUGCACCAUUGAUAGUCUAGUUUUGUUUUUCAGUGUCAUGUAGCUGAAUGUUUUGACUUCGUUGGUUGGACAGUUUGUUCCCUGCACUGGGGUGUGAAUAUGACCAGAUUUUUUAGCGUAACUUCCUCGAAUCUAGCCACAAGAAAUUAAGCCAUUUAUUUUGGCACUUCUAUAGUUAAUUUUUAUGGAGAAAUUGUAAAAGAACAUCCCAUUUAGAAUCAAAGCAGUAUGGAUAAACUGGACAAACUUGGCAUGUUGUGUCAUCUUUUAAAUAUUCAUUUCGUCAAAAGGAGAUUUUGUAGAAUGUCUGACUGCUUCAUGGUUGGAAAAUCAUGACAUUAAGAUGCAACAUAUGGACACUGUGUGAUCCAGAGGUAAUUGAUCCAUUUUUUUUCUUCCAUGCGUCUUCCUUCAUUAAGAUUCAGAGAACAUAACCAAGAUUUAUGGAAGACUCAUGCAAUCCCAGCCUUAUUGCUCUUGUUUACCAUUAGCUUUUACUGCUUUUGAUCAACCAGUUUUUAACUCCAGUUCAUCCUUGAUUUUGUUUGUUCCAUGCCAUAGAAUAUAUCUGAAUAAUUUUAGUUGAAUAAUAUUGAUCAGUGGUAUUAUUUUUCUAAUGCUUUUUAAUUUCACUCUUCCUAUCUAGAUUUAGGCAUACAUGCGACUAUAUUCUGAAUUACAGAGGACUAUUUUGAACUGUAAAUUGUAAAGUUAUUAUGAGCUUUCGGUAUUUAAUGGGUUUUGCCUUAUUUUUAUCGUCUUAACCCAGGUGGGUUGUUAUGGAUAGACGAGUGGAAUGCUCUUCAGCACCCUGUUGCUGCUUCUUUCCUCGCUGUUGUUUACAGCGACUAUAUGCUCACAUCGCAGACUCCAGAAGUGCACUGCAAUGGGGACUCCUACACACCCAUUGAUCUGCGGAAAUUCGCAAUGUCACAGGUAACAUCCUUGGAGGGCUUCAACUCCUGUUUGUACUACUUUUACUAACUUUGCUUGCUAUGGCCAUGUCCUGAAAUGAUUCUGAGAAAAAGCUUUCCUUAGGCCUGCUUGGCUAGGCUGGAGAUUUUGCAUUAGUGCUGAGUGAGUGUGUUGGGAAAAGUGGUAUGUCUUUCCUUACAAAACACCCACAAUAACCUUGUGCAACAGCCAAGGACGUCAUCUAGCUUAGUGCUUCGCCCUGAAGCUUUAAGCAUCUUGCCUGAUAAACAUCUCGCUUUUGCAUAUCGAGUAGAGAAGCUAUUGCUAAGGUCAGAUCAAAUAGGCACUUGAGGCCUAUAUGGUUUCAUCAAAACCUCCUGUAUUUCUUCUUCCUAGAAUUGAAGCAUAAGCUUCUAAUCGAAGCUCCUACUUGUGGGGUCCAAAAUCCCAUUUCAGCUUCUCAUAACAGCAAAAGCUCCAGAUUAUUAGCCAAGCACGUGAUUUUUAGAAGCUUCUGCUUUCUCGGUGGACAAGCUGUUCCGGAAGCCAAGAACAGUAUCUCAGCUCAUCAUUUUAAGGAUGGAAAAAAAAAGAGAAUAAGAUAAAGUAAUUGACCAAAAAAAAAAAAAACAAAUAAGCUGAGUGCUCUUUCCUCUUUUUUCUUUCCCUCCAAUUUUUUCAAAAAAACCAGGCCGACUACAUCUUGGGCGACAACCCGAUGAAGCUCAGCUACCUCGUAGGCUAUGGUAGUAGCUACCCGCAGCAGGUGCACCACAGAGGAGCCUCAAUCCCCACAGAAGCAAACACAGGCUGCAAGGGCUUCCAGUGGCUUACAUCAACUGAACCGAACCCAAAUGUAGCCACUGGAGCGCUCGUCGGAGGUCCAUUCAAGAACGACUCCUACAUCGACCUGAGGAACAACUCGAUGCAGGCCGAGCCGAGCACAUACAACAGCGCGGUUCUCGUCGGCUUGCUCUCCGGCCUCGUCACCACUUCCUCUGUCGCACAGUCUUUCACGUAAAUACUCUCUUCGUGCUCUUUGAUGGUUUCUGUUGGCAUAUGAAUGAUGUACAUGAGCAAGCAUCGUUGUUUGCGGUCGAGUGAAAGUAUGCUGUAUUGUGGCUAUGCCGGGGGUCUAUGAGAAGCCAUUUUUUGUUGUUGUACUUGUUUACUAUAUCAUGGGAAGCUUUCUUGUACUUGAGUGUGUGCAAUAUCCAUCGAAAGCAAUUAGAGGUGUAUGUGUAAUUGAGAGAGAGACCUACUAUGUUUUUUAGUACAUAUGAUUUAUGGAAUGUGAGAUGCAAAUAUGCAGUAAUGAGUAAUGAAUGAUACUCGACUACAUUCUCAUAGUUGAACAAAUUUGAGUUAAACAAACAUUUACAUUGUGAUUAUAAUGUCGCCGGACAAACAAUGCAAAGUAUGCAUUGUUAUUGUCAUUGAAAGGCAAACAGUUUAUAGUUUUAGGCUAAUCUCACGUAGUUGUCAUUUAACACUCUACUCUGCAUUCGAUCUAUUUGAAAGGAGCAUUAUGGAUGGAUACAUUUUAUAAUUCAAGAACAUUAUUAAUCAUCUAUUCAAUUUAUCCACUGCCUGAGCACAUUCAUGAGGGGCAAUUAACCAACCUGUCUCAGUGGUUGCAUCUUUAUUCUUAUUUUCCUUCUUUGUUCCAGCAUCUUAGGAAACAUUUUUUUUGGGUGCUCCCAUGAAUUAAAGCAACCUUUUUGAUCAAGCAAGCAAUGCCUGGCAGCAGAGCAUGUGGCUAUGAACCUGUCAAGAAAUUCCUUCAAGCAGAGAAAGAAAAAGGAGUUGAUUGCUUUUUGUAAGUUUACCAUCCAUCCCCAAAGUAAGGAUUUCACCCAUGAUUACAAACUUUCUUUCUCUUCAGGUAAAGCAUCCUCUAAAGAACAUCAUGAGACUCAAUACCAACAGCUAUGAAACUUUUUCUGUUCAUCUUCAUCACAAACAAUAAUAAUUCCUGACAUUUUUUGGUGCAUUAAUUCCCAAGGAAUGCAGGGAAGAAGACAUUCAUGACACAUCACACAGCCAAUAAUGCAGUGGACCCUUUGUCUUCAAUAAAUAUCAUUUUUAUCUCAAUGCUGCACAGAUCCAACAGCUUCUUAUGGCGGAAUGAGAGAGCGCGGAAUGAGAGAGCUAUGCUCGAGGAGACGAAGGGUUCAGUGACUCAGAGAUAUUUAGAGCCGUGAUAGUAAGAGGUGGGACUUGAUGGUAUACGUUGUGAUUCUCCAAAUCGAAAUCCACUAAGUUCGUAAUUGUCGGGUAGGUAGGAUUCAAUAAUCCCACUCUACUGAAAUUAUUAUCUGGCUCACUUGUGCGCAAAAGCACCAUAUUAGACAUUAUUUUCAAUUUGACAUUCCGACAAGCUGUAGCUCAUCCAUCCAAAAAGCCACAUGACAAGCCAUCCAAUUGAAACACUUCGAAUUUUUCAAAAUAUUAUUUUUAUAAAUUAUGAUCAUGUUGGCAAAUACGUAUUAUAUUUUGAACUGCAUGCAUGAAUAAAUCAAAAUGUAUGAUAUCAUUAAGUGCUGACACAUUAAAUAAUAUAUAAAAACAACAUAAUAAGGAAUCUGCAAUAGUACUCUGAAUUCAUAGAUGUAGUUUUUUUUUUUCCAUACAAUCCUGUGAUGUGUUGAAUCUAAAGUCACCCACUUUAGAGACAAUGUGCCAAAGAUACAGCAGAGAAUUUGGUCCUCUAAUAGUUUUAUGGUACCACCACCACCACCACUGCACCUUUUACAACCCCAUGACCCUAUGCAUUUUUUGUAAUCAAUGUGUGGAGCCCCUCUCCACAUGGCUAUCUUGUGGCUGUAUUAAUUUUGAAGGACCCUUCUCUUUUACCAAAUAUGUGGAAAUAGAAAACUUUAACUAUUUUCACAUAUGUGGAAGCACCAUUAUUACCUUUCACCUUAAACAGUAACAUGUCUCUUACCAGUUUCUACCAUAGAAUUUCCAAAAGAGAGUUUAACUUUUUGAACAUCCAUGCAUAAGAUCCCUCUCUUUUACUUCUCAUUUAUAUCUUUUCUAUUUUGGGUAACUUUUUUUUUUUUUUGCCAACAAACAAGUUAUGAUAAUAGAAGAGGGACGAGAAGGGGUAAUAGACUGCUUAGAACCGACUCUGAUAUCAUACUAUCCAAAAGAUCAAUAUGACAAUCGAUAUUAGAUAAAUAACUCGGCAAACCUCCUAUUUUACAAUCAUUGUGAGAUACAUAGUGUUUCAAAUAUCUCACGCGCAAUGUAUCCCUAAAGAUAACGAUUCUAUAAUUAGCCAAAAAGCAUCUAGUACUCGAUAGAUGAUGAGUGUGAUUAAAUAUUUAGAAUGAAUUUUAUUUUCGAUCUUUAAAUUAUUUUCUCAACAUAAAAUAAGUCACUUUGCAGAUGAGAUAUAUUAUCUUAACUUCGAAGUACACAAAAAAAUAUUUUGUUCAGAAUAAGUUAUUAUUGGAUUUCUAAUUUCAAAACACAUAAAAUGAAUGUCUAGACUUUUCAAAAACAUCGUACAGAAGAAGUUAUUAUAUGCUAUCCUAUCAAAUCAUAGAUGCCAACAUUUUUCGAGGAGCAAAAAGCGAACUCCUAACUUUGAAUUAUAUAAAAAAUAUUUAUACAAAAUGACUUACAAUCUAAAUUCUAAAAAAGAAUAGGGCAAAAAAAUUUUUAGAAUAAAAGAAACAAAUCCUUUAUCUUAAUUAUUCGCACAUUGAUCUUUUUUUUUAUUUCACAUUCUAUCUCUCCGUUUUGUUACCAUCACUUAUUUUCCUCUUCAUUCUCCCCUCAAAAAAACAAAAAAAAAACCAAAAAAUUUUAGUUGGCAAUUCAGAUAAUAAUUACUACACUAGUUUAAUAUUUGUUAGUUUUCGCGUAUUUCUUGUUCAUUAACAAAUGAAAUUAUUUAACCCUAUUUAUGAAAAAUUUUAAGUCAAAACAAAACAUUUCCCCCAUUUUGAUCCAUGUUUCCACUUCCACUCCAACUAUACAUUCACUCUUUUAAAAAAAAAAAAAAAAAACCUGCAAAACCAGCGGUUGAGAUUAUACAAAUAUGGACACGUGUCAUGCAUCAAGAUCCCCAUCCAAUGGUUAUUAAUUAAUUGAUUAAAAUGCGUGAAGACCCCUGACCUAUACUCCUAUCUACAAAUGCCUCCAACGCUUAAAAUUUUUAAGAUAAAAACUUACAAAACUUAUCUAAACUAUGAAUCAUUUUGAAUUAGCUAUCCAAACUUUCAAAAUUUUGAUUUUACUAUCUUCAAUUUAUUUGAUUUGAAUCGGUCAGUGAUACUUUGACUUCAAAAUUUAAACUAAUUUCUUAUUUUGAUGAGUUUAUAGUUGCGAAUACUAUAUGAAAUAUGAUAACUAAAUCUAUAAAGAUAAGUGACGCAUUCAAAUUUUGAAGUCAAAGUGCCAGUUACUAACUCAAAUCAAGCAAAUUGAAAAUAUUGGAGAGUAAAAUCAGAAUUUUGAAAGAUUUGAUAGGUAAUUCGAAAUAGUCCAUAGUUUGAGUAAAUUCUAUAUAUUUUUACCAUUUUUUAAAUUGACACACUCUUAACUUUUGUUUUUUACAAUUAAGUAAUUUUUGUUAACUAAAUUAGAGAUUUUAUCAAAUUUAAUAAUUUUGAUAACUUUUUUUAGCAAAAUAAAAUAAAAUAAAAGCAAAUAACAAUUAAUAAAUAAAAGAACCAUAAAUUUAAUAAAAUUAUCUGACUUAACUAACCGGGAAGAAAAAAAAUCUAAUAAAAGGAAUUUAAAGUUGGGGGAUGUCACUAAAAAAAAAAAAGUUGAGGGGGCUAUUUCAAGUAGUUUUAUAGUUGAGAGGGUCUCCAUACAUUUUUACCUAUUAAAUAAAUAAAUAAUUAAUUAAUUAACUUUCCCCGCAUAGGAAUUUUUGUGCGGAUAACGCUUGCAACAAAUUACCGUUUCGCAUAUCGAAUCUUGGAUUAUCCGUCUAACGGGCGCAUCCAAAGAAAAUUAUUUUAAUUUUUAUGGGGCAAAAAUGUGGAAAGAGCUCCCUGACAUUUAGCAUAUUUGCAACUCACUACUAAAUUUUUAAUUUUGAUAAUUACACUCUUUUUAAUCGAAGUUAGUAAAUACUCAGUAUUUUGGUCACAUGUAUUUCAUAUAUAAUCUUGUAAAACUUAAAAUUGCAAAAUAUUUUUUUUUUGUUUUGAUAUACAAAACAGUAAUAAAAAUUAGAAAUAAUUCACUCUAUUAUUUAAUCAUGAUGUUUGAUUAUUGUAAUUAGAAGACACAAUAAUUUUUGUUGUGUCCUAAAGUUACGUAAAAUUAUGUGUAAAAUAUUUAUGCAGUAACUUUGUUGAAGAAGAGGAGCAUAUUAAAUUACACACUAAGUUACAAAAUAUCCUCUUAUAAAUAUCUAUUUUUUUACCUCUUUCUUCUAAACUUUUAAAAAUCUAUAUUUUACCCUCUUAAUAUUUUAAAUUAUUGCAUUUAGCCCCCUCCAUCAGGGUUCAAGCACUAUUCCAUCAAUUUUUUAUAAUUUAUACUGAAAAUAUCUUUUAAAAUAAUCAAAAUUAUAAUAAAAAUUAUUCUUUUUUAAUAGAAAAAGUAAGAAUAAUUUGAUUAUUUUGUCCUCUCUAUUAAUCCUGUAACGCUCUGAAAUUAUUUCUAAAUUUUAAGAGGGCAAAAUAUAGAUUCUUGAUAGUUAGAGAGCGAAGGUGAAAAAGCGAGUAUUCAUAGAAAUUUUUUUAUAAUUUAGUCUAAGACUAUAUGGUGAAAUAUAAAGAUCUAAUUAUCAAAAUUAGAAGCUUAGGCACCUAUUUGAAAAAGUGAUAAAGAUCAGGGGGUUCUUUGUAUAUUUUUCCCAAUUUUUACCCAACUCGAUCCCUAAUGUCCCCAAAUCCCAAAUCCGUCCAUUUUAGAGAGAGAGAGAGAGAGAGAGAGAGAGAGUGCGAAUUCAAAACGACCCCUCCCCCCCUCUCUCCUCUUCGUCGUCUUCGUUCUCUCUCUCCUCUCUCUCUCUCUCUCUCUCUCUUCGUUCCCACACGGAGGUGGCGGCGCUUCGUAGGGUUUCGCUCCCCCCACGCCGAAGCGACACCGCGACCCUUCUCUCUCUACAUAUAGACGCAUCCGUACGCGAUCGGUCUCUCCCUCUUUGAUCGCUUCCUCGUUCAAGAAUCGAAGGUAUCGCGAUCGUUUCCGCAAACCCUACCUUUUCUUUACAAUUCACGUCACCAUUCGAGAAUCGGAUCAUCCGUUUCUUGUAAUUGUGCUAAGCAAUUGUCGAGUUUAUUAGAUUUUUAGGUAUCUGAAAUAGUACUUUGAGUUCUUGGAAUAGGAUUUUAAUUGCAUACUUGUGAAAUUCUUACUGUUCUAAUCCUGUAUGUUGGAUUCCAAUAAUGGACAUUUGCUUUGCUGCAGAGGGACCAGGGACAAAGUUGAUUUUUUUUCUUCUGUGCAGUGAGCUUCUAAAAGAUGAUAGGUUCAUUUCUUACUAGAGCUCUAAUGUAAGCAAAUAUUCCAUGUAUCGAGAUUUUGUGGAUAGAAAGGGUGUGGUUGAAGACAAUGAACUGAUAUUUUACUCUCCUUUUGUAUACAGCCUUGCUCUUGGAUAUGCUUAUCCAGCAUAUGAUUGCUAUAAGACAGUGGAACUGAACAAGCCAGAAAUUGAGAAGUUGCGCUUUUGGUGCCAAUAUUGGUUAGUUGCAUCACUUAUUUGUGGGAAAAAUGUUUUCGACUCUUUUGGUGCGAUAUAUAUUUCUAAAACAAAGAAUACCAUAAUGGCAUUUUGCAGGAUCUUAGUUGCACUUCUGACAGUUUGUGAGAGGGUUGCAGAUAAUUUUAUAUCAUGGUAAUGAAUUUUUCUUUAUGUAGCCAAAAUAUUUGUCCUUGGAAUUAUGAAUUAUUUUAUGCUAUUCCAUUUUUAUUUUGAUUUGAUCUAAUGGCUGCCCUUUCCAUCUUAAAGGUUGCCAAUGUAUAGUGAAGCAAAGUUGGCUUUCAUUGUGUACCUCUGGUAUCCUAAAACAAAGGUAAGAUAUUCAUUAUUGGGAAGUGGGAAUAUAAGUUAUUCUUUGUGUUUAGAAGCCUACUUAUGUUGGAUGAUUGCAGGGGACAACAUAUGUCUAUGACACGUUCUUCCGGCCAUAUGUCGCGAAGCAUGAAACGGAGAUAGAUCGUAAUUUGCUUGAAUUGAGAACAAGGGCUAGUGAUAUUACUGUGCUAUAUUUUCAGAGAGUUGCGAGUUAUGGCCAGACAAGGUUUUUUGAAAUUUUGCAGUAUGUUGCUUCACAAUCUCAGGCGCCAAGAACUCGAAUGGUUCAGGUAUUCUUUAGUCCAUGAUAAAUUGGAAUAUGUUGUAUCUUAGCCUUGUGAGUGUUUUUUCCCCUCAUUUUAAUUACAUUUAUUAUCUAUAUUUACCUAUAUUACAUCUAUGUGAAAGUGCGUGACCUUUUAGUUGCAUUAACGAAAUGAGUAUACCCUACUUUUCAUAGAACGAAUGUUCUUGCGAUGGUUUUUGUUAAGUCCUUCUAAUUGUGGCAUGGCUGGUUGCAUCCUACUUUUUUCACAAAGCAUUCUUAUCUUGUUUACUGAUUUACUUUAUGUUUAUUUGCUAAACUUCUAGCUGCAAUUAAUUGGUGGUGGCAUUGUAGUUUUCUUUUAAUUGUUAGAGGCUCACUACUAUGAAUACAGAGACUGAUUUUUUGUCUCUCACUGGUAUGCAACACUAGAAAAGGAUAUUCUUUGACAUUGAUGAGUGCUGGCUAUGUGCAUUGAUAUUCUUGGAAAUCCCCCUAUCUAUACGUGUAUAGAUAAAGAGAGGGAAAGGGAGAGAGAUUUCAUGUUAACUGACUCGAGUGAUUUCAUGUUGAUAAUCUCCUUUUUUUUCGGAAAGAUGAAAUGCAUUGUGUGAAUGAAUUCUGUGAGGCAGAAGUAUGUAGCUUAGAUGUAUAAUGUGAUCUAACUAGUGUGCUAUGGUUAAUGUUCCAUCAUCCUGAGUUUCUAUAAGUGGGCUAGAAAACUAUUCAAAGAUAAUUUCAGUAUGGAUACUGUGGUUGAUAAUAUUGACAUCAGUAAGAUAGAGUUGUCCAUGUGAAAUUUGGAUAAUAUUGAAGCUUUUGGAUAAUAUUGAAGCUUUUGAAUGAUGUCUAUUCCUAAAUUUUCAAGUGCUUCAGUUGUUCUUAACUAGCUCUGGCUGGUGAGUUUGCUAUGAUAGUUGAAGUAGUUGAGGUUUUAGGAUUUUUAUUUAUGUUUAUAUUUAUAUAUGUACUUGCAGAAUUAAUUAUAUGGUGGAAAUUUGGGUGGAGAUUAAAGGUUGUGUAAUUUAAAGCCCCUUAAAAUCAAGAGCAUUGGAAAUCAGGAUAUUGGUUGUUUUGGAUUCUUGGAAUCGUAAUUCUGUAGAAUGUCGUACGACUUCUUUGUAGUUGGUUCUUUUACCGCCUCUUCUUCUGUUUCCCUCCUCUUCUCUGCAGUCCUCUCUCUUCUGUUUAUGUUAUCUUUGGUGAUUAAUUAAGAAUCAAUUUUGUCUUUUUGAGCCAAGGCAAAUUUCAGACUGGUAAAUCGGCUAUGCAAUUUAACUGUUAAUAUUAACAGCACUGAAAUUGAUGUAUUUUGCAAUGUAUGGUGGAUAGUCAACUAUGCCAUUCACAGUAUUGCAAUAUUUGGUGGAUAAAUUAUCAUUGGUAUACUUUGGAGAAGAUCAUGAUAUUUUGUACUCUUUUGAUGAUGAGUUUAUGCAACGCAUUGAAUAAUAGAACUGCCACCAGAAGUAGACUCUUGAUAGUUCAAUAUGGCAGUUGAACAGAAAAAUUAUCUUUUGAUGUACUUUAAAGGCAUAAAUCUCUUCAAAGGUAAUAUUGAAUUUGAUUGAUAUGUAGAAUCACAUCAUUAGAUCUCUAAGAAAGGUCAAUAUAAGAGUUGAUCGACAUGAAUACUCGAAGUUCUUUGAUAUGUAGAAUCACAGUAUUAGAUUUCUAGAAAGGUCAGCGUAGAAGUUGAUCAAUAUGAAUACUCACGUCAGAUCUCUAGGAAAGAGUUAUCAAUUGGAUCUUCAGGCUUAGUUGCCUUAAUAUUGUGUCUCUCUGUUUGAUCUCUUCGUAGGAAAACAAAACAAAAAUGAAAGAGUAGAAAACAAGUCUGCGAAAUGGAAAGACUAAUUAUUAGGUUUCCACAUUAUUCUUCUCAGUCUUCUUGUUCUAGCGACAACCAAUUAAAUAGGAAUAUCAGCAAAUGGGGAGAAAAUACAUAUGAGAAGAGGCUGACCGUUAGUUAUAUAAUAAUCUCUUACUUCAAGAAGUCUAGGAAGUUAAUAGCAUCUGAAUGUUCAGCAUUUCAUUUUAGGACGAGCCAUAUACAAAAAGUACCAUGAAUAUCGGCUAAAACUAUUAUAUCGAAAAAUUGUAGGUAUAGGUGAUUGAUUUUGCUGAUAGCUAUCCAUUACCCUUUUGUGCCUGUUUAUCUUCAAUGUAACAGAAGAUUUCUAUUGCUUUAAAGUCUCAACAUAACGUAGCAUCCUUAUAUACUUUAGUUUCAAGUGCUUCUGCUUAAAAAGCUAUAAUUCUACUAGUCAGUUGUUCUGACAUAUUUGUUUCGACUCACAGAGGCGGCAACCGCCAGAAGUUCGGCAACAGCCUCCUGCCGAGCCACCCGCCCACCCACCCUCAUCCUCUCCGCAGCAACAGCAGCCAACAGCACCACCUCCUCCUCCUGGACCCACCAGGAACCUGAUGCAAGAACAGCCCUCAAUUGCUGCCGCUCCUGCCCAUCCGCAAGCCUCAUCAAAUCCCACCCGUACCCUCCCAUCCACUUCAGGGCCUGCCAGCCUCAGCUCUGCAUCUGAGGAACCAAUGCAGGUUGACAACACCGACAACCCCUCGGCAAAUGGAGAACUACAGAGUCCUGCCUCUGAAGAGACAGUCCUGGAGGAGGCUAUCCGUGUAACUCGAGCCCGGCUGAGGAAACGUGCAGCUGCUGCUGCACCCUCUACUCAACCCUCUUCUCAUUAGUACCCUCUCUCUCUCUCUCUCUCUCUCCCUCUCUCUCUCUCUCUCUCUUAUUUUAGCCAUUCUUUAGCUUUUGCUUAGUAAUACUAUUAGCUAGUUCUAGUUAGUAGUUGUCGCAGUAGUUGUAACAAUGUAAAUAAAUGACCUCAAGUGGAACUUUAUUGAUGAUGAUGAUGGUGGUGAUAACCUUUUAUUGAUGAUGAUGAUGAUGAUGAUGAUGAUGAUGGUGAAAGAAAAAAAGAAAAAGAAAACUCAAGGUGAGCCCUUGAAAAUGGAGGAGGGGGAGAGGGGAGCCGAGUCGAGCUGGUAGAGGCCAAGGGAGGGGCCGACGAAGCGGAAGAGGACCCAUCCGCCGAUGACAAUAAAGAUGGAGGCGUAGGCGAACUUGUUGAGCCAGAAGAGGAGGCCCUUCUCCCCCACAUAGAGCUCCACAGCCUUCUCCCCCAGCGUCAUCGCAUCCCACUCCUUUUUCGGCGGCGGUGACGGCGGCGCCUCUGCCGCUGCCUUUCUCUGCUUGGCCUGGUUUUUGGAACGUACCCGAUACUUGAUGUUGAGUGUGGUCCGCGGCGUUUUGGUUGUGGUGUCGUUGUUUGUGCCGUCGACGGUGAUUGGUGGUUGUUGUUGUUGUUGUUCUUCUCCUUUGUUAUCGUCGUUGGCGGUGGCCGGGCCAGUUGCUCGGAGUAUGACUAGGGGUCGGCGGCGGCGAGGAGCGAGGAAUAGGGAGGGGGAUUUGUGUGUGGUGUGGGUAGAGUUGGGAGGAGGGAAGAGGGGAGAGGGGAACGCCAUUUUCGCAUUCAUCGUUUUGGCUAGCUUCUUGAAUUCUUGCUUGCUAUUGCUACUAUUGCUAUUGCUAUUUGGUGGUGUGUGUUUGGUUCUCUCUCUCUGUCAGCUUUGGUUUACCUGUGCUCGUCGUGUAUAUGCUUGGUUGGGGACUUGAUGGUUCUCGUUAUCCGAUUCAUGUGUUUAUCUUUUAAGCUGGUUUUCUUUGUGAAAUGACUGUUUUGCUCUUGGAGGAGGAAAGGGCUUUAGCAGGAACUAGGAAUCGGUUCAUUGCACCCUUGCCUUUUCACUUUCUUAUAAAUAUAUGUCAAAAUAUCUGUAUUUCUGCAGUUAAUUUUUCUUAAUCUAUUAUAAAUUUUUAUAAUUAUAUAAAGAUCUUUUUACUUCUGCAUCUGCGGUUAAAAUAAAAACUAGGUAAGCAUUUUCUAUAUCUAUGCAUAUGUUUAAGAUCCGAUGUGGAAGCGUCCAUUUUUUUUUUUUUUUUUUCGAAAGUCUUGACCUCAAGGGAUGUUAGAUUUGUUACAAAUAUACAAUUUUACACGGAUAGAAAAUUUACUGUUCAUACGGACAGAAUUUUUUCUGUAUUUAUAUGGCGUCGCACAAGUACAAGAUACAACUACAGUGUAUAUAUAUAUAUAUAUACACACACACACACACACACACACACACACACACACACACACACACACACACACACACGACCAUAUAUACUCACCACAUCACCACAUUACAUAAUUGGAAGAAAAAAGAAGAAGCAACGUGUUUUCUUGUUGAAGAAAAAUUCACGCAGGAAGCGGAGGGCUAGAACUAAAAGUGCGAACCACAUAAGCAUAAAAAUUGAAGAAGUAAUUUUAGUUAGUAAAAUUUUUUUAAAAAAAUUGAUGAGAUAAGUAAAAAAUGAUGAUCCUUAGAUGUGCAUCUUAUUUAGAGUGUGUGCCACUACAAUUAAAGAAUUGGAAUUACUCUUCUUUCUUAUACAAAAAUAAAUAAAUAAACAAACAAACAAAGGAGGACUAGUUCAUUCUUUCAAAUUUUCAGAGGGGGAAACCUCGGUCGCAUCGCAUGUAAACAAAGCCUCGGGCCGGAGUUCGACCCACGGCCCACAUUAAAUUGAUACGCUCACCCACCUUUUAACAUCAAUCUACGCCCUCCUUUUACCCCUCAUUAUUAUUAUUAUUUUAUUAAUUCUUAAAAAGUUCGAGAGGGGGUUCACCAAAUCGGAGCGAAAGGGGAGAGACGCGAUGAUCUACCGGAAGUGGUCUCUGCUCUCAUCGACGAUCGUGAUUUGGGGCGGCGCCGCCACCGUCGGCCUCGCCGGGUUCUUCCUCUUCGGUGGCAAGGUCAGAUUUUUGUUUUUUCUUUUGUUUUUUUGUUUUUUUUUUUAAUGAUCUCGUUUACGGGUUUUGAUGCGGAUGCGAGGAUCUGCGGUUACUCUCAGCUUGAGACCUGUUGGGAAUCAGUAUCUGUUGAAUCAGUGUGUUUGAUUGUCGAAAAUCGAGUGUUUGUUUAGUUAUUUGCCCGGUUUGAUCUCUUUCUUACGAGUAUCUCCGUAGAUCCUCUUUUUUUUUUUAAUAUAUAUAUUAAUGUUCCUGAAUAUAUGAUGCUUAAUCUGAUAUAUUGGAUGAAUUUACUUAAUUUAUCUCAAAGUUUCUCAAAGUUUCUGUAUUUUCAUAUAUCUGAACUUCAAUUUGUUGGAAAUGUGACACGCUUCAAAUUAAACUUAUAGAGCCUAGCCCCUAUAACUUUUUUUGGAAGACAAAGAAAAUAAUAAGAGAAGAAGAAGAAUAAGAGAUGAUACGGUGAUGAUGUGGAAGUUGACUCAACUCUCAUAUCAUCUUCAUUUUUUUUAAGAAUGAGGUGGUAGUGGAAUUAGUUUUCAUAUUUCUUCAUAUUAUAUAAAACAAAUGAUGUGAUAAUCGAGUCAGCUGUCGUAUCCACCCUCCAUCAGAGAAAUUGAAGAGAUUCUGAUGACGUGACUUGAUUUAAAUAAAGAUUGAAGUUUGGCAGUUCGAUUGCCACGAACUAUAGUUAUGAAUUUUAAACUUUGCAAUAAGUCAAUUACCACCAUUGGUGUAAUUUACCCCUGAAAUAUCUUGUGUAGGUUUCUUUUAGAGCUACCGUUCGGUACGUUUUGAUCUUUUGGUUAGAAAUCCGCAUUUAUGAGAUGAUAUGGUGAUGAUGUGGGAGUUAAUUCAACUAGCAUAUCAUUUUCAAGAAUGAGGUGGUAGCUGAAUUAGCUGUCACAUUAUCUCCAUGCCAUCUCAAGUAGAUGAUGCCGCAGUUGACUGGGCUGUCCCGUCAGCCCUUCAUUAGAGAAAUUAGACAGAGCCCGACAACGUGACGAUUGAAAGAAAUAUUGAAGUUUGGUGGUUCGAUUGCGACAAAAUGGAGUUUCACAACCAAAACUUUGCGAUAAGUCAGUGACAAACGGUGUAAUUUACCCCUAAAUUAUCAUGCAUAGCUUCCCUUCACAGUUAGCAUUUGGUGGGUUUCAAUCUUUGGUUUGAAAUCCGUAUUUUUGGAUCACAAUUUCCUAUUCAUUUUUGGGUGUAGUAUAAAACAUUCACAGUAUAAUAGAGAACAGUAGACGGUAUCUGAAGCGGAAGUGCGUCAAUGGCAUAAAAUGUCUUCCAGAAAGGAGAGUUAGUUGAAGAUUAGGUUAGAAAAUCUGGUGAUGUGACAACAAAGAAUUGGUUUUCUUAACCUUGUUGCUCACAUCUAAACUAGAUGCUGCUUAUUAGACAAGAAAUUUUUGGGUCAAAAAAAAAUAUUAUUGAUAGUGUUUUUAAGAGGUGAGAAAUGGUGUUUGUACGUGAUAACUAUAAAAUUUCAUGUGAUAGCAUAACACAACUAAUGGUUGAAGCACCUCUGUCUUUAUGCAUCAAAAUUGUGUGAAGAAUGAAUAGAUGCAAGAAAGUGGAUAAGCAAUAGCAUCUGGGGGACUAUCAUUGCUUGCUGGCUACUGAUUAUUGAUGGAUGGAGCUGAGAUAGGGAGUAGAGGGAAGUGAUACGGGGCAGUGGAAGCAUGAAGAUAACAUUAAUCGAGUAUUUUAGAGGGAAAGAGAUCUUAUAGUAGUGUUUGGCAUAUCUUUGGGAAAAGAUUUGAAAAGCUAAGUUAACGGUGGUACUAUUUACUUUAAGCAUAAAUGACAAAGAUUCUGAUUACUUGUUUUCAAGAAUGUAUUGGCUUUUAUGAUGUAGAGGAGCAAGGAUUUAGGAUUAGGUAACUAGGGAAUUGUGUUGUGCUUUAGACGCUCGGUAGCAGACUUUUUUUUAUCACCAAGCGAGUCUAGAUCCAUUACUAUAAUUAGUUUAUGCGUUUGAAGAGGUAUAAUUAGAAAUAGCUAUGUUAUUGAUGCAAUUUUCCAUGUUGCAAGGUAGCCAACUUACUAACUGGAUAGCCAAAGCCGAUCAAUCCUUCUGUUGCAACUAGUGAUAUUUAUAUAAUCAACAUUAUUGAGCUGGAAAAUGAAUUGUUAACUUUUUUUUUUUUUCCAGUCAGCAGUAUAAGAAUCUGUUUAGUUCUCCUUGAAUUAGUGGAUUAGGAAACUCCAUUCCUAGUCCUAUUGUGAGAUAUGGUAAUGAAUUUUCUUUCAAGCCAUGUUAACUUUUUUCCUUAGAAUUCUUCAUAUUCCCUUGUUUAUCUUUAGAAACAUUAUCUCGUGAAACUGGGCUAGUCGAGCUUUUCUACUUUUGCUGCAGUACCUUUCUACUGAUCCUAUCCCCCAACCUUCCGAAGAUUAACUCAUGAGCCGUUGGUGUCAAAAGAGGAGAUAUCAAUCCUUCUCUUCCUUACCCCCUCCCCCUCGAGCUAAGCUUCCUUCACUGACCCCAUUGGAUGAGCUGAGGCCUUUGGCUCUGAACGUGCAAUGUAGAUGCAACAAUUAUAGUUGUGGUAGAGAGUAUAUUUGCACUAGAUUGUGUAUGGUUAAUAGAGAUUGGGAUGGCCCCAAGAUAUGAUGUUCCAAGAAUUGCUUUCUCAUUGGUGCUAUUUUGCCCUUUUAUCUUUUGGUCUCUAAAUUUCUUGUUUAAUCUCUUUUUGUUUACGUUAUAUAAUGUUAUUUUUCCUUUCUUUUUCUUUAGUCUCAAGAUUACAUAAUUCAAUGUUCAAAACAUGUUUCUUUGCUUUUUUCGCCCCUAUAUUUUUUAUAUAAUUACCAUACUUCUCUUUAUGGUUUCUUGAAACGAAGAAAACAAAUAUGCAAGCGAUGCCAAACAAGUUUAUGAAAGUAUGAGACAAAUGGGACAAAACGGUUAAGUCAAAGAAAGAAGUGGCGGAAAAGCACAGCAUAAGCAGUGAAUCCCUAGCUUUUUCGCAUUAGGAUGUUGUUGAUUGUUUUGUGACAUGUAAAUUUUACUAGUCAGAGACCUUAAAAGGAAUAAUGUUUCAUCUGCAGGAGAAGUUCCAAGAUUAUCUGAUCCGUGAGGGUGAGCGGCUCCGGCAGCAGGAUAGGGCCAUGAUGGCUAAAACUAGCAAAGCCUAAAUGAGUCCAUAAGAAGGCGAUUCGGCCAUGACUAUGCCCUUGUUUUAUUUGAACCACUUGGCAUGGUGGGAAUCAGUCUUGUACGUUCAUGUUAAUAAUCGUCGCUUCGGUGACUCUUAAAUCUGUUUGCUUUGUUACUUUGCUUGCAAACUAGUCGCUAUUGAAUGCCAAAUAUGGAUUUUUCAUAUGCUUAUGACAAAUCUGAGUAUGAUUCUACUUAAUUCAGCUCAUCUCCGCAUUCAUCCCAAUUUAGGUCUAAAAUUGUGCAGGUACAGUUAAUUUAGUUAACCAUAGGUUAAAGUCCUAAUGUUUUCAGAUAUGUUCCUGCUGUUAGAAUCUGUGAGAAAAAUUUAGUUAGCUAUAGGUUAAAUACUUUGCCCUAGUUAAUUUUUGACAUUUUUACACCUCUUAUAUUAUACUGUUAUAAUAUUUGGAGGGGUAUAUUUGUGAUGGCAAAAUUGAAAAUAUAAACAGUUUUUAAACGGUUCUCUAACGGUAACAAACCAGAGGGGCAUAUUUGAAAAUUUUAGGAUUUUUGUAAGAAUAAUUUAUGAAAGUUGAAUUUGAUAGGAAUAUAUUUGUAAUUCACUAUAUUUGUAGAAACUUAUAUGCAAUUAACCUCCUUUUUUUUUUUAACUAGACUUCUGAAAAGAUUUUGUCAACCAUUGGAUGUACAUCUCUGUACGGAUAGUAUAUUUCAAUCACAAUCAUAUUAAGACGUAGUAAUGUAGUGGCUAAAAGCAUUAUUUUUAUACUAUAAAAGGCUUAACAGUUCAAAAUCGAUUAUAUUCUUUUCUUUUUGUUGCUUUUAAAAAUAGACAUACUUUUUUGGUGGCAAUUGCAAUCUUUAUUUAAGAUUGCAACUAUUUUUCAAAUUUUUAGGCCUUCUAUAACAUAAAAAAUAGUAUCUUUAGUCAGCAUAAGUUUUAGUAAUUCGAGAACAUCUCUCGUGCUUUCGAAAGUACAGAGGUUUCCGUACUUGUAAGUUGUUUUCGAUGAUAGGACAUCCGAUUUGACGAUCGGCUCCGCAAUGCAUAAUCUAUACUAUUGGAACUAUUUAGAAACCAAAUUUUAUAAUUUUUCGACAUUAUUUACCAAGCGAUCACAGGGUCUCAAAAAUGACUAUUUUAACGACCGAUGUGGUACGUUUUUAAGUUCAAAGGUGUAGAAAUAUCUAAAUUACAUGAAACUUUAAUAGAAAAUUCUAAACAAUCUUCCGAUUUGAAAUUUGAAUCAUUUAUCACUAUUUUUUAUGAGAUUUUUAUUAUCAGCCGUUCAUUUUGAGGCUACUCGUUCACUAGGCAAAUAAAGUCAAAAAAUUAUGAAAUUUGGUUUCUAGAUAGUUCCAAUAGCGUAGAUCAUGUUUAACGGAACCGAUCACCGAAUCGGACGUCGCAUCAUUGAAAAUAAUUUACAAGCACGGACGCCUCCGUACUUUCAAAAGCAUAGGAGCCUAGCUCUUAGAAAUUCUACAUUUCGAAAAGUGCUCCUUGUGGAAUUUUUUGUUCAUUGGGUUCACCCAUUCACUCAAUGCAUCGAGGUUGGGUUGAGCUUAUUUUGACUAAAGCAGCAAUUUGGGUCAACCUAUUUUACUUGGAAAUUAAGUUCGAUCGAUCGAGCUUCCUUCACCACAAUCGAGUCAAAUCAGACUAGUCAACACCUUGUGGCCUUUUUUCCCAACUUCUAAUCAACCUAAAACGAACUGAUCAAUAUUAUUAAUUUAUUGUUCUCUAUUAAUCUAAUAUUAUUAUUACCAUAAUUUAUCUAGAAGGGUAAAGAAAAAAAGCUUAAACAAAACAAAUGGCUAAAGUAUAGAAAACCUCUUUGAAUAUAUUGGUAUUUUCAAUAAAGAUGAUCACUUAACAUCUCUUCCUUUUUCUGGUAAUACCUGUAGCAUAUUAAAUAUAAAAAUAUAUAAACACCGUUCUUUAAUAGUUUAAAUUUUUAGAGUACAACGGUUGUUUCAUGAAACCCUAGAUCUCAAACAAUCAUUAUAUUUUAAACGCUUAAGCUAUUAGAGGGUGGUCUUUAUAUAUUUUUAUAUUUAACACAGCACAUUCAAUAUUCUCCACUUUGCGAAUAACAUGUAGCUAAAUUUUUUUUUUUUAAAAAAAAGUUAUAACUCAGCAUGUCUGAAUACUAAUUUUCCUACCAUACAAGACAUAUAAUUAUCAUCAUCAUUAUUGGAUGAUAUUUUAGAAUUAUUUAGUAUUUUACGAUAAGAAACUUUUCUCAAUCAUAAAUUCUUUUUAUAAUUGAAAAAGAAGAAGAAGAAGACUCAACUUAGAGACUAAGAAAGGUAUACUUAUCAUCAAUGUACUAUUAUUUUUUUAAUUAGACUUUUUCGUUGCGUUGUUUUUUUUAUGACAUAGUGAUGAUCAUUUAGCAUGUUACUAGUAACUAUAAACAACGGUCAAUGCUAAGCUUGGGUCGAAAUUUCGCAUGCGACUCGUAGACGAUGUGUUUGUUUGCUUCCUCUAAUUUUCUCCAUCCAGAAUUUGAAUUUUCGUCCGAGCCAACUGCAGGUUUGAGCAUCUGCUGUCGUCGGGCUGCAUGGGAUAAUGCAGCUGACGCAGGUGCAGAAAUUUAUGCUAACUGCAGAGAAAAUUCCAUCCCCAAUUGCCGACUGGAAUAUUUUGGGAUGACAAUUUUCUCCGCCGAUUCUGACAUCCACAGAAAUUUGCUCUGGAUGGGGCUGGACUUGCAGGUAAUAGGGCAGGAACAGGGAUAUUACUUUUCGUCCUGCAAAAAUUUCGAUUCUCUAAAAUAAUAUAAUAUAAUAAUAAUAAUAAUAUGAGUGGGCUGGUAUGCUUAUGGAAGCACAUAGCCCUCCGUGCUUCCAAGUUGUUUUCAAUGUUCGGACUUUCGAAUCGACGAUCGGCUCCGUUAGAAUUGAUCUAUAGUAUUUGAAGUACCUAGAAAAUAAAUUUUGUGAUUUUUCGAUUUCAUUUGCCUAGUGAUCAAAGUGGCUCAAAAUCAAUAAUUUUAACGGCCGUUGUGAGCCGGUUGCAAGUUUAACGAUGUAGAAAUAUUCAAAUCAUAUGAAAUUUUGAUAGAAAAUUCUUUAUACUAUAUAAAAUAAGAUCAAUAACUUUGAUCUAAAAUUUUAAUGUCAUAUCAUCAUAUUUUGUAAGAUUUUUAUUUUCAGCCGUUGAUUUGAGCCACUUCGAUCACUAGGCAAAUGAUAUUGAAAAAUCGCAAAAUUUAUUUUCUAGAUACUUCAAAUACUCUAGAUCAAGUCUAACGGAGCCGAUCGUCGAUUCGAAAGUCCAAACAUCGAAAACAAAGUGGAAGCACGGAGCCCAUAAGCAUCCUAGCCGCACUCUAAUAAUAAUAUGAAUUGAAAUAGAAUAUAUCUAAAAGUACUGAAUCUAUUAGUGCUUUAAGAUUUCUAACCCUUAGACGAAGGUAUUGUAGGGUUAGAAUGAUAGUAAUCCAUUUGGGUUGAGUAGUGGUAGAUGGAAUAGUAUUUGAUUCAAAUGUCACUAAUAGUCAAAGAAUAAAUCUAAAGACUAAAAACCUAAAAGUACCAAUGGCUCAGUGCUUUUAGAUGUAUUCUAGCUUAACUCAUAAUAAUAUUAUGAGUUGAGCUGAAAUGCUAUUAGUAGCAAACGGGCUCUGUUGCCAUCCAUUUGUUUUCGAUAAUGGAGCUUACAAAUUGACGAUUGGCACCGUUAAACAUGAUCUAUACCACCAUGUGAAGUAUUUAGAAAUCAAAAUUUAAAUAUUUUCGACUUUAGUGGCCUAAUGAUCAAAAGAUUUUAAAUUUUGUAAUUUUAAUUGUCGAUAUGAGACGUUUUCUAGUUUAACGGCGUAAAGAUAUCCAAAUCAAUUGAAUUUUAGUUGGAAAGUUUUUUAAACUAUUUAGAACAAGAUCUUGAUCUUGAUUACAAGAUUCCUAUCAUCACUUUUUAAAAAAAAUUUAUUUUCAGCCGUUCAUUUUUGUGUCCACUUGAUGGAUAAGAGAAUAAUGUUAGAAAAGUAUGAAAUGUGGUUUCUAGAUGCUUCAAGUUGUAUAGAUCAUAUUCAAUAGUGUCGAUCGUUGAUUCGGAGACUCCAUCACCGAAAAUAAAUGGGUGGCAACGAAGCUCGUUUGUUACUUAUAGCUUUCUAGCUCACCACAUAAUAUUAUAUAGUUCUUAGUUAUUUAUAAUCUAAUUAAAUAUUUGAUUAAUGUAUAUUUUUAUUAAUUUAAUUUGUCAUACUUGAUACUUGAUAAUUUGACAACAAGGCCCUGUUUGGAUGCAUAGUUAAAAAACUCCAUAGAAUUUUUAUUCUAUAGUUUUGGCCUAAAUGAAAUACGGAAUCCUGUAACUACAAAAAUAUUCCACAGCUUCAUUUUUAAGAUGUUUGGAUACAGAUCAUACAAUUCCACAGUAUUUAUAACAAUUAAAUUUCUAAAAUUUUAAAAUUCAAAAUUCAAAACAAAUUCAAAUUUUCAAAUUCAAUUUUAAUAAAUAAAAUUCAAAAUUCAAAAUUAUAAAUUAAAAUUAAAAUUAAAAUUUAAAAAUUUAAAUUAGUUUAUGUCUUAAUUUGAAAUUGAAAUUUGGAAUUUUGAAAUUUAAAAUUUGAAAUUGAAACUUUAAAUUUUAAAAUUUAAAGUAUACCAUUUAAAUUUAAAAUUUGAAAAUUAAAAAAUCUAUAAUUAAAAUUUUAAAUUUUAAUUUAAUAAUUUAUAAUAUUUAAAAAAUUAAAAUUUAAAAUUUAAGUUUAAAUUUAAAUUUUGAAAUUGAAAAUUUAAAAUUAAAUUAAAAUUAUAAAUUUGAAAUUUGAAAUUUGAAAUUUGAACUUUUUGAAAUCUGAAAUUUGAAAUUUGAAAUUUGAACUUUUUGAAAUUUGAAAUUUGAAAUUUGAAAUUUAAAAGUUGAAAUUUGAAAUUUGAAAUUUGAAAUUUGAACUUUUUGAAAUUUAAAAUUUGAAAUUUGAAAAUUGAAAUCAAAAUUAAAAUGAAAUUUAAAAUUUUAAAAAUUUGAAAUUUAAAAUUUUAUGUUGAAAUUUAAAAUUUAGAAAUUAAUACAUCUUUGGGAGCCCAAAAUGGUGUAAUUUUUUUCCUUUGGUUAAAGUGGAUUGUAGGUUUACUCCAUUUUUUGAAGUAUAGUAUAACUAUACUUCAAAAAUUAUGUUAUUUUCUUUUCUUCCAAACACUUCAUAGGAUUAUUUUCCUACCGGCGUAGCAUAGUUUAACUAUGCUACGUUUUUAGAGGUAUCCAAACGGGGCCUAAAUAAAAUUGAUAUCCGAACCCGAAUCAAUGGGUUUCCGUCUUUUACACCCGUAUUCGAAAUUAUAUAUAUUUAGCAUUAGAUAAAUAAACUCCGUUUAGAUUUGAAUUCGGAUAAAAUUUAUAGUAUUUGUACUCGUUGACAUCCCCAUCCCUGCAACGUCCCGCACCGUUGCCAUCCCUAACGACAUUGGCUGGUCAACAGAUUGCAUUGCAAUACUUACACACGAAGGAUACAUACUUAGCAGACUAUAUCUUUAUAUCUAUUCAAGAUCAUUGAAGACUGUCAAGAAGCUUAAUUAAUGGAUUGCCAGGCUGUACAUCUUGGCAAGAAAAUAAGCCCAUAAUUUACUGACUUCCAAGCCCAUAAUUUACCUAAGUUGGCAAGUAGACUUGAACAAGGAUCCAUGCUUACUAGAACUCCUCAGUACCAGAAUUGUUCUGAACUACUUUUUUUUUUAGGGGCAAUUGCUUAUAUACCUCUGAAAAGUAUCUGACUUUUCGAUUUACCCCUCUUAGAAGACUAAUAUUGAAAAUACUCCUCCUACGUUCCAACCUAUUUCUAAUAUACCCCUAAAGUUAAAAUCUGUUAAUUAACUCUGUUAUCUCUGUAAAAUUACUAUUUUGCCCUUUCAAAUAUACCCUUCCACAAUCACUUUCUUUCUUAUUUGCCUUUAAAGUCAAGGGUAUAAAAAGUAUUUUGACUUUUGGUCUUUUCCAAUAUACCUCUCUACCGUCACUAACCUUUUUUAUUUGCCCUUAAGUUAAGGGCAAAAUUAGCAUUUUAAUUUUUUUAACUGUGGUAGAUAUUUAACUCACGUUUAACCCAGGUUAACUUAACAGGAAAUAACUGCGGAGGUAUUUUGCAAUAACGGUGAAACAUAUGAGGAGUAUUUUAGAAAAAAAAAAAUAGACGUAAAUCGGAUAUUUCCAAACGUAUGAGGAGUAUAUAGGCAAUUAUCCCUUUUUUUUUAUAGGAACAAAGAUGCAUGUUGACUGGAACUCAGUUCCAGAAUUGUUCUGAACUACUUUAAAUACCACCUUUAUAAUUUUAUAUUUUUUCACUUUAGUAUCAUAUAAUUUAAAAUGUAUUACUUUAGUACUUAUAUUUUUUUUUUUUUUCUCUUUCUAUUAUUCUCUCUGUUAAUUCUUUCGUUAAAAGAGUAGCUCUAAACGAUACAUCCCUUCCCUUGGCACUUUCCCCGUUUUACUCUGAUCACAGAAGGAGCUCUUUGCCUGUUAGCAAUUGAAUCAGAAUAAGUUUUUGGAGUGAUAAAAUUAAAACCGCAAGAUACUAAAGUAAAAAUUCAGUAAAUUACAUGAUAGUAAAGUGAAAUAUUCGAUAAAUCAGAGGUGGGGUAUCUGAAAUUUUUUUGUAUAUAAUUUAAGAAAAAAUUAACGGCUUGAAAUCAUAGAGUACUAAAAUGAGUAAGGAUGAAACCACAUGGGUGCUAUUUGAAGUUUACUCUUUCUAAUACAAAUGAUAGCAAAAUGAUAGUUAUUUAAUUAGUCUAUGGACAAUUUCUUCGGUGGAAAAAAAGGUUUAAUAUUCUACUUGACUUUAUUAACCUACGUAUUCAACUUAAAUAUGUCUUAUAAAAACGUGGGAAUUAAAAAAUUAGUUUAUUUGAUGUUGAACCUAAAAAAAUUCUGCUUGACUUUACAGUUUAAGCUGUUUUGUAUAAACUCCAUUAAUUUUGCGUCACCGUGUAUUACAUCAAUGGCUGACAUUUUAGUACUUAAAUUUUAAUUUACUAUAAUAAUUUUUAUUUAAAAUUUUUAAAUUAUUAUAAUCAAGUCUUAUAAUUUAAUUUAGUUAGCUAAAUAUUAAAAAAUUAUUAAUAUAGAAGUAAUAUAAUAUUUCAAUUAUUAUUGCAUUAUGAAUCAUAAUAUGUUUACAUUAUUUUUAUAUAAAUAAUUUGUCAAUAUUUAGUCAACUAAUUUAAAAAGUUUGAGCUAAAACUUAUAACAAAUUAAAGUUUGAGAACCAAAUUAAGCAUCAUGUUCCUUACAGUUUGAGAAACCAAAUAUGCAAUUUACGUACCCAUGGUUUAUGCAAAAAUAUAACCUUUUUUUUUUAAUAAAAGAACAUUUAUAUCUUUUGAAAGAAAAAAAGAAAUUUUAUCAUAAAUUGAAAAGCCAUAUUACUUUAGUCGUAAGGUGUACCAAAAAAAGUAGCAAAAAGUUUGAGAGUUGUUCGCAAAAACUUUAGAACUUUAGCUCUUUUAUAAAUAGGCAUUUUGAAAUUUUAAAUUUUGGCGAUUAAAUUUCGUAAAUUUUAUCAAAUAAUUUAAUAGUCUCUCUCUUCAAUCUAACUUAUAAUCAAGUGUAAAACUGUUUUAAUCAUGUGCGUAUAGUCUUAUAAGAGUUUAAAGAUAUUUAAACAUGUAUCUUUUUUAUUCCAAAUUUAAUAAUCAAGCAUGAGAAUUGAGGAAUAGGAUUAACCUAUCUUAAAUUUUUGUUUCUUUUUUUCUUAUAUAUAAUAAAAUAGAAGAAAUAAAUUUAUUUGUGUUUUGAAGCUUAAAUGCAAAACAUAGGGCAUUAAAAAACAAAAAAAGUUUCUAGCUAGAGAUCAAAUAUAUAUAGAAUGAAAGGCAAAUAUAAAGCAUUAAAAAAAUAAUUAAUAAAUACAAUUGCUAAAAAAUAUUACAUGAAAAAUAAACAUGUACAAUUUUGAUGCAUCCAUGGCAUAAUUAGUGAUAUUGUAAAAUACAUCAUUUUUUAUAUAUGUCAUCAAAUAGUUAUUCAUUAAUUGAUCAUAAAUUUAAAAAAAUUAAAUUUACAAUUACUAAAAAGUAAACAGAAUAAGUGAUGCACAUAUCUUAAGCAAUUAAAAAAAAUUAUGUAUGAAGUGUCUUGAUGCACACCAAAGUAAGGUUAGAUUUGGGAUUGGGGGCCUUAAUAACUUUAUAAUUAGAUGAUAAAGGGAGAGAUUAAGAGAAAAAUAAUGUGGAUAUAUAGGUUUGAAAGAAGAAAAGGAAUGAGAUUAUUAUUUUUAUAAAAUAAAUUAUUAACUCCGGUCUACUGUCACAUAUUAAUUUUACCUUAAUUCAAUAAUUUGUUAUGUAUUUUUUUUAAUACUAAAAUUUUUUUAAAAAAAAUUAAAUUUUGAAAAAAAAAUUACAAUUCUUAGACAGAAAUAAAAGUGACACGUGGUAAUAGAUUAGGGAUCCCAAAUGUGGCAUCAUUGGGGAGCUCUCCGCUAAAUUUUUUUUUUUUCCUUAAUUGACCUCUGGACACACAAUAGGUAAAAUUUAAAAAACUUAAUUGCUAAAAUUAAAAAUUUUGGCUUCUUUUUUAUUAUUGUCUUUCUUUUUAUUUUUUUAAAGACUAAUUUUACAUAAUUUAAUUUGUCUGAGUACAAGCAUUUUACAUAAGGCUAAGUAAUAAAUAAUAAUUUGUUAAAAAAUAAAAAAUAAUAAUUUUAAGUUCUUUUUUAAUGUUGUCAAGUAAAAGUCUUAAAUGGAAGGAUGAUGCUAACUAUUAAUCUCAAAAGUUCGAGAUAUUAAAAAAACACAAUGAUUUAUUUAAAGUGUACAAACAAAAUAUCUACUGAUCUGGAUUGUGCCUCGGCCCAACAAAAUAUAGCGCUAAAAUAUCUCUUUAGAAACGAGUUAUAAUUGGGGAGCUCUUUCUGUAAUGGAUAAAAUUUUAGUGGAAUACUUCCCAGUAACACCUCGCUUGUUGGGAAGCAUCUGAUCCACUGACAAGUCUUAAUUUUGCAUCUAUCCAUUGGCUAGCUCAUCGAAUAUUUUUUAUAUUGAAAUCUAAAAAUUUUAAAUUAAAAAAAAAAGAUAAUGAGGUAUUAAGGUUUAGUUUGUUAUUGAGAUGGAUCUAACGUUAGUAGAUAGAAUGGAGUUGAGAAAAAACAUAUAGGAAUAUGAUUCUACGUUCUCCGAUAGAACCGCAUAAAAUAUAUCGUAACCGACUAAUCGUAAUAUGCGGAACGCAAUAUUACGUACGAAAAUAAAUAAAGUAUAUUUUCAUCGUCCUUUCUCACCGCACAUAACGCAAUCUCCUUUAUCGCCCUUUCUCACUGUUCAUAACGCAAUCUCCCCGCAAUUUCAAAUGAAAUCUAAGAUUCCGUGUAGGAGACGUGGUUAGGAGGAAUUCUAUACUGUCACACUUGCACCACGUCAUUAAUAACAAGCCAAUCACAUUCUUUCUUUUCAAAUAAAAAUACAAUAAAAAUAUUUUUUUAAAAUCAUGAUGGGACAUAUAUUCCUAAAAAAAAAUUAAUUAGUUUAUUAUGUCACAUCAUUAAUAUAUUCUUUGCAUUCUAGGAUUUUUCGUGGUUCAGAGCUCUCUCUUUUUCAUGUACAUUUUUUUCCAAAAGAAAAAGGGAAAAGUUUAAUCGAGACAGAUUCGUACGAGAGAAUUUGAAGCCGAGAAGAGUGCCACGUGGCAGUGGGCGGCGCGCGCGGAUUAGUCCGUACACGGUCGGCGACGUACUUUGCGGUGGGCCCCGCGUUCUAGAAACGCAGGCUAAUUACGCCACGCACACCAAAUUUGAUCUAAAAAUGAUUAAUACGUUUUUUUUGGGUUACGGAGGAACGCGACAGCACUACUUUAAAAUUAAUUAUAUAAAAAAAAUUAUAUUUUAAUUUUUAAUUUAUUUACUGCCACAUCACAAAUGUAAUAUUCAAUACCAAAAUAAAUAAGUAAAUUAUACUUUUAUCAUACUUUUGUGAUAUGUAAUGCAAUUCUGUCUCAAAAAUAAAGUCUAACAGUGUGUGUGUGUAUGCACCAAUAAUUUAGUACUUUUAAAAAUAUACAAGCUCAAUUAUAUAUAUAUUUUUUGUCAUUGAAUUAAGGAAUGUGCGGUUAUGAUGAUGUAGAACUCUUAGGGUUGAGUGGGUGUUGGUUAAAUAGUAUGAUCUAAUGAAUAAAAAUGAUCAAAAGAGUAGAUUUAACGGUAAACAAUUUACAAGCACCAAAUACUUGGUGUUUGUAAAUAUAAAAAGCACCGAGCACUUGAUGCUUGUAAAUUUUUUACCGUUAGAUCUAUUUUUUGAUCAUUUCCACCCAUUAGAUCAUAUUAUUCAAUCGAACGAGUAAAUAAAACAAAAAUAAAAUAAAAUAAAAUAAAAAAUAUUGUAUGUUGUGUAACCCGUUCAACUCUUCUAAAGCAUUUUUUAACCCCUUUUUUUAAUUUUUCGGAAAAAAAAAGUUGUUAAUUACCCCUAUGAAUUUUGUGUAAUUGGUGAGAGGAAUGCAUGCAUUUAUUUUUUCACAAAUAUUUUUUUUUCGUAGGCUCUCAUAAUUUUAAAAAUUAUUUAAUAUGUUAGAACCAAAUUAUUUCUUCGGCGGCAAAAAAUAAAUGUAUUUUUAUUUUUUAUUUACAAAAUUUUUUAAACAAAUUAUCAUUUUUUAUUAAGUCAGAAUGCACUGUAUUUAAACGGAAAAAAAACUAAGUGCAUCCAAACAGUCAGAUUUUUUAAAAUUUUUGCGCAUAAUAUUUUUAUUAUGGGUGAUUAUUUAUGAUGAACUCAUAUUAUUUAGAAUAUCUUUAUAUUAUUUUUUAAGUUGGGAAAGUGAUCUAAAAUUGUAUUGAAGUGUAGAUGGUCUCGGACAAAAAUUUUAUGGGCACAGUUCUCAAACAACUUGUUUGGGGACGAUGACGGUGGGCGCCGUGUGGUGUGCGGGUGUCCAUCACGACCCUAAAAAAUAAAAAUAAACAAAAUUUGUCGGCUCCCAUUGUUUAGAGAGAGAAAGAAGCAGGUGAGAGAAAGGGACGGUCGCGAUGGGCGCCCGCACACUACGCAACGCCCAUUUCACGAUCGCAUACCACGCGGCGCUCAUCUGCUCCGUCUCCAAACAAUUUGUUUGGGGACGGGUGCCCACAAAAUUUUUGUGCGGUGGCCUCACACCUUUAAUCAUUUAUCCUUUUGAUUUAUCAUGUUUUAUUAAAUUACGUAUCUAAAAUUUUUGUGCUCGAGGUGAUCGCAUACGAAACUCGUGUAAAUAAGGAGGCCCGCCUUUCACGUCAAUCGUACAACACCAAACACUGCUCAUAUCCGUAGGAAUCCAACACGUGUACAAUAAUUUGUGGUAGGUGUAACGGUGAAAAUGGUACGGAUAAUUUCGGAUUCAAUAUGAUGCUGAUCGAUGAUAAAAUUUAGUAUUCCACUCAUAUUUGUAUUUGAAUUCAUAUUCAAAAAAAAUAAGUUAAAUAUAAAUUAAAUAUAAUUUUUUAAAAAAUUCGAAUGCAAUCGACCAAUUCAUCCUCAGGAGAUAAAAGAAAUAUUAGUAUAUAUUAUAGAGAGAUAAAAUGAUUCUUUAUCUUUUUUUCUUCGUUUACUUUAUUAUGAGUUUUAUAUUAAAGUUGCAUUUAUAUUCGUCAAAUAUUAAAUUUUAUUAAAUAAAUAUAGGUAUACAAAGUUUGAACUUGAAUGUGAACCUUUAAAUGCAUUGUGCGUCUAAUCCGUACUAAUUUCAUUUCAUAUCGAUUUAUGCAUAUAAGUGUGUAUUAUUAUCUGAAUACAAAUUCGAGCCAUAUCUGAAUACGAAUAUGUUUUUAGUAGGCAUAGUAAUGAAAAUUUGACAUCCAACACAUAUCAGCAUCCGAAUUCGCAUCUAUAAAGUAUGGAUGUGAAUAUGGUUUUGUCAAAAAAUUUGACCGUAUUCAAUUGUUUUCAUCCCCAGGUGGGUGAUCCUUUACUUAUCAAUCUUUUAGUUUAUUAUAAACUUUAAUUUAAAAUUUAUUGAUUGUUGUAAUUAAGUUCUAUGGUAUAAUAUAAUUGGUUGAAUGAUAAUAUAUUAUUGAUGUGGCAAUGAUGCGACAUAUUAGUUAUUAUAUCAUUAUCACAUCAGCGGUACAUCACUAUCUAUCUAGCCAACUAAAUUAUAUUGUAUAAUUUAAUUACAGUGAUUUAUAAAAUUUAAAUUAGAAAUUGUAAUAAAUUAAAGUUUGAAAAUCAAAAUAUCACAUAUCGCUUAGUUUGCAAACGAAUAGUGUAAAUUUAGCGUUUACAUAAUUGGCACUCUUUUAUCUUAUAAUUUUUAACUAAAUUUGUAUGGUUAAUUAAUUUAAAUAUUUUAUUAAAUUUUGUAGCUCAAUUAUCUAUUGAACAUAAUUAAUCUCCUUUUACCCACUAUAAAGUAGUUUAUUAAGGUCUUGUUUGGCAGCAUUAAUUAUUAUUAUUUUUUGUAUAAAUAUAAUUCAUGCAUGAAAUAAUAAAGAAGAAGACAAUUGAUUGUUUGCCCUCAUUUCAUUCAAAAUAUUUGUUAACAAUAAAAAGUAAAAUUUUGAAGGCAAUUUUUCCUCUUAAAACUUUUUAAAUAAUAAGUUAUCAUUCAUCAUUUGAUCAAAAUGUAUUAGCAUGCUAACCAAUAACAACAACAAGUGAGAUUUUUUUUUUUUUUUUUCAGUUGAUAAUCAAAUUAUAUAUACUAACAAAAUAAAAAAUUACCUUAUAUUUUAUUAUAGCUAGAGUGAACAUCUUACACCCUAUUAUUCUUCUACUAGGAUAUGAAAAACUAUUUUUCGAAAUUUUGUACUUAAAAAAAUAAUAUGACAAGUAAAAAAAAUCUUAGCCUUUUUAAAGGCUAAGGUAAAAGUUUUACAAAUACUAUAGAUGUUCAUGUAGCAUUGCUCUUUAUAAUUAUAAAUGAAAUUGCUAAAGUUUCUAAUUUAUUAAAUAAAAAUUAUUGGGUCAAUUUCAUUUGUGUCCCUCUAAACUUCAAAAAUAUCAUAGAUGCCCCUAUAAAUUUGAUUACAUCACAAAUAGCCCUACAAAUACUUACUAUUUUUCAAAUAUGUCCUUAUCCUUACUAUUCAUCUUUUUAUAGAAUGAUAAAAUAUUUAGAUUAUUAUAAAUAUGGUCGAAAUGUCCAUUUUGUCCUUAACUUCUAAAAUUUUUUACAAAAAUAUUUAGCAUGAUAAUAUUUAUUUUAAAAUAUUAAAAUAAAGAGUAAUAUAUAUUAUUUUACCACUGUGUGGUUUGUAAAAUAAGAUACUUUACAUCAUUUAUUUUAAAAUUCUAGAUGCUAAAGCACAGAAAUUUGUGCUAGUUCAAAUAACUUAAUUUACAUCAUGCAUAUAUAUUUAAAUUAUAUUUUGAAUGAGCUGUUUAACCUUAUUUUAAUGAGUCAAUUGAUAUUUUAAAUAAUUUUUUGCUAAAUUUUUUUCAAAUUUUUUUAUUUUUUUAGCUUAACUUGUCAGGAUUAUAUAUAUAUAUAUAUAUAUAUAUAUNGUUAUUAAAAAAUUGAUAAUAAAUUAGUGUAAAGGUUAGUUUUGAAAGUUUCUCUCUUUUAAAAGAUUAUUUAUGAUAUUUUAAUUUUUAUAGGGGCAUUCAUGAUAUUAGAUUUAUUUGGAAGGGUAGUAAUGAAAUUUUUCCAAAAUUAUUUGGUUUUAAACAGAAGUCUAUACAAUUGGUGUAAAUCUUGCAGUAGUCUUGAGCUUUAAAUCUUGAGGUACUCUUGAGGUUUCUAUGUCUCACAUUUGCUUAUUUGUUUUAUCAAUUUAAUUUUAUAUUAAAAAUUUAAGAAAAAAUUUUAAAUGUUAAAAUGUAUAAAACUUAUUUCAACUAUCAUUUAUUUUGAUCUAACUAUCUUAUUUUAAAAAUUUUAAUUUUACUACAUAAACCCUUUAAUUAAUUUUUAUUUGGGCUUGUUGGUUAUUGUUUAACUUCAAAAUUUGAAUUCGCCGUUUAUCUUUAUGGAUUUAGUUAGUACAUUAUAUAUAAUUCAUAUAAUAAUAAAUUUAUUAAAGUAAAUUAUUAAUUUACAUUUUGUAUUCAAAAUAUUAUCAAAUUAAAUAAAUUAAAAAAAUAGAUAUUAAAAAUAAAAUUUUAAAAUAUUGGCUACUCAAAUUAAAAUAGUCUGUAGAGAGAGAGAGAGAGAGAGUUGAGCUGAAAUGUCAUUAAUAGCAAACGGGUUCGUUGCUACUCAUUUGUUUUCGAUGAUAGAGCCUCCAAAUCAAUGAUCGGCAUCGUUAAACAUGAUUUAUACCACCUGAAUCAUCUAGAAAUUAAAUUUUAUAUUUUUUCGAUAUUAUUUUCUUAUCCAUCAGGUUGACAAAAAAUAAACGGCUGAAAAUAAAUAUAUUUUAAAAAGUAAUAAUAAAAAUAUUUUAAUUGAGAUCAAGAGUAUAGAUCUUUGUUUUAAACAGCUUAAAGAAUUUUUUAACCAAAAUUCAAUUGAUUUGAAUAUCUUUACGCCGUUAAAUGAGAAAAUGUCUUAUAUUGACGAGUAAACUUACAAUUUUUGAUAUUAUUUGAUAAUUAGGUCAAUAAUGUCGAAAAAAUUUAAACUUUAGUUUUUAUAUGUUUCAAAUAGUAUAGAUUAUAUUCAACGGUGCCGAUCGUCAAUUUGGAAGCUCCAUCAUAAAAAAAUAAAUAGAUGACAAUAAAAUCCGUUUGCUACUGAUAACAUUUCAGCUCAACUUUCUGAUUCAAAAUCGUGGUAUAACAUGUAUCUCCCUUUGUUCCGGCCAUGGAAUAGAUGAAAUAAAUCAAAAAAUGGAUUCUUGUUCACAAUAAAAAAUAAACCCUAUCCCAUAGGUAUAGGGUUUGAUUCAAUAGAGAGCCUUUUCUUCUGUUAUAUAGUUGGUUCUCAUCCUUCAGAGAUUACGAGUGUAAUAGGAGCAUCUGUUGACAAAAGGAUCAUCCUAAGAUGAUCAUCUCAUGACUAUUGAGAACGAAUCAAAUCAGGUAGUUUUUUUUCUGUCCGAAAAAUUUAUCGAAAUAAUGAGUCGCCCCUUCCAUUGAUAUGAACAAAAUUGAGAUCAACAAAUGGUCGGGAGUAUUUUUAUAUAUAUAAAAUUUAGAAUUAUAAGUUAGUAAAAGAUGUGAACUUAAAAUAGAGUUAACGGCGGAGUUUUCAAAUUAGCCUGUGGUUGGAGAUAAAUUAAUUAGUGCAGUUAAGUAUGAAUGUGUGUCGGACACGUGGCAGCUUAAGAAGAGGAAUUUUGGACCCGCACGCCGAGGACCGGUGGGGCCCACCCCAGUGCGGGUAUACGUGGCCGUCCGAACGGUUUCGGUUGCUUGGGCAAGUUAAAAAAAAAAAAAAAAUCAAAUCCACUCGUGGUUCCACACUUUCUUACUUCAGUACUCUAUAAUUUAAAAUAUAUCAAAUUAGUAUUCUAUAAUUUUAUUUUUAUAUUUUCGUCAAUUUUUUUAUUAAUAUUUUGUUAAAUUAUAUACAAAAUUCUUCAGAUAUUCUAUUUAGGUUUACCGAAUAUUUACUUUAAUACCUUUUUUUAUUUUGAGAGAGAAAGGUAUCACGCUAUCUUCUUCAUUCAUUAAGAAAAUGAAAUUAGUUAUAUAAAGUAAGACAGCUAGGGCCUCAAGGAAGGGGGCUCGAUAAAAAUAAAAAUAAAAAUAAAAAUAAAGAUGAAAUUAAAAAUAAAAAUAAGAAAUAGCUUUCACCCUACUCUACAAGACUCGGCCCACUCUUUUGCAAACACUCUAAUAAUUCAGACGUCGCCCUGCUCUACAGGACUCGGCCCACUCUUUUGCCAACACUCCAAUAAGAUUAGCUGUUCGGGAAACGCCGCUGGGUAGAUUUCUGAAGAUGAUGUUAUUUUUAUCGCGCCAGACCAACCACCAAGUGGCCACAACCAAGGUCAGAGCCUUCGAAGCGUCGCACUGCGGGUGUCUCUCUAGUAGCCCCUCCCAGACGAUGUUGGUAUCUUCAAAACACGGGUAUCCGAGAUACUUUAAUAUCUUUUAGUUUUAACUUUGUCACUGAUGUAACGAAAAAAAUUAGUGGAAUCGAAUAAAAGAUAAAAAUAAAUCACAGAGCACUAAAUUGAUAUAUUUUAAACUAUAGGGUAAUAAAAUGAGAAAGUGUGAAACCACAAAAGUGGUAUUUGAAGUUUUUCCGAAAAAAAAGAUUGAGUGGGAAUUAUUGUACCAUUAUUAAGUGAAGUUAUCCGAUCAUUGCGAUGGGCUAAUACUAUAAGAGAAAAAAAAUUAAUAAAUUAAAAUCUUAAAAUUUUAAUUUAUUAUAAAAUAUUAAUAAAUAUAAAUUGUAGGAGAAAAAAAUAUAAAAAAAUUUUAUUUUAUUUGUUUUUUUAUAAAAAUGAUUUGUUUAGGCUAUAAUAAACUAUAUGAAGACAUUAAUUAAAAGAUGGGUAGGUGAGAAAAUAAAGUAUCGAACGGAGAUAAGGAUGGAAAGAUAAAUUAUCAAAAAGUGAGGAGAGGAGAAAAGAUAAGGAUGAAAAAAGAACUGUUAAAUGAUAAAUUUUAUAAAAAAUAAUAUAUAGAUAUGUGUAAAUAAUUCGUUUCUAAGUGUUAAUUUUUUUAAUUAUUUUUAAAAAUAAAGUUUUAAAAUUUUAGUAUUUAAAAAUAUUUAAUAAAAUUAUUAAAUGGAAAUAAAAUUAAUACUCAAUGGGCCCCGGAGCAAGACGUAAAUGAGCAGUCGUCAACGACGGCGUGGCAUCACCCGUUCACCACCACCAACCGCCUUAUCCGAGUCCGAUCGGACGGCGCACGAUGUUCGGACGCGGAUCGCCAACCCGCAAUGAUUAGCUCACGCCGUAAAAAAUAAUUAUUGUAGUAAUAUGUAUAUUUAUUUAUUAUAGCUAAAAAUGAAAAGGAGGUAAAAUUGUAGGUAAAAUGCUUUUUGGGUUCCUCCCACUUGUGGAUAAUGCUGUUAAUAUUAAUAAUAAAUAACUCUUUUUUUUUUGAUAUCGCUAAAAAAGAGGAAGAAAAAUUGGACCUGUACACUUUAUUCUGCAGUAUUAAUUAUUCUUCCAAAAAUUUAAAUUUAUUUAAAAAUAUCUUGCACCGAAAAAAAUUUAAGAAGAAACAUUCUGAUAUAGAAUUUGUAUUUUAUUGGCUCACCACCUAUUUUAGACGAUUAUUUGUUUAAAAGGAAUUAAUUUUCGAUUUCCAUUUCACUCUGGAAUGGAAAUGAGCAAAUUCAUUUAUGGCCAAAUCCAGUUUUGAAUUUCGGAUUUGCCCAUUUCAAUGUAAACUGCUCAAAAUUUUUUCUUACAUUUCACCUCCGCCUCCUCUCCUUUUACCACUCUCUUUUUUCUUAAUCAAAACUCUCUUUAAAAAAUAUUGGAUUCUUAUUCCGAUUUUCAUUCUAAUAAUGAAUCAGAUAUUUUUGAUGAUUCGUCAUUCUAUUUAUUAUUUCAAAGCAUUUAAAUUUUAUUUAUCAUUUCUAUUCUAAUCAUGAAUCAAACAUGCUCAUACGUAGGCAUAAAAUGAACCAAACAUGUUCUAUACGUACGUCUAAAACUAGUAUUACUCAAACUUGAGCAAUGUUAUUUGUAUUUACACCCCACCAAUUUAAAGGUCGAUAAUUUUUUACUAAUUUUAUUAAUUAUUUUUUUUUUUACUUCAAUACUAAUAGUUUUAUAAAUCUUCGACAAUUUUAAAAUUAUUUUAAACACAAAAAUAAUGCAUUUAGCCAUCGUAUUAUCAAUAUAAUUUUGAAAAAUGCUAUCUACAUCCUUAUUUAUAGGUAUAAAUCUUACAAUUCUUGUAUCUCAGGCUUCAUAAAAAUUCAAAUUGGUUUUAAUAAUAAUAAUAAUAAUAAUAAUAAUAAUAAUAAGAUAAGUAGGGAGUGAGAGUCCCAAUUUUUUACUCCUACUUAAUUCGAGAUUAAGAUGUAGUAAUACACCUGAAAGUGCACAAAAAGCAUUUACGUAAAGAUAUGUUCACAUUAGACUAAAAAAAAAUCUCUCAGUAACAUACAUGAGUCCUUCAAAAUUUGUUAUUUGCAUAGUGGUUUCUUAAAUCACAAUAAUAAUUUGUGCUCGCUAGUUCUUUCAUAAAGUUUUUGUAAUUUAACUGGAUUACAUAUUUUUUUAGCACUAAUUACCACUAUAAUUUUAUAGUAGAAAAAUAGAAUAAAAGGUGCUUUUGUAAACUAAGGCUUAAUAAGUUAGUAGAAAAAAAAAUCAGUAGAAAAUAUCAAGCAAUUUAGUCCCUUUUUAAUGUUGGCUUCUUUUAAUUAGUAAUACAAUUAUUAUCUCCAAAUGUAUAAGAAUCAAUUAGAAAGUUUUAAAAGGUAUAAAUAUACUAAUUAACAAUUGGCAUUAUAAAGUAUAAACUAACAUUGUUAAGGUGUAUAUCCAAAAUAUUCUUCUUAAAUACUACUAAAAAUAAUGAUCUGACCAAAUUGCGAUAUACAGGUGUGUCAGGGACUGAUGAUAUUUUUUACCCAAUGAUUAAGAUAGACAUCGUAAAAUCCUCGAGGGUGGACCUUUCAACGGGGUUUGGGUUGGGGGGCGGGGGCUGAUCACUGCUUAUUAAAUCCUCUCUCCCUCGCCUCCUUUCCCCGUCUCUCUUCAUUCUCUCCCUCUUUCUGCUUUGGACUUUGGAGUCGACAAGCCAUGGCGGAAUCGAUGGAGCUCCCGAGUCGACUCGCGAUCCUCCCCUUCAGGAACAAGGUCCUCCUCCCCGGCGCCAUCGUCCGGAUCCGGUGCACCUCCCCGAGCAGGUGUGGAUUCCUCGAUCCCUUUCGAUCGAAUUCGACCCCUCCCCUUUAAUCCUCGGCUCGCAGAACCUAGGGUUCUGGACGAAUUUCGCUUUGAUUGAGCUUCGAUUCUUGAGAUUGGGCUUGUUUUUGGCAAAGAAUUGGUCUUUUUUUUUCUUUUUGUGGGUUUCUUCGAGGGUGAUGGUGAGGUUUUGCGGGUUUUUCUGGGCUUUAAUUUGGCUUUCUUAGGUAGUUUUGAUCAAGUGGGAUGAUUUGGGAUGCUUUGGUGUGCUGUGCUUGUUGAUUUUUUGUUUUUGUUUUGAGCUUUGUCUAUACGCAAAUUUUCGAAAUUAAAAUAGAAUUUGGGUGCAGUGUGAAGUUGGUGGAGCAAGAACUAUGGCAAAGAGAAGAGAAGGGUUUGAUUGGGGUGCUCCCGGUGAGGGACUCGGAAGCUGCUGCAGUGGGUUCCUUGUUGGCUCCAGGUAAUUGGAGAGCUAGGGUUUACGGUGAUUUGGGUAGAGAAUACGUGAUUUCGAAGGGAAAAUUGAGGGAAUUGGUGCUUUUCUUGUAGGUAUGGGAAGUGAUUCUGGGGAAAGAGGUCUUAAAGUGCCGUCCGAGGUUGUGGGGGACUCACAGAAGCAGGAUACGAAGAACCAGCAGGAACUCAUCCAAUGGCACAACAGGUGCAUUUUCUCAAUUCGUGUUCUUGUUUCAAUUCCUGUGGUUAUUGCAUCAAAUUUUUGUGUGAAACUGAAAGAAGAAGCUAUUUGAAGAAACGGCUCCAUUGAAGUGGUAGUUAGAGAGAGUGGAAUUCAGAGAGGUUUUUCAUUUCACGUCUUUUACCUAGAUAUAUUAUAAACUGGUCGGAAUGGAAAGAAAUUUCAAGACAUAUAUCGAGCAUGAUUUCACUAGAUAACUCUUGUGUGGAGUAAUCUUUCCAUAACAUCACUUCGGGAGACUAUAUCUAGCUCAAGUAUCUUACUUUCAGGGGAGUUGCUGCUAGAGCUUUGCACCUCUCAAGAGGAGUGGAAAAACCAAGUGGAAGGGUCACAUAUAUAGUUGUUCUCGAGGGCUUGUGUAGGUUUAACGUUCAAGAACUCAGUGCUAGAGGGACAUAUCACGUCGCCCGCAUUUCACGUCUUGACAUGACAAAAGCUGGUAAGAUUUUGUUUGCUUUAUUAUCUGCUAGUUUUUUUUUGGUUUCUCCAAUCUCUACUUGUACUGCGUUCUUAUGAUUUUUUUUUUUUUCUCAACAGAGAUAACUCUUCCUUAUGUUUUGAUUCUUUUAAAUUGUAUUCAUUGGUCGUGGGUGUAUCUUAGUUGAUUGCUGCCCACCGGCCAACUGGGGUCACAUAUAGGUCGACUACACCUGACUAUGAAAGGCAGAAAAAGUCUCUGUUGAAACUAGUUGACUAACUGAUUGACCAGACUAUUGGACUGUUCGUCCAACGUUGCAGUGUAUGGCGGCCUAGGUGAAGGGUUGUUUGGAUCUACAACACCCUGACCAAGCCAAUGAAGUAUAGCACUCGACUCAGCUUGCUAAAAAUUAUGCCUUAGCCUCUAAUAUUGAAUCAAGCCGACAAUCUUUGCAAUGUAGUCAUUUUUAUUUUUCUUCUUUUGCUUGUUUUGUCCUAGCAUUGGCAAGGUGGUUAUGUAAAUUUUAAUGUUGUUAUUUUUUUUGGAUAAAAAAAAUACUUGCACAAAAAUGAGAAGGAUACUAUUUGUUGAAUCUUGAUCUUUUUUGGCUGUUAGAGGCUUAUAAUUUAAUAAACUUUAUUCAACAAAUAUGAUGUGUCAAUGGAGCCAUCUGAUGUCGCCAUGUAUGUUGGAAGUUGUGUAUGCUUUACUGAGGAAAGUCCAAAAUUUUAUUCUUCUGAUUUACUUUUAUACAACUAAGUCCUUUGCUAUUCGUAUAGCUUUGCAGCUGAAAACCUUAAUGAGAAAAUCAUAUAGAAACUUUUGGUCUAUCAUCAAUCUGCAAAUGAUGUCAUGAUAUCCUCUUAACUACAUGCUUUGUACUUCUCAUUUAAUCAAGCUGAGUACUCAAAUUACCUCAAUGCUGUUGUAAUUUGUCAGAGUUGGAGCAAGCAGAGCAAGAUCCAGAUCUUAUUUUGCUAUCUCGCCAAUUCAAAGCUACUGCCAUGGAGCUAAUUUCUGUCCUUGAGCAGGUAAAAUAUUGAUAGAAUUUCAGUGAGUCCCAUUCGACAUUGCUGUUGUUUAUUCCAGACAUUGUGAUGCUAAAUAGUCGGUCCUGCAAUAAAACAAUUAGGAAGAAGACGCGGCAGGAAAGAAUGUAUUAUUGUUGGAAAUAUUGUGUACUGUUUAGUUACCUAGCUGAAGUAUUGGGUUUUCUAAUGUUUGAGAAGAUCUCGAAAUUUCAAGCAUUGCUUAUAUCUGUACUUUCUUUUUUAUGGUCUCCAUAUGUAUUAUGAGUCAUGCUCCUGCUUUUGCUUCUGUUUCUUAUGUUGACACAUCGCUUUUUUAUGUGUAAUUAAUUAAUCAGUUAUAUAUAUUCCAUUGCCUAUCCAAGUAAGUUUGAUAGUCUGUAGAAGUAUUUGACAUAAAAUGAGUUGCUUCAUGUUUCUAAUUGCAGAAGCAAAAAACUGUUGGUAGGACAAAGGUUCUCCUUGAGACAGUUCCUGUGCACAGGCUAGCUGAUAUAUUUGUUGCUAGCUUUGAAAUAAGCUUUGAGGAACAGCUAUCCAUGUUAGAUUCAGUUGACCUGAAAGUUAGGCUUUCAAAGGCAACGGAACUCGUAGACAGGCACUUACAGGUAAAAAUGUUCUCAAAUGGCCUUAUUUAGUAGUUAUCGUUUAUUUCCAACCUGUCCUGAUCUUACUGUGAUGUUAUGUACUUGUUGCACUCUUUCGGUGUUGAGCAGUCAAUUCGUGUAGCUGAGAAAAUAACUCAAAAGGUCGAGGGGCAGUUAUCAAAAUCACAGAAAGAAUUUCUUCUGCGUCAGCAGGUUCGUCCUCCCACUUGUGUCAUUCUUGCAUUAUGUACUGAGCCUAGGAACAUUGCAACAGUGAAUAGGAAAGAUCUGUCUCAUUGUACAUGAUAUGAUAAGAUUUUUUUUUUUUUUUCAUGCCUUUUCAAUUCUGUUAAUCAUGCAUAGGAAUAUAUGCAGCAAUGCCUUUUCUUGCCUCUUGACAGAUAGUUUAUUAAAUUUGACUACUAGAUCCUCUUAUUUCAAACUGCUAACACACAUUUCCAAGAUUAUGCAAAGUUUGACUAAAUUAAGCGAGAAAAGACUUGAGUUUGAUUCUACUUGCUCACGUUUACUCUGCAGAUGAGGGCUAUUAAGGAGGAACUUGGUGACAAUGAUGAUGAUGAGGAUGAUGUAGCUGCUUUGGAAAGAAAGAUGCAGAGUGCAGGGAUGCCUCCUAAUAUUUGGAAACAUGCUCAAAGGGAAUUGAGGUAACUUUCAUUCUGUAAUUUACAAAACCACUUGUCAUGACAAGAACAAAAUAUAUUCUUGGACUAUGUAUUAAUCAGUUUCUAUCAACAGACGAUUAAAAAAAAUGCAGCCUCAGCAGCCUGGGUAUAGUAGUUCCCGUGUGUACCUGGAACUUCUGGCCGAUCUCCCUUGGCAGAAGGUGAGUGAAGAACCUGAACUCGACCUAAGGGCUGCCAAGGAGAGCCUUGACCGUGAUCAUUAUGGAUUAACCAAAGUCAAGCAACGGAUUAUCGAAUAUUUGGCUGUUCGCAAGGUUGUCUUUUAACUCAUCUGUGGCAUCUCUGCACGUCCUUUAAAGUUACUACAUUUACUAUUUUGACUGAAAUAGGCCAAUCAAAUUGCAGCUUAAACCUGAUGCCAGAGGCCCAGUUCUUUGUUUUGUUGGCCCGCCAGGUGUUGGGAAGACAUCGUUGGCUUCGUCAAUAGCAGCUGCUUUAAAUAGAAAGUUCAUAAGGAUUUCUCUUGGUGGUGUGAAGGACGAGGCUGAUAUUAGGGGCCAUCGAAGGACCUAUAUUGGAAGCAUGCCAGGACGGCUUAUUGAUGGGUUGAAGGUCUCUUAUUGCAUGAUAUCUUUUUUGUUCUGGUGUUUUUCUAGCUUCCAUAUAACUCAUAGUUUAUAUUAUAGCAUGCCAGGACGGCUUAUUGAUGGGUUGAAGGUCUCUUAUUGCAUGAUAUCUUUUUUGUUCUGGUGUUUUUCUAGCUUCCCUAUAACUCAUAGUUUAUAUUAUAUUGCUUGCUUGAGAGUACUUUUUUGCUAUCUAUUGUUACUUGACCUUUCAAUAGAAAGCUAUCUUUAGAUCUCUUAUGAGAUGUCUCAAAUUGUUUGGUUCUUUUUCCAACUAAUGUUAUGCUAUAUUUUGCCUCCAAUUGCUUGACCAAAUAUUUGCUCUCUAGUAGGUUACAAACCUAAAAUUACCGAUACAUGAGAAUAUCCUAUCCACGGAAUAUGCAUCUAAAGCUUUUAAAUAUAAGCCUUUUGGUGCUUGGAAAGUCCCACCACAUUUUAGUUUUUGGGCUCAAUUUGCAGUAAUGCAGGUUGCUUUAUUGGACACUAUUUUUCUUAUUGAAAGAUGAAUUGGAAAAUUUAAUUUUUUCCAGAGCAAGAAUAUCGGGCCUCUUAAAGUCAUUGGAUUAAGAAACUGGUGGUAGUAUAAUGGUUAAGCACAUGGCUUAGCCUUUCAAUUGGAUAGUGACUAAAUCAAUGUUUGGACCCUCAUAAGAACUCUUUUCUGCCUUUGCUGCCUCUUUUGCUGCUUCUGAAACUGUCAAAUCACCUUGAAAGAGUUCUUGGCAUAGAGUUAGCAUCAUCUACUAGGAUUACUGUCAUGACGAUUUAAAUUCUACCAAAAAGACAUGUCUCAAGUAUAAAUGGGUGCUGAAAUUUUUAAACUUGGAUCCACUAUUCACGUCUUUUGUACUUGUAAAUGCAGAGGGUGGGUGUUGGCAAUCCUGUCAUGCUUCUUGAUGAAGUUGAUAAGACAGGUUCUGAUGUUCGUGGGGAUCCAGCAUCAGCACUAUUGGAAGUUCUUGACCCAGAGCAGAAUAAUACAUUCAAUGACCAGUAUCCUUUUCUUUUACUGAUAAAACGUUCUCAUUUAAGUGCUGGCUACUUUAAAUUUGUUCUUUCAGUUAUUGAUUAUUGAGCUUACAAUUACCUCCUGUUAUUUUGGCAACAUUUAUUCAUGUUUUUCCAUAUACUUAAGACUGUUUGUUUGUUGAGACAGUCAGCCUGGAGUACUUCAGUAUUGUGGGCUUAUGUCCCGAACCCUGUGGCCUCAUUUGAGCAAGCCUCCAUGUCUACCCCCUCUUCAAACAGGGUGAAUCCCUGUUUAAUCAAAAAAAUAUUGUGGAUUUAAAUAUUUGAAUAGAAAGUCACUGUGUACUUGCAUCUGCCUUUUGUAUAUUGAUAUUUUCCUCAAGUCUUUAGAAUCGACAUAUCAAUUCUUUCAGCUUCUGUUAUAAAGCAAACCUUACAUUAUGUAAAUGCAAUCAGAAAUAAGAUACCAUUAGUAUUAAAUUCUUUAAUCUUUUUGAGUACAAAUAAUUAAGUGGUAAGAAUAGAAGCAGUUUAAAAAAUGAUAAAUUGAUAGGGAGAUAAGUCAUUCACUAUCAGAUUUCAGAGGGAAUACUGAGGGUUGAGUGUAUAGAUGAUGAUGUGACAGGUAAGGGAGCUCUUCACUUGCUGCGAGAGGGGAAUAGGUAUUAGGGAGUAGAUUGGUUGUGAUAUAACACGGACCACAUUCUUAUGCCUUUGGAGGGUGGAGGAUCAAGAUAUGAGAUUUAAUUAUUGUUGUUUCGGGAGUAUUAGUAGGAGUGUUGUUGAGCAAGAGGGUGAUGAGAUUAGCUGAAGCAGUGCAAAUCAAAUAGGGUAUGUGUCGAAGGAGAGCAAUUUCCAUACACAUUUCCACCUUCAUGAGUUUAGCCGUCAGUUGGCUAUCUGCUAUAAUCCUAUAAUUUUGAAAAGAGAAACCUAAUUUUCAUGUUAUAGGAGCCUUUAUCCAGAGAUUUCUUUCGGAAAAUGUAAUUAGUGUGAAAGAUUAUGGUGCGAAGUACGUUAAAUCAAAGUUCUUUCCGGACAAGGUUAAAAAAUCUUUACAUUUAGUAACCUGUAAUAUGUAGUCUUUUGUCAUCAUGACAGUUUUAAUCAUAUAACUAGCUGAACUCUUGAUUCGCCAUGUUCCUUAACUUGUGAUACAGCUAUUUGAAUGUUCCAUUUGACUUGUCGAAGGUGAUAUUUGUUGCAAUGGCAAACAGGGUGCAACCUAUUCCACCACCCCUUUUGGAUCGGAUGGAAGUCAUUGAGCUUCCUGGUUAUACACCUGAAGAGAAGCUAAAAAUGGCAAUGAAACAUCUUAUACCAAGAGUCCUAGAUCAACAUGGUUUGAGCUCUGAAUUUCUUCAGAUUCCUGAGGUAUGUUCCGAUACACCUUUGCAGAUUUUCUCCUCUUGAGUUGCAGCUGAUAUUUGCUUUCGAUUUCUCUAAUCUUUUUCUAUGCUGUCAUCCUGUCUAUCAGUGAAAUUGCUCCUAAAAUUUCUAGGCUAGUUUGAUAAAACAUCUAAUAGCAAUAUGUUAGUUAAAAGUACACAGGUCUCUAAUGACGAGUGGUGAUUAUUCCCUUCCUUUUCAUUCUAUGAUAAGGAUUUUCCAAAGGUGAGAAUUGUCUUGUGGCUCAAUUGGAACAUCAAAAGAUCAAAAACUGUGAAGUCUGGAAGUUACAAAUCAUCAUUAUGACAAAGUUUCAAUAUCUUCCCUGAAUGAGGACUUGAAACUUUAAACUGGACUGCCUUGUUUUCUUGGUUGGUUGUUUAUAUGGCUUAUAAAGGGCAAAGAAGUGCGUGAUCCUUGGUAUUUGGGUAAGCAGACAUCACAUAUUCGCCCUUGCGUUUGUCACAUUUGUCUAAUACCAUAGAAAACUGAGGAAUGUUGUCGAGUCUUGUUGAGCCACUUAAAACUUGGAUCAGGAUAAUGAUACUACUUUCAUUGUUUGUUGUUAGGUUGUCAGCUGUCUAUAUAUGAACUUGUAUUUCUCUCUAGAGCCUUGGUGAAUUUGAGUUGUCUUCUUUCUGGCCCUAAAUAGGGAAAGGGCCAUAAUGCUUAUCUAUUGACACUUUAAGUAAUUUAUUCUUUCCAUCCAAACAAUAAUAUUCUCACUAUCAUCGUUUACAAUUAGCAUGACCACAAUUUGUUCUAACUGUAUCUUUAUAUAGGCCAUGGUAAAACUCAUUAUCCAAAGAUACACUCGAGAAGCUGGUGUGCGUAACCUUGAGAGGAACUUGGCUGCUCUGGCCCGUUCAGCUGCUGUCAAGUUUGCAGAGCAAGAGAGUGCAGUUCAAGUUGGCAAAGACGUACAACCAAUGACAACGUCCCUUCUUGACACCAGGCUUGCAGAUGGUGCUGAAGUUGAGAUGGAAGUUAUUCCUAUGGGCGUCAACAGCCAGGAGAUAUCAAAUUCUUUUGAAAGUGCCUCACCUAUUAUCGUAGAUGAAGCUAUGCUGGAAAAAGUGCUUGGGGUAUUCGCUUGUAUUUCACUUUUCAAGCUCAAAACACUUUCCUCUCGGCUGUUUAAUUUGCAUUUUGUUAAUCAAAUAUUUCAAUGUUAAUUGUUUAUUUGCGAUAUUGCAGCCUCCUAGGUUUGACGACAGAGAAACUGCAGAACGAGUGGCAACUCCUGGAGUAUCAGUUGGACUAGUCUGGACUUCCUUUGGUGGGGAGGUUCAGUUUGUCGAAGCCACAGCAAUGGUGGGAAAGGGUGACUUGCAUUUGACUGGACAGCUUGGUGAUGUUAUCAAAGAAUCUGCACAAAUAGCUCUCACAUGGGUAUGUCUCUUUGCACACUUAUUUGGUUUAUCUUGCAGGUAAAUGAUCAAGUUCUCAUUAUGUUCCAACCUGUCUCCUCUAGUCCCUACUAAAUUGGUUUUGCUUGUUUGGGCUUUCCCAUUUAGUUGGUUGGAGGUCAAUCUUAGCUGUCCCUCUAUGCACAACUCUGUUAGAAGGGGUUAGUUCCUUUUGGAGAAAAUAAUAGGCUGCUUAGUUUGUUCGUUUAGGCAUGUUACACUUAGUUGUAUAAUCUUUCAACUUUAGAUGGAAUGUAUAUUCAGAAUAUAGUUGCAAGCAUAUCCAAAAAUUUAAAUGUGCAGUAGUGAGAUAAUUGGAUAUCUGUUGUUGUUCAUAACUUUAUUUUAUUAUUAUUAUUAUUAUUAUUAUUAUUAUUUGUUUCCUCAGGUAAGAGCAAAAGCAGCAGAGCUGAAUUUGUCAGCUUCUUCGGGGAUUAAUUUAUUGGAGAGUCGUGACGUUCAUAUUCAUUUUCCUGCUGGUGCCGUGCCAAAGGAUGGACCAUCGGCAGGAGUUACUUUGGUGACAUCGCUUGUUUCACUAUUCAGUCAGAGGAAAGUUAGAGCAGACACUGCAAUGACCGGAGAAAUGACUCUGAGGGGCCUUGUAUUACUAGUUGGUGGCAUCAAGGAUAAGGUAGGUUUUUUUGCAUGGUAUACUAUGUUGUGGAAAUAAUGCGAGAGAUACUCCAUUAGGAAUACGUUCCUUGUAAAUUAUGUAUCUUUUAAUUUAUUUAUACUUUAAUUUGCUCCUUCAGGUAUUGGCAGCUCAUCGUUAUGGCAUCAAGAGAGUAAUCUUGCCGGAACGGAAUUUGAAGGACCUAACUGAAGUCCCAUCGGCCAUUCUAUCUGGCAUGGAGGUAUUUUUUCUGCUUUUUUGCUUGGAACUUUUUUAAUGUAGAUUCUCUUGUAAUUAUUUUAAUAACGUUUGAAGAAUUUGAUAAUAGAUGACAGCACUUACUGUACUCACCGACUGAUCAUCAUCUUGUCAAAAUGCUCACUAAUUUGACGAACCAGUUCUGGAUCUGAGCACUGAGAAAAUUUGAAUAUUGAUGAUCUAAUGAAACUAUUAUCUCUCAUAACAGUCAUAACUAAGAAUCAUAUCUUCUGUUUGAAUAUACAGUCGUUGAAUUAUCGAAGUGCUUUUUCUGUUUGAGUUAAUAGAUACUGGCUCCUCGAGUUAAAAAUAUUUUUUCUUGGAGUAAUUUGUUUGAUAAAAGCAUCAAAUUCCUGAAAUAGAUGGUUUAGGUAUGUGGUGAAAGAUUGUAUGCUAACUGGCUAGUUUGGAGAUAUCUUCCAACCUAGCUAAAAUCUUCAAAUAUCUGUUAAAAUCUGCAUUUAUUGUAAUUUAUUGGUACAUCAAAAUCAAGUGAAGCCCUUACAGCAAACGGCUAGAAUAUUUAAUGAUGAUUGAUCCCUAGUCCUGUGGUUUUUCUUUUCUGGUUAGAUUUCUUGUUAGAUCUUCUGUACUUGUAAUAUUACGUCUUACACUUUGAGAUUGUACGAUUUCUUAUCCACUUUGAGAUGAUAGUUUCUCUUAUGGUGUCCAAAAACACAUUAAACUACUGCCGAUGCGCUAAAGAAAUUAGUUAAAAUUUAAUGAGAACCAUUGAACCAAAAAAAUAUCAUGUUUAAUCUCCUGCUUGAAUGAUCUUUCCAUAUAUUCCUGCUUAGUUUCUGACUACCAGUUAUCUUAACUCUUCUGUGGUUCCUAUUUUUAACAGAUUUUGCUUGUGAAGCGUAUUGAGGAAGUACUGGAACACGCAUUUGAAGGUGGAUGCCCCUGGAGGAAACAUGCUAAGUUAUAGCAUUCUCCAGUGUUCUCCAAUCGUGGAGUAAAUAUCGAUGGAAUUGCCGUUUUCGACCAGAUUUAGGGCAACCUGAUUGACAAUAGCAGAUGCGAUCGUAUCAGCACGCAUCCAAUAUGCGGAACCGAGCCAUUGGAUAAGAUAUCUACUGGAAAUAUAAAAUACGGGCUCAGUAUUAGCCAGUGUAAUGUCUUCGAAAGAUUGACCUGAAUGAGUUAUAUAAUCCCCGCUUUAGAGCAUUAGCCGUUUCUAGCCGAUCCUAUAAUUAUAUUUGGGAUCAAAGGCUUAGUUAUCGUUGUUAUUGCUGCCGCUGCGGCCACAGAGCAUGUGGCUAUCGUUGUGCUACGAACUCCCGAUUUGGCUCAGCAAUUUGUGUAAGGCUAGUCUCUCUGAUUCUGUAUUAUGUAUAAUUUCAAACUGGAAGCGAAAGUCUCUCCUAUUUAACAUAAAUUGUCUCAAAAACAUUGAUGUGUAUGCCACUGAGGGAUAGGAGCGUUAGUCUCAAACAAAUGAGGCUAACUUUGCCUUGCUCUGUUUCAAUCUUCUCCCUUGGUGGUGGUUGUGUGUAUUCAUAUUUCUUAUUCUUUUCCUUUUUAUGUUCGGAUUCUCUCUCGCUUUCCUUCCUAAAAAAUUUGGCUUCUCUCUUACGAGUUUGGAAUCAAGUUUGUAGUUUAGCGGUGGUUUCCACUGCCACUUUGUAGAAUCAAAGGGGGGGAAUUUAAAUGGUUGUUUGAAUUUUCUUGGAUCCUUCAAAGCAUCCAGGGUCGCGAAACGGGUCGAAAGGGAGAUUUUUGUUAGUCACUAGAGAUGUCAACGGGUCGGAUUCGGGUGAAUUUUUAAAAACCCGAAUCCGAACCCAACUCCAAACCCGAGACCCGAAUCCGAACCCGACGGAUUUUAAAAAUCCAUAUCCAAACCCGAACCCGACCAAAAAUCCGAAACCCGAAGCCGAAUUCGAAAAUUUGAAUCCGAAACAAUUAUUUUUUUUUUCAAUAUUUCAAAAUAAAUUAUAUUAAAUCUAAAUUUUUAAAAUACAAAUUUAAAUAUAACAUCAAAUUUUUAUAUAUAUAUUAUAUAUAAUACAAAAUAAAUUUGGGUUCGGGUCGGGUUUGGGUCGGGUACAAUCAAAAUUCAUAUCCGAAUCCAUAUCCGUCAGGUUUCUAUUUUAAAUAUCCAUAUUCGAAUCCAUAUCCAUCGAAUAUAUCCGUUUCAUUCGGGUUCGGGCUCGGAUAAAAUUUCGGGUAUCCAUACCCAUUGACAUCCCUAGUCACGCUUAGCAGCAAAACCGAGGUAAGCUCAGUGAGCUAAAGUAAGUUCGAUUUUAACUCAAAAUUGUAGAUAUAAAAUGGUUUAGUUCAUAAGAAUUAUAGAUACCGAAAAUUAAUGAUUUAUAUUAUAUAUAAUUUGUAAAUUUUUCAGAUAUCAUGAAACAUGUUUAAUCAAUUAAAUUUUAAUUAUUAUUAGAUCUCUAUGCUAGAAUUUUCACAAUGGACAGAACUUUGAAUAGUCGAGACCAGGAGUGCACUAGGUUCAUGCAACAAUUUCGGAGUUGGAAUCUUAUAAUCCACUAUUGUAAGGUUUUGGCUGUUUAGCCAACCAAAAUGAUAAAAUUAAUGUGAAAAAAAUAGUCCCGAUAAAAUUAGAGGAUUGCAAAUCAAAACGAAUUGCCAUAGGAUGGCAAACAAUAUAAAGAAUACCUCUACAAAAUUAUGAAAUUUGGUUUCUAAAUAAUUCCAAUAGCAUAAAUCAUGUCUAACGGAGUCGAUCGCAGGAUCGGAUGCUCUAUUAUCGAAAACAACUUACAAGCACGGAUGCUUCCGUAUUUUCGAAAGCAUAAGAGCCUAGCUCUCUCUCUCUCUCUCUCUCUCUCUCUAUAUAUAUAUAUAGGGAAAAUUUCAUAGGUACUCCUAUAGGAGACUGAAAUUUCAUUAAUAACCUUCUAAAAUUGAAAAAAUCACGAAUGACCUUCUCAAUUCAAAAAUACUCAUGAAUGCCCUUACAGGUAAAGUGUCGUUAAAAUCUAACCGAACAGAUUAUAAAUGACAUUUCUAUUCCUGUACGGUUCAUUAAGUAUAGGAAGCCGUAAUGGUAUAUUAGCACUAUUCACAAAUGCCCUCUUAUUCUCUCCACAUAGCAAUGAGCCCACUAAGUUGUCGAUAUUUUACAACACCUCAUAACACAACUCCUAAUUGUGAUUGUCGUAAACCAUGCCGAAUUUAGAUGUCAAAACAACCACACAAUAAAGGUCGAUGAUUUUAUUGAUGUCCAAAUUGGAGGGUAAGUUGAUGUGAUACAUUAGUGUGCAUAUAAAGGCUAAGUUACAUAAAACCUUCAUGUCAAAAUUCGAUUUUUCACUUUCCUCCUCUGUCAUUUGAAAACCUACACUUUGCCCUCUUGUAAAAUGAAAAUUGUUCACUUCGCCUCUUGCCGUUAGUAAUCUGUUAGAGUUCCGUUUAUAAAAUAUUAUUAUAUAUUUUUUUAUGCCAAAAAUGCCAUCAACCUUCUCUCCUGUGAACAUGAUGAGAGGCAAAAUAGUGAAGGGCAAAAUGGUUAUUUUAUCAUCACAGUUCACACCGUACUCCUGUGAACAUUUUUUAUUUUAUAAGAAGGCAAAAUGUAGGUUUUUAAAUGAUAAGAGGGAAAGUGAAAAAUUAGAUUUUGAUAGGGGAGUUUUCUGUAAUUUAGCCUUAAUUAAAUUUCAAAUAUAUAAUGCUGUAUAUUUUCUAUAGAUUUAGGAAUAAAGAUAAUGCAACUUUGGGUAUUUACUUUUCAAUGCAGCACAGUUAACCUUGAGUACCAAAUACAUAUGCUGAAAAUAAUAUAGGCCGAAGAAUUAUGAAAUUGGAGGAGAAAAUCCUCCUGUGUACUUUAUAUACUAGUUUUUAAAUUUUUUUAUCUUAGCAUUAAUUAGUUAUUUCCCGCCAAAUAUAUCAUUCUAACUUUUGGGGAAAAACUUAUCAUUCUAUAUUUUAACUUUCAUUUAACUACAUUUUAAUUCAGGUAGAGCGACGUAUCCUUAACAGCAAGGAUAGUUAUGAUAAUUUUAUAUGUUUGAAGAGGUGUUUAUUAUAUUUGAAAGUUUAGAGGAGUAUUCAUGAAAUUUACAAGUUUGAUAAGCUUACUAAUGAAAUUGCCCUUUUCUUUAUAUCAAUAAUUAAUUAUAUCAAUAAUUGCAUAUAAUUUAGGGUAAACUUCAAAUACUAAUCCUGUGGUUUCGUACUUUUUUACUUUAAUAUCAUGUAGUUUAAAAAGUUUCACUUUAGUACCCUAUGAUUUUAUUUUUCUCUUUCCACCAGCAUCUCCCUUAACUCUCCAUUAAAUUAUAUACAGAAAAAUUUCAGAUACCCCGCCCUAUGAUUUAUUGAAUAUUCACUUUAGUAUCCUGUGGUUUACCGAAUUUUUACUUUAGUACUCUAUGGUUUUAAUUUUAUCACUGAUAUAAUAGAAAAUUAAUGGAGAGGAUAACAGAAAGAGAAAUUUAUUAAAUUUAUUAAAAUUAAUAAUGAAAUAAUAUAAAAGCUCAAAUAAAAAAAUAGAGGUUAAAGGGNAUUCAUUUUCCUGCUGGUGCCGUGCCAAAGGAUGGACCAUCGGCAGGAGUUACUUUGGUGACAUCGCUUGUUUCACUAUUCAGUCAAAGGAAAGUUAGAGCAGACACUGCAAUGACCGGAGAAAUGACUCUGAGGGGCCUUGUAUUACCAGUUGGUGGCAUCAAGGAUAAGGUAGGUUUUUUUGACCGGUAUACUAUGUUGUGGAAAUAAUGCGAGAGAUACUUCAUUAGGAAUACGUCCCUUGUAAUUAUGUAUCUUUUAAUUUAUACUUUUAAUUUGCUCCUAAAGGUAUUGGCAGCUCAUCGUUAUGGCAUCAAGAGAGUAAUCUUGCCGGAACGGAAUUUGAAGGACCUAACUGAAGUCCCAUCGGCCAUUCUAUCUGGCAUGGAGGUAUUUUUUUCUGCUUUUUUGCUCGGAACUUUUUUAAUGUAGAUUCUUUUGUAAUUAUUUUAAUAACGUUUGAAGAAUUUGAUAAUAGAUGACAACACUUACUAUACUCACUGACUGAUCAUCAUCUUGUCAAAAUGCUCACUAGUUUGACGAAACAGUUCUGGAUCUGAGCACUGAGAAAAUUUGAAUAUUGAUGAUCUAAUGAAACUAUUAUCUCUCGUAACAGUCAUAACUAAUAAUCAUAUCUUCUGUUUGAAUAUGUAGUGGUUGAAUUAUCGAAGUGAUUUUUCUGUUUGAGUUAAAAAUAAUUUUUCUUGGAGUAAUUUGUUUGAUAAAAGCAUCAAAUUCCUGAAAUAGUUGGUUUAGGUAUGUAGUGAAAGAUUGUAUGCUAACUGGCUAGUUUGGAGAUUUCUUCCAACCUAGCUAAAAUCUUCAAAUAUCUGUUAAAAUCUGCAUUUAUUGUAAUUUAUUGGUAUAUCAAAAUCAAGUGAAGCCCUUACAGCAAACGACUAGAAUAUUUAAUGAUGAUUGAUCCCUAGUCCUGUGGUUUUUCUUUUCCAGUUAGAUUUCUUGUUAGAUUGUAAUUGUAGGAUUUCUUAUCCACUUUGAGAUGAUAGUUUCUCUUAUGGUGUCCAAAAACACAUUAAACUACUGCCGAUGCACUAAAGAAAUUAGUUAAAAUUUAAUGAGAACCAUUGAACCCAAAAAAUAUCAUGUUUAAUCUCCUGCUUGAAUGAUCUUUCCAUAUAUUCCUGCUUAGUUUUUGACUACCAGUUAUCUUAACUCUUAUGUGGUUCCUAUUUUUAACAGAUUUUGCUUGUGAAGCGUAUUGAGGAAGUACUGGAACACGCAUUUGAAGGUGGAUGCCCCUGGAGGAAACAUGCUAAGUUAUAGCAUUCUCCAGUGUUCUCCAUUCGUGGAGUAAAUAUUGAUGGAACUGCCGUUUUCGACCAGAUUUAGGGCAUCCUGAUUGACAAUGGCAGAUGCGAUCGUAUCAGCACGCAUCCAACAUGCGGAACCGAGCCAUUGGAUAAGAUAUCUACAGAAAAUAUAAAAUAUGGGCUCAGUAUUAGCCAGUGUAAUGUCCUCGAAAGAUUGACCUGAAUGAGUUAUAUAAUCCCCGCUUUAGAGCAUUAGCCGUUUCUAGCCGAUCCUAUAAUUAUAUUUGGGAUCAAAGGUUUAGUUAUCGUUGUUAUUGCUGCCGCUGCUGCCACAGAGCAUGUAGCUAUCGUUGUGCUACGAACUCCCGAUUUGGCUCAGCAGCUUGUGUAAGGCUAGUCUCUCUGAUUCUGUAUUAUGUAUAAUUUCAAACUGGAAGCGAAAGUCUUAAAUUGUCUCAAAAACAUUGAUGCGUAUGCCAUUGUGGGAUAGGAGCGGUAGUCUCAAACAAAUGAGGCUAACUUUCCCUUGCUCUGUUUCAAUCUUCUCCCUUGUGGUGGUUGUGUGUAUUCAUAUUUCUUAUUCUUUUCCUUUUUAUGUUCGGAUUCUCUCUCGCUUUCCUUCCUAAAAAAAUUUGGCUUCUCUCUUACGAGUUUGGAAUCAAGUUUGUAGUUUAGCGGUGGUUUCCACUGCCACUUUGUAGAAUCAAAGUGGGGGAAUUUAAAUGCUUGUUUGAAUUUUUCCUUCAAAGCAUCCAGGAUCGCGAAACGGGUCGCAAGAGAGAAAUUUGUUAGUCACGCUUAGCAGCAAAAACGAGGUAAGCUCAUUGAGCUAAAGUAAGUUCGAUUUUAACUCAAAAUUGUAGAUAUAAAAUGGUUUAGUUCAAAAGAAUUAUAGAUACCGAAAAUUAAUAAUUUAUUUAUAUUAUAUAUAAUUUGUAAAUUUUUCAGAUAUCAUGAAACAUGUUUAAUCAAUUAAAUUUUAAUUAUUAUUAGAUCUCUAUGCUAGAAUUUUCAGAUUGUGGUCCACAGUGCACUAGGUUCAUGCAACAAUUUCGUAGUUGGAAUCUUAUAAUUCACCAUUGUAAGGUUUAGGCCGUUUAGCCAACCAAAAUGAUAAAAUUAAUGUGAAAAAAAAUGGUCCCGAUAAAAUUAGAGGAUUGCAAAUCAAAAUGAAUUGCCAUAGGAUGGCAAACAAUAUAAAGAAUACCUCUACAAAAUUAUGAAAUUUGGUUUCUAAAUAAUUCCAAUAGCAUAGAUCAUGUGUAACGGAGUCGAUCGUAGGAUCGGAUGCUCUAUUAUCGAAAACAACUUACAAGCACGGAUGCUUCCGUAUUUUCGAAAGCAUAAGAGCCCAGCUCUCUCUCUCUAUAUAUAUAUAUAGGAAAAAUUUCAUAGAUAUUCCUAUAGGAGACUGAAAUUUCAUUAAUAAUCCUCUAAAAUUGAAAAUAUCACGAAUGACCUUCUCAAUUCAAAAAAUACUCAUGAAUGCCCUUACAGGUAAAGUGUUGUUAAAAUCUAACCGAGCAGAUUAUAAAUGGCAUUUCUAUCCCUGUACGGUUCAUUAAGUAUAGGAAGCUGUAAUUGGUAUAUUAGCACUAUUCACAAAUGCCCUCUUAUUCUCUCCACAUAGCAACGAGCCCACUAAGUUGUCGAUAUUUUACAACACCUCAUAACACAACUCCUAAUUGUGAUUGUCGUAAACCAUGCCGAAUUUAGAUGUCAAAACAACCACAUAAUAAAGAUCGAUGAUUUUAUUGAUGCCCAAAUUGGAAGGUAAGUUGAUGUGAUACAUUAGUGUGCAUAUAAAGACUAAAUUACAUAAAACCUCCAUGUCAAAAUCUGAUUUUUCACUUUCCUCCCCUGUCAUUUAAAAACCUACACUUUGCCCUCUUGUAAAAUGAAAAUUGUUCACUUCGGCCCCUGCCGUUAGUAAUCUGUUAGGGUUCCGUUUAUAAAAUAUUAUUAUAUAUUUUUUUAUGCCAAAAAUGCCAUCAGCCUUCUCUUCUGUGAAUGUGAUGAGGGGCAUAAUAGUGAAGGGCAAAAUGGUCAUUUUAUCAUCACAAUUCACACCGUACCCCCUGUGAACAUUUUUCAUUUUAUAAGGAGGCAAAAUGUAGGUUUUUAAAUGACAAGAGGGAAAGUGAAAAAUUAAGUUUUGACAGGGGGUUUUCUGUAAUUUAGCCUUAAUUAAAUUUCAAAUAUAUAAUGCUGUAUAUUUUCUAUAGAUUUAGGAAUAAAGAUAAUGCAACUAAUUUGUUUGGGUAAUUACCUUUCAACAUAGCACAGUUAACCUUAAGUACCAAAUACAUAUGCUGAAAAUAAUAUAGGCUGGAGAAUUAUGAAAUUGGAGGAGGAAAUCCUCCUGUGUACUUUAUAUACUAGUUUUUAAAAUUUUUUAUCUUAGCAUUAAUUAGUUAUUUCCCGCCAAAUAUAUCAUUCUAACUUUUGGGGGAAAACUUAUCAUUCUAUAUUUUAACUUUCAUUUAACUACAUUUUAACCUGGGUAGAGUGACGUAUCCUUAACAGUAAGGAUAGUUAUGAUAAUUUUAUAUGUUUGAAGAGGUGUUUAUUAUAUUUGAAAGUUUAGAGGAGUAUUCACGAAAUUUACAAAUUUGAUAAGCUUACUAAUGAAAUUGCCCUUUUCUUUAUAUCAAUAAUUGCAUAUAAUUUGGGGUAAACUUCAAAUACUAAUCCAGUGGUUUCGCACUUUUUUACUUUAAUAUCAUAUAGUUUAAAAAGUAUCACUUUAGUAUCCUAUGAUUUUAUUUUUCUCUUUUCGCCAGCACCUCCCAUAACUCUCCGUUAAAUUAUAUACAAAAAAAUUUCAGAUACCCCACCUAUGAUUUAUUGAAUAUUCACUUUAGUAUCCUGUGGUUUACCGAAUUUUUACUUUAGUACUCUAUGGUUUUAAUUUUAUCACUGAUAUAAUAGAAAAAUUAAUGGAGAGGAUAACGGAAAGAGAAAUUUAUUAAAUUUAUUAAAAUUAAUAAUGAAAUAAUAUAAAAGCUCAAAUGAAAAAAUAUAGGUUAAAGGGGGUGUCAACAAAAAAAAAAAAAAGUUGAUGGGCCUAUAUCAAAAUCGUUUAUAGUUGAGGGGGUCUCCAUACAUUUUACCUAUUGAAAUUAAAUUAUUUUAGUUAUUUCAACUGAAAAGUUGUGUUAAAUUUAAUAAUUUUUUUUUAUACUAUAUCUCUUAAUUUUAAAAAACUAAAAUGUAAGGGGUCUUAAUAAAAAACUGCAUAGUUAAAGAAAUUACUUCAAAAUAGAAUAUAGUCGAGGAAUCUCCGGUACAUUUCUCAAAUAGUAAUAUAGUACCAAGCAAUUAGGGGUAAAUUCGUCAUUUUAUUACUUAACCCCUUAUUAAUUAAGGUAAAUUGACGGUAUUUUAAUAGUAAGAAUAUUUAUGAUAAUUUUUUAUAAUUUAAUUAGGGGUAUGCAUGAUAUUUUAACUUUUGUAGGGGUAUCUACAAAAUUUAAAAAUUUUAGAGGGUCCGGAUGAAAUUGCCCCAUAUAUCUAUAUAUAUAUCACCCCACCCCCACUUCUCUUUUUCCGCUACCUCUCUUCCUCGUCCUCGUCCUCUUCCCCUGCCCCACCUCUCUCUCUCUCGCGCGCGCGCUCUCUCUCUCUUCCUUCAUUUUCCGAUCGGUCAUUGAUGAGGCUUCGUGAGCACAAGUGGUACUCCAAUCCUCGUCCUGAUCGUACGUUCACGUAAGCAAAUCUCCCUCUUUCCCUCUAUCUCUCUCUCUAUCUCAACCUUAAAAAUAUAUAAAUUUCGGGACUAAAAUUGGCAUGUAAGAGAAAACUAAAUAGACGAUGGUAUGAUAAUAUUGUUAAUUCUAAAACCUUCUUUUAGCAGUGUCAUUUUAUCGCGAUUAAAUCCAGAGAUUUAAAAUUUUAAUUUCAAAAAAAAGAUUAUAGACCAAAAUAAAAAUAGUGAAAAAGUCGGGGAGUAGUGUGCAAUUAUUUUUUAAAAUAUGGUAUGUGGCCCCACCCUUUUUUCAAAACGGUCAGGGUUCAUAUAUUGAAAACUAGUGAAGGACCCGGACGUUGCCGCGGGACGAUUCUGUAAAAAUAAAUAAAAUAAAAUAAAAAGAGUUAAGGAAUUAUGUAUUAAAAAAUUUGAGAGAUAAACUACUAUUACUGUAAUAAAAAAAUAAAAAAAUAAAAAGGAUUAAAAAAAUAGGGUAAAAAUCAUACAAAUAAUAAAUUAUAUUUAUAGCAACAAUAAAGGUUGAUGACUAAAAUGAUAUAUCUCAUAUUUCAAGUCAGAAAUUAUAACUAAUUAAAGUUUGAUGAUGAAAGUAUCACAUGCCUCAUAGUUUAAAUCAUAAUGUAAAGUCCGAUGAUUAAAGUCUCACUCGAGUUAUAGUUUUAAGAAUGAAAAAUAUAAAUCUAAUCUUUCAAAAUUUACUUAUAUAUAUGAGAUUUGAGUCAAUCAAUAAUACUUUAACUCUCUCUUUCUCUUCCCUCCAGUAAUGUGGGGUUCGAAAUUCAAACCAAUUCUCUUCUUUCUCAUAGAAAAUUAAAAUUUAUAUUUAAUACAUACAAUCUAAAUAUUUCAAAAUACACAUAUAUUUUAAAUUUUAAUAAUAAUUGAAAAAAUUAUAUUAAUUUUUUAAAAAAAUUUGCUUUUCAAAAUUAAUAGAAGAGAAUUAAAAAUAAAAAUUAAAAAUAUAAAAAGGGGUGGGCCCACGCUGGGCCACCCCCUCUGCCUUCCGCUUUCACGCUGCCCGGCCCCCCGCUGCAGCCGCUGCCACGCCACGGCGCUCGGCGUCGCCCGCCGCGCACUCCGGCGUCGCCUCAGUUGUCCAAUUAAGGAUUCGUGUUAUAUAUAUAUAUAGUAAUAUAGAGAGAGAGAGAUGAGAGAGGAGAGAGAGAGUGUGAGUGAUGCCUACUAUGCUAUCGAGCACAGAUUUCGUGCUUCAGCUGGUUUUCGAUGUUGGGACUUUCGACUCGGUCGAUCAGCGGUAUAUAUAAUUAUAUAUUAUUAUAUAUUACUUAUAUUAGAGAGAAGGAGAGAGGAGAGAGGAGAGGGGAGAGAGAGUGAGUGAUGUACUAUAGCUAUGGAGAUGGUACUUCCUGCUUCGUCGUUUUCGAUUGUUGAUGAUUUAGAUCGUCGAUCGCUCCGUUUAAACUUGAUUCAUAGAGUAUUUGAAGUACCUAGAAAAAUAAAUUUUUUCGAUUUUUCGAUAUCAUUUGCCUAGAAUGAAGGGGCUCAAAAUCAAGGCAUCUAAUAGAAAUAUUACAAUAAUGUAUAAUCAUGACAUUUAAAUUUUAAAGAUCGAAAAUUGAUCUUGUUUAUAUAGUAUAAGAUUUUCUAUUCAAGUUUCGUGAUUGGUAUUUGCACGUUAAUUUGCAACGGCUCACACGGCAUUGAAAUUUGUUGAUUUGGACCCAUUCGUCACUAGGCAAAUGAUAUCGAAAUAAUAAAAUUUUUUUUAGGUCUGCCAAUACUUCCGAUCAAGUAACGGAGCACCGAGCGACGAUUCGAAUGUAAAUCGAAAACGAGGUGAAGCCGAAGGCUCGUGCUUCGAUAGCAUUGUAGCCUAAACUAUUUAUAUAUGUAUAAUAUAUAAAUUAUCCUAUAUAUUUAUAUAUCUCUUAUAGUUAUAUAUUAUUGGAGCUCUAUUUAUUUUAAGUAUCAAGGCAUUGUACUUGUAGUUUGGGAUCUUGGGAUUAAAGUCAUGUGCGGUUAGGAUGAUGUGGCCUUAGGAUUAGUGGGGUGUGUUGGGUUGAAAGUAUAUUUAAGGGUGAAAUGAUCAAAGGCAGAAAUCCUAACAGUAAUUUACAGCACAAGUGUUGGGUAUAUUUUCAAGCCAUGCGGAUAUAUUGUAAUAUAUUAUAUAUAUAUAUAUAUAUAUAUGUAAGAUUAAAUGUGUAUAAUGGUAUCACAGAAUUAUUUUUAAAAUCAAUUUUUUAAUAAUAAAGAUAAAUCUCUUGAAGGUGAAAAAAUAAAAAAUACUCUUCUACUAAAUUAUAAGUUCCAAAAUCCUUUUAAAAAAGGAUAACUUAUUCAAACAUUCAAAUAAAAAGAUGUAGAUUAAUGAGUUCAAAUCAAUCAACCAGAGCUUUUCGGGUGCAUUCAUUUUAUUAGAUUUGCCGCACUUUAGGAUGCACAAGUUUAUGUUAGGGCUGUCUAUGAAUUGAACACGAGCGAUGAUUAAUAAAUAUCAAGCUAAAAAAUCUAGUUUAUGCUUGACUUGUUUAUUAAUGAGUCGAACAAGGACUGCCUUGUGAAAGGCAAGUUAGAUUAUCAAUCCUACUAUAUUUUUAAUCUAAUAAUUAAAAUUCACAAAAUAUAGGUCUUCUGAAAUUUGGAUUGGCCUAAAAUUCAAUGAGUAGAAAUUUCUAAUAUAUAUAUAUAUAUAUAUGAUUUGAGCUACAAUACUAUUAAUAGUAUUUGNUAUAUAUAUUUAUAUAUGAUUUGAGCUACAAUACUAUUAAUAGUAUUUGUCAUUUAUUGCUAUUAAAUUUUUUACUUUUGGAUCAAUUCCGUUGAUUAUUUCUAACCAUUUUAAAUAUUAUAACUCAGUGGGAACCACUCAACCCUAGGGGGACCACUCAAUCCUAGGUAAGAGACUAAUAUCAUCCUAACCCUGCAAUUUCUCAUUCAAGAGUUAAAUAUUUGAUAGCAAAAAAGACCAAAUAUUAUCAAUAGUAUUUCAGCCCAACUCUCUCUAUAUAAAUAUAUAACUCUCUCUCUCUCUCUCUCUCUCUCUCUCUCUCUCUCUCUCUCUCUAUAUAUAUAUAUAUAUAGUUGAGCUAGAAUACUAUCGAUAGCAAACGGGUUCGUUGCCACCCAUUUAUUUUCGAUGAUGGAGCUUGCAAAUUGACGAUCAGCACCGUUAAACAUGAUCUAUACCACUUGAAGUAUUUAGAAAUCAAAUUUCAUAUAUUUUUGAUAUUGUUCUCUUAUCUAUCGAGUGGACACAAAAAAUGAACGGCUGAAAAUGAUUAUUUUUUAAAAAAUGAUAAAAGGAGUCAUGUAAUCAAGAUCAAGAGUAUAGAUCUUGUUUUAAAUAGUUUAAAGAAUUUUCUAACAAAAAUUUAAUUGAUUUGAAUAUCUUUACGCCGUUAAACGAGAAAACGCCUCAUAUCGACCAUUAAAAUUACAAAAUUUGAAACUCUUUGAUCAUUAGGCAAAUGAUGUUAAAAAGAUUUUAAAUUUGAUUUCUAAACACUUCAAAUGGUAUAGAUCAUGUUCAACGGUGCCGAUUGUCGAUUUGGAGGCUCUAUUAUCGAAAACAAAUGGAUGGCAACGGAAUGGAAUACUUGCUAAUUUAAAGGUGUAAAAGAAUCGAAAUCGAUUAAAUUUAAUAUAAAAAAUUCUAUUCACUAUCUAGAUAAUGAUAAAUAAUUUUGAUUUUAAAUUAAAGUAUCUGAUCAUUCAUUUUUAGGAUAUCGUUCGAUUUUGACUUUUCAUUUUAUACUCACUUAAUGGACUUUAUUAUAAUUUUGAAAAAUGAUUAAAUUUAUUUUCUAGAAGUUUGAAAUACUCUACAUCAUAUUUAACAGUAUGGAUCAUCGAUUCGGAAGCUCAAUCAUUGAAAAUAAUUUAUGACUACGACGGGUUCUAUACUCACAAGACUGUAGAAGUCAGAUGUGUGUGUGUGUGUGUGUGUGUGUGUGUGUAGACAAGGUUUUAAGUGCCCGUCGGCAUAGGCCAUAUCCAUCGUGUCGUACUGUGUCAACAAGAUAUCGGCACGAUACAGAUCCUGUGCUGAUGGCACAGCUCAAAAUCCUCUAUUCUUUAAAUUAGUAAGUAGUUUUCUCAAUAAAGUUCAAAAGAUGUGAUAAAAAGAUAUAGUAAACAGUUAGAAUAUUUUGUUGCUAAAGAAAAUAAAUAUUUCAUGCUAUUAUGUGUCGGCAUACAAGAAUUUAUUUAACUGGCACGGCUCGGCACGCACCGUGCCGUACCGUGCCGACAAGUUUUCGGCGUGAUCCCGUGCCACGGCACUUAAAUCCUUGUGUGUAGAGCUACUAUGCUAUCGGAAGCAUAAAGUAGUUGGUACUUCCAAUUUUUAGCCCUUAGAUCAAAAUUCUACGGUUGGGAUGAUAGCGGUCCCCAUUGGUUAAUAAUAUUAAUCUUAUUGUUAGAAAUGAUCAAUGGGAUUAAUCUAGGGCUAAAAAAUUGGAAGCACCAACUACUUUAUGCUUCUGAUAGCAUAGUAGCUACACACGACUACUAUAUAUAUUAUGAUAAGUACGAUCGCCUUCAUCUUCGUAAGUCAUUUUCAAUGAUAGAGCUUCCAAAUCGAUGAUCCAUACUGUUAAACAUUAUCUUGAGCAUUUAAAGUUUCUAGAAAUCAAAUUUUAUAAUUUUUUAGCAUCAUUUAUAUUACGAUCAAAAGAUCUCAAAAUUAAUAAUUUUUAAUGGCCGAUAUGGAAUACUUGCUAGUUUAACAGUGUAAAAAAAUCGGAAUCAGUUGAACUUUUGAUAAAAAAUUCUAUUCACUAUCUAGAUAAAAAUUAAUAACUCUAAUCUUAAAUUGAAGGAUAUGAUCAUCCAUUUUUAGGACGUCGUUCAAUUUUGACCAUUUAUUUUAUGCCCGCUUGAUAAAUUUUAUUAUGAUUUUUACGAAAUUUAUUUUUUAAAAGUUUCAAAUACUCUAAAUUAUAUUUAUCGGAGUGAAUUGUCGAUUCGGAAGAUCCAUUAUCAAAAAUAACUUAUGAGUCCGAACUCUCCCCCCCCCCGCCCUCCGUCUAUAUGUUCUCAGCGCUCGUUCUCCUCGGCGUCUCGUCGCCCGCUCCUUGUUUCGCCGGUCUCUCGUCGUCUAUUAUAAGUAUAUAUAUAUAGUAUAAUAGUAGUAAUAUGAGACUUCAGCUCAUGUGCGUUGUUAAAAGUACUGAAACACUUUGGUACUUGUAUUUUUAUCUUUAGAUUAUCCCUUGAUCAUUCAACCGUUUGAUUAUACUAUUAACUCACCGCCACUCAAGUUCUACUAUCGGACCACGCAACAGUAUCCUAACCAUAUCAUCCUCCUAAUCCACAUGUCAAAAUCUACAAGCACCAACACUUGGUAGCUUUUAAAAAUCAUAGGAGCUCAAUUCGAUAUAUACAAUAUUAAAAUAGUAUACCUAAUAUAUAUAUAUAUAUAUAUAUAAAGCUGGGGCUAUACUAUAAUUUUAUGAGCUAUAGAUCCGUUGUAAAUCAUAAAUGUUUUAACGCGUUGCAUUGAUGGAUGUGUGGGUUUAAGGAUGGAUGGUGUCCCACCCUUUAAAAUGAUAGUAGUCCUACGGGUUGAGUGGGUUUUGGUCAAAUAGUAUGAUCUAACGGAUGAAAAAAUGAUUAAUGGAUGAUAAAUGUAAGGCCCGGAAAAUUUAUGAGUUAAGGAGUAUAUCAAUACCGAACGAACACCGUGGACAGGUUCCCGCUUUCGGCCUUUCGUACAGCCAAUGGGCUCAUACUACACGACAUCGCUCAGCCCCGGCCCUCAGCACGGACUUCGCCGCGACUCCGCUUCCGCUGAGCACAUCUCAGCAGCCCCCCUCUCUACCGGAUCUUCUUCCUCAUAUCGUCUUCUCCCGUCUCCUCACCCAUUACCUCGUGUCCUUCGUCACCUCUGCUCUCUUCCUCCCAGGUCUACUCUCGUGCUUCUCCGUCCUCCUCAUCCGCUCACUUCUCCCUCUCCCUUCUCCCCUUGUGGACCUGGCCCGGCGCGCGCGGGACCGGCUGCGGGCACUGCUCUACUGCUCCUUUCUCCUACGCCUCCGCGAACCUCCUGCGUCGGCGCACUCCGCUCUCUCCCCACCGUCGUCCUUUCUCCUCUCGGCCGCCCUUUUUCCUCUGUCUCUCUCUCUCGUCUCUCGCCCACCGCGCCCUCCUCUCUUCGUCCUCGUCUCUUCUCCUGCCCUCAGCUCCGUCUUCGGCUUCUCCUCUCCCCGCGCAGGCUCCCGCCUCCGUGGCCCCCUUCGACUCUCGCAUCCUCCCUCGCUCAGCCUCUCUUUCGUUCCGCCGGUCUCCCUUCCGAUCGCUCGUCCCCUCCGCCUCUCCUCUCCCUCGUCGUCCUCGUCUUCCCUCCGCUCCUCCUCUCUUCCUCGCUAUAUAUAAUAAUAAUAUAUAUAUAAUAUAGGUUAAUAAUAUUAUAUAUAUAUAUUAAUAGAUAGAGCUAGGCUGGUAUACUAUCCGGAUAGCUACGGAGGCCCUCCGUGCUACAAGUUUGUUUUCAAUGAUGGCUGGCUUUCAAAUCAGACAAUCGGCUUCGUUAACUUGAUCUACACUAUUAAAAGUUUUGGAAACUAAAAUUUCAUAAAUAUUUUCAGACAUCAUAUUGCUAGUGAUCAAAAGGCUUCCAAAAUUUUAACAAUUUUCAAUGUAGAUAUGAUGCAUUUUUAAUGAUUCAACGGAUGUAAGGAAGUAUCAAAUUAGAUGAAAAUUUAAUAGAAAUUCUACAAUUUAAAUCAAUACACGAAACCAAUACUUUUGAUUUGAAUUUUGAAUUCUUUAUCACUAUUUUUAUGAGAUUUUCAUUUUCAGCCGUUUAUUUUUAAACUACUCGUUUGAUAGGUAUAUAGCCGGAAAAAUUAUGAAAUUUAGUUUCCAAAUACUUUUAAUAGUGUAGAUCAAGUCUAACGGAGCCGAUCGUCGUUUAGAGCCGCAUCAUUGAAAAAAACUUGGUAGCACGGAGGCCUCCCGUGCUACCGAUAGUAUACCAGCCUAGCUCUAUAUAUAUAUAUAUUAUAUAUAUAUUAUAUAUAUAAUAUAUUAUAUAUAUAUAUAUAUAUUAUAAUAGUCAACUGUGAUACUAUCGAUAGUACUAAAGAUUUGGUUUAUCAAGUUUUUCACCGUUAGAUUUAACCCUCUGAUAUUUUUACUAGUUAGAAUUAUACUAUUCAACCAACACACUCGCUCAAUCCUAGAGGGCCACCAUCAUCCUAACCAUCCAUUCUCAUCUAAGGGCUAAAAAAUCAAUAGCACCAAUAGCUUGGUGCUAUUGAUAGUAUUCCAGCCUAGUUCUAUAUAUAUAUAUAUAUUAUAUAUAUAUAUAUAUAUAUAUAUAUAUAGAGAGAGAGAGAGAGAGAGAGAGAGAGAGAGAGAGAGAGAGAGAAUUGAGCUCCUAUGCUUUUAAAAGUACCAAAUUAUUGGUGCUUGUAAGUUUUCUGCCCAUGGUUUAAGGAAUGUGCGGUUAGGAUGAUAUGGGCCCCGUAAGGUUGAGUGGGUGGUUGGUUGAAUAGUAUAAUCUAAUGGGUGAAAAUGAUCAAAGGUAUAGAUCUAACGGUAAAAAAUUUACAAACACCAAAUAGUUGGUGCUUUUACAAGCACCAUAGCUGGACUCUAUAUAUAUAUAUAAUAGAGCUACUAUACUCUUAUGAGUAUAGAGCCCUUCGUACUUAUAAGUUGUUUUCGAUGUUGGGGCUUUCGAAUCGACGAUCCACAUCGUUAAACAUGAUCUAUAGUACUUGAAACUUCUAGAAAAUAAAUUUCGUAAUUUUUCGAAAUCAUAAUAAAGUCCAUCAAACAGGUAUAAAAUGAACGGUCAAAAUCGAACGUCGUCCUAAAAAUGAAUGAUCGGAUCCUUCAAUUAAAGAUCGGAGUUAUUGAUCUUUAUUUAAGUAGUGAAUAAAAUUUUCUAUAAAAAAUUUAACCUAUUCCGAUUCUUUUUAACCAUUAAACUAGCAAAUAUUUCAUACUGGCCGUUAAAAAUUGUCAAUUUUGUGAGCUUUUGAUCGUAAGGUAAAUGAUAUCGAAAAAUUAUAAAAUUUAAUUUCUAAAAGUUUUAAAUGCUCUAAAUAACAUUUAACGAUAUAGAUCGUCGAUUCGGAGGCUCUAUCAUCGAAAAUAACUUGUGAGUACGAAGGCGAUCGUACUCAUAAGAGUAUAGUAGCCGGACUAUAUAUAUAUAUAUAUAUAUAUAUAUAUAUAUAUAUAUAUAUAUAGAGAGAGAGAGAGAGAGAGAGAGAGAGAGAGAGAGAGAGAGAGAGCUAGGUUGGUAUACUAUCGUUAGUACGGAAGCCUUCGUGCUAACAAGUUGUUUUCAAUAAUGCGGUUUCCAAAUCGACGAUCGGCUCCUAUAUACUUGAUCCACACUAUUAAAGAUGUUUGAAAACUAAAUUUUAUAAUUUUUGACAUCAAUUAUCUAUCAAAUGAGUAGUCUAAAAAUGAACGACUGAAAAUAAAAAUUUCAUAAAAAAGAUGAUAAAAGACUUGAAUUUAAGAGCAGAGAUGCUGUUCUUACUCUAAAUAGUGAAAAGAAUUUUCUAUAAAAAUAUCAUCAGAUUUGAAUUGGUUUACACCGUCAAAUUCACAAACGCAUCACAUUUAUCAUUAAAAUUAUCAAUUUUGAGACCUUUUGAUCAUUAGUCAGAUUAUGGAAAAGAGAUGAGAAUUAUAAAUGUGAGUAAUUCGAUGCUAAAUUGACUGAGUUGUUUAACAUUCUCUGCUUGAGCUUAUAAUUUAAACUUUUAAUUAUGUACUAGUUAUUUAAUCUAUCAAAUAUUCUUUAUACUUCAAAUAAAUAUCUUGGUAUACAUUAUGUACAUUUCACAUUUUUUGAACCAAAUUACUUCUCAUUCAUAAUAAAAGGGGGCCCUUUUUUUUUUUUAAAACAAAAUAGUCCUCUAAAACGCGGGAACUAGAAGUGGUAAAAAUGCAACGAUCACUAAAAAUAUAAAGGGAAAACUUCAAAACCCCCCCUGUGGUUUCGUGCAUUCUCACUUUGCUACCCUGUGAUUUAAAACGUAUCAAUUUGCCCCCCUGUGGUUUCGUUUUUAUCUUUUUAUUAUCAAUUUUAUUAUUAUUUUUUUUUAAAAUCAGUGACAAAGUUAAAAUUAAAGGAUACUAAAGUGACUAUUCGAUAAAUAUAGAUGGUUAUCUGAAGUUUUUUGUAUAUAAUUUAACGAAAUAUUAACGAAAAAGCUUCCGAAAAGAUAAAAAUGAAACCACAGGGGGGUAAAUUGAUACGUUUUAAACCACAGGGUAGCAAAGUGAGAAUGCACGAAACCACAGGGGGGGUUUUUGAAAUUUUCCCAAAUAUAAAAGAAAAUAUAAGCAAAAGAAAAUUAAAGCAUCAAAUAGUAAUUUUAAUUUCUAACUACAUAUAUAUAUAUAUUUGCGUGAUGAACGUGAAAAUACUAAAAAAAAAACUCAAAAAUCUAUGAUAUAUAAUUAAUUGGUAACUUUCCUUUCAAAGAGUUCAUGAAUAUACCACAAUGAAAUUUUAUUACAAGGACCAAAUUAAAAUCAUCAUUGCGCCAAAAAAAAAUAAAAAAAAUAAAAAAAUAAAAAAAUCCUUGCAUUAAAGCAUGCAUAAAAAAGGUUUUUUGAGUUAGGUUGUUGUACUCGUAGCAGGUAUUAAUGGUUCAUUGUAACAAAACUUUAAAGGAAAAAAAAUAAUUGCUUGGACUUUAAGUAUUUGUACGUCUCAUGUACUAUAAUAAAUAAUUAAAUAAUAAUUAAUUAUUUAUUUUUGAAAAUUUAAAUUUAUUUUAGAAAAAAUAUAAUUAUAAUAUAUUUAGAGUCAAAACUAUAAAAAAAAUUUAUUAUAAAGAUGAUUUUUAGGCUAAUAUGGCAUAUACUUGCGCUUCAAAAAAUGUCGUCCUACCAAGCUGUAUCAAAUUAAUUUAUUGAAUAAUAAAUUUUAUUAUUAUUUUUUAUUUUUUGCUAUUUUAAAAUAGGAAAAACUUCAAAAAUUUUUCUGUGGUUUCGUAGUUUUUUACUUUGCCCCCUGUGGUUUAAAAUGUAUCAAUUUGCCCCCAUGUGGUUUCUUUUUUUUCUUUUUCUUAUCAAUUUCAUUAUUUUUUUUUCUUAAAUCAGUGAUAAAGUUAAUUUAUCUCAAGUGAAUAUUUAAAGGGUACUAAAGUGAAUAUUUGAUAAAUCUAGAUAGCUAUCUCAAGUUUUUUAUAUAUAAUUUAAUAAAAUAUUAACGAAAAAGCUACCGAAAAGAUAAAAAAUGAAAUCACAUGGGGACAAUUUGAUAUAUUUUAAACCACAUGGGGGGGGGGAGAAAUGAGAAACUACGAAACCACAUGGGAUUUUUUUAAAGUUUUUCCAUUUUAAAAUAUCAGGAUUUUAAAAAAUUCUAUCAUUUUAAAAUAUCGGAAUACAUUUUACAGACAUUUGGUAUAAGUGUUGAUAUAUACUUUGCAACUUUUUAUUUACCAACGUUUGUACUGCGGCUUUUGAAUACAACGAUAAACUAUUUUAAAAUGCUUUUAAGUAUCUUUAAGUGCUAACAAUUAUCUGAGCAUUCAUUAGUCCUACAUUAAACACCGAUUGAUUUAUAAAAAUUAAGUGUUUAAAAUUUAUAAUUUCGAUUUAUAGAUAAAUUGCAUCUGGGGAAACAUUCAUCGAACAAUGCAUGAUGCAAAGGUACAUGCGAUAGUUUCUUUUAUUUUUUUUAUAUUUUUUAUUUUUAAAUGAGUUGUUAAGCCGUCCAUCUAAAUUCCCACCAACCCCCCUCAAUUUUUAAUAUUUCGAAACUAGUACGGUAAAGAUAUUGCUAUUUUAUACAAAGGACGAGAGUAAUAAUUAAACAAAAUGGAUUUAAUUAGUAGUCGGCGUGUAUUGUUUCAGUGAACUCGGCAACCAAUAAUAAUAAUACACGUUGCCCAUUACUCCAUGUACAUACAUGGAAAGUAAUUAUUUUAAUUAAUUAAGUGCAUUAAAUAUUUCUAAUUUCUAGAUAUUUACCAUGCAUUGUUGGGUUGUACUCGCAUUAAAAACUAGGGAGUAAUGAGUUGUUUUAUUAGUCGGUGCAAUGAUGUGAACAAUAAUAUAAUUUGUAGAUAAAAUAAUAAUUAUGAUAAUUAAAAAUUAAAUAAAAAUCUACGAUAUAAUUAUACUAAAACUAUUGAGGAAUUAUCUUAAGUGGGAAAAACUUUAAUUAACUUUUGAGCGAUUUAGCAUAUUUAUAUUUUGUUACUGGGCAAUACAAUUUAUUUACUAAUAAUAUAAUAAAGUAAAGUGAAAUUAAUAUUAUCUUAUAUUUUGUAAGUUAUAAUAUUUUAUGAUCUAUUUAUAUUUCUCAUAAAAGUAUUUUUUUAAAAAAUACAAAAUUUAUAAAAUAAAAAUAAAAUAAACCACACAAAAGCUGAUUAAUAAAGUUUCCCUAUUUUAUAUUCCAUAACUUCUAAAAAAGCGAUUUUACCUUUUCAAACUCUCUCUCUCUCAUCUCUCUGUUUCUCCACGUGGUCUCUUCUCCAUAUCCCUGUAAAUUUGAACGUUAUGCUUAUUUUUGGACGAGUAGUGUACUUGGAAUAGGACUCUGCAUUAAAUACGUACACAACACCAAAUAUGCCGUUUGGUUCGGGUAUAAAUAGGAACUAGCUAUUACAGAAAUAGGUACAAGUAUAGAGAUAAAAAAAAAUAAUGUUUGGAUGAAAAUUGGGUUGUUUUUGGGGAUAAGAACAAUUUUAGAUAGUUUUAUAUAGAAAAUGAAAGUGUUGGUGGGGAUAACCGAGAACUACUAUUCUCGGAUAAAAAAUUAGCAUUUGGAUAACCGAGAACUAUAUAUAUAUAUAUAUAUAGAGUGAGGCUACUAUGCUAUCGGAAGCACGGAGCCUUCCGUGCUUCCACCUCGUUUUCGAUGUUGCGACUUUCGAAUUGUCGAUCGGCUCCGUUAAACUUGAUCUAGAGUAUUUGAAGUACCUAGAAAAUAAAUUUUAUGAUUUUACGAUAUCAUUUGCCUAGUGAACGAAGGGGCUCAAAAUCAACGGCUGAAAAUAAAAAUAUUACAAAAUGUAAUAAUAUGACAUUAAAAUUUUAAAUCAAAGAUAUUGAUCUUAUUUUAUAUAGUAUAAAGAAUUUUCUAUCAAAAUUUCACGUGAUUUGGAUAUUUCUACACCGUUAAACUUGCAAACGGCUCACUACGGCCAUUGANUAUAUAUAUAUAUAUAUAUAUAUAUAUAGUAAGGCUACUAUGCUAUCGGAAGCACGAAGCCUUCCGUGCUUCCAGCUCGUUUUCGAUGUUGCAACUUUCGAAUCGUCGAUCGGCUCCGUUAAACUUGAUCUAGAGUAUUUGAAGUACCUAGAAAAUAAAUUAUGCAAUUUUUUGAUAUUAUUUAUUUAGUGAACGAAGGGGCUCAAAAUCAACAGUUGAAAAUAAAAAUCUUACAAAACGUGAUAAUAUGACGUUAAAAUUUUAGAUCAAAGAUGUUGAUCUUGUUUUAUAUAGCAUAAAAAAUUUUCUAUCAAAAUUUCACGUGAUUUGGAUAUUCUACACCGUUAAACUUGUAAACGGCUCACUGCGACCAUUAAAAUUAUUGAUUUUGAGCCCCUUCGAUCACUAGGCAAAUGAUAUCAAAAAAUCAAAAAAAUUAUUUUCUAGAUAUUUCAAAUACUCUAGAUCAAGUUUAACGGAGCCGAUCGACGAUUUGAAAGUCGCAACAUCGAAAAUGAACUGGAAGCACGAAAGGCUCCGUGUUUCCGAUAGCAUAGUAGUCUCACACUAUAUAUAUAUAUAGAGUAGGGCUACUGUGUUAUUAGGACCACAGUAACCCUUGUGCUCCUAAGUUCUUAACCGCUCAUCAAAUUUGAUGGGUUGUUAGGAUGAAAGGGAAAAAAGUAAUUGGAGAGAAAUUGGAUUUCUCAAUUUCUCUUCUCUUUAAAUUUCUCUUCAAUAUCUUUUCUCUCUCAUUCACCCUAACCAUCCAUCAAAUUUGAUGGGCGGUUAAGAAUUUAGGAGCACAAGAACUGCUGUGCUCCUAAUAGCACAAUAGCCUUACUCUCUCUCUCUCUCUCUCUCUCUCUCUCUCUCUCUCUCUCUAUAUAUAUAUAUAUAUAUAUAUUUUACUAUAUAUAAUAAUACAAUCCUCCUUAAUCUAUCUUCUCUUUCCUUUCCUUCUUUUAAAUUUAUAUUUAUACAUCUCCACACCCUUCACCCACCUCCCAAAACUUAAACACUAAUCUCUCUCUCUCUCUCUCUCUCUCUCUCUCUCUCUUUCUCUCUCUUCAUUAGUUCCCAGAUCCUCUUCAAUGGCCUCGUUAAUGCUGUUGCUGCUCCUGCUCCAAUCUCUUCUCCCUCUACUAAUAUUCUCCCUAUUCUCAGGUAUAUAACUCUUCGUUUCGUAUUCAUGAUUUUCUCAGUAACAUGCGUGAUUCGCCUUACGUUCAUUCACGUCAUUAGUUAUAACUUAAAACUUGUGUGAUGAUUAUUUUUGGGUUAUUUUCUAUGACUGCGCAUUGAUGGGGUGGUCCAGGGGUGUCGGCGGUGGCGACGUUCACGAUCGCGAACAAUUGCAGGUACGCAGUGUGGCCGGGGAUUCUGUCGAGCGCCGGCGCUGCGCCGCUGGCGACGACGGGGUUCGCGCUCGCGCCGGGCGAGGCGCGCGCCGUCGACGCGCCGGCCGGGUGGUCGGGGCGCAUCUGGGGCCGAACGCUCUGCGGCGGCGGCGGCGGCGGCGGGGCCUUCUCUUGCGCCACGGGCGACUGCGGCUCCGGCGCCAUCGAGUGCUCUGGCGGCGGCGCCGCGCCGCCCGCCACGCUCGCCGAGUUCACCCUCGACGGCAGCGGCAGCAACGACUUCUACGACGUCAGCCUCGUCGACGGGUAAAUGCUUAAGCUACCAAAAAACAGUAAUAUCUUUUUGGUAGUAUUGAUUUUAUAUCAUGCAAAUAUAUAAAUCAUUGUUUUACCUAAUGCACAGAUUUUAAAAUUUAAUAAACAUUAUUUUUAAGUAUUUAAUAGUUACUAUAUUUUUGUUUGUACUUUGAAAAAUGAUUGUGAAUAAUUAUAAUAUAUAUAUAAUGCAACAGAUCAUAAAGUAAUGAUUAGGUAAUCGAUUAUUAUCAUCGCUCAUCUGAAGGUUUACUUUUUAAUGUAACUUUUGUUCCUCUCCCCAAGUUCAAACAACAAAUUCAAUUAUACUUUACCUUGAAAGAGCGACAAUUUAGGCAAUUAUUUUUAUAUAUAUAAUACAUAAAUUUUAAAAUAGUAAUACAUAAUAAAUAAUUUGUCAUUGAGUUUUCGUGUCGGCAGAUGAUUUUAAUAUUUUAUAUUCAACAGGUACAACAUCCCGAUGCUGGUGGCCCCGCAGGGCGGCAGUGGGCCCAAUUGCAGGCCCACCGGGUGCCUAGCGGAUCUGAACGGGGUGUGCCCAUCGGAUCUGAAGGUGGUGGUGGGCGGCGAGGGGGUCGCGUGCCGGAGCGCCUGCGACGCGUUCGGGGCGCCGCAGUACUGCUGCAGCGGUGCGUACGGUAGCCCCAGCACCUGCGGGCCGACGUCGUACUCGCUCUUCUUCAAGAACGCGUGCCCGCGGGCUUACAGCUACGCCUACGACGACGCCACCUCGACGUUCACCUGCGCUGCCGCGACCGCCUCCUCGUACAUCAUCACAUUUUGCCCCAGCACAUCCAGGUAGCUGAUCGAUUGACUUAGCGAGCAACUUCAACUAUCUUUAGUUUUGACGUACAUGCAAUCAAAGUGGUCGGAGAUUUAAUAUCUUAAUUUGAUCCUCUCCUUUGUAUUUUUUUUUUUAAUCUGGAGUUGUUUUUUUAUAUAGAAUAAUUGAUACAAGCAAGACUUUCUCAUUACGUGGAAAAUCAUUUUUCGUUUGCUUUUGAUUUACUUUUUUAAACGUGGCCACGCAAUAAGUAAGUUGGAUGCUGGGACUUUUCAAUGGGGCUCUGCUUAUGUUGGCUUCGGGUCCCAGUUUAUCUAAAUGACAAAUUAAAAAGCGUAAUUAACGCGUUACGAGCCAACUUUAGCUGUAAUGCGUGUCUUGUCCUUUAUAAUUAUGUGUUUAAUUAUGGUUUUAAUUAACAACGAGCUAAGUUUAGAGUAAUAAUCGUGCCUCUUCGGUGUAAACCCACCUCAUCAUGUGUCAGGUCGACGCGGCAACACAUUACUUUUUAGCUGUUUGCAUUUAAUAUACAUCAAUAUGAUAGAUUCAAGAAUAAGGCUUUUUUAGUUUGUUUAUUAAAAUUAUUUAUUCUGGAUAUAAAUCAAAAUAUAUUACUUUGUUUAUGAAUGUUUUCUUAAAAAAUCAUAUUUAAUGCAAAUUAUCUUUACAAAAUAGUGAGACGGUAAAAUUAAUGCUUGUGCGCUUCAAAUGAUGCCAAAUAGUUUAUAUAUAAAAGUCGAGCCAAAUCAAACGUAGGUUUGAUUCUGAUAUAAGCUUAUUAUGGCGGCAAAAAAUAGACUUUUUAGUAUAGACACAUUCUUUAAAUCGUCAAAUCUAAAUUGAAUCAAAAAUGUAGUGCAUGCCGAGAUAAGAAAAGCUUGUGUUUUUGCUGCAGCUUGAAGUCGUCGAGCGCGAACCCGGAGGCCGCGGGGCUGCCGCUGAUCAACAACACCAUGGUCUUUGUGAGUGGUGCUGCUGUGCCGGGCCGUGCCGAUCGCCGUAGUGGGCUCCACCUCUCCCUCCUCCUCGUCGUCUCUGUACAUAUGCUGACGUGGCACUUUUUCCUAUUCUCACGCCCCUUUUAGUUAGAUCCACACGUGCUCCUCCCCACGUGCGCGCGGGUUGCUAUUCUCACGCCGCUCUCCACGCCAUUCGUAGUGCGGAACCCCUCAAUUACAAGCAAUUUUGAACUAGGCCCUUCACUUUUUUUUUUUUUUUUUUUUUUACUUUUAUUAGUUGUAUUUUCUUAGCUUCUAAUUUUUUUGACUUUAAACAAUUGUCAUUAAAUCUAGUGACUUUGUUUCAAUAUUAUUUGCAAUAAAAUUUCUAAAUUUAGUUGCACCGAAAUAAAUUAUUUAUGGAUUUAAUAGGCUAAAAUUGUUUCAUUUCGAAAAAAAAUCAAGUAAAAAAAAAAGGAGUAAUGGGCCGAUUUCAAAAUAUCCUCACUAGUUGAGGAGGUAAUAGUUUUUUAUUUUUAAACUGAGAAUAUAACUUUUAUAUUAUUUUAUAUUUAUUUUUUUUUUUUUGGAAUGAGUAAAUGAUGUGGUGUGGGGCGGCAUGGAUUUGCACGGUGUAGGCACGCCGCUAUAUCCAGGCCUUUUCCGCGCGAUUGUUAAAUGAGAUACGUCGACGUCGAGCCACGUGGACUUUGGAAGUUGUGACGUAGGAUCUCUUGAUUUGAUCGAUCAGUUGAUGUGAUUAUAAUAGUACUAAAUUGUUCGUACAAAAUAUUUUAAAAAAUAGAUAAAGUCGUCCUAAAUUUUCAAUUUUGAAAAUUAAUUAUUUUUAAACUAUAUCAAAUAAUUUAAUGUCUUUUUUUUACGGGUAAAUUUUAAAUAUCACACCUGUAAUUUUGUACAUUCUUAUUUUAGUACCUUAUGAUUUAAAGUGUAUGAAGUUAGUGUCAUGUUGUUUUAUUUUUCUCUUUUCGUCAGCUUUUUCGUUAAUAUUUUCUUAAAUUAUAUAUAAAAAAACUUCAGAUAUUCCACAUAGAUUUAUCGAAUACUCUUUAGUUUUAAUUUUGUCAGUGAUUUAACGAAAAAAAUUAGUGAAAUCGAUACUAAAAAGAUAAAAAUGAAACCGUAAGGCACUAAAUUGAUACACUUUAAACCACAUACUACUAAAGUGAGAAAGUGUGAAACUAUAAGGCACUACAACAAAAACGGUCUAUAGCGACACUUUUAAAUGUAGGUACAUGUCAAAAAAGUGCUGCUAGCUAAAAUUACCGACACUUUUAAAAAAUGUUGCUAUAUGUGGGGUCGCUAGGUAUAUAGUGACAGUUAAAGAGUGUCGCUAUAACCUAAAAGAGUGCUGCUAAUUUACGAACACUUAUUUAAGCAUUUAGCAACCGCCGAAACUUUAUCUCGUUGGCUGCGGUGGCGGAGGAGGACGACAGGAAAGACUCUUCGUCUAGAAUUUCAGUGGAUUGAGUGAAGAGAGAAGAAAAGAUGGCAAUUGAUUUUUCAUUUUUUUUUCUUUUCUGUUUGUAAUCGGGCCAAAUGGACUGGGUGUGGUGGGGUGAGUAGAGUAAUCUUUUAUUUUUGGUUGGAUUGAGCUUUAUAUUUAGGCAUUAGCAGAUAUUUUUUUAAGUUUUAGCAUAAAUGGGACACUUACUCAAAAGUGUCCCAAAUAUGUGUCCCUAUAACCUAAUUCUGUUGUAGUGAGGGUGGUGUUUGAAAUUUUUCCAGUUUUUAUUAAUUAUAUAAUUAUUUUGAUCACAUAUGGUGCGCGUAAUUUUGCAAAGCUUCAAAUUAUAAAAUUUUGUUUUUUUCCUCUUAUUUUGAUAAUUACGCAUAAAAUUUGAAGAAUAAGUUAGAUUUUUAUUAUUUUUAUUUGUAUUUUAGAAUAUAAUUUUUUUUUUUUACAACAUAAUUUUAGCCAUGACAAACUAUUUGAUAUAAUUUUAAAAAAAAAUUAAUUGUCAAAUUGAAAGUUCAAGCUCUUUUUGCAAAAACGCCCUGAACUUUAGGGAGUUUAUACUUCUUUAUUUAAAUUUUGUUCUUGAGAUGUCUAUAUCAGUUGGAAUUUGGGCCUAUGAAAUGGUAUUUUUGUCGCGAUAAAUGCAAGUUUACGUAUAUUUUUUAAAAUUUUAUGCGUAGAAUUUUUAUGUACACAGUAUAAUUGAUAUAUCCCACCGAUUAAAAAGGCUACACAAUAUAUAACGAGAUCGAGCAGAGUAAAAUAUUUUAUACAAAACUUGCAUUUAUCGCGACAAAAAUACCAUUUCAUAGGCCCAAAUUCCAACUGAUAUAGACAUCUCAAGAACAAAAUUUAAAUAAAGAAGUAUAAACUCCCUAAAGUUCAGGGCGUUUUUGCAAAAAGAGCUUGAACUUUCAAUUUGACAAUUAAUUUUUUUUUAAAAUUAUAUCAAAUAGUUUGUCAUGGCUAAAAUUAUGUUGUAAAAAAAAAAAAUUAUAUUCUAAAAUACAAAUAAAAAUAAUAAAAAUCUAACUUAUUCUUCAAAUUUUAUGCGUAAUUAUCAAAAUAAGAGGAAAAAAACAAAAUUUUAUAAUUUGAAGCUUUGCAAAAUUACGCGCACCAUAUGUGAUCAAAAUAAUUAUAUAAUUAAUAAAAACUGGAAAAAUUUCAAACACCACCCUCACUACAACAGAAUUAGGUUAUAGGGACACAUAUUUGGGACACUUUUGAGUAAGUGUCCCAUUUAUGCUAAAACUUAAAAAAAUAUCUGCUAAUGCCUAAAUAUAAAGCUCAAUCCAACCAAAAAUAAAAGAUUACUCUACUCACCCCACCACACCCAGUCCAUUUGGCCCGAUUACAAACAGAAAAGAAAAAAAAAUGAAAAAUCAAUUGCCAUCUUUUCUUCUCUCUUCACUCAAUCCACUGAAAUUCUAGACGAAGAGUCUUUCCUGUCGUCCUCCUCCGCCACCGCAGCCAACGAGAUAAAGUUUCGGCGGUUGCUAAAUGCUUAAAUAAGUGUUCGUAAAUUAGCAGCACUCUUUUAGGUUAUAGCGACACUCUUUAACUGUCACUAUAUACCUAGCGACCCCACAUAUAGCAACACUUUUUAAAAGUGUCGGUAAUUUUAGCUAGCAGCACUUUUUUGACAUGUACCUACAUUUAAAAGUGUCGCUAUAGACCGUUUUUGUUGUAGUGACAGCCGAUCUUUUCAAAUUUUUUCACUUUGGCUCCUAAUUUUACUUUUUAUUAUCAUUAGGUACCUAACAAGGAUAAAUAUAAAAAGGCGAAAACACGAAUAAUAACACGAAGGCCCAAACAUUGGCAGUAUCUGAUCAAUCUCAACACCGAGGAUUGAAAUUCCAAACAUUAUAAAAGGAUUGACAGUUUGUUAAACAGAUACCGACUAUAUCAUCUGAAGUUCGAAACACAGUCGCUUUAUAUUUCUAGUUGAGCUCAUUACCGCUUUUUGCAGAACUAACUUUUUGGCCUUAAGAUUUUCGGGGGGCGCCCAAGUGUUGCAUGCUCAAGCCAACCUCUUCAAGUCUUUAGCACUGACACCUCUCCAAACUUAAAAUCUAAGCCAGCCUCUUCAAGUCCUUAGCAUGGACAUAUCUCCAAAUCUAACAGCGAAAGACCAAUUUGAACAUUUUAACCAAGCAUGAUUCCUCGUGAGCCUUACUGGUCAGCGCCACACUUUACAUUGAAUCUCUCGUCGGACUCCACAAGUUCCCAAUAAACAACCCCACUAUUGAGGUUGGCUACUAAGCUGAAUACAUUAUCUCAUCAAAUAAACUCUUCUUGAAAGUGUUACACAACUGAAUGCCUCGUUGCCCUCCGAGCUAGCCAUAAGGACACACAAGUUUUCCCCAACUUAGCCCUAUUCGAGUAUAGCCUAGUAUCUCGCCCCUACCCGUCUCGCUUUCACUGUUAAAUAUAAAAAUAUUUAAACACUGUUCCCUACCAGCUUAAGUUUUUAGGGUAUAACGAUUGUUUCGUAUUAUUUCACAUGGUGUCAGAGUAGAAAGUGUUGAGUUCGAAUCACGUCAGACUCCUAGUAUUACUAAUUUUCUCCUAUUUAAUUCAAAUUCACGUCACGGGCCUAGCGAAAAGUCUCGAGUCCAAAUAUGAGGAAAAAAUAUUAAAUAUAAAAAUAUCUAAACAUCUUUCUCUAACAUGUUAAGCUUUUAGAGUACAACGGUUGUUUCAUAUUAUUUUCACGCUCACGACUUGGUCCGCAUACUAAAAAUGCCCAAGCUCUGCAGCAUCGCAUGCUACGAACAACUUAAAAGAUAAAACCGAAUGAUAGUGAUUUCGCAAAGCGCAUAAUUUUUCUACAUAUGUACGUACUAAACAUCAGGAAAAUCUAACACCAAAACAAGAAUGGCUACUUAAUUAAGUAACACGGCAAGGAUCAAAUGGAUUGGGACACACCUCUUUUUGAACAAAAGUAGCAUGCAUGCAUGUUCCAUAUAUAUCUACAAUGAAAAGAAAAAGCAGCAAUUAAUUAAUUAACUGUCUCAGCAGAUAAUGAAAAUAAUUCUCAAGGAUGGCCAUUAGACCACAUAUAUGUAAAGUUUUAAUUUAAUCUCCACUAAAGGAUCGAGACACAUGGUUCAGAGAAUAUGAAAUUAAUAAACACGUAAUACUAGCAAUGUCACCCUUCAUAUCUACGUGUAGUCUACGUUGCACUUUUGGUCCUCAAAUUUGUGGUGCUAUUUUGGUCUUUAAAUUUAAUUUCUAGUAAAUUUUAGCUUAAGUUUUCUAAAUUGUUACAAUUAAAUUUUACAGUCUUAUUUAGUUGAUUAAAUAAUAAUGCUUUGCCGGCAUGAUAGUUAUGUAAUAUUUUAAUAAUUAACAAUAGCUAUAUUUAACCCAAUUGUAUUAUGAGAUUGACUUAUAAUAAUUUUAAAAAUUCAAGCUGGAGUUAGUAAAUUAAAGUCCGAGCACUAAAAUAUUAUAGGUCUAAAAAAUCGAGGGCAAAAUUAAAGCGCAUUUUAGCCUAUCUUGUUAGUAGCUUUCUCAUUUCUCUGGAGAGGUUUGUGGAUUAUUGCUUCAGCGAAAAGUGCUAUUUGUGAGAGUUUCCACAAAAAGCACUUAAUUUAGCUAGUGGUCUAAUUAAGAGCUUGUUUCUUUCUCCUCUUUGGCAAGCAAAGAUCAUGCAAAUUAAGGUCGCACGUUAAGCCUAUCAUGCUGCUUCUCCAUGCAUGCAUGGUUGGUAAAAGUGCUUAUGAGAUAAGCGGUAUAAGGGAGAAGCAGAAGCUGAUCCAUUAAUUGCUCUAUAUAUACAUGAUAUAUAUAUUUUGCUUUUCUUGGGUGGACUCUGCAUGGGCUUUUUCCAAUUCAGUGGUAGAAGAGUGGGGAGUGACAAAACGGCUUUUGCAAAAGAAGGUCAUGAGAUAAAAAGAUGGAGAAAGAGAGAGAGAGAAAAGAAGCCACAGCAGCAGCAGCUUAAUCCAACUUAUCCAAAACCUACGUGGGCGCUUUACACCGCAUCCUUAUGUUGCAUAGAUUGCUUCGUUGAUCCAUUUUGCUUUCCUAGGAAGAAUCACUUAUUAAUAAACUCAAGCUAUAUAUAUAUAUAUAUAUAUAUAGAGAGAGAGAGAGAGAGAGAGAGAGAGAGAGAGUUGAGGUAGAAUACUAUCGAUAGCAAACCGGCACUUUUGCCACCCAUUUAUUUUCGAUGAUUGAACCUCCAAAUCAACGAUCGGCACCGUUGAACAUGAUCUAUACUACUCGAAGUGUUUAGAAAUCAAAUUUUAAAUCUUUUCGACAUCAUUUGCCUAAUGAUCAAAGGGUUUCAAAAUUUAUAAUUGUAAUGGUCGAUAUGAGGCGUUUUCUCGUUUAACGGCGUAAAGAUAUCCAAAAUCAAUUGCAUUUUUGUUAGAAAAUUCUUUAAACUAUUUAAAACAAGAUCUAUACUCUUAAUCUUGAUUACAAGACUCCUAUCAUCAUUUUUUUAAGAAUAUUCAUUUUCAGCCGUUCAUUUUUGUGUCCACUCGAUGGAUAAGAGAGCAAUAUCGAAAAUGUAUGAAAUUUAAUUUCUAAAUACUUCAAAUGGUAUAGAUCAUAUUCAACGGUACCGAUCAUCAAUUUGAAGGCUCCAUCAUCGGAAACAAAUGGGUGGCAAAAGUGCCGAUUUGCUAUCGAUAGUAUUCUAGCUCAACUAUAUAUAUAUAUAUAUAUAUAUAUAUAUAUAUAUAUAUAUAUAUAUAUAUAUAUAUAUAUAUAUAUAUAUAAAGAGAGAGAAAGAGUUAUGUUAUUAUGUUUUAGAAAGUACCGAGAUAUCAAAUUUGACGAUUAGUUCUGUUAGACAUGAUUCAUAGUGUUAAAGUAAGUUAUUUAGAAAUCAGAUUUCAUAACUUUUUGACUUCGUUUGUGAACAAGUAGUUUCAAAAUGAGCGACAAAAAAUAAGAAUUUUAUAAAAAAUACUGAUAAAUAAUUUAAAUUUCAAAUUGAAAGUAGUGAUCUUGCUCUCAUAAAUUUCGUAAUUUAUCAAUAUAAUUUACCUUAAUAAUCGAUUGACUUUUUGGCCACAUACACUCUUACUUAAGUGUGAGGAGAUGACGUCGCACAUUGCUUUGAAAAUAUUACUUCUAUGCAUACUCGUACUCUCACACACACACACACACACACAAAACAUAUAUAUAUAUAUAUAUAUAUAUAUAUAGUCCGGCUACUAUACUUUUAUGAGUAUUGGCUCCCUUAUACUUAUAAAUUUUCGACCCUUAGAUUUAUUUUAUGAUCAUUUCCAUCCGUUAGAUCAUACAAUUCAACCAACUACCCACUCAAUACUAGGGGACCACUAUCAUUCUAAGUGGGGACCAUCAUCAUCCUAACCACACAUCCAAUCAAUCAACGGUUAAAAAUUUAUGAGUACAAAGGGUUCUAUACUCAUAAGAGUAUAGUAGCCCUAGGCUAUAUAUAUAUAUAUAUAUAUAUAUAUAACACAAGGCACAGAUACAUUAAUAUUAAACAAGUUUUUAAAGGCUAUCUAAGGUAAAUAUCAACAAUACAAGAGCAUCUUCGUAACUUUACUACGUUGGUAGGAGUAUGCAUGCAAAAUCAAUCUCUAUUAUUAUUAAUUAUUUUUCCAGCGAUGAACGCAACGCUAUUUUACUCGUAUACUAAAUUGUGAAUAUCAAGGUAAUUUGAGGUAUUAAUUUGUGUACAUAAAUGAAUGAGAAAUGCUACAAUAAGCUACUUUAUUUUCUUUUUAAUAAAUAUAUAUACAAUUGUGCAUGAAAAUUAAUUCAUUCUAUAUUAUAAUUUCAAUAUUAUUAAAAGAAAAAAGUAAUGGUGCGCAAAAAAAUGAACACAUGCUGCUGUCUCUAGUGGGCCAAGAGCAACAGGUGAUAUCCUGCUGCAGAUCAUAGAAUCUGAUAUGUAGGAUAUGCAAAAAAAGCAUUGAGAAUCUUGCCCCCUGUUCGGCGGAUUUGGGAUAAUUAACUUAGAAAAAAAAAGAAAAUCUAGCAAAUUAUUAAGAAACUGUAUGCUUUUUUUGGGAUCACAGGGUUAUCAAAGUUCUCCAUGGAUCCAAAUUUUAAGAUUGAAUUUGUUGACAAAUUUAAGAAGCCCCUAGCAAGCUUGAAUUAGGUUCUUCGCAUUCUUUCUUUUUUCCCCCCUACCAUUGACGGGCUUAGGGCUAUCAAUCAUGCUUGUUGUUCACGAGUCAGCUCGUGUUCGAAUUAAAAAUGACUUGUACUCAGCUCGUUCAUUUAACAUGUAAGCCAAUCAUGAGCUAAUUCUAACCUGCUCUUGUUUGGCUCGAUAUAACAUAUGAAUUGUAUUUUUGGAUUGAUAUACAACAAAUUUAAAUGCUGUUUUAAAGUUUUUUUUGGGUUAAUUAAUUAGCUUUACUUUUUAAUUUAAUACUAAUUAAUAAUAUUAACAAGCAUCAAUGGUAUUAAUAAUAAUGCUAAUUAUAGUUAGUAUUAAUAUGUUAUUAAAGUUUAUUUUAAGCUAAUUAGAAAUAAUUUUGAGUCGGCUCGAAUUAAUCUUAAGCACGAAAACGAGCUAGAUUAUCCCAACUUAUUGAAAUUUCGAGCUGACUCGAAUUAUAUUUUUCGAGCCGAUCUCGAACCGUUCAAGCUCGUUCGUGUUCGGCUCGCUGACAGACCUACUGAUACACCUAUAACUGCUGCCAAUGCACUGUAAAAUUCUUUAACUAACUUUAAUAUUUUAAUAUGAGACUUACAAAGGAGGGUUUCAUAUAGCUGGUCUCCUCUACCACACUUUACCUCCCUACACAAGUCAAAAAUAUGAUGGUGUUAGUUAUAAGGUGCAUUUGGUAGUGGAGAAUAAUGGGAAUGAUACAUAUCGUUUAAAGUUGCACCAAAAGUUAUUCUUUUCCAAAAUUGACCAAUGUGAGAUUCCUUAAGAAACGACACGUGGAAAACUACGCGUGACACUUGGCCCUUUCAGGGGCCGUUUAGUUAAAUGUAAAUAUAAAUGCAGUAUAGAUUAAAAUACAUUCAGUUAAAAAUACAGUAGUUAUAAUUACAUAUAUUUACUGUGCUUGGUUAUGUACGGUUAGCAAACGUAUUUAUACUAUUUUUUGUGUUUUAUAUAUGAGAUAUAUAGUGAGAUUAUCUCUUAUGUGGAAAAAAAAAAUUAUUUUUUUAUUUGAAAGAUUAUUAGGAAGGUAAGCGUAUCUUUAUUUAAUGUUACUUUCUCCAACCACUGCAGUUAGUCAAUUUGGGCAUGGUUUCAAUUACUACAAUUGAGCAUCCUCGUGUAGUUUCAACUGCAGCAAUUGAAUUCAAAUGUACAAAAUCAAACUACGAAUUUGAAUUUAUAUGCAGAUGCAAUUACAGUAUAGUUACAAUUACGUUCAACCAAACAGCGCCAAAUCAUUUUGGUAGUGCAGUUCUAUUUUCUUUCCAAAUUGUUUCAUGCAUGCUAAAGCAUACAUGCUGCACAGCCGACCAAAUAAUGUCAUUUUGCAGUGACCCGUCACCAAAGAAGCCACCAACUUUGAAAGCUCUGACUGACUGUCCCUAGAGCAAGUGGCAAAGGACUUGGUGGUUGGUACCCGAGACCCAAGUUCGAAUUUUAGUUGAUUCACAUUUCCAGCUAAGUUUAUUUCUAAAUAAAAUAAACGAAGCGGGUAGCAUGCUACCUUUCUCUCAAAUAAAAAACUUUGAAAGCUCUGGUUCCAAUUGUGUUCAACGGUCAAAUACUGAAUUCAAGGCGGGGCUCCAAAACUUGUAUAGAAAAGAGCCGCGCACAUUGAAUGCAACUUCGUGCACAAAAAAAUUCUAUAAAUGAGAAAAUAUUAUAAUUUAUUAGUGUUCGAAUGUAUCCCGUAUGAUCGGAUGAUCUAUGUACAAAAUUUUUCUAUGCACAAAAUUGUAGAGAUAUAAGAUCAUCUUUGUCUUUGCUUUUAUUUUCCUCUGUAGUUAUAACUGUUUAAAGAACUGAGAUCGAAUCCGUAAAAGAUUAAUAAAUGCACCUUAGAAUUGAACCUGCUACUAUAUUAUUUAAAAAAUUAAUUAAAAAAUAAUUUAAAAACAUUAUUUUAUAUAAUUUUAUUCAACAAAACUAUAUAUAUAUAUAUUCCAUCCCAAUAAAAAAGACAAAUAAAACAUGGUAAUUUAAUAAGAGCGGCAUACUAUUUGUAUACCUAUAGCUAAAGUAUAAUUCUUACAUCUUAAUCAUCUGAGGACUAAUAAUUUACUCUCUUGUCUUUCCAGGUUAUAUUUUAAUACAAAAUUUUCUUUUAAAAAAAGUUAAACUCUUGGAUGUAUAAAUAUAAAUUUCUUUGUCAUAUCAGCUAUUUUUUUUAGGUAAAAAAUAUAUAGAACUUAUAUAUUGGAGCAUUUAGAUCUAGCUACUCAAUAUGUCAAAAUUUGGAGUUUACUAUCGAUUCUUUCGAUUUGUUUGAUUUGAGUCAGUCAAGUAUUUUGACCUCAAAAUUUGAAUACAUUGUUAAUCUUUACAGUUUUAAUUAGUAUAUCUCAUACAAUUUUCACAACUAUAAGUUCAUUAACAUAAAUAAUUAGCUUAAAUUUUAAAAUCAAAGUAUUGUUGACUAAAUCAAAUCCAACCAAUUGAAAGGUUGGUCGCUAAAAUCAAACAUUUGAUUUGGCUACUCAACCUUUCAAAAUUUUGAUUUGAAUCGGUCGAUGCGUCGAUAGUUCGACUUCAAAUUUUAAACUAAUUUCUUAGAUGAAAAUAUAGUUAUGAGAAUAUAUUGCAUGAAGUGUACUAUCUGAACCUAUAAAGAUAAAGAUAAACAACGUGUUCAAAAUUUUUAAGUCAUUGAUUGAUUCAAAUCAAGCAAAUUGAAAAGUUAAAUAGUAAAAUCAAAAUUUUAAAAAAUUGAAUACGUAGCUAACUCCGAGUAGUCUAUAAUUCAGAUAAGUUCUGUUCCUUUGUAUUUUUUUGCCCGCGUUGAGAAUGCAAUUCAACAGCUGCAUGCAAACUUCUUGCCCAAGUUUGGUUAAAGAAACAAAGUUCGUCUCCUUUGUGGAAGAACUUCAUCUCCUUCGUGAAUCAAAAAGGAAAAGAGAAAAGGCAAAGUGAGAGAGAGAUACGAAGUUUAAUUUUGAGCCAUGCUCUAGUGUGAGAAAAUAAUGUGUAAAAUUAUUCAAACCGUCUAAUUUAUUGCAUAUAUACAAUUACUCUUCCUAGGUGUUUUUUAUGAUAUAGCUGUUCCGUUAACGUGUGAUAAUUUUAUGCUAUUUUUUAAAAAUCAAGAGGUGAUUUUUUUUUUUUUUUUCUGUUUUGAAAACCUAUACAGGAUGGAUUAAUUGUCACAUAAGAUGAUUUAAAAUACAUGGGCUGUGACACUUUUUUUUUAGAAGGGUGAUCUUAAAUUAUACACGCUGAAUUUACAUAUAUGCAUUUAAUAUAAAAUGAAAAUAGAGGCUAAUGUGGAAAAAGAGACGGGCUUUUUUAUAAAAUGAUCCUCCAGAAAUUUGAAUUUGGCAAAAUAACCCUACCAAAAUUUUAUUUGUAAAACUAAUCCUACUUUCGCAACGUGGGCGUCACGUCAGGAAUUCCUCAAAAAUACGAUGAAUCGUUCACCGCCUUUAUAAUAUUUAUUGUGAAGACAAUGAAUGGUUUACCGCCAAUCCUUACUCUAAUAUUAAUAGAUAAAAUAAAGUUAAAAAAUAUAUAUAUAUAUAAAAAAUUAUAUUUCUUUGUUUUUUUAUGAGAUCGUAGAAAAUAUAUAUAUUAUAACUGUCUCGUUACGAUAAAAAAAUCUUAAUAUUAUGUAUACAAAUAAAUAGCAUAUUAUUAAUACUCAAUGUAAUCUCCGCAUAAUUUCAAACGAGAUCUUAAUAAAAUAUUUGCCAUUAUACAGGGCACUUCAAGAUUUAGACAAAAUAAAUAAAUAAUAUCCAAAAAAUGAGGCAUGUGAUAAAAGCUUAACUCAGUCAUGUAGAUCAAAAGGAGAGAGAGAAUGUGGACCCAAACCAUGCAUGGACCCAAAAAAGAGAGAGACCUAGAGAGAGAGAGAGGAAGACCAAUAUUGACCCAAAAAGAAGAGAGAGAGAGAGAGGGGGGGUUAGAGAGAGAGAGAGAGAGAGAGAGAGCACUCCUCUAUAAAAGGUCCAAAGAUGAGAAGCAUUGAAUUAAGUCAAUCCCCUUCUAACUUAUGGGUUGUGGUGACAAUUACCUUCUCCUCCAUUUCUCCUCCCUUAUCAUAUGUUAUCACCUUCACCACUAUUCCUCUUAUAAUUCCCUCGCCUCCUCCUCUUCUCUCACUUCUCAAACCCCUUCUCACCACCAACCUAAACACAUACUAUGUUAUAACCAGUUCUAACUUAGCACAUCUUAAGCAGUAGUAGUAGUAGUAGUAGUAGUAAACAAUUUAUCUCCUCUUCAACUGAUCCGAGUUUCAUGGAUUAUUCUUGUUAUUCUUUCUCGCUUCUCCUCCUCUUCUUAUUUGGAUCAGGUACAAUUAAUUAUACACUUUACUUAUCAUUUGAGUUGGAUUUUAAUUGCGAUAUGUAUUUACGUACGUGCGUGUUGUUGCAGGGUCCGUGAGUUGCACCACGUUCACGUUCGUGAACCGGUGCGGCGACACGGUGUGGCCGGGCAUGCUAUCAAACUCUGGGAGGUCGCCGCUCGAGACCACCGGGUUCGCCCUCCCCGCCGGCGGGUCCCGCUCGCUUCUCGCCCCGACCGGCUGGUCCGGCCGCUUCUGGGGGCGGACCGGGUGCUCCUUCGACCCGGCCGGGCGCGGCUCGUGCUCGACGGGGGACUGCGGCUCCGGCCAGGUCGAGUGCAACGGCGCGGGCGCCGACCCUCCGGUGACGCUCAUCGAAUUCACGCUUGCAGGUACCGAAUAUAAAAUAUCCAAAUGCCAUUCUCUGAUAGUUUAAGUCUAGAAUGUCAAAGGAAUAUAAGAUUUGUAUUAAGACAUGUUGGGGAGAAUUUUUAUCUUUUUAGAUAAUAUGGUAUCAAGAGGUUCUGAAUUUGAUUUCGUUAUUUUUAUGAUGUGACAUAAUUUAGUGAAGUGACUAGCUAUUAAUGUGUGGAAAAUGAAAAUGUUAUUGGUAAUUUAAGUUUUUAGAGUAAACGAUUAUUCGCUGGUCAGAAGGCUCCGACGGAAAAGACUUCUACGACGUGAGCCUGGUGGACGGCUACAACCUGCCGGUGGUGGUGGAGGCGACCACCACCGCCAUCAAUACAGCCUCCACCACCGCCGACACUGACACCGUCGGGUGUGCGGCGACGGGGUGCGCAGCCGACCUGAACCAGCGGUGCCCGGCUGAGCUGAAGGUGGGGGACGGGGAGGCGUGCCGGAGCGCGUGCGAGGCGUUCGGGACGCCCGAGUACUGCUGCAGCGGCGAGUUCGGCAGCCCGGACACCUGCCGGCCGUCAGUGUACUCGCAGAUGUUCAAGUCGGCGUGCCCGCGGUCGUACAGCUACGCCUACGACGACGCCACCUCUACCUUCACCUGCGCUACAGCCGCCGCCGCCGACUACGUCAUCACCUUCUGCCCUGACUCCACAGUCAGGUGAGAAAUAAAAACAAUCCCAUGACUCAUAUUUCUUCACUAGUCUUAUCAUUUUUUUAUUUUUUUUCCGCUAGUCUUCUGAGGGGUCUUCUUUUUUUUUAAAAAAAAAAAAAAAUUUUACUCUGAAGGGAUUUGAUGGAAAGGUUCUAAAUUUGGAUCAUUUUGUACUUAAGCUAAUUUGUUUUUGUUUGGUUUUAAUAUCUUAUAAUUUUUUUUUUUUUUUACUUUUGGUCAGUAUAAGUUUGACAAAUAAAAGAUUAAUAAUUAAUGAUGUAUAAGACAUACAUGACUCAUUUCAGGAACAAAAAAGAAAAAAAAAUGUUUGUGAACUUCUUAACUAUAUUUCAAUAAUUUAUUGGUAAAUGUUAUAAAAAAAAAAUCCCAUACUUUUAUGAGUUUUGUGAGUUAUAUUGUUCCCACCAAUAGGUGAAUAUGAGAUCUACUACUACUCUUGGCAAAAUCAAUGCUCAUCCAUUAGCUAUUACUUUCCUUUUUUUUUAGAUGCAUGCUAGUUGUACAUGUCAUGAUGCAUGUUUCACUUAAUUAAUAAAUAAGAGAAGUUUAAAAUAAAUAAAUAAAUAAAGAAAGAAAAGAAAGCCUGAAUAAUUGGAAAAGAUGGUGCAUGUAUGAUUUGGCCUAGCUCUUUUUUAUUUUUUGUUUUUUUAUUUGCUAUCAUGGAAUCUGCUUCUUCUGCCUCUACUUUCAAAUUGAGUAGUAGCAAAACAAGGGGAGGAUAAGAAGAACAAAAGAAGCUUUAUUCUCUCCCCCUUUAUUUCUUUUGCUUUGUUCUUUUCCCACCAUUUAUGAUGGUGCAUUGGUGCAUGGUUCUUGAAGCUAGUGGAUAUUGGUGGUUGGGAUAAAAAGUAUCUAUCUAAAGUUGGGAAAAAAAAAAAAAAAAGAAAAGAAGCUAAAAUGUGAUUUUUCUCUUCUUUUUUUUUUUCUUAAUUUUGUGAUCUAGUAACUUAGUUGAAAGUGGAGAGGGGCAAAAUAAUUUUCGACCGUAAACUUAUUUGCGUUGUCAGAUUCGCUGUAAAUUAAUUAAGUUCGGUCCUAACUCAACCUUUUCAAAAUGUUGCAAUCGGCUUUACUUUGAUUAACAGCAGAGUCAGUUAUUGGGAGCAAAGAAAAAGGAAAAUAAAAAAAAAAAUUAAUUGUUGUAACUUUUUAUAACUCUCUUGUGUGUUACUGUGAAAAUUUUGGGCGAACCAUCUAUAGGAAGUGGGAACACAUGUUUCAAAAGCCAUUGACUUGUAAACUAAUUUUCACGUAAACUUUAGUUCAUCUGAAAGUGAAUUUCAGUUACAAAAGCAGUUAUGAACUAAAUAUAGGCCCCUAAUUAAUGAUCUAACCUUCUAAAAUGGCAUUUAUAGUUUGAUAAAUGAGAAUCAAAUAUCAAAUGACUACUUUUAAAAGUCUCCACAAAAGCUGAUGUGCUUGUAAUCACAUGUGAUGUGUGCUAAUUAGUUCAUACGUAUCCUCUAAGAUACUCCUAAUACAUUAGCGGUAUCGGAGAAACCAUAUAAGAGUAUCUGAGCAGUUCUCUUAUUAAUUUAGCAGAUUAAUUUUUUAACUAAAUAGUAUAAUUAACCAUAAAUUUUUCCCUGAAUAUUGGCAGCCAAAAAUCAACAAAAAGUAGUUCACCAUCAAAACCAUCAGAAGCAGUGUUUGAUGAUGAUUCAUGGAUCGCAAGUUUGGCCACAGGGGGAGUAAGCGCAGCUACGAGGAGAAGAACAUUCUCAAUAGUGGAAGCUUCAUUAACCAUUGCAGCUAUUAUUUGUUUCCUACUCCAUUAAUUUACUUCUUAAUUUUCUUGGGGGGAAAGUUUGUUUGUAGUUUGCAUUAGAUAACUCUGUUUAAUAUAUAAAUAUAGUAACUUAGUGCACAAAGGUGCUAUAUUUGUGGUAAAAGUUUAUGGACUUCAAUCAUUUCAGCGCAAAAUUUGAAGGUUUAAUCUCAGUCGUUCAUCCUUAUUUUAGAAAACAAAAAAAAAAAUUAAAAUGAAAUGAUCGUAUGAAUGAUGAAGAUUAGUAACUUAUGGUCUCUGGAUCGAAUCGUGCCACAAGCUAGAAUUGGUUUCGCAAAAGUCAAUGUAAAUAAAGUGUUAACGGCUGACAUUAAGUCUUCAAUCUUUAUUUUGUUAAUGCGCAUUUUUAUAUUGAGCUGGACUUAGCGCCUUCAAGUACCGCUCCCUUUGGGGUUACGAACAGAUUGCAUUACUCGUGCCCGUAAAUAAUUAUACGUCCUCAUAUCGUACUAAUUCGGUAUUUAAUACGUAGUUCCGUUGAAAAACCAAAAAAGCAUAUUUCUGUACGCUCCUUCCUCAAUACCAAAUUGGCCCCACUUGUGCACAAGGAUUGGGGAAUCCCUGCAGUCUCUUUAUUUUCAGAGUUUGAUGCUUUCACAAAACAAUCUGACAGAUGCUUUUGUUCACAUUUGCUCCGCAGAGCGCUUCCAAAUGAAGCAUCUGAAUGAUGCACCCAGAGAUACAAAGAGGAAAGGGAGCAUAUAUUCCUGAAGCCUGUAUCGAAGCGCAAUUUGAUUCAGUCUUUCACUUCAACAUAUUAGUCUCUGUCCUCGCAAAUCAGAAUUCAUGUGGAUCUUAACUUUCAGUGCAUUUUUCUACCGAAAUCGCUAACUUUUGACAGGAGUCGAGCAAUUUAAACCAAACAAAUCAGAUUAAGAUUGCCAAAAUUUCAAUACACCACAGCAAACAACCCAGCAAAAGAUAAGAGAAAUUCAACAUACAACCAGUUUAGUUCUGAGAACAACAUCUUCAUUGAUAAAGCAUGCCUAAAAACAAUUUCUCUUCGAUCUGAUGACGAAUCUCAACAACCAAAGAUUAGACAAUUAAAUAAAGAAAAGUGAAUCAAUUAUAUAUAAUGUUUUCCCCAAAAACUUUAUGUGAAUAACUUGAUUUGUAUACACCAAAAGAUUAUUCGGCAAAAUACGUCAAGGGAAUCUCCUAUUUGCUUCGCGUACAAACAUUCUCCGGCAUCUCUGCCCAGGCCUCUUUAGACCAAACGGGCGGCUAAUUAAUUGCUAGAUAUAUUUAGAUCAAAUCUUUGGGGAAUCUCUUGCUGUGUCAAAAGUUGAGAGUGCACUAAUUAAGUUGAUACAAAAGUCAUAAAGCUACUAAUAAAACAAAUAAGAAGAGUAUCAUAUUGGUAGAUAAUGUACCAAUGGAGACCCAAUAUGAAGCACUCUUUAGAUGGAGAAAGAUAAGAUGAGAUUCCGAGAAGUUCACAACUCAUGAUUAAGCAUCUAAUAAUUGUCUAAGAUGACAAGAGGUUCCGAGAGCCGGUACUAAAUUCACAACUCAUGAUUAAGCAUCUAAUAAUUGUUUAAGAUGACCUUAGGGUAUUAAAGAUUAAGAGCUAACAAAACUUAAAAGCUCAUUCUAGAACGUAAUAAACAAAUCAAGAGACAAAGUUAAUCUUAUACUGUCGCACCGCUCUGACGAUAAAAGCCAGAAAUCUCACAAAAAAUUGGAAAAUAAAAAAAAAAAGUCAGGAAAAAUUAACAAUGUGCUGCUGCUUCCUUUCACAAGUUUCAAUUGGUCUCCCUGUGAUUCGACUUGGUAAUAGUGUCGUGGAAUUCAUUGUUAGUGCUCCAAAAUAUUAACCUACUGCAGCAAGAUGUAAUCAGCAAUCACUAUCCUUAAUACAUUCAUGCUCAGUUUUCAAUAUUUUAUCAAAAAAGAAAAAUACGUUCCUCUCCUGCUAAUCUACCGAAAUAAGCUUAGAAAGGAACCUAAUUCAUGGUUCUUUAUAACAUGAUUCCGGUCAAUAUCUUAAUACAAAUGCUUUCUUUCCCAGUAAUAUAUGUUCUCACUAUAGCGCAUUAAAGCAACAAAUGGAUAACAGACCGGAAUCAAUGGUCGGACAAAGAUAGUAGUUCAUAAACAACAUGCAGGCAUGAAGUGAUAUGUUACUGAGAUGAACACAAACAAAGUACGCAUGCUCUACGAUGGUCAGCAGUGGAAUCAACAUGCAAAAUAAGCUCAGAAGUGAUAUGUUAUUGAGAAGAACACAAACAAAGAACGAUCGGCUGCUUUUAAGAGCUUGAAAUGAAAAGCUUGUUUUGAUAAGCAACAACCAGAGUUGUUCGUCCAAUUACAUGCUGUUCGAAGAGUGCUGUGCAGUCUCCUUGAAUAACCAAGAGAGUUUAGCUACUCACUCAUUCAAAACUAGAGAAAACUAAGAAAAACAAUAUUUGGUUUCUUAGGUGUUUGGUUCCUCAGUAAUGUCACUCAAAUUUCCGGAGAUAAGAUGUUAAUGUGUUUGGUUCGACAACCUCUUGAUGAUAAUCGUGGCAAUACUACAGAAAAUUUCCCAAUAAUAAGCAUGACUAUUCAUAUCCUCGCACUGAAGCUAGAAUUCAAUAACAAACACACUAUUUACCCUCAUGACUAAAAAAUUUCAAAUAUUUUACCCAAAAUCAAACAAUUACAAAUGAAAAUUGACUUGAUACAAAAGUUCAAGGAAGUGAAUCUAGAGAUCUGAAAUAUUACAUAUAACAGAUUUCAACAGCAUGAAAAUCACAUAUAAUAGAAUGAACGUUACACCUUGCCAACAAGUGAAACAAUCAAAAUUACCAUCGAAAACAAACAAGCCAAACAAAUGGAAAAAAAAAAACACAUUAAAGUUUAAAAUAAUCAAUAAUAAACUUCAUUUCAAUAUAGAAAAAUCACACAACACAACAAGUCCAUGCAAUCGGUAACGCCAUCAAGAAACAAUAAGCCAAAACAAUAUCAUGCAGUGGUAGCAAGUUGAAACUAAGCACAAUGAUAUCCAAAAUUAGCAAGUCCAAGUAAAAAUAUUUACCUACAUCCACCUAUAACCUGAAGAACAAGUAGCCGAAAAGAUCAAAGAGCUUAAACAGUACCGUUAAUCAUUAUUCUAGCAAAUACUUUCACCUACGCGCACGCAGGAUUCGACUAACAUAUAACUUCCUAAGCUCCACGGGCACUAAGUAGAACACAUUCAUUUUGCUUGUGUCGCUCGAUAGGAUUACAACAGCAUCCAUGAGAUCCUCACGCGAAAGUCCAUCAAUCUUCGAAAGCUCAUCGAACAGCCUCUGCCCUCUACUCGCUUCAUCUGCCAUGUAUUGGAAACAGCUAGCUAACUUGGAGAUGCUUUCGGUAAACUUUGCAAAACUCCCUACAAUUGAGCGCAAAGUUGAGAUCAUGGUCCUGUCGACAUCAACAGAUUUCCGCUUCGUUCCUCUACGUGUACCAGACCCUCUACCUUGAGAUCGCGGGUUUGAGCAGGCUGCCGUGUUAGGCUUCGUCCCCGAGCAUGCAGAACUCUGCUCUGCACUCGCGCCAUCACUUUCAUCCGCGCCAAGGACAUCCUCCAUCUCAACCUGCAGACCGGAAGCACGCGCAGCCAAUUCUUCUUGCGCUGUGGCUACCACAGCAUUUGCCAAGGGUUCUACUGCAGCUUCAGUUGCAUGGUCCUUGCCGAAAACUACAGAUAACUCCACGUAGGGGAAGGAUUUCCCUCUUAAUCCCGCAGCACUAGGAUGACUCUGCAUAUGUUCGUGUAAUCAAACAACUUAGAGUUAACAUUUAUGUAGUUACAAUAAUAUAGUAGAGAAAUGUAAUACUAGCAUACCACGACCCAAUCGUCAUAAACGCUCCUCUCGCAUGUAAUCGUCUUAUCCUUGCCGUCCCAACCAAAGCCAUUCACGGCUGCUCCAAGCAUUUCUGCUAUAGCGUUAUACUGCCUUUUCCAAAGUUUUAUUCGCGAGGUAAUGUGGGGUCGCGCUGUAAGCCCGCAACCCGGCAAUUUCUCGCUCAUCAAUUUCUCCAACUGUUGCAAGAACCCACAUCGAAAGUUGCCGUUAUCGGCCCUCCAGUGACCUGAAUUUGUGAGACCCAAUAAGCACUCGAUAAGCUUAUCGUCUUCCUCCUUAGUCCACUGAUGUUUGAUGCCUCUAUUCCUUGGCUUUCCUUGCGGAUUUCUUCGAGCCGCCAUCCUAUCAAUGAAAAUGGCAUAAAGUAGACAUCCGAAAAAAAAUUCUGAGACAUGAACUGAAUUCUAAUUCUUUAAAACCAAAUAUUCGGCGACAUAAUCCCCGCAAUUGGAAACAACUGAUCAACGCACAGCGGUUGAUCUCAAAAUCGAACGGGUAUUCCUGCAACAUCAAACGUCAAGUAGCCACCGCGUAUUCGGAGAAUGUAUGACGGCGAUCUUACCGACUUAUGCAACAUUGAUCGAAUUACCAAACAAACAUGUUAACAUGUAAAACAACAACAACCUGUAGUUCACAUGUUUAAGCAGCUGACGAAGGAGUGGGACCUGCUUAAUCCAGCAAGGCGAACCUCGGUUUAAGCAGAUCACAUGUUUUUUUUUUCUUUUUUCUUUUUUUUUUCUUUUUUUUUUUUUUAUCUCGCCCCCCGGCCCCCCAAGGCCUUUACUGCCUCACCUCUGUAGCCUAGUUCAUAUUCCCAAUGAAUGAAGCGGGUAGCGUGCUACCUCUUUCUCAAAAAAAAAACAACAACCUGUAGCAGGAUUCGAACCGACGAGUUCUCGUGCGAGCACGCCAGUAAUGACUGCAAAAAUUACGGGCUAGGUUUAUAGCAAAACCCAACAUAUUCUAAAUUAGAACAAUGCAUAAUCUACAUAGUUAUGGACAUAACAAAAGGAGAAUUACUAUGCAUCUAUAUAUUAGGAUUUGAAGCACCAUCACAAACAUAUAUGCAUCUUUUAGUUCGCAACUUGGAUCGAACAUAGAUCUUGCAUCAAACGGAUACCUGCGACAGGAGAAAGCGCUUUCGCCUACCGAGCUCGCUCUCGGGUUCGCCUUUGUACUGUGCCCUAGCUCCCGCCCAAAUACGAAAUAGAAUUAAUGAAUUACGCAAAAAUGUGCGGAUGGUCCCUGUACUAUUCCGGAAUUGUUAUUUCGUUCCUGAACUUUCGCAACGGGCCGUGUGGCUUAGUGUGAUAUAUAUUCGUGAGGGAAUGGGUAUCGGCCCAAUAUCGGCCCAUUAUUAGCCCAAAAUUGCUUUCCUUUGUUACUCAUUUUUUGCUUCUAUAUUUUAAAUAUUGCUCCUAUAUAUUAUUUUGAGCCUCUUCGGUAUAGCGUAGCGUGUCUCUCUAAAUUCGCCGUAACUUUUCUUUCAUUUUUAGGAGUGGGCUCCAUCCCAAAACAGCGCAAGUCCACAUACUUUUUUUUUAUUUCGCUCGAACCGAAUCGAAUUUUUCUUUCUUUGCUUAAAUCGAACCAAUCAUUUAAAUGCGGGCUCCCCCGACCCAGCUCAAGUCCUCCAUAUAUAUAUAUAUAUAUUUUUGCUUGAACCAAAUUGGGUUUUCCUCUUUUUUUUUCCUUGAAAAGAAUCAAGUCACACCUCUGCAUUGCAUUGGACCAAACUGUUCUUCUUCCAUUCCCUAUUUUUUUCUCUUAUUAUCUAACCGUCGAAUCACAUGGAUUACUAUAGUAGUAUAUCAUAUAAGCUGUAGAAUGAGAAGGUUGUUGCAUAUUAGAGUAAGGCUCUAUUUGGGAUUAUAAAAAAUUACGUUACGGAUAGUUAGAAAGUGCGAUAAAAAAUAAUAUUUAUUUUUGUAGCGUAAUAUUACUUUCUGCAUAACAAAUGAAUUGAUUAAUAUAUACUUUCUGUAAUCCCAUUGAAGAAAGAAGUAUGUUCUUAUAUAUUUUUAUUCUAAUUCUGUUUUUCCUACUAAGCACACUAAUACAUACCUAUAUAUUUAAGUUUCGAGCAUGUUAAAUUAUACAAAACAGACGGUGUUCUUCAAAAUAUUAAACUAUCAGAAAAUAAUAUUAUUAAUAUUUAUAUUUAACAGAGUAGUACUAUAGAAUUAUCAUUGAUCUGUGACUCAGUAAAUAUCAUUGAUGAGUUAAUAGUUUCACAUAAUUUUGACUGAUUAGUGCUUUACCUUUAAACUUAUGAUCUUAUUAAGGUGCCACAAGAAAAUGCUCAAUCAUCAGCAACAGUUCGAAAUUUUCAAGCAUAAAAUUAUUCCAUAUAUGGCUAUUGAUAGCUUCAGCAAUUGUUUUAUAUAAAACACAUGGCAUCAGUAGCAUCGUACAAGAUAUUCUACAAAGAGAUAAAAGAGCUUUUUUCUAAAUAGUUAUUUUUAUUUUAUGUAGAAAAAGCAUAAUUCACAAAAAUAUUUUCAUAUUCCUUGCUCAAAUUAUGCAUACCCACUGUCACAUCAUGGCAAAAUAAAAUUAGUUUGCUUUAUACAUUUUGUGUGAAUAUGCUAAAAUGGAUGUGGUAACAUCAAUUACAAGAACUCAAACUUGUACAUAUCUUCUAUGCGACCCCACCUUGCUGAUCCACCCAUCCGAGGAAGAGAUUGAAAAAAAAAGAAAAAGAAAAAAAAAAGUGUAAACUUAUUUUGGCUCUCAUAACCAAACUUAUUUCACAAUCCAAUCCCACUUCACCUCUAAACUAAUUUAUUACUAGCAUUCGAAAAGGUUGAAAAAUUAAGGGGCAAUUGUUUGUAUACUCUUGAAAAGUUUUCAACUUUCUAAUUUAAUUUUCUUAGAAGGUUAAUAUUGAAAAAAAAAAAUUUACGUUCAAACCUAUUUCAAAUAUGCCUCUAGAGUUAAAUUUUAUUAAUAAAUUAUUAAUAAUAGCUGUUAUCUAUAUAAAAUUACUAUUUUGUCCAUUCAAAUAUACCCUUUUAUCAUCACUGACUUUUCUUAUUUGCCAUUUAGUUAGGGGCAUAAAAGGUAUUUUGAUUUUUGCUCUUUUCAAAUAUAUCCUUCUACUAUUACUAAUAUUUCUUAUUUGCUCUUAAGUUAAGGGCAAAAGAGGUAUUUUAAUUUUUUAACUCUAAUAGAUAUUUAACUCACGUUUAACUCAAAUUAACUUAACGAGUAGCAACUGCUGAUGUUUUUUAUUUGCAUUCACGCCUUUUGGAAAGAGCCGCUAACUUCGAUCCAAGCAGUUUAUGUACCUGCGGAUAACGGAGGGUAUAUAUGAGAAGUAUAUUGGAAAGGAAAAAAAAAAAAAAGAAAGAUAUUUUCAAAAUUUUGAGAGAUAUACAGGUAAUUAUUCUAAAAUUAAAAAAAUGUAGAUAUGCACGUGAGGGAUUAGAAUCUUGACCUAUAUAAAAACCUCUCGAAAUAAGAAUUAGUGUACUAGGAAAUGGUUAUGAACCAAACAUUGCUUUGAUGUAGACCCAUUCAUCAAAUGUUUCUAAUUUUAUAAGUUAGGUAAUUGGACAACUCAAUCCAAAAAUAGAAGUGUGAGAAAAGCACAUCAGUAACUUAAAUUCCUUUUGUUAUGUGGUCCCAUCAAUUAUUCAUUUGUUGGGUUCUUUAUAGUUGCAUGGUAGUAGUGAUUCCUUGCACUAUAACUUGGGAAAUUCCUUCCCCCAUCACUUCCCUCUUCUGGAGAAUAUGAUUAUUCUUAAGAAAACACCAAAUACAUAUAAAAUAGCACUUUUGGUACACCAAAUAACUAAUUCUAUUUAAGCCCCUAUAUUUUAAGUAAAUUAUUUUGAGCUCUUGGUUUCUCAAGAUCUCAUUAUAAAUGUGGCAAAAAUUAAGGGGUAGUAUGUAAACUGUUUAAUUUUUAUUUAAUUAAAUUAAGCCUCUAUAUUUAAUUUUUUUUUAUUUGAGCAUAUGAUUUCUCGACCUAACACUCAAGACGCGGAAUGCUUCAACACAAACAUUCUAUAUUGUGCAUGGGAUGAAAGUGACGACAUUGAAUAUGAUGAGAUUAAGCCUAACACAAUGAAUAAGUAUAAAAAACAAAAGACUUGAGAAAAAGCAAAUUAUCCUAAAAAUUAAAAAUGUGAUAAUAAAAAUAAAUUCAGAAUUUAAAAUCUUAAAAAAAUCAGAUAAGAGUUAGCAACUAACUGUAUAAUUAUCCGUUUUUUGAAAAUGUGACGUGGAAGAAUGUUAGCUAUUUUGACAUUUUUGUCCCUAUCCAUCUCGUACCUUACGUGGAACAGAAACACCACCUUUUCCCUCUCCCUCAACUCCUCGAUUCCUCUCUCUCUCUCUCUGUUUUAUAUCGCUAAUCCGUGGACUCGAAGCGAAGGCACAUCGUGAGAAGCACGAGAAAUAAAAAGAGAGGGGGGAGAAGAGAGAGAGGAGAUGGACUUGUACCAGGAGUUUCUCCUCACCGCGCUCGUCUCGCUCCUCCUCGCCUUCCUCCUCGGCAAGCUCGCCGGCGCCGGCGAACCCGAGAAGGUCCCCGCCGUCGCCGCCGACGGAGGGCUCGACCGGGUCGAGGAGAGCUCUCCUUCCCUCGACGAGGCAGGCGACGAAGCUACCGAACUCAGAUUGGGGGGAACCCUUGCGAAGGCGAUGGAUUCGGUGGUGGAGAUCGAGAGGAUCGGCGCGGAUCCCGCCGCGGAUGAGAUCAAAGAGGUGGUGGCGGAGGAGGAGGAGGAGGAGGAGGAGGUUCGGGAGGAGAAGGGGCGGUCUCUGCUCCACGGGGAGGACGAGUGGGAGGGGAUCGAGAGGAGCGAGCUCGAGUUGCUCUUCGAUUUCGCCGUCAAGUAUGCGAGUAGCGAGAGCGGUGCGGAGGCGGUGGCGAAGCUCGGCAAUGGCGCUCGGAUGCGGUUGUACGGGCUUUGCAAGGUCGCGACGGAGGGGCCGUGCUACGAGCCGCAGCCCAUGGCGUUGAAGGUCGCCUCCCGUGCCAAAUGGUUGUGCUUCUCCCUAUCCUUUAACAAAUUCCUCAUUAUGUUUACAAGGUUCAUUGUUUUGCUCUGAUUUGAUUUGAAUCUUCUGUUCAUGCUUGAUUCAUUUUUGUCUCUGAGCUUGUUUGGUGUUUAAUUGAGGUUUUGAUUUAAAAUUUUAAGCAUUGUUUGCCAUUUGGAUCAUCUCCAAUAGAAACAGCUGAACACAAAAAUCAGAAAGCGUUUCUGAAGAAUGAACAGUUAUUAGAGAUGUACAUGAUGAGGCAUCUAGAAAAGGAAAGCACAAAAAAUAAUAUAGUGAAUUUCAAUUUGACCCGUACGUGUAGGGAUGUCGAUGGAUAUAGAUACCCGAAAUUUUAUCCAAACCCGAACCCGAACGGGGUGGAUUUACCCGAUGCUAAAUGGAUAUAGUUUUGGAUAUGGAUAUAAAAAACAAAAAUCCGACGGAUUUAGAUUCGGCUAUGGAUUUUGAUUGUAUCCGACCCGAACCCGAACUCGAAGUUAUUUUACAUUAUUUAUAAUAUAUAUGUUUGAUAUUGUACUUAAAUUUGUAUUUUGAAAUUUUGAUUUAAUGUAAUAUAUUUUGAAAUAUUGUAAAGAGAAAUAAUUGUUUCUGAGUUCCGAUUUUCAUGUUUGGACUCGGGGUCGGAUUUUAGAUUUUUGGUCGAGUUCGAGUUUGGAUAUGGAUUUUUUUAAUUCGUCGGAUUCGGGUUCGGUUUCAGGUUUCGGGUUUGGUAGUUGGGUUCGGGUUCGGGUUUUUGAAAUCCGCCCCGAAUCCGACCCGUUGACAUCCCUACCUUGUGAUUUAGCGCAUUUUACUUGUCAUACUUGGUUUGAAAAUUUGCACUAGCUACUUUGUAAUUUUUUUUUUAUUUCACCAAAAAACCCUUGCCAUCAAAUUGGAUAGUAAAUUGAAAUUUCUUGAAAUCCACCGGUAUCAUUUUUUCCAAUAGAUCCUUACAGUGAAAUAAAAAUAAAACAAAAAAAUAGUUAAAUGUAACUUUUGAACCAUCAGGGUAUCAAAAUGAAACCGUGCUAGAUCAUAGAAUAGUUAAGUAUAACUUUUUGAAUUACAGAAUGAUAAAGUAAAAAUAUGUCAAAACCAUAGUGGGAUAAAUCAAAGUUCACCCAAAAAGAAAAAAGAGUAUUAGGGGACAUCUAGGAUGGAUAAUGUCAAUAAGAUGAAUCUAGGAAAAACAAAAAAAUGUAGCUAUAGUUUGACGAUAAUCGUUCAUGAUGCUUUGUAACUCAUAUUUCUUGCUGCUUUCGAUAUGAGACUUCCCUAUUUUUGCUUUCCCGGCAUGAGCGAAGACUAUCCGUGAUCCAUGUUCUAUCAAGUGCUAAAGGCUUCACGCAUCUACUACAAGGUGCCAUGCUGUGUAAAUUUGAAAAAAAAUGCAAAACAGGACGGAGCAAUGAUUCUGUGUAGAUCUAUACUGUUAUCAGAUAAGCAGAGUAUGUACUGUUGUUGACGACUUAACCGAAGGCUCUCUUUGGUCUCUAGGAAUGCUUGGCAGAGACUGGGUAACAUGAAUCCAGAGACGGCUAUGGAGCAAUAUGUCACUCUUCUUUCUGAAAGCAUUCCUGGAUGGACGGGUGAAAAAAUCAGAGUAGGUUUAUUCAAAUUCUUGUUCAUAGCUUUGAGAUGGAAAAAUGUUUAACUUUCUAGCAACACUUGUUAGGAGGAUGCCACAAACUCUGAUGGCAAUGAUUCUUUGUUUACGGUGGUCUCUGCAACAGAGACACCUGUUACAAGUUCAACUAUCCACCACCAUCCAGAGCCUGCUGUUGAAAGGUAACUAACAACGGAACAAAUGUUUAAACGAACUUAAUGGCCAGUUGACUAGCGAAAUGCCUUACAGAUUACUAGAAGAUUCUUCUUCCAUUGGAAUUGAUAAUGCAGGCAUUGGUCAGAAAUUUUCCGACCAAGGUAUGGUGACUUCUUUUUUUUUUUUUUUUAUCUGUUUUGGUUUUAUAUACCAUAUUUCAUAUUUCAUAUUUCAUAUUGCAUGUAUGUAUUUCCUAUUGUAUGUACCUGAUAUGAUGUUUUAGUACAUUUCAUUUGCAAAUGCCAGAUUAGGUUAAACACAUUGCGUUAUCUGGGAGUUAUUCUCUACAUUGUGACAACACUUAUGGUGUAUAACAAAUUUUUAUAACAAAUUCUUAUUUACCCCUAUGCAUUAAAAAUUGCGCUAAUUAUCUCCCUACAUUUUGCCUUUGUAGAUUUGGGAUAAAUGGUGACUUAUGUUGAAAAACUUCACUAAAGAGAGUUUGUUUAUCAUAUUAUUCUACAUCUCAAAAAAUUAUAAAAUAUUAAAUAAAAUAGAUAUUUUAUUUUGCUAAUAUUAUCAAAAUCAAUAGUUUAUCUAAUAAUUUUAUUAAAUUUAUAUGAUUCUACUGCAUUAAUUAAAGCUAUGUCUGUUUCGACAAAGUUUUACAGUUGAAUUCAAUAAUUAUCUUAAUUUUUUUGAAUCUAUUUAAAGGAAUGGUAAAGUGCAGACCGGCACCGGCACGACCACCGGCCAGCACGACCACAGUACGGAUGCUAUAGUACCCGUGCCGGUUAGGCCCGAUCCGGCCCGUUACACUUGGCUGUGCUGGACCGCUGCUCUUGGGCCCGUCGGCCCAGCAUGGCCCCGCCGGAAACAGGCCUAGGUUGUGCUGUGCUGGGCCAAGGGAGCGUCCUGCGGCCCAGCACGACAUGGCCCACUUGGGUCUUGCCAACUGGGCCGUCAGGGGCCUGGGCCCUAAGGCUUGCAUUGGGCCUCGGGGUGUAAUCUCCUUGUGAGAAGGGCUUGGCUCCAAGCCCUUUUCCCAAGGAGCUCUCUUUGAGUAGUUUUGGUCCAAUGGACCAAACCUCUUUUGGUCCAUCGGACCAAAACCCUCCCAAUUCACCUUCUUUAAAAAACAAAAAUAAAAAUUUAUAAUUUUUUUUAAAAAUUAAAUAUUUGUUAUUUUAUAAUUAUUUUUAUAAAUUGUAAAUUCUUUUGAUCAAAAUAUCAAUUUAAAUAUGAAUAAUUUAAAUUUUCAUAUUUCUAAAUUUUAUAUAUUUUUAAAAAAAUAAAAAAUUAAAGUGGCCGGGGUGGGCCAGGCUAGCCGCUAGCCCAUUUUGGCCUCGAGUAAUUGACAUAAUUUUUAAUACAGGGAGGUGAUUGAGACAAAGGGCUAAAGUGCAACGGGUUUGUUUAAAAUUUAUUCAAGUGUUAACCACUUCAAGUCUUUAGAAUAUUCUUUGUUUCCAACUUAUAUCUUCCAGAGGGCUGGUUUUGUGCAUGCCAACAUGUGUGUGCGCAUUUUCCUUCUUGCUCUUUUUUCUUUUUUUAAAUUCUCAGCUUCAAAGUCAUUACAUGUCAGACAUAUUAUUAUUCAGCAUAGAAUUUCUUCACCUGAAUGUUGUCUGGAGUUAUAGAUGAUACAUUAUAUACAUUUGCAUAGGGCUGUACUUGGUUCAAUUUGGUUUAGUUUACGGGAAAUGUUUAAACCUAACCAAAAUUUUCAGUGUGGAGAAAUGCAGAACCUAAUCAAAUCCUAAAUGCUACUUCGUCUGGCGCAGGAGGAAUUGCAUAAUUAAUUGAAAGCAUGUUUUCUUUUCGAGUAAACAAUUAACCGAAAAUAUCACAUGCUCGCCUAUGCUUCUAUGUUAUUGAGAAAAAACUGAAACAAAAUUUUGAUUUGGAAAUCUGCUUCAAAUACUGUGCUAUGCAACCAUUGAUUUUACACCCCUGAUGUUUGAUGUGUGUCUCAUGACUUCCAUAUACGUCAAUUGUAACCACUUCUUUACGUAAGCAGAUGGUCUUUUUCUUCCUUUGCUUUUAACUGUACAAAAUUUCAUACUUCAUCUCAUUUUUUCCUUCUUUUAACUCAAAUAUGCUAUGCAUCAUCCACUUCCUUUUGUUUCUUUUGCUUUAUGGGCCUACAUUUUGUUGCAGGACACUCAAAAAUUUCCUGUUUAACCUGCACUCUCCGACAAGAGCUACAUUCUUAACUUUUCGUCCGUAAGAUGGACUUGUCCUGCUUCUGAGGAUUCGGAUAAACUGUGCUGCAGCUUUCCUUAGAAGAAGCACUUCCUAAUUAUAUCAUUGCAAUGCUUGUUCGGCAUGUAAAUUAUAUAGCAUUUUAGAUGCAUGUACAUAAAAUGUUCCCCCGUGCGUAUUGCAUUCUUCAUUUUACUGUGUCCAGCUUCUCUCAUUAGAGAAAUUAUCUCAGAUGAUUUCUACGAGUUCUGUGAAAUAAAAAAGAAGAAAUGCUUCUUAACUUACAAUGCAAGUGAUUUUUCCUGCUUCAAUGCUAUUUCUCUCUGCAAUGUAAGAAGCUUGGCCUUGUGCAUUAUUAUUUAUUCCAUCAAUAGUGUCUUAUCAAGUAACACGAAAAAAUCCUUCAAGAAUCAACACAUGCAGGUGAAGAAAGUAUAUGUAGUUACAGAAGCCGUAAACCAAGAUUAGCUCUUAACCGUCUGAUCUCCCGCCGCCGCCGCCGCCGCCGCCGCCGCCGACCUCUUUGAAUUCUUGUUCAUGUGGAUUCUCAGAUACACCUUCUUUGUCCGGACCGUCAAGAGCACGUCCAAUCCGAACCCGACGAGGCACGCGAACGCCAUGACGAAGAACACCAGGCGGUAGCAGUGGGCGCCGACGCAUGUGUUGCCGCCGCCGGCCGUCUUGGUGGCCUCUGCGUCAUAGAGGAGGCCCGCGAGGAGGCCGGAGAAGAGGAAGGAGCCGAGGGGGAGGUUGAGGAUGAGGAUGUUGUAGAUGAGGCCGUAGUACUUGAGGCCGAAGAGCUCGGAUGCAGCUGGGACCGUGAUGGCGAGGCGGAAGCCGUAGCAUACUCCGACGAUGACCGAGCCGAUGUAUAGAGAGCCCGGCAGGGCCAGGGCCAUCACGACGUACCCGACGGCCAUCAGGAUCUGCGAGGCUGCGUUCCAUAACGGCCGCGGAAUUGCGUUCUUCCUGAGAAGAGGUGGAAAAGGUGAGAGAGGUUAGGAGGAAAAAAUUCUUGACCAACUACAAUGCAAUCAAGAGAUAAGCUGCAGUUUUUCUUAAAACCUUCUCAAAAGACAAAAAAAAAAAAAAAAAAGGAAUCAUAAAAUUGAAACUAGUAUUCUCAAUAUUUGUAGAAAUAAGGAAUACGCACUUGAGGAAGUACUCGGAGAGGGUUCCCGAGCCGAUGCGGCCGAAGAAGCCCCAGAUGCUUAUCAAAGAUAUGAAGACGGAGACGUCGGCGUAGCCCAUCGCCGCGCCGAUCUGGCCCAUAUUGUUCAUCACCGUCAGCCCCGUCCCGACGCCGCAUAGGAACGAGAUGAACAGCACCCAGAAAUCCGUCGUACUCAGCGCCUCCGCUAUCGUGUGCUCAUCGCCAAUCCUUGGCCCCCUCCUCUUCCCCUCUGCCUCUGCCUCUGCCGCCGCCGCCGCCGCCGCCGCUGCCGCCGCCACCGCCAAUACUACCGCCUCGUCUCCCGCUACAGCCACCACCUCCUCCUUCUCCUUCUCCACCUCCUCCUCCUCCUCCUCUGCAUGCAGGAGUGGCUCCGAACGUUCUUCCAAAUCCAACUUACUCUGCUGAAUAUAAAAUAUUAAUUCAAGUACACGUCUUAGAUUUUAUUAAACAGUGUCAGAAUAUGAAAUAGUUAAGUAACGGCAUAACUCCUCAGCAUUAUGAAACAAGAGAUUUUCAAAUUAUGCCCUUUCAUGCUUUUAUUAGAUAUUAGAAUCUUUUAAAAAGUUAUUUUGAAAUAUAAACAUUGAGAAAAGAUGUUAAAUAUAACCGUUAGCUUAAGUUUUUAGAGAAAUUGGUACGCACAUUCCGUGCAAUUCUCGCCUUAACCGCCACGUAGACGGGCACCGCCGCCGGCGCCGCCAGGAGCAGGAAAAGCACGGCCACGAAUGCGGAGAUGGCGGCAACACCGGCCCCUCUCACCACCCCAGGGGCGAGGUCGAAGGCGAGGAGGUACACCGCGAUCACCACCGCGAUGGUGUUGAUCGCUGCGAAGCACCGCCCUUCCUCCUCCUCCUCCUCAUCGCGACCGCUGUCGCCAUCGGCGGGGGGAAAAUCGCGUAGGAAGAGCAUGGCAGCGGCGCAGAUGGCGGCAGGGGCAAUGGCGAGGAGCAAGAGGAAGGCGGCGGGGUUGUCGGGAAAGAGGGCAGCGGAGAUGUCGGUGAAGAUGGCAGUGCUGAGCCCGACGUAGCCCUUGAGGAUGCCCGACACCGGGCCGCGGUUGCGCCGGAAGUUGCGUAUGCACGUGACCAGCACCGCCGUGUUCAUCCACGUCGAGCUGUUCCCCCCCAUGCACAAGAACACGCACAUCUGCAUAGAGUUCGGAUAAAAAUUACUUUCUUUUCGCUAUAACUUUUUGUAUAAUUGUGAGGCUGAAGUUCCUAAGAUUUUACUCUUAUUCGGUAAAAAAAUAAACAACGUAAAAUUGAAAGCGUAAAAGAUGAGUUAAUAUUUAGCAUGUUCGAGGAAAUGCCUCAAAGAAAGAAACAGAGAAUGGAGACAAGUGAAGCGAAGCAUCUUCUCAGGUGUAGCUAGAUUGCACUUUUUCUGUUAUCUAAUUUAUGAUUAGCAUUUUCUCCUUUCUAUGAUUGCUAUUUUGUUCUUGCUGCAUGCAAUGAUGAGUUUUUCAUAGCAAGUAGUAAAAUAAUAUAUUUUAUAAACUGCAUAAUACUAAAAUAAUAAUAAGUUCAACUCAAAUUAAACAGUAAUAAUAUAAAGGGAAAUUGUCGUAAUUUUUUAAAAAAAUUAAACCGUUAUACCAUAAAAUUCAAAUUUAAAAUACCAUCGAGCAAUAUAGCACAAGAGUAUGUAAUUCAACGAGAGGCUAUGCUUAAUUUGAAAAUAAAUCGGAGACAAUAAAAUUUAUUCGUGCUAUUCUGCACGGUCUUUAAAAAUGGUCCCGACAAUUUUUUCAGUCAAAUCGGAUUAUUCUAAAUAAUCCUUCAAUAAUCAAAAAUAAUUAUUUUUAUUUUUUUUAGUGGAGUAACUAUUCUCAUGCUUAUAUCUGGCUAAUUUAAAAUACAAAUAAAUAAUAAUAAUUUUUAAGUUUAUAAUAAUAAUAAUGAUAAUAAUAACUGUUGUUAUUAUUAGUAGCAAUUGUACCACAACUAUUAUUAUUAUAAAUAAAAUAGGAUGUAUUAUAACCUAUAAUAAUAUGUUAAAAUAAUUAUUUUGUAUUAUUUAUAGGUAGGAGCAAUGUCAAAAGGACCCCUCAAAAGUUAUAAAAUAUUGUGGGUACCACAUCAAAAUUGUGAAUAUCACUAUCACUUUUGCCCCUGUAAAGUAAUAAAUUAUAUUAGAAAUACAUUUCAUCACAUCGACUAAAAAUUUUGGACUAAUUUACCCUUAGCUACACCUAAUUAUAAAUAAUUGUUUAGCAUCAUGUAGGGCUAUAUAAUAAAUUUAUUUUUUAACAGAAAAUAACUUGGUUUUCUUUUAUGAUUCAAUUUAUGAACAUGUUUUUUGCACACUUAAACUAAUUUAUUUUUUUAUCAACAUCAUAUAGGUCUUAUGUUAAUCAUAAUAAACAAUUAACUAUAACUAAAAAUAUUUCUACUUUUUAGUGAAUCUAAUUUCUUCUUUUGUAUAAAUUAAUAUGAUUUUUUAAUUCACUAUUUGUAUAGUAUAAUUUGCUGCAAUUAAUUACUUUUAAUAUGGUAUACAUUCAAUUGUACUUACAAUAUUUUCAAACAAAAUAAUAUUUAACUUAAUUAAAAAGGUAUUUACAAUAGAUGAUGGGCAAAAUAAAAUUUUAUUUAGUUUUUUAUGAAUUAUUGUUGAUCUAGAUAUUUACGAUAGUUUUUCUCAAUUAGAAGGGUAUUUUCUAUAUUGACACUUUUAUAAGGGAAUCUAUAUAAUUCAAGAUUGGAAGAAGAGUAUAUAUAAAAUUUGCUCUAUUUAUAUAUAUUUUGUUUAUUAUUUUAUAAUAUCUUUGAGAAAACUACCAAAUAAAUUUUUAAUUAUUCUUAAAUAAAAUAAAUCUUUAAUCAAAAAUAAUUUUAAAACUUAUUUUUCUAUAUUUCAGAAUAGUGAUAAUAUCUAAUAUGUCCUUUAAAAUUUUCAAAAAUAUCUUAUUUAUUUUCGGAGGACCAAAAUACCGGUAUUGAUUUUAAAAAAUUCUUUUCAAAUAUCUCUAUUUCUUUUAGAAUUUAAUGAUAAAAUUGAAUUCUACAAAGAUAUUUUGAUAAUUUCAGUUUAAAUUUAAAAAUUUUGAAUAGUUAUAAAAAGUAAGUAAGCAUAAGUGCUUUAAGAAUAACUAGUUAUUCCAAAAAAUUAAAAAAAGAAAAUAUUUUUAUGAAUAUUAACCCCCAACGAAACAUAAGUCAAAAAUUUUACAUCUUUAUGUAGGGGUAGUAUAUCUAAUAUAUCCUACAAAACUUUAAAAUACCUUAUUUAUUCUUAAAAGACCAAAAUAUCCUCCAUGAUUUUANUUUUUUUGAGAAAGAGAUAGGUAACACGCUACCUGCUUCGCUUAUUUCAUUUAAAAAUAAACUUAGCUGGAAAUAUGAAUCAACUAGAAUUCGAACUUGAGAGUUUGCGUACCAACCACAAAACCUUUUGCCACUUGCUCUAAGGAUGGUCGAUUUUUUUUUUUUUUUUUAGUUUGGAAAAAUAUUUUGAUAAUUUCAGAAUAAAUUUAAAAAUUUUGAAUAGUAGUGAGGGAUAAAUAAGCAAAAGCUAGCUCUCCUACCUGCCAGUAGGGGAGCGGCGCGAUGGCUCGGCGGACGACGAGCCACUGGGCGCCGUAACCGAUGAGGCCUUCGAGGGAUCCGAUGAGGAGUAUGGCGGGCAUGGGCAGGCGGUCGGAGGCGAGCCCCGCGAGCAGGCCGAACGCCUUGCCGACGUCCUUCGCCACCGACAGGUUGUUCAGCUGCAGCUGCGUCAGCCCCAUCAGCGACUUGAGCGCGUCCGAGUAGUUCGAGAACGUGUAGUUGUUCCCCGACACGCACUGCACCCACACCGCCGUCACGAACCCCAGCCACUUCCACCACGUCCCCCGCGACAACGACGACGUCACCGUCGCGGACGCGGUCGCCGCAUUCUUCGCCAUUUUCGACGUUGAUAACUUUGCUUAGAAGACGAAGAGGAAAGAGUUGUGGGGUGGGAACGAAAAGUGAGAGAGAUAGGAGAGAGGUAUUUAUAGACACUCUCACGAAACAAAUAUCUUUGAUGAUCACCAAGGGAAUCUAUCUAUAUUCUAAUAAUUAUACUGCAUCGUUAAUAACCAGACAAUUAUAUAUUUUUUUUUUAAUAAAUAAAAAUAAAAAUAUUUUUUAAUAGUCAUAGCGUGAUGGGUGUUGAACUCAAUAAAAUAAUCUUAUUAGUUGGAAACGCUACAUCAAUAAUAUAACUGUUGCAUUCUAAACUUUUUUCAUUGUAUAUGAAUAAAAUUAUACAAAACUUAUCUGAAUUUCGGACUAUUUUAAAUCGGCCUGGUAAAUUUUUUAAAUUUUAAUUUAGCUACUCAAAUUUUUAAUUCAUUUAAUUUUAACGAGUCAACGGCUUUCUAAUUUUUAAAGUUAAGCUAAUUAUGUACCUUACGAAUUAAGUAUACUAAUGAAAUUUGUAAAGAGAAAUACAAUAUUUAAAUUUUGAAGUCAAUAAAAAAAAAUUGAAGGAUUUGAUAGUAAAAUAAAAAUUAUAAAACGUUGGGCAACCAAAUUAAAGUAAUCCAUGAAUGAUUUGACUCCAAAUCCAUUAUUUGCGCCCCUAAAACUAUAUACUUGAUUAAAAAAUAGGUAAGAAUUGUGAGAAAGUCCCCUAAAUAAUAGAUUAUUUUUGAAUAUUUCUCUAAAUUUAUUACUUAUUCAUAAAUAUUUGUUUUAGUCAAAUUAUUCAACAAAAUUACUGCUUUUCAGCAAAAAAAAAAAAAAAUGUAAAACUCAUAAUAUAGUUAAUGAUCAAUAAUAAAUUUAAAAUCAAUUAUAUGCCCAACUAAGUAAUGUAAUUUAAAUUUAAGAAAAAUAAAAAUAUUUUAAAAAUAUUAAUAAAAAUAUCUCUAUUUUUUUACCUAAAUUUAGAUAAUUUUUGUAGAAUUCUGAAACAGUUAAAAAGACAUGAAUUAAGGAAGAAAGGAACAAAAAUUUGCGUGAAUACAGGAUCGGAAAAAGACCUUUUUUUUCUUUUCUUUUUCUUUUUUUUCCGCUACUGUAAAAAUCGUGCUCAGAGAGAAAAGGAUAGAGAGGGAUUAAAUAAAAAAUAUUACAAAAAGUAAGGAACCAAAAAAGAAAAAAAUGAGGAAAAAAGGGGGGUUAUGGUGGGGACAAAAUAAUGGUGGAAAAGCGUGUGAGAUUUGCUUCGGCCGUUGCUUCUCAGCUUCCCACCGCAGCGGUUUACUUAAGCCACUGAAACUUUGCCUACAUAGCCGGCGCAGAAAUUCGUGCUUGUUCAUGGUCCCAUUUUCCUAAAAAUGGGACACAUUGAAUGUACGUACAUUGACCAAAAGCGUGAUUUUUUCUGAUAUUAAUUUUUAAAAUCAUUAUUUAUACUGGUACCGAUAUUAAUUAUGUGAAAGAUACAUUGAAGGAGAAGGAUACCUAAACUAAUAUUUUAUCUAUUUUAUUAACAAAAUGUAUCUAAUUACAUCUUCGUUGACACCCUUAGCCAUAUACCGUCAUGUCUAUUGUGGCUAAUUCAUCUAAUUAAUUGACGUCUAGCUAUAUAUAUAGCUACGAAGUGAUAACUGAUGAUAACUUCAAUUUUUAUUUUAGCUAAUUAUAAAUUUUACUCUAAUUACAUAAAUUCUUAAACAUAAUCGAAUCUAUAAUUUGGAUAAGUUCUAUCUUCGGCUAAAUUUUUUAAUAUUGAAUUAAGAUGAAAAUGCAAUGUAACUAUGUCUUAAACUUGAGAUCUAAGAUAUCAAUCAUCAAAGACGAUUGAUGAUGAUAAAUAAUUUAAGAGUCCAUUAAGUUGCUAAUAACUCAGAAUGGUUAUAGAAUGAAUGGUUAAAUUUCUGCACCAGUGUGGUCAUCUCAAUCUACCCUUUGAACUUGUCUCUUUUGGAAAAAAAAACACACAUUUUAAACUAAGAAAAGCUUCCCAUGGUGGUGUUUGGGAAUUUCAUCGUUUAGUUAGGCUUCGUUUGGUUCGGAUAUAAGUAAGAACUAGCUGAUAUAAGAUUAGAACUGCUCGAACAAUAGUUCUUCUUUUUCUAGAACAAGUUGAUAAAAGAUUAGAACUGCUAUUCCAUUUCUUUCUAGAACAAGCUUAUUCGGGAAGAAGGUUAAUUAAAAGCUAAAUUUAAUUUUAAAUAUGAUAUUAAAAAUUAUUAAUUAAUCAAAUUAAUGUCUAUAAAUCAUUAUCUACUGCUUAAAUAAUAAAGGAGUUAAUUAAUUUAUUAUUUAUAAUUAAUUAGCUCAUUAAAAAUUAGUAAUUUAAUAUAUUUAUUCAUAAACUAAUAUUUAUAUUUAUCAACACUACUCUGGUUAAUUUUUUUACUAAUAAUCUAACUAAAAUAAUUUACUAACUACUUAAAAAUUAAAUUAUUUUUUAUAAUCAAUUAAUUAAUUAAUAUAUUUUCAUGAUCUUAUACAAUAUUCAUAGCUAAUAAAUUGAUUAAUUUAUUAAAUUAUUUUUAAUUUAAGAUUAUAACUUUUAUUCCUUCUAUUCCAAUUUAACCAUUCAAAUACUAUUUUAUCUUAUUCUCGGAAACAAUUCAAUUUUCAUCCAAAUAGAAAAUUGGUCUAAUUUCUACUUAUGGCUGAGCUGUACUUAUCUCUGAAAUAAGCAGUUUUUAUUUAUACCCGAACAAAACGCAGUCGUAAGAUACAAUUACAUUUCUUUUCUAUUAGAAUAACACUAUCCAUACGCUCUGUAGUUAGGUAUAAAAUUUACACCCCAAUUUCUUUGUAGCCUUUAUUUUCUCACUUAUUUUAUCAACUUUUUUAAACUCAAAAUAAAAAAAAAAUGUAAAUCUUUGAAUUUAAGGGUGUAGGACUUAUUCCCUAUAAAAAGUGUAUAAGUAAUAAUUUUCUUUCAGUUAUGGUUACUUCAAGUGAUAAUACCAACAUUCCAUAAAGUUCCCAACAUUACACACAAGUGCAAAACAUAUAAUACAAAUUUUUAAAAAAAACUGUAUCAAUUGCCAUAUAACCUAAGUUUAGACCUACUGCCACCUUACAUGGCCCAAAAACAUUGAUUUAAAGUUUAAAUGUGUUUUGGGCACCUGCUGUUUUUCAAUUGUGAACUUUUUAUUAUCAUUAUCAUAAAAAUGUUAAUGGCUAAAAAAAAAUUAAAAAUUAAUUCAGCAAUAAAUUUUUUUACAUUAUAUUUUUACUAGCAUGGCUAUAACUGUUGUGGUGGAUAGGAAUACAAAUAGCCUGACUUUAUCAGUUAUAACUGAUCGGCACAUAUUUAAAAGUUUAGUAAAUUAAUUCAGUCCCGAUCAGUUCCAAAUAGGGUUACAAGUAAGAACUAAAUAAUAAGAAAAAAAAAAAUCAUUCCGAAUUUAUUCCGAUCUGUUAAGAAAAAUGAGUGGGCAGUAAAAGACCUCUAUCUUUUCUUUAUUUGUCCUCGUCCACAAAAAAUUUAUCAAACGUUUCUUCCAUCACAACCCACCCUGAAGGACAAAAGACAUGAUAAGAAUCGACUCAUUCUGAAUCAACCCCGACCUGCAGAAGACACUAUUGGCUAUUUACACUACAACAGAAUUAGGUUAUAGGGACACAUGUUUGGGAUAUUUUUAUGUAAGUAUCUCAUUUAUGUCAAAACUUAAAAAAAAAAUCUAAUAAGGCCUAAAUAUAGAGCACAAUCCAAUCAAAAAUAAAAGGUUACUCUACUCAACCCACCCCAUCCAGUCCAUUCAGUCCGAUUACAAAUAAAAAAGGAAAAAAAAAAUCGAUCACCAUCUUCCCUUCUCCCCUCAUUCAAUCCACCGAAACUUUAGAGGAAGAGCCCUUCGCUCUCCUCCUCUUCCGCCAGUGCAGCCAACAAGGUAAAGUUCCGGUGAUUGCUAAAAGUUUAAAUAAGUGUUGGUAAAUUAGCAGUACUUUUUUUAGCUUAUACCGACACUCUUAAACUGUCACUAUAUGCCUAGUGAUCCCACAUAUAGCAACAAUUUUAAAAGUGUCGAUAAUUUAGCAAGCAGCAUUUUUUUUGACCUAUACCGACAUUUAAAAGUGUCGCUAUACACUGUUUUUUUUUGUAGAGUUAUCAUUUGGCUAAAAUAUGUCCAAUAUUUUGCUCCAUAAUAAUAGAUCCAAGAGACUAAUAAGUUGAACUGAUGAGUGUAAUAAAUUGAGUGGGAUUACGAUCCAACAGUGGACCUAAUAUCCAGAUAUGUUUAAUCAGGUCGAAACUUGUGAAGUGUUAUAACUAAGCCUUUAAAUACAAUAUAAAUACACUUAUUUUAUCAGCACGUAUUUUUUGAAUAAUUAUUCAGCAGUAAUAAUCCACAGGUAAGAAGGAAUCCAUUGGCCAUCAGAGCUGCCCUACUUUUCUUCCUUGUGUAAGCAAUAAUUUUCCCCCAUUAAAAGGCAAAAAUUGACAUGCCGUGGAAGAAUCACCUUUGGUGCCCACUUGCAAGUUGCAAGUGCUCGACCUUGUCACCCUGCUUUAUUUAUUUUUUCUUUUUUAAAGUCUUGCUUCUUUUGAAUUUUGAUUGGGUGUGGAAUUUCGAAAAUGAUGCACUCAAAUUAUGACACAGUAAAUAAAUUAGAGAUAAUUGCCCACGAUUAUCUCUAAAGUUAUUAAAUAACAAGUAUAUUCCGACCACACUUAAGUUAUCAUAUUUAUUUCUCUAAAAAUCGUUCCGUCUGUAAAUAUAUCAUUCUGUCAGCAAAAUUUAGAUAACUAUAAAUUAAAAAAUAUAACCACGGUUAGUUAAGAAGUAAAAUAAACUUUUUAUCCCUUACAUUUAUAAUUUGUAUUUCAAUAUUGAGUCAAGUUAUCUUUCUCAUCCUCUCCUCUUUAUACAUGGUGACGGCGAGAUAAACAUGAGAUACGUCGCAUGUACUGCAAAAAAUGCGAGGAGAGAGAGAGAAAAAAAACUUUUUGCAAGAAUAAACUUAUAAGAGUAAAAUAGUUAUUUUAUGCAUCCAUCGUUAAAAAAUUAACGGUGAAUCAAACGACAUGAACAUAAAUGAAUGAAUCAGAAUUUUUGAAAAAAUAUAGUUGCAAAAAAAAAAAAAAUUAAAAGAUAAAUAUGAUAAUAUAAAUUUUAUAAGAAUAUAUUUACUAUUUCAUAUGUUUGCAUCAGCAUGUAGGAAAUUAACCCAAUAAAUUAAGUGGCUAAUCCAAACAUUGACAAAAUCACAUAUGCAAUUAAUUUAAUAGUUAACAUCCAUGUCUCAAUCAAAGUGAAUUAUAACCUUGUUUUUAUUGCAGAGUGAAUAUAUAAAUCAAUAGUCACAUCCAUGUCUAAAUCAAAGUUAAUUAUAACUUUGUUUUUUCUGCAGCGCAAAAACAUAUAAAUUUAAUGAUUUGUGCUAGUUUAAAUGAGUCAGUAUUUUGUUCUUUGACGAAAGGUCAAGUGGGCUAAGUUAUUUCGAAAUAGCAUUAGACUGGGUUGGGUCGAAUCAUAUUCAAAGUGACAUGAGGCUAGUUGGACCGAGUCACAAUCGAGAUCUGUGGAUGCUGUAUUUAUACGCUUUAAGUGAAUUGGAUGUGUAUUUCUAACAGCUCAAGUUUUUGGAAUUAAUGGUUAGCGCUAACGACCUGACAGCUUGUUUUAUAGCUUCAUGUUGAUUUUAUUUUAUUUUAUUGGAAUCAUGUUAAGAGAUUUUAACUCUAAUAAGGCUUCAUGCAACCUGUUAUAUAGAUGAAUAGAACUCGUGUGUUAUAUAAUAAUACACUUGGAAUUUUGGCUAUGCAAUGUACAAGUUAAAUUAAUUCGAAUAACAAUAAUAAAAAAUUGACCUUUUAAAAUUAUUUGAGCAAUUUAAAAAAGAUUCCUGCAGAAUAUAUCUAGUUGGUAGAAAAUAAUCUAAAUUUUAAAUUUAGAAUAAAUCUGGAUCACAAACUUUUAAUAAUGGAAUAUAAUUUAAAUUUUAAGUUUAGAAUAUUUAUGAAUUAACCAUCACGAGACACUACUUUAGUAUAAUACGAUUAUGUGACCUAUUUUAGCAAUUUUUGAGGUAUUUAAUAACCUGUUUAAACACAACCUAGGGGUAAAUUGGGAUGUUUCGAAUUUAAGUUUUUUUUUUUUUUGAAACAAAAUUAUUUAAGGAAUCAUAGAAAUUUAACAACAAACCAAAUAACUGAACUAGUUGUUUAAAAUUGGCAACUAAUAUACUGAGUUGAAUUAAAAAAUAAUUGAAUUAAAAGGCUCAUGUUUAACGCAAAAGCUUAAACUAAUAGAUGAAAAACUUCUUAUGUUCUAUAAAUAAUGCCAAAAUUUUAGUUUAUAUUUAAUACAGGGUGAUUUUUUUUAACACUAGCAAGGUAAAAGGGAAAAAAUAAAAAUAAAAACAAAUAUUUUUUGUUAGCACGAAAGAUUUUUUUUGAGAGAUAGGUAGCACGCUACCCGCUUCGUUUAUUUUAUUUAGAAAUAAACUUAGCUGGAAAUGUAAAUCAAUUAGAAUUCGAACUUGGGUCUCGGGUACCAACCACCAAAUCCUUUGCCAUUUGCUCCAUGGACGGUCGAUUGUUAGCAUGAAAGAUGAAUCAAUAUUUGUUCGAUUUGAGAGGUUGGGGGCAAUAAUUAAGUUAAUUUCAUGAGUGUUCCUACAAAAAUAUCGAAUAUCAGAUAUAUUAUUAUAAAGUUUAAGUUAUCACAUUUGUUCUUUUAAAAAUUCUAGCACAUUCAUAUUUGUCUCCAUGAUUUGCUGCUAUUAGUUUACUGUUUGUAUUCAUAAUUCGUAAGUGAAAUGAUAAUUUUAUUAUUAUAAAUUUAUCUCUUCAAACAUUUCAAUAGUUAUAAGUGUGGUCCUUUUCUCUAUUAAAAUCAACUCAACUCUUGAUGGGAGGGCUCCGCGGGACGAUAGAAAGCUUUGUCUACGAGCAGCAUAUAUCCUUUUUGUCGCACCUUUUGAGUUUACAGGUCGCUUAGAGCACAUUAGUUAGUUAAUAAGAUUUUUUAUAAGAGGGAUGAAAAUAUGAUUUUAUUUCUUAAGUAACUAUUGUUAAGUAUUUUAUUCAUGAUUAAUUAAAUAUUUUCUAAUAAAGACUAACGGUAGGAAUAUACUUGCAACAAUAUUAAAUAUUGAAGGAGAAAAUCUAAUAUCUUUGUAAAAACAUAUAUGAAUUAUUACCAUAUAUAUAUAUAUAUAUAUAGAGAGAGAGAGAGAGAGAGAGAGUUGAACUGGGCUACUAUUAAAAACAAAAUUCUAUUGUUGCUACCAGUUUUUUAGUCUUUGGAUCAACUCUUUUCAUUAUUUCUAACCAUUGGAUUAAAUACUAUAACCCAGUGGGGACCACUCAACUCUAACCGACUAAUAUCAUUCUGAUCCUACAAUUUUUCAUCUAAGGGUUAAAAACUUGAUAGCAAAAAAAGCGUUUUACUAUUAAUAGUAUUCCAGACUAAUUUUAUAUAUAUAUAUAUAUAUAUAUAUAGAGAGAGAGAGAGAGAGAGAGAGAAAGAGGAGAGGCUAGGCCUGGUAUACUAUCGGUAGCACAGAGGCUCCGUGCUAAAGUGUUUUCAAUGAUGCGGCUUUCAAAUCGACAAUGCGCUUUAUUAGACUUGAUCUACACUAUAAAAGGUAUUUGGAAACUAAAAUUUCAUAAUUUUCGACAUCAUUCUGCUAGUGAUCAAAAGGUUUGCAAAAUAACAAUUUUAAUUGGUAGAUAUGAUGCGUUUUUUAAGUUCAGCGGUGUAGAAGUAUUCAAAUUAGAUGAAAUUAUAAUAGAAAUUCUACUUAAACAUCAAUAGCAAGACAUACUUCCGAUCUGAAAUUUGAAUUCUUUAUCAUUGUUUUUUAUGAGAUUUUCAUUUUCAGCCGUUCAUUUUAAACUACUCGUUUGAAUUGGUAAAUGACGCCGAAAAAUCAUGAAAUUUAGUUUUCAAAUAUUUUCAAUAAUGUAGAUCAAAUCUAACGGAGCCGAUCGUCGAUUUAGAAGCCGCAUUAUUGAAAACAACUUGGUAGCACGGAGACCUCUGUGCUACCGAUAGUAUACCAGCCUAGGCUCUACUCUCUCUCUCUUCUCUCUCUCUCUCUCUCUCUCUCUCUCUCGCUAUAUAUAUAUAUAUAUAUAUAUAUAUAAUUAUAUAUAUUAUAUGAGUAGAGCUACUAUACUAUCGGAAUCAUAAAGUGGUUGCUGCUUCUGAUUUUUUAGCCCUUAGAUCAACCCCAUUGAUCAUUUUUAACCAUUGGAUUAAUAUUAUUAACCAAUGAGGACCACUCAACCCUAAGUGAACCGCUAUCAUCCCAACCGUAAAAUCUUUGAUCCAACGGCUAAAAAAUCGGAAGCACCAACUACUUUAUGCUUCCGAUAGCAUAGUAGCUCUACAUUAUAUAUAUAUAUAUAUAUAUAUAUAUAUAUAUAUAUAUAUAUAUAUAUAUAUAUAUAUAGCAAACAGGCUCCGUUGCCAUCCAUUUGUUUUCGAUGAUGGAGCUUUUAAAUCGACGAUCGACACCGUUGAACAUGAUCUAUAUCACUUAAGGUAUUAGAAAUCAAAUUUUAAAUUUUUUCGACAUUAUUGACCUAAUGAUCAAAGAGUUUCAAAAUUUAUAAUUUUAAUGAUCGAUAUGAGGCGUUUUCUCGUUUAACGCUGUAAAACUAUUCAAAUCAAUUGAAUUUUGGUUAGAAAAUUCUUUAAACUAUUUAGAACAAGAUCCAUAUUCUCGAUCUUGAUUAUAAAAUUCCUAUCAUCACCUUUUAGAGGAUAUUCAUUUCAGCCAUUCAUUUUGAUGCCCACUUGAUGAACAAGAGAACAAUAUCGGAAAAAUAUAAAAUUUGAUUUCUAAAUACUUUAAGUGGUAUAGAUAAUUUUCAACGGUACCGAUCAUCGAUUUAGAGGCUCCAUCAUCGAAAACAAAUGGAUGGUAACGGCGUCCGUUUGCUACCGAUAGUAUUCCAGCUCAACUCUUUAUAUAUAUAUGGUAUGUAAUAUAUAUGGUAACAUGAAUAACUCCUAUAUUAGAAAAAAGUGAUAUGUUGGAUCAAAUAUGAAUAACUCCUAUAUUACAUAGGAGUGAUAUGUUGGAUCAAAUAUUCUCACAUGACAAAAUUUUAGAUUUUUGGCUUUUGGAUGAAAGGAUGUGCGGUUAUGAUGAUAGUGGUCCUCUAGAGUUGAGCGAGUAGUUAGUUGAAUAGCAUGAUUUAACGGAAAGAAAUAGUAAAUGAAUAAAUCUAAUGGUAGAAAAUUUAGUGGCGCACCAGGUGCCUUGGUACUAUUAGAAGCACCUCGACAGGACUAUAUAUAUAUAUAUAAAGAGAGAGAGAGAGAAUAAUGUUACUAUACUAUCGAUAGUACAAAACGUUUGGUAUUAUCAAGUUUUCGGCCGUUGGAUAAAAGGAUGUGGGAUAAUAUUAUGAUAGUAGUCCCCUAUAAUUGAGUGGGUUGUUGUUAAAUAGUAUAAUUUAACGGAUGAAAAUGAUCAAAGGAUAGAUCCAACGGCAGAAAACUUGAUAGUACCAAAAAUUUGGUACUAUUGAUAGUAUAGUAGCCGGACUAUAUAUAUAUAUAUAGUCUGGCUACUAUACUCUUAUGAGUAUAGUCUCUUUUAUACUCAUAAAUUUUUUGUCGUUAGAUCUAUUUCUUUAAUUAUUUCUAUCCGUUAGAUCGUACUAUUCAACCAACUACCUACUCAACCCAAGGGGACCACUAUCAUCCUAACCGCACAUCUCUUUAUCUAAUGGUUGGAAACUUAUGAGUACAAAGGAGGCUAUACUCAUAAGAGUAUAGUAGCCCUAGCCUAUAUAUAUAUAUAUAUAUAUAUAUAUAUAUAUAUAUAUAUAUAUAUAUAUAUAUAUAUAUAGAUAUGAAGAGAGUAGAGAGAGGAGAGAAGAGAGUAGUGCUAGCUGUAUAGCUUGGUAGUAACAAGGCCUCCGUACUACCAAAGUGUUUCUACUGAUCCGAAAUGUCCAAAUUGACGAUCAGCUACGUUAACUUGAUCUAAUACUAUUGAAAGUAUUUAAUAAACUAAUAUAUAUAUAUAUAUAUAUAUAUAUAAUAUAUAUAUAUAUAUUAUAUAUAGUCCGGCUACUAUCCUAUUAAUAGGAAGAUUGGGACCUGUUUGUGAUCCUAUGCAAAGUCGAUUUGAAUGAUCGGCUAAGCUCAAGAUUGAUAAUCAACACCUACGUUGAAAUUGAUCUAUCAGCAAUUAGAAUGUUUAGAAACCAAAAUUUUUGUAUUAAUUAAAAAUUCAUUAUCAGGUUCAUCUAUAAAGAGUUGAAAAAUGAACGCGUCAUAAAUGAAGUAAUCUUCUAAAGAUCAGAGGUUAGACUUUCUCAGUUCGUAAUCAGAGUUAUCAAACAUUAUCUAAAUAGUAUAAAGAAUUUUUUAUCAAAAAUUUAAGCAAUUUGGAUUGCUCUACACCGUUAAACAAGCAAACGGCUCAUAUAGGCCGUCAAAAGUUAUCGAUUUUACGACACUUUGAUCACCAUGUAAAUCAGUAUCAAAAUUUAUGAAAUUUAGUUUCUAGAUAUUUCAAAUACUCUAGAUCAACUUCAACGGCUCCGAUCAUCGAUUCGGAAUCUCGAUCAUCAAGAACAACUUGAUAGGACCAGUACUCCUAUCCUAUUAAUAGGAUAGUAGCAUUAGCCUCUAUAUAUAUAUAUAUAUAUAUAUAUAUAUAUAUACAAGUCUAUAGGUUAAUUUGAUGUGAAAAAAUAUAAUACAACAAGUAUAUAUAAUAUCUUUGACUUUAUUAAUGAGCAUAUAAAAAUUGAGCUUUGUGGUCAAUACUGAGCUAAAAUAACGGAAAGGUUAUUAGCUAAUUAUAGCGAAUUGAAAUCCAAUAAAAAAUAAUUAUAUACAAUUUUAAAGUCAAAUUUUGGAUUCAAGCAUUUAAGCCGUACUAACAAUGAUUAAAAGUUCAACAAACGUACAAAUAAAAUUGUGGCCAAUUUGUUCUCAACUUCGUACUGAUAGGAAGGAAAUUGAGAUCGCGUAUAUGUCUAGCUAUACUAUAUUUCAAUAAUUUUUUUAUGUAACUGACCGUUUCUAGAGCAAGUGGCAAAGGACUUGGUGGUUGGUACUCUAAAUCUAAGUUUGAAUCUUAGUUGAUUCACAUUUCUAGCUAAAUUUAUUUCUAAAUGAAAUAAACGAAACAGAUAGUGUGCUACUUAUCUCUCAAAAAAAAAAAAAAUCUCUUAUGUAAAAAACAAAUCAAAUUCAAAGAAUUUACUGUCCCUUUCCAUCAAUUUAAUUUAUGAUAAAUAAGACGACACGUUGUUAGUCCUUUUUAGAACGCACUGUCUCUUUCUAUGAAUAAAUUUACGAUAAAUAAAGACGCCACGUUUCUCUUAUUUAAUUCCAUCAUCAACUUUAUAAAGUUAUGCUGUGUUGGACAGCUAUUCUUGCCAAAAUGUUGUUGAAUCGAAAAAUAAAAAAUAAAAAAAAAAUCUUCUCAUGUUACAAAAUUUUAUUUUCUAAAAUUUAAUUAAAAGAUUUGUCAUCGAGUUUUAAAAAAAAGCUUUGCAUUUUCAUCUUUAAUCGCACACACAAAAUUAUAACAAUAACAGUUGUUUUAUAAGCAAAUAAUAAUAAUAAUAAUAAUAAUUAAAGUGCAAUUGAUUUAUUAAUGAAAGGGGUUUAUUCUUAUUUACGCCUGACUACUAUUCGAAUUUUUAAAUUUAUCCAUAACUUAUCAAAAUAUUCUUCUAAACCCAAAUUUCAUUAGGAAUUUAGGGAUAUUUGAAGGGAUUUUAAAAAUAAAAAAAAUAUUUUGAUCAAUAAGAAAUAUAUUAGAUAUUUUUAAAAUUUUAAAGGGUAUACUAGAUAUAAUUCUAAAUAUUUAUUUUAACAAUUGGUCUAAUAGAGAGUUUCAAAGUCACAAUAUGAACAGUCAAAAAAUAUAUAAUUAAACUUUAGCAAAAAUUAAAUAUAAGUAAUUAGUUAAAAAUAAAGGCCAAUUUGCAUAAAAAUCCAUAAAUUUUGAGCAUUUAUAAAACUGGGCCGUCAUUUUCGAUUUUACAGAUUCGGACCGGAUUUUUAAAAAAUUGAUCAAAAUAUUCUUAUUCUUUUCUCCCUGUCUCCCUUUUUUUUUCCUCUCGUUCUUUCUUUUCCUUCUUCGAGAGGCGGAGGCGGAGACGGAUGCGGCCCGCCUCGCCUCUACCCCCCACGCCCUCACACACGUCCACGCACCACCCGCCCUCCUAGCCGCUAACCCCACCAAAGCUGCACUUGUCGCCACCCUUCGGGACACCCCUCCUCGCAUCCACCCCAUACGCCCUCACUCACGCCCGCUCACCCCCCACCCUCUUCGCCUUCGACACUGCCGAGGUUGCGCCGUAAUACUAUUUUUUCCUCCUUCCAAACCUCCUCCACCGCCUCCGCGGCCCUUCGCGAUGCACCUCCACCUCCACCUCCACCCCUACUACAGCAGGUUUUUCACCCACUAAAUUCACUUCUGGGAACCCGCCGUCCUCACUACCGUCAAUAGCGACAAAGAGGAAGAGCUUUUCGGCGCUAAGAAGCUCGCUCGCUAGGAAGGGGGCAUGCAACCCAUAGGGCCGAUGACAAGCGAGGUGGAGAUGGAGGAGAGCGUGACAAGGCUGGAGAAAAAGGCGAGGCUGUGGCGAGCGCGGCAUCCCAGAGAGCAGCGGCGAGUGCAGCCUCGCGGGGUCGGAGGCAAGGAGGGCGAAGGGUGCAUGAAAGCAUCUCUACUCAAGCACUUUUGUUUGCUUAAAACAAAAUAAAUUAGCUAUAAUUAAAAAUUAGAGAAUAAAAAAGAAGAAUUAGAGAAGAAGGAAAAAGAAGAUAAAGUUGUACUAUUAAUAUAAAGUUACACUAUUUUAGAAGAAUGUUGUAAUAUUAUAGACGUAAGUUGCACUCUUUUAGAUCUAAAUUGUAUCCUUUAAGAGAAAAAUUAUACUCCUUAAACGAAAGUUGCACUGUUUGAAAGAUAUUUAUACUAUUUUUUUCUUCCAAAGAGUUCAACUUUCGUUUAAAAAAUACAGUUUUUAUCUUAAAUGGUGCUCUUUGAAAAAAAAAUAGUGUUAACUAUCUUCCAAAUAGUGCAACUUUCGUUUAAAGAGUAUAACUUUUAUCUUAAAUAGUGCUCUUUGGGAAGAAAAAUAGUGUAAUUAUCUUCAAAAGAAUGCAAUUUUUUUUUAAAGAGUGUAACUUCUAUCUUAAAAGGUACAGUUUAUAUCUCAAAAAGUGCAACUUAUGUCUAUAAUAGUGUAACGUUCUUCUAAAAUAGUGUAAUUUUAUCUUAGCAGUGUAACUUCAUCUUUUUCUUUCUUCUUCUCUAGUUUUUCUUUAUUAUUAUCUAGUUUUUGGUUUCUAGUUAAUUUUUUUUGUUUUAAGAAAACAAAAGUGCUUGACCAGAGAUGCUCUCGUGCACCCCCCGCCCUCUUCGUCUUCGACCAAGUCGAGGCCGGGCUCGCCGCUGUCCUCUGGGAUGCCGCCGCCCCGCCCUCUUCUCUGGCGUCGUUGCGCUGUCCUACGUCUCCACUUCNCUGUGCUCGCCGCUGCCCUCUGGGACGCCACGCUCGCCGCCGCCUCGCCCUUUUCUUCGACGUCGUCAUGCUCUCCUCCGUCUCCACCUCACUCGUCAUCGGCCUCGAAUGGGCGCGAUGAGUCGCAUCACUCCUCCCCCUCCAGCGAGCUUUUUGAUCCCAAGAAACGCUUUCUUUUCGUCGUCGUCGGUGUAGUGAGGACAGCGAGUUCCCAGAAGUGGGUUUGGUGGGUGAAAAAUCUACUGUAGUGGAGGUGGAGGUGGAGGUGGAUUGCGAAGGGUUGCGGAGGCGGUGAGGAGGUUCGGAAAGAAAAAAAAUAAAGAGGACCGCGACGCAGCCUUGGCGGGGUCAAAGGCGAGGAGGUCGGGGGGUGAGCGGGUGUGGGUGAGGGCGCAUGAGGCAGAGGCAAGAAAGGGCGUCCUAAAGGGCGACGGCAAGGGCAGCCUUGGCUAGGUCGGAGGCGAGGAAUGCAGGUGGUGUGCAGACGCGGACGAGGGCGCUGGUGGCAGAGGUGAGGCCGGCCGCUUCCCUCCUCCGCCUCUCGAAGAUGGAAAAACAAAGAACUAAGAAUAAAAAAUAAAAAAAAAAGGAGAAAGAGAAUAGAAUAUAGAUAUUUUGGUCAGUUUUCUGAAAAUCCAAUCCGAAUUUACAAAAUCGCAAAAGACAUUCUAAUUUUACAAGAGCUCAAAACUUAUAAAUUUUUUAUACAAAUUGGCCAAAAUAAAUAUUUAAAAUCAUAGGACAUGACAUGAUAUGAUGGGAUGAGAAGUCGAGCUCCUUUCACUCCGAGUCAUAACAAUAAAAUCAUAUAAAUUUUAUUUUCACUAUCAUUUAUUUUCAUCGAAAUAUUUUAUAUUUAAAAAAAUUUUAUUUUACUAUCAAAUUUUUAAUUUAUUUUACUUUAGUCAUAACUUCAAAAUUUGAACGGACUAUUUAUCUUAUGGAUUUAAUUAAUAUACUUUUAUGUAAUGUACGUAACAAUAAAUUUAUUAAUGUAAGCAAUUAGUUUAAAUUUAGUAUCAAAAAAAUUAUUAGAUUCUUUAAAUUAAAUAAAUUAAAAAAUUAGAUAUUAAAGAUAAAAUUUUGAAAGGUUAGAUAAUCCAAUCAAAAUAGACUAUAUAUAGUUCAAAUAAAUUUUUUAUAUUUUUACCUCUUUUUUUAGAUGACUCAAAAGAAAUACGAUCCAAUUUUACUACAGGUGAGAGAAGAUUGGACCGACAUUAAGGAGUUGUUUGGUUGCAUGUAAUUGCAACUCCACUGUAGUUGCAACUAUAUACAAAUCCAAAUUCGACAUUUGGUUUGAUGUGUUUGAAUCCAACUGCUGCAGUUGAAACUGCAUAAGAGAGCCCAACUGCAGUAGUUAUAACUGCAUCUAAACAGCAGUUCCAACUACAGCAGUUGGGAAGAGUUAUUUUCAACAAGAGAUAAACUUACCACUUUAUAUAUUGGAGGUAAUUUUAUUACAAUAUAAAUAAAUGAUAAAAUUUUAUAAACACGCUUAUCAACUACAUGCAACCACACAAAUUUUUUAUAAUUGAAAAUUUUUCGGCUGCAUCUAUUUAAACAAGACAUAUAUAGUUAUAACUGUUGUAUCUCUAACUAUAUGUAUCUAUAACUAUACUAUAUUUUUAAUUAUAUCAAUCCAAACUGUUCUUAAGAGAUCACAAAAAUUCACUACACUACCACAGAAUUUUUGUCAAGAGAUAAGCGUGCUUUGAUUGUGCUCAGUUUCGGAUGAAGCUCGAGCUUCUUCGGUUUUUGUGGCCUUUUUUUUUUUUUUUUUCCGGCGUUUUUGUAUCCCUUUUUUUCUUGAUUUAUUAAUGUUUCUUUCUUUCUUCUUUUCUUUUUAAUAUAUUUUUACCGUGACUAACUCCCCAUAUCUAUUUUUUGAACUCUUGAUUUAAUUUUUUAGCUUUCAUCUCUUGGAACCAUGUUGUUUCACAUGUCUAUUUAUUCAUUUACCCAAUAAAUUCACUACUUUUCUCAAAAACAAACGAUUUUCUUUAGAAGCUAAAAUUUUUCCUUUCCAAAUUCUCAAUUUUUUUUUUAGCCUCAAUUAAUUCAGCUGAAAAUUAAGGUCUUAGAUUUUUUUUUUUUUUUUUUAUGACACAUGGAACAUACUAAAACUCAGAAACUCGAAACUCAGUUUAGUUGACUCAACGUAGCCAGAUUUUGAGGCUAAUUCGCUACAAAAAUAUGGCAGCACUAAAUUCGGAGUCAAAUAUAGUCAAACUCACCUGGCUCAAUCUAAUUACUUCAAAUUCAGAUGGAGUUCGAAUUAUUUAUUAAAUUUCACAUGAUGAUAACGCAUAAUAAUUUUCUGCUUAAUAGUUAAUAUAUUACGCCACUUGGUAUCCAGAGGUAUGAAACAGUAAUAUUAGAACAUUUUUAUUAUUAAUAAUUAAAAUACAAUAAAUAAAUAAAUAAAUAAAUAAAUAUAUAUAUAUAUAUAUAUAUAUAUUUGUUAGAGGAUUUGAGGAGGAAGGAAAAAAAGUGACACAUCUUCUCUGAACCCUUAGACUAUAGCAAUGAAAAUUUGUAGCUAUUGUCGCGUCCUAUUUAAUGUAGCUUUUAUUUUAAAUUUGUACUCUACCAAUUGUUCAAAUUUUUUUAAAUUUGAAAUUUAAUUGUACUUUUAUUUCUCUCCAUGGCCAAUUUAUUAUCUUUUGGCCAGUCACAGCAUACAUGAUAGCUAGGUACAAAUGCAGGUCCCUGGGCUUAACGAGCAAUUUCGUUUGUUGCUUUCAACAUCACAAAAUGAACUUUUUAGGUAUAGUGCAAAUUCUAUUUACAUUAGUGGAUAUUUUAGAAGAGAUUUUGUAGUGUCUCGGGAGAUUAGUUGUUGAACUCACUGCAGCACCAGUGGCUUGUCGUUAUAUUUGUAAAGUGUUGAGACGAGUUAGAGUCGUUUUGGUGCGAAAGAGAAGCAAAAAUGGACUUGGAGCUGUAAGAGUUGGUAUUCGGACACUGAAAUCUGCAAAAAUAGAAUUUUGAGUGUUGAGUACCAGUAUCUGAGAAGUGUACCGGUACUCCAGAAGGAUUACGCAAAGGGGAACCCUUGGGUUUGUGCAUAUCUGUGUUGAGUACCGGUACCUAACCGGUGAGUACCGGUACUGCACUGAGUCAGUACCGGUAGACGACUGCAGUCCGUGUGCGGGGUACAGGUACCCAAAUUGAGUACCGGUACGUACCCAGGCGGUAGAUUUGAGUUGGUAAGAAAUCUUUUGGUCAUUUUUGUUGUUGGGAUUAUUCCAACCGACCCCAGCUUGUAUAUAUGUAUAGAGAGAGCUUGGAGAACGGGUAGUUCUCUCCUUUUUCUCUGUCUCUAGCUGGUUUUUCCCAAGUUUAGAGGAAUUUGAGGAUUAAACUCAUUUCGAUCUCCUUUGCUUAGGAGGAUCGUUCGCGCGUCGUGGGGUUGCUUCCGGUUGAAGCUAUUCCGGUGCGGGGUUUCUUCUAUCUACUUCUAGCCGGUGUUGGACGAGCGUUCGAGGUGGGUUGAUAUUGACCGAACACUUUGGAGUUCCUUCUUAGUUGUCAGCAUGUGUUACUUGUUGUAGAACCUCAUAUUAGUAGUUCAAAUUUAUGGAUUUACAUGUUUUAUAUGAAAUUUGAAUUUGGAGCAUAGUUUAUUGAUAUUAGAUAAAUUUUUACAUACUGAACUGUGAUUUGACUUAGGAGAAAACUCGGUAAACCUACACCUGUCAGUUUUCAAAAAGUUAACAAUAUUAGCUUUACGAACUGCUUUUCUUUUGUAUCGCUGCUCUUAGUGUGCUAUGAAUACUUAGAUUAGUGUAGGUUGAUAUUGCGCUCAUGCUAAGGGGCUGAGCUGAUGGUUAGUAGAGUUGGGUUGUUCCGUACUGUCGGGUGCCAUCGAGGCUGACGAUGGAUCCAGAUUUCUAUACCUUACGUUAGAUUAUGCCGAGGGCACGUGAGCCUUGAUUGUUAGACCAGUUUAACCCAUUUGCAUUGACUAUAGCCUGAGUGAGCCUCAUUGAGCUCGACACAGAUACGCUUGCAUACUCGGUUGGGUCCCUGCCACGAAUGCCACUCCGAAGUGAGACUUUACUUGCGUUGAUAUCGCAGCAGUCCUGUUUGGACAGUUUUGGACUGGCCACCUCCGUGGGUGGUGUGCGGUAUAAUAGGGUACAAGCUGUACUGGUCAGUCGGCGGUCCUUAAGAUUCGGUCAGUGUGAGUGAUUUGUGGCUAAUGAUGCAUUUUUAUAUUUAUAGAAAGACUGGUUUGAAUAGCAGUAGUAUGGUAACAUAUAGCUGUAGAGUUAUUUUCAGCUUAUUUACUAUCCAUUAUCUAAUUGUUCAGAUUGGUACUGUAGACUUAGUGAAUGGGCCGUUGGGGUCGAUAAUGGUACCCGCUGUGAACUACUUUAUUUUGCAGUAGUUCUCACAUCCAAUUAUUGCCACCAUUUUGCAGAGCCGUCCACUGCUACUGCUGAUUCUGACCGCAGUAAGGAAGUCGCGAACUAGAUCCCUACCUUCCUUGGUUACUGUACUAGAGUUAGUACCCCUUUUAGAGAUAGUUUUGGAAUGUUACCAUGUACAUAUUGUUUUGUUCUGUUGUACUCUCUGAGUCGAGAUUGUAUUUUGGAUAUUAUAUGUACAGUGAGUUUAGUAUAUAUAUAUAUGUGUGUGUGUGUGUGUGUUUGUUUAUGUUUUAGCAGCUCUGUGCUUUGGUUGUAACUCCUAUUUAUUUACAGGUACAGUUAUCGUUUUGUAUACACAAAAAAUUUUUUGGUAUACGACGGAUCUGUUGACGGGCCUGAAAAACGUAGUAAUUCGAGACGUGAUAGAUUUAAUAUAUCAAAUAUCAAAUAUCAAACAUAGCAAAUGAAUCUCACGGUACAACAAGUUUGAGAAAGUUGACCGUGUAGUUGGCUAACUACGUACGUACCAUAAAAUAUAUGCAAUAUAAUUUGAGAAACCCACUAACAAGUAGAUAAAUGACAAGAUAAUAAAGUACAACAAGAGCACAAGUAAUUUACAUUAUUGGACUAAUAAUAUGUCGGUCUAUGUUCAUGGACAAGACCUUCUGAAUACGUUGUUGUUAUUAUUAUUAUUAUUAUUAUUAUUAUUAGUUCACCUCCUGAAUAAAUUUUUUUUAUUAAUUCACAAUAAAUAGAAGGAAUAGUUUUGGAUACAAGUAUCUCUCUUAUAAGAUUCUUCCAUGUUUUCUCUUUCAACUACCAUUUUAUAAUGAAGCUCCGAAUUCUAAAACAAGGAUCACAAUGGUUUAUAAAAUCUAGAAAAUCCAAAACAAGUAGAAAACGAUCACUAGUGUUGAUAUAAGCCUCCAAUUCACCUCUUGCCAUCUAUUUUCGCUUAAAUAAAUUUCUGACAAUUAUAAUUACUACUAAAUAGUUUUGUGGUAAUUAUAAUAAUUUUUAUUAUUUGUAGAAUCGGUAAACAUUAUUGUGACAUUAUUUCUGACAGUUGGUAAAAUUUUAAAGAAAUACCGUUAUAUAAUACACAAUAGUAAUUAUUAUAAAUGUUACUAUAAUUAAUUAUAAUUGUCACAAAAAACAUACUAAAGGAUUGCUAAAUAAGACUUAUAGCGACAAUUACAAUUAGUAUUAAAAUACUCGAUCAACAACUAAAUACUCUAAUGAACUGAAAUAUUAAGAAAUUGUAAUAACCAAAGAGUAGUAAUAAUUCGUAUAACAAAUACUUUUUACUCUCGAAUUAUAAUCUCGAUUUUCAAAUUAAAUUUCGAAUAUGAGUUCCAACAAUAAAAUAUUUGUUUGAAUUUUAGCUAAACAAUAAUAACAAAUUCUAAAUGAUACUAAACACCUAAAAAUUUCAAAUUCUAAAUUUUUAAGUCUCGUUGUUUCGCUUCGAAAGUUUACUCAGAUCGAUGAUAAGGAGUGGAAGAACCUGCUUAGAAAGUAACAUUUGCAAUUAAUACUAAAAAUAAGCGAUAUUAGUAAUAAAAAGUAAAUAUGGAUUACAAAGAUAAUCAAAUUGAGGAUAGAAUCCAAACAAAAUCAAAGCACCAAAAGUUUGCAAUAGUCAUCGCCCUCUUUGAUCACAUUAUAAUACUUCAACUGGAAAUUUAAUCUAGUUAUCGGCUAUGAAUUCAUAUAUAAAGUAAUGAGAUUAUCUCCAACACAAAAAAAAAAUGAUACUUAAAUGGUGAUUAGAUAGGAAUUGUAGUUCUUGUUUAAAAUUACUCUCUCUAACUACUAUAAUUUAAAUUAGCAACCAAUUUAGACAUAAUUUCAAAUACUACAGUUAAGUUUUCUUAUACAGAACUAACUACAACAAUUGAAUUCAAUUACAUCAAAUUGAUGACAUCUAAUGCACAACUAGUUUUUUUUUUUUAAUAAAUAUUAAUAAGUCAAGAGUAAUUUAAGUAUUAAAACUAGUGACUCAAAUCAUGCCAUCCUCAUAGGCUCAAAUUGAUGACAUCUAAGUGCACAACUAGCAUUUUUCUUAAUAAAUAUUAAUAAGUCAAGAGUAAUUUAAAUAAUAAAACUAGUGACUCAAAUCAUGCCAUCCUCAAAGGCUCCAAUCAUGUCAUCCAGCUCCUAUAUCUAGACCUGGCAUAUUUUCUUAAUUAAAAUAUAUUUAUUUAUUUAUCCAUUAUAAAAAUUUUAAUUCUAAUUUUUUAUUGUGUCUUUUAUAUUAUGAAAUUUUUUUACUUUAAGAUUUUAAAUAUUUUUAUUAUAUGUUAUGAUAUUUUAAAUAAUAAGUUAUGUUACACAUUUAAAAUUUAUAUAUAUGUAUUUUGCAUUUAAAAAAAUAUAAGAGCGGAAAUGAAAAAAUUUGCUGGUAACCCGCAUACCCACUCGCCCAUCCGUGGGAGGGCACGGAUAAAAAUGUUGGCUACCCAAAAAUUUAUGGAUAAAUUUUGUCUUGUCCAAGUAAUCUGCGGGUAUAAUGAUUCGUCCGUGGGUUAUCCAACCCGCCCGUUUAUCAAGCCUAUCUAUAUCUGUUAAUUCUCCCAAUACUCUAGCAGAAUCUAAACCUACAGCUUUGAAAAGAGGAAACAAGGGAUUAGCUGCCAAAACAAGUGCUCUAACAAGGCAAGAGAUUCCGAAAAUAACUCCUGUUGCUAAAAAAAAGCCUAAGGAUAAUUACUUUGAUUCGUAGCAUACUGAACCAUUAUAAUUUGAUAUAAUAGUUUAAGCUAGAAAAAUGGCGGAAAAAAGUUGAACCCCAAUCCCCUUUAGUCAUACAGAAGACUACCUUCUCUAUAUUGGGGUUCUACUGUGCUUUAUAAUCUUGAUUCAUUGUAUAUUGAAUCAUAUACGAGAGAGCUAGAGAAAGAGAGAGAGCAGAACUACUUACUCUUAUAAGUACAGAGCCUUUCAUACUCAUAAAUUAUUUUUGAUGAUGAAGCUUCGGAAUCGAUACUGCACUCCGUUAAAUAUGAUCUAAAGUAUUUGAAACCUCUAAAAAAUAAAUUUCGUAAUUUUUCAAAAUCAUAAUAAAGUCCAUCAAACGAGUAUAAAUGAACGGUCAAAAUCAAACGAUAUUCUAAAAAUAGAUGAUCGGAUCCUUCAAUUUAAGAUCGGAAUUGUUGAUCUUUACCUAGAUAGUGAAAAGAAUUUUUUACCAAAAAUUCAACCGAUUCCGAUUUUUUUACACCGUAAACUAAAAAGUACAUACCGACCGCUAAAAAUUAUCAAUUUUGAGAUCUUUUGAUCGUAAGAUAAAUAAUAUAAAAAAUUUAUAAAAUUUAAUUUGUUUAAGUUUUAAAUAAUUUAGAUAAUAUUAACGGUAUGAAUCGUCAAAUCAAAAACUAUAUCAUCAAAAACGACUUAUGAGUAUGAAGACGAUAGUGCUCAUAAGAGUAUAGUGACCGAGCUCUCUCUCUCUAUAUAUAUAUAUAUAUCCGCCUUAAUUAAUUCAGCUGAAAAUUGGGAAUAAAAUAUUAAACACGAACUCCAAUUAAAUAAAAAGGAAGAAGACGAGCAUCAAAUAUAAUACCAGUAUUUAUUUACUUUACUUUUGUUAUACAUAGGAACAUACUAAAACUCGUAGACUCAAAACGCAGCUGAGUUGAUUCAACUCGACCAGAUUUCGCGCUAAUUCACCAUAAAAGCUUGGCAGCACUAAAUUCAAAGUCAAAUAUAGUCAAACUCAACUGGUUCAAUCUAAUUACUUCAAACUCAGAUUGAUUUCGAAUUAUCUAUUAAAUUUCACAUGAUACUAAUGCACAAUAAUUUUUUGCUAAAUAGUUAAAGUAUUAUGCCACUUGCAUGUUGGUAUUGAGAGGUAGAAAACAGUAAUAUCAGAAUAUUUUUAUUACUAACAACUGGAAUAUAUAUAUAUAUAUAUAUAUAUAUAUAUAUAGUUGAUCUAGGAUACUUUUACAAGUAUCAUCACCAUGUUGCUAUCAGGUUUUUAGCCAUUGAAUCUACUUUUUGAUUACUAAUAGCCCUUGGAUCAAACACUAUUCCACCUACCACCACCUACCACCACCUACCACCACCUACCACCAUCAUCUCAGCCUCACAUCUCUCCAUCCAAGGGCUAAAAAUACACAAGUAUCACUUGGGUGAUACUUGUAAAAGUAUUCUAUCCCUACUCUAUAUAUAUAUAUAUAUAUAUAUAUAGUGCGUCCGGUAUGCUUCUGGAAGCACGGAACUCUCCGUGCUUCCAAGUUAUUUUCGAUGUUCGGACUUUCGAAUCGACGAUCGGCUCCGUUAGACUUGAUCUAGAGUAUUUGAAGUAUCUAAAAAAUAAAUUUUGCGAUUUUUCGAUAUCAUUUGCCUGGUGAUCGAAGUGGCUCAAAAUUAACGGCUGAAAAUAAAAAUAUUACAAAAUAUGAUGAUAUGACAUUAAAAUUUUAGAUCAAAGUUAUUGAUCUUGUUUUAUAUGAUAUAAAAAAUUUUCAAUCAAAAUUUCAUGUGAUUUGGAUAUUUUUACACCGUUAAACUUGCAAACGGCUCACCACGGCCUUUAAAAUUAUUUAUUUUGAGCCCCUUCGAUCAGUUGAGAAAUGAUAUCGAAAAUUCACAAAAUUUAUUUUCUAAGAACUUCAAAUACUCUAGAUCAAGUCCAAUGGAGCCGAUCAUCAAUUCGAAAGUCCUUACAUCAAAAACAACUUGGAAGCACAUAGGGCUCCGUGCUUCCAGAAGCAUACCAGCCCAUUCUAUAUAUAUAUAUAUAUAUAUAUAUAUAUAUAUAUAGAAUUAGGCUGGAAUACUAUUAAUAGUAAAACGUUCUUUUUGCUAACAAAUUUUUAACCCUUGAAUGAAAAAUUAUAAGGUCAAGAUGAUAUUAGUCGGUUAGAGUUGAGUGGUCCCCCUAGGGUUGAGUGGUCCCCACUGGGUUAUAGUAUUUAAUCCAAUGGUUAGAAAUAAUGAAAAGAGUUGAUUCAAAGGCUAAAAAACUAGUGCAACAAUGAGAUUUUGCCUACUAAUAGUAGCCCAGUCCAACUAUAUAUAUAUAUUAUAUAUAUAUAUAUAUAUAUAUAUAUAUAUAUAUAUAUAUAUAUAUAUAUUUAAUUUUUUAUUUAAAACUCGGCUUUCUUUGACCGAGUCACUGAAAAAACUCGACUCGAUUUAUUUUAAAGUGGAAUCGAAUUUUUUGAGAUGGCGUAUAGUCCAAACACCUUUUUGUUGGGGUGGGGUUAACAAACCCACCACCACCUCCAAAUGAGAUUUAAUUUAAAAUUUAAAUUUAAGAAUAAAGGAUUAUUCCCUCUUAUUCCCAAACACGUUUUGUAGGGUGGGGUUUGUUAAAUCCACCCCAAAAAGGGUUAUCCGACCACAAAAGGGUUAUCCGAGAUAACCCUUUUCGGGUGGGGUUAACAAACCCCACCACCCCCCAAUAGAGAUUUAAUUUAAAAUUUAAAUUUAUAAUUUAAUUUUUAAAUUUAAAUUUUAAUUUUAAACUUUAAAAAUUUUUAAGUUUAAAAUUAAUAUUUAUAAUUUUAAAUUAAUAAUUUUAGAAUUUAAAUUAUUAUUUUAAAAUUUUAAUUUAAAAUUUGAUAUUUGAUAUUUUUAAAUUUAAAUUUAAUCUUAAAUUUAAAAUUUAAAACUUUAAAUUUUUGAAUUUGAGAUUUAAAAAUUUAAAAUUUUAUUUUAAAUCUUUUUAAUGUUUAAAGUUUUAUAUUUAAAUUUAAAAUUUUAAUUAUAAAAUUUAAAAUUUAAAAUUCAAAUAUAAAUGACAAUAUUAUUAUUUUUUAUUUAUAAUUACCUACCAUUCUUAUUAUUAUAUCUUAUCUAUCCAAAUAAUUUUUUUUUUAAUUCCUGAGAAAACUCAAUUUUCAUCUAAACACAAAAUAAGUCUAUUCCAUCCUAAACUUAUACCUAUAUAUCUCAGAAAUAACUAGUUCUUAUCUAAUCUCGAAUCAAGCGAAGGCUUUAGAUAAUUAAUCCAAAAAAGUUGCAGUUCGGAGAGAAUAGCAUAAAUCCGAAAUUAUCUUAUUUCAAAUAAAUAAUUUGAAGAUUAAAUAUGAUUAGAUAUUUUACGACGCGUCUCUUUCGAUCUCUAUCUGGUGAUGAUAUACAGCUACGUUCCGUCGACCGUGAAUGACCCAAUCGUACGAUUUUUUCCCGACCUUUUUAGAUAAGCAAUGCUGUAUAGUCCAAACAACUGUGCCCAAAGAAACGACAAUUAAUUACAUUCGGAGAGAAAACAAAUCCCACAUCACACCUGUCAUUUAUCAUUUGAGCUAACGGUCAAAUCCACGUCUAAUGUAGUAGAAAAGACGCUUUGUUUAGACACCAGUGAAACCCUUGAUUAAUCUUGUCCGUCAAUAAGAGAAAAUUUUGUGGUGCACGAUACAAAGAUGCUGCACGUCUCUUCCAUAUUCGUAAAGAUAUUAGUGUUGAUUCAUGUAACUUCCAAUUGCUAAGAACAUGCAUUGCGCCAUGUAUUUUUUUUUUUUUUAAAAAAAAAAAUAGAUAGCAAACUACCUGCUUCAUUCAUUAGUAAGCUACCUGCGCCAACUCUUUGUUAGCAGUUAAAAAGAUGGAUCUUAAUUACACCUCCGUGUAUAGAAUGACGAGAGUGUUAAAGUUGUAUUAUCACUUAAGAUCUGAAGGUUAAGAAUAUUGGAGGGAUAGUCCUUAAGAAGAGAACCUCCAAGACAGAUCAUUCAUCUACUUAAGAUCGAGCCAUAAGAACGGUUGAUACUUGCGAGAUUGUUGACCAUCUAUUUGUCAAAUGUGUUUAGUAGAUUUUUACUUAUAGCAAUAUUUAAAGAUCGAGCCACAAAAACUCACAGCGAAUGAUGAUGUACGGAUUAUCUGGGAUAAGUUGGUAGAUUGGAGAAACUCUGCUAUCUAUACAAAGAACUUGAGCAUUCUGACCGAAAUCUAGUGAGAGAUCUGGUUGGAAUAGCUCAGACUUCGCGAGGUUAUCUCAAGAAUGAAGAACCUUGUGAGAAAAGCUUUACAGUUCCUAAGUGGUGCUGCUUUUGUUUUUUAGGAUUUUUUUUUUCUAUCUUUACUUCUUUCUUCUCUGUUCUAUUUCGCCUUUUCUCUUCUUGUUCUUUUUUCUGAAGGCCCAAUUAUCUCAUAUUUAUAGUUAAUUUAGUUCAUUUUUAUGAGUGAAUAAAACGAGCAGGUAGCGUGUUAUUUUAUUCUAAUAAAAAUAAAUCAACGAAUUCAGAUCAACUAAUAUAUACUGGCAUAGUUGGUUAAAACUUGAUGAUUAGUAACCAAGAUGCUAAACUUCAAAGCCAAGUUUCUUUACAUUUCUAGCUGAGUUCAGUUUUAAAGAACAAACGAAACGAAUAACAUGUUAUUUUCCUCUCAAACAAUAAAAAAGAAUUGAGAAGUAGUUGUAAAAUCUCAAAUCCUAUGGCUUCUCCUUUUCGAAAAAAUUGUGAAUUAUUCGGUUCUGAUUUACUUAUUUUAUAUAAUUAUAAAUUUAUUAUGCACAAAAGUGGGUGUGAUAAAUAUCUUUCGGAAUCGCUUUUUGCCAAAUCAUUCUUUCAAAUAAUAAUAAAAAAUUACAUAUAAAUUGUAUAUAUAUAUAUACAUUACAGGGCACCAUUGCAAAAGAUUGAUAAGGAUAAAAACGAAUGUAAUUUAAAAACAUCGAUCAAAUAAAUUGUGGCCGUUCAUUUUCCCCUGUGGUCACGGCUUUUUGGAUAAGCCCUUGGUGAUUGCAAGCCACGUUGAUAGGUACGGAAGCACAUGGUGGGGCCCGAGGGGGCAGCCGUGGUGAUAAGUGAUAAGUUGAUAAGCACGUCGCGACAUACUGUGUGUCCUUUCGUUCGAUUUGUUUGUUUCUUUAAAUAUUUAAUAUACUCUUCAAAUAUAUUCCUAAGUUUAAUUAGGAUUAUUAGCGCACAAAAUAAAAACAAAAAAUAAUAAUCAUAAAAUAGACAAAUCAUAAAACGGUAAAAAUAAUAAAUAAAUAAAAUAUAAGAAUUUACGUAAAAAAAUUUUUACAGGAAAAAAAUCAUAAACAAAAAAGCAAAGACCUUCACUAUAUGAAAAAUAGAUUACACAAAAAAAAUAAUUACAUGUAAUAUUGUGAAAAACAUACAGUAUGAUGUAUUGCUUCUAAGGCGAAAAAAAAAAAUUUCUUAACAAGUCGUAUUUUUUUCAUCACAGGCAUUCCUAUUUUUUUCGUCACAAAUUGUUUUUGAAGCUUUAUUGCACUGCAAAAUUGCUGACGAAUAAUGGGCACAAAAUCAAACUCGAUAACCAAAUUUCAAGCACAUGUAAUAAGAAUUUACUAAUAAAGUUUAAAAUAUAAAGGAAUAUUUUAAAAAUUGAGGAAACAAUUUUAAAAUUUUGAAUAAUAGUAAGAUAUAUAUAAACUAAAAUUCUUUUUUAAUUUUAUGAAACAGUCGAGAGGUAAAGAAUUUAUUAAAAUAUUGGUCAAACACGAUACAAGCUGGUUCUCAAAGCCAAAUCGUGCAGCAACUCCAGAAGCAGCAGUGUCCAGCAAGCUUAUCUGCCCCACCUAACCUAAAAAUGUCUGAACUUCAUCUACAGCCGCCUGCUACGCUUUUUCCUCUCAAGAAAAACUGACAGUUGGUAUCGGCCGGCCAAAUGAUUUGAAUGACAGACUGUGGAAUGGACAAUGGCAUUUUCCUCCCUAUCCAUUAUGACUCGAUCCAAUUAAAAUUAUUAAAAUAUCAUAUCACGUUCUGUUCUGUUUGUUUCUGUAUCUAAUGUUAAAGUUGCUCAUAUCGUGAUGAAUUGUUUUUCUAUAAUUCUAUCAAAAAAUAAAGCAAUAUAUUUCUUUCGUCUUAAUUCUUUUCUACUUUAUAUGUAGUAAUAGAUGACUUUUGAUACCGAACAGGUCCGGAUCGAUAUUAGUAAUUUAAAGCAUUGUUAUUCUGAUUUAUUGAAUUGGAUCGAAUCCAGAGGACAUUAAUAAUUAGAUUUAUUAAAUUUACUUGUUUAUAUUAAAAUUGAUUGAGUUAAUAUUAUUAUGUUUCUUUUUAGAACAGACUAUGUCUUUUUAACAUAAUUGACUUUAAAGUCGAUAAAUAUUUUUAUAAAAUUUGAUCAUUAUCCGCAUAUUGAAGUUAGUCAUAUUCAACAGAUAAAAUAUUUCAUUGUCGAAAGUAGAUUUCAUCUUUUUUGUUUUAGAAGUUGUAGGCUAAAAUUCUAAAGCUUUCUACUAAUUAAUGCGCAAGAUGAGUAGUUGUUAAUAUUACCGACCAUCCCUAGCGUAAGCGACAAAGGUCUGAUGAUUAGUACUCGAGGCCUCAAAUUCGAAACCUAGUGAUUCAUAUUUCCAAUUAAAUUCAUUUCAAAAAAAAAAAAAAAUUAAACGAAGCGGAUAUUAUGCUAUUCUUCUCUCAGAAAACAAAAAAGUUAUUAGUAUUUUUCAAUUAAUUUUCACAAUAAGAGUCGCUUUUGUUUAUGUUAAGACCAUCAUUGUGAUGCUUGAGAAUGUCUGUUUUUAAUUAUACGAUAUUAUGAUUACUCCUAAGCUCUUCUAAACCAUGGGAUUGCAAAUUCAAUUCUCCACAUCUACUAUUUAUUAGCUUCUGUUUGGUCCCAGUUAUGAGCUUCUAUUAUAGUAGAAAUCAUAAGGACGAUAAUAAAUAUUCAAAUACGCAAAAAUUCUUGAACAACACUUUAUCUAAUAAUAGUAAAUUCUAAAGUAAAAUGCGAAAUGGACUCUUAAAUAGUUUAAAUUUUUAUCAUUUACUACUUCAUUAUCUUUCCAUGCGCGACAUGAUUCAGACGACCUCCACUCUUCAUAAAACCCAAGAUACGAAGAUAUUGUUAUACCACUUUCUAGAAGCCAUAUCAAUAGGUUUUUAAGCUAAUAGUAAAACUCCAAGGCCUUGCUAAUUAAAUCUCUAUGCUAAGAACUUCCAAGAGAGGUGGAGAAAGAAUAUCAGAGAAAUUGUGGUGGCACCACAUUCAUUUUCUCAAUUUGUUUUGAUCUCUAAAAUCUGGACCAUAUAUGAUAUAUCUGUUCGUAAUAAUUUACAAAUAUCAGUGGGCCGAGUGAUAAUUUUAGCCCACAGAGGUCUAACUAACUUUGUAAAAAUAUAAUAUUAUUCUCGGCCCAAAUGGAAAGUCCAACUAAGGGCCCACUUUUCAUUCACGUCCAUCUAAGACUUCGUUUGGGAUUGCGGAAAGAUUGCAUUACGUGCGGUGAGAAAGUACAAUAGAAAAAUACAUUAUUUAUUUCGUACAUAAUAUUGCGUUCUGAUUAAUCGGUUACGAUAUAUUUUCUGUGAUCCUACUGAAGAAUGCAGAAGCAUAUCCCUAUAUACUUUUAUCCCAACUCUAUUUUAUCUAAUAGCGUUAGAUAGAUUUCAAUACCAAACUAAGCCUAAUGUUAGUAUGCAAAACAGAGUUGGGGCGAAGUGUCUGGAGAUAUUAAAGUUUCAUUUAAGAUUGUAGAAAAAUUACUUAACAUGUGUGGGAAAGUGCAAUAAAAUAAAAUGUUGUUGGUUUCCGUACAUAUAUUGCGUCUCCCAGUAUAGAUAUGAAAACAAACAAGCCGGGGUAUUUACCAAUUUUGUGAUGUAUAAAUAAAACUUUUUAUUUAUUUUAUUUUUAAUCUAAAAUUAAUUUACAUAUUUACGGAAAAGCCCCUGCCUCGCGGCGAAAGCCGCAGCAUCUCGAUUUUGCCAGAGCUCCAAGAACAAACUCUCUCUCUCUCUCUCUCUCUCUCUCUCUCUCUCACUGUGAUCCUCAUUCCCUUUUCCUCGCUCCAUCAUCUUCCUCUUCGUCUUCGCACCACCAUCAUAUACGCACGAGAGAGAGAGAGAGAGAGAGAGAGAGAGAGGGAGCGGCGGAGGAGGAGCGGAUCGCGGUGGAUGUGAUGGUGCUUGCGGCGGCGGCGGCGGCGGCGAGGUAGAGGAGGAGGAGGAGGAGGAGGAAACGCGCGCGCCGAGGAGACGAGGGAGAGGGGGAGGGGGAGGAGGAGGGCGCCAUGAUUCAGAGGGCGGUAGUCGCGGUCGCGGUCGUCGGAAUCGUCCUCAUCGCGUUCUCCAUCUCCCGCAAGGAGGUUCGAUUUCGAUUUCUCGACCUAAUCUCAUGUUCGAUUUAGUUGGAUUUCUUUGUUCUUGAUCGGUGCGUGGUCGAGCUUGUUCUAGGAGAUGGGGUUAUGGUUGUGGUAGAGUUUUAUUAGGAAAUGUGGGAUUUGUUUUGGAAAAAUGUUGAUGAAAUGUGUUAGAAACAUGAGUGGCCUCCCUCUCACGGUGUCGAAGUUCGAGUCUUGUUUUCUUAUUAGGGUUUUUGCUUAGGUGUGGUUAGAGCACUCUGCGGUAUCUGUGGGUUUUUGUUUCUGUUUGCAAGAUUCUGAAUUGGUAGGAACAAUAGUGGAGUUUCUUGAUGCCAUUAUAUAGUGCUGGUGACAUUUUAUGAGUAAUAUUGAAAGUGUUGUUAUGCCGUGCCGGAAAUUGCCGCCUUUGAUGGCCUUCUCAACAGAAAAGGCAUUGAAACAAAUAUCCCAAGAUGGUUUUUUGGGAUCUGAGAAUGAUCUUAAAUCCACAUAAAUCAAUACUAAUCUGUACUAGUAGCCGAAAACCAAGAAACCAAAUCAAAUUACAAGUUAAAUGUGCCAAUUUUACAUGAAAAUUUCCUCCAAAUUGAGCGGAUAAUUACAAGAACUGAGUGGAGGAGUAUUCGUUGUCAAAACUGAGUGGAGGAGUAUUUGUUGUCAUCGAGUUUUGAAAGAAUUCCAGGGUCUUAUCUGCAUGCUGUGGAAGUUCAAACUAGCAAUCCGGUGAUAUUGAGCAAGAGAUCAGUAUGAAGAAUGAAGGAAAGUGUGACUCAAAAAACAAGCACAGUUCAGACCUAUUGUUUGUUAGGACUCAAUCAUCUGCGUGGUGUACUUCGAUAGCGAAGAUCGUCGAAUUAGUGGCCAUUAAUCUUUUCCUCUUGAUCAUUGCAAUCCGUUAGGAGUUUUCUUCUGUGGAUUCAAGAAAUAGGCUGUGCUCUUUAUUUAUUGCUUUGGUGGAUUCAAGAGAAUUUGGCAACUAGUAAGAGAACAUAAAUUUAUUUGUGAUGCCACUAAUCUAGAAUAUAGAGUAUGAUACUUUAAGUAAACAGACUUAGUUUGUACGACGUAAAAAUUGUGACCAUUGGUACUUUGUGCAGCUAAAAAGGGCCUAGCCAUGUAUCAUUCUGUAACAAGCUUUGUGUCUUCCAAGCUUUAUGAUUGCAAUGCAGACAUUGUCAUUUUAUAUAGAGUGAGAAAUGUUGGUGCAUCUAUGAAAUUUCAUUACUUUGAAAGUACAUAGUUCAAUUUAUCCUCUCUUUCAAAGGACAUUUCAAAAGAUAGAGAAUGGGAGAACUGUACCCAUAGAACAUAAUUACCUUAGUGUUGAUUCGUGUGAAACAUUGCGACAAUUAAAGAGCCAUAUCAGAUUAUUUCUUGGCAGGUCAAGUUCAAGCAUUUUCGGACACUUCUUGAUUAGCAUUUCACUUGCAAAUGUUAGGAAUACUUGAGAAGUUCUCCUGCAAAAUAGAAAUUCGCCUCUUUUUAUUUGCAUAAUGAAGUUAUUUUCAAGAAACUUUAGAGCAAUUAUCCUUUUUUUGGGUGCAGGGGUACCUUCAAAGUCUAAAGUUGCCUGAAAUAACUCAUAGAGUUUAUUUGGAUGUUGAUAUUGACGGCCAGCGUGCAGGUAAAUCUCCCAGAAUGGCCUUAUUUUGAACCAUACGAUAUGAUAUUGCAAGAAAUGAAUGUUUUUUUUUUCACCUGCUCUUCCAUGGUUUUUAGUACGUUUUUUUCUUAUUUUAGUAAAAGCACAUAUCUUUUCCGUUCAUAGAACGUUCUUCAUUCUUCCGGCAAAAUUGCUAAUUUUCAUUCAGAAUACCAUUCUUUGUAUUCUUCAGUAGUUUGGAUUGUGUGUUCUUUUAGUUUCGAGCACUACAUGGUGCUAAAAUCAGCAAAUAUGUGGCCUAGAUUAGUACUAACUUCUGUUUGGUUGGUUCAAGGAUCUGGAUUGCACUGGCCAGGUUUGCUUUAAUGGAUUUCCUAAACCCUUCAUUUACAGGUGUUGUGCUUUAGUUAAAAAAUUAACAGAAGUAUUUCAUGAAAGGUGAAAGUACAAGGGCGUUAUGUUUUAUCUAUAUGAUGUGUUUCUAUUCACUAUUUUUUUUAAUCAGUUAGCAGCAUCUUUUACUUGGCUUUCCAGCUUGGUUGCUCCAGUAAAGAACCUAUUAUUAAGAUUUUUCUAGCAUAUUUUGCCAUGUGAGCAUAAUCCGAAAUUCUAUCGCCUAAUCGUCACAGUACUCUAUGUUUGCUCUCACUGUGAUUUGACUUCACCAAAAUAGUAAAUAUUCUCUCUAUUCGUCCAGUUCCAAUAGCAUUUUUGUAGGUGAACACUAUAAUAUAGGGUGAGUUUCACUAUGAUGUUUGCACCUACUUAUACUCACAAUAGAGGUGCAUUUGACAGUUAUAUUAGGUUUGUACUGCUUCAGUUGCCUCUUGAUUAAUAUGUCAAGUUUCCCUGAAAAGAGAAGUUAAGACAUUCAUUUUAUUUGCUUCCUGAUUUAUUAACAGAUCCUCUAUCCUUCCCUUCCCAUGAAGGGUAUACAUCCUUAACAUUUUUUAUGUGAAUCCUUUUCAGGUAGAAUUGUCAUCGGGUUAUAUGGCGAAGUGGUACCCAAAACUGUUGGUAGGCUUAUGAGCUUUUCUUUCUUAUCAUACAUGCUGAUAAUGACUUGCUGGUUUCUGUAUGAUCUUAGUGAGAACAUACCAAUAUAAAAUAGAGGAUCACAUAGAUUCUUACUAGUUUUUAAAACUUAAUGGGUUGUUUUGAUUAUUUAUACAUGUUGACAGCUGAACUGUUCAUCAACUAGUUUUAGUCGCCAAUUCAAGCAUAAUCUUCAUAAGCAUGUAAACUAUAAUACAAAUAGCUUUUCGUGAUUUCUUGCUCAAGCUGUAGAGGUUUUGCUGAUUUUUACUUCACUAAUGGAGGCGAGAUGAGAAAAAUGAGAUUUACCUUUUGGCAUCAUUUUGUUUUACACUUUAGUUUCUUUUCAUUAUGUUGUAAUCUUGAUCUUCCUUUGCCUUCCAACUUCAAGAAUAAUGUUUUCUCUUCCUAAGCAUUCAUGUGUCAUGAUUCUUUUUGUAGAUAGAAAUUGGAGGACAUACCCGUAUAUGUUAAUAUCUCAUAUUAUGAUGUACAGUUGACCUUUAUGUGCGUAUUUUAGUACCAGCAUUAUAGUUUAUAUAUUUCAUUUAUGCUUUUAUAAUUAUAACACAUCUAAAAUGGCUACUAAUUGUUUCCUACUUCCUGUGUUGCAGAAAACUUCAGGGCCCUCUGCACAGGUACUCGAUUUACAUCUCUGCCUCUUUCUGUUGUUUCUAGCAGAUUCUGAAGCAUAUGACAUAUAAAAGUUCUUUGAAAGUUUCAACAGCAAAAAUUGUGUGAGCUACUUGACUUAAAUGACCAUUUUUAUUGAUUUUAUGUAAUACCAUUUUCCACUCGCAGGCGAAAAAGGUGAGGGGGCCAGUGGAAAGCCUCUUCACUACAAGGGAACGCCAUUUCAUCGCAUAAUACCAGGUUUUAUGAUUCAAGGUGGUGAUGUCGCUCAAGGUGAUGGAAAGGGCGGCGAAUCAAUAUAUGGUGGCACAUUUCCUGAUGAAAACUUCACCAUAAAACAUUCACAUGCAGGUUCAGAUUUUCAACUAAUGCAAUCUUGCUCGACUCUCUCAUAACUCUCCGCAGUUAGACCGUACAGCUUAUUCUGUCAUGAAUUUCAACAUGGCAUUUUACAUAUUGCAAUAUCCAUUUAUUCAUACUCAUUGUAGGCUUCCUGCUAAUAGUUUAUGCAAGUCAUCCUUGAGUGUUCUCUAUCAUUUUAUAUAAAAAUUGUGGUUGAGUUUCACAGAUGCAAAGCCAUACGUUUGCUUGGCUACAACUGAUGCAAAAAUUAUAUGUUCUGAUUAGUAUUAUCAACUGUUUACACAUCUAGGACCAAUUUCAAAAAUUGCUACCAAUUACCACGGAAAACAUACAUUUAGUUCAGAGAUCUUGGAAUUCUUUGUAUACUCCGCCACUGUUUUCCGGAUUCUCGAAGAAACAUUUCUAUUUACUCUGCUACAUGGAUCUUGUCAUUGCUGAGAGUGUUUAUUUUUAUAUAUAGGUAUCGUAUCUAUGGCGAACUCCGGACCUAAUUCAAAUGGAUCCCAGUUCUUCAUAACCACAGUUAAAACAUUCUGGUAAGCAUUGGCUGUGCAAGUGUUAGGAAAUCAAACAAACUAAUUCAUGCGUAGCACACGAAUUUUUGAUUCUAGGUUGGACGGGGAGCAUGUUGCUUUUGGUAAGGUGAUCCAGGGUAUGGAUGUGGUUUACGCCAUCGAGGGGGGAGCUGGGACUUACAACGGGAAGCCGAGAAAGAAGGUUGUCAUUGUCGACUCGGGCGAGAUACCGAAGAGCAAAUGGGACGAGGAGAGCUGAGUUACUUCUUGCUGCAUCAAUCCCAUUCAAAUGCUGAAGCAGCGUGAAUUCGACUGGCCAUUUGAGGUCUGACUCUCACAUGAACUGCAUGAUGUUGUAAAAUCAGAGUGAUUUAGGAGAGUAGUUGAUCAAAGAAACAAAUUUAGGGGGUUGUGGGGGUUUCCUUUCAUUGAUAGCUUGUUUAAGUGUGGAAACCCGUUGUCUUUCCUUUUUUUUCGCCCCUUUUCUCUCACAAAUAGUGGUUGAAAGCCCGGCCAUGCCGGGCUGGGCCAAAACAGGCUAGGGGCUGGCCUAGCCCGGCUUCAAUUUUAGGCCAAGCUGUGCCGGGCCUGAGCUGCUUAGCCUCCGGCCUAGCAUGGCCCUUCGGCCAGAAGGCACAGGCCGUGCCAGGCCGGGCCGGGCUGUGCUUCGGGCCGGCCUCUUAAAGUAUUUAUUUUAAAAAUUUUUUAAAAAAAUUUAUUAAUAAAAUUUAAAAAUAUAAACAAUAAAUAUUUUUAUUUAAAUUAAUAUUUUGAUUAAAUCAUUAAAAAUUUAUAAAAAUAAUUAUAAUAUAGUAAAUAUUUAAUUUUUUAAAAAAAAUAAAAUUGUAUUAUAUCAUUAAAAAAAAUUAAAUGGAAUUUUCGUCCAAACCAAAAUCACUCCUCCCAAGGUUAGAUCUUGGGAGGAGAGCUCCUGGGGAGGAGGGCUCUCUAAGGGCUCGGGCCUAAGGCCCAAGGCACCCUUGGGGGUCCAAACCGUGUUGGCCCGGCUAGCAGGCCGCCUGCCUCUCCUCGGCCCUGCACGGCGUUCAAGCCUAUUUCGGGCUAUGCUGUGCCGGGACGUUGGGCCGCAAAGGAGCAGCCCAGCCGGUCCGGCACGGGUACUACAGUAUUAGUGCUGUGCUGUAGCUCGGCCUGAAACCGUGCGGCCCACAUGCCGCCCGGCCUGUUUUACAUCCGUAAUUCACGGUAAUAUAGUGUAUGAUUACUUCGGCAUCGAUGAGGGAGUGUGUGGAGGAAAUUUUUUUUUCUGGUGUGGUGCUUUGAAAUAUUUGGUUCGAAUCUACUAGCGACGGAGCUGCAUAAUUGACCUUUUCUUCGGAAGAUAGAUAGGUAAACACAGGUUAAACAAGAAAACUGGUACACUUAGUUUUUUUUAGUUUGAAAAAAAAUGCAGUAGCCAGAAAAUGCCGAUAUCCCACAACCUUCAAAAGAAUUUCAACUUAGAUCCAACUUUGUCAGCAGUUAAUUAGAAGCAACUUUUAUAAAUAGCCCGUACAAUGACAACAAAUGACCAUUUCAAACCAAAAAAAACAUAAAAAUAAAUGAAGUAUCAUUAGCAAGAAAAGUUCAAAAUUUAGCAAAGAUAAAUAUAUAAAACCGAGGCAUUAAAUUUUCCAAUUCCUGCCACAAAUUCAAGACCCCACGCCCUGAAAGGAACACUACUUAAUCAUCAUACUAUCAGAUUACAAAACCAAUCAAUUGCGACACAAUAAAAUAAGCAAGAAUUAACCGCAAUUUUUUUUAAAAAAAAGAAGAGUUAAAAAGAAGCAUGUCAUGUGUAACAACUGAUAGGCAACUAUGUUAGCUUGUUUAUGAGAGAGAUACAUGUACCGAGGUUCCAACGGAUGGGGGGAAAUUGCUUUACUAGUUAAACUUGCAUGUAAACAACCAUACCUCCAACAACUACUUUUGCUCAAAUCAAAUAUCCCUAAAUAAUACUCAGAAAUCAAAUUUCCAACAAAUUAUCUAUACUUGGCGUUAUUCACUUUUUACCUAUUAGUAGUCUGUCUGAGAUAGUCGACUUGUCCCAACCUUUUUAGGGGCCAGCAACACUUCCAAUCAUCCCUAAAAUGUUGACAAAGAGAAAGGAAAAAAAAAGGGGGAAAAGACUAUUGUCGAGAUGUGACUUGUUUGUGACCAAAAACAUAAGGUUCCCACCCACAUUCCGGCUCCUUCCGCUUCACGGCCAUCCCCGAAGUAGAGGUAGGAUGCAAGGUGCCUCUCAUCGGCUCUUGAGUCAUACCACUGUGGCCUUGCAAAAGAAAAUCCCUACUCACGCCAUCCAAUGAAGCAACAGUUCCAGAAUUCAGAUCCGGGCCUCGCCGUAGAGACGCGAAUUCUUCCAAGUUGGAGGGGUAAUUUGGAAAAAAUGGCGGCAUUGUUGAUAGUGGGCCGCCGAGUGGCCCCCUGAUAACCUGCGGAACAAUAGCAUUUCCUCUAGAAUCAAACAUGAAAGGAAUGCUCUGAGGUCCAUAUAGUACCGGAGUAGUCAUGGGAUAACCCGGAGGAAAGAUCUGAGUAUAAGGAAGCACAGAUACUGAAGGAAUCUGAGCAGUAUAUGGCGGCAUGGAUACCGAAGAAACUGUGGGUCCCACAUGCCGCUCGUUUCCUAGAAAGGGCGGCUGUUGAAUUUUCUCGGAAUGACCUUUCUUAUCCACAGUCAAUUUUGCGCCCAUAAGCGUAAUUACAGAGGCAUUAGAAGAAAUUUCAUUAGAAUCACCCGAAUCCAAUGACAUUAGAUUGUCGUUCAAAUCAAAAUCCCUCACCGCUGGCUUCGAGUCAAAAUUCUCAGUCCCAAGGCGGUUUAGGUCCAAAUUGGCCCAUUCUUCUGUACUUGAAAUGACUUCGGUUGAAGAAUCAUCCUCACCUUCAGUCACAUUUAGAUCAAUGCCCACGAAAUUUGCCUUCUGCUUAAGGCUUGUAGUUGCCUUCUCAUCGUCAGGAGUUCUUCGAGGAGAAGCUGGUCGAAAAGCACUAGUGGCAGCAGUUCCUUUCCAUCCUUGCUCACCCUCAAAGUGGAUACGAGUAAUCGGCAAAAGAGGAGCUCCUCUUGAAGCUGCUACAUGUAUGGGGAGAGAAGAAGCCGGCUUCAUAUAGAGAUCAUUUUCCUCGUUGCAAAUGUUCGCAUUAAGAUCAAAGCCACAUCUAUCCUUACCAGAUUCACCAACAAAUUUUUUAGCAGAAUUCAACUUGGGUGAUUCUAAAUCUGCUUCAUGUUUUUCACUACAAGAACUGAUGUUCUCCGUAAUUCCUGAACCGCCGUCCUCUCUCAGAGAAGCAUUACCAUCCUCUCUCAGAGAAGCAUUACCACCACCUGGUAGUUCAUUCUUAUCAAUUGCCCUGAUCACUGGUUCAUCCUGCUUAGUUUCUUUGAGAUCAAAAGUAUCAGCAACCUUCGCAUCCCCAGAAUGGGCAUCAGGAGAGCUGCAUAAAGCCUCUCUGUAGUCAACAACUUCCUUUUCAACUUCGAUAGCAACUUGCCUUGCCACUUCCAAUGCAUCGAUAUCCUCAUAGUCAGUAUCAAGUUUCAACUUCUUUUCAGAGGACUCAGUAGCCUUAGCCUCCAAUGCUUCUGAACUAAUGUUUAUAUGGUCCAACUCUAAUCUCUUCAUUGUCAUAGAAUAAGUCUCACAAAGAUCUUUACUGUCGCUAUCACUUUCAGAUGCUUCUUUUGUUGGAAAAAACUCAGGGCUUUGUGCCUUACUUUGGUCUAUAGCAUUAUCAGAUCGAGGCUCGAUAAUGGCAGCAGUACAGGAGUCAUUGCUUCUCUUAGAAUCCAAAUCCAAAGCCUUACUUUGGUCUAUAGCAUUAUCAGAUCGAGGCUCGAUAAUGGCACCUGUACAGGAGUCAUUCCUUCUCCUAGAAUCCAAAUCUGAGUUACUCAAUACAGUUUGUUCAAUUGGAAUUGGCGGUGCAGGUAUUGAGGAAGAUAAACUGCUAGAUGGUGCAACACUGCAUCUUUCUCUUUCAUUAGUUCUGCCUGAAUCACUUUCCAAUUUAUCAAUCUGCAUCUCUUUCACACCAUUGGGUACAUCAUAACUCUUGCCUUUAUCAACCUGUGAACUGCAUGAGCUGGAGGAGGCCAAUCCAGCAGCAGGGGAAGCAGAAGACUCUUCUGCAAUGGACAAAUUAUCCUGACAAGCAUUAGAAGCAAUAGUGGUAUUAGAUGGCAAGGGCGGAACCUGACUCGGUGUAGAAUCCUUUCCAAUAUCCGAAGGAGGUUGUGAACUUUCUGGAUCCUUUUUGGAUACUACCUCAGAACUUAGACUAUUAUCCUUCAAUUGACUCCACUUACCACACAAUGUUCUCACUUUUUCCUUGAUUCGAGUAUUAUUGUGAACAAGGAGUUGUUCAAGAGUAGUUCGAAUUCCAGAAGAAGCUAACCUUUCAUCGUCUAAUGGUAACCUUUCUAGUGAUUUUAACAGUGAGUUUAUCAAUUCCUCGGAAAAGUUAUCGCCGAUAUCAGUACUGCACUUUUGGGCUUCUUGGAACCACUGGUUGAGGAAGUUAAGCCCAUUUAACUGAACAAAAUGAUUAAGGCAUUCCUUGUUCUCUGUAACUGCUAAAGUUCCUGCAACUGCUGACCACUGCUUUAGUGCAUCAUGUAGGUUACUACUAACACAAUCUUUCAGUUUUUUUAUCUCACAAACCAACUCUUCAACUCUGGUGAUAGUAGCUAUACCAUCAUUCAUUUCAGGAGUAGUAAAGAAAUUACCAAGCAUUAUGGCUAUCCACAAUACGCAUAUAGGUGAAAGCUUUAAUUUUGCAAUCCUUGCGAGAAAAGGCUGUUGCCAUCACCACUCUGAAAUGAAAAUAAGUUGAGCUUUAUGACCACCGACAUCAAUCUAUAGCUGCAAAAGAUCAUGUAGCUUAAUCAGUUGUCUAGUCGCACAAAACAUUACAGGCAAUCAUGAGUUGGAUCAGUCCACUAUGUAAUGGAAAUUUAAUGAAAUGUUCAAUGGGAGGUAGAUAUCGGACAGCUUGCGAGUAGGUUCUAAUGGCAACUUAAAUAAAGAAGUGACCAGCCAUGGUUCAUAAUGAAAGAUGUUACAUACUAAUAUGUCAAGAAAUUGAUGCUUACUCUCAAAUGUCUUGCUGGAGUUGCUCACAAAAAGUAACAAAGCAUGUCUAGCAUGUUUCAAUCAUUCCUAAAGCAUCUAAUGUUCGAAAGGAUUCCAGUUGGAGUGUAAACAAGCCAAACAUGAGUGAGCUAAGCUCAAGUUCUGCUCAUAUAUAAUCAGGGUGAGAUCAAUCCAACUCAUUAGAUUCGAAGUCAACUCGAGUUGCUCAAGACAAGCUCAUUUACACAUUUAUCUUGGAAAAAAGAUUCAUUUUAUAUCAUAAAGACUUUGGUCAACUGCAUCCCACAUCCAUGCCCGUCUUUCAUGGUUAAUUAGCUCCAUUAAAUCAGCUUCCCUCGUGAAAAGCACAAUGUGGAAACACUCUAGUACAGCUUACGUACUUGAUCAUGUUAUCCUAAAACACUAUUGUAACAUCAUGCAAUCCAAACUUUCUCUGCAAAUAACAUGAUUCAAAGAAAGCCUCUGUCAUGUGGCAAUGGUUACAAAAACCUAACACUGAAAAAUACCUACUGUAAUUAUCAGCCAAUAUGACAUUCAAUGGUAGAAACUGAAAAACUCGACAAAAAAUGGCUGAAAGGGAAUUUGUAAUGUUCACAAAUGGCAUUUAUCUUGACCUUCCACAUAAUUUCUGAGUUGUUAAAUCUAGUAGGUCUAAAUGAUUGAUAGGAACACAACAGUGCUAUGUAAGCAAAGCAAUUGAAUUUCUAAGUGUAUAUAUCCUGAGUAUUAGAUCACAGCACUUAUGCAGAUGAUCUCCUUACGUGUCUUUCAGGUCUUGCAGAAUUGCUGAAUUUGGACUGCUUACAGAUAACCGAUUGCCUAUUUAUGAAUUUUGUUUAACUUUCUUGCCAUUAUAAUACCAGAACACUUUGAAAGAGUAGAAAAUACAAAUAACGGAAUGUAGAAAAUAAGCUAAACACCAAAACACUUUGGAAGAGUAGAAAAUAAGCUAAACAUAUACAUUUUAGAACAUGCAAGGUAAAGGCCUAAGAUUAUGUUUUUCUGUAAAAAGAGAAGAGAAAUUAAAAAAAAAAAGGACAGAAAAAUCAGAAUUCAGAAGAACGGAAUGUAGGUUGUUCAAUUAGUGAUGACAGUUACGAGGAUAAUGUAAAUUGUGAAAGCAAAAAUAGUAAGCAUUAGUUGUGAUAGAAAUCAUAUUAAGGAACAAAACUAAAACUAGCAAACUGUAAGUACAAUUAUGCAGACAUUAGCAAUGUUGGACAUAAUAGUGAUUUAUGUAGUGGUUGACUACAACCAAACAAGUGCUACAUAUGGUCAGGACAGUCAUGGUCAAGAUGAGUAGCAGAAGCCUUGUUGAUGGUAUCACGUAUUAUCCAAUCUGAUUAAGCAGCAAAUCUCCAGCAUUAAUGAAAUUAAGGCUUGGUAUGGUCUCCUUUAAUUUUUUUUUUUUUUCUUGAAGACAGAAACAAGUGCGUACGUAAAAAAGGUGUCAUCUUUCACCCUCAUCAGGACUAUCAUCCCUAGAAGAGUACAACUUGGAUGACAUGAGCCUAAAAUGCGCCAAAAGGUAGAUUGCAAUAAAACAGCUCUUUAACUUGUGGAAAGUCUAACUGGCUGUUUUAGUUUAGUUGUUUGAGUGUAGUGGGAACACACUCUCUUCAGUAUGCUUUAUAUUAAUAAUAGUGUUGUGAAAUCAAUUGUCAGUUUGAUGUACAGCGUAAGGGACAAGAAAUUGAACUAUUGCCCAUCAAGAACUAUGCUAGAAAACCUAACAGGAAGUGCACGCUUAGUCUUUGCUUCCUUAAAUAACAGCCUAACUAGUAGUAUACAAGGGACUCGAAGGGGGAAAAAAAGAAAAAAGAAAAAAAGAAGAUAUGGUGUACUCUAAAGUUGUAUGCGUGCAAGCAGACAUUCAAAAACCUGUCCCUGCCCCGCAAGCUUCCUCUUCUUUUUUUUCCGAUUUUUUGCACAUUUUUCUGUUUUUGGGCCUUAUAGGCAAGUAGGGCAAGCCAUAAAUUCCUGCAAUCCACAUAUAAAGUGUAUGAUGACAUGCAAAGUCACGUGAAUGCCUACUAAUAAAUCAAGAAAAUAUAGUAAAAAACUUAAUACAGCAUGGCCGAACCAUCAAAUCUGGCCCUUCUACUAGAAAAGGCAUUGAUCAACCAAAAUCAGAUAACAGACACCAAUUAAUAUUCACAUUUCACUAAUUUGCUUUACAAAGGAAGAAGUGGGCAACCAACAUAUCAAAAUUUUGGUGGGAUGCUCAUGAAAUAUUACCAAUUGUGAGCACCAAGCAAUCAACUGAAGUCAGAAUAUCACCUCAUUUUCCAAGAUGAAGAAUAAGGACAAUCAAUCAUGUCAUCAUAUAUUUAUCAGACCAACAAAGUUCAUCUCACUCACCACAUUCUCAAGGAGAUAAAAUAAACAAAUCACACUCCUAGUAGAUCUGGAAUUUUAGAUAGUUGCCAUUGCUAAGCAAGAGCAGCUAAACAUACACAAGAGUUGGCUCUCAUAACUCUAGGCAGCACACAGGCUUAGUGAUGUGGCAACUACAAAAGAUAAACAGAAGUACAAUCCAAACCCAAUUUAACCAUAGAAAUAUCCAAAUCAAACCCAAAAAAAGACCCACUUUGAUGCCAAUGGAGUAGACUUUCAAACUUCGAUUUGUUUGUGCAAAAUGGAACUUUUGUUUCUUUGUGCAACUUGGACACUCAAUCUGUAACACCCCAAUAGUCCCACAUCGGAUGGGAACAGGGUUGUGAUUGGGUAUAUAAGAGACUUUGAACCCUAGCAAUAAUAAUUGGGCUUAAACAUUUUGAGUCGGUAGUUUAGGACCAACGAGUUAUUAUUGUUAGCAGGUCGGAUCGUCACAGUUGAUAUCAGAGCGAAUCACCAGCCGGAAAUGUCGGAUAAGUCUCGGCUUAGCCAGGGUUAUACAGCAAAUAGAGCGUGGCUCCCCAGCUAAUAACCGUUGUGAGUGGAGCACGGCUCCCUACAACAUCGGCAAAAGACUAGCGAGACAAAUCUCACAUCGCAUGGCACUAAUAGGGCUAAAUCUUUUAACCCAACUAUAGCAUUUUGGGCGGUGGCUAGACCCAAGCGAUUUAAGAGAAUCAAGCGUGCUAGGGCUAGAGUAGUCCUAGGAUGGGUGACUCCCUGGGAAGUGGGGCGCCACACAAUCAUACCAAACAAAAUUGCAGAAAUCAGAUUACAUCGCCAUUCACGAGGUAGUCUGGUGGUUUGGAUACCAACAUCUUUCUAUGCAUCCUAUGUUAACAUCUGAGGAAUGAGUCGGUAGGAGCCAUGUUGCCAAAAAGAAAAGCUACAGCACCACCUAGAACACACAGAAUCACACCCCUUCUUGAGCCUGAAAUUCAACUGCAUACGGAGCAGACUGUUGUGAUCAAGGAUUCUCCUUUUUUUUUGCUUUCUAGCGAUACUAAAUCCUAAGAACAUAUGGUAAAUGUGUUUGAGAUAUGGCUAAAAAUCCUGCUACCUUUUAAAUACAGGAUGAGGCUUUUUUACUGCAAUUUUUUUUUCUGAGGGAUUGAAUGUAGUUUCGAUUAUCCUUCCCUGCUUUGUUAUGCCAGAAGAAAGCAGGACCAGGAUCACUGGUUCCAAACAUACCUAGAUCCUAACAUCUCAACUAAGACAAGAACAGCCACCGUCCAAAGGACGAAAUAUACAAGAAAGAGAAACCACCAGAACAUCCCCAUGACAUAUAAAUCAAAGUUCUGAAAAUUAAGAGCUGAUUAUCAGCGGAAGUUACAUAACAACAUGAACUUAACUAAAUAUGGUUUCCUUGUCCAAACAAGAAGAGAUGAAACUUAAAGUAGUUUCACUGUUCUUAAGGGCAUUGCCAUUUAUCAUUCUAAAGUAACUAGAUUUGCCAAAAACGUGAAGGAAAAAGGUAAAGGGUAUUAAAAGACCAAAUCAACCAUUACAACUUAUCAACUAAUCGAUCAGAAAAUGAAUUACGACCUGAAAACAUCAUUAGAGAUCACUAUCACUAUGUUCAUAAUUUAACAAAUUAAUGGCCCCAAGUUACCCAAGAUAAAAAAAAAAUAAAAAAAAUCGAAUUAACAGCAAAGAGAGACAAUAAAUCAAGGAUUUAACUAACUUCAGCACAAACCAAAACCCUAAUCGGCUAAUCUUAGCACAAUUGAGGUCUAGACGAUCAUCUAUUGGUCGACAAACUCUCUACGCCCUAAUUAAAACAACUAUAACCUUAAUAUAUAUAUAUAUAUAUAUAUAUAUAUAUAUAUAUAUAUAUAUAUAUAUAUAUAUAUAUAUAUAUCCUUAAAAUGUUGAAAUCGCGAUCCUUCGCUUGAAGCCGACGAUUAAUAGCAAAAUCUAGGCCCUAAAUCGUCGUCUCCUCGCUCGAAGUGUCAUAAGCAACACAACAAGUCGGAAUCUGGCCCCAAAUGCUCCGAAACACACAAAAUACCAGAACCUUGUACACACAUCACGAAACGGAAAGAAAAAACUACGAAGUCUACGAAGGAUUCGAGAUAGGAUGGCGAAAAGGGUUACCAAAUCUCCGCCGCCGCUGCAGAGUCGCCGGAACCCUAGAAACCGAGGAGGAGGUGCCCCAGCUUUUUGACCGUUUCCCCCACCCCCUCUCUCUCUCUCUCUCUCUCUCUCUCUCUCUCCUCGAAUCUUCGCUUUCUAUAGAGCUCGCUUUACCUAAUUACCUCUGAGCGCGACCCCCCCUCUCUCUCUCUCCCUCUCCCUCCCUCUCUCUCUCUCUCUCUCUCUCGCCUCUGUAAUUGUUCUCUCUCUCUCUCACAUUCCGUUGUGUCGAUUUUAAUUAAUCGAGUUUAAUUCUCGCGAGGGAGAAAGUGGGGCCCACGAGGGGGCCCACGGGGGUGGCACGUGCGGCACCGGUGGUGGGGGAGCUGGGAAGGGGUUUCGCGUGACGGCUCCUGCGUGGCCGACAAGUAUUGCCUGCACCUGGUGCACACGUACAUGCACCGCACUUAAGUGGUGCAAUUUUAAAAUAAGAAAUUCUACAAACUUCAAAUUUCUUUCUAUGUGGUUUAACUCAUUUUUAUUUUGUCUUUACCAAAAAAAUUCUAUAUGAAAUAGAAUGAUAAAUAAAUUUUUUUAAAAAAAUUAUUCACAGGAUGACAAAGUUAAAAAUAUGCUAAAAUAUAAGGAGAGACAAAGGAAAAACGAGCUAAACUGUAAGGAGACAAAGCGAAACUUAUUAAACACAGAAUACCAAAAUGAAAAUAAGCUAUAGCAUAAGAGAGGCAAUUUCAAGUUUAUCCAAAAAUCUAUUAUAUAUAUACUUUACAGUUCAAAUUUAUUUUUAUUCAUUUUUUGAUCCUUUUAUGAAAUUGUAUAAUUUUUUUUUUUUUGGUUUUUGUUUACUAUUAGUUAGAAUAUGCCUAUGUGUAUUAUAUUUACUAUAUGCCAAUUUAUAGAAAAGAUAUGUAUUUCAAAAUCUACUAUCUAAGAUAUCAAGUAGCUCAAAAAAUGAAAACCGGAAAAAAUAAAUUAUUUCAUCCCUAGGAAAGCGAUGUGUAUAAUUUUAUAAUUUUUUUAUCUCCAAAGUGUGUUUAUUUUUUCAAAAGGAGAGAGAGAUAAAAUGGUUCUCGACAGUAUAUAUUAACUUUAACUGUUUAGUUCACCAUAACUUUACAUUUGUUUGAAACUAAAAUUUUUAAAAUAGUAUAAUUGGCUUUUGCCCACCCAUACCAAAAUUAAUUACAAAAAAAUAAAAUAAUAUUAAUUCAUCUAUUAUAUCUUUAGAUUAUACGUCAUUCGUUUAUUACCAAAUGAACUGUAGGUUUAAAAAAACUUUAGUCUAAAGCUAUACAAAUAAAUAACUGAAGAAAAUUAAUUUUUAUCUGAACUUCAGUUCAUACUUAAAACUUGUCCUUUUUUGAGAUAGAGAGAGGAAAAAGUAGCAUGCUAGAUAUUUCGUUCAAAUUUUUUUAGAAAUAAAUUUAGCUGAAAAUAUGAAGUAAUUAGACUUCGAACUUGAAAUCUCGAUUACCAAUCAUUAAGUUUUUUAUCACUUGCGCAAGAGACGACCGGCUAAGCUUUAUCUUGGAAAAACUUCAGAUAUCAUUUUUGUGGUUUCGCAUUUUCUCACUUUAGUAUCUUGUGGUUUAAAGUGUAUCACUUUCGUACUCUGUGAUUUUAUUUUUCUCUUUUUGUUAUUCCUUUCACUAAUUUUUUUCGUUAAAUCAAUGAUAAAGUUAAAACUAAAGGGUGCUAAAGUGAAUAUUCAAUAAACUAAAAGUGAGAUAUCUGAAAUUUUUUAUAUAUAAUUUAAUGAAAAAUGAAUGGAAGAACUGACGAAAAAAAAUAAAUAAAAUUAUAGAAUACAAAAUUGAUACACUUUAAGUUACAGGAUACUAAAAUGAGAACGUGUGAAAUUACAUUGGUGGUAUUUGAAGUUUAUCUUUUUUUAUCUUCGAUAGAAUUUUUGGAAUGCGCACAUUGAAUGAGAUAUAUUUAUACACGCGGUGUAGGUAAUAGUUUGUCGUGAGGAGGGGGAGAGGACUGAACCGGUGGGAGGGGGUGGGGGGCCACCGGGAGCAGGCAGGCGGUAGCGGGCGACAGCGACUGGGAGAGGACGGCAGUCUGGUCCUUGUUUUGGGGGGGUGUGUGGGGUCGGUCAGGCUCGCACCCGGCGCUUUCAGAAAAAGCGACAGCGGGCAGACAGCUGUCCAAUCUGCAACAGCAGACAGCGAUUUGGGGAAGCGGAAAGCUGACACGUUAUGUGUCAACUGUGUCAUUUUUAAGGCUUGCUUGUUCAAUUUAGAUUUAGAUUAAUGUCAUGCUUACUGAUACUUGAAAACAAGGUCGGGGAUGGAUGGAACUAGGGGUGUCGAAUAGCCCAACACGAGCGAGGUUCGGCCCGUGUUCGGUUCGUUCAAUAAACGCAUCGAACACGAGUUGACUUAUUAAAAUAUCCAGUCAAAAAAAUCGAUUUGUAUUCAACUUAUUUAUUAACAAGUCAAACACGAACAAGCUUAGAAGCCAGUAAACAAAAAAUAAGUUAAAUAAGCUAAAUUGAAUAUAUAUAUAUAUAUAUAUAUUUGAUAAAAAUUAUAAAAUCUUGUCCAUUAAAUUUUGAUUUAAUUGUGAAAUUUUAUAUAAAAUAAUUUUUUUUAUAAUAUGACCUCGGCUUUUUAAAUAAUUUUUUUUUUUGCUAAAAAUCAAAAAUUAAAAAAUAUAUUAUAUAUAUAAUUAUUUAUUUAUAUAUAUAAGUAUAUAUAAAUAUAAAUUAAAUAAAUUAUAUAAAUAUAAAAUAUAAUUCGAGCUGUUAUCGAGCUGAACACGUGCGAGUUGACCAAGCUCGUGUUCGGCUUGUUUAUUAAACGAGCUGAAAAAUUCAGUUCGUAUUUGACUUGUUUACUAAACGAGCGACCCGAUCUUAAGCUUAUUUCGAGUUAAACACGAGUUGGCUCGCGAACAACGAGUUGGAUUGCCACCUGUAGAUGGAAUGCCGAGAGUUGUGGGAGCAUCGGAAGUAAAGCCAUUCAAAAUACCCGAUAUUUUAUAUCCGAUCCGGAUUCUAUUUGGAUCAUAUUCAGAUUCGAAUGGAACCCGAUAAAAACUAGAUAAGAUACAAAUAAAAAAAAUAUAUUCAUUAAAAUUUUGGAUAUGGAUCCGGAUAUUUUAUAUCCAUACCCGACCGUUUAUUGGGUAGGAUCUGGAAGAGUUUUCAAAUCCAAAUCCGGACCUGGACCCAGUAAAAUUUCCAAUAGUAAGUAAAAAAAAAAAAAAUGUUGAGAAAUCAAUUUGAAUAGAACUUAUAAAUGAAUGGUCUAUGUGUAUUUUCAUCCUAGUGAAAAUUCUAAUCGCUCUGUUUAUCCCCUUUUUUUUAUUUUACUCCUUAUUUUUUUAAAACCUAAUGCUUGAAUCGUUUUUUUGAAUGAAUUUUAUUGAAUUGGAUGCAGCUAAUUAGAAUGCGAGUUUUCUAUAGUGAGAUAUUUAUUGGUUUGUUCAUAAACUGUUUAAUAAAAUCUAUAAAAAAUAUAUGUAUACCGAUAUACGUAUCAGAUUUAGACCCGAUCUAUAUUCGAUCCGUACUCAGUCUUAAGCGGGUAAUAUACGGGUAGUCGCUAUUCAGAUCCGCUCAAAUAGACCCGACGGGUAUAUUAUUAACUUAAGUAUUCAGAUCCGGACCCGAUUCAAAGUUAAAUUGGUAGAAUAUAUAUAUUUUUCUAUUUAUUUUUUUUUAAGAUACGAAUGUAGUAUAUAAACUAUUCAGAUCCGACUCUGUCGGCGGACACAUUCAAUUGGAAGCGCGAAGACUCUGAUCACCGGCUCCGACUUCAUAUACAGCGCUCGUGUGUUGCAAUUUCAUUCCCUUCACAGGCGAAGUCAAAGCUCGCGACCUUCGGCCUCUCGUAAUCCAGACAAAAUAAACGUGUCCUUACUUUAUUGUAGCUUAUUUAAAUAUAUAUUAUUUUUAUAAGAUGCUGAUAUGUUGACAAAUUGGUAUGAAACCUUUUAUUACAGAAUACACAGGAACUGAUUAAAACUUGUUCAUUAUAGAUGUCGGCACUUCCAAAGAACUACAUUUUGAACUCUCCCACGUAAAAAAUUCUUAGCAAGGGGUUGGAUGUAAACUGUAUCUCGAAUCAAUAAUACAUCCUAGCGUAAUAACCCGCACGAUGCGAUGGAUAGAUAUUUAAAAAAAAUAAAAAAUUAACAUUGACAGAAAAAAAAAAUAAACGAUGAUGAAAAAAAUGAUGAUAAGAUAUGAAAUUUAUCUUACUGAUGAACGAAAAUAACAGCCAAAAGAAGAAGAAGAAAAAGGAUUUGAGCUGAUUCGGAGUAGAGUCUACACUCAACAAUUAAGAAAAAAUUGUCAUGUAACAAUUUUAGAAAAAAUAAUGUAUAGAUAUAAAUAUAAAUAUGAGCAAUAUUCUGAAUGACGUACUUGUAGUAAUUAAUUCUUGUAUAUCAUUAAUCAAGAGCGGCCUAAAUAAAUACAUCCAUUUAAUUCGUGGAUUUGUUAAAAGUAUGCAAGAUGUUUAUAAGUAUAAUAUUACUUGGUCUGAAUAUUUGAAUCGACCAUAGCUUGUUGAACUAGUGGUAAUUAGCAUGACGUCAAAAAUUAUUAUAAAUAAUAUAUUAUUACUUGAACAUAAAUUAACAUAUUAGAAACUAAUUAAGACAAAGAUCAAGGGAAACACCCACCAAUCAAAUUUUAUUUUUUCUCAAUUUUAAAAAAAAUAUUUGAAAAUUUUGAUGUGAUGCAUGGUUUGCCCCUUACAACACAAUUAGUCCUGAAGAAUAUGCCAAUUUAGAUAUUUGCAACUUUAUCAGAUUGUAAAAUGCUAUCAUGUUGUGCCCACAAUAGAAUAGUUGUGAUUGUUGAAAAUGGCAUAGUAGGGGGUUUAGGAGCCUAUCUUAACAAAUGAGUUAAAAUAAAAUAAGUUAUUUUGCAAACAUAGACAAUAUUGAGUGUAGAGCAUUACUAGCUAGAACCAUACCAUAGGAACUAGGAAGAACUAGGGAAAGCACAUUCUCUUUGUCUCAAAUUCCAUUCCUUUCAGAGUAAAAAAAAAAAAAAUGAAUAAAUAGUAGCUCAUUUUCUUUUUUUAAAAGUCCUCCAAUACGAUGAGCAGACCGUAAAAAUCUGGACAUGGGAUGAAUCACAUAGCCAUCGAACUGUCUUAGUAAGAUUUUGUUGAUGAGUAAAAAAAAAACCGACUGUUCCUAGAGCAAGUGGCAAAAAGUUUGGUGGUUGGUAUUCGAGGUCCUAAGUUCGAAUUUUAGUUGAUUCACAUUUCUAACUAAGUUUAUUUCUAAAUGAAAUAAACGAAGCAGAUAGCAUGCUACCUAUCUCUCAAAAAAAAGAAAAAACAAAUUUUUUUUUUUUUUGAGAGAGAGAUAGGUAGUACGAUACCCGCUUCGUUUAUUUUAUUUAGAAAUAAACUUAGCUGCAAAUGUGAAUCAACUAGGAUUCGAACUUGGGUCUCGAAUACCAACCACCAAGUCUUUUGCCACUUGCUUUAGGGAUGGUCGGCAAAAAAAAAAAAAAAAGAUUUUGUUGAUGAGCUCUUCUUCUGCAGUCUAGUUGCUUCUAUUAUUUUGUAGCCUUAUUGCACCAUAUAAUAAGACACUAUAUUAAAAUAAAAACAUUUGAUUGGAAAAGAAAAUGUAUUUUGUUCAAUGUAUCGAAUCGACGCCACACUUCUUCUGCAUUUCUUUUUUUCCAUGUUGUUGGUCUCUCAAAUUUGAUUGAUCACAUUGAGUGGUCCACAAUGUUAGUUAUUUAUUAUGAACAAAAAAUUAAGUAUGAUAUGCAUGACAUGAUUCAAUGAAUGUAUGUAACUUGUUGUGCAGUGGAUGCUACUUUUAUGGCUGCUACUUUUGUGGUUGCAAAUUAGAGAUUAUAGUGAGUAAUCAAUGAGCUUUUUCCCUUUCAAAGGCCUAAGAAAGUAGAAGAACAAUAUACUAUAACUGCUCUUUCUAGCAACAAUUGCAACAGUAAAAAUCUCCCAACCAAAAUGUUCUAAAUUUGAAUCUCUUACUUUUUAGACCAAAAGCUGAUUUCAACUUUCUCUUCCAAUUUUCAUUGACAAGAACAGCGUCAAAUGAAAAAAACCAACAAAGAAAUUAGCACUCAUUUUUUAAAAAUAUCAAUUAAUAUGAUUGUGUCGAAUGUAAAUAUUAAAAAGGGAUAAUUGCCUAUAUACCCCUCAAAACUUCAAAAAUAUCUCAUUUACCCCUACUUUUUUUUUUCUUUCAAAUAUACUCCUCAUAUAUUUCUCUGUUAUUCCAAAAUAUUCCUGCAGUUACCACCGUUAAGUUAACUUGGAUUAAACGUGAAUUAAAUAUCUACCACAGUUACAAAAAUUAAAAUACCACUUUUGCCAUUAACUUAAGAGCAAAUAAGAAAUGUUGAUGAUGGUAGAAGGGUAUAUUUGAAAAGACCAAAAAGCAAAAUACUUUUUAUGCCCCUAACUUAAGGGCAAAUAAGAAAAGUCGGUGAUGGUAGAAGGGUAUAUUUGAAAGGGCAAAAUAGUAAUUUUAUAGAGAUAACAGAAUUUAUUAACAUAUUUUAACAUUAGGGGUAUAUUAAAAAUAGGUUGGAACGUAAAAAGGGCAUUUUCAAUAUUAAUUUUCUAAGAGGGAUAAAUCAGAAAGUCGGAAAUUUUUCAGACGUAUAUAAGCAAUUGCCCCUAUUAAAAAUGUCGUUCUCUCUUAGCUAAAGCUUUUAGAUAAAAAUAAUUAUUUUAUAUAAUUUAAUAUUUAAUAUGAUAUCAAAACAUAAGGUCUUGAUUUUGAAUCCCGCCAGGCUCCUAGUUUUAUUUAAUUCUUCAUAUUUAAUUCAAGUUCACGUCUUACGGCUAUCAAACAAAUCUUAUAAAUAUUAAAAAUACUAUUAUUUUUUAUCUUAAUUUUUUAGAGAUAUAAAAAAAAGAUUAAGACACAUAAAAACUAUAUAAAUUGUGGGUCAUUCUCGAUCUAACAAAUUCCUGCUUAUUUAUAAAAAUCUUCUAAUGUAUGAAUAUAUAGUACAUCAGGCUCCUCAAACUAUCAAUGGAGUGCUGAACCGUCAAUUUAGUGGAAGAGCUGUAAUAAUCACAUGAACUUGCUCUACUCUUAUCAAAUUUUGAAUUAUAUACCAUGUAUCACGAAUAUUUCUAUAAGUCUCGCGUGUCUGUGUCAGACACGUCUUCGGUGUUGACACUUCUUAAUUAGACGUGCGUUAAAUGACAAUCCAUAGCGCAAAUAAUUAAAAAAUAUAUAUACAUAUUUUUAUUUUACUUUUUUUAUAUAUGCAUAUAUAAUAUAAGAUAAUAAAUACUUUAGUUUUUUAAUUAAUGAAUGCAUACAAAUUAGUGAAAAAAUUUUCUUCUUAAAAUAUACGAAUAAUAAAUGAAAAUUUUACUAACUUUCGUUUAUAUAUGAGAAAUAUAACAAUAUAUUACGAAAAUUAAUAUUUUAUAUAUAAUAAAUAUAUAUUAUUAUAUUAAUAAUAUUAUAUUUUAUUAGCAGUGUCUAUGUCGUAUUCCUGUCCAAAUUUUUUGAAAAAUGCUGAGUCGACAUUUUCGAGUCUUAUCUCAUCCCGUAUUCCGUUCAUCCCGUAUUCCGUUCAGUUUCCGUACCGCGUAAGUUUUAUAAAAAUAUCGGCCUUCAUAUCUAAGGCCUUGGUUAGAUAUCAAAACAAACUAGCCGGUGAUCACUCAUAUGCUUUGAGAACUUUUCUUUUUAUUUUUAUGUAAGCUAAGGCAGGUGUUUGGAUAGAAAAAUUAAAAUUUUGAAAGAUUGAAUAGUUGAUUCAAAAUAAUUUAUAGUUUAGAUAAAAAUAUGCUAAGUAAAAUACUCAUACAUUUAAAAAAAAUCCACUAUUCAUAAGAGUAGUACUAUAACAUGCAAAAAAAAACAAAUUAACAAUUUAAAAGAUUAGUAUAUUUUUUAUAGCGAUGGCAAUGAAGGGGAUUCAGUUGAGGGACUUGGGGGACGAUAUGAGAUCCGUAUGGGACAAGUGGAACAGUGCUCCGUCGUCUCGAACCAAAUUAACCGGCCUCUGGGACGUAAGGAACAGUAUCAUUUUUCGAAAGGCUAACGCCUAUUCACUGAUGGCAGUGGAUAAGAUCAAGCGGUUGGUGACCCAGCGAAAGAAAUCUAUCUCGCCAAAUAGCAUUUUUCUUAAUGUUUUACUGUUCCUUACUAUACUAUUUUUUUUUUUUUUGAACUUUCAAUUUUUUUUCAACUUUUUUUUUAUUUGAUAAAGAUAUACUUUCUCAUGCGCGAUACUUAAUUCAUCCUUCUUAUGAAUAAACAGAUAAUAUGCUAUAUUUUCUAAAAAAAAAUAUACGUGUUCGGUGAUGCAUGCACCACAUCCCCAAGACCAAAAAAAAAAAAAAAAAAAAAAAAAAAACUCCUACCAAAAGAGCGAGGCAGAGUUGAGGGAGUCGUCAUUCGUGAGGAAUUCUACAUUGUCACACUUGCACCACGUCAUUAAUAACAAGCCAAUCACAUUUCUUUUUUUCAAAUAAAAAUACAAAAAAAAUAUUUUUAUACAAUCAUGGUAAGACAUAUACCUCUAAAAGAAGACAUUUGAUUAGUUUGUUACGCCACAUCAUCAAUAUAUCCGAUAUAUUGCAUUCUAGAAUUUGUCGGUCGUUCGUUGGGUGGCCCCCACGCGCUAGUCAUCAUAGCCGUCCAUCACAUCGAACGGGGGUUGAUGGGAUAGAACAGGAGGGGAAGGUGAUACAAGUCACAACACAUCACAUGCACAGUCACACACCCUGCACACAUACAUACACAUUCCUGGGAUGAACGUGAAAAGAUGAGGCGUGCGUGGAGAUUCGCGAAAACGACAGGGACCCCGGGGUUGGGACGGGGUGUAGAUAUUAUCGCAUGCACCUGAUGUAUGAGCUCGUCCCAUACACCGUACACUUUUGAAAAACUCUAUCAUAGAAAUUUCGAAAUCAGAAUUUACUUUAGGAUAUGUUUAGUAUUGAGUACUGCUUAAUGUGAUUUGAAAAGGAAAUAAAAAGUGAGGAGAACAUAUGCUUUUUUAUUUUUCAGAAAAAAUAUAGAAAUUUUAUCAUAACUAAACUAAUGCAAUCUGCAUAUUGCGAUUUUACUAUUAAGAUAAAAAUGUACUGAUUUUAUUUGAACUGUGGAUUAUUUUGAAUUGUCGACCUAACAUUUUAAAAUUUUUAUUUUGCCGCUCAAUCUUUCUAUAUGUUUGAUUUGAGUUAGUUAAUAGCAUUUUGGCUUUAAAAUCUAAUGUGUUGUUUAUAUUUAUAAAUUCAGUAUACAUCAUGUAAUUCUCACAACUAUAAAUUUAUAAAAUUAAGAAAUUAAUUUAAAUUUUGAUGUCAAAGUAUUAUUGUUGGCUGACUUUAAUCAAAUAAAUUGAAAAAUUGAAUAGCAAAAUCAAAAAUUUGAAAGAUUAGAUAACUGAUUCAAAAUACUCUAAAGUUCAAAUAAGUUUUGAAUGUUUUUUAUCCACUAUUUAUAAAAGAAAAUAGAGUAUUUUAAAUCUUAUUUUCUUACCAUACACAAUAUAUUUUGCUUGCGAUUUGAAAUGUAGACUUACUAGAUGUGUCAUGUUAUAUUCAAAAGUUCUACAUAUAAACAUUUUAAGAUAUAAUUUAGGAUUUGUUAGGUAGGAAGGGUGGCCUAACUCAAUUGAGAAAUAAAAAAAUUAGGACAAAAGCAUAUACAAGAUAUGCUUCUUCAGUUUCCAGCUAGUAUGAUUCUAAAAAUUAUAUAUACUAUAGUCAAACUAGUAUUGAUAUGUAUAAUAUCUUAUAAUUACCUACAAAUAUAAACAAAAUAUUUUUCUUAUUGCAUUUUCUUACGAUACACAAUAUGUAUUUUGUCUACAAUUUCAAGCUACGCAUCAUUGGUUGGACGUGUUUUUUAGUUUUGAAAAGUUCUGUAUAUUAAAAAUCAAUAGUGUUUAAUGCCAAUUUUGAUGAAGUAGAUUUAACUAAUCUACCUUUCUAUGUACCGUUUAUUUUCAUAGUUAUUAUGCAAAUAAUGCAGCUAGUUGUAUCCGAUUAAGAUUACCGAGUAAGAGGUCGGAGGAGUGAUUCAAUCCUCAGUUUCUCAAAAAUAAAAUUUAUAAAAAGUCUAGAAGGAUUUCAGGAGCUAGCGGCGUACGUCUAUAGGUUUGCUUAAAAAAUAAUAUAAAAAAAAUAAAAAAGAUAAAGCUAUUUUGACGCAUGCAUAUAACUAUUCAUAAAUUUUUUGAACGAAAAUCACAUUUAUGAGAUGCUUUAUUUUUUUAAAACAUAUUAGGUGGUGCAUAAAAUAUACGGAUACACCGGGUGCAUGUGAUUAUUAAUCCUGAGAGUGGGUCCCGCCGUCCGGGUGAAAGGGACCGCAAAUCAUGUAUCCGACGGUGGUGGGCCACGCGAUUCGUUCAACGGUCGCUUCCUCGCACCCCUCCCUCGACCUCCCAACCUUAAAUAGAUAUAAAUAUCGGAUGUUAUUGUUACGUCGUUUUCUUAAUAAUAACAAUAAUAUUAAUAAUAAUAAUAAUAAUAUUAUUAUUAUUAUUAUUAUUAUUAUUAUUAUUUGGUAGCACAAUUAUUAAUGCUCACAACCUAUAACUGUCCAGCUGAAAUAUAUGUACUUCCUCCGCUGAACUCUUGACUGUGUUGUCUUCAGUUUGGGUUCGGAUUCUGUCGUUAUUAAUAGAGUUAAUUUUUACUGAAAAUAAUAAAAUUUUAUAAAUAUAAUAAUUGUUUGUUAUUUCGAUUUAACUAUGUUCACUAUAUCUUAAUAAUUGUGUAUAGUAAGAAGAUGCUGUUAACAUCAUCUUUUUUCACUCAUCUUAAGACUAGUUUAGCCCAAAUUAGUCCCCAAGUUGUUGUGGGAAUUUCGCAGGAUUUGCUGCUUUUUGAUUCUUAAACAUAUUUCAACAAUUUUUUGUGACUUUGAUGUUUUAGUUGAGUUUUUAAUUCUUUUUAUCCUAGAAACCUUAGGUUGGACAUUAAUUUGAAGCUUCAAAAUUUAAUUAGAAUUAGUAGCUUUACUUUAGGGGGCAUUUGAUUCGGCGUAAAAUGAACCGCAAAAUUAUUUUUUGUAUGAACAAUGUUUUUUAACUCGGUUGGUUCAGCGUAAAAAUAUAUUUCUAUAAGAGCAUUUUUACGGAUUUUAAAAAAAUAUUGAAGUUUUCGUAUUCUACUGUUUUUCGGUGAAAAACGAAAAUUCAAGUCGCAUGAAAUUUUUUUCAUUCAUUUUUUUUUCACCGAAUGAAUCAAAUGUAAAUUUUUCUUCUUUCAACCAAAUAAAUAUUGAUGAAAAACUAUUUUUUUUUUCUACAAACCAAACACUACAAAACAUAAAACUUUUUUUUCACCGAAUUUUUUUUUUCACAAAAAAUUAUCUUCCACGGUUUUAUGUUGAAUCAAAUGGGCCCUUAGUUUGUACUCUCGUUUAUUAUUAUACAAAAUCAUUGUUAGGUAAGUUGGGUGUUUGGUGGCCUAACCAUGCCUUCAUAUUUGUUUCUAAUUUGAACAAAGGGUGAUCAAAUAAUUUAGAAAUAUACGUACGAAAGAUAUCCUUAUACAUGCAAAUAUUUUACAAAUAUUUUACAUAUGCAUUGCAAAUACAAAUAUUCCCUAUAAUGACAAGCCAAGUUAUUCUAAACUAUUUUGUUAGGAUUAAGAUGCUAUCGAUUCUUGGAUUAGGACAAGUGUUCAUUAUUAAUUACUUGUAUCACAACCAAUUACAAUAUGAUCAACAAUGGUUCAAUAGGCUAGUUAAGAUCCAAUUCAUUCUACGUAGAUGAUAGUAAAAGAAUAAUAUUUACUAUUUAUUUUUUACCCCUUGGAUACUUUAUAAGGAUUACUAGUGGCUGGUAAAAUAGUGCUGAUUCAAAAGUUAGAAAGUUGAUAGUACACACUAUUCAGUUGCUAUUAUUAAUAAUAUUCUAGGUAAACUCUAUGAAUAACUAUGCUUUUUUUUUUUAUUAGUACUUAUCAAUUGAGUCUCAAUAUUAAACACAAAAAAAGAAAAGAAAGAAAGAAAAAAAAAACAAUGAUUUGUUUGCGAACCAAAAUGUCAUUUCUUUUUUAUGUUGUUAACAAAAAGAUAAGAACAUUUCCAGUCAUAAGCAUCAAAGUACUUUUCUUUUCGUUACUCUCGAGAAUAAGGAAUUGAUUCAUGCUUGAACUUUGACGAAGAAAAGAACUCGUGCUUCUGACUUUUUGGAUAUCAGUAAAUGACUACGAUGACUUUUUGGAUAUCAGUAAAUGACUACGAAAGAGGUUCAGAAGAAGAGUACAGGGAAAAAUGAGAAAAAAAAGAAAAUAGCAUCACAACUAUUGGACCCAUAUGGUCCACUUGGGCCACUAAUUAAUAUGAACCAACAAGUUAUGUUUGGGCUUUUUGAUUCAUGUUUUGUUUUCUUUGUGGCCUUGGUUGUGAUCCUAGUUAGUUAAUUCGCGAUUAAUACGCGAAUUAUACGCGUAUUUUUUAAAAUACGAAUUAAACGGCGAAUUUCGUAUUUUUUCCAAAGGUUUGAAAAAAAACGCGAUUUUUUCGUCAAAAAUUAUUAUGCGCGAAUUAAUCGCGAUUCGCGAACAAUUCGCCCAAAAAAUCGGCGAUCGCGGUCGCCGACUUGCGGCCGAGGGUCGCAUCGUCGCCGCUCUUGUCGCCGCUCGCGUCGCCGCCGGUCUCGUCGCCGCUCGCGUCGUCGCCGCCGCUCUCGUCGCCGCUCGCGUCGUCGUCGUCCUCCGCCGCCCUCGCCGGCGCCGGGAGCAAGGGCCGCGGCGGCGGAUCCCAUCUCCUCGCCCGAGUCGUCUCCAAAAUGGGAAAGAUGAACAGUAAAAAUUAUCGGGGCUUUGGGAGGUUGGGAAUGUGCGCGGUCCACGAGGCUAUUUCAGCCUCGUGGACCGCGUGAGGGGAGGUCCACACUCCACAGUGGACCUCCCUCUCAUAUAUAUAUAUAUAUAUAUAGUAUAUAAUAUAAAAUUUUAUUUAUAAAUAUAAAAAUUUAUUUAUUAUAUAUAUUAUUUUAUUUUUAUAUAGAAAUAUUUAUAUAAUAUUUUAUUUAUAAAUUUGUAAUUAUAUAAUAUAUUAAUUAUUAUAUAUUUAUUAUAUAGCCGAAUUUUUGAUUCUGAAUUUUUAAUUGGUGAACGUAUAAUAUCCGUAUAAAUUACGUAUCCAAAUCAUUACCGAACCCGUUUUUUAACCGUAUUUUUCAACGAAUUUAAAAAUUAAAAAACGAAUUAUAUCCGAAUUAUAUCCGUACCGAAUUUUUGCCGAAUCCGAAUUAACUAACUAUGGUUGUGAUACGUAGGGUUUCAUGGGCUUAAGAACUUAUCCGUGCAUCUACAUCUACAUUUCUAUUAUGAUUUGAGGAUCUAUCUUUUAAUAAAAAAUUAAACUAAAUAUAAACUUCAGAGCCUCUCCCUAAAAAUACAAAAAAAGAAAAGAACAGAAAUCUUCAAGAAGGUUGGGUCCGAUGAGAAACUCUUUAGCUUCUUAAAAAUAACAAGAUUCCGCUAAAAAUUAUUUCUUUCAAAACAAAAUAAAGUAUAUAUUUUCUUAAUAUAAUUUUUAAUAUAAAAAUAUUCUUCAUUUAUCGAAUAACCAUGAAUAUGCGAAGAUUUUUUUUUUUUGGAUUAAAGCUAAGAUUUUUUUACCAGCAAGAUACAACACAGUUGAUUUAUAGCCGGAGCCGCUGAUGAUCAAGAAGGCCAAAUUUUGGUCCUCCAUAUGCGUUUAUAGUAUGUCUAGUAAAGAAGGGUUUAGAGUUUGUGUAUAUUACAAACAUAAUAUGAAGAGUAAAUCUCGCAUUAUCUACGUACUUUUAUCUGCGGGUACCCGCAAAUUAUUUACAAAUUUGCGAAUAUGGAUGUUAGUUUUUUUACCCAGAAAAUUAUCAGCGACAGAUGGAUACCCGUUAAGUUGUAGGCAUUUUGAGCACCCGCGGGUAUCCACAGAUAACCUCGUAUAUUUUUAAAUUUUAAAAAAUAUAAUCUUUACGAUAUUGACUUUAUAAUUAUGAAAAAAGUUAUUAAUUUUAUAACAGAAAAAUUAGGAAUGAUAAGAUACUUUUAUAUUACGUAAUUUAAUCUGUUUUAAAAUUUUAUAUUAUUUAUUAUAUAUUAUGAUAUUUCAAAUAAUAAGUUAUAUUAUGUAUUUAAAAAUUAUAAAUAUAAAUAAGUUUAACAUUUGAAAAGCAUAGGAAAAAAAAAACUUGCGUGUAAUCCGCAUACCCACUCGACCGCUCAUGGGUGGGUAUGGGUAAAAAUGUUAACUAUCGAAAAAUUUACGGAUAAAGUUUAUAAUGCGCAUAUGACCUGCGGAUACAAUGACCCGCGCACGGGUUACCCAACGCGUCCAUUUGUGUACAUUUUUAUUUCAAAAUAAAAUAAAAGUAAAAAUUUAAUUUCUGUAAAAUAAAUGAUCAUUCUCAAAAUUAAUAAUAAUAAAUUUUAAUCCUAAUGGUGUAAGAUGUAUUAUGUAUGCUCACGUUGUACACGUAGCAUUUUUUCAAACAACAAUUAAAAAUUAAAAGAAAAACAAAAUAUUUUUCUAGCAAAGAACACGUCUAGAUAUACUCCACGUGUGGUCCGCUCCCGCCACAUGUGCGGAAGAUCGAAACCCGAAGUUAACCGACCGAUUCUCUCUACACACCGGGUUUACCACGUGGCUAGUAAACCGUGAGAUCUUAUCCAUCCGUUGAGUGUCACAUUUGCAUGUAUCAUUAAUAAUAAAAUAAUUUUAUUUUUUUAAAAAAUAAAUUUUUUAUAAUUAUUAUGAAACAGAUAAAUCUAAAAAAUUAUUAAAUUUGUUGGAAAUGCCACAUUAAUAAGGUAAUUGGUGCAUUCUAGAAUUUUUUUCGGCGACUGGUUGCAAGGGGAUGACGUGGUGAACAUGGUGCAUCGAAAAUCAUUUUCCCGGUUCCCCGCUCGAGACCGUUACGCAUCCACUUCGCUGCUCCGCUUCCUCCUCUCCCAGUCUCCCUCUCCCUCUCCCUCUCCCUCUCCCCCUCUUCUUCAUAUCUCCUCGUUUCGCUUGCUCUUCGCCACUUUGUUUCCAUUGUUAUCUCCAUUAAUGGCGUCUCAACUCUCCCAAUCCAAUAAUCCCUCUCCUUCUCCCUCCGCGCCCCCCGAACCCUCCCCCAAUCCCCCUCCCACCACCACCCCCUCCUCCUCCUCCUCCUCCUCCCUUUACCCCUCCCUCGACAUGGCCGAUCUCGUCGAGAACCUCUUCCCAGACACCCACCGAAACCCUAACCCUAACCCUAACCCCGACCCUAGCCCCGUCGAGGAAACCCUCCUCCGCGUCCCCGGCGCGAUCCUCCACCUCAUCGACGAGCGCCGCAGCGUCCCCCUCGCCUCCGGCGACCUCUACGUCAUCCGCCUCCGCCAGGGCGACGGCGUCGUCGCCGUCCUCGCCGGCGUAUCCGGCGACGGGGACGGUGCAGUCCAGUGGCCGCUCGGCCGCGACGCCGCCGCCGCCGUGCGGCUCGACGGGGCGCACUACUUCUUCGCCCUCCGCGUCCCCGAGGGCGGCGACGGCGAGGACGUCCUCAGCUACGGGCUCACCUUCGCCUCGAAGGGGCAAGAGGCGCUCCUCGCGGAGCUGGAUAGGGUUUUGGGGGCGUACACCAAUUUCUCGGUCCAGAAGGUGGCGGGGGCCGGCGGGGAGGCGGCGGAGGUGCUGGACGGUGGGGCGGCGGCGGGGGAGUUGGCUCCGGCGGAGGUGGCGGAGGAGGGGCCGAAGAGGGAGAUGAUGGAGAAGAGGUCGGCGGCGUACUGGACGACGCUGGCGCCGAACGUGGAGGAGUACAGCGGCUACGCAGCAAAGGCGAUCGCGGUGGGGUCGGGGCAGGUGGUGAAGGGUAUACUCUGGUGCGGGGAUGUGACCGUGGAUCGGAUCCGGCGGGGGAACGAGCUCUUGAAGAAGAGGAUGGGGCCGAAUGACAAGGCCGCCGAGGUGAGCCCGGAGACCUUGAAGAGGAUUAAAAGGUAUCUCCCCUUUCUCCUCUUCAAUUACCUAUUACAAUUUACGAGUUUUCUCUGAUUAAUCUUAAGAUGUUAAAUGAUAUUUAUAUUGCGUCAGAGCGAAAGUUUUUAAGUUCGAAUUUUAUGAGGCCAAUUUAUCACUUAUUCAAAAGAAAACGUCAACCAAAUUAAGGCCUACUAGAAUUCUUAAAUCUAGACAUGAUGAUAGUGUUGAAUAUGAAGUGUUAGAAUCCGAUUUUCUGGUAGUUUAAGCUUUUUGAUCUGACACUAUGUGAAAGAAAAAUUUUCACCAAAAAAUAGUGACUCGUAACGAUUUGCAUUCAACAAUGUGCUCGUACUUCACUGGGAAGAGAAGGUUUUCCUGCAAAGAUUAAAAUAUGGAAAUUCUGCAUUUGAGUCUAAACUUAUUACAUCUUCUCACUCUAACAGAAGCUCAUGCCCUCUUACGUUUACCAAAACUCUAGUAUUUGUUUGGGUUAAAGAAUCACUUCCGACUAGAAUGCGGUAUGCAUUGAGAGAAACAGGAUAGCAGCACCACAAUCCCAGACAAGUCCCGACACACUAUGUCCAUAUCAGCACUGCCAUUUUCUUUUGGCCUGCUAGUCUAUUUCAAUUCCAAUUCCUUUCAUUUGCUAAUAGACUUUCCAUGUGGGACUAAGUUUUCAUGUGCUUUUGCUUAAAAUUGCUGGCUUCGGUACUUGUUAAUUAGUUUGUAAAUUGUUUGACGUGGCCAGAAAAAUUUCUCUAGAUUGUUACUUGAAUCACUUAAUGUGUGAUAUUUGGAUGCUUAGGGUGAAGAGAGUCACAAAAAUGUCUGAGAAAGUGGCAACUGGAAUCCUGUCUGGUGUUGUGAAGGUCUCUGGAUAUUUUACAAGCUCAGUUGUAAAUUCGAAAGCUGGGAAGAAGUUCUUUGGACUGUUGCCUGGAGAAAUUGUCCUUGCUUCACUCGAAGGAUUUGGUAUACGGUCAUCUUGAUGUUGUAGUUGAAGUUUUUCUUAGAUAAAACAAUGGUUCAUUUGUAUUCAUGAGAAAACUUUUUGUGGUAGCUUUGUGGUCAUGAAAUAUAAUAGCAUCGACACCCUUUAACUAUGCUUUUCUUACACUAAAGUUGCAGUCAUUGAUGAGAUUUUUAUGGCGCUUCUCUCUGCAUUUCUCACUUAUCCAUCAACUCAACGGAAGUGGUUUUUUCUUCAUGUAUUUCUGAGGCAAUUGUUCUACUGAUUUCAAAACAUUGGUAACCUUCUUAUGUUUGCUUUGAUGUGCUAGAUUUGUCAUUACAGUAGACAGCUAUCAAAGUCGCUUUCUUUUUUAUAUGAAGAGAAGGUAUAGAGGCUAAGUGACUUCUGUCAUUUAUGAAAAAGAUUGUCAUUAACCUUUUCUUUUCUCCACGAAAAACCAUAAUGGUCAAUGGAGCAUGAUACUUGUGGUCUGUUGUAGCCAAACUGGUUGAUUAAUCACUUCAAGUUGCUUAUUAUUCCAAGCCUUUCAUAUUUCAAGUAGUGACACUUGAACCAAGCUCUAGAUUUUUUAUUUGGAUCGUCGCUUCAAUUUUCACCAGAUGCAUAUAAACUGAUUUUUACUUAUUUGAGAUAUAGCAAUUGUCAUUGCUGAAGUUUAGGGCAAUGUAUCUACUUUAAGAAGGUAGAUUGCUAACAAUUAUUGACAAAAAUGAAAUGCAUAGAUAUCUAAUCAUGUUAUAUGUUAGAGACAUCUAAUCAUGUUUGCUGUCAAGAAAAAUGUGUUUUAAUGAACUUCCUUACGAGUGUACUUUUCCAUUUCUUGCUUUGGUUCUCUGAACAGAGUGUAACAUAAAUUCAAUUACUCACGACUUACCUGCCAAAUUGACUAAACUAUUCAGGCAUUUCUAUUCAUUUUUUUUUUUAAUAAUAACUAUUUUGCAUUAUAAAUUCAUCUUUGAAGCCUCGAGUUUUAUUUUAUUUUAACAUGGUUUAUUCCUGAAGUUUGGAAAUUGUAAACAUAGCACAAACGACAAAAAUAACUAAGUCUCUGCCAAAAGUAUUACUAUUGUGAGAUGGUCUAUAAAUUCUGUAUGUUUAUAUAAUUCUGUUUUCUUAUUAUUUCUUCGAAUGCAAAUUUUGAAUUGUCUUAAACUCAUGAAGCACCUUCAUCCUCUCUCAUUAUAUUAAGCUGGUUCUUCCCCCCUAAUUCCUACAGGGAAAAUUUGCGAUGCUGUUGAGGUUGCAGGAAAGAAUGUCCUAUCGACAUCUUCAGAUGUGACCACUGGACUUGUAUCUCACAGGUUCGAUACAUGCCAUAUUGGGUCUUCUAUCUUCCUACUGAAAUCUCAUUUUGUGAAAUAAGUGAUAAAAGUAUUUUGAUGAAGUAACAUGAAGUAACUUAAAUGGCAAAGAAAAAAAAAAUCUUAAAAGCCAAUUAUCAGGCGAAUUAUCUUUCUUAUUCAUGGCAAACCAUAACAUUUUUUUGGGGGAUUUUACCCUCGUUGGCGCUUUUGGCAACAAUCUGUUUUAGCUAUGCUGCAGCUAGUAUAAGAGCAUCAACCUUUAAGGGCGUGGAAACUAUGUUAGUAGAAACUAUGUUGGGUCCCCAGCUCAGUUAAAAGCUCCACAUGUUGUCCUGGGCAAACAUUAAGGCCUCUAGCUUCUGAGCAUGAAAGCUGAUCUUUAAUUUACACCGAAAAGACUAGUUAGCUAUUUAAUGAUAUUUCUCCAGGAAGCUAUUGUGCAUGCUCGCCCUGCUUAAGAUUGCUCUUGGAUUCAGAUGUUCUUUUAGAAACUAGAACUGAGUUUUCAAAUAUUUCCCAAUGCAGGUACGGUGACCAAGCAGCUGAGGCCGCAACCGAAGGGCUCGAUGCCGCGGGGCACGCAAUAGGGACCGCCUGGGCCGUCUUCAAGAUUCGGAAGGCUAUUGAUCCUAAGAGCUCCAUCAAACCUACCACACUCGCGAGAUCAGCCAUAAAAGCUGCCGCUGCAGAAAUAAAAGCUAAUAAGAACAAGUAGCUUAGAGGUAUUUACUACAUCUAAUACAAAUGAAAAUUUUGCGAUAAUUGCCCUUUCCUUUUAUCUUGGUUUCUUCACUGUUUAAUUUUUGCCUUGUCAGUUCAUGUUUCGUUAUUACUUUUCAGUAAUACUUUUCCCUGAAAUUUUGUUUUGAUGCAUCUGUAUCUCUAAAUUUCUUUUGCAUUCCAUGUUUUGGUUUGUGUUGUUAGUGUGCUAAUACAUAUCAUGAGUCAAAUCGUGGCAUAUUAGUCCAUAAAAUGAUCAGGAAAGAGAGGAAUGAUUCAACCACUUUACCUGUGGCUUUCAAAAUAUUACAUUUAAGUCAUAAGAGACCCCGAAAUCCUCAGUGGUGUGUGUGCGUUAUGAAUUUUACAUCACAAUACAUGUUACAUUCAAAAAAGAGAGGAAAGAAAAGUAAUAAAGCAGUACACUACAAUUCACAUAUUUGUGAAGAACAGUGAGUGUGUUCUAUGAAUAGUACAAACUGUUUACUACAAAUUCAAUAUUAACUGAUUCCAUAAUAAUCUUUUAUGGAUCUUUGUCAGAAUAAUGAUCUUCAUAUUUUUUCGCUCAAUCAGCCGUGUCCGGUCUCAGUAAAAUUGUUGUUUGAAAAGACAUUUAAGGGAUAUUUGGAUUGGGGUCACUUAAUUUUGAUAAGUGAUUUUCAUCGUUUGUUUUGACUGAAGUAUGAAAAAGUAGCGGAAGUGAAGUUAUGUUUCUCCUUUACUUUCUUUGCUUUUGGCUUCGCUGCAUAUGAGAGUGGAAUCAACAUUCUUCAGUCCUUACUUUUCACAGUAAAUAGUAAAAUAUUAUUUACAAGAAAUUAUUUAUCUAAAAUUUACUUAAGUGUGACAAAUACUAGAAUAUAUACUAGAAAAUCAUUUACAGUAUAGUUAAGGUUCAACAAAACAAGCAGUAGAAGUUGUAAAACCUCACUUUCAGUUUACGGAUUUUUAUCAAAACAAACAACUAAAAGAAAAUUGACUUGAGAAAACCUUUGCAACUUCACCAAAACCUUUGUAGUAGGAUUUUAUUACAGUAAUUAGAUUCUUUGAAUUAGCGACAAAGAUAGAUCGGGAAAAUAUCUUAUUUAAUCUACAUGAAAAUUACCCUGUACGUGCCGUGUGAACUGAAACUACUUAGAAACUUUGAAAAAAAAAAGAAAAUUCUGUAAUCUCUAGCUCGGAUAAGCAACUAGGUUCACUUAAGGGUAUGUUUGGUUUCUUGUAAAAUUGCCCCAAAGGGGGAACACGCGGCUCAUCUUGAGCUUAGAACGCGGUCCACGAGAUCCACUUCACUUCGUGGACCUCUCUCCUUCAUUAUAUAAUACUAAAUAUAACUAGUAGUAUAUAGUAUAUUGCAUAUUUAUCCUAUAAUAUAAUUUUGAAUAUAUUUAAUUUUACAAAUACAAAUUAUAAUAAUAUAUACAUAGUAUGAUAAUUAAUUAUUAUAUAUAAAUAAUUCUAAAAUAUAUAGUAAAAAUAAAAAAUAGUUUUUAUGUAUAUAUAUAUAGAAUUAAAUAUAUAUAUAUAUUUUCUUCAAACCAGACUAUUUGAGAAUUAAUUUUCUUUUCCUACAAACCAAAUGUUUAAAGGUAUAAAAAAAAUUUUCUUUUUUUUUUUACAAAAAAUUAUUUUUCAAAACUUUAUGUGAAAUUAAACAGCUCCUAAGGUUGUUCGUUGGUCCCACUAAACUAACAAAAUUUUGAUCUUGUUCAUACUUAGGAAAGAUUUGGGAUUUUGAUAACAUAAUCAUAUGUCACUAUGCAUGAUUUGAACCUAAGAGAAGUACUAGUACCUUUCUUUUCUGCUUUAAUUGUUGUCCUAAGUCUUUGACUAAUAAAAAAUGGAAUGAUGCAUGCUUUGCAAUUAUUUGCGUUGUUUGCUUGCUAGUUUAUGGAUAAGUACAAUUUUGUAUCCUUGGUCCCACAUACAAUGAAAAUUUUCACAUUGAUCUCAUAAUAUAGGCAAAUCUCCAUCCAUGUGGUGAGUAGUAGGGUGUUAUAUGUGAUUGUACUUAACGUUUUGUUAUUUUCUUUUCUUUUUUUGUUUUUUUAAACACCAAUGAAGCAAUGACACCUUAUAGAUAAGCUACAUGUCUCUUUCUUGUUCCCAUAUAAAGGAUAGAGCCAGGGAAUCUGGAAAUUGGUACUUUGUCCCCUUAACAAUUUCUUAAUCUUGUUGUAGAUCUAGUGAGUAGUUAUUAUUAUUAUUAUUUUUUCUUGUGAUGCACAACUUGUUAUUAUUAUUAUUAUUAUUAUUAUUAUUAUUACUUUGAACUAAUCCUUUUGGAUAUCAUACGAAGUAUCUUCUUUCUUUUUCAACUUUUCUCCUAACCUACUCGGUUCUCACUGUUCAGCAAAUAGAGAAAUAAGAAAUGGUGAAAUUAUUUUUUGAGAUUUUAGUUCAUUCUCCAAAUACAAGCUUGAGUGUAAUUUAUUAUUUUAAUUAUUAAUUUUGUUUUACCUGCCAUUCAUUCAAUAUUCGAACAUGCGCAUUUUGAUAAUGCUCUACUAAAGAAAGAUUUGCAACUAUCAUCUCGAAUUUGGAACUUUUCAGAAUUUUUUUCUUUGUCUAAUGUUAGUGCAAAAUAAGUCCCAACUCUUUUACUGCCAUGUGGCUAAUUUGCCAUACGUCCCACGUGGCAGAGUAGGCUAAAAUUAACACCUGUACUUUUUUUUACCCAUUUAUAAAUAUAAAUAAAUAAAUAUAUACUAAUUGAAAUCCAAAGGCGUUCCCUUAUUUUGGGAGCGUGUUGGGUCAUAUAUAAUUUUUUAAAAAAUUAAUUGUAUAUUGGCUUCCAAUUUUUUUACUAUUUUUUAUUUUGCUUUCUAAUUUUUUUUUAAUGGCACUACUUUGCAUGUUAAUUUUAGUCCCUAAACUUUCAUAUUUUUUACUGUAGUCCGCAAAAUUAAAAAUUUAAAAUUUUGAAUUUAAAUUCGAAAUUAAUUUUAAAAUUAAAAUCUUUAUCUAUCUAUCUAUCUAUAAUCUAUAAAUAAAAUAUAUGAAAGAGAAACCCUACAGAAGGCCCCUCCUUAGUUUGGGGAGCUUGUGGGGUUCGUAUAUAUUUUUAUUAAUGGUUAAUUGCAUCAUUGAUUCCUAAAUUUUGCACAAUUUUUUACUUUGGUUUCUAAUAUAUUUUUUUUGUCAAUUAAGUUCUCAACCCUCUUGAUUUCAUUGCGAUUACGUCCUAACCAUUAAAAGAAGUGUUAAAGUUAACAAACUUGUCAUGUCAGCACUACUUAGUUUUUUCUACAUGUCAAUUUUAAUCCCUAAUGUAAAUAGUUUUUUUUUAAAAUUAACAAAUUGGUGUCCUGAAAUAAGAGAAUUCAACUUUUGAAUUUUUUUUUCUUGAAAGAAAAAGAAAUAAUAUUUAACAUCAGUUUUUUUCUCAGUUAAAUAAUAUUUUUUAGUUCAUGUGAGUGAUAUUUUGCUAAUUCACAUGCUAUUAAUCUUAAUUUUGAGCUAGAGAAUUAAUUUUUUCCUAAUAUAUAAUAUUAGAAUUUUUAUUUUGGUAGUCGAACAUUUUUUGCAGUAUAAAAAAUAUCUAUUUCAAUUUUCAAAUGCCUUUAAUUAGUCUUAUUUUUAAGUGCGUCUGAUAAUUGCUUAUUAAUUCCUUCACUAAACUGAAAUUUAGGAAUCAAAUAUUUUAUUAGUUGUAUCUGUAGUGAUAAAAGUUAACGAGAGCUUUCUUUUAUUGUCAGCGACGAUGAUGAUACUACCAAUGCUACCAAAGAUAGUGCUUUCAUUCCAAUUAAUUUUUUUUUUAUAUUUUUUAUUUAUAAAUUUUACGCUCAUGAUAAUAGAAAAAUAUUACACUUUUUUUUUAAUAUUACAAUGAAUUUUUUUUAUUUUAAAUUGAUUUAUUUAUUUUAGUUAUUUGGUUUAGAUAUUUGUAGAAAGAAAUAUACUUUAGUUUCAUUCUUUAAUUUUUAAUUCUUCAAUAAUGCCCGCCACAUCGCGUGAGUUCUUUAACUAGUAAAAUUGUAUGUAUUGACCAGCACUUUAGAUAAUUUAAAAAUUAAAGAUAAACUUUACUUUGUUCUUUUCUGAUUUAGCUUAUUUUUUACUUUAUUUUUCUAUAACUUUAGAAAUUAUAUUUAAUUAUUUGAAAAAUCCUGCUAUCAGAUAAUGUAGUAAAGUGAAAUUCCUUUUAAACCAGAGAGUGACACCUUGUUUAAUAAUAGAUUCUUAUAGUAAAAUAAAAAUAAAAUUACAUAAUAGUUAAAUAUAACUUUUUGAGCAAUGCAGUAAAAAUGCACUAAAUUAUAGGAUAGGCAAGUGCAAUUUUUGGAAUUACAGGAUGGCAAAGUGAAAAUCCAUUAUACCAUAGGGGUGCAAAUUGAAAUUUACAACAAAAGCAUUAUUUUUUGAAAAUUUUGUUUUCAUUAAUUAAUUUUUUAUUUUGUUUGAUUUUAGUUAUUUAUUAAUUCAAAAAAACUAUNCCUGAUUGUGAUUGUUCUAUCAGAAAGAUCUUUCAUCUUUUUUUCUAUGAGUGAAUAAUUUGUCCAAUUCAUGGAUUGGAUUUGAAUGGUUGAUUUGUGAAUAAUCUUAUUAUUUAUUUCGGAAUCUUUUCCAUUUUCAGCCGUUUCAUAUACUUUCGCCUUGCUGAAUUCAAAUAAGAAUAUUGGGUUUACUUUUAGAAUUUCCUUCAUUAUUCGUUUUAGAACUAGAAGUAUUUUAAUGAUCCAUCUUGUUUUUUCUUUUGAAACUUUUAGAAGUAGAAAGAAAUUCUUUUUCACUUUUAAUUUUUAAAAGCCGGAUAGUUACUUCUACAUGACCUCAAGUUUGGAUCAGCUCUAUACAAUUAAUUUCACCUAACACAAUCCACAAACUUACAAAAAGUCCUUAUAAGAUCACUUUUGUUCUAAUCUCUCUUUUCGCACCACAAUUGGCUUCCCUAAAUUGCGGACCUUGACACUUUUGUACCAUUCUCAAGUCAACAGGACCAAGAAGUGGAUUCUUUAAAAAAAAAGAAAAAAAUGCUUCUAUCUUGUGGCCUAAAUUUUCUACUCUAUUAUUAUAGUGAUCCCAUUGAUAGUGAUUACAGCCACUCUUGUCGACAAGGAAAGUGAUAUGUUGGGACCAAAUUUGUAGCUAAUUUGUCAAACCAUCUUAUGUUGGUGUAGUUGAUGAGAUGUGUAAAAAGCACCAAAAAGAGAAGUGGAUUCAACAUCUAUUAGUGGCAUGAGAUGUUUGUUGAAGCUCUACCAUUGCAUUUGCUAGUUGGGAGUUAAAAAAACCAAAGAAAAAACAAUGAAAAAAAGGAACCUUGGGCUUGGCGCAUGUUUCGUCGUACCGUAGAGUAUAGUAUUAUAGUAAAAGAUAUUUUUAAUAGUCGAAAUAAAAGUAAAACAUUCUCAAGCUCGCUAGUUGGGAAGAACCCUUUGUUUAAGACUUAUUUGAUCGUACAGUAGAAUGUAAUGUUGUUCGAUAAAGUAUUAUUUUAAAAAAUUAUUAUUACUUGAAGCUACUCAUCACUAAUGUAUUUUUAUUAGAUUUUUUUUUUUUACAGAGCCCAGGAGUGCUCGACAUUGAAAUUUUUAGUUUUAAGGCUCAAAAUCUCUUCUCUUUUUUUUUAUGUUAUACUGUAGCAGCAGCUUUUUCUGUAUCAAAUAAUCUAAUUAAUGGAAUCUGCUGUUGCUGAAAGUUGAAGCUGUAAGUGAGGCAAAAAAGAGUCCUUAGUGUGAGGGCACAGCCCUAGUCCUUUUCAGAACUUUUUUGCCUUGUGGUUUGACUUAUGAAGGAUUGGAGAACACCAUUUAACUACCUUUAUUUGCUUGCUAUUUUUCAGGGCACAAAGUCAAACCACACAUGUGAGAAGUUUGAUUAUCUUGUAGCCUUUGCUUAGAAUCUUAUCAUUCUCCCUCUGAAAUCUCUUUCUGUAUUGAUGUCUCACUUGAAAUGUCUACUGCGUAUACGCAUAUUGUACUAAGAUAUUUAAUGUAUUAUAAUAUCGAGACAGUCUAUUCAUGUUUAAAAUCAAAAAUUAUCAGAAGACGGUGCCAUAUUGAAUUAUGUUAUCGAGAGUGCUAUUUUGAUCAUUUCUUACGAAAGUUUUAUUUUUCAGACUAAGUGUUACGUCUAAAACUCGAUUGCAUAUCGCAUCCUCAAUAUAAUAAACUAUCAUACUAAAAAGGACUAUUUAGACUAUUCAAGUUUAUAGGUUUGGCUAUUCUUUUCAAAAAAAGCGAUUGAAAGGAGAGGUAAAGUUCAAUUGAGGAACAUGGCAUGUUUCGUACCAAUCCGCUAUACUAUUAGUUGAUACUAUUAGUUAAAAAGAUUAUGGAUGCCUUAUUAAAUGAUCACAUUCAUUCACUAUUUGGUGACCGCGAUCGCGCGUAACCUAAUACUUUCCUAACACAAAAUAUAAAUGGUGCAGAUUCAUUAGACGGUGGAAGUUAUAAGUUAUGAUCAUCAAAGAGAAGCUACUCACAAUAUUUUCUUAAACUCUCUUCUCUUUCUUUUUUUUUCCCCCCUCUAAUGUGUGAUCUUUUGAGCCGUUUCUGAGUUUGUUUCUUAUUUUAUGCUUCUUCUGGUUCAAGAGCUAUUACUUUGGCAGGUAAUUUUGUUAAUGGAAUUAACAUAGAGUUUAUUUGGUCCUGCUUUUAUUUUUGAGCUCAUGUUUCUUAAAAAAAAUGAAAAAAAAGAAAAAUUUUAAAAUAGUGUUUCUAUUUUUUUCUUAAGAGAAAGAUAAUAUAUUUUUUGCUUCGUUCCUUAUAAACUAACCUGAACAUGCGAAGCAAAUAUGCUUAAAACUUGUGACCGUUGGUAUCACCUAUCAAAAUUUUAAUUUUUUCUUUACAAAUGAUCUGACAAAUAGUGUUUUGUUAAAAGAAGUCUUAUUAAAUAUCAUUUCAUUAAAUAGUAUUAUACUCUACAGUAGGACUAAGACGGGCUACACCAUCGUCCCUAAAGCAAAUGGCAAAAGGUUUGGUGGUUGAUAUCCGAAACACAAGUUCGAAUUCUAGCUGAUUCACAUUUUCAGCUAAGUUUAUUUCUCAAUAAAAUAAACGAAACGAGUAAAGACGGGUUACGAAAGAACAUGUUAAGGUCAAACUGCGUCCUUAAUACUCCACCUAAAAGGUGCAUGCCCUAAGAAGGCACACUGUAUCCACCCAUGAAUUGAGAGGAGAGAGGUGGGUCAAAGUCAAAUGUGAAGGAGACUUAAGCAGAGGAAGAUGAAGAAGAAGAAGAAGGGUAAUGAAUGUGUGGUGUGUCUUUCACCUCCCCAUGUGCCCAAGACUCUGGGAGCAGGAAUGCCCCUUAAAUUUUUAAAUUUAAAAUUUAAAAAUAUAGAUUUUAAUUUUAAAUUUUUUAAUUAUAAAAGUUAUCUAUUUAAGUUUGAAAUUUUAAAUAUAAAAUAAAAAAAUUUAAAUUCAAAUAUAAUAAUUGGGGCAAUAUUAUUAUUUUUUAUUUAUAACUAUCCACUAUUCUUCUUAUUCUAUCUUAUCUAUCCAAACGCUAUUUUUCUUACUCCCGGGAACAACUUAAUUAUCAUCCAAACGCAAAAUUGGUUUAUUCCAGGCUUCACNGCAAGUGACCAGCCAACAAGGCUCAGCGACUACACAAAAGCUCACGAAGCACCGUCGGAAAAUUUCCGAACCGAACCCGCGUUCCGUCGGCGGAUUUCGCCGAAAAACGCACCGGAAAUGCAUUUCCGAUCUUCGCAAGGGUCUAGGGCCUUGGACAAUCAGUCCAGAGGAUAUCCUCAACCAACACUCGCUGCCAACAGCAGCUACAACGAACCGAAAAGCAUAAAGGCCCUUCCGAUGACCCAAAAUCGCAUUAUUUCAUGCGAUUUCGGUGCUUUCAAGGUCCGACAACGCAAACCAGAGGUCAAACAGCCAAGACGAGACUCCUGCUGACUGUUCUCGGUGUGCCGGAGGCCGUGCUCACCUUUCGGAGCACUGCCGGCCACUGUGGAGGACACACGAGCGACGCAAACACCAGUGAAACAGCGCGCACAGCGCCUAAAUCGCGUCUAACACGCAAACCGGAGCAUAUCUGACAUAAAUAGAGGUGGCCACGAUGACCGGCACUGAGCAAGGAUCAUCGUGCUCACCUCCAGCAGAUUCGGGGUGGCCUCGGUUCACCAAAACAGUGAUCGGAACCCCAAGACAAGGUGCAGGAAGCCUACAACAAACUUACCGGAGCAAGGUGGGGCACGGGGCGGCCGGCGGCAGCCGGACGGCGGGAUAUCCGGCCAGGGGAGGGUGCUGCCAGUGUGGGGAGGUCCGGGCGCGCUUCGGUCGACCACGGGAGGCGGCCGAGGCGGCGGGCAUUGAUGCCCUAGCCUCACAACCCGAGGAGAGCCUGGGCUCGGUCCAGCCAACGGGGAGCUUCCGGCGGCGGGAUCUACGGCAGAAGACGGGUGCGGCCGGACAGGCGGAGGCGGUGCUCACUCCGGCCGGCGUCGGGAGGCGGCGGCUACUGCUCACGAGCAACCCGAGCCCCCUGCGCGCUCGGCUCGGGUUCAGCCGGACAGAACGGCCACCAAGGCGGCCGGGGACCCACGGGGACGUCGGAGACGGCAAGAAGGGGGUCACCUGAAGGUGGAGGGAAAGGAGGAAGGAGGCGAGCGACGGCGGCGGUGGCCCGCAGCCCAAGCGCGGCCACCCGAGCUCAGCUCGGCAGAGGGUCCCAGCGGCGGCGCCCAGGGAGUGCGGCGGCGACGGCGGCCAUUCAGGCCGGGCGCGGGGGUGCCAGUGGUCACGAGGGAGGUUUCCGAUGAGGUCCCUAGUGGCGGUAGGGCGCGUGGUGGAAACCAGCCUGGGCUCGGCCCGAGUUGGUCCAGCUCGGCUGCAGAGCGCCCAGGCGGCGCGCGGGGACGACGGCGGCGACGAGGGGAGUCGCCGAAGGCUGGGCCACGGCCAGGAGACAACGGUGCUCGAGCUAGGUGGCUACCAGGGUCCGCAAAUCACAAUGCGGUGAAGGGGUUGGCCAAAAGGGAGAGAAAGAGAGGUGAUGCAGGAAUUUCCGGCGGCCGGAGGAGCUCGCCGGCGGCCGGAGCAUGCGCACGGGGAGGGCAGGAGAUGGCUGAGGCGGCUGGAGGACUAGGGUUAGCAGGAACGACCUAGGGUUAGGGUUUUCAAGCAAAAAUCUAACAUCAACCUAUAAAUUUUAAGUGUAAACUUGCCGAAAAGUCCUCCAAGACUCAACCGUUUAAUCUUAGUCCCUCACCGCACGAAUAAAACAUGCAUAAACCCCUCCACGUGCGAUUUCACGCGAAACGGUACAUAAAAUGUCGCAACUUUUGCGAANGGUACUAACUUGAUACAUUUUAAACCACAGGGUACUAAAGUGAAAAAAAUUGAAACCACAAGGGGGGUUUUUGAAGUUUUCCCUAAAAUAAAAGAACCAAGAAUCAGAUCGCAAUAUAGAAGGGUGUAAGGAUGAUUGGUGCAUUUUAAUUAACCAGAAAAAAAAAUGGCCCUAAAAUGCAAAAUCAUUUGUCAUCAAAACUUAUGGGCAAAAUGUAUGGAUAGUCCCUAUACAAUCCCUAUAUUGCAAGUUGAUUCUCUAUGGUAAGAGUUUAUAUACAAAUAAUAGUCCCACGUUGGAUAAUUAAUAAGAUAGUAAAUAGUAAAAUUAUUGAGGUAUAACACUGAGCCUCAACCAAAUAAACUUAAGCAAACACUGUAAUGCAAAUGCUCUGAUAGAAAAAAAAAACUUAAUUUUUCCUACAAAAUGGCAUUUUUUAAUCCUGCUUGGAUUAACUGAAAUGAAUUAGACAUUUUAUGGGAAAAAAAAGAUCAUUUAUAAAAAAUUAUUUCUUUUGACCAAUUUGUAAUAUCGGUACAUGAACUAAUCAUACAUUUUUCACUCUAUCUAUAGAUUGUUACAAAUGUAGAAACUUAUUAUUGAUUAUUCCUUGAAAAAGAAAUUGAUUAGAAGUUACUUAAACUUAAUUCAAGACCUCUUCCUCGUGCCAUGGAAAGUUAGGAAAUUAAUUACAGGUAUUAGUGGUCGCCAUCAAAGUGUAAGCACUCCAUUUUCCUCAACCAUUUCCAAAAAUAUAAUUUAUUCCUAAGGAAAAAAAUAAUUGUCUUUGUAUUUUUCUCUCUUUUGAAAGGAAUGUAUAGAAUAUUGCCUACACAUUUUAUUGAAUAUAAUAGAAGUUAUAUGUAAAACAAGUAUAAAUUAUAAUUGGGUAAAUUGCACUAUCACCUUCUGAACUUUUGGCGAAGUUUUAUUUUAUCCCUCGAACUUCUAAAAUGGACAUUUAACACUCUAAACUCUAAUAUUUCAUUCAUAUUAUCCAUUUGGCCAGUUUUCCGUCAAACUCCGUUAACCAGAAACAAAUGGAAGGGUAAAACGAAUAAAAAAUUAUAGUUUAGAGUGUUAGAUGCCAAUUUUAGGAGUUUGGGGAGUUAAGUGAAACUCGUCAAAAGUUCAUGAGGUAGCAGUGCAAUUUAUCCUGUAGGACUCUUGACUAUAAAUUAUUUUAUUAUAAUAUAUUAUUUAUAGAUUGACUACUAACCCUCAAGUUAGUGAUCAUACUUGAUUUUAAAUUUAUAUAUUUUUUAUUUUAAAAUAAAUCAUACCAUAAUUUAUCCUAUAUUUUAUUGUAAUAAAAUAAAAGCGAAAGAAAUGAAUUAGAGUGGCUUCAAGAUAAGAAAAGAACGAUACUAACUACCAACGAUACUCAAAUACUCUAAUGUCCUAGUGUACUCACUAAUAUGGUAGAUUUAUAAUAAGUGUCCUCACUCGGAUAUAGAGAUUUUAUUUUAAUUCUCAAUUAAUUCUCUAUAGUAUUCGUUUGUCCCUUUUAUUUUUAGAAAUAUUGUUCUAAAGUAUUAUAAAAUAUUAUUUUAUAUUUUUAUAUUAAAAUUUUCUAAUUGGCUGAAAUGAAGUAUAAAAAUUUUAUUUUAGGCUACAAUAAAAUUACAUUGCAUAGUUUUAUAGGAAAUAAGUGCAUUUUCUAGAACAAUACUUCUAAAGAUAAAAGGGAUAAACGAGUACUACAGAAAAUUAGCUGAGAAUUAAAAUCUCUAUAUCCGAGUGAGGACACCUAUUGUAAAUCAAUCAUUUUUUUUUUUAUAUGAAAUAAGUGCAUUUUCUAGAACAAUACUUCUAAAAAUAAAAGAUAAACGAGUACUACAGAAAAUUAAUGAAAUUAAAUCUCUAUAUUCGAGUGAGGACCUAUUAUAAAUCAUCAUAUAUAUAUAUAUUAUAUAUAUAUAUAUUUAUAUAUUAUAUAUAUAUAUAUAUAUAUAUUAUAUUAUAUAUAUAUUUUUUUAAAAGAUAGGAUAGCACGCUACCCAUGUCGCUUUAUUUUCAUUUAUAAAUAAACUUAGCUGGAAAUGUGAAUCAACUAGGAUUCGAACUUGAGUCUCGGGUACCAACCAUCAAGCCCUUUGCCACUUGCUCUAGGGACGGUCGGUAUAAAUCAAUCAUAUUAGCGAGUACAGCAGGACAGUAGAGUAUUCGAGCAUCGUAGGUAGUUAGUAUCGCUCUUUUCUUAUCUUUAAGCCACUUUAAUUUAUUUCUUUCUCUUUUAUUUUAUUAUAAUAAAAUGUAGGAUAAAUUAUGGUAUAAUUUAUUUGAUGAUAAAAAAUAUAUAUAAAUUCAAAAUCAAGUAUGAUCACUAACUAACUUAACGGUUAGUAGUCAAUCGUAUUCGGGUAAAUUGCAUUGCUACCUUCUGAACUUUUGGCGAGUUUCAUUUAAUCCCCCAAACUCCUAAAAUAGACAUCUAAUACUCUAAACUCUAAUAUUUUAUUCAUUUUACCCCUUCUGUCAGUUUUCGGUUAACGGAGUAUGACGGAAAACUGACGGAAGGGGUAACAUGAAUGAAGUAUUAGAGUUUAGGGUGUUAGAUGCUCAUUUUAGGAGUUCGAGGGGCAAAGUGAAACUUCGCCAAAAGUUCAGGGGGUAACAAUGCAAUUUACCCAAUUAUAAUUGUUAGGGUUGAGUAGGCCCCCAACAAUGAUUGAUCUUCCAAAUUGAACCCUCUAGCUACAAAAAUUUGAACCACAUUAGUACAUCAAUGUGAGAUAAAUACUCGAGGUACUAGAUGAUUUACACAAUCCAUUGAAAAUUCUAUUGUCGCGCUCCUUCUAUAAGGUCCAACAUAGUCAAUUUUACGUCACAGUUUGAUCGAUGCGUUUUCUCUCAUUUGGAUUCAGAUGGAAAGAAAGAUACCAUUUAACUGCAGUGGAGACCAGUGGGUGCAUUUCGAAAGUUUUUCGCAUUUGGCCCAAGUGAGCUGGAAAAAAUCACAACGGGUAAAAAGAUAGCUAUUUCAGAUUCUCUAUUGCAUAACGGGCAACUCUGUAAAUUUUUCUAUUUCUAUCAUUGUCGACUAGUUUGUAAUACAAUUCCGGCAAAACCUAAGAACAUUUUCUUAAGAAAUCCAAAAAAAAUAAAGAUAAAACGGUAUUAUGUAUUUUAUCUUUUUGUUGCCAAAGAAGUCAACGAGAUGUAUAAACUACACGUGCUUCAACAUCGGAGCAUACUCCAUUUCGAAAAUGUUUUGGAUGCCGUUUUACGAUAGUUUCAUAUUCGAAUGGUAGAGCCCUAAAUUGAAUGUUGUUAUAAAACUUAAGAUGUUAGUUGUAAACUGAAUAAAAUGUAUAUGCCUUUGUGGAUUUAUCCUUUUGAAAGCACUUCAAGCAUAGAAGCACUGUAGAGAAUUAAAUUGAUAAAAAUGAUUCUUUACAUAUAAUUUUUGUUUUUGUGAUAUUUGUUUGAAUCUUACCGUUAUAAAACAAUGCUAUCUGUACGCCUGUAAUAUUAAAAUCUCAAACCCUAGCCCUUAAAAAAGAUCAAAGAUUUAUUCACUUACUUUUGUUGUUUUUUGAAUACUAAAACUUUUGGCGUUUAAAAAGUCAAAGAUUAUGAGAUGUCAUGCAUACACCGUAUAAUAAUUUUUCAAAAUAAUAACUCAUUGAGAAAUGGGAAUGAAAGAGCUGUCACCACAUGUAGGAGCUGGUACAUUUGCUUUAGUUAUUCAUAUAAAAAGUGGUCAUUUAGUAAAAAGGGAUAAUUUCAUAUAGCUCACCUGUAAACAUAUCUGAUAACAAAUCUAUUUUUACAAAGUUUAAGUUUUUAGAUUUAUUCUUUCAAAAGUUCAGUGAUGUUCAUAUUAAUCUUUUUGGUUUGUUAUCGUUAGCUUACUAUUUAUUUUUUAAUAGAAAAUAAGUGAAAUGUUAAUUUUGUCAUUAUAAAUAUGUCCCUUCAAAAUCCCCAGUUGUUAGAAUCGUAUAAAAAUAUUCUUCAAAAAAUUUUCAAUAGUCAUCUUCUUUCUCUAUAAAAAUUAAUCCAAUCCACUAUAUUGCAAUAUUUUUCCUACCUCUUCUCUCACUCCUUUUUUCUUUAUCUAUCUAAUACUAAUUCUCCAGUGCUCGACAUGAAGCGAAGCAACAUUCGUCGUAAAUGAAUGGAGACAGAGAAACCAUAAUUACGAAUUCGAAACUAGCAUGAAGAAGAGAGAGGAAAAGAAAGAGGAAGAAGAGUUUUCAUUACUAGGAGUUUUGAUUGAGAGAAAAAGUAAUGAUAUCAAAAGGAUAAAAAGGUUAAUUUUCUCACUCACUGAUUAAAGUUAAGUAUUUUAUCUAUGAUUAAUUUUUUUAACGGACACUAACAACGGGGAUAUAUUUGAAAUUACUAGAAACUUUUUGACGAAUAAAUUUAAAAAUUUAAACUUUGUAGGAAUAUAUGUCACAUUCGAUAUGUUAACAAGGAGCUAUAUGAAAUUAUCUCUUAUUAAAAUCAAGUACUUUUUUUCUCACAUUAAUUAAAAGUGAAAUAUAUUGUAUAUGAAAAAGUAAAAAAAAUCAGAACUUGGAGCCUUCCUCAACCUACCUAACUUGUGGACAAGUUCAUGUAUGUUGAUAGGUAGGUGAAUGUUGGAAAGGGACCCCCUCCUCUUUUUGGAUCUUUCCUUUUUGGAUUUUUAAAAAUAGGUGUUGCUCCUCUACAUUCCCAAGAGCCAUCUUUAUUAAUGUCCUUCACAUCUACAAGUCAAAAACAAAUUAAAAAAAAUACUGCAUUAAAAUCUCAUUUAUAAAUUUUACACUUAUUUAUCUAAAAAUUUAAAAUCUCUAUUUUAGACUUUCCGUAUUUUAAAGAAAAAUUUAUAAGACUAGCAUAGAAAUAUUAGUCUUUGGAUAGAUGUAUAUAUAGUAUUGCUCAACAAAUUAAAUGCAUCUUCAUAUAUACAUAAAGAAAACAAAAAAGAAAAAAAACAUUAUUAAUUGAGGGGGUGAAAUGCUUGGUUAACUUAGAAUAAUUAUAGCUAUCACUAUUUUUAGAGUUAUACUCCCCAAAUAGAUAGAGAUCACGUGGAUGGGGAAAAGAGAAAUACUCUCCCUACCACUCAAUCAUAUCAUCUACUAAAGAUUUUUUUAUGAUCUUGAAGAAAUAAUUCUUCAAUAGGAUUAUAGAAUAUGUUAUGACUAAAUUAUAGAAAAUCCUUAAAAUUUGAUUUUUUACUUUUUCUUUCUAUCAUUUAAAAAUCUACAUUUUGAUCCCUUAUAAAAUAAAAAAUAUUCACAAAAAUACGGUGUGAACUGUGAUGACAAAAUGACCAAUUUGCCCCUCACCAUUUUGCCUCUCACCAUGUUCACAAAAUAAAAGACUGAGGGUAUUUUUGGUAUAAAAAAAAUAUAAUAAUAUUUUAUAAAUGGAAUCCUAAUAGUUACUAACGGUAAGGGGUGAAAUAAAUAGUUUUUAUUUUACAAGUGGGCAAAAUAUAGGUUAUUAAAUGACAGAAAAAAAAAAGUAAAAAAUUGAGUUUUGACAUGAAAGUUUAAUGUAUUUUAGCCAUAUGUUAUUGUUUGGCUUAAGUUUCUAGAAUUAUUAAUACAUAAUAAUUUGAAUAUGUGGUACUAGUCAUUGAGUCCGAUGUUUUGGUCUAUAUUUUUGGGUAUUUUCCACUUGUGAUUUGCCCUCAAUUAUCGUUCAUUGAUAAAUAAAUAAAUAAAAAUAGUGAAGGCUCAACUGGCAAUACUAAUUAUUUUAUAAGUAAAGCUUUUUUCUUAUGAAUAUAUUUAGGAUUAUCAUGCAAAUGAAAAACUUUUUUAAUGACUUAGAUUUUGCCUCGACUUGAUGUUUAUUUCACUAGUGGAAAUAUUAUACUUUGUUAGUUAAUUCACGAAUUAUUCAUAAAUUAUUGAAAAUCCGAAUUAAACGGUCCGUUUAUGAAUUUUUUUUCCCAAAAAAAAAAUAUUCGCGAAUUUUUGGGCCAGCCAAAUAAUCGCGAAUUAUUCAUAAAUUAUUCCUGAAUUAUUAAAAAUCUGAAUAAAAAAUUUAUAAUUUUUAUGUUUAAAUAUAGAUUAUCUUAUAUUUUAUAUUUUAUAUUUUAUAUUUUAUACCGAAUCUAUUUUUUAAGCCAGAUUUUUCAAUAAAUUUAAAAAUUAGAAAAUAAAUUUUAUGCGUAUUAUAACCGUACCGAAUUUUUGCUGAAUCCGAAUUAACUAACUAUGAUAUUACGCAAUCGUGAUCUACUAUAGAUUUAUAUAACUACGAAGAUAUAUCAAAUAUAUUCAAUUUUCAAGUCGCUUUCUCUAUGAAGGUAAUGUGCUGACCAAAAUAUCGCUUAGCUAAGAAAAUGAAAAUUCUACUGUAUGAAUUAUAGAACGCACGUUUAAUGUAACCUUCUUAUUCAAUUUACAACUUUCAAAAGUUUAUUAAAAUUAUAUUAUGGUUCCUGAGCAAGUAGAAUGUUUUUCGAAAAGAAAAUAACACAAAAAUAAACAACUAAUUAAAUGUCUCUUUCGAUGACACAAGUAUGAACAAUGAACACGAUAAUAACAGGGAAAUACGGGUGUUUACAAUUGAAAAUAACCUAAUCAUCUCUUUGUUUCUUACGGAGCGAGAUUAUACAUUUUUAUAUCCAAUUAAUACUUUAAUAAAGCUUAAUAACCUAAGGAUAAUUAAGCUUUUUCAACGCUCACAGCAGAGCAAUAAUAAAUAUAAUAUUCAAGUGUCAUGAGAUUUCACAGAAGCUGAUAUCAACUAUUUUUUUCUUUUCCUUUCUUUCUCACCGGCAUUAAAAAAAGAGUUAACUGCUCUAAACCCUAAACCCUAAAUCCAAUCUAAUAUUUUUUUUUAGCAAUCGGAUUCCUAACUUUUAGGGUGCGUUUGGUUCGCGCUAUCUUUUAAAGAUUUCUACUAAUCCAAUGAAAAUAAAAAAAUAUUACGGUGUUUGGCUAAACGCACUAAGUAAUCUAGUUGCUAAUAUUGGAUUCACUUGGAAAUAAAAUUCACCCAAAGUACUAAUUUCAUUCUCUUGAGGGAGGGUGGGUAUCCUCAUAUUAAUGAAUUAGGAUAAUCACAAUAUGUCUAACAUCUUUCUUUCUUCCUACCCGCAGGUUAAUUGAUAUUAUUUUUUUUUUUACACUCUAACCUUAUAUCUCUCUCUAAACUUAUUUUUCUCCCUAAAAUUCAACUUUUUUUUCUCUCUCUAAACUAAGCUUUUUCUCUCUCUCUCUCUUUCUAAAGUUUCAACUCUCUCACUCCCUCUAAUUUCAACUAUAUUUUUCUUUCUAUUUUUUUAAUUAUGCUCUCUCUCUCUCUAACUUAUACUCUCUCUCCCUUUUUUCUAAAAAGAUGUUGAAACUUUUGAUAACAUUAUCUAAAAUUAAAUAAAUAAAUAAAUUGUAUAUUUUUUGUAAUAUUAAAUAAUAUGGCUAAUUAAUAUUACCGUACGAACCAAACACAGAAAUUUCACAUUCUUAGUAAUAGGAUGAAUAGAAAUUAAGAUUUUGGAUAUCAUUUAUUUCAGUAAUCUUUUAUAAUGCAAACCAAACGCACCGCAGAAUCAAACUGUACCGGUGGUUCUAAGUUUCAUAUAUUUAAACAUUUCGGUUUUUUUUUUUUUUACUUUUCUUUCACAUGCAUGUCUAUCACGUCAAAUCUGAUCUCACCGCAUCGGUUACUAGUCUCAGCAUCUACGAUUCAUUUGACAUCCAAACGGCGUCAAUCGUCUCUUCUUGUAACAUCCGGCAUCUUUGAAAUCGAGCAAAACUUAGAAACUAUCUCGGACUACAACCACAAUCAACCGAUUAGAACUAUCGACUACAAUCACAAUCAUAUAAAUAAAUAGGCACAAGUGUUUAUUGGAGUCGGCUGAUCUGUACAAUCAAAAUCAAUAAAAAUUUAAGUCAUUGGGUUCUGACUGACACUAAAACACCCCGAAUAAAUUAUAAAAAAAAAGAAAGAAAGAAAGAGCAGGUAUUGAGCAUAACUGGAACUAAUGCCAUGUGUAGUUUAUUAGAAAAAAAAAUUCCCAAUCUAGCCUCCUUUUAAAAAAAAUUCCUAACCUAGCCUUCUUUUGAUAAUUAGAAAAUAAAAGAUAACUUUAAUAGUAUUUAUAUGCUAAUUAGGAGAGAGAAAUUUUUUUCUCUCUCUCCUCCCACCCUACUAAUAUUUAAAAAUAAUUAAUUUUUGUUAUAAUAAUAUUAAUUAAAAAUUAAUAUUUAAUAAUAAUAAUAAAUAUUAUUGUUACUGAAUGUUUUUUCUCAGAAAGAUAGCAUGGUGCUACCCUCUUCAUUUAUUUUUUUUAGAAAUAAACUUAGUUGGGAAUAUGAAUCAAAGAAAAUGUGAAUCAACUAUGAUUCAAACUCAAAACUUCAAGUACCGACCACCAAGCCCUUUACCACAUAUACUAAAUACUAAUAAUAAUAAAAUUAUCAUUCAGUAAUAAUAAUAUCAUUGUUAUUAAAUAUUAAUUUUUAAUUAUUGUUAUUAUUAUAAGAAUUAAUUGAGAGGAAAAAGAGAGAAAAAUUUUCUCUCUACUAAUUAACAUAUAAAUGCUCUUAAGCCUUUUUUAUUUUCAAAUCCAUCAAAAAAAAGGCUAGGUUGGGAAUUUUUUUAAGAAAAAGGCUAGAUUGGAAAUUUUUUUUCUCAAUGAGGCUAGAUGUGGCAUUAGUUCCCAUAACUGACAUGUAAUCAUGUAGGGACAAUUAUGUUGGUAGAUACAUACAGUCCAUCAAGCAUUAAAAAAAAAAAAAAAUGGAUAAAAGAAAAGUGCAUUGGACUUGUCCUCUACCUGCUGUUGUUGUAUGAAUUAUUGUUGGGCCAAAAAGUGGGGGAACCUAUUGCUCCCUCAUUUUCUUUUUCUUUCUUCUUUUUUCUUUUUUUAAUCCCAAUGAAGAGUACCAAUGUUAAAGACCAUCUUGUGCAGAUCCUCCUCAUCUUUAUUUUUUAGAUUAAUUUUGUACAGAUUUCUAUAAAUAUAAUAAAUUAUAAAUAUAUUUUUAUAAAGCUUAAUUUUUAUAUAUUAUUUUUAUAAAAAUUCUGAUAUUUUCAAAUAUGUUCCUAUCGUUAGAAUUUGUUAGAAAAAUUUAGCUAAUCAUUAAAUAAAUAUUUAACUCUAGUUAGUUAAUGAAGUGAAUUAAUUUUUUUUUUCCCUCUUCAAUUAAUAAUUUGGACUUUUAGAGGGAUAUAUUUGUAAUGGCAAAAAUAUCAUUUUAUUUAUAAAAUAGACGGUGCCGCUUUAACGGUAACAAAUCACAGAGACAUAUUUGAAAAUAUCAGGAUUUUUAUAAAAACAAUAUAUGAAAGUUAAACUUUAUAAAAAUAUAUAUAUAAUUCACUAUAUUUACAGAAAUUUAUAUAAAAUUAAUUAUUAUUUAUUUUAUAAAAGAAAUAUAUAUUACUAAGAUUAGCUACCCACCUACCAUCCUCACCUGCUGUGUUCUCUCCUCCUCAUAGCUCUUAUCCACAAACCCACAUGCUUUAAAUGAGUGUGGGGCCAAAGGAACACCACACUCUAAGAUACAAUUGGAAAGGUAGGGAGUUGGGUGCCAAAACAAUUUGCCCCAACAAGGAAAAAGCUUUUCUGGGAGCUUUUGAUAAAAUAUGAAAAUAAAAAAAUUAUCUUUUUAAGAAGAAAACAGAUUAAAAAUAAAAUUUUUAAAAAGAAAACUGUUUUUUAAAAUAUUUUGGCCUAUAUGAACCUGUUUUCUAGGAUGUAGUUAUUAUAAUACCUGAUUGCUAAAGUAUUUGUUUAAAUAAUAUUGUCUGGUAAUUAAAAUACCAUGUUGAAAUUUUUACUUAGUUUUCUUUUAUCACAGAAUUAGAGUUGUCAAAUUAAAGUUUCUAUUUUUUGAAACUUAGGUUUUCAUUUCUAUUUUUAUAGCUGUAGAAACUCUUAAAUUUUUAGAACAUAAAGUGUCAAUUUUUAGCUAAGUUUAUUUCUAGAAGCAAACAAAAUAAAUGACUUGCUAUCUUAAUUUAUCUCUCUUUAAAAAGAAGAAAAAAGAAAAAAAAAAGAGCUAGUAAAAAAACUUUGAUUCAUUGAAAUAGAAAACUCAAAAGAAGAAAUAAAACGACCAUUUAGUAUAAUAGAGAAAUGCCAAGUCUACAAUUUUUUUAAAAAAAAAAAUUAUAAUUUCUACAACUCAUCAAAGAAUUCUAAAAUUUACUAACUUUUUUUAAAUUUUUAGUAAAAGAAAAAUGGGAAGAAUGCAAGGGCAUGUUUUUAAAGAAAGCCUUUAAAAUCUACUCAGGUAAUAAACAGAGAUAGUGCAUAUAUAUAUCCAUAACAACCCUCUUAGUAUAGAAAUUAUUUCUAUACCAAUCUUAGUAUAGUCAUAAUUUAUGUUAAUAACAAUAAUUACACAAAAUGUACUCCCCAGGGCAUGCAAAAAGAGCAAACUAAAUUCUUAACAGGCCUUUUUUUUUUCUUUUUCCUUUUUUUCCCUUCUCUCUCUUUCUCCCUCCUGCAUCUUAAUAAGUACCCUAACAANAAAAAAAAAAAAAAAAAAAAAAAAAAAAAAAAAAAAAAAAAAACACUGAUCUUUAUUUCAUUUGGAGGCUUCUAUAAUCCAGUAAUUGCAUACCAAGGGUGAGAAAGCUAUUAUUGCAGUUGCACUCCAUCAUCUCCUUCUUCACGCCGAGGCCACAACACUUGAAACAGAAGAGCCCUCCCCCCUCUCUCUUCACCACGGGGGGCUUCACCAACGCCGCCUCCUCUUCUUCUUGGAGGGGCGGGCUUAUGCACAGCUCCAGGUUGAGGUCCGGGCACUUGGGCCUCUGCUGCUGCUGCUGCUGCUGCUGCUGCGAUAAAGACAUCGACUCUGCGGCGUCGACGGCGGCGUGGUCGUCGUCGGGCGUCCCCUCCUGUUUUGCGGUUUCGAAAGCGGUUGCUGCUGCGUUGGAGGGGCUGCUGCCCCUCUCGCUGAGGGGCCGGUGGGUGACGGGGUCUAUGCCUCGGCUCAGCAGCUUCCUCCUUAUGUGCGUGUUCCAGUAGUUCUUGAUCUCGUUGUCCGUUCGCCCCGGUAGCCUCGCGGCGAUCAGAGACCAUCUGUAUAAGAUCGAAUUAUGAGAGAAUUGUAGGAUGAAUGAAUGAAUUUGGAUAUAUAAAGUAUAUAUAUUUAAUGAGAAGUGUGCGCAUGCGUAGCGUACUUGUUGCCGAGGAGGCUGUGGAGUUUGAUGAUGAGGUCGUCCUCGUCGAGGGAGAAGUUGCCGCGCUUGAGGUCGGGGCGGAGGUAGUUGAUCCAGCGGAGCCGGCAGCUCUUGCCGCACCGCAGCAGCCCCGCCGCCUUCGGCAGCGCCCGCCAGCACCCCUCCCCGUGCUCCCGUAUGUGCGCGAUCAGCCGCUCGUCCUCCUCUUUCGUCCACGCCCCCUUGUUCGUGUGUGCCUUUUCGCAGCACGGCGACCUACCCAUCUCUCCUCUCCUCUUAUUCUCUGUUUUUCCCCCUUUUUUUUUUCUUUUUUUUUUUUCUCUACCACUAAACUUUAAAAUUAAACAAGAAGCAACUAAGGAUGAACGGAGGAUGCCAUAGGAAUAUAUAUAUAUAGAAGGUUGACUAGGAUGAGGACUGAAAAUAAAAUUUAAAGAGUUGAGGGUUAAGGAGUGAAAAGUGCACUUCUAGAGAGGAGAGGAGGGUGAGUUGGUGAGAGAAAGGUAGGCCGUAGGGGAAGGAGAGGUAGGGCUGAGUCUAACAAGUCAUGACAUCAUCAUUAUUAACCUGUUGCCAUGUUAUAAAAUAAACUAAACUAUUUUAAAAAAAAAAACAGAAAAGAAUAGAAGUGUUGUGAGCAUCACCCUCGCCUAUAGGUGUCUCUCAAAAUGCUCCCUCAUGCUUUAUUUUAAUUUUAUUUAAUUUUUAAUCUUUUUAGAAGUCAAUGAUUUUUAUUAAUUAAGUUAAUAAAAAUAGCAACCGCCAUCGAAAAAUAUAUAAUUUAUUAAUUAACUAAAAUAGCUAAUAGAGUAAUUAAAUUUAAGAGAAAAAAAACUAAACAAAAGUAAAUAAAAAAAUUCAGAUAAAAUAAAUAAAAAUUUAUGAGUGCCAGCCUAUCAGCCAAGAUAUUAAUUAAAGUUGAGGGAUCAUUUCAAAAUGCUGAAAAGGUGAGGAUGUUUCCAUACAUUAUUAUCAUUUUUUUUUGGAAAAAAAAAAAGGGGUCACAACCAACUGCAGUACAGCAGUAGUGGUGCCUACUACUACUGCCUACUCAGGUAGGUGGAAAGUGUGGUAGCAAAAGAACUGUGGGGUUGACAUAAAAGAUUAGGAGAGAGAGAGAGAGAGAGAGAGAGAGAGAGAGAGAGAGAGGGGAAAGGGCUUUUUAAUGGUCACAUAUUUAAUCAUCUUUUUGGUUUAGAGCUAACUAACCUUUAUUACAAUAAUCUAUCUCUCUUUCACUUAACUUGUUAUAUUUAGAUACAAGACAGAAAAAGUGUAAUUUGCAGGUCUACAUUUUGGAUGGAGAUGUAACACCAAAUAGGGAUAUAUGGAAUUUACUCAAAUGCCAAUUUCACGUUACAUGAUAUUAUUGAGGCUAGUUCGGCCAAUAAUUCCGAUUUUUUAACGGAGCUUCAGUUUUGAUUUCUAAUCUUGUAAAAUUCGCACGUCCUCAUAUGCAUGCUUCAAAAGUUUCAAAAGUUUAGGAAUUAUAUUGAAACUCUGCUAAAAGUCCAAGGCAUGAAACUCUGCUAAAAGUCCUCAUUAAAUUUAUUAUACAGGGACAAAUCUUAAGAUAAGUAUGCUACAAAAAAAUGUAUAGAGCCAUUCAUUUUAGUUGGGGCCAUUUUUAAGGGAAGCUUUUCUGUUGCAAGUUGAAUAUGUGGUACUCUACUAAAGAAGUGGAGGAGAUUGAUACUUGAGGGUGUGGGACAAUGUUACUUGUUGGGUGGGAUCUUCACACCAAAAUCCACAUGGGUUUACAUCAAGCUUGUCCAAACCAAUAUAUCUAUCUAGGAUGGGCACCAAACUGUGGACCCUGUUUAUUUUUCUCCCUUUAAUUAGGUUGCAUAGGAGAAGGAAAUAUCCUAAUUAACCCAUUUGCCCAACUUGGGACCAUGGUGAUUGGGACUUCAUUGUGGUCUCAAAUGUGAAAAGGUUAGAUCCUUAGAUAUUUCUUGAUGACCUUUCUCCUCCAUGCCUUGAGUAGUUCGAUUAGAAUGCCUGAAUCCAACUUCCAUUCUUGUGAUUUGAUUUGAUUUGAUUUGAUUUUCUCAAAGAUAAUGUAGAUCUGACUUGAAUACUACUUGAAGCUUACCCCUUGAUAUGGGUAACUAGUGUUUGCCCCACAUUUAAAGCCUAAAUGUGUCUCCAACUGGGGCAUGUCCAUAUCUAGCACUAUAAAGAGUUGUGCAAAUUACAUUAAUUUAAGACAAGUGGUUCAUCUAGUUAAAAGUAAGAUCUCCAGUUUCUUUCAAGCCUUAUAUAUACAUAUAUAUACUUUCUUCUGUGUGAGGGGUCGGAUUUAUAUAUGUGGACUUUUUGUUCGCCCUCGCUAUCAUAUAAUGCGAAAAACAUGUUUUCCUCCGAAAUCGGAGAGCUGAAUAGACCCUCGAGUUCAUCAAGACCCUUGGAUUAGGGGUCCGAGAGAAUCUAGAGCAGUCGAUCACACCGGAGCUAAUUGGGAUCUUAAAACUUGUGUACUUGGUUGCCAAUGACCCUCAAUUGUUUUGAUAAUUAACCUCCCUAAGAUUAGAUCUCCACCUUGGACAGGCGCAGAUCUACGAUAAUGAAUUGUGAUUGUGGAUCAAUUUGGAUUAAGAACUCGAACCUAACUAAUUUAGUUGCACCUAAAUCCAAACUAGGCAUGCACUUCCCUUGCAUGGGAAGCAGGGAGCUAAGUGCUUCUAGAAGGUAGGAGGAAAGGUGAAAAGGGGGGUCAGUGGUGGUGUGGUUGUGUGGUGUGUGGGCUUUAAUUUGCUAGUGUAUGGUUCACCUUCCACACUACCUUUUCUUUCUUUCUUUCUUUCUUUCUUUCUCUCUUUCCACACCCUUGUGGUGCAGGUCCAGUUGCAGACAAGUGGAGUUAGGGGGAGAGGGGAGAGAUUAUGCGUGUCUUUCGAGCUAUUUCUGUCACAUUUUCUGUCAAAUUAAUCUUUUAGGUAUCAUGAUAUUGUGGUCACUCGAAAUCUUCUUAGCUUCAAAAGUUGUGCUGAGAGAGCGCGCGUAUGUUUCAAGCUCUUUAUGUGCGUCUUUUCUGUCAUAUUGAUUUUCUUGAUAGCAUGGUGCUGUAGCCGCUUAAGUUUUCUCAACUUUAACGGAUCGUUUGUUGGAGGUCCAUCAUCUACUUUUUAGUAAGUCACGGUAAAAUAUAAGGACAGUCCUUGCACUAUCCAGAUAUUUUAAGUUCAUCACUGUACUUCGCAUUUACACAUUGUAGUCCCUAAUACUGCGUAAUUCUUCUUGGAUUAAACUUAAAUAACUCGAGCAAUUUAUAGAAGAGAGAAAAUAGUCGGUUUCUUAAAAAAAAAUACUCUUGUUUUAAGGACGAGAAUUCAAGUGCUAAAUUUUUUAAAGAAAAAGCAUAUGGAUCAACUUGCAAUAUAGGGACAGUUAGAGAAAUAUCCCCAUAAUUGGCUCAUAAUUAGAUUUUCGUCCUUCAUCUGUAUUUAUUGCCAUAAUAUCUUCUAUCAAUGAGUACAACACGAUAACGAAGUGUUAAAAUUUUCAAAAUAUUCUUAUUUCAUUAGGUCAGAGAAAAAUAAUAAGACAAGUUAUGGCCUUUCGUUGUUAUCUCUCUCCUCUCUAUCAAUUCAAUAGCACUUCUUGUAUCAAAGCACAUGAUAUGACAUGAUUUUAAGUGUUAAAAUUGUUUCCAAAAUGUUUUCUAUUAAAUCUAAAUUUUCAUUUUAGGAGAGACAUAAGAGGUAGGUCGCCUUCUUGCUAAAUAAUAAAAAAUAAUUUUUUUUUAUCUAAUAACUUAAGCUGAUAGAGAAUAAUUUUUUAUAUAUAUAUUUAACAUUCUCUUUCACGUUUGGACUCAAAACUUUUAAAUAGAUUCAGACAUAAAUUUUAAUUAAAUAAGAGAAAAUUAAUUAUACUCGAAAAUUUGACAUUACUCGAAUUCAGAAUCUUCUAUUUUGAUAUCAUAUUAAAUAUUUAUAUGAAACAAUCGUUGUUGUAUCUCUCUCGCCUUUCACGGGGACAUGGUGUUCCCCACACCACGACGCAUGGCUCGUAGUUAUCCACCAUCCUCCCCCUUUUCCCUCCCCCAAUACCCACGUUGCUCCUCUUUACCUCUUUUUUUAUUUUAUUUUUUAUUUUAUUUUUAAUAACUACGUCUCAAUAUAAGCCUACAUGUAGCUCCUAAUUGCUAACUCCAUAAGUCCUGUUGUAUGUUUCUAAUUAAUCAUGCAUGCACUCAUCAUGUGAUGCAGGAGAAAGGGGAAGAAGAUUCUGCACCAAACGUGACUAGUAACUUCUCUACCUAACUCUCUCUAAAUUAUCUGAGGCUUUUUUUAUAUUUGUCCCUACAAGAGUGCCUCUCUACACCUAGGAACAAUUUAGGUCUAGUUUGAUAAUGUGAUAGUUAAAAGUAUUAUUAUUUUUGUAAUUUGAAAGGUUCAAAAAAAUUACAAGUACUUCAAAUCUUCCUCUCCACUGUAAUUUUAUUACAAAAAAGGAGAAAAAAAAAUUAAAGUAUUUUUAGAUUUUUUUUAUUUUUUAAAAUAUAAAAAUGAUGAUUGUAGCCUCUACGUUACCAAAUAGCUUUAAUAUAUUACCUCACAAAUUGAACCAAUGUUCUAGUAACAUGUACUUCCGUAAGAUUUAAGUUUUGGUGCUAAGGCCUCAAGUUAGAUAUGUUUCGAAUUCUUGAACUGGAAUGUUUCCUAACUCUAUUCUGUUUCAAUCAACCCAUUAAGUCAAGUUAAGAUCAUUUCUAAUCUUAAUGAGUUCUGGUCAUUAAUAUAAAUAUUAUAUUUAUUCUGUUAGAAAAUAACCGGCACAUCAGAAAAACGCAGCGGAAAAUAAUUUUGCACUUUUAAAAUUUUUCGGAAGCUAAAUACAUAUCACAUAUGAAAACCGAAAACCAAUAAAUCAAACCGUUGCCGGCGGAUCAUUCUCAUGUUACUAUGCAAAAAAUUAAUCUAAACAAAAAACUCUUUAUGUUUAGAAAUCUUACCGUGGACCAGUUAAGGUCUCUUGAUCUACUGUACGGUUGAAACUGAAUAUGACGAACAGAGAUUCCGAUUAGCCGCGCACAUGCCCUGCCUCUACGCGUAUCCACACGGAAUCGGCGCAUACCCGAUCGAUCUUCGUCUCACGAACCGGAUGAGUCACGGACCAUCUGGACGGUGCUAGCAAUCACUUCAUGAUCUUUCAGUCGAUGAAGAAUAGAGAAGUUAAUCGGAAAGAAACACGCGCGCAGAAGAGAGAUCGGAGAGAGAUUGAUUUCUAUAUGUAUAUAGAUCAAUAGCUAUCAUGGAUCCAAUUAAUUAAGGUGCAUGACCACCUUAAUUAAUUUAGAAUUCCAUUCUAUACAGCACAGAGUGCCGUACGGCUCCAUCUUUAUUAUCAUUAUUAUUAUGUAUUCACACAUACAUAUAUAUCUAUAUAUCUAUAUUUCAUAAAAUCUUAUCUAAUAAGAUUUUCUCUCUCUCCAAUAAAAUUUAAUAAUUAAAUACUCAUACUUAUCCAACUAAAUCAAAUCUAGUAAAAAUCUUAUCUUAUAAGAUAUUAUGAAUAUUUAAUUAUUCUCUAAUCCAAUUAGAGAUAAAUAUUGAUCUCUCCAAUAUUUAAUUAGAUCUUAUCUAAUUUUAAUCUUAUCCAAUAAGAUUACUUACUAAUAUUUAAAUCUCAUUUAAAUACCUUUUAUGAUUAAAUAUUAUCCCUAAUCUAAUCAGAGAUAAAUUUAAAUCUCGCGCAUAAUUCUCAAACUGAUUAUGAGAUCCUAAUCUAAUUAGGACUAUCAGUUAUAACCGAAUCGAAUAAUUAAAUCUAAUUUAAUUAAGCAGCUUUUCAUCGCUUACACUAAACUCUUUAGUGAAUGACUCUCAUCCAAACGAUUCAGAUGCACACAAUUUCUAAUGUGUGUGACCGCAUAGGUUCAUUACCAUUCGGCAGUGGAGCUCAAUAUCAAACUCUUUGAUAUUUAAUUAAAACUCUUCUAAUCGAUAAAUAAGAAUAAUUCAAUUCGAAUCAUUCAUAUUCUCUCACCGUCCGUGAAUGACACCUAGCAGUAUAUCACGGCAAUCCAGAAUGGUAAUGAAGAAUGAACUUUUCCGCUUACAGUUACCAUGUGAUUAAUUCCUUCCAACAUACAAUGUCCCAAUCGAACUAAGGUCAUGGUUACUCGCCAAACCUUAUCAUUCGACCAUAUGACUAGAAUAUCUGAAAUCAACUCAAUAUGG